UACAUAAUUGUAUCGAAUACUCUCACCAUGAUUGUCGAUCUAUCGGAUCAGACGAUUACUAUGUUUGCCAAAAAUGCCUGGGCCGUAUGUGGAAUAAAUCAAUUCCACAAGGAAGGGAAACUGCAAAAUUCCGUACAAGGUCACUGGCAAACAGACUAAUGCUGCCAAGGUAAUAAGAAUCCAUGCCUUCUUUUCACCAAAGAGAAGAUAGAUUGCGCUACUGUAGGCUAUCAUCAUGAAUGUUACGGAGAGGAAUAGAGUAACAAGGCCAAAUAUCAACCUCCUGGGAAGGGCAAAAAGAAAAUCAUCUUCUGCAUAUCGUGCCGUGAGAAUGGAUAGGCAUAUCAGCACCGAAGCAAUGGAUAGUAAGAGGGAAAGAGCAUCGGAAGCUGCAAAAACUUUGAAGGCCUUUUCUUUGGUGAAAUUUGGUAUGCCAGUAUCAUCAUGGUUGCCACCCGGGAUGGUAAUUGCUGCUGCAAACACUACAGUAGCAAUAAGCGCUGCUGCUAAUGUGUAACAUUUUGCUGUGCCUUUCAUCCAUUUCUCCCUUUCUUUUAUCAAUUUUUCAUGUUCCUUUAUAAAUGCCAUUUUCGGUUUAUCUUUUUUUUCAUUUCUCAGAUUCACUGAAGGCUCUCGGGGCAUAUUUUUCAAUUUCCUUUGUAAAAAUCAAAAUGUUUCUAAGAUACAGAAAAAGAGUGGAUAUGUAUAAGAAAAUUAAUUCCCCUUCAAAACAAAAAUUAUUACCUUAAACCAAUGUAACUCGCGUUGCAUUUGUAGAGCUGCACCAGAAACGAGACUGAGCCGGUGCGGAGGGGCCAAUUUUCCAACCAAAUGCAAGAUGUUAUUUAAAUCAUCUUUGGCUCGUAUUAUAAGUUCUCUAUGCAUAUCGGUUCCACAGAUGAGGUUGAAAAUCUUUUCAUAACGAUUUAAUACUGCCAAUUUGAAUACAUCCUCAUCCAGAUACUCGAGGGCAAAAGGAUAUGACUUCAUAAUCUCUUGCAGAAUCUCGGGAAUCCCAUAUUUUGCCCCAGUAAUGAAGGCUAGUUUAAAUAUUUCCUGUGCUCUUGAUGCUUUCAAAACUUCAGUACAUAGGUGGUUAAGCAAUUGAAGAGUCAGAGAAUGCAUUGUUUUUGUUUCUUGGAUGUGCUUGAUGGGUGGUACUGCAAUUAAAAUUAUAUUAAGGACAACAUAACAUUGCAUUCAAAACUUUUGCAUGCUUUAGUGGUAGUUUUGUUGUGUUCCUUACCUAACCAUCCAACCAGUUCCCAGAACAUUGCAUUCACCUUUCGGCAAGUUGUGUGCAAUGAAAAUUGAAGCAGUUCAGAUGCAAAAGCAGGACUAACAGAAGAAAAAACAAAAAAGCAACCCUGAAUCAAGUACCAAUUAAACACUAAUCUAUCAGAGCUUUUUGGGAUUCAAUAGGUUUCAUAUACUUCCCUUAAACCGUCGCACUUGAAUUUAAAGGCUAGAAUCAAGAAGCCUAAUGAAACUUGGUACAAGCUCAAUUACUCGACUUCUUAUUAAUUAACCAGGAGCAUCAGGUGACAAGAUAUUCAUAAAAUCUAUCAGAGCAAUGAAAAUUGUGUAUCCUACAUAAUUCUUUGAGUAGUAGAGUAUUAUCCAUUGGAAUUUGAUUGUAGAGCUGAUUUCAAAUCCAUUACUUGAACUUAAAAGGAAAAAAAUGAACACAAUUUUGUGAGGACAAAUUAAAAUUGUGAGGAUCUCAAAUUCAACAAGUUAGCAUUUCUCUACCAGGUGCAAUUUGGCAAAUUGGUUUGACCUAACUUGAAUAUCGGAGAAGUUGAGAAACCAUUUUUAGUACUCAAGUUAGAAUUUGGUCAAGCUUCUCAACCAAAAGUUAAUUUGGGUUGAGCUCAAUUUUGGGCUGAGUUCAAACCAAUGCUUCAACAAUCUAAGUUGAAUUAAACUCCAUUAAUAUUUUAUAAUAUUUAUAGAAUAUAUUACUAUAUAAUAAUAUCAAUUUUUUUUUCUAAAAUAAUUUUAAGGGAAAAACCAUCAAAAUAUAUUAAGCCAACUCUCAGAAAUUUGCCUACCCCCUUGUGAACACUAUUUGGAAGGAAAAUUAAUUAGGAAGCCUCUUAAGCAAGCCAGAAAGGUAUUUGGUCCUCUGUAGCCUAUGCAUUCCAUAGUACAGGGCCUAAUGAACAUGAGAGCAAAGCAUGGUGCCUACUACUUCAUCACAUUUACGGAUGGUUAUAUCUACAAGUCCAAAUAAUUGCUUUGAUUUAGAUGUUAUAUGAAUAUUGUAAAAAAAUGAAAAGAAAAAACUAUUACAACAUUAAGGAUAAAUCAUGGACAUGAGUAUCCAUUGAAGAGUUUUAAAAAUCUCUAUGAUGAAAAGCAAAUCCAAAGAACAAUCAAUAGCUUCAAGGACUCCACAGUAAAAUGGUUGAACUGAAAAUAGUAACCAUAAACUUUUGGAUAUGGUUCACUCAAAAAGGCACAAGCCAACUAUCUAACAUCUUUCAAGGUGGGAAAGGAGGGUUACUAUUUUGAUUGCAACUUAAAUCUUGAGUGAAGUGCCCUCAAAAUCAAUUACUUCAAAUCCAUAUAGUUAAGAAGUCAAACCUAACUCACUUGUGAUCCUAAGGGUUAGUAGGUUUAGUUCAUGUAAAUUCUCAUAGAUAUUGUGCUAUAAAGGAAACAAGUGCACUUUCAUUCAUUAGAUAUUCUAAGAAAUCAAAGGUUGUGUGAUGCUUAGUGAACAACUCAAUGGGAGUAUAAUUGAAAUAAAGUCAGAUGAAAUCACUUUCUUAUAGGAUGAUAUUUUGAGCAGAGGAGCAUUGAACAGGAGUCUCAAUUUAUUUGAGGCAAUUAAACCAAAGGAAAAUACUAUGAUAUCUCAUAUCGAACAGGGGAAAAAGUUCUUGACAUUAUAUAUAUAUAUAUAUAUAUAUAUAUAUAUAUAUAUUAGCUUCUCUUAAUUAUUUAGACACAUUUUAAUGUUGUGAGGGUGUAGACCCUCAAUUUUGUCCCUUUAACACAUGUCUUUAAAUCCGUUUUCAAUGCUCCGUAAUAGUUCCUUGGUGGCCCAUAGCUACUCAUACCACUUACCUUUUUUUUGAGUCACCUUGGAGACUUUGGUUGAGGGAUUAUUUGAUCCCUUAUUGUGACCCUUGGCAACCCUAACUUAGACUUAGGCUUUUCUUGUUUUUUUUUUAGGAUAGCUUUUAGAUACACUUGGCCCAUUAGGCACCACCCUAGGCCCACUUAGUCUCACCUUAGGCCCGUUUAGGCACACUAGGCCUACGAAGACUUUUAUUUUAUUUUAUUUAUUUAUUUAUUUAUUUUGUUUUAGUUUUAAUUUUAUGAUUAUCAUUCACUUUUUAUUGGUUAUCUUCCUCUUUAUAUUAUUUUCCUUAACUUAUUUAUUUAUUUAUUAUUUUUACCAUUUUCUAAUUUAUUUACUUAUUUAUCUAUUCAUGCAAUUAUUUAACUUAAAAAAUUUCAUGUUUUUGCAAGGAAACUUACCAUUGGAGUUUAAGGAAGGCGGGACCCUCCUUGGAAGGUUUUGGAGGGGAAUUUGAAAUUGGGAAGAUUGCUUUUGAUUGGAAGAUUUAAAAAAAGAGAAGAGAAGAAGAAAGGAAAUAGGAGAAUUCUCCUUUUUGGAAACAAAUUUAGGUCUUGAGGAGUGAUAUAUAAAGAGAAAAAAGGAAAAGAAGAGAAAGAGGGGGCAGCACGCAUUGGAGGAGAUUGGUUUUAGAGAAGAAGAAGGAAGAUAGCAAAAAAAGAGAUUUUUUAAGAAAACUUUCAGCACGCAUUGAGAACGGAGGGGAAUUGGAAAAGAGAAGCAAUCUUUGCCUCUUUAAGAGAAGUUCUAAGGUAAGUUUUCGGAGGAUUCUUUUUAUUUUUAUUUUUCUGGCUUAUAUCCCUAAUCUAUGUUCUUCAUUCUCUCAUUUUAUGAUUUGGGACACUGUUUGCUUGGUGGGUUGAAGAUGUAAGAAACUUCAUGCGAACUUUAUUGAUUUCUGGUUCUUGUUUAUGCUUACUGAUAUGGUUUCAUUCCUCGCUAUUCUUUUUCUUUUUUUUUAUUAUUAUUUUCUAUCAUAUGAACUCAGUGAGACUCUGUUUUAUGGAAUAUUAUUUGAUGAUAUUGGUUGCCCUGUUUCUCUUUUACUCCUCCCACUAAUCCAAGCCCAUGGAUUAACAUUUGAAAUGGGGACAUGUUUAUUGGCAUCCUCUGCUUAUUCCUUCUCCGGUCUACUAUGUGUCUAUCCAUGUCCUCUGUUCCCCUUUCCAUACUGCAUUCCAGUCCUUGUCUGUAUAUUUGGGUGUGUAUCUGAGACCGAUAGAAGUACUGAUGUGAAAGAUAAGGUGUGUAGCACACGCAGUGUGCUCAGUGUAUUCCUGGUGGAGUGCGGAGAAUGAAGGGUAGUGAUGGAGAUUCAAAUCAUGUGAAUUUGGUUGAAUUACAGAAGAAGGCUACCACUUUGAAUUUUCUCUACGUGGCAUAUUGGGAUUAAAAGAGUUCCACGCAUAGUCCAUGAUGAAGACAGCCUGCAAGCAUAAAUGGGUAUCCCACGUGGCUAUGAGACUAAAUGAUAUUCCCAUACAAGUCUGCACCUUUGUGAGAGACGUGUCGCUAUUGAAGAAGCAGCCGCAUCCUUGAGACUGUCUGCGCACAAGGAGAAUCUCCAGGGGUGCUUACCUUAUGUACAGAUUUGCAUGGUGAUUAGCUACGCUCAGGUAGUCCUGAAAUGCUUGCAAAUCUGCAUGGUUCACCAAUUGAGUCCGGGAAUUCUGACAGAUCUUCAGGAAUGGAUGACGAGUCCAAUAACCGCGAGGUGAAUUCUAAUUUAGAAGUUCCUAAUGCAAAUGCUGGUCAUGCUAAUGCUCUGCAUGCCAGCGCUGAUGUUGAUAUGAAUGGUGCUAGUCUUGAAGAUCAAAUUGAGCCAACUGGCCCGGUUUCUAAAUAUGGCACGGGUGAGCCACAGUCAAGGCCAAACACUCUAGUUCCUUGCUAUUGAGAUCUACUAUUUAUCAAAAAGACCUAUCCCCAAAUCAGUCCAACAGAAGCCGAAUCAAUUGAAACAUGAAAGCAAUGAGGGUACAAUAUAAAGGGGCAGUUUUUGGCGAGCCGAAUCCGCACCCUUUCGUCCUUGUUGAUGUUGCAUAGAAACUUACGGUGAAUGAGAAAACCAGUCAGUCAAUUCUGGUUAGUGGUGAAAGUGGGAUGCUUAUGCGUUAUCUCGCCUACAUGGAAGGGAGAUCUGUAGCUAAGGGAAGGACUAUUGAGCAACAAAUUCUAGAGUCCAAUCUAGUUCUAGAAGCAUUCGGUGAUGCAAAGACUGUCAGAAACAAUAAUUCAAGUCGGUUUGGUAAGUUUGUGGAGAUUCAAUUUGAUCAGAGGAGAAGGAUUUCAAGAGCAACUAUCAGGACUUAUUUUCCGGAAAGAUCCUGUGUUUGUCAAGUGCCUAAUCCUGAGAAAUUAUCAUCGCUUCUACAUGCUUUGUGAUGCAUCAGCGGAGAAUGUUCAAAGGUCCAGAUUGGGAAAAGCAGGAAGUUUCCAUUAUCUGAAUCAAUCCAAUCGCUAUGAGCUGGAAGGUUGACAGCAACUAAAGACCUUUGCCAUCUCAUUUUUCCCUCACUAAAAUCUGAACCUAAGGCAUACAUGCAUGCUGUCACCAUGGCUCCCGGUCACUCACAUCUAGAAGAUAAGAACAUAAGGAAAAUUCUUGUGGUAAAUGAGCAAACAGACCUGUUUUUACACAGUUCGUUGAUGAUUCACAUGAAAGCAUUUGAUUCAAGACACCAUCUCGCGGAACUGAAAGCGAUGUUAAGGAGAGAACUGAAGGUUUGGUCUUCUGGUUUGUGCUUGGAGGGGAAUAGGAUUUCUGCUGGAGGUAGUGGGAGCCUUUCUGAUAAUUCUUCCAGAGAUUCUGUUGCAAAUGAAACCAGUGCAGCAUCUAGAACUGACAAACCAGCUUUGGAGCGAAGAGAUAAAAAGUACUCUUCAAAUAAUAAUGGUCCAGAAGUGGAGAUUAGUCGCUGUUGUGUAGUCCUUUAGUCUUCACUAAGACUAUUAGUUGGCAAAGUUCACCAGAUUUUGAGGCAAUUCAAGACUAAUUUACUUGAUAUGGAUGCUGCUCUCCCUGAGGAGGCUCCAAGGCCAUCAAGGCCUGACUUAGAAAAGAAAUUGGCAUGGCAUGCUUUUGAUUAAAUCUGCAGAGACAAUCUUUGAGAUGGUUAAAGCAACAAUCAUGCUCGAGGGCAUGAUUAAGAUUGAAUACUUGAUGAACGGAUGGUGGCAUUGGUCAUCACUCUCUGCUGUUGCCAAGACUUCUAUCGUUUCUUCCCUUGCCCUCUGCAUAUACUCUCUGGAUGCUGCCAUUGCGUAUGAGAAGAUCUCAUUUAAUUUGGAUGACUGGCAGUCCCUCGCUCAACCAGAAAUGACAGUAUCUCCCACUCAGCAGAUGCCACAUGCAGAACAGCCAAUUCCUCCAUAAGUUAACCAUCCUUCCUCAUCUUCAGCUAUUGCAUUAUCAAAUUUUCUCCAAAGUGCUAGUGCAAAUGAAUCAAAAGGAAGCUUAGUUAAAAGUCCUAACCUGCUUUUGUCCGAAUUAUCAGAGUUUUCAAAAGAAACAUUGCAGCAAAUACACGAAUCAAUUGGAUUCAGCUUAUAGUCUCAAUGCUGAUGGUGAAAAAUAGCUAUGCUGAUCCAGAAGAGUAUAGUGAUGAAGAUUACAGUAGUUUCCAGAGGCCAAAAGUAGUAAUUGAAGGAAAACCAGAGAAGACUCUCAAAGCCAAAAGAAUCAUGGGACUCUGAACAGUUUGAGGAUCUUUGAUCAGAUCAGUCCAGAAAUCAAUCCUAAUCAGAGGAUGCAUACUGAUAGAGAUCAGGGAAGGUAUCUGUUUACUAGGACACCGUCCAGACUUGAACUUACUGACAAGCACUCUAAAUUUGGCAUCCAUGUUUUCUACUAAAGAACAGCUACUGCCUCUUUGUGAGUGCUUCCCUGCGUCUGUUGCUUCAGAAAAAUCAAUGAGUGGCAGUGUGCAUUUGAAUUGGUUUGUGAAGCAAUGUAUACUGAGCUGCGAAUUGUUCAUCAAGAUAAGUAUGGCUGGGUCCUCCAUGCUGAAAGUGAGCGGCGAACCUAUCUCCAACGACUCGUACAUGAGCGAGGAAUACUUCCAAUGCACAAAACAAGUCUGAUUGAAGGUCCUGAAUAGCAGCUUUGUCCCAUUGAAAGUCCAUAUAGGACGUGCCAGAAGCUUGAAAGAUGCAAAUUAAAAAUCGAUACCAUCCAAAAUGUUCUAGAUGGACAGUGUGAAUCAGUGGAAAUAGAGCUGUCCGGAGAGAAAAAUGAGAUAGGUUUUUCGAAGCAUCUGAUACUGAUUCUGAGUCAUAUCUCCCUCUUUUAGACAGUGGUGUCAAACAGAUUGAUGACAAAUAUUUUGAUGAAUCAUUCUUUAAAGAAUCAGAUGAUAUUAAAGAUGUUGCUUCCGCAAGGAGUGGAUGGAAUGGUGACCGAGCUAGCAUCAUAAAUAAAGCAAGUCUUCACUCUGCUUUGAAUUUGGUGUCAAGUUUAGUGCAGCCACUGUCCUAAUGUCAGAGCAUUCAUGGGAUAUCUGACACAGGAUCUCCAAGGCAGUCUUCUUCUAAGAAAAAUUGAGGAGGGGAAAGAUAGUGAGGAUAAAGUGGAUAAGGAACCGCUUGAUAAUAGUGGAUACUUAACUAGACCGUACCUGGAACCUCUUGCAAAGAUGAAAUUCAGAUAUAAUUGCGAACAAGUAGUUGGCCUUGACAAACAUGAAGGAAUGCGAAGAUAAACUCUCUGUUAUUGAUUAAGCUUUGGGAGCAAUGAAGAAUAUUAAUUUGCGGGUGUGCCGUGGCAUGAGGGUUGCUGUUUGUGGUACUGUAAGCUCAGACAAGUCAAGCUUACUAUCCUGUAUGUUCUGAGAGGUGUCUAAGAUAUCUGGUAUCUUUAAACUGUGUGGAACAAAGGCCUAUGUUACUCAGUCUCCUUGGAUACAGAGUGGCAAGAUAGAAGAGAACAUCUUGUUGGUAAAGAGAUGGACAGAGAAAGACCAAAAUACGAUUGAUACAAACAUUGCAACAGCCAAUCAAGCCAUCCUUUGCCUCUUAAAACUAUGAUGAAUCCAUUAUGAGAUCGCCACCAUCCCCGAUAUAUUGAACCAUCACAAUCUUUUGAGUCUGAAUUCCCUACACUGCAUGUAUUAUCAAGAAACAACCCUUCAACAUCCUCACCGCUGUCAGCAUCUCAUGCAGAGCUAGAAGACAGCCCACAGCAGAACCCCCAACUUCUGUACAAAAGCAUCUAAAGAUAGCUCCAAUUCCAGGAGUUGAUGAUUUAAUUGAUCAAAUGGCUGUCACAACUGGUCUUCUUUUUUUUUAUUUUACCUUUUAAUGGAAGCCACUCAGCCUUCUGUUGUUGAUGCAAAUUCAGAGCGAGAAAUUGAAAUUGAAGUCUAGAGUGAGAUCCUUUUUUACGAAAAGGAAACAAACAUUGAUGAUAGUGAAUAAUGGUGUUCCCCUUAAUCAAGACUUCAUCAGUAACUUACCCUCUCUGAUCCUGUGCAUGGAACCAUGGAAUUCGUAUCCUCUGCAAUGAGCUUACAGCAUAUGUGCUGACACAAAGCAAAGGGAGAAUCAGAUUAUGAUGAGUACAGAUCAGCAUGGGGACGAGAAGGUCUGGGUUAACCAUCUUCAAAGAGCUUGUGUACCUUACCAAAUCUAAAUAGCAAAGGAGAAAUAAGAGAAUGGUGGAGUACGGUGUCUUCUAGGAGGUCACUCUCGAAAGUCCAGAAAUGUAGGAUCCAUCAGUAAGCUCUAAGUUACUGCCCCUUUGCCUUCACACACGCGAAGAAGUUGCUGAAUCCUAUUGACUGAGAGAUAGUUUCUGAUUCUGGGCAAUUUGAUAUGCCUAAAGAAUGGGAAGUUAUUCGGGAAACUGAACAUCUGAAGAUCAAUAAAGACAUAAGCAUUCAGUUAAUGUUUAGCAGGUUGACGACAGAAACAGAACCCUGAUGUUAAUAUAAGGGAAAUUGCUGAUACACAUUUCCAGAUCAGAUGAUAAGUAGAAAUUGCUUUUCUGCCAGCGUUUCCUCUUUUCUGCCAUGGCGAAGCACCUUUAGGAUGAUGACAAUGGUUCUACUUUCUCCAAUGUGGUGAAUCCAAAUGACUUCUUGUCAUUCUCUGAACCUGAAUUAGAAGAAAUAUUGGAAGAUAUCAGCUGGAGUGCACCAAUCUGGUUUGGGUUGUGAUGCCAGUAGCAUGAAAACAGGAACUUUAGGAAGAGAUGGUAGUGAAAUUUCUUUCUCCACAAUUGUAUGAGCGAAUCGAGUUUGCAGACAGCGACCACUGAUGUAAGAACGCAGAAUUCCAUUUCAGCAAUCUACAGAAACAUCUUCAGGCAACCCAAGUAAUUCAGUCUCAAAAGUAGCCUAGACACUAAUCCAGCUUGGCCACCUCACCACGCAUCAUACUCCUUCUAUUGUUUCUUUUUCUUCUUUUGUGAUUUUAUACAUCUUAAAUCUAGAUUUCAAAACCAUUCUACGUCAAAAUAACUCCAAUUUUCUUUAAACUUCUUUAGAAGCUCCUAGGUACAAAAUCCAGAUUUUAACAUGCAAUUUGCUGCCACUUUACUUCGGGUAUGCACUUUCACUGUUUUCUUUGAUUUUAACUAUUUUCGUGUUUUUCUUGAUUUUCCUAAGCAUGAACAAACUUCAUAAUUCCAAAUCAUGGAAUUUAUGGAAUCAACUCAUGCGAAAUUAAUUAGGGCUUUGGUGGGGGCCCGACAUUCAUGAUACCUUAUUCAAUAUUGUUUGCUUGAUAUGUUGAUUUUUGAUUCUUCUUGAUGAUAUACAUGAAUGUGUUUCGUAUUUAUUGUUGAGAUGCUCUUGAUCCCCAUAGAGGAGUACUAGCUUGCUAUUCAGGUACGCUCUCUUCUCAUCUAUUUUUUUUUAGAACUCUAUAGACUUGUAUGCCAUUGAUAACCAUAUCCAUAUUUGACGUGAUUCUUGGAUGACUUGAUAUAUGCCUGACUUGCUUGAAUAAAACAAAUGUUGUGUGCUACAUUCCUACACUAACUUUUAUGUUUUAUGAUAGCGCUUGAAGAGCGGUUCAGGUACGCACCCUAACUCUCCUUUAUUGUGAUUUGAUCUUGUUUAACAUGCAAUUUUUUGAAAUCACCUAGCCUACUUAGGUAUCCAUAAUUAACCGAUUAAUUGUCAUAUUCCCCUUAACUUAGUUAGUAGAGACCUUUAUAGGGCUUAGAGGGGUGCUGCCUUUCAAAGGUACCUUCCCAAUAGGUAACCUAAUCCCCGGACUUAGACUCGGGUUUUUCAAAGACGCUUUUUCCAAAAAUUAUGGAGUCAUUUUUUAGGGUUUUAUUUCUUGUUUUAUUUUCCCCUUUAAAAAAAAAUAAAAUAAGUGGCGACUCCAACUUUUUUUCCAAAAAUCAAUUUUUCACAAAAUAAUAAAAAGCGAGUCUCGCCGAUCGAGUGGGGACGCACGUGAAAAAUGCGGGUCCACAGAGGGCUCUUUGAGCCCAAAGUGGAUAGUAUAUAUUUACACAGUUGGAAGUGAGUCAUUACAAAUGGUAUCAAAGUGUAUCCCCAGUCAUGAUAUGAGAGUUUAUCUCAUCAUUGUAAUUAUGGGCAUUAAGGUGAAGCUUUCAUGUUUGCAUCAUAAGAUCAUGAUGUUAGGAUAGAUUCUUUAAAAGCAUGAUAUGAUGUAACCAUAAAUGGAAUUCAUUAAUACUUAUAUUAUGACUUUGAAUUUCUAUUCACUAUCCUAUUUAUGAAUUAUGUAUGUUAAGCCUUCAAACCUACAUCACUUGCAUGUACAUGACUUGAGUGAAUUAGGAGUUACAUGAAAAAUCUAAGUCAUAGAUUCCUUGCAAGUUAAUGACUCAUUCACAACUGGUUCAUGGACUUCAAUAAACCAUUUGAGGCUAUAGUGCACUACCUCCUAAUUGGAGGGAUAACUUGCCCUAGUCAUUAGGAUGGGUUUCCCAUGGUGAGUGUACGUACUAGUGUGUUUAGUUAUGUUGGGAAACCUAGAUCUCUCCAUUCCCAUAACCCUGGAUUGUAUAGGUGCAUGCAAAAUACCCUAGGCCUCUAAAUCCUAUGCAACAAAAGCAAAAAUCAAAAUUUUAACAUUCUAUAAUCUAGAGAAAAGUCACCAAAAACUUUGAGAAAAUUAAAGGUUAAUCUUAAUAGAGAAAACACCCAAGAGAGGAGGGAAGGGGGGGGGGGGGGGGGGGGGGUUUGAAUUGAGUUUUUAAAAAAUCAUUUUCAAACACCACAAAUUCAAGAAAAGGAAACACAAAUAUAAAGAGAUAAGGUUAAAAAGAGUAAAAUUAGAUUUUAUAGUGGUUCAGCACUUCCUUGCCUACAUCCACUCUCCUCAACCUCUUAACUGAGUGAAGGUUCCACUAUACUUGAAGCUUCAACUAAGCUUUUAAUCACCUUUACACUUGGAUUCUAGCUCCAAUGGACUAUUACAUAAUCCCUUCAAGUCUUAACUCACUUGAAGCUUUUAGCAUUCAAAAUAACAAGUUUGAAUCUCUCAACCUAGCUCAACAAGGGCUCAAAUACAACUUAAAUGUUAGGAAGAAUCACAAGGGGGCACUAAGGAAUAUGCAAAUGGAUAUUUAAUGCACUAAGGAAAGAAUGAGAGCUUUUGAGGCAAGAAUAAGUAGGCAGACAAAUAAAUGCAGGUGUUCUCUACCUCAUAAAUGAAGUGGAGUUCUCAAUUUGUAGGUUUCUAGCCUCAGGAGUCAAAAAUGCCGAAAAACGGCCUUGACCAGUCGAGUUGGGGUUACUAGCCAUUGGACAAUAAAUGCAUGAUAGGUGAUCGUUACACCUCGACUGGUCCUUGACCAAAUCUUGAUUAGAUCUCAACCGAGAAGGCAUAUCCCUUGAUCGGGAAUGCAAAGCUAUAAGAAGAGAGAGAAGAUUUUUGCAUUUCUGGACUAGACCUCGAUCAAGAAGGUGUAAUCAGUUAACCAGUGCCCUAGCCGGUUGAGCCAGUUGGCUAGUGCCUUGACCAGUUCACCAUUUUUUGCCUGAAAACCUUUUUUUUUUUUUUUUGUUCUUUUCUCUUCUAACACUUAAACAAGGUAUUUAGGUAAAUUAAUAUGCCAAUUUUGAAACAAUUUGCCUAAGGUUCAUAUGAUAAAACUCAUGUUUUGACGAAAAUGUAACUUUAAUGCCUAAACUGAGUUUUUAAAGUGCAUGAAAAGAUAUGAAAAUCCUAAGUGCACCAUGCAUUCAUCUUACAUAUGUUUCCUAUUAUUAAAGGGUCUUCCAAUUGUCUUGAUCUUGCAUCCAUUGGGUCCUUUGAUGAAUUUCCAAACUAAUACUUGAAAUUCUUUAUAAUUCAAACCAAGUAACAACUUAACCAUGGUUUGUUAUCAUCAAAACAUGAUUAGGAGAACCCUUGGGCUAACAAACUUUAGAUUUGAUUUAAAUGGUUCUUAAAUCAAUUUUGCUUAGUGAAGGUGAAUCCUAAAGAGUUCAGAUGUCUCACACACCAAAAAUCUUUUGCUUGAUGACUUGAUCCAUAAUCUUGGCACUCCAAAAUGUGGGCUUUGGAAUAGAGGAAUCCUAGGCUCUCUCUCUUUAGACAUAGAAGAUGAUUGUCUCUCAAAAAGUGAUUGGAACCCUAAGCUUUAAAGGGUAUUUAUAGCAUUUCCCUACUAGGCUUAAAUGACUUGAGCCCACUAAGGCUUGGGCCACUUAAUCUUAUCUAAAAUGGGUCUUAAUUGAUUAAUUAACCAUACAUGAUCAUCUAAUUAACCAAUUCAUGUCAAUGAGAUAAUAAAGAGAAAACAAAAAAUAUAAAUAAAUUUCUAUCUGUUACAUCAUGUCAUGCUUUUUAGGGCUCAAUCCUAAUAUGUUACACAUUAGAUAAGAUUUAUGGUGAGUCAGAGAUUGGUCAUUAGGUAGCCUUAACUUCACCAAGCUACUAUGUUGCAUAAGCUCUCAACCUUGAGAGAAUAUUGAUCUAGUGCUAAGGUCUUCAAAGGCUUUGACCCAUGAGUGAGACCCUAAAGUGGUCAUAUAUUCUCUAUAGAUAGGAUUACUAUGAUUGAGGCAUGUGAUAAUGGGUAUUCUCAAGAUAAGCACCAUGAUAUCUUAAGGGUUUGAGACAUUAUGUCCCCUUAGGUGAUCCUAAGGACAUGUGAUCGUGAAAAUUAUGGCCAUAAUGAUUCCUUAAGUGGAAUUUAACAUAUGCUCUUGGAGGGAUAUAGUAUGUCAAUUGAUCACAUAAUAGGAGGAUCUAAGACUCAAGGAUUGUAGAAGUAAUCUUGAGAGGUUGAUAACAUUCAUUUUGUUAAAUUAUGGAUACCAAUUCAUGAGGAGCUUGCAUGCAAUUGUUAGUAGGUCACAGACUGAAGUUUUCUAUCUCGAUUUAAUAUCAUAAAGAUACUAAAUUGUAGUUUACUCUCUAUAGUUAGAUUUUGAGUCAACUUUAAGAUUGGAUUUUAAGGGAGCCAGUACUUCCCUAUGGAUCCUAGUGGUUCCCACUCAAACUCAUAUUCCUUGGUCAAAAAAUAUUUGAGGAAUAGUUGGAUUAUUUAUUUAUAUGUGUGUAUAAGAGCAUUUUGGUAAAUAUGGAAGGUUGCACAAGUACAUAUAAAUAAUCUUUUAAAUUUAGAUAAUUAAUUAAUUGAAACUCAAUAGAGCAAAUUAGUUAAUUAGGACCCAAUGAGUCAGAUUAAGUAACCUAAACGUAAGAUGAGCUCAAGUCACUCGAGCUAAGAGGUAAGCCUAUAUAAACUCCUUAAAGGGUUUAAGGCUUAGUACUUGUCAGCCAUUCAAUCUUCUACCUUAAUAUCUAUCCCCACAAAGAGGAUUCUAACACCCUUAUGUGUUAGGAUACAAGAAAGAGAGUUAUCAGGCAAAAUAUCAUGAGGUAUUUGAGAUCUUAAUUGACCUCUUCACCAAUUAGAUUUAAUUCCUUGAGCACUUAAAUCUAAUAUUCAUUGUUCUGAAUUCUCCCAUGACAUAGUUCUAGCAUUUCUACGAAGAUAGUGUCAUGCACCUAAUGAUCUAGGGCUUGAAGUUAGGUAAUCUAGAUGUUCCAACACAUGAGAAGUAUAAAUUUUUUAAUAAUGCUCUCUUAUCCAUACUUGUGAAAUAUGGAAAGCUACAGUGAAAUAACAGAUAAAGUUUAUUAUCAAGAACUCUAUUUGAGAAUUAAUUGAACUAUUGUUAAGACAUAAGACCUUAAGGAAUAAGUAGGUUUUUAAGGUCAAACUUUAGGCAAAUGAUGCAAGUUGUUAAACUUAACUCAUGAAGAAAGGAUACAACCAGAAUAAGUGUGUAGAGUAUAAAAAUAAAAAUAAAUAAAAAAAAAUCUCAUGAGAAGUGAGGUUUGCCUCAACUCUCCUUAUUCAAACCAUUAUCACAUCUUUGGAUUUGAAAUUAUAUCAAAUAAACAUUCAAAUCAUUUUUCUCAAUAGAGAACUAAAUAAGAAGAUCUAUAUAGAUCAAUUGACUGGUUUUAUGGCAACUAAAUAGAAAGUCAAAGUUAACAACUACAAAGGUCCAUUUAUAGCCUACAAUAAUCAUCUCAACAAUGGUAUAUUACACUAAUGGGUUUAUGAUGGUCUAAGAACACUAUUGCAUGUUUGUUAAACGGUGUAAGGGUAGAUUUUUUAUCCUUUUUUUUUUUUUUUUGUAUACAAAUGAAAUGUUGGUUAGGGAUGAUAAUGAGAUGGUUACCUCUAAAGUGUGGUGGUCGUCAACUUUUAAAAUGAACAACAUGCUUAAAGCAAACUAUGUUUUCAAAGUUAUGAUCCUAAUCAAUCAAUCAAGGAGACUUUUUGGUUUGUUUUACAAAUCAUAAACAAUGAAUAUUCUUGAAAAAAUUCUAUAUGUAAAAUUGAAAAUCUAUUAGCAUACAUAUACAGAAAGAUAAGACCUUAAGCUUUAACAUGUGUCGUAAGACUUUAGAUGAAUAGGAAAAGAUCACUCAAGGUUCCUAUAUGCUAGCAUUGUUAGUAGCUUAAAGUAUCCAAUGAUGUGUACAUGAACUAAUAUUUGUUAUAUAAUUAGGUUUGUAGCUUCCAAUUAGAUCUAAACCUUGCUUACAAAAAAGCAAUGGAUUGGAUGCUUUUCUACCUCAAAGUCACCAUAGGCUAUAUAAUUUUCUAUUGAGGAUUGAAUUUGGACAUGAUUAGCUAUAACAGUGAUAAUUGGGGUAGCAUCCUAAAUGAAACUAAAUCCACAUAUGGUUAUAAUUUUAUAUGUGCUCUAUGAUGUUAGCAUAUAUUGGUGAAAUAGAAAACAAUCAUGUAUAACAUUGUCUACCAUGCGUGGAGUUGGGAGUACCUUACUUGUUGUUUAGGAAAGUGACUAGUUUAUGAUGUUCAUACAUAUUUUUCACAACAUUGCUUGUUCUUUUGAGCAUACUACUAUUUAUUGUGAUAGCAUGGAAACUUUAGCCUAUGUCAAAGACCCCCNNNNNNNNNNNNNNNNNNNNNNNNNNNNNNNNNNNNNNNNNNNNNNNNNNNNNNNNNNNNNNNNNNNNNNNNNNNNNNNNNNNNNNNNNNNNNNNNNNNNCCUUGCUUACGAAAAACCAAUGAACUGGAGGAUUUCAUACCUAAAAGCCCCCAUAGGCUAUAUAAUUUGCUAUUGGGGAUGAAAUUGGGACUGGAUUAGCUACAACAAUGAAAAUUGGGGUGGCAUCCAAAAGGAACCAAAACCCACAUAGGGUUAAAAUUUUAUAUAUGCUCUAGGAUGUUAGCAUAUAUGGGUGAAAAAGAAAAAAAUCAUGUAAAAUAUUGUCUCCCAUCCAGGGAGUGGGGAGUACAUUAGUUGUCGUCUAGGAAAGUGACUAGUUUAUGAUGUUCAUACAUAUUUUUCUCAAUAUUGCUGGUUCUUUGGAGCGUACUACUAUUUAUGGGGAUGGCAGGGAAACUUUAGCCUAUGCCAAAGCCCCCCCCCCCCCAAGUAUCAUAGUUGAACCAAACACAUCAAUCUUAAAUGUUAGUUUAUAUGAGACAUGGUUAAAAAUCCUACCCUCACCCCCCUUGUUGACUAAGCUAAUACGUAAAGAUGUUUAUUAGGGUCAAGUUGAGAGUAUUGGAUUAUGUAGAUCAUGAUUAUGUGGAAGUUAAGUUGAGAGCAUUGGAUCAUGUAGAUUAUGAUUACAUAUUGUGUAUUUCAAUUAACCAUUAUACCUAUGAUUUAUUCAUUGUCCAAUCUUGUUUGAUGGUGACAUUUAAUUAUUUGUUUUACUUUAUUGACAUACACUUUCAUUACUUUGCACAACUGAAACAUAAUGAGUCCAAAACCACUUAGAUAGUGUGUUAGGUCAUUGAUAUUUAUAAGACUCCUUUUUGUAUCCAAUAAAACUUGCAUGUUAGUAGCGACCAAGUAUAGAUAGUCUUAUAGUCCACAUUUGUAAUGGAGUCAAUUGCCAAAUCUUGUUAAUGUAGUGCUUGAUUAAGUAAGCAUGUGCAAAACUUGAGUUCUUUGCUCGAUGCAAUUAAACUAAGAUUUGUACAAUAUAGAAGAUCUAAGGUACACUCAUAAUGAAGAUCUCCAUGUUAGCAUAUAUUUUCAUACUAUAUCUUCUUGGCAAUCAAACAAGAAUGAAUGAAUAUAUUCCUAGCUACUCCCUCAUCAUGUGCAUUAAUCUUAUUGGUGAUUAUAUAGUAUAACUUUUAUGCCCUUGUGAUUUUCAGUCAUAAGUUACAAGUAUGGUGUAGUUUGAAAUAUUUUUCUAGGGGGAUUCACCAUGUUUAACUCAAUGUGAAUAAAAGUGUUUAAGAUAUAACGAGACACCUUCUAGGGAUGAAUUACACUGGUUAAGAUGAAGUUUAGUUUGAUACUCUUGCACCUUUCUUAUCAAUGUGUUCGACAGUUGCAUAAUCCAUUAGUCAAUAUGAACAUGGAUGACAAUGAUAUAGUUGAGAAAAAUGCAUGACGUUAUUUUGCCUACUAUGCAUGAGUGGGAGACAAUGGAGUUUCUAUUUCAUGAGAUACUCUUAGUAGGGCUUCAUUAGCUAAAAGCUUGAGAGUAAGUUGCAUACUUAUCAGUUAAGAUUCCUCAUGGGAGAAAAGUUUAGUUAAGAUUCCUCUCAUGGGAGGAGGUUCACAUUUAGAUUUUGUGAGAAUCUAUAAGAGUUUUUUGUCUUUUUCAAUUCCAAUUCUAGUCCUUUUGCAUGUUUUGAAUUUAGUUUGUGGCAGUUGUUAAAUACUUCUACUUUAAUUUUUAGCAAUUAUAAUUUUUUAAAGCUUACUAUUUAGGUUUAGAUUUAUUACAUGCUUAUUAGAUAUCUUAAUUCCUAUUGUAUUCUCCUUGGUUAAUAAUCUUCCAAUUUGAUUGUGGAGUUCAAAGAUUUUUACCAAAAUAAGGAUCAGGGUUUUCAAAGUUAGGAAAAGUAUUUAAUAAAAUUAAUUUUUGAAUAAGUUUGCAAGCUAAAUCUUUCGAUUGAACCUAAUAAGUUUACAUACUAAAUCUCUCAUUUUCAGCCUUGGUUGUUUCCACUCUUUGCAAUUUAAUUAGUUUUUUUAAAUAUAUAUAUAUAUAUAUAUAUAAUUCAUUUUGUGUACCUAUAUGCUCAAGUUUUUGAGUAAUUAUGAGUUGUAUUGUUAUAUUUUGUAGAAUUUGACAAACUAAAAAUGCUUACCUUUGAACAAUCGAGUACAAUAGCACAUUUGUGUGGAUAGUUCAUGGCUACCAACUUGAUUCUCCAUGCCUCCUCUAUUAGGUUGACUAACAAAAUGGUUCAAUUUCACAGGAACACCUUAAGAAUAAAAAUGUCAAGAAAAGAGAAGGAAAAUUAUGUUUCGUCUAAUUUGACUGCAAGACUUAAACAAAAAAACAUAAUAAUAUAAUAGUUAUUAUAAUGAAUAUAAUAAAAAGAAAAUUUUUCAUGUUCUUCCCAAUAAUCAUAAAACCCCUUUCAAUGAAACUUUGUAAGCUCUACUAAUACAAAAUAAUGGUCCAUAUAGUAAAAGCUCAAUAAAUGAAUGUUUGAUAAAUUAAUAAUCUUAUAAAACAAAAUCUUCUAGUCUUAACUUAGACCAAUGUACUAAAUUAGCAAUCUCGUUAAAUACACAAGAUAAAAAUAUUUUCAAAAAUCUUUAAGGGCUCAAGAAAUAUAAACUAAUAAUUGAUGAAGUAGAAACAAAAAUUCGUAGUAUAGAAAAUAGAACUUCAUAAUAUAAUAUUAAGUAAUUUUUUAUAACUUUUAUUUUUCUAAAUUCACUUCUUUUAGAAUUAUCACAUAUUUGAAAUAGCUUUAUCUUUUACAACAUUAAGUUUUGAUGCCACAUCUUUUUUUAGGAGUCUUUUUAUCUUUUACAAUCAAUAACUAUUUUUUUUUCUUCAGUCUCUUAGGUUUCUGUGUAUUAACUUUUUACCAUGUGUAUUAUUUUUAAAUUUAUAAGUUAUACAUGUACUAAUAAAUAUUCAUUUAUCUAUAAAUCAAUAACCUCGUUAAGAUCAUAACUUUUCUUAGUCCCAAGAGUAUUAUUUUAUAAGAGUUUUUCUCUAUAUAGUUCCUUCAUUGUAGGAAUUUCUUUAGGUUAAUAUUACUAAAGUUGUAAUUUUAAAAGAACAUAUAUAAUGGAAAUUAAGAGAAAUUCGAAAUCUAUAAAUUAAUGUUUUAUAUCAUUCUUUUUUCCUAUGAAUGCUAAAGCCAUUGUCAAAUAAAAAGAGUAAAUAAAAUAAUUAAUCAAGUAAUUAGUUGAAAGCGAAAUAGGUGACUUAAAACUAUUGCUUUGGUACAUGGUUGUUUGAGGUGAAUAUAGUAGAUCAUAAGAAAUAAAAUCCUCUAACUAUGUUUAUUUGAUAGAAUAAAAAGGUGAGUGUGUGGUUGCUCCAUAGGAGAAGACCACAUGUUAACCAAAGAAUAAGUAACUAGAAAGCUUACACAAGUGUUAAAUGAUCAAUUUCUUGCCCAAGCACAUUAAUGAGAACUAAAUGUUGAAGGCCCAUGCCUCCAUGUGGGGAGACCUUAAUUGCUACCUUAAAAGGAAAGUUUAAAAGUGGUCAUAUCCUCUAUGCCAGGUUAGUAUUCCAAAAACUAAGAAAGUUAACCUUUGAGUUGAUGCUUAUUUGUUAGGUAGUUUCCUCAUUCUUCUUAAUAAAUUGACCUUUGAAGGCUCUAUGACUAGAGUGCUCACUUUAGAUUCCUUAUUAUUGUAAGGUCCUAACCAUCCAUUGAAGUAAGAAAGUGAACUAAUACUUGGAAAAAUGGUGUCAUCUAUGGUGAAGAUACAAAAAUUCAGCUCACCAAAAAAUCAUAGUAAAGCUACUAAAAAACACCGCACCCCCAGACAAGGACCUUCAUUUGAGUACUCCUUGAGGUCUACCCAAAUCGAAGACUUGACAUUGAAGAAAUGAAGUCAACUAAACUUAGUUCCAUGCAUGAUAAGGUUGAAAGCCUGCAUAAAAACCUAUAGAAAGCUUGCCUCUUUAUAAGAAUAAGCUGAACCUAAAAAGGAAGAAGACCUAUAAAAGGUAAUCAUAAAUAACAAAGAAAAAGAAGUUCUUCCCUCAUUUGAAAAAUCUUUCUUUGAAUGCAGAAACUUAUAUUUUUUUUUUUAUUAUCAAGAAACCUUCCUUUGUAUCCAAAAAUUGGUGGAAUAAAAAUUUUCAAUCCUAUAUGAAGAGUUUUAGCUUCUUCAUAUGGGAAUGCAUUAAAAGCCUUGAAGACAUUGUUUAGAUCUAUAGCAAUGGUUAGGCAAUAAAAGACUAUACAAUAGAGUCUUGGUAGGAAAAGGUAAUCAUGAUAAAAAUGAAGUGGAGCAAUGAGUGAGAGCAAACCAUUCAAUAGAUGGAAGACCUCACUAAAAGAAGUGAUUGACACAUUCAAGAAAAUGUUGUCUUCAGGGUAAGGGUAAACAAAUACCAAUGUGAUUUUGACCAGGAACUCUCAUUGGCAAGCACCAAUAAGAUGCAAGUUAAUGAAUAAUAGUUAAUUAGACCAACAUAUAGAUUAAAUUGGGAGAGAAGGGUGAAGGAAACCUUAAUUAAACUAACCAAACAAACCACCUUGCCAGAGGUCCCAAUGCUCUAAGGGCUUCUUACCACUAGAGCUACCACAAAAUGCAUAAUCUUAGUGAAUAAGGCGAUUGAGCCUAAGUCCCUUUAGGAGGAGGAGGAGGCCACAUGAGGGUUUUUCCUCCUUAAUUUUAAUUUCUUUCAAUGAAACUAAAGGCACUCUAGACAACUCAUGCAUUUAUAUGCAUAUGAUGAUCUUAGAGAAGGGAAGCGAUCAACUUUUAUGCAAAAUCUUCUCCUUCAUCCUCCAAUGACUAACUUUGUAUUGUUUUUAUCAACUUACCUUAGAGUUUGUUCCUGAUAUUGAGACCCUAAGGGCGAUGUCUACCUCCUAGAUCAUGCACUUAACAAGACAAAAGAAAAGCCGAAAAUAACCCAAGGUAGUUAUAGCUACCAUCCAUGGUGGAUCAUCUACUAGAUUUGAGCAACUAGACAAGGUAUCAAGAUGUUACAGAAGCAUAUGGCAAUUGAAGUAAAAGUCCUCACAUCCUUGCAUGAAGCAACUACCACUUGCCCAUUUGUCAUAUGCUUCUCUAAUAAAGACUUAAGAGGAGUCCAAACCUUACUGAAGAUCCAUUGGUUAUUACUUUAAGAAUUAUUGAAUACAACAUGCACCUAUUCUUAGUUGACCUAACAAGUUUAGUUAACUUGCUAAAUAUAUAAGCCCAUAUAUGAACAAAUGAAUAUGGACAAAGGAAAACUAGUGUCAAGUCUUGGGUCAUUAAUGGGACUAGACAAAGUCCUAUGUGGCUCAAUUGGGGAAGCUGCUCUAAUGGUUCCAAUUGGUUGUUGCCAUAUAAUGACACAAUUCUUUAUUAUGGAUAUCCUUUUCCCGACAAUGCCAUUAUGGGAUGACCAUGGAUAUACAACCUAAGAGGAACACUAUUCACAUACCAUCACACCAUUAAAUUCCUAACACUAUAAGGAAUAUGGGAAAUAUAUCGGGACUAGGUGGCAGCAUGAGUAUGCUACACCAUACCCCUUAAAGCGGUCAACAAGUGCAUCAAUUGGGACCUUUAGGAAGUUUAUAAAUCAAAAAUCAACUACAAAUUAGUAGGUGGCCCGAGAAAACAAUUAGAGAACCUAGGGAUUCAUUAUUCUAGAGCCCCUAAACCUAGGAGGUUCCUUCUAGUCCAUGUAAAAAAAAUGAUUUAAGAUGGCUACUAGAAAGAAAAACACAUCUUUUCUAGGAAACUAUAGGACAUUGUGGGCAUUGAUCCCCAAGUUACAUGUCAUCGACUCAACAUAAACCCUCGUGGUUAGCUCCUUAAAAACAUUAGGUUGUGAAAGAAAAGGUAUCUAGGCUCUUAGAUGCUAUAUUUGGUCAUUUAGGUCUUUUAACAACAAAUAGAAGUCAGUAUGCUAGUUUACAUUAAUAACAUGUUAGUAACAAGUAAGAAGAGGAAUGAGUACUUGAUUGACCUCCUAAGAACAUUUCAAACUCUUAGAAAGUACUAAAUGAAGCUAAAUCAGUGAAGUGCACCUUUAAUGUAGGGUAUGGAAAGUUCCUUAGGUACUUGGUUACAUACAAAGGAAUUGAAGCUAACCCAGACCAAAUAAAAUCAACUUUGGAGAUACCAAUGACCAAAAGGGCUAGAGAAGUCCAAAAGCUCACUAACAAGAUUGGUUCUUGAAAUAGAUUUAAAUAUUGGACAAAAAAUAUAUGCCAUCCUUUCUUCGACAUUAGCAAGAAGGGAAAAUGGACUAAAGGAACCAAAAAAUGCAACUAAGCCUAUGAAUCACUAAAGCAUUACAUGAUGCUAACCCUCAUUCUGGAUAAACCUUAGGAUAAGGAGGUCUUACAAGGUCUCAUUAGUAGUAGUAAGUAGAGUGUUAUCUCAAAAAAAAAAGGAGCAACCAAUGUACUAUGUCUAAAAGGCUCUCUUAGAUGUGGAAACCUAAGAUAUAUAUAAAUAGUGAAAAACAGGUGCUUGCCCUUUAGAUCGCCACAUUGAAACUUCAAUGUUACUUCCAAGCGCAUGUUAUUAAGGUAAGGACUAAGUGAUGAGAACUCAACCUUAAUACUUUAAUGGCUUUAAAGAGCCCACUUUAGUGUGUUUGAGGUACUAAAAAAUUAGCCCAAGGUUCUGUUUUUUUUAUAAUACCUUAAAAAAUUAUGUUUGAUGCAUUCUAUGACCAUUCUACAUGCUUUAAGAUGUAUUUUUUUUUUUGUUAGGAUAGAGUCCUUAAAAGCAUGAUAUGAUGUAAUAAAUUUGGAAUUCAUUAUUUAUUUAAUAAUGUUCUAGUUUCACUUUUAUCUAUCCUUAUUCCAUGUAUUGUACUUUAUGAGCAUUCUUGUCUACAUCUUUUGCAUUGUACAUAACUUAGGUGCAUUAGGAGUUGCACAGAAGAUCUAAGCCACGGGUUUCUUGAAAAUAGAUUACUUGUUCACAGUUGGUUCAUGGGCCUAGGCAAACCAUUAGAGGUUGCAAUACGCCACCUUCUAAUUGGAGGGAUGGUUGGUCUUGGCUAUUGGGAUGAGUUUUCCAUGGUAAGUGCACUAGUGUGUAUGGUUGCACAUUGAACGAGACCUAUGGUGAUUUAUGACUUAAGCCUAUCAAGUAGUCAUGACUCCACUGAGCUGCUUCAUUGUAUUAUCUCUCAACCUUGAGAGAAUAUUGAGUUUGUGCUGAAUUUAAUAGUGGCUUUGACUUACAAGUGAGGUCGUAAACUGAUCAUAUAUUGCCUAUGGAUUGGGUCACUAUUGAUGGAAGCCGAUUGCAAUAGGUAUUCUUAAUAAAAGCACCAUGAUAUCUCUUGGGAUUGAAACAGUGUGUCCCCUGGGUGAUCUUAAGGAGGUGUGUUCAUGGAAACUUUGGCUAUAGUAGUUCAUUAAGUGGAAUUUGACAUAGACUCUUUGAGAGCUAAGAUAUGUUAAUUGAACACACAAUAGGAAGAUCUGUAACUCAAGGAUGGUUGAGGUAGUCUUGAAAGGCUGAUAGCUUUCACCUUGUUAGACUACAGACACCAAUUCAUAGGGAGACUAAACACAAUGGACAGUAGGUCAUGGACCCGAGCACUUAGUGUCUUUGUUGUUAUUUACAUAAGAUACCGGAGUUCAGUUGAUUCUCUAUAGUGGGAUGUGGAAUCAACUUUAAAAUAGGACUAUGAGGGAGCCAGUAUUCCUAUAGGUCCUAGUGGUCCCCAUUAUGAGCUCAUAUACCUUGUUACAUGGGUAAUGAGGGUUGGAUUGACUCUAGGUUCACUUUUGUGCAAUAGGGCGUUUUGGUAAUUAUGCAAGGUUGUAUAGGAUUAAGUGAUCAAGGUCUCUGGAUUGGGCUAAUCGAUUAAUUAGUAGGCCUUAUUAGGUUAAUUAAUCAAUUAGAACUCAUUUUAGGUUAGAUUAAGUGACCCAAACCCAUGUGGGCUCAAGUCACUUAAGCUCACUUAGAAACCCUAUCAAUACCCCCUAGGGGUUAGGGUUUCCAUAACUUUUGUCUUCCAUCAUCCAGAAAGAUAGAGACCCAUAGCCUCCACCAUCUUUUCCUCCUUAUCAAAAGUGUGCCAAGAUCAAGGUCCAAGUCAUUGGGCAGAAGACUUUGGGUUUUUGAGACUUCUAUGAUUUCAAUUUUCAUCUUCACCAUGUGGAUUGGAUUCGAGAACACUUGAAUCUAAUGUAUGGUUUUUGGUAGCAUUUUCUGAAUCCUUUUAAAGUAUAAAAAUGCUAUUUUUCCGUUGUGCAUAGGAUUUAGAAAAAGCCUAUGAUAGUUAUGCAUGUUCCUAACUUGAUCCAGACUUGGGAAACAGAGAGAGAUUUGGGUUUUUCCCAUCAUUUUUGGUGCAAUAGAACCUUGUUAGGAACUCAUAGAGACAAAAAUGCCCAAGUAAGGAGGAAACACAGAUUGCACACCUAAAAGGUGUGCAAGACUUAAUCAUGCACUUAUUUCUUAGUGUAAAGCCACAUAGUGCACCUCCCAUGUAUACCUUAAAGACCAAACACACAAGAUCUCUCUAAUGCAUUGGACCAAAUUUCACACCCUAUUCAAGCAACCCAAUCUGCAAACCUCUUAAAUGCUUUAAGCCAAGAUGUUGUGCACCCCCUCACUUAAGUCAAUAGGAUGUGUAGUAGUGUAACCCUUUGAUGUCAUCUAAAUUACAAACCAUUCUUACCUCUAUAAUAGCUAAGUACUUAAUAAUUCUUCUAAUGAUUGGCUCACACACCAAAGUAGUAUGUUGUUCAUACCUCAAAGUCUUCAAUUAUACUACCAAAAUGUACCUAAGCUGAAUUACAUAGAGAAAAAAGGUGCAACUACCGACCAUAAGCUAACACAUCAAGAAUGAUGGUGGGUUGAUUGCAAUGACAAAGGACUUGACCCUUAGUAUAAGAAGAGACAAGUCCCGAGGAGGGGGUAACGUUUUUUGCCUAUAAAUGGAGGAUUGUGAAUAUACAAGUGGAAGCAAAUUAUAGAAAGUGAAAUUGUAGAUAAGUUUUUUCUUCUUGUAGGAACAGAAGUAGGAAUAAGAGUAACUUAAUGUAAUUUUAGUUUUUAAUUUUCCACUGUAAUCUUUUCUUUUCAUUAUAAAUGUUCCCUAAUUUCUAGUUUAAUGAAUUUUCUAGUCUUUUUAAUUAAUAUUACAUUUCAGUUUUUCAAUUUCAACUUACAAAUUUCCAUUUUUAGUUCUUUACUUAAUUUUUAACAUGCUUAGAUAACCUUUAACACUCUAAGGGGUGAGAGGAGCUCAAGUCUCCCAUAUCUUAGUUUAGCUCUCUAUUGGUUUAUCUGUGCAUUAGUUACAAGCAAUAUGAUCUCUAUUAGUAGUUAUAAUGACCAAAAGAAGAAACCAUGGAGAGAAAGUCUAUGUUGCAUUGGUUGUGAGCGUUGUAAGUCAAGCAACCUUGGAAGCAUACUUAGGCAUUGUUUUAAUGAUUCUUUCAACUAAGUACAGGCCUAUUGACAUGAAAAGAAUUUAUCUAAAUCAUUUGGUUAUAAGGAUAUUAAAAAAAGAAAAGAAAAAAGCAAUUAGAGGGAGAUGAACCUUAUUAAGGUGGUUCUUGUUCAUUUGAAGUAGGAAACCUUUUUGGUAUAAAUCCUUGCUUUGACCCUAAAUCGGAAAGCAUAAGUUCAAAGCCUUGUUGGUGAGUUACAUCUAAAAGUGGUGAUCCUAGUGAAUCUUUAGCUUUGAGGUUUUCCUUCCUUUAAUUUUCUAUCUUUUAAACUUUGUGUGUAUGUCUUUUUUAUUUAUAAAAUCAUUUUUCUAAUCUUUUAGCUAACAUUCACACCUCUAAAGCUAUUACCUUUGUUGCUACCAAUUUAAAGUUCCUCGUGGAGGCAACCUAACAAUUAUAAAACUAUUAUUUUUAUUUUUUAUUUUUGGUUAAGGAGUUCAAAGUUUCAAUGAAUGAUCUAGUUUAAUUUCUCUUUGUAAAACUUAACAGUUAAAUAAAUUUCCUAGUUUUGAUAAAAGAAAUGAAUUAGAGAAUGACAAACCAAAAAUUAGUGUCAUCACUAGGGAACUUUCAAUAUUGAUGACUCUAAAGGUAUUUUUGUGUUAUGCUUGUUGUUUUAGAAGCUUAACAAGUAUGUUUCACCCAUUCCCCACCUAUCUUUUAGUUGGAUUUUUUUUCUUUUUUUACAUAAUUUGUUUUCUUUGGAUUUUCUUUUUCUGCUCAGUUUUCAUUUUCAGUUGUUAAAUCCAACAUUUCAAGCAUUUUCUUUAAAGUGAUAUGAUGUAUUAGGGAAAUGAUUUUAAAGGAAGGGAACUAAGAGUGCAUUUGGGAGUGAUUCUACAAAGCAUUUCUAACAUUUCUAACACUUGAGUGAUAAAAAAUUUCAAGUAUUAUGAAUAUUAAAAGUGUUUCCUAGAAUCACUAUCAAAUAGGUUCUAAGUAAUCAAUUAGAAGAAACAAUUUUAGAGGAAGGACACUAAGUAAUCAACCAACCCCUAGUUAUCCUUUUGCUCAACACACCAGACCAUCACUGUCUCGUAUCUAUUUUCCAAAUUCAACUAUUGGUGGUACUAAUAGAAGUGUGAUGAAUGAGGGUUUUAACCCCCAAUAACUAGCCACCUAAGACCAUGAGGGAUAACCUACAGCCUAGUUCGGUCAAUGCUCCUUCUUGCUUGAUAUUUCUUUUUUUACGCUUUUCAAAUAAACAUUGAGCUUGAAAUGAUCCAAUUGCUAUCUCUAUUUUAUGGAAGGGAGGAUGAAAAUCCUUUUUCUUAUUUAAAAGAAUUUGAAGAGGUAUGGUCUAUUUUGGCAGAACCUACGUGAAAUCUGGAUCAUUCGAAACUCAAGGUUUUCUUUUUUCAUCAAAGAAAGAGGAUAAGCAUUGGUGAUAUAGCAUGAGACUUUAUAGAAUAAGUUCUAAGGAUAGUUUAUAAAAUAUUUUUUUCACAAAUUUAUUUUGGUAUAUAAAAUUGUUUCCUUUGAAAGGCAAAUUAAAAUUUUUUGUUUUAUAGAGAAUGAAACUUUUCAUCAUUGUUAUGAUAAAUUUAACUUCCUUACCAUAGUUUUGAAACCUCAAGGAUUGCUUCUUCUUUUUAAAGGGGACCAUCCCCCUAAAUGAAAUAAUUUGUCGAAAACAUGACUGGUGGGUACUUUAUACAGGAGAAACCAAAAGAAGCACUUAAGCAUUUAAAAUUGCUUGCUGAAAAAUCAAGGGUUUGGGACCCCUUAGUCCUCAAGUGCAUCUUCUAGAACGUGAAAGCCAACCCCAACAACAUAUAAUCUCUCAUCUCAUCUCUCAAUUUAUCAUUUCCCCUUAGAACAAGAGUUUUGACGAAGAUGAUUUUUGGAUGCUGUAAGAGGACGAAGCCACUGAAGUUAAGGAAAAGGAAACUGUGUACAUAGCAGUUGAAAGAAUUUGUUGAAAAAGAAUCAGUUGAAGAAGAGAACUUCCAACAGGUUGCAAAUAAGGUUAUAAGCUGCAUUUUUUCUUCUUUCCCAAAAAAAUAAAAAUAAAACAAAAAUAAAACAAAGAUAGAAAAAGAAACCCGUAAAGAGCAAGAAACAGAGGAGGAAUGGAGCAAUGUAUUGCAUGAUCACACCAACUUUAUUUGUCUCUCAAUUCCCUUCUCUUUACAACCCGAAGAGCCAUUGGCUAGCUAGAAGCUAGCCAAAAACUUGUAAAUAGCUUUCAUUUUUUAUUUUCUUUAUUAUUUUUGUUUCUAUUGCUUUGGCCAAUUUAGUGUGUAGGAGCACCAUCAUUGUGAAGCCUAUAAUAUUAUGUUCUCAGUCCACUCAACGCAUUUGGGUAACCUUUAUCUUCUCAUAAGAACUCAAGUAUAAAUUUCUCUAUACUCUAUUGGUUUUAUCAUGCUUCAGAGUAGGUGUAAAUUGUUAGCACCAGGAAGGUGCACUAAGUGUAGGACAUAUAGCAAUCAUUUCCCAUGGGAUGCCUACUUAUUCUUUUGUAUCAUUGUGCAAGCACGCCAUCCAUAAUAAAAAUCUUUAUUCUCUUAUGUAAACUUUUUGGAAGAAAAAUGUCUUCCCAAAUAAAACCAUUAUUGCUUAGAGACUUUUGUCCACCCCACCAUCGUAUCAAUUGAGGUGUGGGUAGGUAACCGAGAAGUCUUCUAAGUUUUAUAUAAAAGAAGUAAUUUUCACUACUUUUGCAUGCACUCAAACAAGAACACACACAAUAACGCAACAUGAAAACUCUAAAGAAUGGUAAAACCAAAACACUGAUCCUAAAUAAGAUAAGGAAGUGAGAUAAAAAUGAACAACCGAGCCAAUUUGUUGAAGUCAAGGUAACUAAAGUAGUCACUGCAAUACAGAUAUUCCUAUUCAAUACAUAGAGACAAGCUUAUAUGGCCUUGUAGGCGUCUCUCACCUUCCUAUUCAAUACAGAUAAAUUAAUCUGUACAAAUUGGAAAUGGAUAUCACCAUUAUCGAAAAACUAAAAAGACAAUAGAUUAUGAAAUGAAAAGGGGAAUCCACGUGGGUGGGUGGGUGGGUGAGAAUGAGAUGCCUGCUUUUCUAUGUGGCCAGAAGAAUCGAAUGAACAGGCUUGUUUAUUACAUCAUGGAAGUGGGAGAAAAAAUAUUCAUUUAUGAUGAUGGUUGUGUUUGCCAACUUCUUUAGGAAAGCCACCACUACUGCUUCCUCAGAGACAUUACAAGUCAACGAAGAUGAGGUUGCAGUGGCAGUGGGGAAAACCAGUGAAAGUCCCACUCAACUAACUCGCACAAUGGACCAAGAAGAGUGUUCCAUUACCACAUAUAUCAGUAGACAACUCCAAUUUUUUUUCUUUUGAUAUUAAUAGCCAAUCAAGCCACCAAUAUGCGACAUUGGUUUUGCUCAACUACAAUGUUCUUGGGCUUAUAACUCACCAAGUGGGGAAAAUUUGUUGAAGUCAAGGUGACUAAAGUAGUCACUGCAAUAGCCACAAUACUAAAAUAAUACAACAAAGCAUUCAGUGGAAUGAGCAUUUGGACAGAAAGGGAUCACAUUAAAUUUAAAAGCAUUGACCACAUCUUCAAUUAUUAUUACUUUAUCUUUGGGAUGAUAUCACCAUAUAAAGAGCAUUUGAAGCUAACAAUGGACGAUAUCAGCAACUUUUCUGGGGAAAAUGGAGAUUUUUUUUUUUUUUUUUUAAAUUCCUCAUGUAUUUUUCUUACAUUUUUAUAUUAUCCAAAGACAGAAAAUUAAUUAGUCCUUUCAAGUUUUUUUUUUCUUUUUUAUUUAUUGGACAGAGCUAAACAGGAUUAACAUAAAAGAAAAUAACUUGACUUAUAAACAAAAGCAAGGGAGAUGCAAUGGCAAACACAAAGCAAUUUAGAAGGGGCAAGCGAGUAAAGAAACUAACAGUGAUAUAUCAUGAGUUGCCAUAAUUUGAAGCAACUUCCACUUCGGAAAGCCCAAGGCCUUUUAGCCAAUACAGUCAAAAGGGAAAAAUCCUCAUCAGAAUCAUUUGCAUCAUCGUGGCGGGCGGAAUCGAAAUGGCAUGUGGCAAGGUCAGGAUAACGUUUAACCAGAUACAGUGCUACAUCUGCAUAUUAUAAAAUUGUACAUGGGAAGACGACAGUAAUUCAUAUCAAGAAAGUAGAUAGGGGAUAGUAAAUAUAGCUUACCAUGAAACCCCACCAUUAGAGCUCUGCGCAAAAGUUCGAAUCCAGGCUUGUCUGCGAAAGGACUUGGAUCUACAUCAUCUCUGGUGACGGUUAAUAAAUAUAAAGUCAGCUCUUUAUGAGCACACCUAAGAGCGCUGUGAAGAGGCACUAAAAGUUGUAGUUGGCAGAUAUUGGGCAAGCUUGGGUUUUUGUUCACUAACAACUUGACUGCUUUUAUAUUGCCAGCACUUACAGCGUUGAAAAGGGCAGUGGCGCCAUCAGAAUCCUGCAGAGCCAGUUUAUCACUUGGCAUAAACUCAACCAACUUCUUCACGAAACCCAUUCUGGCCUCUCCUAACCCAACUGCUAUGUGAAGCACUGGGGAAUCAUCUGUUCCGAUCGGGGCGGACAAUGAUUGUGGAUCAUCCUCCAAUAUUUUUGAAGCACUUUCCCAGUCACCAUUGAGCACAGCUUGGUACAGUUCCAAGUAAUAGAUUAAACCUGCUUCAUAGAAUUCUGCAGUCACAAAGCCAAAAGAUGUAUAGGUCAGCCUAGAUUUCCCUGAUAUGUAUAUUUCUUCAACGUUCACAACAUCCUAAUACUAAAAUUAUUUUUUUAAAAAUAAAUCAUUUAAGUUAUAUUUGGUUCUUAGAAAAUUUGACAAAAAUUACAAGGAAAAGAAAGUAAAUUGAAAAAAUUGAAGGUAAGAAAAAGUGAAAUAAAAUACAUCUAAAAUCAAUAAAUUAAUUAUUUUUAUAUGCUACUCAUUUCACUUAUUUUAACUAUUCAAUAUAAAAAUUAAAUAAUUUAAAAUUUCAUAAAUUUAUAACUAAUUUAAUUAUAUUUGAUUUUCUUAAAUAUUUUUGUGGAUACAACCAAAUAUGAUAAAAUCAUUUUCCUUAAUAUCGUUUCUUUGCUAAUUAUUUUCUUGGACUUCUUUGUUUACCUCUAAUCAACAUCUUUAUAUCUUUCAAUAAUAGUUUGAACCUCCAAUAAACUAAUUUCAAUAAAAUUUAAUUUAGUUUCAUUUGUUUUUUUAACAGCAGGUUGUAAAACACUUCUACUUGUAUGCUAAUUAUGCCCAAAAGUUGCAGAAGGACCUCAAGCGGAAAUGGACAUGAACAUAGUUUUUAGCAUCUUACCGGAGCUGCUAAUCCUUUGCAAAGAUGAAGGGGAAGAGACUGGAGCAUAUUCAUCAGCAUUCUGCGCCAUAUUGAUGCUACUACGGUUAGGAUUGUUUGGGCUGUCAUCAAUUACCGAGAUGGUAAUGAAGAGGAAGCCACUGCAGUAAACUCCUCAUCAUGCUCAGCAAUGUCGAUGUUACUGUUUUUAGGACUGUUUGCGCUGUUGUCAUUUCUAGGACGUAGUGGAGAAGAAGAAGCCAUUACAACAAAUUCCUUAUCGUUCUAUAGUAUUGCCAUGUUUAGCGAAGUUAUUCUAAUGUGUAACAGAAAACCUAAACAAAAUCUGCAGUUGACAAAGGUCAAAAUUAACUUACCUCGCAGAUGGAAGAUUAUAUUUAACUAUAUCAAGGCAGAGAAGAUACUCUCAUCCAAAGAGAAACAACAGCAGCCCUUUUUCCCACUGUCUUCAAAAGAUACAGGAACCAUUGAAGCAUAAGAGGUGCAAUGAUAAAGUCUUCCAAGUCAACUUUAUUUAGUUGAGUAUUGGGUAAGGAGUAGAUAGCGUUGAAAAGUUUUGAUAAUUUUUGUUGCGGAGAAAACGAUGUUUUAUAUCCCUUUAUUUCUAUCAGAUAUUACAAUUUUUAUCACUUGUUUAUAAAAUAAAAGAUAACGAAAUAUUUAACAUUCUUCAAUAGUAAAAACAUGUAUCGAAUAUAAAAAAAUUCUCACAAGUGCUGCAAUUAACAUUUUUUUUCUUCAAUAAUAUGUAUAAUAUAUACGAUAUGAUGUAUUAUUUCUACUUUAAGUUUUGUUUGGAUUUAUUUUUUAUUUUUUAUAUAUAAAAAUAAAUUAUAUUUUAAAAUUUAUAUGUGAUAUAAAAAAGUUAUUAUUUUUAAGUAUUUGAUAUAAUACAUUUAUAUAUUUAUUAAAUUAUGACAAUAAAUGAAAAUAAAGUGGAGAGGACGAUGUAGGUUGGCAAUCCUUUCUGAAGUGAAUGCAGUGCAACAAAAGAGAAGGUACCAUUAACUUGAAUGCGAGAAGGGUGAUUGAUCGAUCAAUCUGUACGUGUCCUUCUUGAAAGGGACCAGAUUCUAUGGGGUAGGUUAAGGAUUAAUGUGGGUGCCUGUAGCAUGAAAGCGGAAGGAAUUAAUCCUGUGCACCACACAUUGCUAUGAUCGUUUGCAAUAACCAAUUAUAUAAAAUCUAUUGAAAUAUUUUAUAUAAUUAACUUUUUGGAAUUUUUUUAUCAAGUUGUAAAAUAAAGAAAAUUUAGGAAAAAAUAUUUUUGUAAAAUGAUAAAAUUUUACAAAAAUGAUUAAUGUGGGUGCCUAUAGCAUGAAAGUGAAAGGAAUUUUGGGUCACCAAGGCGCCUCCCAUAAAAAUAUAUCUUUUAGGUCCUUUUAAAACCUAUAUUUAGUAUCCUCUUUCCCAUCACGUGAGUGUCCUGUCAUCCUCCCAUAAAAAUAAAAUUUUAAUUAAUAAUUAAAAUUUUAAUUUUAAAAUAAAAUUAUAAUUAUUAAUUAAGAUUUCGAUUAAAAAAUAAAGCACUAAUCGAUAAUUAAAACUUUAUUUUUAGCUAAAAUUUUAAUUGAUAAAUAAAAUUUUGGGUUAAUAGUUGUUCGUAAAAAAGAUUUAUAUUAUUUCUACGGGCAAGUUGAACAUAGACUUAAAUUUCACUUAGAAUGAUAAACAUUCAUGGAGCCAAAAUGUAAAUCCGCACUCUUGGACAUAAUAUUAUUGAGCCAUUGGUUACCGAAAAUUACUCUAAGCUAUCAUACCCACCUUUUAGGCCAAUAAAAUUAAGAACCAUGGCAAGGAAAUUUGAAAAAAAAAAAAAACAAUUCUCCAGGUUUAGCAUGGUUGCCGAGGGAAUUAAUCUUUUGCACCACACAUUGCUAUGAUCGUUUGCAAUAACCAAUUAUAUAAAAUCUGUUGAAAUAUUUUAUAUAAUUAACUUUUUGGAAUUUUUUUUAUCAAGUAGUAAAAUAAAGAAAAUUUAGGAAAAAUAUUUUUGUAAAAAGAUAAAAUUUUACAAAAAUGAUAAAUUUUUGUAAAAUAUAGAAAAGGAUACAAGGCUAUUAAUUCAUAAUUGUAUGAUAACCUUUUAGUAUUUCAAUCUUUGAAUGUUUUUGGAGAUUAUUUCCAUAAAUUCCACAUUCCAAAAACAAUGAUAACCUUUACACAAUAUUAUUGUUAUUUAAAGUGGGAAAAAAAUUAUAAAAAAAAAUUUCAAAAAAAUUAGAGAUUACAAAGAAUACAAGGAUACGAAGAAUGUGAGGAUUAUCAUAUUUUUUGUACCCUCCUCACAUUCUUCAUGCCCCAAACCAUUUGAAUAUUUUAAUCUUUUAAUUUUUCCAAACAUUAUUUACUUCAAUUGCAAGUGUAAUUAGCGUUUUUACACAAUACAUUGUCAAAUGAAGUAAAAAAGAAAUUCAAAAUUUAAAUUUUCAAAAAAUUUACAGGGUACAAAAAUGUGAAGAGGCUACGAAGAAUGUGAAGAGCCUCACAUUUCUCGUACCAUCCUCACAUUCUUCGUACCUAUUGUAAUUUUUAAAUUUUUUAAUCUUUCAAUUUUUUCAAACAUUAUUUGCAUCAAUUUCAAGUGUAAUUAAUAUUUUUACCCAAUAUUAUCAUCAAGUGAUGUGAAGAAAAACUUAAAAUUAAAAAAUUUUAGAGGGUACAAAAAAUAUGAGAGAGGAGGGUGUGAGAAAUGUAAAAAGGAUAUGAGAAAUGUGAGGGUACAAGAAAUGAAAAAAAAGAAAGAAAAAAAAAAUCUCAUACCCUUCUCACUUUCUUCGUACCUCUACAAAUUUUUUAAUAUUUUAAUCUUUUAAAUUUUUUGAACAUUAUUUGCUUCAAUUUCAAGUGUAAUUAGUCUUUUUACAAUAUAUUAUUGUCAAGUCAAUUAAAAAAAAUUAAAACAAUUUAGAGGGUACAACAAAUGUGAGGAGGGUGUGAGAAAUGUGAAUAGGGUAUGAGAAAUAUAAGGGUACAAGAAAUGAAAAAAAAUAAUUUCUCAUACCCUCUUCACAUUUCUUGUACUCUCCUCACAUUCUUUGUAUUUUCACCAAUUUUUUAAUAUUUUAAAUUUUUUUCAAAUAUUAUUUGCUUCAAUUUCAACAAAAUUCUCAUAUUUUUUGUACCCCACCAAUUUUGUAAUAUUUUAAUAUUUUUAACAUUAUUUGUUUCAAUUUCAAGUGUAUUUAGUCUUUUUACAUGCACAAUAUUAUUGUCGAGUGAUAUGAAAAAGAAAAACAUAAAAUUAAAAUUUUCAAAAAAAUUAAAGGGUACAAAAAAUGUGAGAAGGGUAUAAAGAAUGUGAAGAGGGUGCAUGAAAUGUGAGGGUAUAAGAAAUGAAAAAACAAAAUUCUCAUCCCCUCCUCAUAUUCUUUGUACCUUCACCAACUUUUGAAUAUUUUAAUCUUUUAAUUUUAACUCAUCUAGCCCUUAUAAAUCAUGUCAUUAAGGAAUAUGAGCUCAAAGUAAGGACCAUUGGGAUCCAUAGGAGUAUUGGCUCCCUUAGAAUCAAAUUCUUAAAUUGAUUCAACAUCCCACUAUAGAGAGUCAACUAUACUUUAAUAUCCUAUGUAUAUUACAACAAGACACCAAGUACUUGGGUUUAUGAUCUACUAUCUAUUGCAUGCAAACUCCCCAUGAACCGAUGUUCAUAAUCUAAUAAGGUAGUGUUGUCACCUAUCAAGAUUACCCCUCAAAUCCUUUAGUUACAGAUCACACUUUUUAUGUGAUCAAAUGACAUACUCUACCUCUAAGAAGCAUAUGUCAAAUUCCACUGAAGGAAUUACUAUGGCCACUGAUGCGACUCAUGGUAGCUUAGCUUUAAAGGCGUAUCAACAAAAUUUAUACCUUAAAUACUAUUACUAAAGUAGCCAAGCUACUAUAGCAUAGUGGUUCUAGGAUCGUUCACUGGGAAGGGUUUUCGCAAACACAAUUGAUAUUCAAAUUAGGAAAAUAGGUGAUUUUCUUAUGGAUGUUAGCUUUAAAAGAGAAUGUAAAUGUUUUAGAAAGAUUUAAACUAAUCUAAGCUAACAUUAAAGACUAAAAUGAAAGGGUGUAAAAACAAGUUUCUCAAAGAUAGGAUAGCUAUGCUCUGGCUCUUAUGCAAAUUGGAAAUCUCAGGAUAGGCUCCUCGCGUUGGGGUUGCAACUAUGGUGAUGCUUGCUUCCCGAACCGGUAUGGAUUUAGCAAAUCAAGUUUUAAUCCUUUAAAAUAGCAAAACAGAUGGUAGUGAAUUUCAUAAAUGGUUAUUCACCUUAGACUUCCUUUGAAUGGCUCGUAAGAGAUAACUAAUGGUCUAAAGCCAAAAGCUUACCAAAUAUUGGCAACUCAAAGUCAUUCCNNNNNNNNNNNNNNNNNNNNNNNNNNNNNNNNNNNNNNNNNNNNNNNNNNNNNNNNNNNNNNNNNNNNNNNNNNNNNNNNNNNNNNNNNNNNNNNNNNNNUGCUCUGGCUCUUAUGCAAAUUGGAAAUCUCAGGAUAGGCUCCUCGCGUUGGGGUUGCAACUAUGGUGAUGCUUGCUUCCCGAACCGGUAUGGAUUUAGCAAAUCAAGUUUUAAUCCUUUAAAAUAGCAAAACAGAUGGUAGUGAAUUUCAUAAAUGGUUAUUCACCUUAGACUUCCUUUGAAUGGCUCGUAAGAGAUAACUAAUGGUCUAAAGCCAAAAGCUUACCAAAUAUUGGCAACUCAAAGUCAUUCCAGGUGAUAAACUCACCUUUCAAUGGCCAUUGAAAUUGGUUCUAACUGAUUAAUGCAAAACUUGGAAUUGAAAACCUCACCUUCCAAUAGCUCGUAGGAGAUAACUAAUGGAUAGAAAUCCAAAAGCUUAUCAAGUAUUGGCCGUUGGAAGUUGUCAAAAGGAAAUAAAAACCAAACUUUGCAUUAAUGAACCAUUAAUGAAAAACCAUCUACCUUACCUUCCGGGUGCGAGAAAUUUCCAUGGGAUUGCAUCCAAGCCAUCACAUAACAUCCAUACUUUGAGAAACUAAAAGUUUUAGCCAAUCAUCCUUUGAGGAAAAGCCCUCAGAGGCUGUUUGGCUACUAAGAAAAUAGAAAUGGGGAAGAACAGGAGAAGAGAGAAAAACAGAGCAAGGCUCUGUAUAUUCUAUAUAUUGAUCGAUAUCUAUUACAAUGGAUGCAAGGGAAUAUAUAUAGAGAAGUUUUUCCAACCUUCCUAACUAAGAAAUUACAUGAGUGGUGGAUUACAAGGAGAAGAAUGGAAAUUUAUACAAAAAUAUCCAAAAGAAAAGAUCUCGUGUGGAGUCGGCAGAAACAGGGGAAAAUUCGCACCAUGCAAGGGGGUGUGCGAAUUUGGAAGGUGUUGUGCGAAAAUUUCGCACACCCCUGGAGCAGUUGUCUUCCAAAGGCCAUAUCUUCCUCAUUUCAGCUCCAAAUUGUACACGGUUUGAAGCGUUGGAUUCUUGACUUCCUGAGCUUUGAAACGGUAUAUAGAAUGUAAAAAAUGGACUUCGGGAAGUGCUCCAAAAGUGCCAAAGAAGACUGCAGCUGCUGUCCUCUGUUUUCCUCCUUGCUUCUUUUUGCUUCUCUUUGCUUCUCUCCAUUGUUCUUUCCUUGCAUACUUUGAACGAAUUUGGCAAAGGGCUAUGGAGCUCCAAAGCUUGGUUCUUCAUGAAUUUGAGCUUCCAAAAGCUUUGCCAUAACUUGUCCAAGUAGCUCCUCUAUCAUUUGGCAUGCUUGAAUUGAUUCAUAAGCUGAUAUAAACAUGUAAACUUGCCACAAAAUGGUUAAAACCAAUUACUAAGGACCUUAAUGAAUUAAUUGGGUUAAAUGAAUAUGAUUACUACUCAAAGGUGCUUAAAACCAUUAUAAUUAGGUCUACAAAAUAGCACUUUUUGGUAGUAAUCAGCCACUGAUUUCAUGAUCACAUGCCCUCUGGAUCACCUAAUGGGACAUAUUGUCUCAAUCCUAUGAGAUAUCAUGGUGCCUCUAUUAAGAAUACCUAUUGUCGUCAGCUUCCAUCAACAGUGACCCAAUUCAUAGGGAUAUAUGACCAUUUUAGUCACUCAUAGGUUGAAGUAUCUAUUAAUUUUGGCAUAGACUCAAUAUCCUCUAAGGUUGAGAGUCUAUACAGUAUAGUAGUUUAGUGAAUCAUGACAAUUGAUAGCCUUGCAUCAUGAUUCACCGCAGGUUCUAUUUAGUAUGCAUCACAUACACUAGUACUCUUCAUUGGAAACUCAUCCCAAUGGUCAAGACCAAUCAUCCCUCUAAUUAGGAGGUGGUGCACUAUAGUUUAUACUAGAUUGCCUAAAUCCAUGAACCAACUGUGGACAACUUAUCUACUUACAAGGAAUCCAUGACUUAUACUUCUAUGCAACUCCUAAUACACCCAAUCAUGUACAAUGUAAGAAACAUGGGUUGAAUGCUUAAAUCAAUGUCAAUACACUUGAGGGAUAACAAGGGGAUAGUUAAGUCUAACUUCGUUAUAUCAUGUCUUGCUUAGUUAAGUCUAACUUUGUUACAUCAUGUCUUGCUUAGUUAAAUCUAACUUUAUUACAUCAUGUCUUGCUUUUAGGGCUCAAUCCAAACAAACUCCUACUAGCCCCAAAAGUAUACUGGGUACUAUAGAAAAAAUCUAUUCUACAGUCACGUCACCUUUCUAUACUAUCCCACAACAAGGUAUCACUUGUUUUCUAUAUGUUCUCUCUUAUAGUGGUACUUUAGUUAUUUGGACUAUGCCACCGUCCUAUAUAACAAUAUCUUAGGCGAUAUAGCCAAUGGAAAUACCCAUAAGCUAAAAGGCUUCCUUUGUUGCUAAAGAAGUAACAAAAACCACUUAGAGUGUACACAUUCCCAGAGGUAGACUUGCGAGAGUCCUCAUUAGACUGAAAGUCCAAUUUCCCAGUACAAGGACUCACAAACAUAUAAUCCUUCAUUCUCUAAGGAUACUAGAGUAUAUGUUUGACAUUCGCUCAAAGCUUUAAUCAAGAAGUGAACUAAUAUUCACUCAUUAUUCUUAAGACAAAGCAAAUAUUUGGUUUAACACAUAGCAUUGUAUGCUUAAGGCUAUCCAUUGUAGAGGCCUUGGAUACCACCUUAAUAUGAUCUCUCUCCAAAAAUGUCCAAGGACAUUGAUCCUAAGAAAGAUAGCUCCAAAUCUAAAGAGUAACAAUCCCUUCUUGGAGUUUUACAUCAUAUACUUAACCAAAUGCUCAUCAAUGUAGAUGACAUGGCAUAAUUUUUCCUAUUCCUACAAUACUAAAAGACCUUAACCCUAAGAAUAUAUUGUGCAUUCCUCUAAAUUUUUAUCUAGAACUGAGUAAACAACUAGAUCUUGACAGAUGACAAUAUCCUUACAUCAUAUCCAAUGAGUAGAUUAUCAUCCACCUAUAAGAUCUUAGAGCAUUACUACACUUUCCUGUGCUUUCAUAUACACACAAGGCCCAUUGUUAUGAAAAUGUUUGGUUGUUAUAUCUCAUAAACGAGACACACUGCAAUAGAUAAGCGUAAUCUAAUAGAUUUGAGUAUGAUCACUGUUGAAAAGGUUUUCCAUAGUUGAAACAAAGUCUCAAACUAUAACCUUUAGCUAUAGUCUUAGCCACAUAAAACUCAAGCUUUCCAUCUACUUCUAUGUUCCUCUUAUGGACCAACUUACACCUAUGAGUUUUAUCCCUUUAGGUGCUUCUAUAGGAACCCAAACUAUUUUAGAAUACAAAGAUUCCAACUACCUCUUUAUAGCUCAUUACCUUAAGUGAGCAUAAACACUGCUCAAUGCUUCAUCAUAAUCUAUGAUAUAUAAACUUCCAUUACGAUGAGGCGUUGGUGUACUAGAAAUCAUAGAAACGGUAUGCCUUUAGCCCUCUAGAUCCUAAGAAUCCUAUGCAAUGUGGGACUAUCUUCUAAUUUAUCCUUCAAUCUAUAUCAUUCUUUAUCUUAUUCCUUAUCAUAUAGUUUUCAUAAAAAAAUUUGAUAUUUGUGUUAGCAAAUAUCUUUUAAUGAUCCUAACUAUAAAGGUAGUAACCCAAAAAUGCUCUUAUAUAUCCUAUAAACUGAUAUACCUCUUAAGAAAAAGGGUAACCACCUUUUUAAAAAGUAGUGAGUAAAAUAUACUUGAUACAUACCUUCAACCUUUUGCAUGUUUUACAUUUUGGUAUCUUAUAUUUGAAAUCCAUCAUUUUACCCAUUCAAACUUAUUAGAAAGCAACACUUCAAUAUCAUUUGCAAACCCUUUAUAAAUUAUAAAAAAUAUUUUUUAUUUUUAUUUUUUUUCCACAUUCUUGUUUGAACAUUGGUUUGAAUUUAGGUAAAACCAAAUUUGAAUUGAUAGCCUUAGGUAGUAUUUCCCAAACAUAUUUAUUUUAUUAUUUAUUAUCUAACCCUUCAUGUCUUGCAGAAGCACUUUACAAGUUAUCUAUGCUAUCCAGGUAUGCCCCCUAUCACCUACCUUCUAAAUUUUGUGAACAUGCUUGUCACUAUGAACCGCACCUAUGUUUGAUAGUGCAUGGGUGUCUUGCUAUAUUGUUUCAUUGUUCAAUUAUUUUUUAUAAACCGCAUGCUAGAUGAUAUGCUAUUUCAACUAACUUUGAUGUCUUGUGAUAGUGCUUAAGAAGCAAUCUAGGUAUGCACCCUAAAUCUUCUUUAAAAAAUUUGUGAUUGGUUCUUUUGUUUAGCAUGCUAUUUUUUAAAAUCACCUUAGUCAACCUAGGUACCCUCAAUCAACCAAUUAAUUUUCCCAAUCCCCUCAACUUAGCUAGUAGAGACCUUUUUAGGGCUUAGAUGGGUGCUACCUCUUAGAGGUAUCUUCCCAAUAGGUAACCUGAUCCCCGAACCUAGACUCAGGUUUUUCAAAGGUAUGCUUUUCCAAAAACUAUGGAGUCACUUCUUUAGGGUUUUGUUUCUUAUUUUAUUUUCCUUUUUAAAAUAAAAUAAAAUAAGUGGUGACUUCGACUUUUCCAAAAUUAAUUUUUUUCACCAAUAAAAGCGAGUCUCGUUGAUUGAGUGGGAGCGCAUGUGAAAAAUACGAGUCCACACUACGACUUUUGUAGUACUCCGGGUAUCGUCCUCAUGGACUAGCUUAUGGAAAUUGUCAAUACUAAAAUAAAUGAAUUGCUUUCGUUUAAAUCCUAAAGUGAAAAACACUAUGAGAAUAAUGUCAAACUAAGUAAAAGAAAAUAAAUUAAUAAAAAAAUGGAUAUUUAUUUUAAAUUCGAUUGAUUCAAGUUUGGGGUUUUCCACAAUCCAACAUAGGGUAUAGAAAUAGAAAUUAGAGAAAACAAGGGUCUUUUAAGUAAUAUGAUCUUAGGGUUUUGGGAUCCUUGGCCGCUCAUGAUCAAGUUGAGUUCUAUAACACAAAAUUGCAUCCGAAACUUAAUUUUUCCUUUUUAAAACAAAUUCCUAAAACCAUCAAAUGAAUGAUAUUGAUUACUAGUUUAAGAUUUGGCUUUUUAACCCUUCCUACUCCUUAUAGCUUUGUUUUGGGGUAAAUAACGAUAGAGAAGACGAGGAUAACUAAUGAUGAAAAUUUACCAAGAAUCACUAGUAUUGGGUAAUAACCUACCGUAUCAUUCCCUAAACUAACUCACAAGAAUAGGAUAAAAAAAUGAUAAAUUUUCACCCAACCAAUAAUUAAUCUCAUUGUUAUAAUAAUUUUACCCAUUGUCCCUAUAGGUUUCCUAACCAUUAGGUUUUCAUGCUUUAAGCCCCAAGUUGGCUCUUAACCUCUCAUGGGGGUGAUGUCACAUUCACAAUCCAUAAUAGGGUAAAAAUCCAUAAUUUGAAUCAAAAGAGCAUAAAACAAUAUGUUUAAUAAGGAAGAAAAAGAAAUCAAACCAAAGUUCCCGUCUUCUUCCACCUUCAAUGUCAAACUUUCUGGAAAAAAAAUAAAUCCAAGAUCUCUAAAGCCUAGAAGUAAGAGAGUUUAGAUAAUAACAUCAAUUACCUAAUCUGUGGCACACUCUCAUUGGCCACUUAUUACAAAAAUAAUUACCUAAAAAUAAUUAAAAAUAAUAAUAAAAUGGUGAUUUCUAGUCGUGUGGGGUCCAUUUAAGGUUGAUGGAGUGCCUUAGAUGCAAUUCCCUAGGUAGAGGAGGUGAAACAUCAAAGUGGCAGUGGGUGAAUUUGAAAUUGGUGUCAUUUCGAUGUGGAUUUCAAAUUCAUAAGUUGAAUUUCGAAAUCAUUUUGAAAUGACCCUUAAGCUUUGUGCAUUUGUUUUCAAAUGGCCAUAACUUCUUCAUUUUAGCUUUGAUUUGCACAUUGUUUGAAGUGUUGGACUCUUGACCUCCCAAGCUUUGAAAAAUAUGUGUAUGUAUAAAAUGGACUCUGAGAAAUGCUCCAAAUUUGUCCUCAAAGUCAAACUAUAUAUUACUAUUAGAUUUUGAGUUCUAAAUUUCCAUGCAACUGAAUCUUGCUUCAUGCCUCAUUUCCUAUGUUUUCUUGCCCCUUUUCUUACUCCAUUAUGGUCAUUUCUCAUCUUCUAAACUCAUGAUAUCCUCAUCUUGCCUUUCCUCAUGAUCCAUGAGUCCCGACUCACUUAUUUCCUCAUUUAACCCUUUCUUAAUCUUUCAAAAUCUAAAGUAAUUCAACUGGCACCCUUUUCUUCCCUUGAACUUGAGAUAAGUCUCCAAAGUACAAAUUAAACUCAUGGCUAGAGCCUUAGCAUUGAUUUAGGUCAAGUAGGGUGCUUUGAAUGUCCUUUGGUGCACAAAUCAUAUCGAAUAUGUGCCAUUAGAGCACACAUUUUGGUUCCAAUCAUCCCCCUCAACUAAACUUUGCUAAUCCCUAGCAAAUGAAAAGAGUAAAGAAAAAAGUUAAAAAUAUGUAAUGAGAUUCAUGAAACCAUAUUGACUCAACGUAGCAUGUUUCACACAAAAGAUACCCAAGUAGUCAAAUUUCCUAGAAUUAAGCAAAAUGAAACAAGAUAUGCAAUUUCUUAGUUUUCUCACCUUAUCUUCAUAUACUUAAAUGUGCAUCCAUGUUUAACAUUCCCCUUAGUGUCUCUUGAUUUUCCCAUGAUUGGUUCUUUCCACCUAAACCUCAUGUGCUUAAUUUUGGUGUCCCCUCAUAGUAUUUUUCUUAAGACUUUUCUUAAACUCAAACUUCAUCAUUCUUUAAGUUAAAGAGGGAGGAAAAUUUAUUUUGAUUUUUCUUUCUUAGUUUAGGAAAUCUCCUUCUAUAUGGCUUAAUAGGGAUCCAUCGGCAACUCCCAAGUUUUCACCCAAGGUACCAGGUAUUGAGAACCUUUAUAGGCCACUUACCUUUCAAGAAUCACCCUAGCUCAAGGUAGAACAAUGUUGAAUUUCCCAAACACUUAUUUAUUUAUUUAUUUAUUUUUUUCAAAACUGAGUUUAGCUUAUGUUACGAGCAAGAUACCGAUGACUCCUAACCAGUCGGUUUUCAGGCACCAGGGUUUGAAGACAUAAGGCCAUUACCCCCUCAAAUAAUUACUCAAGCUUAAAUCAGUUAUUUUCAAAAAAAAAAAUUCAUCAAUUUGUUUUUUUUUUUUUUAUUUCCUCAUUUUAUUGCUUAAGAACAACUCCUUUUAAGCUAAAGAAAUUAUCUUAAUCAAGAUACCAUAAGGGUAUAUGUGCUUUGUGUGUGCUUUGAGUCUUAAAUAGAAAAUAACCAUUAAAAAGAAAAAUGGAAGGUAUUCCAAGGAUUCAACCUAACUAUUUUUGCAUGUAAAGGUAUAUAAAGAUAAGGUAAGUGAACUAAUACUCUUGCUCUGACUAUAUUUUUUUCUAAAAUUCUAAAGAAAUAAUACUACUUAAAGCAUUCUCAUGCAAAAUAAACCAUGAGUUACCAAGGCAAAUCAAGAAUCUCAUUAACUAACCAAAGAUAACAUGCAAAAUUUUGAAAAAAAUUAGGGUUAGUAGAGCUUCCCCCCUCAACCUAAAUUACACAUUGCCCCCAAUGUCUAGGAUAUUGGGUCAAAAUAAAGGAAAAGUGAGAUGUUACCUCAAGAUCAUCGAGUGAGAAUUUUGUUAUGAGGACUUCAUAUAAACUAGUCUUGCACAAAAGCAACAAGAUUAGUGGCAAAAGUAUGCAUAGAGAAAAAUAUAAAUGGUGAGAAUCUAAAAGAGAGAAUAAGUGUAUCAAUAUGCUCCAAAAAUAAGAUAGUGUAUACAACCAUAUUGAAUAAGGUAUAUAUAGAAAUGAACAUCAAGCACCAAUGAUAGGAUCGACAACUCCAUCUAUUUCCUCCAACAUAGGGGUGGCUACUUGGUCAAUAUCCUCCAAUAUAGGUGUAGUAGCCUGAUUAGUGAUCUCCAUAAUAGGUGUAAUGGCCUUGCCAGCAGCCUGUACCAUAUGGGGGGUCAUCCCUAAUAAUGAUGUCCACACUAGUGUCAGUAGCAGAAAUGAAGAUCUCACCAUCGACCUGUCCUACAGAAUUUGGAAUAUCAAUAGUUGAGGUAAAAAUCUUAGUUGCGACAUCACCUGAUGUUUGUAAAAUAGGCAUGGUCUCAUGGGCUACUGUCAGUGCUCUAGUGUUUGAGCUAGAACUAAUCACCUCUGUACUGCCAUCAACCUCUAAGUUGGUAUCAGUUGGUAUAACCAAAUCUCCCCUCUGUUUAGAUGGAAUAACCAAAGAAGUGAGUUGUUGUACAGAAAAAGUGAGGUCAUCCAUCUGAGUCUCCAUCUUACUUAGGUGAGCAUCAAUGCAGGACUCCACAAACACAAAUAACUCCUAAAGUGUGUCUAGACGAGCCAUGAUUGAUAAGGUACUUGAGGUAGCAUCAGCAACCUAAGGAUAUGAAGGUUUAGGAAGAUCGAAGAUUGGUACUGUUGGUGUAGAAAUAUGAAUAGAAGGCUUUGGGGCACAUGAAAGAGGUGGUGGAAGCAUUGGUAAGCUCGUGUAAAAAAUAGGAAUAAGUGGGAGCGAGCUCUCUGUAUUAGAUGGAAGUGGAGCAACAUGCAAAGCUAUCUUUCACCUAAUGCCAUGGGUAGUCAACUGUGUCCCUGAAUGAAUUGUUCGAGCCCACUGAUUGAUAACAUAAGUGUGAGAAGCCAUGUGAUGAUAAGACUCAAGUAACUAGUGUCCACGAUGGAGCAAGUAAUAUGAGAGCAACCGAGGCAAAGGAAUGAGAUAUCUUUGAGCUGAAGCUAUCUGUUUCUCCUUGACCUUCUGAAAAAAAAAAUGAUGGUAUCCAUGAUGAGUUGAGGUGGACUCCACCACUCGCCUACGUACAUGUGAUAACACUCCCAUAAGACUAAACCAGAACGCUUUAUAGAGUGUCCACAACAAGUACCCCGAGGUGCUAGUAUACGUGUAAUCCUCGAAAAAGAUGGUCGUGACUAAGGUGCAAAUCGGGCUUCAGGAGGAGUCGAUGAUGGUAAACCAAAGGCUGCAACAAUGGUCUCAGUGGAAAUAAUAUCAGCUUAUCCUCUGGUAGAAAAAUGGAGCUCUCGGUACCCCCUUUCCAAUCCUCGAGAGUAGAGAAUAACUCUCAUACACUAGCAGUAUAAAAAUAUGGGAGAGGAUCCAUCAAUGUGAGAAAAUAAUAUCGGUCGAGGAGAUACAUGGACUAUGUAGUGGGCUCAUAAGUACUAAAUGCCUUUAUGUCAUAAGAGAACUCUUGACCAAACUCCCAUUGAGAUAGGUUCACCCUAGGGGCAUCAUCACAAACUCUUAGAGAUGGAGGACGUGUUGGGCUCAGAGUAGGGGGAGCUGGCCAUGGAUGUGGAAGAGUGGUAGUAGGCCUGGUGGUCUUAGCAGUGGUUGAGUGAUCAAAACGAGCCUUUGUCCUAGCCUUUACAUGCAUGGCUUUAGUUCUCUUAGUGGUUGGGCGGUCAAAACGAGCCUUCGUCCUGGCCUUUACAUGCUUGGCUUGACAAGUGAUAUGCCUCUCGAUAGACUCACUAAUCAUUACACCACUUUGACUUUGGACGAGAGGUUAGGCAUGCUUUUACCUUGGGGAAUGCUUAGUCUCAUUGUCACUUUGAAUAACAACUUUUCUUUUAUCUAAAAUAAAUGGCAAAAAAUAAACUAAACUUAAAAAAGGGAAAUAAAAACAAAAACAAAAAUUAAGGAUUAAGAAAACAAUCCAAAAAUAAAAUAAAAUUGGAUGCUCAUGAAAUUUAUGGAUUCAUGUGAAAAGGUGGUAAACCAUUCCUAAAUUGCGGGAGAACAUUCAAGGUGUCCAACAAUGAUGAAAACAUGAGUAUUUGAAGCCUUAGAUAUAAUUUAAAUAAUACCUAAGUUCAAAUAUCAUCUGACAAGGAAAUCAAAGUGAUUGGUUAGCUUAGGAGAAUGUGUAGAACAAACAGAAAAAUCUAUUAGAGAGUUUAAAAUGUUCUAGAGCUUAUAAAACAUAAAUUAGGCAACAAUUAUGCAAAACUCAUGGAAAAAUAAGAACUUUGCUCUCAAAGUAUUCUAAGAUGAUCAACAAGCCCUAAAAAUCAUGUAGAAAAAAUUUUAAAAUUUUUCUCUAAGUAUAAACCAAAAAUUCUAACACCCUGAAUUUCCAAGCAAAAUAAACGAAUCGUGUGUAACCAAAAUCAAUCUUAUUGUGCUACGCUCGGGUUUUCGGGGGUUGAGCUCCCCGUUGAGCUCGUGGGAGCCGGGGGGCAGCGCUCUCUAUAAUUUUUUUUUCAUUACAUUUAUUAUUUUUUAUUUAUCUAUCCAACUGAAACAAUAGAAACCCUAAACAAUGUUAAUGAGAGUUGGGUAACACUGCAUUUUAUAUAGAGCAACACUACACAAAGAAACCAUAAAGAUCAAGGAAAAUCCAUAAAAAAUAAACAAGAAAUGAGUAUGAGUGUAAUACGUACCUGGAAAGUGACAAACCCACAAUGAAACCCUAAAAUCGCCUUCAAUGGAAGUUAGGACGAUGAACAAGGGAAGAGGAAAUAAGGGGAAAAUGAGAUGAAAUGGUCUAGAAGUGGAAAUGACUAUUUGUAAAGGAGUUUGGGUGAUUUCAAAGUGAGCUCAAAAUAGAAAUUAAGUAUUUUGAAUUGGAUUUUUGGUUAAGAAAAGUCAUUUCGAAAUUUAACUAUUGAAUUCGAAAAUAACCUUAUUUUAUAUUCAUUAAUUAAUGGUAAAAAAAAUGCCCAUUUUAAAAUGUAACCAUUGGAUUCGAAAACUACCUUAUUUCGAAAUGGCUCACUAUAUAAAACAAAAACAUUUCAAACACCUCAUUUAGAAAUGAAAAAAAAAAAUCAUUUCUAAAUUGGGCAAAUUUUGAAUUCACCUUCUAAAGUUAAAAAAUCUCAAUUCUAAAGCAAAAGUUUCAAUUUUGAAAAGCCCACCAUUUUGAAUUUGCUAAAUGUAGCCUCAAUACAGUGUAAAAAAACCCGUUUAAAAAUUCCACUAAUGAUUUUGAAAAUAGCUCCAUUUUGAAAUGGCUCACUAUUGAUUCCAACUUUUAUUUCGAAAUUCAAAAUUCAUUGUAUUUCGAACUCAUUGUUUGUGAGUUCAAAACACCUAUUUCGACAUUUACUAGUUAUUUCAAAAUUAAUAUCAAUUCGAACACACUUUCUAUAGAUUUAAAAUUGCAAUUCCAAGACAAAAAUUUUGAAUUCGAAAGGAUCAUAAUAUUGAAAUCACCCAUUACUGGUCUCCAAAAGUGUCAUCUCCAUUUGAGAUUUCAAAUUCAAAAAAAAAAGAAAAGGAAUUUUGAAUUCAUCCACUAUACCUUUAACCUUUUAUCAUAAAAAUUUAGGAUUUCUCUCCCAAGGGCUACUCAGUUUUGUAUUUCAUCCUUUGUUUUCAAAGUUCACCAAUGAUCCUCACAAGUAAAUUUUUGGGUGACCUGUUGUCUUAAAUAUAGAUCAACAUACCUAUAAAAGCUUUGUCACCUUGAACACAUGUGAGGCUUACCAUUUCACUCCCUUGAAGUUCACAUUUACCUAUAUCACUCGGAUGUUUGCAAGCUAAGUUGCUACAACUCAUAAACUCAUUAGUAAGUUAAAAACAACUAAAAAAAAUGCUAACCAUAUUGCUAAUGACUAAUUGGAAAUGCAAAACUAAACAAAGGAAAAUAAAUAAUAAAAUAAACUAAAACAAAAUAAAAGAGAAAUUAAAUAAAUAAAAGUUUUACCUAAAUUUAUUUUUUACCUACUAGAUUUUCAAAAAAUACUUCAACCCUUUUAAACAUUCCCAUAAAUAAAAAUGGAGAUUCUCCUCUUGUGUCACAAAUCUUUCAAUGAAAUGCUUUAAGCGUUGAUCAUUAACUUUGAAUUCAUUACCAGUCUUCAGAUUUUGAAUAGUCACAGUGCCAUAAGGGAAGACUUCCUUUACCACAUAAGGGCUAUUCCACCUUGACCUAAGCUUUCCUGGAAAAAUGUGAAGCUUGGAGUCGUACAACAACACCUUUUCACCUUGCUUGAACUCCAUUCAUAAAAUAAGUUUGUCAUGGUAGAUUUUGUGUUUUUUCCCUUGCAUUACGUAAAUAUUCAUAACUCUAAUUUUGAUAUGCCUCAAGUUCAUUAAGAUCAUAUUUCCUUUUAGCUCCAGUUUGAUCCAAAUCAAAGUUCAUCUUCUUUAUAGCCCAAUAUGCACGAUGUUCAAGCUCUAUAGGCAAAUGACAUGAUUUACCAUAAACAAUCUGAUUCGGUGACAUGCCAAAUCCAGUCUUAUAGGUUGUCAUAUAUGCCUGAAGUACAUCACUCAACUUGGUAGACCAAUCUUUUCUUGUAGUAUUGACUACUUUGGUGAGGAUUCUCUUAAUCUCUCGAUUUGCUAGCUCAAUUUGCCCAACGUUUGAGAGUGAUAUGGGGUGGACACUUUAUGCCUCACUCCAUAUUUCUGCAAAAGAGUGGAAAAGGGCUUGUUACAAAAGUGUGAACCUCCAUCAUUAAUGAUUUCUCUCAAAAUGUCAAACCUAGAGAAAAUAUUCUCCUUUAAAAAUUUGAGUACCAAUUUAUAAUCAUUGCUCUUGCAUGCCACUGCUUCUACCCAUUUAGAAACAUAACCCAUUCUCACCAAAAUAUAGAGAUUACCAAAAGAAAGAGGGAAUGGUCCCAUAAACUUAAGACCCCAACAAUCAAAUACCUCAACAACACAAAUAUAAUUUUGUGGCAUUUGAUACCUUGUGUUGAUUUUCCCCAAUUGUUGACAUUGUGGACAACUUCUAUAGUGAGUGUUACAAUCCUUGAAUAUAGUUGGCCAAUAGAAUCAACUUUGUAGAAUGUUUGCUAAAGUCUUCAUUGGAGCAAAAUGACCUCCACAAGCUCCCUCAUGGCACAUUCAUAAUAUGUUUUGUUGUUCAUCCUUUGAAACACAUCUCUGAAUAAUUUGAUUUGGGCAAAACUUAUACAAAUAUGGAUCAUCUCAAGUAUAGUGUUUUGCUCAUGAAAGAAAAUACUUUUUCAUCUCCAUGUUCCAUUUUGAGAAAAGCUCUCUUGUUGCCAAGUAGUUGACUAUAUUUGCGAACCAAGGCAACCUCUCCACUACACAAAGUGCAUCAUCAAGAAACUCAUCAUUAAUCUAUGCUUCCUCGAAAUGUGACUCUACUUUAACUCGGGAGAGAUGAUCAGUAACCACAUUCUCUACCCCUUGCUUAUCCUUUAUUUGAAUGUUAAAUUCUUGAAGAAGAAGGAUCCAUAUAAUAAGUCUUGUUUUGACGUCCUUUUUGUUAAGUAGAUAUUUCAAGGCCGAAUGAUUAGUAAAAAUUACUAUUGAAGUUCCCAAAAGGUAGUUCCUAAAUUUAUCAAUUGCGAACACCACUACAAAGAGCUCUUUUAUAGUAGUUGUGUAGUUCUUCUGAGCAUCAUUAAGGGUCUUACUAGCAUAGUACACCACAUAUGGUUUUCCAUCCUCCAUUUGACCUAGUACGACUCCCACUACAUAAUCACUGGCAUCACACAUUAACUUAAAUGGAAGAGACCAAUUGGGAGGUCUCAUAAUUGGUGCGGUAGUGAGUAGUGACUUUAGCCUCUCAAAAGCUUCUUGGCAUGCUUUACUCCAUAUGAAUUCUGCAUCCUUAAGUAAUAAAGCACAAAGAGGUUGAGAGAUUUUUUAGAAGUCGUGUAUGAACCUUCUAUAAAAAUCUACAUGCCCCAAAAAUUAUCUCACCCCAUUAUCAGUAUUGGGGGAAGGUAGCUUUGAGAUGAGCUCAAUUUUAGUUGGAUCUACCUGAAUGCCUUCUCUAGAGAUGAUAUGACCAAGUACUAUCCCUGAGGUUGACAUGAAGUGACACUUCUCCCAAUUUAGGACCAAGUCCUUCUCAAUGCACCUUUUCAAAACUUUUUUCAAAUUUAAGAGACAAUUGUCAAAGGUCUUCCCAUAAACUAUCAAAUCAUCCAUGAAAGCUUCCAUGAUUCUCUCUACCAUUUCAUUGAAGAUAUUGAGCAUACACCUUUGAAAGGUGGUCGGCACAUUACAAAGACCAAAAGGCAUACACUUAUAAGCAUAGAUACCAAAUGGGCAUGUGAAUGUGGUUUUCUCCUGAUCCUCCAAUGCAAUGGCAAUUUGAAAGUAGCCCGAAUAACCAUCCAAUAAGCAAUAAUAGUCAUGACCAACUAGCUUCUCCAAAAAUGACCAACUACUUUCUCCAAAACCUGAUCUAAUAAAGGUAAUGGGAAAUGAUAUUUCUUGGUGACUGCAUUCAACUUCCUAAAAUAAAUGCAUACUUGCCAACCUGUAGUCAACCUUGUAGAAAUGAGCUCUCCUUCAUCAUUCUUCACUACAGUUAUCCCACUUUUCUUGCGUACUACUUGAGUAGGGCUCGCCAAACUACUAUCGGAGAUAGGAUAUAUAAUACUUGCAUCUAAAAGCUUCAAUACCUCAUUUCUGGCCCCAUCUUGCAUUAGGGGAUUUGGCCUUCUUUGUGGUUGCCUUAUUGGUUUUGCAUUCUCUUCCAAAUAAAUAUGAUGCAUGCAAAUCAUGGGAUUUAUCCCUUUCAAAUCUAAAAUAAACCAACCAAUCACUCUUUUCUUCUCUUUAAGCACUUUUAAAAUUUUGAUUUCUUGCUCUUCAGUUAAUGUAGUUGAAAUGACCAAAGGUUUUUCUUCAUUUUCCUCUAAAUAAACAUACUUUAAACCAUGUGGUAGGGGCUUUAACUCUGGUUUGUUGAUCACAACCUUCCCAUUUUUUAUUUCUUCAUUAUUUUCAACACUGUUCAAAGACUGAAUGGUAUUUUUUUUUCCACUUUGUAACAACUUCAACACGUUCUUCCUUAAUGAUUGUAGAGAAAAAAUCAUCUAUAUUUUCUUCCAUGAACUUUUCUGUGUUUUCUUGCACCAAGGCCUCUAUAAGGCAUGCUUCCUCAUCCUCCGCAUCAUCAUGGUCCAUUAGUUGCUUGCAUAAAUUGAAGACAUUCAUUUCCACUGUCAUGUUCCCAAAAGAUAAUUACAUCAAUCCAUUCCAAUAGUUAAUGAGAGCAUUGGUUGUUGCAAGGAAGGGUCUCCCAAGAAUAAUUGGAACAGAAUUCACACAUUUUUUCAACGGUUCUGUAUCUAACACCACAAAGUCCAAUGGGUAGUAGAACUUUUCAACUUGCACCAAGACAUCUUCGACUACUCCUUUGAGUACUUAAAUUGAACAGUCUGCUAAAGAGAGUGUAAUGGUAGUAGCCUUAAGCUCUCCCAAUAAUCCCAAUUUCUUAUAGAUUGAAUAUGGAAGCAAGUUUACACUAGCUCCCAAAUCUAACAAAGCCCUUUCCAUGAAUAAGUCUCUAAUCUGGACUGAGAUGGUAAAACAUCCUGGAUCUUUGUACUUCACCAUUGCCUUAUUCUCAAUGAUGGCAUUGACUUGCUCGGUGAGGAAUGCUUUCUUGCUUAAUUUAAUCCUUAUCUUCAUAGUGCAUAAGUCAUUAAGGAACUUUACAUAAGAAAGCACUUGCUUGAUCAUAUCAAGGAAUGGAAUGUUGAACUUCACUUGCUUCAAAACUUCCAAAAUCUCCAAAGUCUUAUCCCCCACUUUGUGUCUGCGCAUUGAUGAAGGGAAAGAGAAAUGAUUGAAACACUCUUUUCAUCUUUGCUCACAAUGAAUUUCUGAUAUUUUUCACUCUUUCUCACUUCUAGCAUUUUUCUCCGCGGUUGGUUCAUUUCUAGCAGGAAUAUCUUCACUUAUUGCUAACUUGGGCCUUUCAUAUUCUUUCCCAUUUCUAAGUGUGAUAAAUGCAUUGCAAUCUUCCUUUUGCACUUCAGGAACUUCAUUUACUCAUCUUAGAUUUUUCUAUGGUUGAGUUGUGAACUUUCUUUUCUCUUGAGGUAAGCCUGCAGCAAGUUGGCGUUUGAAUAUCUUCUAGUUCUUAAGAUGUUUGAGCAUUUAUCUUAUUUUGAUCCUCAUUACGCUUGUCUUGCUUUUAUAUAAACUCUCUCAUCGUAUCUUCUAGGCUUGAGUUAAAUGAUGAGGUCUGGGGUUGCUGUUGAAAAUUUUGGGAUGGCAUACCUUGUGGUUGAAAACCUUGCUACCCAUUAGUUUGAUUACCCUAAAAUCGAUUUCCUUGCUGCUGAAAUUGGCCAUUGUUACCUCAUCUCCAUGAUGGAUUUGGAUAAUUCCUCCAACUCGGAUUAUAAGUGUUGGAAUAUGAAGAAUUGCUUAAAUAUUGCUUGUAUGUCCUUAAGGAAUUGGCUUGCUUUGAAAACAUGUUUUGCACUACAAGUAGAGUGGAACAAGAUUGCACACCAUGUUCCAUAGACUUACAUAUCAAGAACGGUUGAGUUAUUCCCUCAUUGACUCUUUGUACCUCUUAACCUCCCUUAGCUUCCAAAUCAUCCAACCUUCUCAUAAUGGUUACAAACUUGACUUGGACAUCUAAACUCUCUGGUAAGGUAUACACUCCAUUAGCUCUUGCCCUAUUCAUUGUUCUAUCUCUAGAUGUUUCCUUGACGAUUGGUUCUUCCUAACUUCUAGAUACCUCAACAACAUAAUCAAGGAAUUGAAAUGUUUCAUCAAGGUUUUUAUUCAUGAAAUCUCCUCCACGGGGGUGAUGUCAUAUUCACAAUCCAUAAUUUGGUAAAAAUCCAUAAUUUGAAUCAAAAGAACCUAAAACAAUAUAUUUAAUAAAGAAAAGAAAGAAAACAAACCAAAGUUCUCGUCUUCUUCCACCUUCAAUGUCAAACUCUCCAAAAAAAAAAAAAAAAUUCCAAGAUCCCUAAAACCUAGAACUAAGAGAGUUUAUAUAAUAUCAUCAAUUACCUAACAUGUGAAACACUCUCAUUGGCCCCUUAUUGCAAAAAUAAUUACCUAAAAAUGAUUAAAAAAAUAAUAAAAUAGUGAUUUCUAGUCACGUGGGGUCCAUUUAGGGCGGAUGGAGUGCCCUAAAUGCUAUUCCCGAGGUAAAGGAGGUGAAACAUCAAAGUGGCAGUGGGUGAAUUUGAAAUUGGUGUCAUUUCGAUGUGGAUUUCGAAUUCAUAAGUUAAAUUUCGAAAUCAUUUGAAAUGACCCUUAAACUUUGUGCAGUUGUUUUCAAAUAGCCAUAACUUCUUCAUUUCAACUCCGAUUUGCACACUGUUUGAAGCGUUGGACUCGUAACCUCCCAAGAAACAAUAUAUUUUAUAUAUAAAAAGGACUUCAAGAAGUGCUCCAAAUUUGUUCUCAAAGUUAAAGUAUAUAUUACCAUUAGAUUUUUUAGUUCUAAAUUUCCAUGUAGCUGAAUCUUGCUUCAUGCCUCAUUUCCUAUGUUUUCUUGCCUUCUUUCUUACUCCAUAAUGGUCAUGUAGGCCCUCAAUUUUGUCCCUUUAGCACAUGUCUUUAAAAUUCGUUUUCAAUGCUCCACAAUAGUUCUUUGGUGGCCCAUAGCUACUCAUACCACUUACCUUUUUUUUGAGUCACCUCGGAGACUUUGGUUGAGGGAUUAUUUGAUCCCUUAUUGUGACCCUUGGCAGUUUUGAUUUAGAUUUAGGUUUUUCUUGCUUUUUUUAGGAUAGCUUUUAGAUACACUUGGCCCAUUAGGCACCACCUUAGGCCCACUUAGUCUCACCUUAGGCCCGUUUAGGUAUACUGGGUCUAUUAAGACUUUUUUUUUAGCGUGACUUAUAUAACUUGCAUGUUUGCAUGGCUCGUGGGCCCAUUUUUUGUUAAUUUGUUUAUUUUUAUUUUAUUUUAUUUUAUUUUUAUUAUUUUUAUUAUUAUUUUUAUUUUUAGUUUUAGUUUUAUGAUUAUCAGUCACUUUUUAUUGGUUAUCUUCCUCUUUAUAUUAUUUUCCUUAACUUAUUUAUUUAUUUAUUAUUUUUACCAUUUUCUAAUUUAUUUACUUAUUUAUCUAUUCAUGCAAUUGUUUAACUUCUAAAAUUUCAUGCUUUUGCAAGGAAACUUACUAUUGGAGUUUAAGGAAGGUGGGACUCUCCUUGGAAGGUUUUGGAGAGGAAUUUGAAAUUGGGAAGAUUGCUUUUGAAUUGGAAGAUUUAAAAAAGGAUAAGGAGAAAAAAGGAGAGAAAAUAGGGGAUUUUCCUUUCGGGAACAGAUUUAGGAUUUGGGAGGUGAUAUAUAUAGAUACGUGAGAGAGGAAGAAAGGAGAGGAGAAAAAGAGCUUUUUUUUUUUUGUGGGAGGAGAUUUUUUUUGGCGGGAAGCACGUAUUGGAGUCUAGAAAGGGAGAAGGAGGAAGAAAGAACAAGCAAAAAGAGGAUUUUUACUUGGGAAUUGUCUUCAGAAAGAAGAGAAAAGAUAGCCAUAAGUCAAGCCAUUGCAACCAAAGCUAUCCAGGUAUGCACCCCGUUGCUUUUGGAAUUCUUACCUAUAUUUGAUUUUUCCGUGUGUUCGAUUCUUGAAAAUUUAAUUGUUUUGUUGAUUUUUGGUAUGGACGAAAAGGGCCACAAUUUGCUUUGUUGAGAUUGGUUACUUGCCUGUUUGCCUUGUUUUGAUUUCGGAUGUCAUUAAUGUCUUCGGAAGCAUAUAACUCCAUGCCUGUUCCCACUAACCUGAGCCUAUUGAAAAAUCAGGAGAUGUGGUUUUAUUUUCUUUUAAUCUCCCAUGUCUGUUUUCCCAUUGUUUCCUCUACUCUCUACCAUAUCUGUUUUGCCUUUUCUUCCUACCCAUCACACGGCCAUCAGCUUUUCAUAUGGGGGUGACUCUAAAGCAUGGGCAUAUAGUCAUGAGUUUCAGUAAAGAGGUCAAACGCUUCAAAAUUCUGGAACUGCUAUCACAAUAUGGGAUCUAGAGAAGAUUGUCCGAAGGGUAUGUCAGCUGUUUAUUGCACUUGCUAAGUUUGGUUACCAUAACGUAAAUUUGUGAGUUCAUAUGGGGAUUAGAGAUGUGGCUCCUUGGAAUUCGAUUAUUCUAGGGUAUUUACACUGAGAGUAUAUUGGGGAGCGUGGGAGAAAGCAACAUUGAAAAGAAAAGAAAGAAAAAAAAGGGGUGGGGAUCGUUUUGGUGAAAAGAGGAAGGAAGCGCAGGAAAAUUAGUGGCAAAAAUCAGAGAAUACAAAACCAGAGGAGAUUCUCUUGUCGGAAGGCAGUUUUUCCAGGCUUGAUCCAGAUUGCGAAAUCAGUGCACUAUUCUUUUGGGCUCGGGGUGGUUUUGAAGGUAAUGUGUUUGUGAAGACGACUUUGGUUGACGUGUACUCAAAAUUUGGAUGUAUGGGUAUUGCGAGGCAAUUGUUUGAGAGUAUGUCAGAAAGAAACGUUGUUUCAUAGAAUGCGCGGCUUAAUGUAAUUACUUCUCUACACUUGAUCAGUCAUUAGGGCAGAUUAUUGCUUGAAAGCUUGUUACUAAACAGGUUGUCUAUUUCCCUGAACUUAGUUCUCUUCUAACUUCAGAGCGUAUGGAACUCUGUACACUUUUUUUUGCUUCUGAUUUCUCUUCUAAUGGCUCUAAGUGUAGAAGGGAAGAGCUUGAAGUUUUACGUGCUCUGCAAAUGAUGUUUUCUGUUUGAUCUCAAUGAUGUUUUGUUAAUAUCUGUGUUCUUCGGUCAGAGAAAGAAAUUUCAUGGAGAAGGGUUUACUACAGAAUGGGUGACUUCGGAUAUUAAGAAGAAAACUGGCCUUCGAACUACAGCUGAAGCACAUGUGACACUUGACUGUGCCAGAAGAGUCGAAUUUCUUAGCAAUAAAUGCAUGAAGCCCAGAGGGGAUCUUGAUGAUUUUGGCAACAACUUCUGUCUUGAAAGCAACUGCUUUUGCUGAAAAGAAUUCGGGCAGUGGCCCACAGUAUGAUAGCCUCUACUGAAAAGACCAGCUUUCCAGCAAUGAACAGCAUCAUCACUGAUGUCUCCUCUCACCCUCUCAACGGUUUUCUCUCCUCGUUCUUCUCAGAUGCAUCCCCGUUGUCUCCAUUUCCUCUCUCACUCGCUUCCCAUUUUCUACAAAUUCAAGAGUCCCCACAGUUUCUGCCCAAAAUCCUAGAACCGCCCUAUUUUCCUUGUUCGAAACUGCGCUUCCAUUACCGCAAAACCCUCUUCUCAGUUUCGGAAGAAAUCUGCCGAUUCCGAGCAGGAUGAGAAGCUUCGUUCUCUGUGUGAGCUGUUCUCGAAGCCCGGAAUUGGAAUUGAUGCGUAUAUUAUCCCUUCCCAGGACGCCCACCAGGGAACAAAUUAAGCCUCCAGUUCCACUUGGAGGUUUAUCUGGAUUCAUGUUCUUUGGUUCCAUUUACCACAUAGUACUUGUCGUCGGUGAGUCAACUGGAUAUUUAAUUCUGAAGCACUUCUAUUUUGGCUUCUAGAGUGAGUUCAUUGCUGAACGUUAUAUGAGGAGGGCCUACAUAUCAGGGUUUACUGGCAGUGCUGGUAUUGCUGUUGUCACAAAGGAUAAAGCAGCUCUUUGGACAGAUGGGCGUUAUUUUCUCCAGGCAGAGAAGCAGUUAAGCUCUAAUUGGAUUCUUAUGCGGGCUGGUAACUAUGGAGUUCCUACAACCAGUGAAUGGCUUAAUGAUGUCUUGGAUCCUGGUUGUAGAAUUGGCAUUGAUCCUUUUCUUUUUUCUUCUGAUGCUGCAGAGGAAUUGAAAGAGGCCAUUGCUAAGAAGAAUCAUGAAUUGGUUUACCUAUAUGAUUUAAAUCUUGUGGAUGAAAUAUGGAAAGAAUCAAGGUCGGAGCCUCUAAGAAAACCAAUUAGAGUGCAUGAGCUGACGUAUGCUGGUUUAGAUGUCUCAUCAAAAUUGUCUUCCUUGAGGUCUGAACUCAUUGAUGCUGGUUGUUCUGCUAUUGUUGUUUCUAUGCUUGAUGAAGUUUCUUGGCUGUUAAACUUGAGAGGAAAUGAUGUUCCAAACUCACCUGUUAUGUAUGCAUACUUAAUUGUGGAGAUUGAUGGGGCAAAAUUAUUUAUUGAUGAUUCUAAAGUUAGCCCAGAAGUGAUGGAUCACUUGAAGAAUGCAGGCAUAGAGUUGAGACCAUAUGAAUCCAUUCUAGCUGAAAUAAAGAAUUUGGCAGCAAAAGGGGCACACCUCUGGUUGGAUACGUCUUCUGUUAAUGCUACUAUUGUCAACACCUACGAGGCUGCUUGUGACCAGUAUUCUGGGAGCCUUGAUAAUAAGAGGAAAAAUAAGUCUGAGGCCUAUGGAGUCGCCAAUAGUCAAUCUGGGGUGCCCACUGGAGUUUAUAAGAUUUCACCUAUUUUGCUGGCGAAGGCUGUGAAAAAUCAGGCUGAAUUAGAAGGGAUGCGCAAUUCUCAUCUAAGGGAUGCAGCUGCUCUUGCACAGUUUUAGUCCUGGCUGGAAGAAGAAAUCCUUAAGGGUGUGCUAUUGACAGAGGUAGAUGUUGCAGAUAAACUUCUUCAAAUUCCGUUCUAUGCAGCUGUUCUACUGAAAGGCACAUGCGAGUAAUCACUAAACUCGUUAAAACAUUAUCUUCAUUUUCGAACCUGGAGUGUAAUCCCUCGAAGAGCAUUUUUUUAUUGCUAUAUAAAAAAGGCAAAAAAAAAAAAAACAUGAUAGAUGGAGGAAUGGCUCGGCACCUAGCUAGCAUUUUUAAGUGAUCCAGUUUUCAAGUCUGAUGGUUUGAACAAGAAAAAUCCCCAGCUUCAAACGGAAUAUCUGACGACCAGUGGAUUGCACCAUUGGCUAUAGAGAUUGGAAAGAAUAGUCGGAAUAGAAACAUCCAACAAGGACUCAUGGAUGCAGCAGGAACAGAGCAGCGACAGCGUGAAGGAAUUUCGCAAAGUGAAGGAAAUCAUUCAUUUACAGAUUCGGUCAGAUCAUGGAUGAAAAAUAACAAUGAGGAGUCUGCUUGGUGAUGGCAACGACAAGGGUACAUAUUCUAGUAGAACCAUUGAAUCAAAUCUUGGUGGUGGGAAAUUAACACAGAAUGCAGGAAAUCUGUCAAUACAAAGAAAUUGGGGAUUUUGAAUUUUAUGUUCCGUGUUUGAUCAAUGUUGGGGAGAAUCCAUUUGAGCUCACGAACCAAGUUACCUUAUACAUGGAAAUGCUUUUGACCACUGAAUAUCCUGCCGACGAAUUGGGUCCUUCUAUCCCGAAUUUUGAGGCUCCACUCCCUCUCGGCCACCUUGCCACACAUCAUACUCCCAAUGUUUCUUUUUCUUCUUUUUGUGAUCUUAUACAUUUUAAAUUUGGAUUUCAAAAUCUUUUUUUUUUCAUUAAAACAACUUCAAUUUUCUUCAAAUUCCAUCCUUAGGGAUUUCUAGGCAUAAAAUUUAGAUUUCAAUAAUCUUUUGCUGCCACUUUCCUUCGGGCAUGCAUUUUCACUAUUUUCUUUUAUUUUUCAUGGUUUUCUCGAUUUUCUCAAGCAUGAAUAAAACUUCAUAAUUCCAAAUCAUGGAAUUUAUGGAAUCAACUCAUGCGAAAUUAAUUAGGGCUUUGGUGGGGGCCCGACAUUCAUGAUAUUAUCUUCAAUAUUGUUUGCUUGAUAUCUGAUUGAUUUUUUAUUCUUCUCGAUGAAAUACUUGAAUUCGCUUUAUAUUUAUUGUUGAGAUAUCCUUGUUUCCCAUAGACGUGUGGAUGCUCGCUAAAUCAGGUACGCUCUUCCCACCCUACAACUCUGAAAUUCUAUGAAUGUGUACGUUAUCAUGAGCCAUGACCAUGUUUGAUGCCACAUUUGAUUGUGUUGAUGCUUGUUUGAUCAUCUUUGAUAAAAUACAUGUAAUGCGUCAUAUUUCCAAACUAAUCUCCUAUGUUUUAUGAUAGCGCUUGAGAAGCCGUUCAGGUUUGCACUUCGACCCUCUCUUAUGGUUGGUUUUCUUAUUAGGCAUGCAAUAUUUGAAAUCACCUAGCCUACUUAGGUAUCCAUAAUUAACUUAUUAAUGGCCACACUUCCCUUAACUUUGUCAGUAGAGACCUUCAGAGGGCUUAGAGGGGUGCUACCUUUUAAAGGUACCUUCCCAAUAGUAAACCUGAUCCCCGGACUUAGACUUGGGUUUUUCAAAGACAUGCUUUUUCCAAAAAUUAUGGAGUCACAUUUUAGGGUUUUUCUUUCUUGUUUUAUUUUCCCUUUAAAAUAAAAAUAAAAUAAGUGGCGACUCCAACUUUUUCCAAAAAUUAUUUUUUCACAAAUAAAAAGCGAGUCUCACCGAUCGAGUGGGGACACACAUGAAAUAUGCGGGUCCACAAGUCAUUUAUCAUCUUCCAAACUCAUGAUAUUCUUGUCUUGCCUUUCCUCAUGGUCCAUGAGUCUUGACUCACUUAUUUUCUCAUUUAACCCUUUCUUAGUCUUUUAAAAUUUAAAAUGAUUCAACUUGCACCCUUUUCUUCCCUUGAACCUAAGAUAAGUCUCCAAAGUACAAAUUAAACUCAUGGCUAGGGCCUUAGUAUUGAUUUAGGUCAAGUUGGGUGAUUUGAAUGUCCUUUGGUGUAUAAAUCAUAUAGAAUAUGUGCCAUUAGAGCACAUAUUUUGGCUCCAAUCAAGCUUACUCGCCAAAUUCCGUAUGUCAAACAUUGAGUGAUAGAAUGGAGUGGGUUGGUCAAAGAUUCAUUUGAGGCUCUAUAGUAUAGUCAUGAGAGCACACAAAUUAGAUGAUAUGUAGUUGGUUGCUCUCUUCCCCAUGUCACUUAGUUGAGCAGCAUAUAGGUGGUUGGCAUUAAUUAAGCCUUCGAGACUCUGCACUUAGGAGGAUGUGGCCUAUAAGUUUUUGACACAGUUUGCCUUUAGUGUCAAUAUUGAUUUUUUUAUUUUUUUUACUAAGCAAGAUGUCGAGAGUGUUACUUAAACAUCCCUAUGACAAAAGCAAAAGUUGUUGUCUUUAGUGCUAAUAUUGAUGUUUCUAGGAGAGAGUUAGAGGCUACUAAGUAGAAGCUAAAUGAAUCUGUUUCUUCAUUUAUUAGUCAUUGGAGGGCUAAGGUGGUUGGUAUGAUAGAUUGACUUAAGGAGUAAGAUUAGAUUGAUGUGCUUCUUUGGAACCUUCAGCCGAGGUUUGCCAGAUGUCUUGUAGGUAUUCCAUUUCAAGACUUCUUAAAUUUGGUUCAAUUCAUUUUUAGUGUUCAGGAGGGUAUUGCUAGAGUGUUAUAGACAAACACUAUUCCUUCCUUAGACAUUAAAGGAAAGAAGCUUGUAGGAUCAUUAGGGAGGCUUGGAGAUGUUAACACUAUCAGUUAUCAUCAUCGAGGUCAACUUAUUAGUCAUACCAAAGGUCUCCUACAAUCAAAGCCUACUUUCCUCAUCCAUUGUGCCAAUUGAUUCAUGCCCAAUUGGUGUCUCAGCUGAUUUGCAUCCAGCUAGUGCUCCUGAUUGAGGGAGUAAUCAACAAAAUUUAUAACCUAUAACACCAUAUACUAGGGUAGCAAAGACAAAGCUACUAUAGUAUAGUGGCUUUAGGAUCGUUCACUGGGAAUGAUUAACAAGCAAUCAAUGAUACCAAUUCCAAGUGAAUUGGCCUUGUUUCAUUUCAAGGUUAGCUUAAGAAGUAACACACAAACUUUGAUUGGUAAAGGUUUAGACUUAAACUAACUAACAUAACAGAAGUUUGGAAUAAUUUAGGAAGAAAAGCAUUCCUUAGAGAUUUAGGUUCACUAGGGUGGUUCCUCAUGCAAAAGACACGGCUUUGGUUAGAUGGUUCAUUUCCUCGCAUUAGAGAUUCAACAUAUAGUCAAUUCUCUAACCGGUGAUGUACAGAGACUCCUUCAAUUAGAUUUCACUUUAAUUCUCUCACUGAUGCAACUUGCAAUGGUUUAAGCCUCUCACUAAGCCUUAACCAUUCAAGGUGAUCUUUAACCUUGGAUUACCCGUCAAAAGCUCGCAAGAGAUAACUAAUGGAUGUCUCCUAGGAGUCCAAAAGCUUACCAAGUGUUGGCUAUUCUAGAAAAUCCUACCUUGAAGUCACCUCCCAGAGGCUCGCAAGGGGUAAACUAGUGCAUUUCCAUGGUUGGAAAUCACUUGCCUUACCAAGUGUUGGCCCAGGUGACUCCAAGGUGUUUUAAGUUAACUAAAAACAUAGAAAUCAUUGAAGGAUUUCACUUCCUCUUCAUUACUAGCUAAAACCACAAAGCUUUGCAUUCUUGCACUUGGAACCUCCCCCGGCAACCUUAGCUCCAAGGAAUUAGAGGUUUAGUUACUCAUUCUCUGGGGAAAACUCCUCAGAGAGUUCAUAACUUAGUAAUAAGUAAAAAAUACAAAGUGAGAAGGUAAGGCAGUAGAAAGAAAAGAGACUUUACUUGCUUACCCAAACUUUUUCAGAAGGAACUCCUCUCUGAGAACAGGCUCUCGAGAGGUAUAUAUAUGAACAUAAUAUAAAACUAAUUAUUACAUAGAUAUUUAGUCUUUUUACUAACUUAAAAACUAAGGAAUCAUGUAAUUGGUGGUUUACAAGGAGUAUUUUGGGAUUUAGACAACAAAAAUCUAAUGGAAAAUAUCUCCCAAUGUCGGUAGCAAAUAUCGGGAGGCUUCAGGAACCAUUUCGCAGGAGAAAAAUGGUGUCUGCGAGAUUUCGCAGACACUCAAGAGGGCUGCGAAAUUAUUUCGCAACACCAAGCUAUCUUCACAGGGCUGCGAAGUUGGCUUCUACCUUGAGGUUCCUAGCUUCCUUCUCGCGGCAUAAAUCGUGCAUCGUCAGAAGGACAAACACCUUACUGUACAAAAAUGCUGCGAAAUCACUUCGCAACAAAAGGGUGAUUUCGCAACACUUUGCAAAAUGCUUCCUUCAGCUCGAAGUGAUUGGCUUGUAAUGGCUGCAACUUUUUCGUUUCAACUCCGAAUUGCACACCGUUUGAAGCAUUGGAUUGUUGACUUCCUGAGCUUUGAAAUGGUAUAUAGCAUGCAUCAUUUGGACUUCAGAAAGUGCUCCAAAAGUGGCUGCUACGACUGUCAUCAAGAAUAUGCUUUAUGGCAGAUUCUCUUUACUUUUUCUCCUUGCAAUCCGGAUUUACUCUUGGCAAAUGACUUCUCAACUUUGCCCAAGAUUCCUCAUAGCUCUCCUCAGACUUGACUUGCUUUGGUGAUCAAAAUACUAACAAAAACACCAAAACUUACACAAAGUGAUUAAAAUUGCUUUAAAGGAUCCUUAACAUGCCAAUUGAGUUAAAAGGCUUAAACUACUACUCAAAAGUGUUUAAAAGGAUUAAUUAUAGGCUAUCAAAUAGCACUUUUUGAGUAGUAACCACUCCCCCCAACCGACAUAUUGCUAGUCCCUUAGCAAUAUAGGAGAGAAAAAUAAAAAUAAAUAGCAAACUAAUCUAAAAUUUACAACAUCAUGCUGAAAGGAAAUAAUUCUCAAGUGGCAUGAUGAUCUAAUUCUCACAUGAAUCAUUAAAGAAAUACAAACCCAAAUCUCAACAAGAGUCAUAACACCUAUGCUAAACACUGUCAAUCAAGGGAGUGCGUUAUGCAAACUGAAGUUUUAAAAUCAUUUCCACUUUCUAAGAAUCAAACUUUAAUCUUCCACAAAAAUCUAUGUGUAUUGGUUCCUUAGGUUCCGAUAAUAAUAUGCUAAACUAGUCUCUCCCCCCAACCUAUNNNNNNNNNNNNNNNNNNNNNNNNNNNNNNUACUCAAAAGUGUUUAAAAGGAUUAAUUAUAGGCUAUCAAAUAGCACUUUUGAGUAGUAACCACUCCCCCCAACCGACAUAUUGCUAGUCCCUUAGCAAUAUAGGAGAGAAAAAUAAAAAUAAAUAGCAAACUAAUCUAAAAUUUACAACAUCAUGCUGAAAGGAAAUAAUUCUCAAGUGGCAUGAUGAUCUAAUUCUCACAUGAAUCAUUAAAGAAAUACAAACCCAAAUCUCAACAAGAGUCAUAACACCUAUGCUAAACACUGUCAAUCAAGGGAGUGCGUUAUGCAAACUGAAGUUUUAAAAUCAUUUCCACUUUCUAAGAAUCAAACUUUAAUCUUCCACAAAAAUCUAUGUGUAUUGGUUCCUUAGGUUCCGAUAAUAAUAUGCUAAACUAGUCUCUCCCCCCAACCUAUCUCUUUUCAACACUUUAGCAAACUGACCAAAAUCAAUAAGAAAAGAACACACUUUCAUCAUCUAUUUUUAUUUUUAUUAUUAUUUUUUUUUCAAGGUAGCUUUAUGGGGUACUCUUUCUGACUUGUCCAUGUAAUGGGGGUCCAUCGAUGACUCCCAACCAAUUAAGGUUUAGGGCACCAAGUUUUAAGGAUCUUUCAACCACUAACUCCUCGGAUUUUUCCCCGGACUUUUAAGAAUGAAUUUCUAAUACCCAAGCAUCUACCAUAUGCUAACUCUACCUAUUCACCCUUAUAACGAGCAUUGAGGUCGGUGUCUCCCAACCAAUUAAGGCUUAGGGCACCAGGCUUUAAAGGCUUUCACCAUAUGCCCCUCAGACCUUGCUCGGGUUUCAAGGCAAGCAAACAACUUUCUUUAUUUCAAAGGCUCAUUGGCCUUUUGCAGGGUGUUUCAAUUUUUAUCAAAUGAGGUCAAAUAUACCAAGUCCCAAAAUUGUCCUAAGUCAAGAGGGAAAUAGCUUUUCAUCUUAUAAUCGGAAACUAAUGUGCACAGUGUGUGGAUAGCUUAAAGUGGAAGAACUAACUUCAAUUUCAAUAGAAGCUUCAACAAUUGAACCACUUUAGUAAGCAUAAUCCAUACUCUAAGUCAAGUGAAAAACAACAGUUCAAUUUCUCUUGGUUUAAUUUGAAAAUUUUUCCUCAAAAUUCAUGGAGAAUAGAGUAACAAGAGUAAAAAGUAAAAACUACAACUAAUUAACCAAUAUAAUUGCAAUACCAAAAAGAUUUAGAAUACUUCCUUUCUCAUACCCCCCAACCGAACUGAGCAUUGUCCUCAAUGUGAUUUGAGUGACUGUAAUAAAAGGGAGGAAGUGGUACCUCCUUGCUGAAAUCAAAUUCGAAUAUUGAUUGGGGAAAACCACAUGUUUCAAAAAGAAUAGAAUAUGUGAGAAAAGGAAAUAAGAAUAACUUAAUGCUAACUUUUAACAAGAAAUAUUCAACUUGUAUUACUUUAAAUUCAUUUGAUUACAAUGCAAAAGACAAGUAACACAAGGAAUCCCAAAUAUAGUACCAAAAUACUGGGAUUUCUUUUCAACUAAAAAAAACGAAAUACAUAAAAAUAUUAGAUAUCUAAUAUAGUCUAAUGAGUGGGGUGGUGCUGGGAUUAGGCAGAAGGAUCUACCUCUUCAGUAGGUGCAUCAGCUGGGGCUUAGGGCUCAGGAGGAUGAGACUCUGAAGGAUGAGGGUGUGGCUCUGUUGGAGUAUCAGUGGAGGGCUCUACAGCUUGUGGCAGAUCGAAAUGGACUUGGAGCUGCCUUAAGAUGGCAGCUUGUUGAGCCUAAGUGGCUAACAUCUGCUCUUGGCAUGCUCUGAUGGCUGCCAUCUCUUGAGCAAGAUUGCUUUGAGAAGCUGUAAGUGUCUCCAAUGCACGGCACAACUCUCGAUAUUCAGAUAUAGGAAUGGCCAUCCUCGGCUCAGCUGAUGUGGAUGGCUGAGAUGAAGCAGGUGCAGCUGGUGGAGCUCUAGGAAUGGCAGGAGCAGCAACUGUUAUACCUUCAAGUAUAUGUCUUGGGGAGGCUCUCCUUGCAGCUGGUUGAGGCUGCCCAAGCUGAUCAACUUUGUAGGUCGUCAUAUUAUUCCAUUUAUCAAGAGUGAAUAGCUCACGGCAAAUUCGCUUUCUCUCCAGCUGAGGCUCAGAGGGGUAUCCCAGAUGCUCCAAAAUUUGGCAUAGCAGCCUUGGGAAGAGGAGGGGAAUGCAAUCUGCUCUCUGAAGCUUCUUUUUGUGAACCUUCUCUUCAAAAUAGAGAAGGGCUGCCAUGAUCAGAUGAUGAGGCCCAAUGAAAAAUCCUUCUGACAUCUUGUAAAGAGCUUCUAGGAGGACUCCCCUUCUUUGGGUCCAAUGUUGCAAUGGGUAUAUAUUAUGACGCAAAAAGGCAUCAAUCAAAAACAUAACUGGAGGAAGCUCCCCCCUCAGCAGAUGUGAUCGAUUUGCAGCUCAUCUGGAAAGGGUGUGAACCACCUCUAGCUCAGUAGGAUUUGCCCAAGCUCUAAAAUUAUCGAAUUGGGUUGGCUCAAAGGGAAUUUGCAAGGCUUCAGCAAUAUGUCGUGCUCCCAAUAUGCCAUGUCUCCCAUCGAUUGUGAAAUGAAUCAAGGUUGGAUUUCUGACCUCUUUGGUUGUCAUGGAUUGGUAGAAAUUCGUGGCUAUCCGGGGAUAGAAAAAGUCUCUUGGAGCUAGCAGUUGCUCCAUGUGAUACCUCCUCAGCAGCUGGAAUGAUUGGGCAAGCUCUGGCCUCACUCUGAAUGCCAGUAAGUCGAAGCAAAGCUCGGAGUGAAAUGCCCGUGUUCUACAAUCCAAGUUUCCCUCAAUUGGGGGCUGAGGUAGCAUUGGCCUUUGGAUUACUUCUUCCAGAGCUGUUUCAGCUUGAAUUUGGGGCUCGGGAAGUGGCGCUUGAGGCUCCUGAGAUUUUUCUUGCGGCGCCGGAGAUGGUACCGGCGAUGGAACUGGUAGGGGACUCGGCAAGGGAACUGGAGACGGCACUGGAGUUUGAACCGGUGAUGGAAUUGGUGAAGGCUCUGGAGAUUGCUCAGUCAAAUCGAUGGGUUCUGAGCUCUCCACCCUGGGUUUCUUCUGCAAUGGCCGACCUCCUGACCUGGUAAGGUAUCGUCUUGUCAGCGGCUUUGGUGGCGCGGGCUUCACCGGAGGAGGAUUUGGCCUUGACGGCGAAGGCUCUGGAGCAGAACCUGGACUUGGCUCCUUUCACAGACUCUUCUUGCGGUUCGAAGGAGAUGAAGACUUAGCCCCUCGUGUUCGUGCCAUUUCGGGAUACCAAACUUUGGCCGGCAUUGCUGAUCGGAGGAGAUGACAGGAGGCUCGGACGGCGUGGCUCAAGGAAGAAGAUGAAAGGUCUACGAAAAUGGCGCUCUGAUUUUUGAAACCCUUUUCGCAGCUUAAAUGACCGGUAUAAAUAGGAAAAACGGAAGCCUAAGGGUCAGUUUAAGUUUCGUAACAAAACCCCAAUUUCGUAGCAAAAUGCCAUUUUCGCAGCAACUUCGCAGUGAGUUUCGCAGCUGCAAAAUGAGAGUUCUUGUGCUGCAAAGUGGCACUUGUGUGCCAAAACCACUUUCGCAAUUGCGAAAUACCCUGCGGAAUGGGACUUUUGGUGCGAAAUCACGCUUUUCCACUUCGCAAUGCGUUUCGCAGCUGCCAAAUGGAUGCUACUGUACUGCGAAGUGGCACUCGUGUGCCAAAUUUGCUUUCGCAGCUGCGAAAUACCCUCGCAGAGACUUCUACAGUGUUGCGGAAUGGUUUGGCAACAAAAUGCUCAUUUCGCAGAAGUUUCCUUCACUCUGCGAAAUUUCGUAGAGCUCUGUUUUUCCCCUGUUUUUGCUCUGUUUUGGCUCCGAUUUCGACCCAAUUUUUUUUCUUUCAAUUUCCUUGAAAUUUCUUCCACCUGGGAUCAUUCAAAACAAUUAAAACACACCUAAAAACAUCAUUUAAGAUCAAAAACUAAGAUCAAAAGUAUGGAAACAACUUGAAAAUUUACAAAAUUUACAAAAAUUUUGGACUGUGGUAAAACCACGUCCAGCAAACCCUUUUUCACUUAAGCUUUUUGAGGUUCAAGGAGGUUGAUCUCCUCCUUUUCUGGUUUGAAUGGCUCCAAGAAUGGCUUGAGACGAUAUCCAUUGACUUUAAAGCUAUCCUUGCCAUUGGAAUUCAAUAAUUCCACCACUCCAUUGGAAUAUACUCGGUGAAUAAUGAACGGGCCUAUCCACCUUGACUUGAGUUUCCCAAGAAAGAUAUGGAGUCUUGUGUCAUACAUCUAAACUCUUUGUCCUUCCUGAAAUUCCUUGUUGGAGAUGAGUUGAUCAUGCCACUUCUUCAUCCUCUGUUUUGCAACUUUGGAAUUGAUAUAAGCAUUAUUUCUUAAUUCCUCCAUCUCAUUAAGGUCUAGAAAUCUCUUUUCUCCUGCCUUGAUCAAGUCCAUGUUCAGCUUCUUAACUGCCCACCAAGCUUUGUAUUCAACUUCCACAGGGAGAUGGCAUGCUUUACUAUAGACAAGACGAUAGGGAGACAUCCCAAGAAUAGUCUUAUAAGCUGUUCUAUAUGCCCACAAUGAAUCAUGAAGAUGUUCUUUAUUUCCCUGUUAGCUAGCUCAACUUGCCCGGAAGUCUGAGGAUGAUAAGUUGUAGCCACCUUAUGCUUCACUCCAUACUUGGAUAAUAGAGCUUCAAAAGGUUUGUUGCAAAAAUGAGCACCUCCAUCACUGAUUAUGGCCUUGGGCACCCCAAAUCUUGAGAAAAUGUUCUCUUUAAGAAACUUGAGAACCACCCUGUGAUCAUUUUGUUUACAGGGGAUUGCCUCAACCCAUUUAGAAACAUAAUCCAUCCCCACCAAAAUGUAAGAAUUACCAAAAGACAUUGGGAAAGGUCCUAUGAAGUCAAUGCCCCAUACAUCAAAUAACUCAACUAUCAGAAUGGGGUUCAUAGGCAUUUGAUUUCUUUUUGUUAGCUUUCCAAGCCUUUGGCAUCUAUCACAAUUCCUACACAUGAUGUGGGCAUCUUUGAAAAGAGAUGACCAAGUAAACCCUGAUUGCAAUACCUUCAUGGUUGUUUUCUGAGAAGCAAAGUGGCCUCCACAUGCAUUCUCAUGACAAUGAGAUAGAAUCCCUUGCUACUCAUCUUCAGGGACACACUUCCUAAUAAUCUGAUAUGCACAAUACUUAAAGAGAAAGGGCUCUUCCCAAUAAUAAGAAUGAAUUUUGGCAAAGAAGUGCUUCCUGUCCUGUGCAUUCCACUCACUUGGAAUUUCACCAGUUACUAAAUAAUUAGCAAUAUGAGCAUACCAAGGAGUUUUCACUAGGAACAUGAGUGAUUCUUCAGGAAAAUCAUCAUUGAUAGGCAAGGGAUGGGAGUUAUGUGCUAUAACUAACCUUGAGAAGUGGUCAGCUACCACAUUCUCCACUCCUUUCUUAUCUUUGAUUUGAAGAUCGAAUUCUUGUAACAAAAGAAUCCAUCUAAUCAACCUUGCUUUUGCAUCUUGCUUUGUCAAUAAAUACUUCAAGGCUGAAUGGUCAGUGAAGACAAUGAUGAAAGACCCCACUAAAUAAGCACGAAAUUUGUCCAAAGCAAAUACCACAGCUAACAAUUCUUUCUCUGUAGUUGUGUAGUUCCUCUGAGCUUCAUUUAGUGUUUUACUUGCAUAGUAAAUCACAUAGGGCUUCCCAUAUUCUCUUUGGCCAAGCACAGCUCCUAUAGCAAAGUCACUGGCAUCACACAUCAGUUCAAAAGGUAAUUGCCAGUUAGGGGCUCUCACUAUUGGAGUUGUUGUUAAAAAUUUCUUCAGUUGAUCAAAGCUAUUCUGACACCUUUCAUCCCAUAUAAACUUAGCAUCCUUAGCUAACAGCUCACAAAGAGGUUUUGAAAGACUUGAAAAACCUUUUAUAAACCUCCUAUAGAACCCUGCAUGGCCAAGGAACUGUCUUACUCCUUUUACAGUUGUUGGAGAUGGUAAUUUGACAAUAAGCUCCACCUUUGCUUUAUCAACUUCAAUGCCUUUUUCAGAGAUGAUAUGGCCAAGGACAAUUCCUUGACGUACCAUAAAAUGGCAUUUUUCCCAAUUAAGCACCAGGUCUUUUUCAAUGCAUCUAUGAAGAACUGCUUCCAAAUUAACCAAGCAUUCCUCAAAUGUACAUCCAUAUACGGUGAUGUCAUCCAUGAAAACCUCCAUAAUUCGCUCCACCAUAUCACUGAAAAUACUCAACAUACAUCUUUGAAAUGUAGCAGGUGCAUUGCAUAAACCAAAAGGCAUUCUUCUAUAAGCAUAUGUUCCAAAUGGACAUGUAAAAGUGGUCUUUUCUUGAUCUGCCAAAUCAAUUUCAAUCUGAAAAUACCCUGAAUACCCAUCCAAGAAACAAUAGAAUGGAUGUCCAGAGACUCUCUCCAGCACUUGAUCAAUAAAUGGCAAUGAAAAAUGAUCUUUCCUAGUGACAGCAUUCAGCUUUCUAUAAUCAAUACACACCCUCCAACCUGAAGUGAGGCGUGUAGUAAUUUCUUCCCCUUUUUCAUUCUGAACCACUGUGAUCCCUGACUUCUUUGGUACUACUUGAGUAGGACUCACCCAAGGGCUAUCAGAUAUAGGGUAAAUGAUUCCUGCUUGAAGUAGCUUCAACACCUCAGCUCGUACCACCUCUUGUAGAUGAGGAUUCAACCUUCUUUGAAAUUGAUGAAUUGACUUUGCUUCCUCCUCCAUAUAUAUAUGAUGAGUACAAACUAAAGGACUAAUGCCUUUCAAAUCAGAUAUUUGUCAUCCUAUUGCCUUCUUACACCUCUUGAGAACUUCCAUUAAACAAUUCUCUUGAUGACUAGUCAGAGAUGAAGAUAUCACAACAGGACAUUGAUUAUUUGCUUCAAGAUAUGUAUAUUUCAGCUCCACAGGUAAAAGCUUCAGAUUGAGUUUUGGAAUUUCUUUUUCAGCAGCUGCCUCCUCUUCCUUAUUGAACAAAGGUAGAAUUCCUUCUAUCUUUCUCCAACUUUGUAGAGUAGCAAGCCCAAUAGGAGAUUCAGAAAAACCUUCCUCAAUAUCCUCAAGACUUUCAUUCAACUUUUCUUGCAUAUGUUGAUUGCAGUGCUCCUCUACCAAAGAAUCAAUUAUACAUAGCUCUUCUGGACCUUCUUCUUCCUCCGGAGUGAUUUGCUUUUUAGACAUGUAGAAAAUAUUGAGAUCCAGUGUCAUGUUACCAAAAGUGAGUUGCAUAAGCCCAUUCCUGCAGUUGAUGAUUGCAUUUGAAGUUGCAAGAAAUGGCCUUCCAAGGAUGAUAGGAACUAAAUUAGCUUCCUUUACAGUAGGAUCUGUAUCAAGAACAAUAAAAUCUACUGGAUAGUAGAAAUUAUCCACUUGAACCAAUACAUCCUCAAUUACCCCUCUUGGAAUUUUCACUGAUCUAUCUGCCAGAGAUAGAGUGAUUGCUGUUGGCUUCAACUCUCCAAGUCCCAAUUGCUUGUAGACAGAAUAUGGAAGCAAAUUCACACUUGCUCCCAAAUCUAACAAGGCUUUCUCCACUACCUUUCCUCCAAUCAUGACUGAAAUGGUAGGACUUCCAGAGUCUUUGUACUUCAAAGGAGACUUACACUGUAAGAUUGCACUUACUUCCUCAGUCAAGAAGGCUUUCUUGUUUACAGUCAACCCUCUUUUGAUAGUACACAAGUCCUUUAGGAAUUUUGCAUACGUUGGAACUUGUUUGAUCAUAUCUAGUAGUGGAAUAUUAACUUUCACUUGUCUCAAGACUUCAAGGAUUUCAGCUGCAUUUCUAACCCCCUUUUUCCCAUGUAAUGCUUGAGGAAAAGGUGGAGAAGUUGAUUUCUUCAGCAUUUCUUCCUUCAGAAGCUCCUUCUCUGGAAUUGCAUUCAUUGUUGCAUCAGAGUUCUUCUUUUCUUCACUGAUCUCACUCUCUUUAUCUUCCAUUUCCUUCCCUUUCUUUAUCUCUUCUUCUUUCUCAACAUGUGGCUUGGGUGUUGGCUGCUCAAUUUUUUUACCACUCCUUAGAGUGAUCAAGGCUUUCACAUCUUUCACCUGUGAUGAUUCUCCCUCUUGGCUUUCCACUUCAUGGACACCUUUGGGAUUUUGGUGAGGUUGAGAAGGAAAUCUUCCCUUUUCUUGCAGUGUAUUCAAAUUUGUAAGCCUUGAAAUUGAAUAUUGGAUGUUAUCAAACUUUUGGUUCAUAUCAUUUUGCAUUCCAUCCAUCCUUUUAUUCAACAUACUCUCCACUCUAUCAAUUCUUUGAUCGACUCGAGCAUUAGUGGCUUCUUGCUUUUCAAUAAAAUCUCCCAUUACUUUGCUGAGAUUAGCCAUUGCUUGUUCAAUACUUGAAGAUUGCUGAGAUGGUGGAUCCGGCUGUUGGUAUUGAGUUGCUCUGGCCUUCCAUGAAAAAUUUGGAUGAUUCCUCCAACUUGAGUUGUAGGUAUUUCCAUAUGGCGCAUUGUUAUUAGGCCUAAAUUGUCCAACAACAUUUGCUUGAUCUCUAAACAUUUCCCUUUCAGUUGGAAUUGCAGGGCAUUCCUCCACCAAAUGUUCAUAUGAUUGACAAUUGGGACACAGCUUCACUUGCACUGGUGCUUCAGCAACAGCUUGCACUUCAUGUAUUCUUUUCAACUCCAGCUCCUCCAAUCUUCUUGUCAUAGCUGCCAACUUUGCUUUCGUAUCAUCAUCUUCUUUCAAGGUAUACAUCCCAGCCUUUGCAUUGUAAGCAUUCAACUGAGACUUCAUUUUUCCCACUUCUCCUUUAGUUGGUUCAUCCCAUCCCCUUGAAACAUCAGCUACAUAGCUCAAGAAAUCCAUAGCUUCCUCUGGAUUUUUGCUCAUGAAAUCUCCUCCACACAUUGUCUCGAGGAGUUGCUUCAUUGAGGAUGACAUACCAUCAUAAAAAUAGCUCACCAAUAGCCAAGUAUCAAAGCCAUGGUGAGGACAAGCAUUUAUAGCUUCCAUGUAUCUUUCCCAACACUCAUAGAAUUUCUCAUUCUCUUUAGCUGAGAAGUUUGAAAUUUGCCUUUUCAAGCCAUUUGUUCUAUGAGUGGGAAAAAAUUUCUUGAGGAAUUCAGCUUGUAAAUCAGUCCAAGAGCGGAUACUCCUUGGCCUUAAAGAAUUAAGCCAAAUUUUGGCCUUAUCCUUUAAAGCAAAAGGAAAUAACUUAAGCCUCAUCAAAUCAAUUGAAGCUCUUCCCUCUUGGAAUGUAUUACAAACAUCUUCAAAUUCCUUGAUGUGUGCAUACGGAUUCUCACUUUCCAUCCCAUGGAAAGUUGGUAGAAGUGGAACAAGAUACGGUCUGAUCACUAGCUGCUCUGUAGGGGGCACUAUACAUGAUGGUGCACUCAUACGAGGUGGAUGCAUGCGGUCCCUCAUUGAUCUGAAUUCAUUGAGAUUAUCUUGACGACCUUGGUGACUAUGCUGAUCUUCAGGUGUAGCUUCCAUGAUAUUCAAGAUUACUUCAAAUUCUCCCCUCUGAGGUGUAUCACACUUAACAAGCCUUCCUCCACUGUCUCGUAUCCACUUUGGCAUACACAACUAGUAUCCAGCUACAACUUGAAUAAAAAUAAAGGACAACAAAAGAAACAGGGCUACAACAAUAAAACUAAACUAGGCUAAAUUUUAAAUGAUAAACUUAGAUUAUAAAUAAACAAAGAAAGAAUGAAAAUUAGUAAAGUGAAAGAAACUUUACCAACUUGUGAUGAAAAUCACAAGUGCUCAAAAAUGGUAUCAAUAUAAACUUGACACUCAUUCCCCAGCAACAGCGCCAUUUGAUUCGUCCUUAGCAACGGAAGUGGCAAUGGCACCAUCUGAUUCGGGGUUCGAUCCCCAGCAACGGCGCCAUUUGAUUCAUGCCCAAUUGGUGUCUCAGCUGAUUUGUGUCCAGCUGGUGCUCCUUGAUUGAGGGAGUAAUCAACAAAAUUUAUAACCUAUAACACCAUAUACUAGGGUAGCAAAGACAAAGCUACUAUAGUAUAGUGGCUCUAGGAUCGUUCACUGGGAAUGAUUAACAAACAAUCAAUGAUACCAAUUCCAAGUGAAUUGGCCUUGUUUCAUUUCAAGGUUAGCUUAAGAAGUAAAACACAAACUUUGAUUGGUAAAGGUUUAGACUUAAACUAACUAACAUAACAGAAGUUUGGAAUAAUUUAGGAAGAAAAGCAUUCCUUGGAGAUUUAGGUUCACUGGGGUGGUUCCUCAUGCAAAAGACACGGCUUUGGUUAGAUGGUUCAUUUCCUCGCAUUAGAGAUUCAACAUAUAGUCAAUUCUCUAACCGGUGAUGUACAGAGACUCCUUCAAUUAGAUUUCACUUUAAUUCUCUCACUGAUGCAACUUGCAAUGGUUUAAGCCUCUCACUAAGCCUUAACCAUUCAAGGUGAUCUUUAACCUUGGAUUACCCGUCAAAAGCUCGCAAGAGAUAACUAAUGGAUGUCUCCUAGGAGUCCAAAAGCUUACCAAGUGUUGGCUAUUCUAGAAAAUCCUACCUUGAAGUCACCUCCCAGAGGCUCGCAAGUGGUAAACUAGUGCAUUUCCAUGGUUGGAAAUCACUUGCCUUACCAAGUGUUGGCCCAGGUGACUCCAAGGUGUUUUAAGUUAACUAAAAACAUAGAAAUCAUUGAAGGAUUUCACUUCCUCUUCAUUACUAGCUAAAACCACAAAGCUUUGCAUUCUUGCACUUGGAACCUCCCCCGAAAACCUUAGCUCCAAGGAAUUAGAGGUUUAGUUACUCAUUCUCUGGGGAAAACUCCUCAGAGAGUUCAUAACUUAGUAAUAAGUAAAAAAUACAAAGUGAGAAGGUAAGGCAGUAGAAAGAAAAGAGACUUUACUUGCUUACCCAAACUUUUCCAGAAGGAACUCCUCUCUGAGAACAGGCUCUCGAGAGGUAUAUAUAUGAACAUAAUAUAAAACUAAUUAUUACAUAGAUAUUUAGUCUUUUUACUAACUUAAAAACUAAGGAAUCAUGUAAUUGGUGGUUUACAAGGAGUAUUUUGGGAUUUAGACAACAAAAAUCUAAUGGAAAAUAUCUCCCAAUGUCGGUAGCAAAUAUCGGGAGGCUUCAGGAACCAUUUCGCAGGAGAAAAAUGGUGUCUGCGAGAUUUCGCAGACACUCAAGAGGGCUGCGAAAUUAUUUCGCAACACCAAGCUAUCUUCACAGGGCUGCGAAGUUGGCUUCUACCUUGAGGUUCCUAGCUUCCUUCUCGCGGCAUAAAUCGUGCAUCGUCAGAAGGAGAAACACCUUACUGUACAAAAAGGCUGCGAAAUCACUUCGCAACAAAAGGGUGAUUUCGCAACACUUUGCAAAAUGCUUCCUUCAGCUCGAAGUGAUUGUCUUGUAAUGGUUGCAACUUCUUCGUUUCAACUCCGAAUUGCACACCAUUUGAAGAAUUGGAUUGUUGACUUCCUGAGCUUUGAAAUGGUAUAUAGCAUGCAUCAUUUGGACUUCAGAAAGUGCUCCAAAAGUGGCUGCUACGACUGUCAUCAAGAAUAUGCUUUAUGGCAUAUUCUCUUUACUUUUUCUCCUUGCAAUCCGGAUUUACUAUUGUCAAAUGACUUCUCAACUUUGCCCAAGAUUCCUCAUAGCUCUCCUCAGACUUGACUUGCUUUGGUGAUCAAAAUACUAACAAAAACACCAAAACUUACACAAAGUGAUUAAAAUUGCUUUAAAGGAUCCUUAACAUGCCAAUUGAGUUAAAAGGCCUAAACUACUACUCAAAAGUGUUUAAAAGGAUUAAUUAUAGGCUAUCAAAUAGCACUUUUUGAGUAGUAAUCACCAAUAUUAGUCCACCUAUAUUCAACAACCUUUCAUUGCUCGAACCAGUAUGCAACCACAACUGCCAUAUCCCAGAGCCACUAGAUCCCAUUCAUUACUCAUGUUCCUAUUCAUAUUUUUUUAUACACGUGAUCUUUAUCAAAGAGGGGCAUAUUUGUACACCCUCCAUUCUAUCUUCUUAAUACAAGCCCUAUUAAGUGUUCUUUCAAUAGUCCGCAAUGGUUCCCUAGUGGCUCUUUGCUGCUCAUAUAGCCUACAUUUUUCAGUCACUUUGGAGACUUUGGUUGAGGAAAUUAUUAUACCCCUCAUUAUGACCCUUGGCAGAAUUGAGUUAGAUUUAGGUUUUUAUUUUUUCUUUUUAGGAUAGCUCCUUUAAGUACAUCUCUAGGAUAGAAUAAUUAGGCAUCAUUUUUCGACCACCUUGGCCCAUUAAGGCACAUCCGACCCCUUUAGGAUCACCCUAACCCAUUUAGAUACAUCUGGCCUAUUUAGAUCACCUUGACCGAUUUAGACACAUUUGGCCUAUUUAGGUACAUCCAACUCAUAUAGGUCAUCCUAGCCCAUUUAGACACAAAUAGGCCCAUUUAGGCACAUCCUGCCCAUUUAGGGUCACCCUAGCCUAUUUAGACACAUCCAACCUAUUUAGGAUGACCUUGUCCCAUUUAGACACAUUUGACCCAUUUAGAAUUACCCAGGCCCAUUUAGGCACAUUCGACCCAUUUAGGUCAUCCUAGCCCAUUUAGACCACUUAGACCCGUUUAAGCACAUUGGACCUAUUUAGGAUCACCCUGACCUACUUAGGCACGCCUUGACCUAUUUAGAUCACUUGGCCCAUCUAGGCAUAUUUGGCCCAUUUAGGAUCACCUAGGCCAAUUUAGGCACAUUCGACCCAUUUAGGUUGACUUGGCCCAUUUAGAAACACCCAAGCCUAUUUAGGUCACUUAGGUGCCUACUUAGGCACACCUUGGCCUAUUUAGGUCACUUAGGCCCAUUUAGGCGCAUUCGACCCAUUUUGGAUCACUCUGACCCAUUUAGCCAUAUUUGGCCCAUUUAGGAUCAUCGUGCCCCAUUUAAACACACCUUGGCCCAUUUAGGUCAUUUAUGCCCAUUUAAGAACACAUUAACCCAUUUAGGUCACUUAGGCCCAUUUAGGUACAUUUGACCCAUUUAGGAUCAUCCCCCAGCCCAUUUAGACACACCUAAGCCCAUUUAGGUGACUUAGGCCAAUUUAGGCAUAUUUGGUCCAUUUAGACACUUUGGGCCCAUUUAGGAUCACCUAGGCCCAUUUAGGCAAAUUCGAUACAUUUAUGAUCACCCUAACCCAUUUUGACACAUUCGGCCCAUUUAGGAUCGUCUUGGCCCAUUGUAGCACAUUUGGCCCAUUUAUGAUCACCAUGGCACAUUGGGCCCAUUUAGGGUCACUUUGGCCCAUCUAGGCACACCCUAAGCCCAUUUAGGUCACCCGUUGUCUCACUUCUUAUUGCAUGGUUUGUGUGAUUGCAUUGUUGAACUUCCUUGCAUGGCUUGCAUGACACUUUGUUUUUUUUUUUUUUGUUAUUAUUAAUUACUUAUUUAUUUUUAUUUAUUAUCUUGCCAUUAUUUAUUUAUUAUUUAUCUAUUAUUAUUUCAUCAGUUUCUGAAUUAUUUUUAAUUACUAUUCAUUUGUUCAAUCUAAUUUUUUUUUUUUUUUUUGUGUUUUUGUAGGGAAAUUUACCAAAGAGAGAGCCAACGGAGAUGGAAAAUAAGAAUCACCAAAAUGAAAAAGGAAGAUAAAGGCAAAAGAGAGUAAAACUUACCAAAAGGAGAGGGGAUUGUGAGUUGCAUUAUGAAAGUAUGGAGAACGCAUUUUGGGAAGUUUAUCAAAGAGAGAGUGAAUGGAGGUGUAAAGCAAGAAUUACCAAAAUAAAAAAGGAAGACAAAACGAGAGAGAGUAAAACUUACCAAGAGAAGAGGGGAUUGAGGGUUGCAUUAUGAAAAUAUGGAGAACAUGUUUUGGUAACUGAGAAAUUCAGCACAUGGAGGUUUUGGAGUAAGGAGAGGAAGGAUUUGGUCAAGGUGGAAUUUUAAGAAAAAAGGAUAUUCAAUGUGGUAGGAAGGAAUGUUUAGCAUAUUAAGGAAGAAUGUGGGGAUUGGUAGGGGGGAAGAAGAACAAUUGCAAUUUUGAGCAUAAUUUUUAUAAAAUUUAUUGGAUGAUUGGUUUGUAUAAUUUUAAUGUUAGUAGAUUUUAAAAUUUUAUGGAAUGAUUGUUAGGUUAAAUUCCCAUCUUGAAUGUGUUUUAAAAAUUCGUUAAAAAAAUUAAAUAAAAAUUCUUUGAAUGUUUGUUAGGUUAAAUUCUCAUGUGAGUGUUAUUAUUAUUAUUAUUUAAUGCUAUAUUUGGUUGAAUUUUCAUGUCAAUAGAUUUUUUUUUUAUUAAAAAAAAAAUUGUUGAAUGUUUGUUAGUUUAAAUGUUUAUGUUAAUAUAUUUUUAAAAUUCAUAGGAUGUUCUUGGCAUAAUUCUUAGUUGCCCUUAUCUCUAAAACCUUUCUAAAAUAAGAAAGUCAUCCAAGAAAAUAAAAAUAAUAUAAGAGAAAGGCAAAGUUGCUGCCUUUUUUUUUUUGGGGGGGGGGGGGGGGGGGGGGGGGGGCCCUUUUUUUUGGGAAAAUUUUUUUUUGGCCCCCCCCGCCCCCAAAAAAAAAAAAAAAACCCCCCCCCCCCCCUAUUUUUUUUUGAGGGAAAAGGGGGGGAAAAAAAAAAAAAACCCUUUUUUUUUUUCCCCCCCCUUUUUUUUUUUUAACCCCCCCCUUUUNNNNNNNNNNNNNNNNNNNNNNNNNNNNNNNNNNNNNNNNNNNNNNNNNNNNNNNNNNNNNNNNNNNNNNNNNNNNNNNNNNNNNNNNNNNNNNNNNNNNAAAAAAUUUGAAUUGGAACAUGAGUAAUGAAUGGGAUCUUGUGGCUCUGGGAUAUGGCAGUUGUGGUUGCAUACUGGUUCGAGCAAUGAAAGGUUGUUGCAUAUAGGUGGACUAAUAUUGGUGAUUACUACUCAAAAAGUGCUAUAUGAUAGCCUAUAAUUAAUCCUUUUAAACAGUUUUGAGUAGUAGUUUAGGCCUUUUAAGUCAAUUGGCAUGUUAAGGAUCCUUUAAAGCAAUUUUAAUCACUUUGUGUAAGUUUCGGUGUUUUUGUUAGUAUUUUGAUCACCAAACCAAGUCAAUUUUGAGGAGAGGUGGGGGGGGGGGGGGGCGCUUUAUUUAGGGAGAAUUGUGUUUUGGGCCCAGCUAGGCCCAAAAAUUAAUAAAAGAUCCUCCAAACACCUAUAAUUGAUUGUAAGGAUAUAAGGUUGGAAUAGACAAAAAUACCCAUUUUUACUUACACCCAUCAUUUUGUCUUUAUACCACCACUCUUUACAUGCCCCAUCCAUAAAAUUCUCCUUUAUUUAAUCAUUUGUUUAUUUUUUAUUAUUUUUUAAACUCCUUUAAAAAUAAUUGAAAAAUCAACAUUAUUUUCUAUUUUUAAAUUAUAAAUAAAUAAAAAUUAUAUUAAUGAUUCAAAAAUUAUUUUGGAACAUACUUUUGAAAAAAAUAUUAAUUUAAAUGAAUAAAAAUUAUUUUUUACAUUUUACAAGUAAAUAAUUUAAUGAUUAAAACACUAUUUAAAAUAAAUAUAUUUACUAUUUUUUUUCUUUUAUACUAAAAACUAUUUAAAUUUUUUAUUUAUUAUUAUUAUAAAAUAAAAAGCUUAAAGUUUUUUUUUUUUUAAUCUUUUUCUUUCCAUAGUUUAAUAAUUUUUUGAACAUAGACUUUUGUAAUAAGUUAUAUGAAUGUUCCAAAUUUAUUUAUUAAGGAAUUUUUUAAUGAUUUGAAUUAAUUGAAAAUUUAUUGAAAUGAGAAAAAAGAAAAAGAGAGAAAGAGGAUAGAUGAAGAGUUUUUAUUUUAAAUAUCCAACUAAAAUGUUUUCGUAUUUAGAAAUGGAUUAUAUCAAUACAUAGUAUAGUAGAGAUUGAUUUUGAACAUAGACUUUUGUAAUAAGUUAUAUGAAUGUUCCAAAUUUAUUUAUUAAGGAAUUUUUUAAUGAUUUGAAUUAAUUGAAAAUUUAUUGAAAUGAGAAAAAAGAAAAAGAGAGAAAGAGGAUAGAUGAAGAGUUUUUAUUUUAAAUAUCCAACUAAAAUGUUUUCGUAUUUAGAAAUGGAUUAUAUCAAUACAUAGUAUAGUAGAGAUUGAUUUUUUUCUCAUACAAAGGGUUAAAUGAUAUGUUUACUCAUUUUAAAUAAAAACAAGUAGUUAAAAAUUAUAUAGAUUAUGUUUGAGUUUGGUUUUAAAAUAUUUUUUCUAGUUUUUAUUAUUUUUUAUUUUAAAAAAUUAUUUUUAUUUUCUAUAUUGUCUCUUUUUGAAAAUACAUUUAAUUAAAAAAAUGAAAAAUAUUUUUAAAAAUGAAAAUUGAAGACCUUGUUUAAUAUUAAGAUAAUAAAAAGAAUUAAAUUUCAUUUAUUAAUUAUUCUUUUUUAUUUUUAAAAUAUAAUAUGUUCACAAUUAAAUAAAGGAAUUGGUCAAUUGUAUAUUUUUUUCACAAAAAUGUAAUAUGUUCAUAAAAAAAUUGGAUUGAAGUUUUUCAUCAUUUUUUUAAUCAAACUACUAGAAUCAUGUUUAAUACAAAUAUAGGCAUAUAUGCACUACGGGAAUAUGAAAUUUGUGUCACUAAACAAGAGUAUUUACUAACUGUAUAAGGGAAAUGUACUAAGUGUACAAGCAGUGUAUAAGAUUACCAUUUAUAAAAGAUUUCAAUCUAUUUUAAACCACUCCUUUAUUUUCCUUGUCACCCACAAAUUGAAUACUCAUGUCAUGCAUUUUAUUUAACUCCCAUAUGGAAAUUCCGAUACUUUCCCCAAUAAUGAUGUUUGGGAAAAAAAAAAACUAACCCUAAUUCAUCCAUCCUUUUAUUAGUUAAACCAUUAGAAAUAUGGUUAACACACCUACAUGGACAUAUUACUUAGGAUAGAUAUAUUGUACAAUGGUAUUACACUAAUUGUACAAGGGAAAUGUACUAAGUGUACACGGAAAAUGUACUAAGUGUACAAGGGUGUACAAGACUAUCAUCUAUAAAAAAAUUUAAUCGAUUUUGAAUCACUUUUUCAUUUUCCUUGUCACCCAUAGAUUGCAUACCUACGUCAUGCAAUUUAUUUAACUUUCACAUGAAAAUUUCGAUACUUUUCUUAGUAAUAAUGUUUGGGGAAAAAAAUUUAAUCAUAAUUCAUCCACCAUUUUGUUAGCCAAACCAUUAGAAAUAAGAUUAAUAUAUUUACGUGGACACACAACUUAAGAGGGAUAUAUUGCACCAUUGUACAAUGAUGUUACACUAACUGUACAAGGGAAAUGUAUUAAGUGUAUAAGGGAAAUAUACUAAGUGUACAAGGGUGUACAAGGCUACCAUUUGUGAAAGAUUUUAGUUGAUUUUGAAUCAUUUCUUUAUUUUUUUUGUUACCCAUAAAUUGUUUAUGAAAUUUGCACUAUUAUAUAAGGGUGUUACACUAACUAUAAAAGAGUAUUCCACUCACUGUGUAAGGCAAUGUACUAACUGUAUGGGGUAAAUGUACUAAUUAUACAAGGGUGUACAAGGUUAUUUUUUAUGCAAGAUUUUAAUCAAUUCUGAACUAUUUUUUUUCUUGUCACCUAAGGAUUGAACACUUUUCCCCCACACAUUCCUUCACCUAAAAAUUGUUUUAAUUUUAAAUUUUAAAUUUCGUCAUCCAAAAUUUGUAAUUGCAUAUUUCAUUUAAGUAGUUUUAACAAUAUUUUUUCUUACUACAUUUACAUCCUAUAUAAAGGAAAAUUAACCAUAAUAUUUAGGUAUUACCUUUUUUUUUUGUGAAAUCAAAUUAAUAUAAAUGGAUAACACAUUAAUGUCAUUGUUUCAAAUAACUUAAGACAAUAUAAACAACAUAUAAUAACUGUUGAGGAAAAAUUAUGAAUAUUUUUUUACUAAACUAUGUCAUUUAGAUCUUCUCUACCAAAAUUAAAACAUAGGAAAUAAAAUUAAAAUUAAUCACAUUUAAAGUGUUUAUUACAAGUAAACCGAAUGAAAUAUAUAUUUUUACUAUUUUACCUUUAUAAACAUAAUGUUAGCAGAUAUUAAAAAAAAUCAUAUUUAAAUAGAAUUAAAAAGGAUAAAAAAUUAUCUUUGUAACAUUUGUAAUUUUUUUUUUAUAAAAAAUCAUUAAUUUAAAUUAUCAAGUUAAUUUAAAAUAUUUUUUUGUUGUAAUUAUAGUUUUAAAGAUUCUACGAUUUUUAUAUUAUUACUUUUAAUUUAUUUUCUUUGAUUUUUUAUUUUAAAUUUCAUCUAAACUUGUUUUUUCUUACAUUUAUAUGUUUUCUAUUAUAUCCUUAUUUAAAGUGAUUCUCAUCUAAUUUGUAUUCCAUUAUAUUCUCUUUUCAAUUUUAAUGUGUUGUUAUACCUCUUUACAUAUCAAAAGAUUUUAUUAUUUUUCAUCUACAAAACUUUAUACAAAAGAUAUCAUGUACGAGGAAAAAAAAAUAAAAAAAGAGAAAAUUAUGAUAUAAUUUACAUACACAUCUCUUAAUAUGAUACAUUUACUUGACUUAAUGACAUCAUGCUUUAAUAAUUUAAAUCAUGUCAAGUCCACAUCUAUUUUAGAUUUAAAAAGGCAUUUGAAUAUUUUACAAAUUAUUAAGUUAUAAUACAUUAUUCAAUUAAAAAUUAAUUAUCACCAUUAGUUAAAAGAUGAUCAUGUUACAAAAUAAUAUAUUAAAACAAUAUCAAUGUAUUGUCCAAAAAAUAGAGAAAAUAUUCAAAUAAUUGUCUACAACCUUAAAGAUAUUUAUAUAUAUAUUGGAUAAAAAAGAAUAAUAAUAUUUUUUAAGGUGCUUAAAAAUUAUUUAUUAUAUAUUUUGUAAGUUUAAAAAAAAAUAUUUUAUGAGGUAUUUAAAAAAAAUUUACUUUAAAAAUAUAGUAAUAAUCCUUUUCAACCAUUGAUUACCAAUAUUUAAUUUAUUAGGCAUGGUUUUUGGGAGAAAAAUAAUUGAUGAAAAUAGUAACACCUUUCUAGAAAAGAAUUAAUUUACAUGUCCCACCGAUUAAUAUGUGAGAGAAAAAGAUAAGGUGAAUGAUGAAAGAGAGAGGGAAAAAAAGAAUGAAAGAGAGUGGGAAGUUAGUUGUUUUCUUUUUCUUUUUGACAAUAAAGGGCAUUUUCGGAAAAUUAAAUAUUUCAUAUCCUUCUUUUUAAUUUAUAGAUUUUCUUUAGGUGUUGGGUUUAUGAAGAUCUUUUAUCAAUUUUUGGGCCCAGCUGGGCCCAAAACACAAUUCUCCCCUUUAUUUAUUUAUUUAUUAAUUUAUUUUUGUCAAUCUCCUACAAGAUGAUAUCCCACUUACACCCUUACGCAACAAGAGCGCGUGGGACACCCACUUCGACCCAACAACUUUAUGAUGAAUCUGAACCCUGUGGACAAUAAUACCAUGUGCAUAUAUAUAUACGAGCCUGUAACACUCAUUUAUAAGUUUAAAUUCAUUCAAAUGAGUCAGUAGUAAAAGCUAUGAAAUAUAUCGAACCCCACCAUUUUUUUUUCUUUUUUUUCGUUUUUAAAUUUUCUGGGGUCCCUCAGUUACUUUACAGAAGGUGGCAGAGAAAGAGAAACGAAUAAUCACUUUCCAUGCUGUUGUCUUCUUGUUGUAAGGGUAAAAUAAGAGGCAAAGAAAUUAAUGAAUUCAUUAUCUUACCUUUCUAUUGAAAUGCCUUCCAAGAAAUGUUUUGAGAGCUUUGAGUUUAGUCUAGAAUAAUGGUAGUAUAUUUCAAUGAAUAUGCAUUCUAGAAAAAUAUAUACCUUUAGCAUAUACCAAGAUAUCCUAGGGUUUCAAGUCAAGUAACAACCAAUCAAAACAAAAUCACUCUUCUUGGAAAACAUGGAUGUUCGAGUAUCCAGCUCUUUUCUUUAAUUGUGCUAACAUCGGCUCUCUCUCCAGCAUGCCAGUGUGCGUCCCAGGCAGCUCUUUUGUGCUUUAAAUGAAUUGAAUUCUUGAUCUUAUUCUGCCAUUGUUUUGGCUCAAACCUAAGAAGUAUAUUUACCCUAACUUCUUUUCAUGUCUUCAACUUACUCAAAGGCUCACAAGUCCCAUUGGAAGUAAGCAGUUAAGGAUUUUUGAACUAAAAUUAUCAAACAUAGUCUAAUAGGUUAUACUCUUUUCAACAGUUUAAAUUGUUUUUGUUGAUAGAUUAUUUGAUUUUUCUCCUAGCUGGCCCAGUUGUUUAUUUCAAAGUGCAGUUUAGAACAACUUUCAACAUUUGAAUAAGGAAAAGAAAAUAUAUAGAUGAAUUGACUGAUUCAAAGGGCAUAUUACAGUCAGUCUGUGCGUAACAGGGCGGGUGACUUCAAAUGGAUACACUGAGGUCUAUCUGUGCGUGUUAGGCAUUCAUGAACCUGUUUUCUUCGGUCAAAGAGCAGCCAAUACAAGGAAAAAACAUGGCGAAAAUUAAGUGAAGUGUGACUUCUGGAAGAUUUAUCACCUUCGUAAAUGAAGUGAGAGUUUUGACCGAAUUGAAGUAGAAAAAUUAAAUACAAUGGCCGGACCGGCUCCAACUAUUAAGAUUAUAAGUGCCACACAGAAAGAACAGAAAGAACGGUCCUAGUAAAUGAAGUAUAAAGACAUGUAAACAUAAAAUUGUCCAGGUAAAUGAAGACAUGCAAUGAAGAAGAAAUCUGUUGCAGACUACACAAAUCACAACCACAUAAAUCAACCACCCACCCAUUUUUCAAACUUCCAGCUCUCAUGCACUGGCACAGUUCGGUCCUUUCAAAGAUUAAAGUAGGCAUCUAAAAUUUUAUUGGUUUCAAGAAAUUUGGUGCACUAGGCUCCUAGAAAUUAAACAAUUGAAAAGUAAAAACAGUACUUUUCAAAGUGGAAGUAUACUAAUUUCAAAGUGGAACUACCACUGAAAUCUAAACCUUUGGUUUAAUUUUAAAAAGAGGGAAAAAAAAAACAGAAAGGAAAAGAAAAAUAGUUAGGAAGAGAAGAGCAGAAAACAAACAACUGCUUUAGGGCAGUAUAAAAAAGUUGGCCAUAAUUUGAAGAGAUCAGCAAACUUUAAUACUAUGAUGAAAAGUAAUAACUCAUAUCGCGGAGCAAUAUCAUCGGAGAGGCUGAUUGGUCUUGAAUAUGCUUCUUUUAACAUCAUGGACAUCUCUUUGAAGUCCCCAUGUAAUAGCCUAUAAGAAUUCCCAGCCAGGCCUUGCUCUCUAAGGCAUCUUUCUAACCUCUUUGGCCUCAACCACACCCAAUUCAGUAGCCUCCAUAAACAGCUUAUGAGCACAGUAAGGAACCCAAAAGAAAUUGCAAUUGAGCUAUGCUUCAUUUCCAGUUUGAGGGACUUGUAUCAGGAGAGGUGUGUUAAAUCACUUCAGAGUGAGAGAAGGACUUUAUGCUGCCGAUAUGUAUAAAUUGGCCCCUAUUCUAUUCCCUGGUGCCGGCGAACAUAGAAGAUUUCGUCAAUGCCUAAUGGGGAGAAGAAGGUCUAGUAUUUUAAAAUCUAUAAAUUAUCUAUUUUAAUUGUCUCCAUCAAUAUGGCUUUUAAACUUCUCAACGAAUUAUUAAGUUAUUCUAUUUGAUACAUUUCAAAGUUUGUGCAAUCAUCACUGCUUAUUAAAAACUAUAUAUGCCAUGAAUGUUGAAGGCAAAAUUUGAGCAUACGGAAUAUGGAAUUCUAUUUGACGGACCAGCUUUCACUUGUGAGUCGAUGGAGCAUGUGGAUGCUCACUUUCAGAGCCUCAAGGGGCAGCUCGCAUCCCUCACAUCUUGGCAGAUGUCGCUGGGUGCUUUCAGCUCUACAAAUCCAUCUGACAUCGAAAUAUAUGUACUUAGAAGCUAUUUUAAUUAUCAACACCAUAGAAUUGGCAUCGAAAGAAAAAUUAAGAUUUAACCAAUUCUACAGAUAACUACCAAUUCAAUUAUGCUUUGGGCACAAAUGACUGAUAAAAAUUCAUCCAAAAGUGCCUUAACUUGAAACGUCAUAGACUAAUUUCAACACCUGAAAAAAAAGGUAAAAAUUUGGCAUAAAUUAAAAGUUAUUCACAGCUCCCAGAAAUUAAACAAUUGAAAAAUAGAAACAGUCCUUUUCAAAGUGGAAGUAUAUUAAUUUCUUGAUGAAAGAAAUUGCAAUACUGUUAGCAAAGAUUAAGAACUAGCAGUGAAAUCUAAAACUUCGGUGUAAUUUAAAAAAGAAGAGAAAAAAGACAGAAAGGAAAAGAAAAAUAGUUAGGAAGAGAAGAGCAGAAAAUAAACAACUGCUUUGGGGCAGUAUAAAAAAGUUGACCAUAAUUUGAAGAAAUCAGCAAACUUUAAUACUAUGAUGAAAAGUUAUAACUCAUAUCGGUACCAUAUUUCUUAAUGAAACGACAAUGGAAGGGCAGGACACAUAGAGCAAUAUCAUCGGAGAGGUUGAUUGGUCUUGAAUAUGCUUCUUUUAACAUCAUGGACAUCUCUUUGAAGUCCCCAUGUAAUAAUAGCCUAUAAGAAUUCCCAGCCAGGCCUUGCUCUCUAAGGCAUCUUUCUAACCUCUUUGGCCUCAACCACACCCAAUUCAGUAGCCUCCAUAAAUAGCUUAUGAGCACAGUAAGGAACCCAAAAGAAAUUGCAACUGAGCUAUGCUUCAUUUCCAGUUUGAGGGACUUGUAUCAGGAGAUGUAUGUUAAAUCACUUCAGAGUGAGAGAAUGACUUUAUGCUGCCGAUAUGUAUAAAUUGGCCCCUAUUCUAUUCCCUGGUGCCGGCAAACAUAGAAGAUUUCGUCAAUGCCUAAUGGGGUGAAGAACGUCAAUGCCCCUAUUCUAUUUUAAUUGUCUCCAUCAAUAUGGAUUUCAAAACUUCUCAAUGAAUUAUUAAUUUAUUCUAUUUGAUACAUUUCAAAGUUUGUGCAAUUAUCACUGCUUAUUAAAAACUAUAUAUGCCAUGAAUGUAGAAGGCCAAAUUUGAGCAUACGGAAUAUGAAAUUCUAUUUGAGUGGAUGCUCACUUGUGAGUCGAUGGAGCAUCAUCACUGCUUUCACUUGUGAAUCGACGGAGCAUCAUCACUGCUUUCACUUGUGAGUCGAUGGAGCAUGUGGAUGCCCACUUUCAGAGCCUCACGGGGCAGCUCGCAUCCCUCACAUCUUGGUAGAUGUCACAGGGUGCUUCCAGCUCUACAACUCCAUCUGAUCUGGACUUUUUGAUACUUCAUGUUUUUUAUUUUUUAUUUUUUAUUUGUGGAUAAGUUUAUUUUGUACACCUAACCCAUCUUGGCUCAGUUUAUCAUAUAUUUUGUUUGUCUAGAUGUACUUUUAUUUUCUUAUCUCUUGUAUCCAGAACCUUUUUUACUAUAUAUGUCCAUGUGUUUGCUUUUCUUAUCUCCUUUUCAUAUGCUUACUGCUUUAUCAUGCUCUUUGUCAUUUUUUGCAACAAAAAGGGGGAGAUGGAUUGUUGAUUUGAUUAAGUGUUUUGACAUCUGUUUCAUGACUUGCAUCCCCUUACUCGGUUACCUAAUUUGAUAAAAUUGAUCAGUUAUCUUUCUUUCCACACUACUUUAUCUGGGUAUGUUGUUUAGUUUGUGCAAGUUCUAGGUACUAGGGUAUUGCUCAUUUUUUGGAUGUGGCUUCUAGUCCUUUGCACGUUAAAUGAUGAAUUGGUUUAGACAAGAGCUAUUGAGAGAUUUGUAAACUCCAUUCGAGAGUAUUAAGGGGUUUAUCCAAUUUGUAUUUUAUCACAAAAUUGCCAAAGGGAGAGAUUGUUCGUACAUCAGGCAAUGUAGUUUAAAAUUGUCGAUUUUGUUCUAUUCAUUUUGGUUUAGGAUCUUUCUAGAUUGUAUCACUCCCCAUUGAAGACUCAAGGUUAUAAUUAAUUGAUAAACCAGAAUGACAUAGGUAAGUGUAAAAAGAUUUGGAAAAGGCAAGUUAGUGUUUGGUAUGAAAUGGCAUGAAUUGAGCGGUUUAAAAUUGAGCAAAAUGAUUUUCUAACCGGUUUAAAAAAUGCGUAAAGCGCUUAAACACUCUAAGAGCAUUUGAGCCCUAGCAACAUAAUUCUCUACAACUUUGGAGAUCUAUCUUUCUAUUUUUAAAGGAUUUAUUUUGAGGAACUUUUUAGAAUUAGUCCACUAGGUUCCUAGGCUUAUAUAUAUGUUGCAUAAAAAGGUUUUUAGUUUGAUGCUUCUGAAUUGAAAAACGAAGUUUGUCUUUCUGUUCCCAAAAUUCUAGAAGAAACUUUCAUAUUUGCUUCUACCUAGUUGAGAAAGAGAUUUGUAUCCCCCUCAAGUGCUAAAGUGAAAUCCUCUAGGAGCAUAUUAGAUGUUGCUCAAGUGCUAAAGUGAGAUCCUCUAGGAGCACAUGAGAUGUUGCAUUGUAGACGUAAAACACAGUGUAGGUGUUAGGUAGUGAGUCUUAGUAGUAGCUUUCAUAAGAUAAAAUUGAGUACAUACCCCAUUAUAUAUGAUGGAGAGCUCCUCAAAUGCAAAUCCUAGAAUCGAAUCAAUUUUUACUAAAUUAACAGCCAACCCAUAUUUCAAACAAAAUCUUGCAAUUUCACAUUUUGAGCACUAAUCCAUGAAAAUGGUGUUUUUGGGGAGAAUUUCAAUUGAUUUAAGUGUAUUUGAAGAUGAUGCAACAAGAGAAGGCUAAGAGGAAUGCUAUUUUUUAACAUGUAAUUUUAUUUUAUUUAAAAAAAAAACAUUUCAAUACCAAUUUCAACAAUUGCUCUAUAGAUUUUGAUAAUGACCUAGAGAAGAAGUCUUUGUUGAAAUUUUUAUGACACUUUUAUCUUGUAUCAAAAGUUUUGAUACUAGUUGCAAAUUUUGUUAUCGUUUGCCAAGAAUUUUUCCAAUUACUUCUCUUGUUUACUUUUAUGACAUUUUAGGGAUUUUCUUGAUGUUUUAAGGUUAGGUUACAAGUAUAAAUACAUUCCUUAGAGAUUUUUAUGAGGAGGGUGAAUGAAAAACACAUAUAUUUAAUUUCAUAAUUUUAGUACUAUCUUUAUUAAUUUAUUUAAUUCAAUGCAUUUUGUUGGAAUGACAAUGAAUGGCUAAAUGCCUCAUUUUUCUAGAUAAGGUGGAUCUCCUAAGGAAAAAUCUCGGUAGAGUGCAUCUAAGGCAUUAAGAAAAGUUAUCCAAGUAUAAAAUCCCUCUUUCCCAUAAAUUUUGAAAAGCAAAAUAACUCGACCAAGGUUAGAUAUAUCCAAUUCAUAUUAGAUUCAAUGAGUGCUUCUUCACAGGUUAGGAAGUGAAUGUGAAAAAGUGUGACCAUCAUAGGAGUAUAUUAGAUCUUAUCCUUCCCUUCUUGAGACUUGAACUUAGGAGUAACCUGUUUUUGGAUGGCUUCAAUAUCACUAAUUGAUUAAUUUCUAUGUACAAUAUGUUUUUCUAAAUUUCAAACUCAUAAAAAUUCCAUCCUUUUAUUUCUAUUAGAAUAACAUAAAUCAUAUGGAAGUUAGAUUCUUAAUCUUAAGUCUUCUCAGCAUCAAGUAUCAACUAUAAGAACUCAAACUCAACACUUUAGUGGCUCUAAAGAGUCUAUUUAGUGCAUUUGAGGUAUUUAAAAAUGACCUAAUGCUUGGUUUUUUUAAUUAUUAAUGCCUUAGCCAUUUGCUUUUGAUAAUUUUUGUGAGUAUUUUUUAAACUUUAAGGCAUUUUGAAAAUAAAGUAUACUUUGUGGAGGAUUCUCAAAGAAUAAAAUGCCUAAGAAGAGAGCAAGAACAAAUUGUGUACCUUUCAGGUACACAAGAGUCUAUUGUGCAUCCCUCAAGUGAUCCAUCAAACUAGAUUGCACACUCCCUCUAGCAAUUUAAAUUGAGCACCUUUCCCACGAUUCAAAGGUUGCAUGCCCCCUCAACAAUUAAACCCAACAAGAGCACUCAACUUGUGCAUGUUCGUAACAUCUUAAUUGCACUUUUCCCUACCACUACAGUAGCAUAUCCCUAGGGUCACUCACUAUGCACACUGUUACCACUCUUGUAAAGGUUGAGCGCUUGAGAAAACUCCUUCCAAUGAUUUGUACACUCACCAAAGUAAUGUAAGCAUCUAAGCCUUAAGUCAUCAUCUAUACUAUCAAUUCUCUCAUAUUGAUUGCAUUGAAAGCCAAGUGCAACCACCAACUCCAAGUUGACAAGUCAAGUACAAGAAAGAUGGCUAGUUGACUACAUUGACACAUGAUCUGAUCCCCAAAAUGGGCAAGGGGCAGUUCUAGGAGAAUAGUUUGAGCAAUAAGAAUGGAUUACCUAAAGGGAAACCCAUUUAUAAAUAGAGGAUUGUCUGGGCGCGCGCCCACACACACACACACACACACACAUAUAUAUAUAAUAUGUAUGUAUGUAUGGGGAGAAAAAAAAAAAAAAAUGUUGAAGAGUUAGAAUCUUUAAUGGAGAUGAUAUCAACCUUUUUAGGAUUUAGUUAGGAAUUUAUUUUGGUAAUUAAAAUGACAAUUAAUAAUUUGGAUAGGAUUUGUUAAGUAGUUUCCUAUUUCUUUCUAUAUAUUUUCCUUAUUUUUUAUUGUUUCCUACAGUUAUAUAUAUAAAGGACAUUUUUCUCUUCUUUUCUCUAUGAAAAAAAAUACAUGACUAGGUAAAAUUAAGCUAUAGGUUUCUUAAUGGUAUCAAAGACAUCUUCUGGUUACUAGGAAUAAUGGUUAAAGGAGCAAUGAGAGGUACUUCCCAUUACAAUAACAACUUGAAGGAGGCAAAAAGAAAACCUAUCCCUCACUAGAAUUUUGUGACCAAUGGUCAUGUUCACUCUUCUUAGCUAAUUACCUCUCACAAAUUAACUUAAUGGAGAAAAUUAUCUUUAAUGGUUUCAAUUUGUCAAACCUUUUAUUUGUGGGCAUGGACAAAUUGAAUAUUUUAUUAAAGCAACAUCAAUACCACAAGGAACAAUUCUCAUCGAGAAAUAGGAAGUAAAGAAUGCCAUGAUUAUGUCAUGGCUGAUCAACUCAAUGGAACUCAAGAUUAUGAAGACAAACAUGUUCAUGCCUAUAACUAGAGAGAUAUAGGAGGCUACCAAGGAAACCUAUUAUGACUUGGUAACUUGCUCAGGUCCACACGAUAGCUAUACAAAUAAAAAAUACCAAGCAAGGUAAUAUGAAUGUAAUUCAGUACUAUAAUACACUCAAAACUCUUUGGUAAGAACUUAAUUUGUUCUAUGAUUAUGAAUAACAUUGUGCAUAAGAUAGUGAAAUGUUCUAAAAUAUGAUUGAGAAAGAUCGAGUCUCUGCAUUCCUAGUGGGGUUUAAAUCAGAAAUUAGAUGAGGUUUAAAGUUGAAUCUUAGUUUUGAAUAAUUCUAGCAAAAUCUGAUACCUCUUCACUUAACACUGCCCUAGCUAUGAAAAACCGUAAGCUUCACAUUUCAGCUAAUGAUCCAAAAUUCAAAAGGAUCCAUGGAAAGCCCUAGUGUGAUCAUCAUCUCCUCUAAAUGCUUCCAAAAUUCAAAAUAUUCAUUAACAAGUGAUUAACCAUCAUCUUUUCAAAAUGCAUCUUUAGAUGUCAUAUGCCCAAAGGUGUUCAAAUUCGUAAGAUAUUGACCAAGUCCAAAUAUUUAGAAGAAGGUAUAUCAUCCUCUACAAUUAGAAAGAAGAAAAUACAUUAUCCUUUACUAGUGAAAGCACAUAUGCCAUCACCUCAACAAAUCAAGCAUGCGUGCAAAUCUGUCUUAUUGGUCUUCUAAUUGCGGUUGAGCAAGUAUUAAGGAAGUACUUAAUUUGAAGCAUCUCUUCAUCAUCUAUAGUGGUUGUAGUUUCUAAUCCAAUAAUUGUACUCCUUUGAAAGUGGUACAAAUUAUUCUUCCUUAUUCCUUGCGUUACCACAAGUUUGCUUGGCCUAACUUUCACCCAUAUUUUAUAGUAACAAUAUUGAACCCUAUGGGUUAUAAUACUCUCAUUGAGAUGAGACACUUAUUCAUUCUAGGAACAUACUAAACAUCACUCAAAAUUUUAGUUGAUUAAUCACGAGUCUUCAACUGGAUGGUAUCUAUUAUUGUUAUCUCACAAACAUUAUCAUUCCCCAUGUAAACAACUCCAUCUUGGAGUUCUUCAAAGCAGGAAAACCACUCCUUGUAGGAAUGCAUGUGAAGGUGGACCCAAUAUCCAAAAUCCAUUCAUCUAAGUUAUAAAGCAAGGAUAAGGAAACCAAAGCAAAGUUUGAACCAUCUUCUCCAAACUUAGCCAGACAAGCAUCUAAUACUAUCUCUUCUUAAUUCUUCUUCUAUAACUUAGGACAAUCAUUGUUCCAACACUACCAAAAAUUAAGUAUGGGUGACCCAUUUAUAUUUACUUUUGCGACGAAUUUAAGUUGAUGCAAAUUUCUAACACACCUAUUAUGCCGCAAAUUGAAUUGUCUAUUGCUUAUAUGUAAUUAUUUACCAACGAUAAUUGUAACAACAGAUACUUGUUGGAAAAAAUAUUAUUGCAAUGGAUUUAAACCAUUGCAAAUGUUCAACUAAUAUACUUUGUCACAAAAGCAAUUUACUUAUUAAAAAAAAAAGAAAAAAAAAAGAACUUUCAUAAAUAAUUUUUUCUAUGAAAAUUACUACUUAAUAAAACAUUUUUAUUAUAGUGGAUAAUAAUACCACACAUAAUUUAUUCCAAAAAUAAUUGUUGUCUUAUGAAUAUAAAAUCUUUUCACCAUAGUUGUAUGAUAAAUACGAUCUAGCUAGUGACAAAACAAUUUUCUGAUCAUUUUUUAGGUUCAUACAAUAUUUACAUUUUUUUAAUCAUAAUAGUUUUAAUAUUUUUUAACUACUUUUUAUAGUCCAUUUUAGAAAGAAAUAAAUUAAAAAUUAUUGAUAUAUAUAUAUAUAUAUAUAUAUAUAUAUGUAUAAUAUAAUUUAUGAUAUCGAAUACUAAUAUUUAAAUUUUAAAAAUACAUUUUAUAGAGAUUUAUCUAAUUUGAAUGUAUUCAAUAACAUAAAAAAAAAAAAUUGAUAGUACAUGCAUAAGUAUUUUUAUUUUAAAAUGUUGAUAAUUUCAUUUAUAAAUUUAUAUUUAUUUUAUAUUUAAUUAUUAUACAAAAUACAAAAGAAUUAAAAUUAAUUAAUUUAUAAUAAUUUUAUUUUAAAUAAUUUAUAAUUUAUACUAUAUAUAUAUAUAUAUAUAUAUAUAUAUAUAUAUAUAUAUAUAUAUAUGAAUUCAUGCAUGUGUAAUUUAUAUAUAAUAUGUAUUUAUAUAUAGAUAAUAUUUAUAAUAUAAAUGCAUAAGUAUAGGAUAUUUACAUUUAUGAAUCUUAUAUAAAUUCUGUAUAUUGCACAUAACAAAGUUACUUGGUAGCAUAGUUACUUCCUUUCAAACUUGAGGUUAAGGGUUUCAAUCUUGAGAAACAACAUCCAAGCCAAUAUCCAAAACUAGAAAAGAGAUGAGUGUCCAUGUGAAUGUAAUGAAAUCAAAAUUUCAUGACAACCUAAAAUAUUUUAUUAUUUACAUUUCUCAACCAAUUUAAUCCGUUGGUAAUAGUGAGAGUCCAAAUCCAUUGGAUAGUUUGUCACUAAAUAUUUUUUAUUGGCAAUGGAAAAUUCCCAUCAAUAGAGUUUUGUCAACACACCUUUCCUCGAUUACCAUGUGAUGGGAUUAUCGAUUGGUAAAUGUUUAUUUCGACCAUGUAUAUCAGUUGAGAAAAGUAAUAUUUCUUGUAGUGUGAUGACCCUUGUCAUGAAAAGGACACAUUCAUCUUUUGCAAGUAUACAUUUAAAUUAAGAAUUGUCUCAUUUUCUAGGUUUUCAACUUUGAGAUUAGUCAUUAACUAUUGAAGCUUCCAAUGAUAUAUCCCAAUGAUUGCUUUGGUCCUUCUUUCUUUAUUCAGAGCUUAGCGAAGUGGAACGCACAACAUCAAAAGGAAUCUUAUCCUUACCAUAAAGUAAGGUGAUGGUAAGAUUUUCAUACACAUCAAGAAGAAAAUUCAAUAACAAUAAGGCCUUAUUCUCAUCUUCAAUGAUCUCAUCUAAAUUCAACAAAUUUGCUCUGAUUCUAUCAUAAGCAUGCAUAUGAUCAUUCAUAGACAUUUGUUUAUACUUGAAGCAAAAAAGUUUGUUAUUCAAAUAUAGUUGAUUUUCUAGACCUUUUUUCAUAUACUUGUCCUCCAAUGUCUUUCAUAAAUGUUUUUGUAGAUAUCUCUUUCAUAAUGGAAUAAUUUUAAGCUUUAACAAGAUAUAAGUGGAUGGAAUUAUAAAAUUGACAAUUGAUCCCUUACCCAUUCUUUAUCAUUCAUGUUUUCAGGUUUUUCUUCCAAAAAAAUAUCCAAAUUCUAUUUGACAUAUCUAAUUAAUGCCUCUUACUGCCACAUUCCAAAAGUACUAGUUCUAUCAAAUUUCUCUAUUACAAAUUUCACAUUAGUAACCAUUGUCUUAACUAACGAAGUUUUUGACUUUUCUUUUAACUAGUGCAAUAACAAAUAACCUUGAAACCAACCUUGGAUAGAACUAAUGCUCUUAUACCAUUUUGUUGUGCUUUAACCUAAUCCCAGAAGACUUCCAAAAAUACUAAAUAAAAUACAAACUAAACUUUAGUCCAUAAUAUAAAGAUAAAUAGCAAGAGAAAUAAAAAUAAAAGAUGAUACACAAUAUUUAUGAGGUUUAGUAAGGAUAUCUUACCUAUAUCAUCAGACAAUGAUGAUCAAUCCACUAAUCUUCAAAUCAAAAUUACAAAAUCAAGUUGGGAAAGCUUGUCUCACAAAGUGGUUGCAAUUACAAAGAUUGACUAAAACCUUAAAGAUUGAUUGAAGCUGCUCUAACAACUUUCCUAAAGUCAUUCUCACACUACCAUGAUGAAAGGACUUAGACUCAUUUAUAGAACCUGAAUAAGUCCUCGAGCCUUGAAAAAACUAAUUCAUAAUUCCUGUGGGACACGAACUCCUAACAUAUAACAGAUUAUGAAAUCAUAAUCCUUAUAGGACAAGGAUCCUUAAAAUAUAUUAAACUCUUAAUUGAGCUAAAAGCCAAUGCCUAAUAUAGAACUCACACCAUAUUUGCCAUAACUCUACUAAGUAGUUGGUUGUUAAGCAGAAUUAUCAGUUUCAAAGAUUAAAUAAGCCUUUCUUUUUCCUUCCCUUUCCAUUUUUCUUAUCAUCCAAACAACAAUGAUAAAAAAUUUAGUGUAACUUUUGUUGCUUUGCUACUUGUUCUCUCAACUUACUUGCCUGCUUGCGAAUGACCUCCAAAAUCAAAGUAAAUGGGGAAAUAAUGUGGAGUUCCAAGAUAUACAUAGAAAAGAGUGGACAACUAGAUCUACAACAUAGCUAGCAAUUUUGUCUCUAAAUUUCUCUUUGUCGUGGUAAUGGCCAUUGAAGAUGUCAUCACUGAGAAGAUCACAAAGUGAAGAAGGCAUGAUUGAGGGUUGGUAGAGUAGAGAGUUAAGGUAGAAAAUAACAAAGAUAGGAUUUUGACAUUUUUAGAAUUUGUAAAUAAAAAAUAAAUACAAUCCAAAAAUCACUUUCAGAACAUAAUUUUACUUGACCAUGGCAAACACGUUUUUUGUUAUGUGGAUUGUACUUGAUGUUCUUGAAAACAUUGAAUGCAUUUUGGAUUGACUACUAAACAUGACCUUAGUAAUUAAAUUAGCAUAUUGAUAAAUUAUUAAGAGGCUUUUAUCAAUUUGGUCAACUCUUAGAAAAGUGUUGUUGAAAACACUAAAUAAAAUCUAUAUAAUUUUUUUUUUUGAAACAUGCUUGACCAUACCAAACACAUUAUUUUUUAUUUGGAUUGUAUUUAAUAUUUUCAAAAACACUAAAUACAUGCAAUUUGAUUGACUGCUGAACAUGAACUUAGUAAUUAAAUUAGAAAUUUCAAAUGAAUUAAUGUUUUCUAUUUUGCAAGCAAGUCAAGAUUUUAUGUUUUCUACUAAAAUUUUGAAUGCAUCACUAAAAGUAACAUCACCACUUUCUAGUUAUAAAGUUUUAAGAAUAUAUUUUUUAUCAAUACAUAUGGUUGUUUUCUUUCGUGUCAAGAUACGAAAUACUUUUUUCCUAAAAUUUUUCCUUUUUACGCAAAUAAUAAAGUGGGGUUUUUUCUUGAUUUAUUUUUUAACAUAGUUUUCCAUUCUAUAUUGUUAAUAUACCAACACUUUUCAUUUUUUUCUUGAAUUUUGGAUCUUCCUUCAUUGUUUGAUGAACUAUUUCCUUAGCCAUAACCAUGAUGACCAUGACCAUGAUUGUUUUGGCUUCCUUCAUACCAAAUGUUUUUUUGCCCUCUUGUUGAUAUAUUAAACUACGUUGACAAUUUUCUAUUAUUUAUAUAUUGAGUCUGAUACAUCAUACUUCCAAGGGUCAUACUGAUGUCAUUCAACUUCAAGCUACUUUUGAGUUAACUAUAUUACAAGGUAUAUGUGCAAAAUUAGGUUGAAUCAGGGUACAAGGAAUGGCUACCACAUGUAUGCUAGGUGAAAUUUUAGAGAUUUUUUUUUUUUUUUUUUGUCAAGGUUAAGGAUUUGAAUAACUAAAGUCUCAAUAAAGUCUUUGAGGUAACUAAGGAGCACAAGGAGUGUUGCAUGGGGCAUGGAAGAAGAAUGUAAGUUACGUAUAUCUUAUUUUUAUAUUUAAUAGAUUGUUUGUGGUUGAUAGACUAUUCAUUGAUCUUUACACCCAAAAGGUUUUAAGCGGUUUUUUCAUGUUACAUUUUGUGUCAUAUGUUUAAUUGAUUAAUCUUAUUCAAGGAAUUGAUGAAAACUUAAUUAUAAUUGAUAUAGCUAGAUGUUUAGGAAUGUUUCAAUUUAAAGUGCUUUUAAUUGAAUUGUUUUUUUUAGAAGCAUUUUUAUAUAUUAAAGAAUCACCUCUCAAGCACUUCUCCAAAAAGUAUUACAAGUGAUUUUUAACUUUAUAAAGAAUGCUUUCUAAGUUUUUCCAAGCGUAUAGUUUUUCUCUAAAAGUGUUUUCUUUUUAAUACUAUAAGCAUUUUCGAAAAGUACUACUAAAUGGACUCUUAAUUUUUGAGGAUAUUUCACUUAGACAGCCCAUUCAUCCCUCUCUCUAUAUGGUUUUGUGUCUCAAGAUAAAAGCUCUCUCCUUUAUUUUAAUAUAAUCUUUGUUUGAAGAAUUAUUCUAAUUUUUACUUGACUUUUGUUUUUAAUAUGUCUUCCUAGGCUUUUAAUGAUCCCAUAAAUUGGUCAAUGACUAUAGAAUCCAAAUAUUUAGGCCUUUCAAUAACAAAAAAAAAAAAAAAAAGAUGAAAACUUUUUUUUUUUUAGUUACACAAAUAUCAUUAAACUUUCCCCAUUUAUUUUGACUUAAUUUACAUAUGUCAAUAUUUUUGGAAAAUAAUCAAAGAUUCUCUUAUAUUUAAACUUAAAAAUUCACUUUUAAAAGUAUGAAAUUGAACUUUUUUUUUUUUUUAAACUUAUCAAACUUUUAUAUUUAUUUGUAAUAUUUUUCAUGUUUCCUUUGAACUAGUUGCACUUAAAAUCAUUUCAAAGGUGUCUACAUCUAUUUCUUAAUAAAUAAGGUUAAAAGCUUUCUUGUCUUUCUUUCUUAUAUCUUCAAAAAGUCUAUUUAAUUUUGGGAUAGAUUGGUUUUAUCCUAUAGCUCCUUGUAGUUUUUCUCUACAAUCUAUUAUAUAUCUUGCAACCAAAUAAAACCUUUGUCUUGAAAUUCAAAUAGUCAAAAUUGUUAAAACAAUCUUUAUUGAGUUAAGCAACUUAAUUGCAUUACACCUUUUCCGAAAAAUAAAAUAAAAUAAGAAUCAUAUUAUAUGCAUAAAUUUCAUGAAAGUCCUGCAACCUAUAGGGGGUAGGCCUUGAAGUUACAGUGAUAAUUUAUUCCACUAAAAAUUUUGAUCUCUACAAUUAUACCUUUUUUUUUUUUUGGAGUAAUAGGGAUAAAUACACAAAUAAUAGUACUAUUAAAAGGGAUAAGUAGAGGAAUUUAAAAGAAAUUUAUUGUGUUUUUAAAACUUUAAUUCAAGUAUUAUAUACAAAACUCCAAUUACAAUAUGUUUUAAUUCACUUUUUAAAACUAAUCAAAUGUAAUUUUUGAAAACUUCUCGAAACUCAAAUUUCGAUUUCAACAUGUGAUUGAAUGAUAGGGAUGAUAAAAAAUAGGUAAAUAAAAUAUAUGUAAUAUUAUUGUACAUUAUUAACCGCUUUCAUACCAUUAGCAUAUCAAUGGCAUCUUGCUAAGAAGAAUAACCACCGACAAUAGUCCAUUAUAAUUGUUUCAGAAUGAAUGACAUUUAUUUGUUCGUAUUCUAUUGUUUUGCUAUUUAGGCCAUAUUCACUUGAACUGACUUUUUGUUUGGAGUAGUGUUUUAGUAGAGAAUUUGUAGGAGGACACCUAGAUUUAGCCUAUGGGUUGCCUUAAUUAAUGGUUUUGGCACAACUUAACAAAAUUCUAUGCUAUCAUAAAGUAGCUGAUUGACCAUGAUUGCGCAAUGCCAUCAUAAAGGAACUGAAUGCCCAACACACAUACAUGUGAGGUACCAUAUUUUUUAAGAAAGACAAGUCAGUUUGCAAUUGAUGUUAAUAUCUUUCCAAGGCGGAGACAUCAUUUUGUAGGUAUAAUUGAAUUAGUUAAACUUAAAGCCCAAUUGACAUUCUUUCAAGUAAAAUCAUUUUUAACCUAUAAUGCUCAACACUUUUAUUAUGAGAAUCAUAGAAGUAUCAGAAUCGUAGAGAAUCUGAGAAAGUGAUUCUAUAGUGUUGUUGAUAAUAUGUCACAUGACUAUAAAAUGUUUUUAAUAUUAGUAAAUUAUCAAAAAGGACAUCAAAUUUAAUUACAACAAGGAAAUAUUAUAAUAAACUAAUAAUUUUUCAUGAUAAAAGAAUAUAUAAACAUUUAUAGUAAAAGAAUAUAUAAACAUCUAUAUUACUAACAAAAACUAAAAAAAAAAUAAUAGUUCUGGUGAUUACAAGAAAAUUUUAGAGAAAAUUUACAACAUGAUUUGGAUUAAUAAACAAACAUCAAUCAUAAUAUAAUAAUUUUCAAAAUAAAAUAAAUUAUUUGAUUAUUUAUUCACUUAAAAAUAAUAUUUUUUUAUUACUACAAAAAAAUUUUGAAAAAUACUUACAAAAAAUCUAGAUUAAUAAUGAAGAAUUGAAUAAAAACAUAUUAGAUUUUAAAAAUAAAUUAGUAAUUAAAAGCAAAUGAGAAGACAAAUUUUCUCAUAGAAAAAAAAGGAGAAAAUUGUAUAUAUUUUUUCAUAUUAGUGUUAUAAUAAAACAUCAACAAAAUAUAAGAAGACUAGCAAUUCGAUCACGUUCUUUUUACAUCUCUCUUGCAUGAUAGAACCAUCUUUCUCAACUCGUAAAUUCACUAUAAUCUCUUUUUUAUUAAGUAGAUGUAACCCUUGAUCAUCAUCAUAAGGUUUAAAUUUCAUAUCUAUUCUAACAUUAAUCAUUAUUAAGUUGUAAAAACCAUCAAAGUAAUAACAAUGUUCACUUAUUUUUUAAGAGGAAAAACUAUGCAUUUCUCAUAUUGUUCCACAUCUGUUCUUCAAAAAGGCAAAUGUUCAAUUGUUCUCCUCAAAUAUGUCUAUGGUUAGAUAUUUCCUUCUUACCUCUUGGUAAACUACUCCAUCAAAAUUUGGAAGUUGGUAACACUCGCCCUCUAAGGGCCUAAUUAUAUAUCCACUCAUUUAAGGAUAACCAACAUUGAGUAAAUAAUAUUUACCUACAAAACAAAAACAAAAUAUUAUAUAAGAGAAUAAAAAUUUAAUCACAAAAGUAACUUUCAUAUUUUUAGUCACAAAUCUCUAGAUGGAUGAGGAAAACCCAAUUCUAGCAUUUUUUUUUAAUGCCCCUACAAAGACGCAUGCAUCAUGAGCAAUACCUCCCCAUCUAGCCAAUGCAAAUGUGAAAUACAUAUUGAAAUAAUAUAUGGCCAUAAUAUUUUAGGUAGUUAUGCUUUUUGUACCAAUAUGUGAUAUUUGCCUAUCUCUAAAAAUCAUAAUGGGCAUAUGAGUUCCAUUAAUUACCCCUGUACAAUUCUUAAAAUAUGGCCAAUAACGGUCAACAUUUCUUAUUUUAUCAAGGAUCUCCCUAAACUAUGAAUCACUUGGUUUUACAAUAUCCAUAGCUAUAAGACAAAUAACAUCUAAUAUAAUCUCAAACCAUCUAGAAAUAAAUUCAUUGGAGUGUACCCUCCCCCGAUCCACCGACCGGCGUGACUCACAAUUGAAACGAUAAGUAGAGAAAAAAAUGUUUUCCAGUUUUGGAAAAUCCAUCCCAACGAGGGAUGGUUUUUGUUUGGAGUCGCCACUUACUUUUUAUUUUUAUUUUUGAAAUGGGAAAAAUUAUGGAAGAACAAAAACCCCUCAAUGACUCCAGUUAGGAAAAAAACGGUCUGCGAAACUAGAUUUCUAGGUCCGAGGAUUAGGUUACCUAUCAGGAAGGUACCUCAUAUGAGGUAGCACCCCUCUAGGCCCGAAAUCUGGUCUCUACUAGUGAAUUGGGUACAUUGGAGCAUAUGGUAAAAGAUCAAUCAAUUCCCACCUCGAGCUACAUGAAUGACAAGACUUGCGCAAUUCUAGUUGGUAUUUGACAUGCUUAGGAAAUCGACAAUCAGAACAAAGAUGCGUACCUGAGGUCCCUAGUUGUGCGCUGAGAGAAAAGGUUAGUCAAUAAGCACAAGCGUACAACAUAUACAACCCUGUGAUUUACUAAAAUUUAGCCGCAUUCCUACUUGAAUUGAUAGAAUUUCUAGUCAUGACCUGACCCUAUACAUGUAACCUCUAAUCUUCGCUAAACAACCAUCAAAAUUGAAACUUAAAAAAUUAAAUUCAAAAUUUCAAGAUUUUUGGAAAUUUUGGGAACGGAAACUUGAAAAAAAUAAAUCCGGAGUUUUCGAAACUUUGGAAAUUUUGGGGAAUGGACUCUUAAAAAAAAUGAAUCCAGAAUUUUGAGCAUUUUGGAAAUUUUGGGAAUGGAAACUUAAAAAAAUUUAAAUAUGGAAUUCUCAAAAUUUUGGAAAUUGAAACUUAAAAAAUAAAAUCCGGAAUUUUUGAAACUUUGGAAAUUUUUGGAAAUGGACACUUAAAAAAAUUAAGUCUCGAAUUUUCGAAACUUCGGAAAAUUUUGGAAAUGGAAACUUAAAAAAAAUGAAUCCGGAACUUUCGAAAUUGGAAACCUUCAAUUUUAAAAGUUUUGGAGUUUUGGAAAAUUUGAUAGUGGAAACUUAAAGAAUUAAAUUUGGGAAUUCGGGAAUUUUGGUAAUGGAAACUUAAAGAAUAAAUUCUGAAUUUUGGAAACUUUGGAAUUUUGGAAAUAAAACUUUGAGGAUAGUAUUUAAAAAUGAAACUUUGGAACUUUGAAAAAAUAAACUUUGAGGAUAGUAUUUAAAAUGAAACCUUGGGAUUUUGACUUUUGGGAAUUUGAAAAAUUAAUUUAAGAAUGCCAUUAAAAAAAAAUUGAAAUUGCGGAAUUUUGAGAGUUGUGGAAUUUUGGAACAUUAAUUUUAACAAUGGUGUUUUUAAAAAUGAAAAUUUGGAAUUUUAAGAGAAAUGGAACUUUAGAAAACUUAUUUAAAGUUAGUAUUUUAAAAAAAAAAACUAGAUUUGGGAGUUUUAGAAAUGGAAACUUAAAAAAUUAUAUUCGAAAAUUUUGAAACUUUGGAAUUUUAGGGAACAGAAAUUUUAAAAAUUGAAUUCGGAACUUUGAGAAUUUUUGGAAAUUUUGGGUACCCUAAUUUUAAAAAUUGAAUCCGAAACUUUAUAAUUUUUUUGGAUAUUUGGGCAUAGGAAUUUUAGAAAAUGAAUUUGGAACUUUGUGAAUUUUUUGGAAACUUUUUUGGUAUGGAAAUUUUAAAAAUUAAAUCCAGAACUUUGUGAAUUUUUUGGAAACUUUGGGUACGAGAAUUUUAGAAAAUAAAUUCGGAACUUUAUGAAUUUUUAUAAAUUUGGUGUACGGGAAUUUAAAAAAAUGAAUCCGGAACUUUGUGAAUUUUUUGGAAAUUUGGUUACGGGAAUUUUAAAAAACGAAUCUGGAACUUUACGAAUUUUUGGAAAUUUGGGUAUGGGAAUUUUAGAAAAUGAAUUUGGAACUUUACGAAUUUUUUGGAAACUUGGGUACCGGAAUUUUAAAAAAUGAAUCCGGAACUUGGCAAAUUUUUUGGAAACAUUGGGUACAGGAAUUUUAAAAAAUAAAUCCGGAACUUUAUGAAAUUUUUGGAAACUUUGGGUACUAGAAUUUUAAAAAAUGAAUCCAAAAUUUGGCAAUUUUUUUUGGAAACUUUGGAUAUGAGAAUUUUUAAAAAAUGAAUCCAGAACUUUACGAAUUUUUGAAAACGUUGAGUAGUGGAAUUUUAAAAAAUGAAUUCAGGACUUUACAAAUUUUUGGAAACUUUAGGUAUGAGAAUUUUAAAAAAUGAACCCGGAACUUGGAGAUUUUUUUGGAAACUUUGGGUACGAGAAUUUUUUAAAAAUUAAUCCGGAACUUUACGAAUUUUUAGAAACGUUGGGUACUGGAAUUUUAAAAAAUGAAUCCGAAACUUUACGAAUUUUUGGAAACUUUGGGUACAAGAAUUUUAAAAAAUGAAUAUGGAAUUUUACGAAUUUUUGGAAACUUUGGGUAUGGGAAUUUUUAAAAAAAUGUUAAGUUGGAAUUUUGGGGAAUAUUGGAAAUGAUAUUUUAAAAGUUAAGUUGGGAAUUUGGAAAAUUAGAAAUGUUGGAAAUGAUAUUUUAAAGGUUAAGUUGGGAAUUUGGACAAGUGGAAAUGUUGGAAAUAAUAUUUUAGAUGUUAAGUUGCAUGUGGGCUGUGCAUGGGAAGUGCAUGGGCUAAAUGGGAGGUGUAGACGUAUGAGAGGAGUUGUGGGGAGAUGUAUUUGAUGGCUGUUUGAAGACCCUGAGCUUCCUGUGAGCUAUAGGAUGGCUUUAAGCUAUAUGUGGGUUGCACUUGGUGGCCAUUUGGAGACCUUGAGUUGUAUAUGGGCAGUAGGGUGGUUUUAAGCUGCAUGGGGGCUGCAUGUGUGACCUUUAGGCUAUGUGUGUGGGCUAUAGGUGUGAGGGUAUGGAGGCCAUGGGUGCAUGUGAGGAUUGUUAAGAUAUGGACUCGCAUAUCUAACAAUAGUUCAUGACUAAGCUACUCACCCUUAAUGUAUUUUUUUUCUAUUCGUUCUAAGUAUGGGCCAUCUCAUGUGUAGAGCCCGAUACCGUAUAUGUCUCAAAUGAUGGGCUUAAGACACAUAUGACCCAAUCUUUGCAACGGAAUGGUACCUAAGGCAGGAGGGUAUAAAAGGAUAAGUGUCAGUUCUUGAACAUCACAACUUUUGAAAAACUAAACUAAACUCGUUCUCUCCUACUCCCAUCGUCAGAGAGAAUACCAAAAAGAGGUGGUACCCUCCAUAGCCUUAGAAGAUCCAUACCUUCUUCAACACCCAAAAAGAGGCGGUGCCCUCCAUAGCCUUAAAAGGCAUGAUUUUAUGAAUGAAUUGAUAUAUAUACAUCUAUCUUGUAUGCAUGUUUGGUGUUAAUGGAGAAGACAGUUUAUUAUCAAGGAUGAGGUGUGAACUGUACGGAUGUCAUGGUGGGGUGUGAGGAUGUAUGUGGUAGUGUGGGCUGCACAAUGGGUGGGUUGUGGGCUGUGGGAGAUGAGUUUCGUGAAGAAUGAACAGUGGAGGAGGUAGAGAGAGAAGUGGGUUUGGUGGGUGUGGAAGAUGAAAACAUGGAUAUGGUGGUGUGAAUGAGCUAUGAGGUUACAUGGGUUGCAUUGUGAUGGUAUGAACGAGCUGUAGGUUGCAUGGGCUGCAUGGUGAUGGUAUGGAUGAGUUGUGAGGUUGCAUGGGUGAGCCAUGGAGGUUAUGGGUUGCAUGGGUGAUCCAUGGAGGUCAUGGGUGCAUGCGUGAACUGGGUGUGAGCUGUGGGUGCAUGUGGGCUGUAUGUGGAAAGUGUGAGUGAGCUUUGUGUGGGAUGUGGGUGCAUGUGGGCUGUAUAUGGAGAGUGUGAUGCCUUUUAGGGCUAUGAGGGAGCUAUGGGACGGCCGUGAGGGGAUGAGGGCUGCGUGUGGACUGUAUGGUGGGCGUGAGUGGCCUGUGAGGGAGCUAUGGUUGCUGGUGAAGCGGUGUGGUGACUGUGGAGGCUGCAUGCGGGCUGUAGGUCGGCUUUGAGGGCCAUGAGGGGGCUAUGGGAUGGCCGUGAGGGGGGGUAAGGGCUGCAUGUGGACUGUAUGGUGGGCGUGGGGUACAUGUAUGGGCUGUAGGUGAUGUGCGGGCUGCAUCAUUUUAUCCUGUAUGCCAUUUUAGGUUUAAACUCAUUUUUAACUUAAAACAUCUGAAAUUAACCCAAAACCAUGGCGAUGGGAAAAGAGAGGGUAAGGAAAAAUGGCCCAGAAAGGUUUUCAAUUUUCUUUAAUUGCAUUCCAUAUCUCCCUCAUGAAGCAUCCCUUCCUCACUUUCAAAUUGUAACUUAACUCCAAAAGAACCCCAUCAAUUCUUCACAACUACAUAAGAAUAAUUGAUCACCUCCCUUGCCUUCCCUUCAGAAUUAGUUUCUUUGCAUAGACCAGUCCACUCACCAAGAGUUUUAUCAUUGAGUGCCGAUAUAAGGCUGACAUUAUGGUCAGCACAAAUAAAUUUAAUACAGUCCAGCUGAUUACAAAUCUCUUCCAAUACACACAAUUGGGCAGCAUGUUUUUCAAUCAUCUUAGCACUUUCGUGGAAGCUUCGCAUAGGUCCAACAUGAGCCAAUGAUUACCUUAAGACGGGUAUCAGGGCUGUCUUGAGGUCUAUGGUCUUACCUAGGAGGGGCACCAGCAGCCUCAACCACAACAACUUCAUCUCCAAACAUUUUCCUCAAUCAUCCCCCCUAGAUGAUCUUGGUGUGCAAGCUUACCCAUAUGAUUCUAACCGAGCAUGAGAAAUCGGUAUACAUGGCGUAUAGAACCAAAAACAUAGGACAUCGGGAAGACCAGACAAGAAGUUGAAACGAAAAUAGGGUAAAUGAAAACAAGGAUAAAACAAAGGACAUGCAAAAUAAUCACCAAUCCAUAUUCCAUAAACAGAGAGUCAAUAGACUUGUAUUAAGGAUGGGUGAGAAGAAUUUCCAGAAAUUAUCAAGAGGCUUAAAACAGAGUUCAAACCAAUCUCUGUAAAGCACAAUGAAAAUGGAACAUAAAAGCACUAUAACUCAGCCCAAACAAUCCAAAGAUCAGCCACUAUACAGCCUGAUACCUAUACCUAAAAUUAAUGACGAGCAUAUAGGCCUUCGACCACCAAAACAUCUAACAAAUGGAAUAAAUCUAGAAAAGAGUAGAUGUUUUAAUGUAAAGAACUUACCUCCUAGAAUAUGUGGAUUGUCCUGAAUCCUCAUUGCCUUGCUCUCUGUUCUGACUUUUUUCUCUGUUCUCCCUUCAGAAUCCGUUUUUCUUUCUUUCUCUCAAAACCUCCCCCUUUCCUCCAGAUUUUUCUGCUCCAGACCCCCUCUUUUUGAAACCUCCUCAACUUUUCUUCUCCUCUCUCCUCUUUUUUUUUUUUUUCUUUUUAUACCAGAAUCUCCUUUCUACCUCCUCCCAUGCCUUCUCAAAAUCCUCAAAUUCUUUCAAAAACUCUGUUCCACCUCUGCAAACUCUCCUUCCCAUAAAAAAAAAAAUCCUCUUCCUCAGGUCAACUUAUCUAUCUCUUCCCCAUUUUCCAAUUAAUUAAAUCCUUUUUUUUUUCAAAACCUUUGUUUUUCUUCUUUUAGCCAACGACCCUUGGAAUUUUUAUUUAUUUAUUUAUUUAUUUUAAAACCUCAUUUUCUGCACCCUUCCAUUUUCAAAAAUAUCAACCUCUUUUUUUUUUUUUUUAUGCACUCGAUUUUUUACUUUGCCAAGUCUUUUUUUUUUUAAAGUAAAUAAAAUAAAAUAAAUUGAAUAAAAUAAAAUAAUAAUAAAAAACAUAAAGUAAAUAAAUAAUAAUAAUAAUAAUGAUAAUAAUGACUUACCAAAAAAAAAAGCUAUUCAUAAAAAAAAUUAUAUUGAAACAUUUCAAAAUAAAUAAAUAAAUUGAAUAAAAUAAAAUAAAAUAAUAAAAUAAUUUACCAAAUUAAUAAUAAUAAUAAUAAUAAUAAUAAUAAGAUAAGAGCAAUAAUCACAUGCAAAUUUUUUGAAAAUAAAUAAGUAGGUGAAUAUAUAAAUAAAAUAAGAAAAAUAAAUAAAUAUCAAAUGCAUAUAAUUAAUAAUCUAAAUAUUAAACUAAAACACAAUAAAAAAUUAAAUUUAAAAAAAUUAUCAAAUUGACACAAUUAAACAUCGAAAAUUCUUUUUAGGCAAUCAAAAUCAAAAUCAAAAUCAAGAUCAAACCCAAUACUUACCUAAUCUCAAACAUCUAGCAAUCAAGAAAUUAAUCUUAGGGAAUUAACCCCAAAAAAGCAUCUAAGUGACCUAGGUGAAAAAGUGUCUAAGUGACCAAAGUGGAAAGUGCCAAGGUGAAUUAGGUGGAAAUUAAACUAAGGAGGUGUCUAAGUGAUCAAAAAUGCGCUAAGUGACCUAGAAGGUUUAAAAAAGGGCCUAAGUGAUGUAGGGUGAUUAGAAACGUGUUAAGUGGCCUACGAGUGUAUUUAAUGGGCCAAAUGCAUUUAAAUAGGCCUAAGGUGCCAAAGUGGGCCUAAGGUGGUGCCCAAUGGGUCACCAGAGAAUUAUUGAAAAGUAUCAAAUGGACACAUAAUAGAACAUGUGCUAGUAGGACAAAAUGGAGGGUCUACAUGGAAUGCUAAAAUCUUUCUUAGGUCGUCAUGUUGCCAAGUCUAUGACCUAUUAUAGUGAGAAACAUUGCUAAAGCCUCUAUUAAGGGCAUAUCCAAACCUUCUCUUAGACCAUGCCUUUUAAUAAGUGUUUCUAAUCAUUAAUGCAUACAUGUUUUUCCAUCCUAAAUUGCUCAAAACUCUAAUUUCGAAAAAGUUCUACAAGGUUUUUAUUUUUUAUUUUUGUAGUUAGUAAGUGUUACAGGUACAACACAUCAAACCAACACCAAUUGAUAAAAAACAUUUCACCAUUGCUUUCAUCUUUAAUAUUAUGAUUGCAACUAUUAUUAUAAUUAGAAAACAUAUAUACAAAAAAUAAAAAUAAGAAAUACAUUAAAAAAAAACCAAUAAUGUACAUUUUAUGUUAAUAUAGCUUAAACUUAUGCAUGUUUACUAAAAUAAAAGGAUUUUUUAUUUAAAAAUUUAUUUGAACAGGCCAAUUCAAGAGUAGUAGUAGUAGUAAGCAAAAUAAUAGCACUAAAAAAUAAGAGCAUAAAUACAUGUAAUCAUAUAAUUAUAUUUUUCCAUAAUAAUAAUAAUAAUAAUAAUAAUCUAGCUCAUGUGGGUCACCCUAGGAUAAGACUCCUCCCAUAACACCCCUAUUUUCAAUCCAUUUCUAUUCUUAAUAGCUUGAUUAAUUAAACAAAAUUUUAAAUUCGAAAGUGUUGUGUUGAGAAAUCAAAUACAUUAUAAAGCUCAUCUAAUUAACGACUUGACUGAAACAAAAUUUUAGAUUCAAAAGUGUUGUGUUGCAAAAUCAAAUACAUUAUAAAGCUCAUCUAAUGGUCACAACUUUUAGAGAAAGAAACAAUUAAAUAUACCAUGUGAUAGGCAUAUAUGUCUUCCUCACUCAAAAAUUUCACUCAAUACCAACAUACAAAUCCAAUUUAAAACAAUAUUAGGUAGCAAAAUAUGUUUCAACAUUAGAAUAAGAAAUAACUCAAAUAGUCAAACAUGUUUUUGCUUAUGUCGUGCAAUUUGAUCAAUUGAGUUUUCUAAUGUAAGAAACAUCUCAUUAUUUUCCUUGACAACUUGAAUAACUAUGACUUUCAUAUACAACUUAAGGUCAUUCUCCACUUCAAGCAUGCCACAUAUAACUUUUAUUACUUUAACCAUGCUACAACCAAACUUAUCUACUCUAGAUGUAACUUUAAAAAUGGGCUCUAACUGCAUAGUAAAAACACAAGAUUUGGUUCCAUCUCUUAUCUUCUUUCUUCUUCUCUUAUUUUGCCUUGAAAUUUAUUGCCUUGGGGUUCUUCUACAAAAGUAUCCAAUUCAUUAUAUUUCACAACCAAAAUAUAAAUUAACCAAAUAAACUUAGUAAAUAAAUAAAAAUGUAUCUUCAAUUUAUUAUCCUACCAUUCGUUUUUAGCAUUAGUGGUUUGUGUCAUAGGUUCCACCCAAGGCCAAUCUCUUUUUGAAUCAAGGCAUUCCAAAGUUGUCAAUCAUUUUUUAAGAGUACUUACUGUUAUAGUUGAACAAAAAAUGAUCUCUUCAAGAAUAUUUUAGAGACUUCAAAAUUAUAUAUGAUAAUCUUGCCGCAAUCAAAAGCUAAUUUCAAACCAAGACAAAGUUUGUUGAUUCACUCGUGGUUUAGGAUAAUGGAAUGAUUUUUUAUUUUUUUUUAAUCUACAAUGCUUUUCUAGCCAAUUCAUAGUAUCUCUUUAAGGACAUAAGCAAUCACUCACUCGAAAGAGAUGGAAAGAAAAUUUUCCUAGAGGAUGUACAAGUUUUUAAAGAAAAUUUUCCUAAAGGAUGUACAAGUUUUUAUUUGGACAACAUAGUUAUGGUCAUAAUGGUUAAAAAGGCGGAAAUUUUAAUUUGAGGGGAAGAAUCUUUACACUUCCUAGUGUUACGAUUUUUAUUUUUUAUUUUUUAAAUAUUUUUAUGAUUUUAUCAAGUCCUUGUCAAAGGAUGUCUUCACCAUGUUUUGAGAUAAGUCGGGUGUGCAUAUUCAUUCCCACUCCAACUUUAGCGGGCAUAUUAAAGGAAAGAAUAAAAUAAGACAAAAAGAACAUAGGAUGGCAACACGUAGGAUGAUAAAAAUCCGCUUCAAUUAAUAUUUCCAUAAAUCAAGAGUAAUCAAAUAUUAAAAUAUCUGAUUUUCCUAAUUUAGGAUAUAAUAUUUAUUUUAAAUAAAUAAAGAACAAUCAAAUAUUAAUAAUAUUUUAUUAUCUUAAUUUAGGAAAUAAUACUUAUUUUCCUUAAUUUUAGGAUACUUGUUAUUUCUUUCUUUGUAUAAUUCACAAUGCAUUCUUGUAUAAAUUUUCUAAAAGAAACAAUAAAAUUCAUCAUUUUCAUUGCCAAAUUAUCAAAUCCUUUACUAAUGACCUUAUGAUUAAAAUCUUGUUUGUUUGGUAAGCUAUGAAUUUUAAUGAUAUUCCAUCAUUUCUAGGCCUCUCAAACCUUCAAUUUAGUAGGGUUACAAAACAUAAUUUCUCAAACAGCAUUCUUUCCAUAGUCAUAUCUCUAGCCUUGCUAUAAACCAAGACCAUCAAGGACCAAGACACAACAUUCUUGUCUACCAUCUUGUCAAACAACUCAAAUGUUGUAUUUAUAUAUCCUACUUUAACACACCCAUCGAAUAUUAUGUUCAAACUAAUAACAUCUCCAUUUGGCAUUUCAUCAAAAGCCUUGCUCACCUUUUCUUGAUCCACAUGGGCAUAAAUCACUCUCAACUAUUAACACAAACAACAUAGAUUUUAGCCUAUUACAAACCAAACUGAUAUAUCACCCCUAGUAGUUGUAAUUUCCUUCAUUAAUCUCCCUCCCAUUUCCACAUCUCUUUUCUGACACAACCCAUAAAAAAAAUAAAAAAAAAAUCAUGACAUUUGAGUCUAGAUAGGAGAAAGCACAAAUCUCAGUGCACAAAAAUUUGAUUUCAAUCAUUCACAAAAAUUUAAUUUUAUACAUGGUAAAACAUUAUAAUAGUAAAAUAACAAAUUGAGAAGAACUUCCUAGGAAAAUAUAAUCAAAGGAAAACAAGGUAAUCAAAAGACUCAUAUAAUUUUUUACUUCCAUUUUCUAAGUAACUAAAUAGAAAUGUGGCAAGGAAAGUAUCUCUAACUAUGGAUGUAAAGAGUCAUUGUUAAUGAGAAAGGGGUGAGAAUUGGAAUUAUGAAAAGAGUAGAAGAAGACUGCUUGGACUAUGGAGAGUGAAGGAGAAAGAGAAUGCUUGUUGAAAGGGAAAGAGUGGGUUAUUGGGUAACACUUACGGUUAUUUUAGGUACAUUUGAAAAUUUGAAAAUUAUUUUUUAAAUAAUCACCUCUCAAGUGCUUUUCUAAAAAUCACUUCAAGUGAUUUUUUUUCUUUUAAAGGUUUUUAAAAGUGUUUUUGAAAAUUUUUCCAAACAUUUAUUUUUCACCCAAAAACCUCUUUUAAUUAUUCAAAAUGCUAGACGCUCUUCUUAAAAACACUACUAAACAAGUUCUUAAUAAGAUUUUAUUUAUUAUCACAGUUUCUUAGUCUUUAACCAAGGAUAUGUCUAUAUUAUAUAAUAAAAGCAAGGAUAUAAUUUUAUUCUAACUAUUUUUCAACCUUAUUUUCUUUAAAUAUCUACUAAAAUGCCAUUUUAUUAUUGUUCAUUGAUUAACCCAUUAAGAAUGGAAUUACUAUGAUUUCACCCCAACUCCAACUCUCUUUUCUACAAAAAGGAAAACUAAUUUUUUUUAGGAAUAUGUAUGGAAAGGCAAUGUUAUAGAUGUAGUUAUACAUGGAGAUUGAUAGAAGUGAUAGAAGCGGGAUCAUGCUAGGGUUUUAGAGCCAAAGAUGAUGGGUUAGCGAUGAUGGGUCAUAAGGGAAGAGAUGGAGAAGUUAGGAAUUGAGGUUAGAUUUAAGGUUAAGGUUAGGGCUAGGGUUUCAUCAAUGGAUGGUGAUGAAGAUGAAGAUAUGCACAUCCCUUGCAAAAUCUACCAAUAUGAUCCGUUUCUACUACAUAAUCAACUGAAAUUUGAAUCAAUUCUUCUUCUCAAACUAUGAUAAUACGAUUUUAGAUGGUUUUUGAUAAUGAUUUCUUUUCCUCUCAAUGAAACUGUAGAUCAAUUCUAUGUUACAACCCGAAUAAAGGAUCAUUAGGAUCCCUUAAUCUUUAGUUUCUAUUUAGAUUAGGGAAUAAAGGAUCCCUAAGGUCCGUCAAUCUUUAAUUUCUAUUUAGUUUCCUAUAUAAAAUAAGAAGAGCAUAAUGAGGAAAGAAAUGGAAAAAUAAUCUCAGUAAGAAAAAUUUGUUCUCUCAAUUUUGCAUCUUCUCCUUGAGUCAUAAGAAUUGGUAUUAGAACACGGUCUUGGCACUAAUCAUGGCGAAAGGGACUAGAGCGUAAGAACAACAUAGACUUAAAGAUACUAUUAAACAGUUGAAAGAAACAUUGGAUAAACAAGUGACUACCUUAUUAGAACUAUCAAAGAUGGUUGCAACCAUAAACUUGAAAUUCAAACACAUGAAUUCAAGGAUAGAAAAGUAAAGUAAUGGGUAUAAUGCUUCAAUCAAUAAAAGCAUGAUAGACUAUCACUCAUAUGUCAUAAACUCCAUUCAAACCAGGUUUUCCAAACUCAAUUUUCCAAAAUUUGAAGGUGAGAAUUGGGAAUUAGGAAAAGGUUGGAUUGGCUUCCUUACAUUUAAAACAAAGGGCCUUAAAAAGGUUUCAAGGGUGCGAGGCUAGUAACAAGGAAAUCAAUUGGACACUAUUUUAUAUAGAUGUUGUUUCUAGGUUUAGCCCUAGUGUUUAUGAUAGCCUUAUGGGGCAAAUAAUCAAAUUGAAAUAGGUUUCUACAGUUUAGGCAUACCAAAAUUAGUUUAAAGUAUUGAUGACCAAAACUAGUGGGUUAUCAAAGAAUUUUUUUUUUUUGUCUAGUGUUUCAUUAGUAGCUUGAAAAAGGAAAUUAAAAAUCAAGUCACCAUGUUUCAACCAAUCACACUAGCCCAAACCAUCGAGUUAGUCUUGUUGCAGAAAUGAAUAAUGGAGGUAAUUCUCAAGGAAUUCAAGGACUCUAACAAAAGUGGGGAGAGUACAGUGAACUUUACAAGAAUCAUAAUGAAUCAUAAUAACAAAUUACCACCCCUUAAGAAGAUUUUAGCCAUAGAAGUGUAAGAGAUGAAAAAAAAAAUUGUUAUUAUUGUGAUGAGAAGUAUGAUUCUAGCUAUAAAUAUAAAAUGAGUCCAAAUUUUCUAUUAAAUGGUCAUAAAAGUGAAGGGAACGCAACAUCUAAAGCUAAAAAUGAUAUCAAGAGGAUGAUAUUAUGGUUUUAAUCAAUGCAAUAUUUAGUUCACCGUCUCAUCAAACCAUGAGAAUCUAUGACAACAUAAAAAAGAAGGUCGUCACCGUACUAAUUAAUUUAGAAAGCACCCAUAACUUCCUUGAUCUUGUAGUGGCCAAAAGAACAAGCUGCUCAAUACAAACUACCAACCCCAUGAAGGUGGUAGUAACAUAUGGAACUAGAAUUGCUAGUGAUGCAAUUUGUAGGCAAUGUUAGGAUAGAACCCUUAAAAGCAUGACAUAAUGUAAUAAAUUUGGAAUUCAUUAUUUAUUUAAUGAUGUUCCAGUUUCACUUUUAUCUAUCCUUAUUCCAUGUAUUAUACUUUAUAAGCAUUUUUGUCUACAUCUUUUGCAUUGUAUGUGACUUAGGUACAUUAGGAGUUGUAUAGAAGAUCUAAGUCAUGAGUUCUUUGCAAAUAGAUGACUUAUUCACAACCAAUUCAUGGGUCUAGGAAACCCAUUAGAGGUUGUAGUGCACCACUUCCUAAUUGGAGGGAUGGUUGGUCUUGGCUAUUGGGAUGGGUUUCAUAUGAUGAGUGCACUAGUAUGUAUGAAUGCACAUUGGACAGGACCUAUGAUGAGUUAUGACUUAAGGCUAUCAAGUAGUCAUGAUUUCACCAAGUUGCUUCAUUAUGUUGUUUCUCAACCUUGAGAGAAUAUUAAGUUUGUGUUGAAGUUAGCAGUGGCUUCGACCUAUGGGUGAGAUAGUAAGAUGAUCAUAUAUUCCUUAUAGAUUUGAUCACUAUUGAUGGAUGUUGGUAGCAAUAAGUAUUCUCAAUAGAGGCACCAUGAUAUCUCUUAGGAAUAAGAUAGUGUGUCCUUUUGGGUGAUCCUAAGAAGGUGUGUUCAUGGAAACUGUGGCCAUAGUAGUUCCUUAGGUGGAACUUGGCAUAAGCUCUUUGAGAGCUAAGAUAUGUCAAUUUAACACACAAUAAGAGGAUUUGUAACUCAAGAAUGGCAGAGGUAGUAUUAAAAGACUGAUUGCUUUCACCUUGUUAGACUAUAGGCACUAAUUCAUGGGAGGACUGAACACAAUGGAUACUAGGUCACGGACCCAAGCACUUGGUGUAUCAUUGCUAUUUACAUAGGAUAUUGGAUUUCAGUUGGUUCUCUGUAGUGGGAUGUUGAAUCAAAUUUGGAAUUGGAUUAUGAGGGAACCAAUAUUCUUAUGGGUCCUAGUGUCCUCGCUUUAAGCUUAUAUACCUUGUUGGCACUGAUUAUGAGGGUCAGAUUGGCUUUAGGUUCACUUUUGUACAUAAGGACAUUUUGGUAAUCAUGCAAGAUUGCACAAAGGUAAGUGAACAAGGUUUUUGGAUUGGGUUAAUUGAUUAAUUAGGAGGCCCUAUUGGGUUAACUAAUCAAUUAUGACCCAUUUUGGGCUAGAUUAAGUGACCCAAUCCCUUAGUGGACUCAAGUCACUUAAGCCUAGUAGGAAACCCUACAAAUACCCCUUUAGGGGUUAGGGUUCAUAUUGCUUUUUCUAGAGAUCCAUCUUCCAUCCUUAGAGAGAGAGAGAGAUUCAUAGCCUUUAGUCUUCUUUCUAUUCCCACCGGAAGUGUGUCAAUAUCAAGUUUUGACUCAUCAAGCGGAAGACUUUGGGUUUAAGAGACUUCUAAGAUUUUGUUCUUCAUCUUCACCAUGUGGAUUUGAUUUAGGAACAUCCGAAUCUAAGGUAUGGCUUUUGUUAACACUUUCUGAAUCCCUUUAAAGUUUAAAAAUGUUAUUUUUCCUUUGUACAUAGGAUUUAGAAAAAGCCUAGGAUAGUUAUGCAUGUUCCUAACCUGAUCCGAGCUUAGGAAAUGGAGAGAUUCGAGUUUUCCCAUUAGGCAGUUGACAUGAAACAUGUAAGAGAAGAAAUUUUAGACAUAUUUAAGGCUCAUACCUUUGAGUGGGUGCGAUAUGGUAUUGGGAAUUCAAUGGCUAGCUGAAUUGGGACUCAUAUUGUGGGAUUUCAAGAAUUUAAAAAUGGAAUUUAUUAUUGAUGGGAGGAAAUUCAUGUUGAAAGGUGCAACUAUAGGUUCCAAAAAUUUAGUUUCAACAAAUCAAAUUCAAAAGGAUUUAAGGCAUAUGUAUCAAGCAUCUACCAUUCAAAUUUUCACUAUACAAAGGAAUAAGGAAAAUAAAGUUGAAAAGGAACAACAUGGCAACUGUCCAACUCAUUUCCAAGAGAUGUAACAUGGAAAGAUGCUUACAAGAUUCAAUAAAAGUUUCCGUAGUUUCAACCUUGAGGACAAGGCUUCUUUUGAUGGGGGAGGGAAUGUUACAGCCCCAAAUAAAGGAUCCCUAGAAUCCCUUAAUCUUUAGUUUCUAUUUCUACUUAGUUUCUAUUUCUAUUUGGUUUCUAUUUGAUUGGGGAAUAAAGUAUCCCUAAGAUCCCUCAAUCUUUAGUUUCUAUUUCUAUUUAGUUUCCUAUAUAAAAUAAGGAAAGUGUAAUGGAGAAAAACAUGAAAAAAAUAAUCUGAAUAAGAAAAAUUUGUUCUCUCAAUUUUUCAUCUUUUCCUCAUAUCAUAAAAUUCUAAAUGUGGAUUUUCUCCUUUUGAAGCUCUAUAUGAUACGAAAUCAAUUCUCUUUUACUCUAAUUCCAAGUAUGUAUUUAUCGAAAGGGGUAUGCUUUGACUCUCAAUGAACACAUUUUCUCAAAUUUUCUUCAUAGCUAAGUGGAAAUAACAUAAGGCAGUUAAACUUGCUUUGAGAUUAAUUGUGGUUUUGACAAGCAUUUCAUCUAUAAUUCAUUUAUACAAAAUUUUAUUUCAAAGUUCAAAUAAUCAUUUGAAUUUUACAUUUAAAUUUUAUUUUUAAAUUUAAGACUUAAUUAUUUUGUAAUUAGAGUACUUGUCAUAAAAUUGAAGCUCAUAUAUAUAUAUAAAUGCUUCCACUUUCGUACCUGUCAUAAAAUUAGAGCCUACUUUUUUUUAUUUUCUUUUGUGUGUUUAUAAACGUCUCCAAUUCCAUAUCUAGCUAUGAUAUAUUUUUGUAGAUGAUUGUGAUUGAAGUAUAAUUUCUUUUGAUUUUAAUUUUAUAAGAAUUAAAAGUCUUAUCUAAAUUUGAUUAUUAUUCUAGUUUUCUAAAAGUUCAGAGUAUUACAAAGAAACUAUUGAGUAGAAAGAUGUUUCCCUCCAUACAUAUCUAAUUAAAAAAAAAACCACAAAGAAAAAAAAUUAUUAUUCAUCUGUUGUGUUAGUGCAAAAUAUGAAAAAGAAGACAGAAGCGUGCAUCUUCACUGUGACUGAGGAUCAAAUUCUCUUUGAGAUUGAUAUAAAUUAUUUAUAGCUUCAUUGUUCGUGGAGAGUUGAUUCAGUAGUGUCUUCCAUUUGAAGACAUACAGAAAUGGUAAGAAUUAUUUAUUAAUAUGAAGAGAUAACUUGCAUCUAUGACCCUCAUACUCCCAUGAACUUUGAUCUUAUAAACAUAGUGGGCUUGUUUUAUUUAUAAAAUAUAUAUGAAAAGAGAAUAUAAAAAAAUUAUUUUCAUGGGAAGUGUAUUUUGGAAAAAAUAAUUCUCACUUGAUACAUUGGAAAAGUGCCUACCUCAAAUUACCCAAAAAUGACGUUAUAUGUGUACAUGUGUCAUCAUCCAUACUAGCCCAACUUACAUGAGGAUGGUACAUCAUUCAACCAACAAAGGUACUUUAAGCUCAAAACAAUGGUACAUUAUAAUCAAAACAAUGUUACUUUAAUAUCAAAAUACAUGUAAGGACAUUUUCGGGUAAUGUGAGGUAAAUACUAUUCUAAUACAUUAAAUAAGAAUUAUUUUCCCAAAAAUGUACUCCACAUGAAAAUGACUUUUGUGGGUUUUCUUUUAUUUAUAUUUUAUAAAUAGUACAUGUUUACAUAAUUCCCUCAUAAAUAUAAUACAAUCAUCUAUACCUGAUAAUUAAGGAAAUCGAAAAUAUUUACAUACUAAGCAAGGAUAAUGGAAAUUAAAGAGUAUGUCAAAAGAGAAGAAAAAUACUAAAGAUAAAUUAAAACUCUAAAAUACAAGCCUUCAUUUGCACAUAUAGGCUAAUAUCUUAGGAGGUAUUUGAUUAAAUAAUAAUAAUAAUAAAAAAAAUAAUAAUAAUAAUGAUUAAAAAAUGGAAAAAAUUAUGAGUCCCAUUUUUUAAGUGUUUUCAAUAACAUAAUUAUAAACCCCUUAAAAUUUAAAAUCAUUUAUUUAAACCACUUUAUUCAUUUAGCAACAAGGACUUAAUUAAUCACUAAGAUCAAACAUAAUGAUUUAUAUUUUUUAUAAUUUAAUUUUUUUUUCCAUUUUAAUAAAAUGAAGAUUACUAUUAAUAAAACAAAUUAUUAUGAAAUAAUUUUGUUCAUUAUAAAAUUUAUCUUUCUUUUCUAAAUCAGAAUUUUUGUCAUGUCCAUUCAUAUAAUAAAAUUAAAAUUAUAAAUAAAAAAACUUAUUUUAAUUGACAACACCAUGGAAUCUCUCCAUGCACACUCAUGCAGCCAUCAGUUCCCACGGCAACCAUGUGUCUUCCAACAAGUAUAUUUGCUUUCUUUGGCCCUCCAUGUGUUUGUGUUCUAUUUUUAUUUAUUUAUUUUAUCUUGAUUAGUAGUUCACUAAACAAGCAUGACAAGGAUAUGAGCAGAUAUGUCAUGGCUAUGAUCACUUCUAACACUUAACCCUCUUAAACUAAGUGAAGUAUGAAUGCAGUAUGCAAGUCUAAAUAAUGGUGAAAGAAUAAAAACAAAGGAGAAUGCAUGUAAGAUGUAUAUAUAACUAUAAAUAAGGAUUCAAAAUGAAGGGAAAAAUCAUCGAGAAGGGUGAACCAUGGGUGAUAAGCCACUUCAAGGUUCAUCCUUUGGAUAAAUAUUAAAAGUUAAAGAGUAUAAAAAGUCUACACAUGUCGUCAUUUUUUUUUUCACUUUUAAGUUAAAUAUAUUUUUAUUGUUAUAAAUGAAGUAAUGAAUGCCACCACAUUUAUUAUAUUAAAUGUUCAUUAAAAGCCUAUAAAAAUGUUUCUUAUGUAAAAUGCUUCCCAAGCAAAGAAAGAAAUUCUCUUUUCUUAUUCUCUCUUUUUCUUAUUCUCCAUAUCUUUCAUUCUUUCAACUCUCUUAAUUCUCUUUUAUGAUUCCUUCCUCUCCAUUAUAUAUUAUUAUUUAAAUAAUAUGUAGUUGUUCUCUACUUUUAUUUGGGUUGCAUUUAUCCCCUUUUUACAACAUGUUACCAGCACGAAUUGUUCUUAAGGUAAUUCUCAUAUCUUAAACUUGAAGUUAUUUACAUAGAAUAAAAAGCUAUAAGCAAAUUAUUUGAUUUUGAUUAUAAUCAAAAGUUAUACCAAUGCUAUUAAUUUAUAACUAAUUCUAGUAAUAUUUUUUUAACAUAUAUCUAAAGUUAUUUGACAAUGUCAAAUCUCACAAAACUCGAAUUUGUGGCACUUGACAUUUCAGGAAAGAACUAUCUAUCUUGGAUCCUUGAUGCUGAAAUACAUCUUGAUGCAAUGAAUCUUGGAACUACGAUCAAAGUAGGAAAUCAAGCAUCCUUAUAGGAUCACACAAAAGUGUUGAUUUUUCUUCGCCAUCAUUUCUAUGAAGGUUUUUAAAAUGGGUAUCUUAUAGUAAAGGACGUUUUUACUCUAUGGAGUAAUUUGAAGGAAAGAUAUGACCACUAGAAAAUUGUGAUUUUCCCAAAAGCUCGAUAUGAUUGGAUGCACUUAUGGUUGCAGGAUUUUAAAACAAUUAGUGAAUAUAACUCUGCACUUUUCAGAUUCAGCUCUCAAUUAUAGCUGUGUGGAGAAAAAAUCACAGAAGAAGACAUGUUAGAUAAAACUUUACUACAUUUCAUGCCUUAAAUGUGCUCUUAUAGCAGUAAUACCUAGGGUGUAGAUUUAUAAAAUACUUUGAACUAAUAUCAUAUCUUCUUGUUGCUGAACAAAAUAAUGAGCUUUUGAUGAGAAAUCACUAGUCUCAUCCAAUUGGAUUUGAACCAUUCCUUGAAGUGAAUGCAAUAUCGUCUCAAACUCGUAGACGUGGAUGAGGACAUGGUCGUGGUUGUGGAAGGCAUCCCUAAUAUAAUGGUUAUUGUGGUAAUAAUUCCUCAAAUUCUCAUAAAAGGAAAACUUCAUUGCACCACCGAAAGUGGAAUAAUACUGAGGCAAAACAAGAAAAUGGGAAGUGUUUACAAGAUAAACCUCCCAAGAACCAUGAGAAUGAUUGUUAUAAAUGUGGUAUGAAGGGCCAUUGGUCCCAUACCUAUCGUACACUCAAACAUUUGGUCGACCUUUACCAAGCAUCAAUAAAAGCAAAAAGAAAAAAUGUAGAGAUGAACUUUACCAAUGGUGAUGGAUUGGACCUAACCUACUAUGACAUUGAUAUGACAUUGAUUUGUUUGGAGGUCCUAGUGAAAAAACAAACCAUUUAAUAAAUGAUGAGAAUGCUAACAUUGAUUGGUGUUACUUUAUAAAUCAAAUAAUAUAUUAUUAUGUCUUAUAUUUAUAUCUUAUUAUUACAUUUUCUUUUAUAUUGUUAUUUAUAUUAUGUGUUGUUUUUUUAAUAUUAGUUGUAUCUAAAAUCCACGUGUUAUUUGGUCUCAAGAUGAAUGAGGAUGAUGUAUGUCUCAUAAGAUUAUGAAACCACACACACAAUUCUUCGAGAUAAAAGAUAUUUCCUUGAAUUAACAUUGAUAAAAGCUAAUGUAAGUACCAUAUCUAGUACUACAAACUUAGUAGAAGGCUCUAGAAGAGCAAACAUAAUGCUACCAAAUGGAACUAGAUUUCAUAUAAAUGAUGAUUUAUAUUAUAGCAAAUCCAAAAGAAAUUUGCUCAAUUUUAAAGAUAUCCGUAAAAAUGUAUAUCAUAUUGAAACUAUGAAUGAAGAUAAUGUAAUUAUCUUUACAUUACUUCCAUUAUAUUUGGGCAAAAACUUAUAAUAGAAAAACUCUCGGCUUUCUCCUCCAGGUUGUAUCAUACAACUAUAAAGCCUAUUGAAUCACAUUUUUUUGUGAACCAAAAGUUAAACUACCUAAAAGUUUUUGUCCUUUGGCAUGACAGACUAGGUCACCUAGGGUUUUCAAUGAAGCAUCAAAUAAUCGAACACUCACAUGGGCAUCCACUAAAGAACCAGAAGAUUCUUUUGCCCAAUGACUACUCAUGUGUUACUUGCUAACAAGGUCAAUUGAUAGUCAGAUCAUCUUUUACUAAAGUCUAUCCGAGUCACUAGUCUUUUUAGAAAGAAUACAUAGGAACAUAUAUGGGCCUAUCCAUCCACCAUGUGGACCAAUUCGUUAUUUUAUUAUCUUAAUAGAUGCUUCGAUUAGAUGGUCACAUGUUUGUCUUCUUUUUACACAUAAUGUUGCCUUUGCUAGACUCCUUUCACAAAUGAUCAAAUUAUGGGCACAAUUCCAAGGUUAUCCAAUUAAGACAAUAUGUCUUGACAAUGUUGGCAAAUUUACUUCUCAAACAUUCAUUGACUACUGUCUAUCAAUAGGGAUACAUAUUGAGCAUCUUGUUGCUCAUACUCAUACCCAAAAUGGUUUAGCAAAAUCCUUCAUCAAACGUCUCCAAUUAAUAGCUCGACCAUUACUAAUGAAAACCAAAUUACCUACUUCUGCCUGUGGACAUGUUAUUAUGCAUGCUGCAGCUUUAGAUCAUAUUCGACUUAAAACUUACCAUGAAUACUCCCUUUUACAACUCCUACUUGGAAAAAAACCAGAUAUCUCUCACUUACGAAUCUUUGGUUAUGUAGUAUAUGUACCAAUUGCACCCACACAAUGCACUAAAAUGGGUUCCCAAUAAAGACUCGGGAUUUAUUUAGGUUUUAAUUCUCCAUCUAUCAUAAGAUAUUAUUAGAAAAAUUAGGUUAAUCCAACCUAAGGUAAUCAUCCUAAAAUGGGGGGAGAAGGGAGUGAAUAGAGUGAUGGUCUCUUUUUGAAAAUUUAAAUUAUAUGAAUGCAAAAGACUAUUGUAUGCAAAUAUAUAAUAAAACAAUAUAAAGACAAUUGCAUAUAAAGUAAAAGAGUGGGGAAUAGAGAAAGCAAACAUAAGCUUUUUAUAGUGGUUCAGCGUAACCCAACCUACAUCCACUCUCAUCUAGCUUCAAUCCCAAGCUUGAGAUUCUACUAUUUCAAGGCUUCCAAACCAAGACUUCAAGCAAUACAAUUGGAUUAUAGUUCUAAUCCACUUUCUUGGACUUUUGGCCCCAAGCACCCUUUACAAUCCUUAAGAGAUACCCCACUCUUGAACAAUCCCUCAAGUGAUACCCCACACUUGAGAAUCCUUAAAUGAUAUCACACACUUAGGCUUUUCUUCUCAAAGAUUUACAAAUGAAGAUAGGAUUGAAAGGUGCACUAAUGAUAUGAAAGUUUUAAAACGUUGAUGCACUUAAAAACACCCUCCCAAGGCUCAAAUAUAUUCAAGAAGGGUUUUGGAAAGUUAAGCUCUUGAAACAAUGAAGAUUGAAGCCUUUUUAUAGAGGAAAACGACUAAACUAGUCGUUGGGAGUUUGACUGAUCGAGCUGAGGGUUGAUCGAUUGACUAGCCGUUAGCCGCAUUUAAUGCUUGGUAGAGGACCAUUGGACCUUGAACCCCCUUGACCGGACCUUGACUGUUUGAACAAGCAUUAUGGAAGAGAGAGAAGGUUUUUGCACCCUUCGACUGAUUAAGCUGAACAGGUCAACCGGUUCCUCAUUUGGUUCAACCGGUUGUGUCAUUUUUGGCUCAACAACCAUCAUUUUCAACUUAAAGCCUUUUAAACAAGUUUACAAAAAUUUGACACAAGAUUUUAGUUGAAAACAUGAAAUCAUGCAAUUUUAAAGGAUUUAAUAAAAAAUUACUUUUGGAUGAUUUUGCUGCAUAAAUUAAUAAUGUAAUACAUAAAAGACCUAGUACACCAACAACCUUAUAAAGAGAUCCUAUAAAGUUUAGGUCUUGAAAAACACUUCUCUUUGAGGUCUUUUUUUUCUUAAUGAUUUCUCUUUGGUUUGAUUUUGUCUUUUUGAUUGCCACUUUGGAAAUAUUCUUCCCUAAUCAGACUUGAAAUAUAAUCAUUAGUUCCAAACCUUGUUUUAUUAUCAUCAAAACUGAGAUUAACCAAACUUUGGUUUCACAAAUAUCUUGAACCUUUGACAAAUGAUGUUUUAACAGCCCACUUUGCAGAUUGUCGUUUUAAUAAGAGUGUUUUCUUGUCAUUAGGGGGAGAAAAAUCGAUUCCUGAAGAACAGUGGCAAAUUACUUGGAAUGCAUCUACUAUAUCCCAUCUUGAUCCUCAUACAAAUCAAUGUGAACUCGAAGUUCAAAGGAUCGUUUAGUUGCAAAAUCUUGCAAACCAAUUACUAGAUGCAUUCAUUAAUACAAAGAAAGUGACAAAGUCACAUGUCCCAGCUACAAAUACUUUAGCAUGGAUUGAUAUCCCUGAAGGAUAGCUACUAAAUGAAUCUAAGAUACGCUUGAAGCGUGGUAGACUUGUUGGCUCGAAUGAUGUAACUUUUGGAAGAGGAGAACACAAGAAAAACUUUGCACUUUAGAAGAGGUCAUUAAAAUGACUGAUCAGUUUAAAAUUGAUAAGUCUAUAGCCCUAAAAGAGGCACAAAUAAUACAAAAAACCCUUGAAAAGGCACAUAUUGAACAAGAAGGCCCUAAAAAAGUACAUAUUGAACAAGAAGCCCUUAAAGAGGCACAUAUUGAACAAUGAACCCCUAAAAAGGCACAUAUUGAACAAGAAGCCCUUGAAGAGGCACAUAUUGAACAAGAAGCCCUUAAAGAGGCACAGGUACCUGAAAAUUGAGAGAUCUUAUUAAGUUAUGUACACAUAGGAGAAAAAUGGGAUCUAAAUAAUAUUGCUAUUAAUAAUAUUUUUGCUUUCCAAGUGGCUCUUGAUAUCAUAAGAAAUGAUGAAGAUCCCGAACCACAAAAUGUGGAAGAAAUGCCGACAUAGAAAUGAUUGGCCAAAAUGGAAAGAAGUUAUGCAAACAGAGUCAAACUUAUUAACAAAACAAGAAGUUUUUUGACUUGUACUCCAAACACCUGAAGAUGUAAAGCCUGUUAGGUAAAAAUGGGUAUUUGUAUGAAAUUAUAAUGAGAAUAAUGAGAUCAUAAGAUAUAAAGUGUAAUUAGUAGCACAAGUUUUCUUUCAAAGACCAGGUAUUGACUAUAAGGAAACAUACUCUCCCAUCAUAAACACAAUCACAUUUCAUUUCAUAAAUAGUUUGGUAGUCUCAUAAGGAUUAGAUAUGCAUCUCAUGGAUGUUAUUACAACAUAUUUAUAUGGAUCCAUAGAUAAUGAUAUAUACAUGAAAAUCCUUGAAGGAUUUAAAUUGCCUGAAACAAAUAGUACAAAGACUUGUAAUAUUUACUCAAUCAAGUUACAACGAUCCUUAUAUGGAUUAAAGAAAUAUGGAUGCAUGGGGUACAAUUGCAUUAGCAAAUAUUUGCUAAAAUAAGGGUAUGUGAAUAGCACCAUAUGUCCAUGCAUCUUUAUUAAGAAAUUAGAAACUGGAUUUGCAAUUAUUUCACUGUAUGUUAAUGCCUUAAAUCUUGUUGGAACUCCUGAAGAGCUCAUAAGAACAAAAAAUUACUUAAAAAAGGAAUUUGAGAUGAAGAAUCUAAACAAAAUUUUCUAUUAGUCUGCAAAUCGAGCAUGUUCCAAAUGGAGUUUUAGUACAUCAAUCAACAUACAUUAAGAAAAAUUUGAAGCAUUUUUAUAUGAAUAAAGUGCAUCCUUUAAGUUCUCUAAAAGUUGACUGAUCACUUGAUGUGAAAAAAGACCCAUUUCAACCUUGCAAAAAAUUUGAAGAAUUACUUGGUCUUGAAGUACCAUAUCUUAGUGAUAUUGGUGCACUUAUAUAUCUUACCAAAUUUACAUGUCUAGACAUUGCUUUUUCUAUCAAUUUAUUAUCAAGAUACAUUUCUACUCCAACUCGAAGACAUUGAAAUGGUAUCAAACAUAUAUUGCGUUAUCUUUGCAGAACUACUGAUGUGAGUCUAUUUUACUCAAGGGAAUCAAAAAAAAUUUGCUUGGAUAUAUAAAUGCAGGAUACUUUUCAGAUCCACAUAAAGGUAGGUCACAAAUAGGGUAGAUGUUUAAUUGCAAUGGUACUACUGAUUACUACUCAAAAAGUGCUAUUUGAUAGCUUAUAAUUAAUCCUUUUAAACACUUUUGAGUAGUAGUUUUCGCCUUUUAACUCAAUUGGCAUGUUAAGGACCCUUGAAAGCAAUUUUAAUCACUUUGUGUAAGUUUUGGUGUUGUUGUUAGUAAUUUGAUCACCAAAGCAAUCCAAUAUUGAGGAGAGUUAUGUGGAAUCUAGGACAAAGCUUGGAAGUCCUUUGCCAAGAGUAAAUCCGGAAUGCAAGGAGAAGAAGUAAAGAGAAUCUGCCAUGAAGCAUAUUCUUGAUGACAGUCGUGGUAGCCACUUUUGGAGCACUUUCUGAAGUCCAAUUGAUGCAUGCUAUAUACCAUUUCAAAGCUUAGGAAGUUAAAAAUCCAAUGCUUCAAACGGUACACAAUUCGGAGUUGAAACGAAGAAGUUACAGCCAUUGCAAGCAGAUCACUCCAAGCUGAAAGAAGCAUUUUGCAAAGUGUUGCGAAAUCACCCUUUUGUUGCGAAGUGAUUUCGCAGCCUUUUUGUACAGUAUGGUGUAUUUCCUCCUGAAGUUGCCCAAUAUAUGCCGCAAGCUAGAAGCUGGGAACCUCAAGAUGGAAGCCAACUUCGCAGCCCUGCGAGAAUAGCCUUUUGCUGCGAAGUGAUUUCGCAGCCCUUCUUGAGUGUCUGCGAAAUCUCACAGACACCAUUUUCUCUUGCGAAAUGGUCCCUGGAGCAUCCUGAUAUUUGCUACCGACAUUGGGAGAUAUUUUACAUCAGAUUUUUGUUGUCUAAAUCCCAAAAUACUCCUUGUAAGCCACCAAUUACAAGAUUCCUUAGCUUUUAAGUUAGUCAAAAGAGAAAAUAUCUAUGUAAUAAUUAGUUUUAUAUUAUGUUCAUAUAAAUACCUCUCGGGAGCCUAUUCUCAGAGAGGAGGACCCUUUGUAAAGUUUUGAAAAGCAAGUAAAGUUCAGGCCUUUGUUUUGCCUUACCUUCUCACUUUGUAUUAUUUAUUUCUUACUAAGUUAUGCACUCUUUGAGGAAUUUUCCCCAGAGAAUGAGUAACUAAACCUCUAGUUCCUUGGAGCUAAGGUUGCCGGGGAAGGUUCCAAGUGCAAGAAUGCAAAGCUUUGUGGUUUCAGCCAUCAAUGAAGAGGAAGUGAAAUCCUUUAGUGAUUUCUAUGUUUUUAGUUAACUUAAAACACCUUAGAGUCACCUGGGCCAACACUUGGUAAGGCAAGUGAUUUCCAACCAUGGAGAUGCACUAGUUUACCCCUUGUGAGCCUCUGGGAGGUGACUUUAAGGUAGGAUUUUCUGGAAUUGCCAACACUUGGUAAGCUUUUGGACUCCAAGGAGACAUCCAUUAGUUAUCUCUUGCGAGCUUGAGAAGGGAAGUCCAAGGUUAAAGAUCACCUUGAAUGGUUAAGGCUUAGUGAGAGGUUUGAACCAUUGCAAGUUGCAUCAGUGAGAGAAUUAAAGCUGAAAUCUAAUUGAAGGAUGUAUCUGUACAACACCGGUUAGAGAAUUAACUAUAUGUUGAAUCUCUAAAACGAGGAAAUGAACCAUCUGACCGGAGCCAUGUCUUUUGCAUGAGGAACCACCCCAGUGAACCUGACCCUCCAAGGAAUGUUUUUCUUCCUAAGUUAUUCCCAUUACUUGUUUUGUUAGUUAGUUUAAAUCUAAAUCUUUACCAAUUAAAGUUUGUGUUUUAGUUCUUAAGCUAACCUUGAAAUGAAACACUACCAAUUCACUUUGAAUUGAUAUCAUUGAUAAUUUGGAAACCCUUCCCAGUGAACGAUCCUAGAGCCGCUAUACUAUAGUAGCUUUUUCUUUGCUACCCUAGUAUAUGGUGUAAUAGGUUAUAAAUUUUGUUGAUUACUCCCUCAUCCAAGGAGCACCAGCUGGACACGAAUCAGCUGAGACACCAAUUAGGCAUGAAUCAACUAUUAUUUCAUGUAGAUCUAUCAAACAAACAAUGAUGACCACAUUAUCAAAUCAUUCAGAAAUACUUGCAAUUCAUUAAGCAAGUCGUGAAUGUAUAUGACUAAGAUCUAUGAUCCAAUAUAUUCGAGAAUCAUGUAGACUCUCCUCUAUCAAAAGUGACCCGACAAUAUUAUUUGAAGAUAAUGUUGCAUGCAUUGAACAAAUAACAAGGGGUUAUAUUAAAGGAGAUAGAACUAAACACAUUUCAUCAAAAUUCUUUUAUACAUAUGAACACUAGAAGAGUGGUGAAAUUGAUGUGCAACAAAUACACUCAAGUGAUAAUCUAGCAAAUUUAUUCACAAAGUCAUUGCCAACCUCAACAUUCAAGAAGUUAAUACACAAGAUUGGAAUGCGUCAACUCAAGGAUAUUGACAUGAGGGGGAGUAUGCUUGUAAAAGGGUAUUAGUGUAUUGUACUUUUUUUCCCUUCAUCCAAGUUUUGUCCCAUUGGGUUUUACUAGCAAGGUUUUUAAUGAGACAGUCGUAACAUAUCAAGAGCAACUUAAAGAAUUAUCAGAGUAUUAUGGUGGACAUCCAAGGAAGAGUAUUAUAAAUGAAGUAAUGAAUACCACCACAUUUAUUAUAUUAAAUGUUCAUUAAUAUUAUUUAUGACUUCCAUUAAUAUUCAUUAAUGGAAGCCAUUUGGAAAGCCUAUAAAAAGGCUUCCCAUCUCCUGUAAGAUGCAUCCCAAGGAAAUAUAGAAAUUUUCUUUUAUUCUCUAUGUCUUUCAUUCUUUCAACUCUGUUAAUUCUCUUUUUUGAUUCCUUCCUCCCCAUUAUAUAUUAUUAUCAAAAUAAUAUAUAGUUGUUCUCCAUUUUUAUUUGCAUUGCAUUUAUCCUCGAUUUACAACACUUAUUUUGUUCUUUUCUCUAUUUUAUUUUAUUUUUUUCUCUUCUAGUUAUUAUAAUUAUAAUUAUUAUUAUUAUUAUUAUUUUAUAAACAUAAUAUAACCCAUCAAAUAAUAAUAAUAAUAAUAGCAAUAAUAACACAUAUAUAAAUAAUAUAAUAAUUAAUUUAAAAUUUAUGUUUCAUUAGUUAUUAUUAUUGUUAUUAUUAUUUCAAUUUUUUUUUAAAUAUUAUAUAUAACUUAUACAAUAAUAAUGAUAAAAUAAUUUUACGAAUACUGUUUCAUUCAUGUAUUAAAGACAAAGUUUUCUUAUAAAAACUUUUAUAAAUUUUCAAAUGUUUUUUACAAUAUGAUUAUUAAGAAAAUAUUACAAUAAAAAAUUAUUAUUGAUAAUUAUGAAAAAAAGAAAAUUAAAGCAUGUGUUAUCGUAAUUUUAGUGUAUUUAUAUUAUAAUUUCAAUGCAUAACCAUGACACAUACAUUUUGCAACGAACUUAAUAGUGUUAGAAGCAUUGUCGUAUCCUACUAUAUUGAUUUCUAUAUUAGUAAGGCAUCCCAAUGAAUUAGCAUCAUAUACUAGAUGCAUUCUUAUUAGCAAUAAUUCUUAUAAUGAAACUCAUACACCUUAUAAAAAAAAUGUCUUAUAAGGUUAAUUUACAGUAGAUGAAAUGUUAAAAAAAUAUAUAAAAUAUAUGACAACCAUUCAUCAAUGCUUGUUUAAAAGGAAAAUUUUAAAAUAAAGUUAGGUUAUGCAGUAAUGUAUAAGACAUUUAAAGUAUUCAUGUUGUAAGAUCAAUAUAUUUUUGUCGUAUGUAUAUGUUGCCUUUUAUAUUAAUACAUAAUAUCAGUGUACUAUCAUUAUACAUUUAAUGAAUCAUUAUUAUGUAUGAUUUUUAUAAUAAAGCCUAUAAGUUUUAGGAAUUAGAUGGAAAAAAGAUUAUAUCCUAAGAUUGGUUUAUAAUCAAUGACAUUAUAAUAAUAAAAAUAUGAAUAAUAUAAAACUAAUAUCAUAAAUAAUAAUAUUAAUAAUAUGUUAACAAUGAUGAUAAUAAUAAAUGUAUAAUUAUAAUUUUUUUAAUAAAUAAUAUAGUUAGUCUUAACAUAUAGUAAAUAAAGCACAAAAGGUAGAAAAGAAAAGUAGAAAAGUAAAGUUAUAUGGGAGUAGAAGGAAAAGACAAAAUGAUGUAAUUGGGAUUAUGGAAUGAUCAAAUUAUCAAACUAUAACUUGUGGAUUUGAGAAGACUUUGAGACUUGGUGACCCUUAAGGGAGCUUAUCACCACUUUGAGCUGGGUGACCAUUUUUUUAAAAAAAAUUGAAAAUAAAUCCCAUGAAAAAAUUUGUUUAUAAAGAAUAAUAAUAAUUUUGUAUUUUUUUUAUACAAACUAGAUAUUUAAUUUAUUAGAAUAAUUUUGAUGGUAAUGACAAACAAAAUAACUCUAUAAAUAGGUGAAAUAAUUCAUUUUCUCAAUUUUAUAUGCAAAAUUAUUUUAAAACGAAAGGGAUAAUACAUUAUUUUUGUUCAUCAAUCCACAUUUUGACUUUCAUUUUAAAACCCAUCUAUAAAAAUCUCUCUUUAUAUAUAUCUGCCUAGAUUGCCUAAUCAUCUAUUCAUUCAUCGUCUAUAACUUCUUGCCUGAUUAUCAAUUUAGAUGUUCAUAUUUGCAUAUAUUUAUUCAUUCCACCAUGUAUUUUGUUGGCGUAUUUGUAAUGUAUACAAUUUUGAUGAAAUGUUUGAUUAUUUGAAAACCGAAUUUCCCCUUACCCAGUAAUAAAAAGCGAGUAUAAGUCUGACCAAGAGGGGUGUUCUUGGCCUUGGCCGGUGGCCUUCCUGAUAAGUCACCUUAGCCGUAGACUAUAUUUAGAUUUUGCAAUUAGUACCUUUCUUUUCCUUCUAGGAAUGACUAUCAUCUUGACCAAUCUAGCCAUGUACCAAAAAGUCAAUUUUGCCAAGUUUAAAAAGUUUGCUUUAAGCCUGUUCAUCAUAGUUGACAGAAGUUGGAAUUACAAUGAAAUAUCUAGGAGAAAAUGUCCGCAGGAGCAGAGAGAGAGAGUGAAGGCAAUACAUUCAGUCAUGAAUUUGAUGCAAAUCCCAAAGUACAUAAUUGUGUCGAAUACUCUCACCAUGAUUGUCGAUCUCUCGGAUCAGACGAUUACUAUGUUUGCCAAAAAUGCCUGGGCCGUAUGUGGAAUAAAUCAAUUUCACAAGGAGGGGAAACUGCCAAAUUCCGUACAAGGUCACUGGCAAACAGGUUAAUGCAGCCAAGGUAAUAAGAAUCCAAGCCUUCUUUUCACCAAAGUGAAGAUAGAUUGCGCUACUGUAGGCUAUCAUCAUGAAUGUUACGGAGAGGAAUAGAGUAACAAGGCCAAAUAUCAACCUCCUGGGAAGGACAAAAAGAAAAUCAUCUUCAGCAUAUCGUGCCGUGAGAAUGGAUAGGAAUAUCAGCACCGAAGCAAUGGAUAGGAAGAGGGAAAGAGCAUCCGAAACUGCAAAAAAUUUGAAGGUAUAUUCUUCGGAGAAAUUUGGUAUGCCAGUAUCAUCAUGGUUGCCACCCGGGAUGGAAAUUGCUGCUGCAAACACUACAGUAGCAAUAAGCGCUGCUGCCAAUGUGUAAGAUUUUGCUGUGCCUUUCAUCCAUUUCUCUCCUUCUUUUAUCAACUCUUUAUGUUCCUUUAUAAAUACCAUUUUUGGUGUCUCUUGUUCAUCGUUCUCAAAUUCCCUGAAGGCUUCCGGUGCAUAUUUUUCGAUUUCCUGUGUAAAAAUCAAAAUGUUUCUAAGACACAGAAAAAGAGUGGACAUGUAUAAGAAAAUUAAUUCCCCUUCAAAACAAAAAUUAUUACCUGAAACCAAUGUAACUCACGUUGCAUUUGUAGAGCUGCACCAGAAACGAGACUGAGCCGGUGUGGAGGGGCCAAUUUUCCAGCCAAAUGCAAGAUAUUGUUAUUUGAAUCACCUCUGAUUCGUAUUAUAAAUUGUCUAUGCAUACCGAUUUCGCAGAUGAGGUUGAAAAUCUUUUCAUAACGAUUUAAUAUUGCCAAUUUGAAUACUUCCUCAUCCAGAUACUGAAGUGCAGAAGGAUAUAACUUUAGAAUGUUUUCCAGAAUUUCGGGAAUUCCAUAUUUUGCCCCAUUAAUGAAUGAUUGGCUGAAUAUUUCCUUUGCUCUUGGUACUUCCAAAUCUUCAACUUUAGUACAUAGGUGGUUAAGCAAUUGAAGAGUCUGAGAAUGCAUUGUUUUUGUUUCUUGGAUUUGCUUGAUGGGUGGUACUGCAAUUAAACUUAUAUUAAGGACAACAUAUCAUUGCAUUCAAGACUUUUGCAUGCUUUAGUGGAAGUUUUGUUGUGUCCCUUACCUAACCGUCCAACCAGUUCACAGAAUAUUGCAUUCGCCUUUUGGCAAGCUGUGUGCAGGAUAAAAUUGAAGCAGUUCAGAUGCAAAAGCAGGAAUAACAGAAAAAAAAAAAAGAAAAAAAAAGAAAGAAACAAUCCUGAACAAAGUACCAAUUAAACACUAAUCUAAAUUAAAGUGAUUGUGAGUAGUAGUUGCCAACUCAUAUUGGUUGGUGUAGAGUUUGUGUUUUCUGGCUAUCAUUAAGUUAAUUAAAUAUACGAUGCCAGUUUGCUUGAAUAAAUUAAGUUUCAAGAUUCACACCCUUGAAUUACUUAUGGCCAAUCUGAUAUUCAUCUUCACAUGUACAUGAAUUUGGGGUUUGUUAUGGAAAAAUGAGAAUAGGCAACAAGAAAAAUAAGAACACAUAGAUUUAUGCGAAAAAUCCUAGAUGGGAAAAACCACGGGCAGAGGAGAAAGAUAAUCCAUUAUGUCAAAAAUUGGUACAAAAAGGGGAGUGUAUCAAGUGGCUACUAUAUAUAUCCUUGAAAACCUAUACACCAUUAAAAAUAUAUACAUAUAUGGGAGAGAAAAAAAUAAAUAAAGCAGGAAAAUCCAUAAUUUUUCUUCACCAUAUAUGUUACACCGCAAACUUUUUGGGUUGGACCAAAAAAGGAAAUCGGGUCACCAAGCUCUAACAAUCUCCACCUUGACAUAAAUUCUAAUGUAAGGAAUGAAAAAACAAACUCCAAUCUUCAACCAAAACUCUUCACCUCUUCCACAAACCCUAAAGGGCAACUCAAUAACGAAUACUAACCAAGUCCAAGCAAUGCUCAAACUUUGCUAUAGAGAGUGUCUUGGUUAUCAUAUCAACAGGAUUAUCAUGGUUGCUAACUUUGCCCAUAACAAAGCAAUGAUAUCACGCACAAAAUGAUACCUCACAUCAAUGUGCUUUGUCCUAUCAUUAAACAUUCGAUCUUUUGUGAGGAAAAUAGCACUCUAACUAUGACAAAAAACUGUGGUAAUCUGUAAGUUGUCACUAAGUUCACCAAAUAGUUUCCUUUCAAGCCUUUGUAAUAGCCAUGUACUAAGCCUCUAGUAAACAAAGCAACUGUAAUCUACAAAGUAGCUUUCCAACUAAUAGCACAACUACCAAUAGUAAAAACAUACCUUAUAAGAGAUCUUUUAUCAAGGUCACUUGCAAAAUCAGAAUCGACAUACCCAACAGCUCCAUCUCUAACUCUCCCAAAAUGCAAACAAACAUCAGUAAAGCCACACAAGUAUCUGAACAUCCAGUGAACUACUUUCCAAUGUUCUUUACCAGGAUUUGUCAUGUAUCUACUAACUACACUAACUGCAUAUGAUAAAUAUGAAUGUGAACAAACUCUUAUACUGCUGUCUAGGUGACUUUUUUAAGCCAUAGAGAGAGACUUUUUCAACAAACACACUUAGUCUUUCUUUCCUGAAACUAUAAAACCCUUAGGCUACUGCAUGUAGAUGUCCUCCUUAAGUUCCCCAUGUAAGAAUGUUGUCUUCACAUCCAACUGCUCAAGCCCAAAAUCAUACAUGGUCAUAAUAUCAAGCAAAGCUCGAAUCAAACUAUGCUUUACAUUUGGAGAAAACACAUUAGUGAAGUCUAUACUCGAAAUCUAAUCGUAGCCCUUUACAACUAAUCUCGCUUUAUACCUAGCUUCUUCAACUCUUGGUAUUCCUCCUUUCCUCUUCAACACUCAUUUGCAAUUAAAAAUCUUUUUACCCUUAUUUAGUCUCACUAAGUCCCAUGUGCCAUUUUUAUGAAGUGACCCCAUCUCCUCCUACAUGACAAUCAUCCAUCUAUUAGAAACAUCACAAUUAACUGCCUUUGAGUAGGUAGAAGGUUUUGCACUAGAAUCAAUACCUUUGGCCACAUUUAAGGCAUAAGCAACCUAAUUAGCCUCAAUAUACCUCUGUGGAGGUUUAAUAUCUCUUCUAGUCCUAUCUUUAGCAAUAGAUUAUUGUGGUGAUGGUUGUGGUGGUGAGAGAGCAGCAACACCACUCUUCAUCCCUGAACUAGACUAAGAUGUAGAAUCUAGUAUGGAUCCUAAUUCAAUCUAAAACUCCACCUGUGUGCUUGAUUUCUGUUGCUUUUUUUUUUUUCAUAAGAAUCUCUAAAAGAUAAGUCACAAAGCAUAGCAGUUUCCUAAAAAAUAUCUUUAUUGAUUAUGACUUUAUUUGUUUUUGGACACCAUAACUUAUAUCCUUUAACACUAGACUUGUAGCCAAGGAAGAUAGAUUUUAUAAAUCUAGGUUCCAAUUUUCCAUUAUCAACAUGAGCAUAGGUAGGACAUCCAAAUAUCUUCAAAUUUGAGUAAUUAGCAGAAGUACUAGACCAUACCUCUUAUGGAGUCUUUUUGUCAAUAGCAGUUGAAGAAGAGCAAUUAAUGAGAAAACAAUCAAUAGUGGUAGCUUCAACCCAAAAAGAUUUAGGUAAACCAACAUUGGAGAGAAUACAACAUACUUUCUCCAUCAAAGUCCUAUUCAUUUGCUCUACCACACUAUUUGAUGUAGAGUAUGACAAACUGUGUGAUGCCUCACAAUUCCUUCUAACUUGCGUAGAGCAUUUAAUUCAUCAUAACAAAACUCCAAGCCAUUAUUAGUGCAGAGAUGUUUUACCUACUUCUCUAUCUACUUCUCAAUCAUAAUCUUCCAGUCCUUGAAUGUAGCUAGCACAUCACUCUUUUGCUUCAAGAAAAACACCCAAAAUUUUCUAGAAAAAUCAUUAAUGAUAGUCAACAUAUAACUAUAACCUCCCUUAAAAGGCACCCUAGAUGGUCCCUAAAGAUCAUAAUAUAUAUAACCAAGUGUCCCUUUUGUCUUGUGAAUGCUUUUUAUGGAUUUAACUCUCCUCUGCUUCCCAAAAAAGCAAUGCUCAUAGAACUUCAGUUUACUAAUACUUUGCCCAUUAAAAAUUCCUUUUAUACUCAGUUCAACCAUCCUAUUCUCACUUAUAUGCCCAAGAUGCAUAUGGCAAAGUCUAAUAACAUCACCAUCUGACAAUGAAAGAGUUGCAACAGUUGCAUCACCUGUAACUAUAAGACCUUGCAAGACAUAUAAUUUGGAAGACCUUUUCUACCCUUUCAUCAUAACAAGAACACUUUUGCUAACCUUCAAGACUCCACCCUCACCAAUUUACUUGUACCUUUUUGAAUCAAGAGUACUCAACGAGAUAAGAUUCCUCUUUAGAUCUAGGACGUGUCUCACAUCACCAAGUGUCUUAACAAGCAUAUCAAACUUUUUAAUUUUGAUCAUUCCAAUACUAGCUAUCUUAUAAGAUGCAUCAUUUCUCAUCUACAUAACACAUUUGGACAUUGUUUCAUAUGUUGAAAAAUAGUCCCGAUUGGGACACAUGAAAUGUGCAAUCGGAAUCAAGAAUCAAAUCUUUGUAAGGUUUGGAGUCGCUAUAAAAAAAAACUAGGAGUUUUCCAUCACUAUACUCAUCUUCUACAACACUGGCUUCACCAGAUUUUUCUAGUUGUUUUCCCUUCUGAUUUACAGCAACUUUCUUAUUCUUAUUCUGCAAUUUAUAGCAUUCAGAUUUGAUGUGCCCCUUUUUCUUAUAGUAUCUAUAGGUUUUUUGUCUUUAUUACUACAUUUCAAUAUGCCCCUCGCAUCACCACCAAAAUUCCUCUCCUAUAUCCUCUCUCAAACAACAAGGUCCUCUACCUGAGCCUUAGAUCCAAUCACAAGCUACUUCAUCUUUUCCUUAGAAUAUAAAGCAUAAAAAACUUUCUCCAGUAAGAGUGUCACGAUUAUACAAAAUAGUAUCUCUAAAAGUCGUAUAUAAAGAGGGCAACAAACAUAAUAAAAUCAACCCUAAAUCUUCUUCAUCAUACUAAACCUCCAUGGUCUCUACAUCAAAAACAAUUUCUUUAGAGACGGUUAAGUGAUCUUCUAAAUACAUACCUUCUGUUAUACGAUGAGAAUACAGUCACUAUUUUAGAUGUAACUUGCUAGUUAGACUUUUCAUCAUGCACAAGAAAUUUUUUCUUUCAGAAUGUCCUAUAAAAUUUGAUUUGACAUAUGAAGAUGAAUUUGAGAUAGGGCCUUUUGAUCAUUACGUUGUUUUUUCUCCGGUGUCCACGAUGAGGGCAUCUUGUCAAACCCUAAUAGGAUUAUACCAAAAAAAGAAAUCGAGUUACCAAACUCUAACAAGAUUCAAUAGGUUUCAUAUAUUUCCCUUAAACCAUACACUUGAAUUUAAAGGCUAUAAUCAAGAAACCUAAUGAAAUUUGGUACAAACUCAAUCACUUGACCUCUUUUUAAUUAACUAGGAGCAUUAGGUGACAAAAUAUUCACAAAAUCUAUCAAAACAAUGCAAAUUGUGUAUCCUGCAUAAUUCUUUGAGUAGUAAAGUAAUAUCCAUUGAAAUUUGAUCAUAGAGCUGAUAUUAAAUCAAUUACUUGAACUUAAAGGAAAAAAAUGAAGAGAAUUUUGUGAGGACAAACUAAAGUUGUGAGGAUUAAUCAAAAUAAAAAGUUGAAUUCAACAAAUUGGCAUUUCUCUAAUGGGUGCAAUUUGGCAAAUUAGUUUAACCUAACUCGAAUCUCGAUGAAGUUAAGAAAACAUUUUUAGUACUCAAGUUAAGAUUUGGUUGACUUUCUUAACCAAAAAUUAAUUUGGGUUGACCUCAAUUUUGGGCUUAGUUCAAACCAAUGCUUCAAGAAUCUAAGCCUAAUUAAACUCCAUUUAAUAUUUUAUAAUAUUUAUAGAAUGUAUUACUAUAUAAUAAUAUCAAUUUUUUUUCUAGAAUAAGUUCAAGGGAAAAAACAUCAAAAUAUAUUAAGCUAACUCUUAAAAAUUUGCCUACUCUUUGUGAACACUAUUUGGAAGGAAAAUUAAUAAGGAAGCCUCUUAAGAAAGCCCCAAAGGUAUAUCGUCCUUUUAGCCAAGGCAUUCUAAAGUACAAGGCCUAAUGAACAUGAGAGCUAAGCAUGGUGCCUACUACUUCAUCACAUUUAUAGACAAUUAUGUCUACAAGUCCAAAGAAUUACUCUAGUUUAGAUGUUAUAUGAAUAUUGUAGAAAACUGAAAAGAAAAAACUAUUAAAGCAUUAAGGAUAAAUCAUGGACAUGAGUAUCUAUUAAAGAUUUUUUAAAAUCUCUAUGAUGAAAAGGAAAUCCAAAGACAAUCAAUAGCUUCAAGGACUCGAUAGUAAAUUGGUUGAAUUGAAAAAAGUAACCAUAAACUUUUGGAUAUGGUUUACUUAAAAUGACAUAAGCCAACUUUCUAAUAUCCUUGGGGAGGAAGGGUUACUGUUUUGAUUGUAACUUAAAACUUGAAUAGAGUACCCUCAAAAUCAAUUACUUCAAACCCAUAUAGUUGUGAAAAAAAAGAAGUAAAAAACUAAACCUAACUCACUUGUGAUCCUAAGGCUUAGUAGGUUCAAUUCAUGUAAAUUCUCAUAUAUAUUGUGCUAUAAAGGAAACAAGUAAAUUUUCAUUAGAUAUUCUAAUAAAUCAAAGGUUGUGUGAUGCUUAAUGUACAACUCACGAGAGUAUAAUUGAAGUUAAGUCAUAUGAAGUUAGUUUCUUAUAGGAUGAUAUUUCGAGUAGAGGAGCAUUAAACAAGAGUCUUAAUUUAUUUAAGGCAAUUAAACCAAAGGAAAAUACUGUGAUAUCCCACAUCGAAUAUAGGAAAAAGUUCUUGACAUUAUAUAUGUAUGAGCUCCUCUUAAUUAUUUAGACACAUUUUAACAUUGUGAGGGCUCUUUAAACCCAAAGCAGAUAGAAUAUAUUUACAUAGUUGGGAGUGGGUCGUUAAAAAUGAUAUUAGAGUAUAUUCUCAACCCCAAUGUGGGAGUUUGUUUAGCCUCACAACGGAUAUUUGUUUGUUUGGUCUUGCAAUCCUAUGAGACAUAAUAAGUAUGUUAUGUCUCUCUGGGGGUGAUUGUGAUAUCCCACAUUGAAUAGGGGAAAAAGUUCUUAGCAUUAUGUAUGGACUCCUCUUAACCAUGCAAGUGUGUUUUAAAUCUAUAAGGACCCUUUAAGCUUAGAGUAAACAAUAUUUACAUGAUUAGAGUGAGUUGUUAUAGAUGUUGAAGAUCUUGCUAAGGAUAUGAGUGACUCGACAAUUUUCAAGACUAUAAUUUUAAGUAGUAGCCUACCACCUACUUAUGCCACCAAGUGGGAUUUUACCAUUACAUAUUAUUCACUAGAUUUAGAUGUUUGUGUAGAAAACUUGGAACUAUCCCAUCAUUGUCAUUGUGGGCAUUAGGGUGAAGCUUUCAUGUUUGCUUCAUAAGAUCAUGAUGUUGGGAUAGAGCUUUAAAAAGUAUGAUAUGAUGUAACCAUAAAUGGAGUUCAUUAAUACUUAUAUUAUGACUUCGAUUUUCUAUUCCCUAUCCUGUUCAUGAAUUAUGUAUAUUGAGCAUUUAAACCUACAUCACUUGCAUAGUACAUGGGUGAAUUAGGAGUUGCAUAGAAGAUCCCAAUCAUAGGUUCCUUGCAAGUUAAUAACUCAUUCACCAUUGGUUCAUGGACCUAGGUAAUCCAUCUGAGGUUAUAGUGCAUUAUCUCCUAAUUAGAGAGAUGACUUACCUUGGUCAUUAGGAUGGGUUUUCCAUGAUGAGAAACUAGUGUGUUUAGUUAUGCUGGGAAACCUAGAUCUUUUCAUUCCCAUAACCCUUGAUUGUAUAGGUGCAUGCAAAAUACCCUAGGCCUCUAGAUAUUAUUCAACGUGAGAAAAAAUCAAUUUUUUAAUAUUCUAGAACCUAGAGAAAAGUCAUUAGAAAACUUUAUCUUUGAUUUGGACAGUUCUCAAAUCAAUUUUGCUUAGUGAAGAUGAAGCUUAAAGACUCCAGAGGUCUCGUACACCUAAGAUCUUUCACCCAAUGACUCAAUCCACAAUCUUGCCACUCCAUGGUGUGGGCUUUAAAAGGGUAGAAUCCUAGGCUCACUUUCUUUUUCUAAAGAUAGAAGAUGAUUGAUCUUAAAAAGCAAUGAAAACCCUAAUCCUUAAGGGGUAUUUAUAGGGUUCUCCUACUAGACUUAAGUGACUUGAGCCCACCAAGACUUAGGUCACUUAAUCAAGCUCAAAAUUGGUCUUAAUUGAUUAAUUAAGCAUAUAAGGUCAUCUAAUUAAUCAAUUAGCCCAAUCCAAAGACCUUGUUUAUUAUCCCUUGUGUAACCUUUCAUAAUUACCAAAAUACCCUUAUACAUAAGAGUGAACUUAGAGUCAAUCCAACCCUCAUAAAACUAUGCCAUAAUGGUAUAUGAGCUUAGAGUAAGGACCAAUUGGAUAGAUAGGAGGACUAACUCCUUCAUAAUCCAAUUUUGGAGUUGAUUCAACAUUCCACUAAAGAGAAUUAAUGGAACUCCAUUACCCUAUAUGAAUAAUAAUGAGAUGAAGCUUAGAUCCGUGACCUACUAUCCAUUGCAUGUAGAGUCCCCAUGAACUAAUGUCUAUAAUCUAAUAAGGUAGUGUUAUCACCUGUCAAGAUUUUCUCUUCAAUACUUAAGUUAUAGAUCCCACUUAUUAUGUGAUCAAUUGACUUUAGCUUGAAGGAGUAUAUGUCAAAUUUCCAUUAAAGGAAUUAUUAUGGCCAUAGUCUUCUAGAUCACAUGUCCUUUGGAUCACCCAAUAGGACAUAUUUUCUCAAUCUAUAAGAUAUCAUGGUGCCUCCAUUGAGAAUAUUUUUUGCCACUAGCCUCCAUCAACAGUGAUCUAAUCCAUAAGGAUAUAUGGCCACUUUAGAGUCUCACUCAUAAGUCAAAACCUCAUGUUGGCUUUGACACUAACUUAAUAUCCUCUCAAGGUUGAGAGUCCUUACCGUAUAGUAGCAUGGUGUAUCAUGACAAUUGAUAGCCUUAUGUCUUGACUCACUAUAGGUCGAGUCUAGUGCAAAUCAUAUGCACUAGUGCACUCACCAUGGGAAAACCAUCCUGGCUAUCAAGAGAAGUCAUCCCUCUUAUUAGGAGGUAGUGCACUACAAUCUUAAAUGAAUUUCCUAAAUCCAUGAACCAACCAUGGACAACUUAUCACUUUGUAAGGAACCCAUAACUUUGGAUCUUCUAUGAAACUCUUAAUGCACCCAAGUCAUGUAUAGUGUAAGUGAUGUGGGGUGUGUAUGUUCAAAUAACCAAUUAAUGCAAAUGGGAUAAUAAUAAGAAACCAAGAAGCAAAAAUAAAUAAAUUUAUAAAAGAAUCUCUAUAUCUUACAUCAUGUCAUGCUUUCAAGGGCUUAAUCCCAAUAGGCUACACAUUAGAUAGGACUUAUGGUAAGUCAGACAUUAGUUAUUAGGUAGUCAUGACUUCACCAAACAACUUUGUUGCAUGAGCUCUCAACUUUGAGAGAAUAUUGAUCUAGUGCUAAGGUCUUCAAUGACUUUGACCUAUGAGAGAGACCCUAAAGUGGUCACAUAUUCUCUAUGGAUUGGGUUACUAUUAAUUGGGACGAACAGGUAUUCUCAAAAUAGGCAUCAUGAUAUCUUAAGGGUUUGAGACAUUAUGUUCCCUUGGGUGAUCCUAAGGACAUGUGACCAUGAAAACUAUGGCCACAAUAAUUCCUUAAGUGAAAUUUGACAUAUGCACUUAGACAGAUAUAGUAUGGCAGUUAAUAAAAUAAUAGGAGGAUUUAAGAUUAAAGGAUUAUAAAGGUAGUCUUGAAAGGUUGAUAACAUUCAUCUCGUUAAAUUAUGGAUACCAAUUCAUAGGAAGCUUGCAUGCAAUUGUUAGUAGGUCAUAGCCUCAAGUCUUCUAUCUCGAUCUAAUAUCAUAGGAUACUAAAGUGUAGUUGACUCUUUAUAGUUAGAUGUUGAGUCAACUUUAAAAUUGGAUUUUGAGGGAGCUAGUACUUUUUUAUGCAUCCCGAUGGUUCCCACUUGAACUCAUAUUCCUUGGUGACAUAUUAUUUGAGGGAUAGUUGGGUUCUUUAUUCAUAUGUGUGCAUAAGAGAAUUUUGGUAAAUACAGAAGGUGACACAAGUGAUUAUACAAGAGGUAAAUAUAGAAAAAAUGAUACAACCAAAAUGAGAGUGUAAAGUAAAAUAAUAAACAGAAUAAUAAAAAACUUCUUAUGAGUACUAAGGUUUGCCUCAACUCUCCUCAUUCAAACCAUUAUCAUGCCUUUGGAUUUGGAAUUAUACCAAAUAAACAUUCAAAUCACUUUUCUUAAUGGAGAAAUGAAUGAGAAGAUCUAUGUAGAUCAAUUGACUUGUUUUAUGGCAACUAAAUAGAAGGGUAAAGUUAACAACUACGAAGGUCUGUUUAUAGCCUAAAAUAAUCUUCUAAACAAUGGUAUAUUACACUAAUUGGUUUAUGAUGGUCUAAGAACACUACUACAUGUUUAUUAAAUGGAGUAAAGGUAUAUUCUUUAUUUUUAUUUUUUUCUAUACAAAUGACAUGUUAGUUAGGGAUGACAAUGAGAUCGUCAUUGCCUCUAAAGUGUGGUGGUCAUCAAAUUUUAAAAUGAACAACAUGUUUAAAGCAAACUAUGUGCUCAAAGUUAUGAUCCUAAGCAAUCAAUAAAGUAGAAUUUUUCGUUUGUCUUACAAAUCAUACACAACAAAUAUUCUUGAAAAAAUUCUAGAUGUAAAAUUGAAAACCUAUUAGCACACAUAUAGAGAGAGUUAAAACCUUAAGCUUUAACAUGUGUCUAAGACUUUGGAUGAAAAGAAAAAGAUCACUCAAGGUUCCUAUAUAUGCUAGCAUUGUUAGUUGCUUAAAGUACCCAAUGAUAUGAACAUGAACUAAUAUUUAUUACAUAAUUAGGUUAGUAGGUUCCGGUUAGAUCCAAACCUUGCUUACAAGAAAGUAGUGAAUUGGAUGCUUUCUUACCUCAGAGGCACCAUAGGGUGUAUAAUUGUUAUUGAGGAUUGAAUUUGCACUUGAUUGGCUGUAACAAUGCUAAUUGGGGUAGCAUCCUAAAUGAACCCAAAUCCACAUAUAAUUAUAAUUUUAUAUAUGCUCCAUGAUGUUAGCAUAUAUUGGAGAAGUAGAAAACAAUCAUUUAUGACAUUGUCUAUCAUGGAGUUAGGAGUACAUUACUUAUCGUUUAGGAAAGUGACUAGUUUACAAUGUUCUUACAUAUGUUUUAUAAUGUUUCAUGUGCUUUUGAGCAUACUACUAUUUAUUGUGAUAGCAAGGAAGCUUUAGCCUAUGCCAAAGAGCCCCAACUAUCAUAGUUGAACCAAACACAUCAAUCUUAAAUAUUAGUUGUUAUAAGACAUGGUUGCAUAGGAACAUAUUUCUACACGUUUCAUGGUUACAGACUGAACCCCCCAUCCCUCCAUUGACUAAGUUAAUACGUAAAUAUGUUUAUUAGGGUCAGGUUGAGAACAUUGGAUUAUGUAGAUCAUGAUUACAUAGGAGUUAAGUUGAGAGCAUUGGAUCAUGUAGAUUAUGAUUCCAUAUUGUAUAUUUCAAUUAACCAUUAUACCUAGGAUUUAUUCAUUGUUCAAUCUUGUUUGAUGGUGGCAUGUUAUUUGCUUUACUUUAUUGGCAUGCACUUUCAUUACUUUGCACAGUGAGCAAAGUUGAAACAUAAUGAGUCUGAACCACUUAGAUAGUGUGCUAGGUCAUUGAUCCUUGUUGUGUCCAAUAUGACUUAUAUGUUAGUAGUGAAAGAGACCAAGUAUAAAUAGUCCUAUAGUCCAUACUUUACUUGUAAUGGAGUUAAUUGCCAAAUGACAUUAAUGUAGUGCUUGAUUUAGCAAGCAUAUGCAAAACUUAAGUUCUUUGCUUGAUGCAACUGAACUAAGAUUUGUAUGAUAUAGAAGAACUAAGGUACACUCAUAAUGAAGAUCUCCAUGGUAGCAUGCAUUUUCAUACUAUAUCUUCUUGGCAAUCAAAUAAGAAUGAAUGAAUAGAUUCCUCCUUCCUUGUCAUGUGUAUUAAUCUUAUAUAGGUCAUUAUAUAGUAUAACUUUUAUGCUCUUGCAAUUUUCAUUCAUAAGUUAUAAGUAUGGUGUAUUUUGAAAUAUUUUUCUAAAGGGAUUAAUGAUGCUUAAUUCAAUGUGAAUAAAUGUGUUUAAGGUAUAACAAGAAACCUUUUGGGAUGAAUUAUACAAGUUGAGAUGAAAUUUAUUUUAAUACUCCACCUUUCUUAUCAAUGUGUUCCAUAGUUGUACAAUCCAUUAGUCAAUAUGAACAUGGAUGAUAAUGAUAUAGUUGAGAGAUGCAUGACAUUGUUUUGCCUAGUAUGCAUGAGUGGGAGACAAUGGAGUUUCUAUUUCAUGAGAUACUCUCAGUAGGACUUUAUCAACUAAGAGCUUGAGAGUAAGUUGCAUACUUAUCAGUUAAGAUUCCUCUUGUGAGAGGAGGUUCACAUUCAGAUUUGGGGAGAAUCUAUAAGAGUUGUUCAUGUUUUGCAAUUCCAAUUCUAGUCCUUUCCCAUGUUUUCAAUUUAGAUUGUCGCAAUUGUUAAAUAUUUUUACUUUAGUCUUUAGCAAUUAUAAUUUUUUAAAGCUUGCUAUUUAGGUUUAGAUUUACUAGAUGCUUAUUAGAUAUCUUAAUUCUUGUUGUAUUCUCCUUGGUUAAUAAUCUUUGAUUGUGGAGUUCAAAGCUUUUUACCAAAAUAGGGAUAACGGUUUUCAAUGUUAGGGAAAGCAUUUAAUAAAAUUAAUUCUUGAAUAAGUUGGCAUGCUAAAUCUUUCAAUUGAACCUAAUAAGUUUACAUACUAAAUCUCUCAUUUUCAACCUUGGUUGUUUCCACUCUUUGCAAUUUAAUUAGGUUUUCUUUAUAUAUAUGUGUGUGUGUGUGUGUGUAUAUAUAUAUAUAUAGAUAGAUAAUUUAUUUUGUGUACCUAUAUAACUAAGUUUUUGAGUAAUUAUGAGUUGUAUUGUUACAUUUAGUAGAAUUUGACAAACUAAAUAAAUGAAGUGCUUACCUUUGAAAAAUUGAGUCCAAUAGCACAUUUGUGUGGAUAGGUCACAUCUACCAACUUGAUUCUCCAUGCUUCCUCUAUUAGGUUGACUAAGAAAAUAGUUUAAUUUCACAGGAGCACCUUAAGGACAAAAAUAUCAAGAAAAGUGAAGGAAAAUUAUGCUUCAUCUAAUAUGACUAUAGGACUUAAAUGGAAAAAAACAUAAUAAUAUAAUAGUUAUUAUAAUGAAUAUAAUAAAAAUAAAAUUUUUCAUGAUCUUCCCAAUACUCAUAAAGCCCCUUUCAAUGAAACUUUGUAAGCUCUACUAACACAAAAUAAUAGUCUGUAUAGUAAAAGCUCAAUAAAUGAGUGCUUGAUAAAUUAAUAACCUUAUUUGAAUAACAGAACCUUCUGGUCUUAACUCAGGCUAGUGUACUAAAUUAUAUAUAUAUAUUAAAAAGAAAUUCAUAAUACAAUAUUAGGUAACUUUUUAUAACUUUUAUUUUUCUAAAUUCACUUGUUUUGGAAUCAUCACAUAUUUAAAAUAUCUUUAUCUUUUACAACAUUAAGUUUUGAUGUCAUACCUAUUUUUUUAGGAGUCUUUCUAUCUUUUACAAUCAAUAACGAUCCUUUUUUUUUAGUCUCUUAGGUUUCUAUGUAUUAUCUUUUUACCAUAUGAAUUAUUUUUAAAUUUAUAAGUCAUACAUGUACCAAUAUUGUAUACUAAUAACAUAAUACUCUUUAUAAAUUAAUGAAUAUUCAUUUAUCGAUAAAUCUAAGAUAAUAAUUUUUCUUGGUCCCAAUAACAUUAUUUUAUAAGAUUUUACCCUAUAUACUUCCUUCAUUGUAGGAAUUUCUUUAGAUUAAUAUUUUUAAGUAAUAGUUGUACUUAAAAAAAUAUAUAUAAUGGAAGUUAAGAGAAUUUUGAAGUUAUAAAUUAGUGUUUUAUAUCAUUUGUUUGUCUAUGAAUGCUAAAACCAUUGUCAAAUAAAAAGAGUAAAUAAAGUAAUUAGUUAAAAAUUAAAUAAGUGACUUAAAAUUACUACUUUGGUACAUGUUUGUUUGAGGUAUAGUAGAUCGUAAGAAAUAAAAUCCUCUAGUUAUGUUUAUUUGAUAGAAUAAAAAAGUGAGUGUGUGGUUGCUCUACAAGAGAAGACCACACAUUAGUCAAAGAAAAAGUAACCAGAAAGCUUGCACAAGUGUUGAAUGAUCAAUCUCUCACCUAAGUGCACUAAUGAGAAAUAAAUGUUGAAUUAAACCAUAGUCAUGCACUCGUGCCAAGGCUCAUGCCUCCAUAUGGGAAAACCUUAAUUGCUCCAAAGUUUAAAAGUGGCCACAUCCUCUAUGCCAGGUAAGUAUUCCAAAAAUCAAGAAAGUUAACCUUUGAGUUGAUGCUUAUUUAUCUAGCAGUUUCCUCAUCCUUCUUACUAACUUGACCUUCAAAGGCUUUAUGACCAUAAGGAGCCUAGAGUGCUCACUUUUAGGUUCCUUAUGAUUGUAGGGUCCUAAUGAUCCAUUGAAGUAAGAAUGUGAACUAGGAGUUGGAAAAAUGGUGUCAUCUAUGGGAAUGCAUUAAAAGCCUUGAAGCCAUGUUUAAACCCAUAGUGGCGGUUGGGCAAUAGAAGAACCUCAUGCAAUGGACUCUUGGUAGGAAAAGGUAAUCAUGACAAAUAUGAGGUGGAGAAAGGAGUGAGAGCAAACCUUUCAACAUAUGGAGGAGCUUACUAAAAUAAGCAACUAACUCACUCAAGAGAAUGUUGCCUUUAGGGUAAGGGUGUAAGAGUACCAGUGUGAUCUUAAUCAACAGCUCUCAUUGGUUUGCACCAAUAAGAUUCAAGUCAGUGAAUAAUAGUUAUCAAAGCAAUUAGACCGACAUAUAGAUUAAAUUAGGGAAGGAGGGUGGAGGGGACCUUAAUCAUACUAACUUACCAAAGGCCUCAAUGCCUUAGGGCUUCUUGCCACCAUAGCUACCAUUAGAUGUAUAACCUUGGUGAAUAAGGAGAUUAAGCCUAGGGCCCUUCAGGAGAAGGUUGCCACAUGAGGAUUUUCCCUUCCAAAUUCAAUUUCUUUCAAUGGAACUUAAGACCCCCUAGACUACUCAUGCAUUUCUAGCAUAUAAUGAUCCCAAAAAAGGGAAAUGAUAGACUUUUAUUCAAGAUCUUCCUCUCCAGCCUCCAAGGACUAACUUUCUAUUGGCUUUAUCAACUUCUGUUAUGGUUUAUUCCUGAUAUGGAAACCUUAAGGUGAUGUUUGCCUCCUAGUACAUGAACUUAACAAGAUAGAAGAAAAGCCUUGACCAACCCAAGGUGGUUAUAGCUACCAUCCAUGAGGGAUCAUUCACUAGAUUUGAGUAACUAGGUAGGGUAUCAGGAUAUUAUAGAAGCAAAUGGUGAUUCAAGUAAAAGUCCACACAACCUUCUAUGAAGUAACUACCACUUGCCUAUAUGCCAUAUGCAUCUUUAACAAAGACUUAAGAGGACUCCAAGCCCUGCACAAGAUUUAUUGGUUAUUAGUUUAAGGAUUAUUGACUAAGACAUGCAUCUAUUCUUAGUUGACCUAAGGAGUUUAGCUAACUUACUAAAUAUAUUAGCCCAUAUACAAACAAAUGAAUAUGGAUAAAGGAAAACUAGUGUCGACUCUAGGGUAAUUGGUAGGACUAGAUAAAGUCUUGCGUGGGUUAACUAGGGAAGUCACUCUAAUAGUUUUAGUUGGUUGCUGCCAUAUAAUGACACAAUUCUUUGUUAUGGAUAUCAUUUUCCCUAUAAUACCAUUAUGGGAUGACCUUGGAUAUACAACCUAAAAGGCAUACUCUUCACCUACCAUCACAUCAUUAAAUUCGUAACACUAUAAGGAAUAUGAGAAGUAUAUUAGGACUAGGUGGUAGCAUGAGUGAUACACCAUAGCCCUUAAAGCGGUUAGGAAGUGCAUCAAUCGGGACCCAUAAGAAGUUCAUAAAUCAUAAAUCUAAUAACAAUUAACAGAUGACCCUAAAAGGCAGUUAGAGAACCUAGGGAGUCAUUACUUUAAAGGCCCUAAACCCAGGAAGUUCCUCUUGGCUCAUGCAAAAAAUGAUGUCUUAAGAUGGUUACUGGAAAAGAACCCAUCUUCGCUUGGAAACAGUAGGACAUGGUGGGUAUCAACCCCCAAGUUGCAUAUCACUAACUCAACAUAAACCUAGGUGGUUAGCUCCUUAAAGACACUAGAUUGUGAAAGAAAAGGUAUCCAGUUUCUUAGAUACUAGAUUUAUAAGAGAGGUAAUUUGUCCUAGUUGGUUAGUGAAUAAAAAUCAUCAUACCUAAGAAGACGGGAAAGUGGAAGGUAUGCCUAGACUAUACCAAUUUAAAUAAGGAUUUCCUUAAGGAUAGCUAUUCCUCACCUUGAAUAGAUUAGUUAGUCGAUGCCACCUUUGAUUAUAAGUUGAUUAUGUUCAUGGAUGUGUAUUCCAAGUAGAACCAAAUAAGCAAGCAACAAAGAAAAAAUAGCCUUUAUUAUCGGAUUAGUAACAUAUUGCUAUCAAACCAUGCUCUUUGGCCCAAAAAAAUUAAGGCUACCUACAAAUGUUCGAUCAUCUAGGUCUUUUAACUAUAAAUAGAAGUCAACAUGAAAGUCCACAUUAAUAACAUGUUAGUAACAUAUAAGAAAAGGAACAAGUACUUGAUUGACUUCCUAAGAACAUUUCAAACUCUUUGAAAGUACUAAAUGAAACUAAAUCAAUGAAGUACACCUUUAAUGUAGGGUGUGGAAAGUUCCUUAAGUGCUUGGUUACAUACAAAUGAAUAGAAAUUAACCUAGACCAAAUAAAAGCAACUUUGGAGAUAUCAAUGACUAAAAUUGUUAGAGAAGUCCAAGAGCUCACUAACAAGAUUGGUGCUUGAAAUAGAUUCAUAUAUUGGAUAAUGAAUAAAUGUCAUCCUUUCUUCGACAUCAGCAAGAAUGGAAAAUGGACUAAAGGAACCAAAAAGUGCAAAUAAGCUUGCGAAUGACUAAAGCAUUACAUGAUGCUACCCCCCAUUUUGGAUAAACCUUCGGAUAAGAAGGUCUUAUAAGGUCUUAUAAGGUCUCAUUAGCAACUAUAAGUGGAAUAUUUGCUCAAAAAGAAGGAAAAGAGGAGCAACCAAUGUACUAUGUCUAAAAAGCCCUCUUAGGUGUGGAAACGUGAGAGUAUAUAUAAAUAUUGAAAAGUUGGUGCUUACCUUUUAGAUCACCACACUAAAACUUCAAUGUUAUUUCCAAGUGCAUGUUAUUAAGGUAAGGACCAAGUGAUGAAAACUCAAACUUAACACUUUAAUGGCUCUAAAGAGCCUACUUUGGUGUUUUGAGGCACUAAAAAAUUAACCCAAUGUUUUGUUUUGUUGAUAAUACCUUAGAAUAUUAUGUUUGAUGCAUUCUAUGAGCAUUCUACAGGCUUUAAGGUGUUUUUGGUGCAAUAGAACCUUGUUGGGAACUCAUGGAGACAAAAAUGCCUAAGUAGGAAGGAAACACAUAUUGCACACCUAAAAAGUGUGCAAGACUCAAUCAUGCACUUUGUUUUUAGCGUAGAGCCACAUAGUGAUGGGAAAAUCCUAGAUCUCUUUGUUUCCUAAGCUCGGAUUAGGUUAGAAACAUACAAAACUAUCCUAGGCUUUUCUAAAUCCUAUGCAUAGUAGAAAAUUUGCAUUUUUAAACUUUAUACGGAUUUAGAAUAUGCUAAUGAAAAAUGUACCUGAGAUUUGAAUGUUCUUGAAUCGAUUCUACGCAAAGAAGAUGAAGAAUGGAGUCCCAAGAACUCUUGUAAACCCCGAGCCUUUCGCCUUAUAACUUGAACCUUAAUCUUGACACACUUUUGGUAGGGAUAGAAGGAAGGGUAGAGGCUAUGAUUCUCUUUCUAGAGAUGGAAGAAGCCUUUCUAGAAAAAGUUAUGGAAACCCUAAGCCCUAAGGGGCUAUUUAUAAGGUUUUCCCACUAGGCUUAAGUGAUUUGAGCCCACUAUAGGCUUGGGUCACUUAAUCUUAACCCAAAACAGGUUCUAAUUGAUUCAUCAACCCAAUAGGGCCUACUAAUUAAUUAAUUAACCCAAUCUAGAGACCUUGUUCACUUACCACGAUGCAAUCUUGCGUAAUUACCAAAACUCCCUUAUGCACAAAAGUGAACCUAUAGCUAAUUCGACCCUCAUAACCCAUGCCAAUAAGGUAUAUGAUCUUAGAGCAAGGACCAUUGGGACCCAUAAGAGUACUAGCUCCCUCAAAAUCCAAUUUUGAAGUUGAUUCAACAUCUUACUACAAAAAAAAAUCAACUAAACUAUAAUAUCCUAUGUAAAUAACAACAAGACACCAUGUGUUAAUGUCCGUGACCUACUAUCCAUUGCGUUUAGUCUUCCCAUGAACUGGCGACCAUAGUCCAACAAGGUGAAAACUAUCAUCCUUUCAAAACUACCUCUACUAUCCUUGAGUUAUAGAUCCUCUUAUUUUGUGUUCAAUUGACAUGUAUUACCUCUUAAAGAGUCUAUGUCAACUUCCACUUAAGGAACUACUAUGGCUAUAGUUUCCAUGAACACACUUCCUUAGGAUCACCCAAAAGGACACUCUAUCUCAAUACUAAGAGAUAUCAUGGUGCUUUUAUCAAGAAUUCAUAUUGCUAAUAGCUUUCAUCAAUAGUGACCCAAUCUAUAGGAAAUAUAUGAUCAGCUUAUGAUCUCACUGGUAGGUUAAAUCUACUACUAACUUUAGAACAAACUUAAUAUCCUCUCAAGGUUGAGAGACAACACAAUGAAGUAGUUUAGUGAAGUCAUGACUACUUGAUAGCCUUAAGUCAUGACUCAUUGCAGGUCUUGUCUAAUGUGUAACCACACACACUAAUGCACACACCAUGGGAAACCCAUCCCGAUAGUUAGAACAAGUCAUCCAUCUAAUUAGGAGGUGAUGCCUUACAACCUUUAAUGGGUUGCCUAGACUCACGAAUUGGCUAUGAAUAAGUCAUCUAUUUGCAAGGAACUGUGAUUAAUUUAGAUCUUCCUUGUAACUCCUAAUGCACCUAAGUCAUGUAUAAUGCAAAAGAUGUAGGUUAGAGUGCUUACAAGGUAUAAUGCAUGGAAAUAGGAUAUAUAAAAGUGAACUAGAACUUUAUUAAACAAAUAAUAAAAUCCUAGAGUUUAUUACAUCAUGUCAUGCUUUUGAGGACUUUAUCCUAACAUAUAAUGCACCUCCCAUGUAUGUAUUGAAGACCAAACACAUAAGAGCUCUCUAAUGUAUUGGACCAAAUUUUGCAUCCUACUCAAGCAACUCAAUCUAUAAACCUCUUAAGUGCUCUAAGCCAAAAUGUUGUGCACCCCUUUGCUUAAGUCAGCAGGAUGUGUAGUAGUACACCCCCUUGAUGUCAUCUAAAUUACAAACCAUUCUUACCUCUACAAUAGCUAUGUCCUCCCAAAGUAGCAUGUUAUUUAUAAAGUCUUCAAUUCUAUUACCAAAACCUACUCGAUGUUGAUUGCAUAGAGAAAAAAGUGCAACUCCCAACCAUAAGCUAACAUAUCAAGAAUGAUGGUGGGUUGACUACACUGACCAAGGAUCUGACCCUCAAUAUAGGCAAGAGACAAGUCCAGAUGGGUUGGUGUUGGAGUAGUUGGAAUGGAGAGAGUAUUUUUUACCUAUAAAUGGAGGAUUGUAAAUAUAUAAGUAGAAGCAAAUUAUAGAAAGCGAAAUAGUAGAUAAGUUUUUCUUCUCGUAGGAAUAGGAGUAACUUAAUGUAGUUUUAGUUUUUAGUUUUCCAUUGUGAUAUUUUUAUUUCUUUAUAAACUUUCCCUAAUUUCUAGUUUAAUGGAUUUUACAAUCUUUUUUAUUAAUCUUACAUUUCAAUUUUUCAUUUUCAACUUACAAAUUUACAUUUUCAGUUACUUCCUUAAUUUUUAACAUACUUAUAUAACCUUUGACACUCUAAGAGGUGAGAGGAGCUUAGGUCUCCCAUCAAUAAGUUUAGCUCUCUACUCAUUUAUUUAUGCAUUAGUUAUAAAGAAUUUGAUAUCUAUCGGUAGUUACGAUGACCAAAAGGAGUAACCAUGGGCAGAAAAGUCUAUGUUACACUGGUUGUGGGGGUUGUAAUUUAAGUAGCCUUGGGAGCAUAUUUUGGCAUUGUUUUAAUAAUUUUUUCAACUAAGUAUAGGCUUAUUGACAUGAAAAGAACCUCAUCUAAAUCAUUUGGUUGCAAGGAUAAAAAAAAAAGAGCAGUUAGAGGGAGAUGAACCUUAUUAAGACGGUUAUUGUUCAUUUCAAGCAAGAACCUUUUGUGGUAUAGAUCCUUGGAUUAAUCCUAAACUUGAAAGCAUAAGUUCACAACCUCGUUGGUAAGUUGUAUUUGAAAAUGGUGAUCCUAAUAAAUCUCUUGUUUUUGGGUUUUCUUUUCUUUAAUUUUCUAUCUUUAAAACUUUUUGUGUGUGUGUCUUUUAUUUAUAAAAUCAUUUUUCUAAUCUUUUAGCUAACAUUCACACCCCUAAAGCUAUUACCUCAGUUGCUACCAAUUUAUAAUUCCUUGUGGAGGCAACCUAACGGCUAUACAACUAUUAGUUUUUUUUUUUUUGGUUCAAGAGUUGAGAGUUUUAAUUAAUGAUCUAGUUUAAUUCCUCUUUGUAAAACUUGACUAUUAAAUAUAUUUUUAAAUUUUGGUAAAAAAAGGAACUAGAGAAUGACAAACAAAAAAUUAGUGUUGUUGCCAGGGACUUUUCAACAUUGACUACUCUAGAGGUAUUUUUGGGUAUAUGUUUGUUGUUUUAAAAGCUUAGCAAGUAUAUUUCACCCAUUCCCUACCUAUCUUUUAGUUGGAUUUUUAUUUAUUUUUACUUAAUUUGUUUUAUUUAGAUUUUUUUUUCUUUAUUUUUUUUGCUUAGUUUUCACUUUCAAUUGUUAAAUCUAACAUUACAAGCAUGUUCUUUAUUAGGGAAAUGAUUUUAGAAAAAAGACACUAAGUAAUCAACCAAACCAUAGUUAUCAUUUUCCUCAACACAUUAGACCAUAACCACCUUAUAUCUAUUUUCCAAAUUCAAGCAUUGGUAGUACUAAUAGAAGUAUGAUGAAUGGGGAUUUUAACCCAAAUAACUAGCUAGCCAGGACCAUAAGGGUUACCUACAACCCAAGUCAAUGCUUUCUUUUAAUUGAUAUUUCCUUUUGAAUAUUUUCAAAUAAACAUUGAGCUUGUAAUGAUCCAAUUGGUAUCUUUAUCUUAUGGAAGGGAUGAUGAAAAUCCUUAUACUUAUUUAAAAUAAUUUGAAGAGCUAUGGUCUAUUUUGGUAGAACCUUCAUGAAAUCUAGAUCAUUUGAAACUCAAGGUUUUUUUUUUUUUUUCAUUAAAGAAAAAGGCUAAGCAUUAGAGGUAUAACCCAAGACUCUAUAGUAUAAGUUCUUGGGCUACUUUACAAAAUAUUUUUAAUAUUUUUUUAUUUAUUUUUUGUUUUGUAAAGAAGGAGACCUUGCAUAAUUGUUGGGAUCAGUUUAAAGCUUUGUUGCUCAACUUCCUUACCAUAGUUUUGAAAACUUAAGGAUUGCUUCUGCUUUUUAAAAGAGACCAUCUCCCUAAAUGAAACAAUUUGUUGAAAACAUGAGUGAUGGUUAAUUUAUAUAGGAGAAACCACAAGAAACACUUAAACAUUUAAAUUUGCUUGCUGAAAAAUCAAGGGUUUGGAACCCCUUAGUCCCUCGAGUACAUCUUCUGGAACUUGAAAACCAACCCCAACAACAUAUAGUCUCUCAUCCCAUCUCUCAAUUUAUCAUUUUCUCUUGGAACAAGAUUUUUGAAGAAGAUGAUCUUUGGAUGCUAUAAGAGGAGGAAGUCGCUGAAGUUGAGGAAAAGGAAACUAUGUACAUAGUAGAUUGAAAUGAAUUUGUUGAAUAAGAAUUAGUUGAAGAAGAGAAUUUCCAAUAGGUUGCAAAUAAGUUUGUAAGCUUCAUUUUAAAAAAAAAAUUUCAAAAAUAGAAAAAGAAAACUAUAAAGAGUAAGAAACAAAGAAGGAAUGAAACAAUGUAUUACAUUCUCACACUAGCUUUAUUCUUCCUCAGUUUUCCUUCUCGUUGCAAACUAAAAAUAUUGAGCUUCAAUUUUUAGAAGCUAGCCAACAAUUUGUAAAAAGCUUUCACUUUUCUUUUCUUCAUUAUUUUUAUUUAUGUUGCUCUUGCAACUUGAGUGUGUAGUAGCACCAUCAUUGUGAAGCCUGUAAUAUUACAUUCUCAGUACACUCAAUGCAUUUGGGUGACCUAUAUCAUCUCAUAAGAACUCAAGUAUAAAUUUCUCCACACUCUAUUGGUUUCAUCAUGAUUCAAAGUACGUGUAAAUUGUUAGCACUAGGAAGGCGCACAAAAGUGUUGGAAAUAUAGGAAUUCCAUACCUUUGAGGUGCAUUGCCCAACUUGUAUGAUGACUUAAAUUGUGCAUCUAUAAAGCACAACUCAAAUUGUACACCUUGAAAGCAUGACUUAAAUUCCAUACCCUAAGAGAAUAAUUUAAAUGGUACACUCAAAAGAGCGCAACUAAAAAUUACAUACCUUUGAGCAACCUUUUAUAUUGCAUAGCUUAUGUGUGCACAAUUUAAAUUACACAUCAUAAGAGUGCAAUCAUUUCCCAUGGGAUGCCAACUUAUUCUUUUGUAUUAUUAUCCAAGCGUGUUGUCCCUAGUAAAAAAUCUUUAUUCUCUUAUGCAAACUUUUUGGAAGAAAAAUAUCUUCUUAAACAAAACCAUAAUUUCCUAUAAUUUCUUAGAGACUUUUGUCUAUCCCACCAUCAAUGUAUCAAUUAUGGUGUAGGUAGGAAAUCGAGCAGCUUUCUAAGUUUUAUAUAAAGGAAGUAAUUUUAAUACUGUUUGCAUGUGCUCAAACAAGAACACACACAAUAGUGCAAUAUGAAAACUCUGAAGAAUGGUAAAAACCAAAACACUGAGCCUAAAUGAGACAAUGAAGAGAGCUAAAAAUGAACAAUCAAGCCAAUUUAUUGAAGUAAAGGUGACUAAACCAGUCACUAUAGUAGCCAUAAUACUAGAACAACCCAACAGAGCAUUUAGUAGAAUGAACAUUCAAACAAAAAAAGAAUCACGUUAAGGUUAAUAGCGUUGACCACGUCUUCAAUUAUUAUUGCUUAAUCUUUAGGAUAAUAACAUCAUAUAAUGAGCAUUUGAAGCUAACAAUGGGUGAUAUUGAACUUUGUCGGUCAAUCUCACCCUUAGUGAAGAAUUCAAUUAAGUAAUAGUCAGAGGUUGAACAGGAUAAACAAAAAUACCCCCAAGGAACUCAAAAUCUCAAGACUAUACAAUUUUUCAAGAGCCCCUGAUAAAUAUAACUUCUUUACCUAAUUUUUGCAUCAUUUUUGUUUUCUUUACCUUUUUCUUUUAACAAUCAAAUCAAGUAAAAUAAGCUUAGUUUUAAAUAUUUUAAUUCAAGCUCACAUCUGGAAUUAAUCUACUUAAAUGACUUAUUAAAAAUCAUCAUCUAAGUAAUGAAGUACCAUAGUGAACUUAGAGGAACCAAAAAGAAAUGAGUUUUCCUAAAAGUUUCUCUUUAAUCUAGUCUCACACACCAUGCACUAUAGUGUUAGGGUACUCAUACUUCUCAGGAGAAGAACUGGUGGCAACUUGAGAAAUAGAACAAACUCAUUGUAGAUAAAGUGUUAUGAUAAGAUUUGCUAUCACCAACAUCCUAUAGGAGGACGCAAUGAAGAGCAACUAAAGGAAUCCAUUUAUUACUUGAAGCUUGGUGGUAAUUCCCCAAGGGUGCUUUAUCACCUAGUGCCUUAUACCAACUGGUCUGGGAGUCAUAUAUUGAAAUCCAUUACAUAAGCAACAAGAAGGUGACAAAGUCUACAUUCUUUGAUGAAUGAACUUUUAAUUUUUCAAAAAACAAAAAGGGCGAGUGGAGGAAGGGAAGUGAAAGUAUAUUAAGGAAAACAAUUUGUCUCAAACUUAUGCCCUAGGAACUUGCUAUUCCUAAGACUAAGGGGUGUUAGUUUGAAAAAUCAAAAGAUAGAGGAAGGGAGAAACAAUAGUAAAAACUACUAAACUUAAGGAACCUUUUGUAUGCGAAGAUCUAGUCACACCUAAGUAAGGGCUGAUUUGAAAAUUUUCUUUUAAUGUAUUUAUUUUGUUUCAUUUGAGCUCUCUUACUUUUUGCGUUUUCUAACUCAAACUCAACACUUUAAUGGCUCUAAAUAUCUCACUUUAAUGUGUGAGGUACUCAGAAUUAACCUAAUGCAUUGUUUGACAAUACCUUAAACAACUAUAUUUGAUGAAUUUUGUGAGCAUUUUGUAGGCUUUAAGGUAUUUUUGGUAUAACAUAGCCUUUUUGGGAACUUGCAUGGACAAAAAUGUGUAAGUAUAGAGCAAACACAAAUACCUCACCUCUUAGGUGCACAAGACUUAAUAACAUGCCUCUUUUUUAGUGUAAAUCCAUAGUACACCUCCCAUGUACACCCUAAAGACCAAGUUGUGCACCCACUCAAACACCUUAAUUUGCACCUCUCUUAAGUGCUCUAAGCCUAGCAGUUGCAUACCUUUUCACUUGAGUCGGUAGGAUGGCCAGAGGUGCAACUACUCAAGAUCUAAAAUGUGCAAUCUUUUUUCAAUAAUAGAAUGCACUCUUAGGGGUAUUCUAACCUUACAUACCAUUCAUAUCUCCACAAGAGUUGUGUACUUAAUCAUUCUUCUAAUUAUUAGUGUACUCACAAAAGUAGCACAGUCAUGCAUGCAUCAAAGUCUUCAAUUGUAGUACCAAAACCUACGUAAUGUCGACAACACAAAAAAUGAGGUGUAGCUACCAACCCCAAGCUAAUACAUUAAGAAUCAUGAUCAAUUGACUACAUUGACAUAGGACUAAAUUUUGGUGUUGGAGUAGUUGGAACAAGGGGAAAUUUUUUUGCCCAUAAAACUAGGAUUGUAAAUAAGUAGAAAUAGAUAAUAGAGAAUUAUAUAUUUUUUCUUCCUCAUACAAAUAAGACUAACUUGAUGCAGUUUUAGUUUUCAAUUUUCAUUUGUAAUCUUUUCUUUUCUUUAUAAAAUUUCCCUUAUUUCCAAUUUAAUGAAUUUUCUAGUUUUUUCAAUUGAUCUUACUUUUCAAUUUUUUAGUUUUAGCUUAUAGAUUUAUAUUUCUAUUGAUUUCCUUAAUUUUUAACAUGCUUAGAUAACUUUUAACACUUUAAGAGGUGAGAGGAGUUGAGGUCUUCGAUAUCUUAGUUCAACUCUCUAUUGGUUUAGUUGUGCAUAGCUACAAAGAAUUUGAUCUUUGUUAGUAGUUACAAUGACUAAAAGGAGUAACCAUGGGGAUAAAAGUCUAUGUUGCAUCGGUUGUGACGAUCACAAGUCAAGCAACCUUGGGAGCAUGCUUAAGCAUUGUUUAAAUGAUUCUUUUAACUAAGCAUAAGCCUACUAACAUGAAAUAAAAAAAUAAAAAAAUAAAAACUAUCUAAAUCAUCUAGUUGCAUGGAUCCAAAAGAGGGCAAUUAGAGAGGAAACUUAUUCAGGUGGUUCUUGUUUAUUUCAAGAAGCAAUCUUUUUGGGUAAAAACCCUUAGCCUAAUGUUAAAGCCAAUAUCAUAGGUUCAGAGCCUUAGUGGUGAGUUGUACUUGAGAGUAAAAAUCCUAACAAACCUCUAAUCCUAGGGUUACUUUUUUUUUUUUUGCCUUUUAAACUCUUUCUCCCUUUCUUUCUUUCUUCUUCCUCUCUCUCUCUUAUUUAUAAAAUCAUUUUUUUGAUUUCAAAAAAUGGUGAAAUACAAAAUAGAACUAGCCUAGCAAAUUCGAUAUAUGUUAUGCCCAUGUGUUGCAUUCAAAUUGUAAUCUCUUGUUAAAUUCAUGAUAAAGUUUACUAGUAUUAUGAAAAGGUUUAGGGGAGUUAUAGAUAGUGAAAUGAUCGAUUCAAAUGACUUUGGCAUUAUGAGUGUAUGGAGCCUCCAUUGUAAAGGGCUUAGCAAUUGGGAUACACUACUAUGCUCUCCCGAUAGGGUUUGAAAUCAACCUAUCAAUGUAGUUAGAGUAUUUGACAACUAAUAAGGAAUUGGAAUACAAGGUCCUACUAGCUAGCUUACCUUUGGCAAAAGAGGUGGGGGUUUUCUGCAUACAAUUAUAUAACUAUUUGUAACUUAUUAUCGAAAAGAUCACAAGACAUGAUGAGGCUUGGAAACCUCAAUUAUGACCUUGCUAAAAUAUUAUUUAAGCCACUAUAUGUGACCUAUAGAGGUUCCACCUUAGCCUUAUCCCUAAAGAAGCUAACCAACAAGUAUAUACCCUAGCCACACAAGUACUAGCUCACCUACGGGAACCUCAAGUAUACGUUACAUAACCAAUAGUGGAAACAUCCCACUUUAUUGUUGAGGUUCAUUAUUGGAUCUUCAAUAACAUGCUUCUAAAAAAUCCCUAUCCUUUAGUACCUCCUCGAGAGGAAGCAAUUAUAAAGGGGAAAAUGAAGCACAGGGGCUCUAAAAAAAAGUUGUAAGGUCGUAUACUAUCAUGAAUUGUGCCAGCUCCUAUGAUGGACCCUACCUAUGUUGCAUAGAUGAGGAAGAUGCUCGAUAUAAUGAAAUUAUCUACAAUGACCUAUUAUUCAUUUCUUUGGGAUACCAUGGGUCAUAGUAUCAAACAAUGGAUUCCAAUUAACCACCCAAAACUUCUAAGAUUUAUAUAAGGAAAUGAGAAUUGAGAAUUGUUACCAUAUUUUGUGGUACCCUUAAGGCAUCCAACCAGCAAAGGCCAAUAAUAAGGUAAUAGUGCAUGAACUUAAGCAAAAAGUUGGAAAAAUCUAAGCGAAUGUGAGUGAAGCAACUUUUCACUAUACUUUGAUCUUACAAAACCACUCAAAGAACGUCUACCCGAGAAGCACCUUACUUUCUCACAUAUAGGAUAGAGGUGAUCAUUUUAACUAUGAUUAGAAUGCCAACCUUGUGUACCUAAAUGAGUAGCAAAGAAGUGCUUGUUGCUAGAAAACAAGAUUUUGAUCUAGUUGAAGAAAGAAAGCAAGUGACACCCAUAAAGAUGAUUAUCUACUAGAGCAAGAUAACCAAAAUCAUAAUGGAAUAAAAACAAGACCCUUGCAUGAAAAAGAUUGAGUUUUGAGAAGGACUUUCCAUGAAAGCUAAGAAGAUGAAAAAUUAUCCUCCCUGUGGAAAGGACGAUUCCUAAUUAAAAGAAUGGGGACACAAUGCAUAUUAGUGGGAUGUUCUUGAAGGAAAGUUUAUACCAUGACCAUGGAACAUGUGCCACCUAAUAAAAACCAAAAUUUAUUAUCUUUAAAUAAAGAGAAACCUUUGGAAGAAAAAUCAUCUAACCCCUAGUGGGCAUAUUUCCUUUUAACAAGCAUAUUACUCUAAUGGGUGCCUUACCUUUCAACGAGAAUCUCUUCCUUAAUGGGUAUCUUGCCUUUUAAUAGUCAUUUUAUCCUCAAUGGGAAUUUUGCCCUUAACAGUUGUCUUAUUCCCUAGUAGACAUCCUAUCUUUUAAUAAGAACCUUGUCUCUAGUAGGGUUUCUACCUUUUAAUAGGCAUCUAAACUAAAUAGGCACCUAAACCUAAUGGGCACCCUUCCUUUUAGCAUAACAAAGUAACAACAUCAAAGAUAAAAAUAGCAAAAUGUAAAGCAUAAAAAGGUCAUAAAGGCCAUCUAAUGUAAUAGAGGCACAAAAGCCAUAAACAAACCAUGACACAAUGGCAAACAAGUGUUUAAGGGUGUGCAGGCCAAACUCCAAAUAAACAACGUAUUAAUUACUCCUCCGAUCUAAUGCAGAGGACUUCAGAAUCUCCCAUAACUUGUAAUAAAAUUAGAGUUAUCUUCGAGGAUCCUUUUAAAGCAGGUUAGACACUAUUCUUGGCCUAGAUGGCUUGAUUAAAGGCUCCAAAAUUGGGUUGGUGUCUUUUGAGGCAUUUUCCUUUAACAUUUGGAUUAUCUCUUUAAGAUGGACUUCAUGCCUAGCAAUAUCCUCCCCUGAUGGAGCAAACUUGAUGUGCAAAAUUUGUGAACACUUGAACACUUAAACUACAUGGGCCUUGAAAUAAAUAAUGCAUUCGACCUUUAGGUUUUCCAUCUCCAUAAACUUUUCCAAUAAAAUUUGAAUACAAAUUUUUUUACUAUUGACAAAUGUUGUGCUCCCACUACUAACCUCCUUUAGCUUUCCCUUUAGGACCCACACUUCCUCUUGCUUCAAUCAAAGCUCUUCUAUGACCUUCCUAUAUAUAUGUUGCUCACUCAUAGUGUGGUCCUUAAGUGCUUGUGAUGUAACCCAUAAUACGAAGAGACCCACCAUCAGGAUGUUCACUCAAUCAAAUUGCACCCCUAGCUCCCUACCACUUAGUUCCUUUAAACUUGCUAGCACCAACUUAAUAUGGUUCAUGUUUCACCUCUUGAACAAGCAACCAAAUAGAGGGCAAAGACGCACACUACGACCAAAUAAAGGGUAGCCAAAAGGGGGGAAAAAGAAAAGCUACUCACAACAUUUGAGUCAAGAAAGAGGGAAAGCAUGGAAAAAAUCUCAUAGAUCAACAUACCAACCAACCAAAGAGUAGCUUAUGGAGCAUUAAAGAAAGAUAAUUAACCCACAAAGCCCCUAAGCUUCUGUCUUCUCAAAGGAAGAUUCCUGUAUGCAAAAUGGUGGAUAAGAGCCUAACUAAUAGUUUUGUCCUAUUAUUAUGAUUCCACUAUAAUCAAUUUGCUAGAAAUAGGAAGGUAGGAGAGGGUCCUUUAAAGAAUGGGGGACAUAUCAAAAUAGGAGAAAAAACAAUUAGGGGAACAUGAAAAGGAAUAGAUGAGAUCUAUAAUUGAAACCUCCAUGGAUUUAAUAGAGUUAAGUAGAUCGGAGGACUUAAAAAAUAAAAGCGAUUUUCUAGAUUCCUGAUAAGAGAGCAUGAGGGACCGAUACAUGAGAAAGGCACGUUUGGCUACCUACAACUCACCUAUACUUUUGUUUGAACAAUUUUAUGAAAUGAAAAAAGAUAUCUAACAUAGGAGGUGAGAAAGCAUGAGCCCAUAAGCAUGAUCAAACAAGGCUGUAAGUAGGUUUUGUUAGGAUGGAAUCAUAGAGUGGGUGCUCUAAGAUCCUAGAGCAACUAGAUCUAAGAACAACAGAAGCAUAUACAUUUCAAAUAUUUAGAUAUAGGUGUUAAAAGGCAUACCUUUACAUCUAGAUGUUCCUAGAUCAUACUCUAGUUAUUACAGGGAUCUAAAAAAACUUGGUGCUUCUACCGAUGACUUUGUCUUUAAUCCUUGGAACAAGUGUAAAGUGACUACACACCUUGAGAAAGAGAGUACUUAAUGUUUUCUCUAGAAGAGCAAUGAAUGAAUAGAUGGAUAGAUAGAUUGAUAACUUGACCUCAAACCCUCAUCAAUCUAACCUUAAACCCUAAGAGAGUUUAUAUAACUUCUUUUGUAAGCUAAUGUGACUUAGGCCCACCAUAGGCUAAGGUCACUUAACCUAGUCAACUAGGUACUAAUGAAUUAAAUAGUUCUAAUGAGCUUCAAUUAAUUAAGUGGCUUAAUAAAAAAAACUUAAAAUACACUACAAGAAAAUGUACUUUUCGUGACAAAAAUUUAGUGGUGAAUUCUACUUUUGUCGCUAAAAGUAACAUUUACCGAUGAAAUUUUAGAUGUUGUCAAUAAUGCCAAUUUUCUACAAACUUUUCCUAACAAAUUUGAAAUUUUUGUCAUUGAAAGAUGUGACAGGAAAAUUUGGCGUUUUGUUUUUGGCGCAAACACUUUUGUGACGAAAAUAAACUAUUUCCCUACGAAAAUAUUUAUCACUAAUUAUAAUUUUUGGUGAUGAAAAUAAUUUCCUCACUAAAAGUUACAACUUUUUAUCUAUUUUUGCUUACAAAAUGGUUUCGUCGAUAAUUAUAUUAUUUCCUAACAAAUUGAGUAAUUUUUUCAUCAAAUCAUGUUAUUAAAUUGUGAUAUUAAUAAAGAAUAUUAAUAAAUAAGUAGAUGAUUUAUACUAUGAAAUAAUAUAAUAUAUAUUUGUUGACACUUAAUAUUUAUACUAUAAUAUUUUAUUUAUAUAAAUAAUAAUAAAAAUUAAGGAUCCAUAAAAUUAAAUACUAGAAUGUAGAUUUAUUUAAAUUUAAAUGUUCUAUUAUGUAAUAAUAGUAUUGUUAUGAAAUAAAAAAAUGUAAAUUAUUUAAGCAAUUAAUAUUUAUAGUGUAACAUGUUAUUUAUAUAUAUAUAUAUAUAUAUAUAUAUAUAAAUAAUAACAAUAGAUAAUCCAAGAUAUGUAAGAUUACAUCCUAUGAUAUAAAUUUAUUUAAAUUUCAAUAUUAUUAUAUGGUGCUACACAUACAUAAAUAUUACUAAAUGAUUUUUAUUAUAUUAGGUAAAAGUUAUCCAUACAAGUCCAAUGUAGUAUUAAAUUUAUGUUAGCUAUGAAUAAGUUAUAGUCCUCUAAUUUGUUCUCAUUCAAAAUCAUACCUUAUCCACUCAAGAAGUAAAUUUCUACUAACAUUUAGUUACCUAGUUUAAAUUAAUAGAUUUUUUUUAAUUAUUACUUAGUUUUUAAAUAAUUGGUUAGAAUUAAAUUUCUCAAAUAAAUUGUCUAGUGUCUAUAAAAACAUUCUACCUACAUAAAAUUCCAAAUAUUAUUUAUGUGUAUGAAGAUAUCAUAUAUUAUUAAUAAAUAAAUAAGUAUAAGUUAAAUAUUAUAUGAUAUAAUAUAUUGCAAGUACUAUAUGCCUAGCUCUAUUUUCAUAUUUACAAAAUAAAAAAUGUACAAUAUAUAUAGCACAUGUGAAAUUCUAUAUAAAUAUAAAGUUUUUUAAAAAGUUUUCAAUCACAUCUUUAUUAAUAAUUGGUUAUUUUAUUUUUUAUUGAUCAAUUUUAUAUUUAUUUUUUUAAAUUAUUAAUUACUAAUUUAUCAAAAUUGAUUAGUUAUUAAGAAUAAAGUCUUAAAUUAUACCGCAAAUAACUUGUAAAGGAGUUUUUAUACUUGUAUGCAUUUUUAAUCAAAUAUUUAAAACAAAUAUAGUUAUAAAAAUAAUUAAAAUAUAUCAUAAAUUAUUAUAUGAUUUAUAUUUAUAGUGUUUCAUUAUGUUUGAUAUUUUUGUUUGGAAUAGAUGAGAAAGGGAAAGAAAAAAAAUGAUGUAGAAUCCUAAUUUCAUUUUGAUCAUUAUUUUAUUAAUGUCAAUAUGAGUAUUACACUUUGGCAUUCUCCUAACAUUGUCUUCCAAUUGUACUUUUAUUUUAUAUUUCAAAUUUAUCACUUUAAUCCAUAAGUCUGGAAUUGAAUUUAUUCUAGCUAUUAAUAAACUAUAGUCCUCUAAUUUGUUCUCAUUCAACAUUAGGUUUGUUUAGAGGUGACAAAAUUUGAUAUGACUUGUCAAUAUGACUUGAAUUUAACACCCUUUCAUGAUUUAGGGUUGAGUAUAAUUGAGUUCAAGUCAAAUUCAUGUCGACUUGCAUACCUUAUUUAAUAAAUAAAUAGUGUUGGCCUUAUGGGGGGGCUAACAACCACCCUAAUGGACUAUGGAGAGUAAGCUUAAAUAAUAUAAGAUCUCCAUUCUAAUCACCAAUUAGUUUUCAGAACAAAUGGGGGUCUUGUCAUAAGAUACUCCGUGGUUAAGCAUGUUGCAGCAAAAGAAAUCUUAGGAUGGGUGACCCACUAGGAAGUAUAGAGCACCUCGAUCAAUAAGUGGUAUCAGAGCCUGGUCACAUGAUUGAUGGGUGAGCUAGCACUGUGGGUGAAUGGUGAAGGCCUGGGGUGUGGCCAAGUUAAACAAAGACGGUAGGCUAUCACCGACUUUUGGGACAAAUUUGAUUUUUUUCGUGACAAAAAUUCUUAGUUUUGUCGAUGAAAUAUUUCGUUGGAAAACACUUCUAGUAACAAAAUUUUAUUUCAAGGAAAACUUUAGGCGACAAAAUAAGAUUUUUGUCAUGGAACUUUUAGUGACGGAUCUAGGGCGAUGAACAAGGCACGAAAGAAUUUUCAUUGGGGAAUGUUUUUGUAGGCAAAAUUUAGACUUUCAAUGACAAAAUAUUUUAUCGUUGAAAGUCAAUUUUCUUGUAGUGAUAAAUAGUCAUAAGUUUUUGUGCAACUUUUAUUUUUACCAAAAUGCCCUUAUGCACACAUAUGAUUAAUUAAACCCAAUUUCCUCAAAUCUUUAUGUCAAUAAAAAUUAUGAACUUGAGCAGGGAUCACUAGAACCCAUAGGAAAAUAUAAGCCCCCUGAUAAUCCAAUUCUAAAGUUGACUCAGCAUUCCACUAAAGAAAAUCAACUACAUUCCAAUGUCCUAUGAUAUUAUAUUGAGAUAAAAUUGAUUAAAUCUAAUUUAAUUAAUUUCUUAAGCUUGUGACCUACUGUCCGCUGCAGAUGGGUUCCUUAUGAGCUAAUGUCCAUAAUCUAAAGAGUUAAUAACUAUCAACCUUAGAAAAUUACCUCUAUAGGAUUACUUAUACAAUCCUUGAGUCUCACAUCCUCCUAUUUUGUGAUUAAUUGACAUACACUAGUUCAUAAAGAACAUAUCUUCAAUCCCACUUAAGCAAUUGUUGUGGCAACAAAUUUCAUAAUCACAAGUUAUUAGGAUCACCUAAUAGGAGACACCAUAUUAAUCUCAUGAGAUAUCAUAAUGCCUUUGUUGAAAAUGUUUAGUGUCACUUGCUUUAAUUAAUAGUGACCCAAUCUAUAGGGAAUUUGUGACCACCUUAGAGUCUUAUCCACAUGUUGAACCCUUUAAAGACCUUAACACUACCUUAAUAUUCUCUUAUGAUUGAAAGUCUAUGUAACAUAGUAACUUCUUAAAGUCAUAACUACUUGGUAGACAAUGUCAUGAUUCAUUGUAAGUCUUGUCCAAUUUGUAUACACACUAGUGAACUCAUCAAGGGAAACCUAACUCAAUAACCAAGAUAAGUCAUCCCUCAAAUUAGGAAAUAGUGCACUAAAACUUUAAAUGGAUUGCCUAAGUCCCCAAACUUACUCUGAGUAACUCAUUAACCUAUAAGGAACCCAUGACAUGAAUCUUUUAUGCACUCUUAACAUACCUAAGUCAUGUACAAUGCAAAUGAUGUAAGUUUGAAUGGUCUUAUAAGUAAUAAUGCAAUCAAGGAUAGAAAAUUAGAAAUUGAAAUCAUAAUAUAAAUAUAUUGAAGAAACCUCAUUUUGUUAGAUCAUAUCAUGCUUUUAAAGGCUCUAUCUUAACAGUUUUGACACGCUAGAUGAAGACAUUUUUAAGACACACUCUUCUUUCUCUAAGUAGCUAUGAAACUCGAAAAAGUUAUAGAUAAUCAAAGGAAGAUUGUUUUGUUUAAAAAUUCCUUCUAGAGUAAAAUUUGAGGAGAUAUUGUGUGGUGGAAUGAUCUCCUAACAAUAAAGUAAAAGAGGGUAGGUAAAUUGAAAGGAGAAAAAAAAAGAAGAAUCAAAGAAAGAAAGUAAUCAUGCAAUUUAGGCCUUAAAAGCCACAAGGGACUCGAAAAUGGAUAUCCUUGUGCUCUAAACCUUCCUAAUCACUAAAGACCAUUAGUAAACCCUUUUUUCCUAAGCCUUGUUGGAGUCAAGGAGUUUCAACACUAAAUCUCUAUCAUUAAAGUUUGGCAUAAAAUCAUCAUUUUUACCCUUGUGCAACUUUAUUGAACAAGGAAAGAGUACCUUUCCUAAAUUGACAUAUUGUCCCUCUAACAUGUUGAGGAUAAUAGUACAAACCAAGAAUGUGACGAUGGUAAGGUUAACUCUAAUGAGAAAAACCCUAGAAAAAUCAUAAAGCUAACAAAUAGUGGAAGAAAAGAGAAAUGAAUGUUAGCCUGGAUGUGGGCAAUCAAGACAUCAUCUCCUUUUGAGAACUCAUAAAGUUAGUCUAAGAAAAACAACCCACUCAACAUAAGAAUAGGCCCCUUAGCAUAACUCUAUCAGGUCUAAAAAUCCUUGGAGCACUUGACUAAGAAGUCCUUGUUCUUUGCCAUAAAAAUUGAAACCCAUACUUGCUCAAAAAACCCAAGAAGAGGAAAAUAGGUGUAAGAAUAAGCCUCAAAGUACUAUUUAGUGAAGAACCACAAAGAGGCAUGAAGAGGGCGAGACUUAACUACCCAUUAAUGCGUAACACUCUAAGAAUCUCAAAAUGCUCCUUGCAUAACAAAUUAUCAUAAUGAUGUAUGGCAUUUUUAAAUCUUCCUCAUCCCUUACGAACUGUUGUCAAAGAAAAAUGAGGGAAAAAUAUAGGGGUGCUUGGUAGAAGAAGGCCACGUGUUAGCAAGAGAAUAGGUAACCAAAACCCUAGGUAUGAUUAUGCUUAUAUCUGAACCCCUUGCACAAGUGCUAAAUGAUUGAUCACUCGCCAACAAGCAUGAAUGAACAAUAAAUGCUAACUUAGACCAUACUCAUGUGACCUUAACAAAGUCUAUGCCUUGAUAUACGGAAACUCCAACUACUCCCUCAAAGGCCUUGUAUAAAAGUGACCACAACCUCUAUGCCAAGUAAGUAUUCUAAAAUCCAAGAAAUUAGCCUUUUGGAUUGACACUCAUUCAUCUAUUAGUUCCCUCAUUCUUUCUACGAACGACAAAAAAAUCAUGAUAAAUCGACAAUAUGUUAACAAAAUAUCGAAUUUUGAUUGGCACUAAAGCAACACAUAGUGGAGAAAUUUCAAUCAACCAAUUUUUUUUUAAUCAUUUUUCGGGGUAUUUAUGGGUUUUUUUACCAAUUUUUUUAGUCUAGUCAACAUGUGGCUGGCUCGGUCAAACUGCCUACUCAGUCAAAAUCAAUCAAACUUCAAAAGUGAACAUGGUUUGAUGUAGGGGGGGUUUCGAACCUAGACAAAAGGUUCUACACCUACACCACAUGACCAUUGGGCAUUACCCUUUAAUCAAUAUCAUUCACUAAUAUAUAUAUAUAUAUAUAUGUAUGUACGUAUGUAUGUAUGUAUGCAUGUAUGCAUAUAUGUAUGCUGAGAAAUAAAACUGUCAUUGCAGGUAGAUGGUGGAAAUCCUUGUUAAUAUUUUCAAUCUCAUCUUCAUCCCAACUAAAGACCAAUCUUGAAAAUUGAUGUCCAUCUGCCUUUCUUAUUUCUCAUGUGCCAAACUUAUUCUUAAUUAUGCUCUUAUUCCAUGGGCUUUGUGGUGUAUCAGAGUCUUACUAUCCAUUUAUAACACAAAAUGACCUAUUAUAUAACAUAAAAUCAAAUAAAUAAUAACAUGCAAUUGUGUGCCUUAUAUUUAAUUUUUAUUCAACAAAAUUAGGGAUAUUCAUAUAUUUUGGUAGAAUUCAUUAAGCUUAUAUUUGGUUGGGAUGAAUUUUGAUAGAAAUUAAGAAAUAGAAAUAAAAUAUAUAUAUAUAUAUAUAUAUAUAUAUAUGCAAAAAUAUAAUUUUUUUCCCUACUGUUUAUUUUACUAUGAAAAAAUUAAAUGAUAUAAAAUUAAAUAUACCUAAGAAAUGCAUUUUUAUUCCCAAAUUGUUUCCAACUUUUCUGAGGAAAGUGGAGAAAAAAUUUUAGAAUUCCUCCUGCCUUUUUCUGUAAUAUUUUUCUUACAUUUUCAUGUCAUCCAAAGCCAUGAAAAUUAAUUAUUCUUUUCUCUAUAAACAAAAGCAAGGGAGAUGCAGCGAAAAACACAAAGAAAAUUAAAAGAGUCAAGCGAGUAAAGAAACUAACAGUGAUAUAUUAUGAGUUCCCAUAACUCGAAGCGAUUUCCACUUCGGAAAGCCCAAGGCCUUUUAGCCAAUACCGUCAAAGGGGUUUUAACAUCAUCAGAAUCUUUAUCAUCAUAAGAAUCUUUAGCAUCACCGAAAUUGCAUGUGGCAAGGUCAGGAAAACGUUUAACCAGAUACAGUGCUACAUCUGCAUAUUACAAAAUUGUACAUGGGAACCCGACGGUAAUUCAUAUCAAGAAAAUAGAUAGGGGAUGGUAAAUAUAGCUCACCAUGAAACCCCACCAUUAGUGCUCUGUGCAGAAGUAUGACUCCAGGCUUGUCUGCGAAAGGACUUGGAUCUACAUCAUCUCUGGUGACGCUUAAUAAAUAUAAAGUCAGCUCUUUAUGACCAUACCUAAGAGCGCUGUGAAGAGGCACUAAAUUGCCUUGGUUGCAGGUAUUGAGCAAGCUUGGGCUUUUGUUCACUAACAACUUGACUGCUUUUAUAUUGUCAGCCCUUACAGCGUUGAAAAGGGCAGUGGCGCCAUCAGAAUCCUUCAGAGCCAGUUUAUCUAUUGGCAUAAAGUCAACCAACUGCUCCACGAAACCCAUUCUGGCCUCUCCUAACUCAACUGCUAUGUGAAGCAUUGUUGAAUUAUCUAUUCCGAUCGGGGCGUCCAAUAAUUGUGGCUCACGCCCCAAUAAUUCUGAAGCACUUUCCCAGUCACCAUUGACCACAGCUUUGUACAGUUCCGAGUAAUAGAUUAUAUCUGCAUCAUAGAAUUCUGCAGUCACAAAACCAAAAGAUGUAUAGGUCAGCCUAGAUUUCCCUGAUAUGUAUAUUUCUUCAACGUUCACAACAUCCUAAUACUAAAAUUACUUUUUUAAAAAUAAAUCAUUUAAGUUAUGUUUGGUUCUUAGAAAAUUUGACAAAAAUUACAAGGAAAAGAAAGUAAAUUGAAAAAAAUAGCUAGAAGGUGAGAAAAAGUGAAAUAAAAUAUAUCUAAAAUCAAUAAAUUAAUUAUUUUUAUAUGUUACUCAUUUCACUUAUUUUAACUAUUCAAUAUAAAAAUUAAAUAAUUUAAAAUUUCAUAAAUUUAUAACUAAUUUUAAUUAUAUUUGAUUUUCUUAAAUAUUUUUUUCGAUAUAACCAAAUAUGGGAAAAUCAUUUUGCUUGAUAUAUUGCCUUUGCUAAUUAUUUUCUUGGACUUCUUUGUUUACCUCUAAUCAACAUCUUUAUAUCUUUCAAUAAUAGUUUGAACCUCCAAUAAACUACACGAAUUAAAAUUUAAUUUAGUUUCAUUUGUUUUUUUAACAGCAGGUUGUAAAACAGUUCUACUUGUAAACUAAUUAUGCCCAAAAGUUGCAUAAGGACUUGGGCAUGAACAUGGUUUUUAGAAUCUUACCGGAGCUGCUAGUUCUUUGCAAAGAUGAAGGGGAAGAGACUGAAGCAUUGUUUGGGCUGUCAUCAUUACCGAGAUGGUAAUGAAGAGGAAGCCAUUGCAGUACACUCCUCAUCAUCCUCAGCAAUGUCGAUGUUACUGUUUUUAGGACGUAGUGAAGAAGAAGAAGUCAUCACAACAAAUUCCGAACAUGAAACUUUGGUUUAUUCGACUCUUUCAUUAUAGACGGAUAAAUUUCCAAAUUUAAGACAUAGACAAAAUUAAAAAAAAAAAAAAACUUUACUUGAUAUAUGAAUACCAAAAUAAUAAUAUUGUGUGUAACAAAAAGGAGAAUGAAUCCUGGUUGAAUGAAUAGUGCAUGCAGAAUCUUCAACUGCAUUGACCCAAAAGAUCAAACCGAUAGAAAAAAAAAAUGAAUAUAUUAGAAUUCAACUAGGUCAACCACAUUCCAUCCAAGUCAAAUACCAGCCCACAAUCGCAGCAAACAAAGACUAGCUAGCCAGUGCGUUUAAUUUCAUCCAAUAAGAAUUCCCUCAAGCAAAAAGCCAGGAAACAGAAGUAGUAGGAAAGCCCUAGCCUUGCACCAAAAAAGUCUCGUCUCAUUGCUGGGAGUGCAUGCAUCCAUGCAGGAUCUGUUGGAUCAGAAAUUGGAAGAGCUAAAGUCCAGGACAUACAGAAGCGGUCGCCGGAGCCAAACCUAGUGAGCUUCCAUUUAAAGAUUAAAGCUAUGUUUGGUUCCCGAAAAUAUUAAUUUUCUACCAUGUAUCCAAGGGAAUCAAGGGCCUCAUAUGAUUCGAUGUUAUAAAGUCGGCCUCUACAAUUUAGAUUAAAAAAAUAGUUUGUUUCAAAGGAUAAUCCAUCAAAGAAGAAUGAAACAACAUUCUCAUCCUAAUCUUCUAACCUAACAUUGGUGAAACUUUUUAAACUCGUUUUCUUUGAAAUUGAUCAACUGAUCCAUGAUGGAAAACGACCUACAUGCAUGAAAGCAACCUAGGUAGUCUUCAAAGUCCAUUUUAGCCAUAAAAAUUCAAACACCCAACUUCUAAAACUAGAAGAGGUUGAACUAAAAACGAAAGAGAUCGAAACUAAUGAUUCUAUUCUUAACAAAAAUUCAUAGCCUACCCAACCUCACACGAAAACACUUCUUGAAUUGGUUGGCAUCACUUCCACAUGGAAAUGGCAUCAAAAAAUGCAUGCGUCUCAUAGUUGUAUUCUUAUUGUUGACUAGUGUCCCAUGUCACGCCCCAAGACCCACUCCAAGGGCGUGACGGUCAUUUCACACCUCAAACCCGAAGGCUUAAAGUAUAAUCUGACCCAAACAAUCAUAUUGUAAUUGGAUGUUACCAAUUACCAAAUACCUGUUCAGAGUAGCGGAACAAAAUCUAAAAUCCUAAAAAUUUAAUUUCCAAAUAACUUCCAAAUAUCAAAUGAUCCAAAUAAAAGUUGCAGAAGGACCUCAAGCGGAAAUGGACAUGAACAUGGUUUUUAGCAUCUUACCGGAGCUGCUAAUCCUUUGCAAAGAUGAAGGGGAAGAGACUGGAGCAUAUUCAUCAGCAUUCUGCGCCAUAUUGAUGCUACUACGGUUAGGAUUGUUUGGGCUGUCAUCAAUUACCGAGAUGGUAAUGAAGAGGAAGCCACUGCAGUAAACUCCUCAUCAUGCUCAGCAAUGUCGAUGUUACUGUUUUUAGGACUGUUUGCGCUGUUGUCAUUUCUAGGACGUAGUGAAGAAGAAGAAGCCAUUACAACAAAUUCCUUAUCGUUCUAUAGUAUUGCCAUGUUUAGCGAAGUUAUUCUAAUGUGUAACAGAAAACCUAAACAAAAUCUGCAGUUGACAAAGGUCAAAAUUAACUUACCUCGCAGAUGGAAGAUUAUAUUUAACUAUAUCAAGGCAGAGAAGAUACUCUCAUCCAAAGAGAAACAACAGCAGCCCUUUUUCCCACUGUCUUCAAAAGAUACAGGAACCAUUGAAGCAUAAGAGGUGCAAUGAUAUAGUCUUCCAAGUCAACUUUAUUUAGUUGAGUAUUGGGUAAGGAGUAGACAUGAUAAACAAUAGUAAACAUGUAUCAAAUAUAAAAAAUUUCUCACAAGUGAUGCAAUUAACAUUUUUUUUCUUCAAUAAUAUGUAUAAUAUAUACCAUGUGAUGUAUUAUUUAUACUUUAAGCUUUGUUUGGAUAUAUUUUUUAUUUUUUAUAUAUAAAAAAUAAAUUAUAUUUUAAAAUUUGUGUAAUAUAAAAAAGUUAUUAUUUUUUAGUAUUUGAUAUAAUACAUUUAUAUAUUUAUUAAAUUAUGACAAUAAAUGAAAAUAAAGUGGAGAGGACGAUGUAGGUUGGCAAACCUUUCUGGAGUGAAUGCAGCGCAGCAAAAGAGAAGGUACCAUUAACUUGAAUGCGAGAAGGGUGAUUGAUCUAUCAAUCUGUACGUGUCCUUCUUGAAAGGGACCAGAUUUUAUGGGGUUGCUUAAGGAUUAAUGUGGGUGCCUGUAGCAUGAAAGUGAAAAGAAUUUUGGGUCACCAAGGCGCCUCCCAUAAAAAUAUAUCUUUUAGGUCCUUUUUCCCCAGAGUGUCCUAUCAUCCUCUGAUAAAAAUAAAAUUUUAAUUAAUAAUUAAUAAUUAAAUUUUUAAUUCAAAAAUAAAAUUAUAAUUAUUAAUUAAGAUUUUGAUUAAAAAAUAAAGCUUCAAUGGAUAAUUAAAACUUUAUUUUUAUCUCAAAUUUUAAUUGAUAAAUAAAAUUUUGGGCUAAUAGUUUUUAGUAAAAAAGAUUUAUAUUCUUUCUUUGGGCAAAUUGAACAUAGACUUAGAUUUCACUUAGAAUGAUAAACAUUCAUGGAGCCAAAUGUAAAUCCGCACUCUUGGGCAUAAUAUUAUUGAGCCAUUGGUUACCAAAAAUUACUCUAAGGUAUCAUACCCACCUUUUAGGCCAAUAAAAUUAAGAAACAUGACAAGGAAAUUAAAAAAACCAAUUCUCCAGGUUUAGCAUGGUUGCCGAGGGAAUUAAUCAUGUGCACCACACAUUGCUAUGAUCGUUUGCAAUAACCAAUUAUAUAAAAUCUGUUGAAAUAUUUUUGUAAAAUGAUAAAAUUUUACAAAAAUGAUAAUUUUUUUUGUAAAAUAUAGAAAAGGAUACAAGGCUAUUAGUUCAUAAUUGCAUGAUAACCUUUUAGUAUUUCAAUCUUUGAUUUUUUUUGGAGAUUAUUUCCAUAAAUUCCACAUUCCAAAAACAAUGAUAAUCUUUACACAAUAUUAUUGUUAUUUAAAAUGGGAAAAAAAAUAUAAAAAAUAAAAAUUUCAAAAAAAAAUUAGAGAUCACAAAGAAUACAAGGAUACGAAGAAGGUGAGGAUUGUCAUAUUUUUUGUACUCUCCUCACAUUCUUCAUGCCCCAAACCAUUUGAAUAUUUUAAUCUUUUAAUUGUUCCAAACAUUAUUUACUUCAAUUGCAAGUGUAAUUAGCGUUUUUACACAAUAUUAUUUUCAAAUGAAGUAAAAAAGAAAUUCAAAAUUAAAAAUUUCAAAAAAUUUAGAGGGUACGAAGAAUGUGAAGAGCCUCACAUUUCUUGUACCCUCCUCAAAUUCUUCGUACCUAUUGUAAUUUUUAAAUUUUUUAAUCUUUCAAUUUUUUCGAACAUUAUUUGCUUCAAUUUCAAGUGUAAUAAAGAUUUUUACCCAAUAUUAUCAUCAAGUGAUGUGAAGAAAAACUUAAAAUUAAAAAAAUUUAGAGGGUACAAAAAAUAUGAGAGAGGAGGGUGUGAGGAAUGUAAAAAAGGGUAUGAGAAAUGUGAGGGUACAAGAAAUGAAAAAAAGAAAAAAAAAAAAUCUCAUACCCUCCUCACUUUCUUCGUACCCCUACAAAUUUUUUAAUAUUUUAAUCUUUCAAAAUUUUUGAACAUUAUUUGCUUCAAUUUCAAGUGUAAUUAGUCUUUUUACAAUAUAUUAUUAUCAAGUCAAUUUAAAAAAAUUAAAACAAUUUAGAGGGUACAACAAAUGUGAGGAGGGUGUGAGAAAUGUGAAGAGGGUAUGAGAAAUAUAAGGGUACAAGAAAUGAAAAAAAAAAAAAAAAAUUCAUACCCUCUUCACAUUUCUUGUACUCUCCUCACAUUCUUUGUAUUUUCACCAAUUUUUGAAUAUUUAAAUUUUUUUUCAAAUAUUAUUUGCUUCAAUUUCAACAAAAUUCUCAUACCCUCACAUUUUUCAUACCCCACCAAUUUUGUACUAUUUUAAUAUAUAAUUUUUUUUAAACAUUAUUUGUUUCAAUUUCAAGUGUAUUUAGUCUUUUUACACAAUAUUAUUGUCAAGUGAAGUGAAAAAAAAAAAACAUAAAAUUAAAAUUUUCAAAAAAAUUAAAGGGUACAAAAAAUGUGAGAAGGGUAUAAAGAAUGUGAAGAGGGUGCAUAAAAUGUGAGGGUAUAAGAAAUGAAAAAACAAAAUUUUCAUCCCAUUCUCACAUUCUUUGUACCUUCACCAACUUUUAAAUAUUUUAAUCUUUUAAUUUUAACCCAUCUAACCCUUAUAAAUCGUGUCAUUAAGGAAUAUGAGCUCAAAGUAAGGACCAUUGGGAUCCAUAGGAGUAUUGGCUCCCUUAGAAUCAAAUUCUGAAAUUGAUUCAACAUCCCACUAUAGAGAGUCAACUACACUUUAAUAUCCUAUGUAUAUUACAACAAGACACCAAGUACUUGGGUUUAUGAUCUACUAUCUAUUGCAUGCAAACUCCCUAUGAACCGGUGUCCGUAAUCUAAUAAGGUAGUGUUGUCACCUAUCAAGAUUACCCCUCAAAUCCUUUAGUUAAAAAUCACACUUAUUAUGUGAUCAAAUGACAUACUCUACCUUUAAGGGGCAUAUGUCAAAUUCCACUGAAGGAAUUACUAUGACCACUGAUUUCAUGAUCACAUGCCCUCUGGAUCACCCAAUGGGACAUAUUGUCUCAAUCUAAUGAGAUAUCAUGGUGCCUCUAUUGAGAAUACCUAUUGUCAUCAACCUCCAUCAACAGUGACCCAAUUCAUAGGGAUAUAUGACCGCUUUAGGGUUUCACUCAUAGGUUAAAGUCUUCUAUUAAUUUUGGCACAAAUUCAAUAUCCUCUAAAGUUGAGAGUCUAUGCAGUAGAGUAGCUUAGUGAAUCAUGAUAAUUUAUAGUCUUGCGUCAUGAUUCACAUAGGUCCUAUCUAGUGUGUAUCACAUACAUUAGUAUAUUCAUCAUAGGAAACUCAUCCCAACGACCAAGACCAGUCAUCCCUCCAAUUAGGAGGUAGUGCACUAUAGUCUCUACUGAAUUGCCCAAAUCCAUGAUCCAACUAUGGACAACUUAUCUACUUAGAAGGAAUCCAUGACUUAUACAUCUGUGCAACUCCUAAUGCACCCAAAUCAUGUACAAUGUAAGAAACAUGGGUUGAAUGUUCAAAUCAGUGUCAAUACACUAGAGGGAUAACAAGGGGAUAGUUAAAUCUAACUUUGUUACAUCAUGUCUUACUUAGUUAAGUUUAAUUUUAUUACAUCGUAUCUUGCUUUUAGGGGUUCAAUUCCAACAAACUCCUACUAGCCCCAAAAGUAUACUAUGUAUUGUAGAAAAAAUCUACUCUACAGUCACGUCACCUUUCUAUACUAUCCCACAGCAAGGUAUCACUUGCUUUUUAUAUGUUCCCUCUUAUAGUGGUACUUUAGUUCUUUGGACUAUGCCACCAUCCUAGAUAAUAGUAUCUUAAACAAUACAACCAAUGGAAAUACCCAUAAGCCAAAGGCUUCCUUUGUUGCCAUAGAAGUAACAAAAACCACUUAGAGUGUACACAAUCCAAGAGGUAGACAUGCAAGAGUCCUCAUCAGAAUGAAAGUCCAAUUUCUCGAUACAAGGACUCACAAACAUAUAAUCCUUCAUUCUCUAUGGAUACUAGAGUAUAUGUUUGACAUUCGCCUAAUGAAGAAAUGAACUAAUAUCUACUCAUUAUUCCUAUAACAAAGCAAAUAUCUGGUCUAGCACAUAUCAUUGUAUGCUUAAGGCUAUCCAUUGCAAAGGCAUUAGAUACCAUCUUAAUGCGAUCUCUCUCCACAUAUGUCCAAGGACAUUGAUCUUAAGAAAGAUAACUCCAAAUCCAAAGAGUAACAAACCUUUCUUAGAGUUUUACAUCAUAUACUUGACCAAAUGCUCAUUAAUGUAGAUGACAUGGCACAAUUUUUCAUAUUCCUACAAUGCUAAAGGACCUUAACCCUAUGAAUAUAUUAUGCCUUCAUCUAGAUUUUUAUCUAGAACUGAGUAAACAACUAGAUCUUGACAGAUGAAAAUAUCCUUACAUCAUAUCCAAUGAGUAGAUUAUCAUCUACCUACAAGAUCUUAGAGCAUUACCAUGCUCCCCUAUGCUUUCAUGUACACACAAGGCCCAUUGCUAUGAAAAUGUUUGGUUGCUAUAUCUCAUAAAUGAGACACAAUGCAAUAGAUAAGAGUAAUCUGAUAGAUUUGAGUAUGAUCACUAUUGAAAAGGUUUUCCACAGUUGAAACAAAGUUUCAAACUAUAACCUUUAGCUAUAGUCUUAGCCACAUAAAACUCAAGCUUUCCAUCUACUCUUGUAGACCAUCUUACACCUAUGAGUUUUAUCCCUUUAAGUGCUUCUAUAGGAACUCAAACUAUGUUAAAAUGCAAAGAUUCUAACUACCUCUUCAUAGCUCAUUACCUUAAGUGAGCAUAAACACUACUCAAUGCUUCAUCAUAAUCUAUGACAUAUAAACUUCCCAUUAUGAUAAGGCACUGUUGUACUCAAAAUCAUAGGAAUGGUAUGCCUUAAACCCUCUAGAUCCAUAGUAUCAUAUGCAAUGUGGGACUAUCUUCUAAUAUAUCUUCCAAUCAUUAUCAUUUUUUGCCUUAUUCCUUAUAAUAUAGUUUUCAUAAAACAAAAUUGACAUUUGUGUUAACAAAUAUCUUCUGAUGAUCCUAACUAUAAAGGUAAUAACCUAAAAAUCCUCUUAUACAUCCUAUAAAUUGAUAUACCUCUUAAGAAAAAGGGUAAUCACCUUUUUAAAAAAUAGUAGGUAAAAUAUACUUGAUACAUACCUUCAACCACUACAAGAAAAAAGGUCAUUGUUGACAUAUUAUUAUCUUGACUUAAGGUGAAAUGUGUCAAUGUUGCCUAUUUUAAUGAACAACUAUGACAUAUACAACUUGUUUAAACCAAUAAUGACAUAUAUAAAAUUUGUUGAAUUCUUUCAUGACUUAUAUAGUAGAAUCUUGACAAAUAAUUUAUGAGUCAAUGUAUUCAAGGUACUUAAAUAAAAGCAAUAAUGAUAAUAAUUUGUUUGAUAUGUGUAUAUCUAAUUUACUUACUAAGUAUUAUAAAUUGAAGUGACAACAAUCAAUUUUGAUUAAGGAAGUUAAUAUUUAAUAAAUUUUUUUAGUAAUGUUAAUAUCAAUUUUCAUUUUUUUUAUCAAAUUGAUUAAAUCAUUUUUUAGUCUAUAUCAAUAGCACUGAAAUAAAUUUGUGUACAUAAUUUUUUAUGCACUAAUUUUAGUGAAAUAAAAUUUGCUACAUUAUGGUUUUUUUAUAAUUGGAUAUAAAUAAAAUCAAUACUAAUAAAGUAUUUUUUUUAUUCAUUGAUGUUAAUGAUUUUUUUUUUUUUUUUUGAGUUUGUAUUAAUAUAAUAUUUUUUUCAUAAACUGUUUUUCAUUAUUUUUAAAUUAGUAAGUAACUUGUAUUUGAUUUAAAAAUAAUUAAUAAAUUUGUGUAAGCUUGAAAAUUAAGAUAUUUGGAAUUUUGAUUUAUCAAUUCUUCGGCAUAAUAUCAGGUUUCAAAAUUUUAUUUUUUAAGUUAACUCAUACAAAUUUAGACAUUAGGAAAGAAGAAAAUUAAUUAUGGAAAAUUGACAUUAUAAAAGUUAUAAAUAUAUUCCAUGAAUUGAUUUUCAUAAAGAUAUUAUUAUUAUUAGUAUUAUUAUUAUUAUUAUUAUUUGUUUAUUUACUUUAUGUUUUUAUUUUUUAUUUUAUUUUCAUUUCUUUUUUAAAAUGCUUAUUUUAUUUUAUUUUAUUUACCUAAAAAAAAGGGCUUUGAAAAAUGUAGAACAAUCCAGCUCCAUUCGGGAAAAAUCUCUCUCUAGAUUGAUGGUUCCUGUUGAGUGGUAGAAAGAGAAAUUAGGUUUUUGAUUUUGAGAAGCAAUCUUCUAGGUUUUGACCUUUAAGGCAAAAACUACUCAUCAAAACGCAUUUGUUUCCGAUUAUCUGGUCUUAGCCACAUCUUAAUUAUUCAUAAAUUUUUAGCCCCAAAAUUCAUUCUGUUCUUAUUCAAAUCAAUAUCUGAGUAAGAGUAUGUCUGUGUCAUUAACCCAUAUUUCUUGGUGGUUAUGGAGUGGAAAACACCAAGAGCCCAAAAGACUCUCCAAUGGAUCUUCUUUAAAUUCUUCUCAAGAUUCAGGUUUGUGGGAGUCGGAUGCUUUGAAAUUCCCUUUAGUUAAGGGGACUUCUUCAUUCACAUUUCAACUCUUUUUUUCUCCCAGAACCUCUUGAUUCUCUGAAUCUCAAAGUCUCCCAAUCUCCCGCACCUCGAUCCACGCAGAUCUCCGAUUUUUGCUAUUUUUUAUUUUUUUUUUCUUCGUGAGAAUUUUCAACCUAGGGUUUUGAUUUUGUAUGUUCUAGUUUUUGCUUCGAUCUCCUCGAUCUCGGUUCCGAAUUCACCCAAGGUUUGAUCGUUUGAUUGUUGGAUUGUUUGGUUCAUCUCAUGGAGGCGAUCGAUGAGCUCAUGCAGCUGUUAGGGUCUAUGUGCUAGGCCGCGGCACUGCUGGCGGAUGAAGAUGUGGAUGAGAAUUCGAGUUCCAGUUCUUCUCAUAGGGGUUCAACUUUUCUUAACGUUGUUGCUCUUGGAAAUGUCGGUGCUGGUAAAUCUGCAAUUUUGAACAAUUUGAUUGGACAUCUUGUUUUGCCUAUUGGAGAAAAUGGUGCUACUCGGGCUCUAAUAUGUAUUGAUUUACAAAAGGAUUGUUUCCUAAGCAGCAAGUCGAUCAUCUUACAAAUUGCCAACAAAUCUCAACAAGUUUCUACAAGUGCUCUUCGACAUUCUCUCCAGGACAAGCUGAGUAAGGGUGCUUCAGGCAAGAACCGAGAUGAAAUAUAUUUGAAGCUACGAACUAGUACAACACCUCCUCUGAAACUGGUUGAUUUGCCUGGAUUGGAUCAACGGAUUAUGGAUGAGACAUUGGUGAGUGACUAUGCUCAGCACAAUGAUGCCAUUUUGCUGGUUAUUGUACCUACUGCCCAGGCACCUGAAAUGGCUUCAUCUCGAGCUCUCAAAAUUGCUAAGGAAUAUGAUGGAGAUGGUACAAGAAAAAUCGAUGUAAUUAGUAAAAUAGAUCAAGCUGCAUCAUACCAGAAAAUCCUUGCUGCUGUUCAGGCUCUCUUGUUAAAUCAGGGUCCUCGAAGUACAUCUGAAAUGCCAUGGGUUGCUUUAAUUGGGCAAUCUGUUUCAAUUGCCUCUGUCUGGAUCUAUUGGGUCUGCAUGAGUUUGAUAGCGUGCCUAAAAGAAUGUCUAUUGUCAUCAAAUUCCCCAACGAUACUGUGAAAGACUUGGUGAAAGGUGUUGAUUCUUAAAUGUUUAGCAUUUUAGCAAAAGACAGUGGGAGGAAUAGUCAUGUAAGGCCGGCAACUCAGAGCCAUUUCACUGAAUAUUCAUCACAAGGCUUACUCACACUUGUAGUUGCUGCUAGGGAUAUUAUUGAUGAGGAACUUUCAGAGUGGCAGUGUAAGUAUGAAAAUGCAAGCACUUCAUUGACUGAUAGAUCCGUAAAACUUCAUCAAACAACAACUUUCAUUGAAUGCAAAUUAAAUCUUCUUGGGUCUACUAGGAUGAGAAUAAGGCUUCCACUUUGAACCUCCACUACACAUCAGUUUAUUUUUUGUAAAAAAAAAAAAAAAAAGAAUGCUGCCACUUUAAGAAUAUGGCACCACCAGAUUUUGUGAAAGGCAUCCACACAUGAAUUUGGAGGGCAACCAUACCAUGCAAAGAAGAUGAUUGCCACUUUAAGAAUAUAGGUUUAGUUAUUUUUUAUUUAUUAGUCUUUAAUCUUAUCAUUAUUAUUGGUGAAUUAACCUCACUUUUGUAGAAUCAUUGACGCUUGCUAUAUAGGUACGCUCUCUCUCUUCCCAUUUUAAAGUUUCAUGAAUAUGUAUGUCAUUAAGAACUAUAUCCUCAUUUGAUAUUGACUUUGGGUGCCUUGAUAUUCAUUUGAUUUCCUUUGAUAAAAUGCAUGUUGAGUAAUAUAAUACUUGAAAAUUGCUAUUUUGAUACUUGUUGCUUACUUUGCUAUUAACAUGUGUCUAUCCUACUAGGUAUUCAAGAAAUAUAGCAAAAAAGAAGAAGAAGAUGAAGAAUUAAUGACCACCUCUUAUGAAGAUAGUAUUGUACUUUUUAAUUUAAGUUUAUAUAUUAUCUUAAUUGAAUAUUUGUAAUUAGUUUUUUUUUGUAUAUAGAAAAUAGAGAGUAAAUAGAAAAAGAUUUAUUCCAUUGUGUUUUUAAUAUUCAAAUGUAUCUAUAACAAUUUUUUUCCCUUGAGUAAUAGUUUAUUUACAUUGUUUUAGGACUUAGUUAUUAUUAUCAUAAUUAAAUAUGUAUCAAAAUUAAUUUGGAAACAAGUUUCAUAUGGUAACAAGUUUAUUUUCCAUUAAAACUAAAAAUUAUAGUAAAAUAAUAUUAAAUUUGUCAUAGGCAACCUUGACAGAUGGCCAAUGCCCAACAUUGACAUUGCAAUAGCUAGAAACCUUCACAUAUUAUACUUAUCCUUGACAUUUGUUGUAGCAACCUUAACAGAAUAUCAAAUUAACAUUGACAUAUGAUAAAAAAAUCUUGACAUAUGUUGAAUCCAACCUUGACAAAAGUGAAAGAAACAUUGACAUAUGUCAUAGUAACAAAGAUUCGAUCAUUGGUAGAAAUAGAAACAACCUUGACAUAUGUAAAUGUCAAGGUAGAUUUAAACUUUUCUUGACACUGGAAUAGAUGACAUAUAUAAAUAGUAACAUACCUUGACAGAUAUACCCUACCUUGAUGGUGAAAAACUGUCAACGAAAGGCUUUUUUCUUGUAGUGAACCUUUUUCUUGUCUUACAUUUUGGUCUCUUAUAUUUCAAAUCCAUCAUUUUACCCAUUCAAACUUAUUAGAAAGCAAUACUUCAAUAUCAUUUGCAAACCCUUUAUAAAUUAUAAAAAGGAAUUUUUUUUUCCACAUUCUUGUUUGAACAUUGGUUUGAAUUUAGGUAAAACCAAUUUUGAAUUGAUAGCCUUGGGUAGUAUUUGAUUACUACUCAAAAAGUGCUCUUUGGUAGCUUGUAUUUAACCCUUUUAAACACUUUUGAGUAGUAGUUUUGGCCUUUUAACUCAAUUGGCAUGUUAAGGACCCUUGAAAGCAAUUUUAAUCACUUUGUGUAAGUUUUGGUGUUUUUGUUAGUAAUUUGAUCACCAAAGCAAUCCAAGAUUGAGGAGAGUUAUGAGGAAUCUUGGGCAAAUCUUGGAAGUCAUUUGCCAAGAGUAAAUCCGGAGUGCAAGGAGAAGAAGUAAAGAGAAUCUGCCAUGAAGCAUAUUCUUGAUGACAGUCGUGGCAGCCACUUUUGGAGCACUUUAUGAAGUCUAAUUAAUGCAUGCUAUAUACCAUUUCAAAGCUCAGGAAGUCAAAAAUCCAAUGCUUUAAACGGUACGUAAUUCGGAGUUGAAACGAAGAAGUUACAGCCAUUGCAAGUCAAUCACUCCAAGCUGAAGGAAGCAUUUUGCAAAAGGUUGCGAAAUCACCCUUUUGUUGCGAAGUGAUUUCGCAGCCUUUUUGUAUAGUGUGGUGUAUUUCCUCCUGAAGUUGCCCGAUAUAUGCCACAAGCUGGAAGCUGAGAACCUCAAGAUGGAAGCCAACUUCGCAGCCCUGCGAGAAUAACCUUUUGCUGCGAAGUGAUUUCGCAACCCUUUUGUGUGUCUGCGAAAUCUCGCAGACAUCAUUUUCUCUUGCGAAAUGGUCCGUAGUGCUUCCCGAUAUUUGCUACCGACAUUGGGAGAUAUUUUCCAUCAGAUUUUUGUUGUCUAAAUCCCAAAAUACUCCUUGUAAGCCACCAAUUACAAGAUUCCUUAGCUUUUAAGUUAGUAAAAAGAGAAAAUAUCUAUAUAAUAAUUAGUUUUGUAUUAUGUUCAUAUAUAUACUCUUCGAGAGCCUGUUCGAACGAGAGGAGACCCUUUGUAAAGUUUUGAAAAGCAAGUAAAGUUCAGGCCCUUUGUUUUGCCUUACCUUCUCACUUUGUAUUAUUUAUUUCUUACUAAGUUAUGCACUCUCUAAGGAAUUUUCCCCAGAGAAUGAGUAACUAAACCUCUAGUUCCUUGGAGCUAAGGUUGCCGGGGAAGGUUCCAAGUGCAAGAAUGCAAAGCUUUGUGGUUUCAGCCAUCAAUGAAGAGGAAGUGAAAUCCUUUAGUGAUUUCUAUGUUUUUAGUUAACUUAAAACACCUUAGAGUCACCUGGGCCAACACUUGGUAUAGCAAGUGAUCUCCAACCAAGGAGAUGCAUUAGUUUACCCCUUGCGAGCCUCUGGGAGGCGACUUUAAGGUAGGAUUUUUUGGAAUUGCCAACACUUGGUAAGCUUUUAGACUCCAAGGAGACAUCCAUUAGUUAUCUCUUGCGAGCUUGAGAAGGGAAGUCUAAGGUUAAAGAUCACCUUGAAUGGUUAAGGCUUAGUUAGAGGCUUGAACCAUUGCAAGUUGCAUCAAUGAGAGAAUUAAAGUUGAAAUCUAAUUAAAGGAUGUAUCUGUACAACACCGGUUAGAGAAUUGACAAUAUGUUGAAUCUCUAACGCGAGGAAAUGAACCAUUUGACCGGAGCUAUGUCUUUUGCAUGAGGAACCACCCCAGUGAACUUGACUCUCCAAGGAAUGUUUUUCUUCCUAAGUUAUUCCCAUUACUUGUUUUGUUAGUUAGUUUGAAUCUAAAUCUUUACCAAUCAAGGUUUGAGUUUUAUUUCUUAAGCUAACCUUGAAAUGAAACACUACCAAUUCACUUUGAAUUGAUAUCAUUGAUAACUUGCUAAUCCUUCCCAGUGAACGAUCCUAGAGCCACUAUACUAUAGUAGAUUUUUCUUUGCUACCCUAGUAUAUGGUGUAAUAGGUUAUAAAUUUUGUUGAUUACUCCCUCAUCCAAGGAGCACCAGCUGGACAUGAAUCAGUUGAGACACCAAUUAGGCAUGAAUCAGUAUUUCCUAAACAUCUUUAUAUUAUUAUUUAUUAUCUAACCCUUCAUGUCUUGUGGAAGCACGUUACAUGUUAUCUAUGCUAUCUAGGUACGCCCCCUAUCACCUACCUUCUAAAUUUUGUGAAUAUGCUUGUCACUAUGAACCGUGCCUAUGUUUGAUAGUGCAUGGGUGUCUUGAUAUAUUGUUUCAUUGUUCAAUCAUUUCCAAUAAAGUGCAUGUUGGAUGAUAUGCUAUUUGAACUAACUUUAAUGUCUUGUGAUAGCACUUAAGAAGCAGUCCAGACACACACCCUAAAUUGUCUUUAUGAUUUAUGAUUGAUUAUUUUGUUUAGCAUGCCAUUUUUUUUUUUAAAUCACCUUAGUUUACCUAGGUACCCUCAAUCAACCAAUUAAUUGUCCCAAUUCCCUCAACUUAGCUAGUAGAGACCUCUUUAGGGCUUAGAGGGGUGCUACCUGUUAGAGGUACCUUCCCAAUAGGUAACUUGAUCCCUGAACCUAGACUUAGGUUUUUCAAAGACACGUUUUUCCAAAAACUAUGGAGUCACUUAUUUAGGGUUUUCUUUCUUGUUUUAUUUUCCAUUUUAAAAUAAAAUAAAAUAAGUGGUAACUCCAACUUUUCCAAAAUUAUUUUUUUUCACCAAUAAAAGCAAGUCUCAUCGAUUGAGUGGGAGCACAUAUGAAAAAUACGAGUCCACACUACGGCUUUUGUAGUACUCUAGGUAUCGUCCUCAUGGACUAGCUUAUGGAAAUUGUCAAUACUACAAUAAAUGAAUUGCUUUCGUUUGAAUCCUAAAGUGAAAAAUACUAUGAGAAUAAUGUGAAACUAAGUAAAAGAAAAUAAAUUAAUAACAAAAUGGAUAUUUAUUUUAAAUUCAAUUGAUUCAAGUUUGGGGCUUUCUACAAUCCAACAUAGGGUAUAUAAAUUAGAGAAAAUAAGGGUCUUUUAAGUAAUAUGAUCUUAGGGUUUUGGGAUCCUUGGCUGCUCGUGAUCAAGUUGAGUUCUAUAACACAAAAUUGCAUCUGAAACCUAAUUUUUCUUUUUUAAAUCAGAUUCCUAAAACCAUCAAAUGAAUUAGAUUGAUUACUAGUUUAAGAUUUGGCUUUUUAACCCUUCCUACUCUUUAUAGCUUUGUUUUGGGGCAAAUAACGAUAGAAAAAACGAGGAUAACUAAGGAUCAAGAAUUACCAAGAAUCACUAGUAUCGAGUAAUAACCUACCGUAUCAUUCCCUAAACUAACUCACAAGGAUAGGAUAAAAAAUGAUAAAUUGUCACCCAACCAAUAAUUAAUCUCAUUGUUAUAAUAAUUUACCCAUUGUCCCUAUAGGUUUCCUAACCCUUAGGUUUUCAUGCUUUAAGCCCCAAGUUGGCUCUUAACCUCUCAUGGGGGUGAUGUCACAUUCAAUCAAUAAUAGGGCAAAAAUCCAUAAUUUGAAUGAAAAGAACCUAAAACAAUAUAUUUAAUAAAGAAGAAAAAGAAAACAAACCAAAGUUCUCGUCUUCUUCCACCUUCAAUGUCAAACUCUCUAGGAAAAAAAAUCCAAGAUCCCUAAAACAUAGAACUAAGAGAGUUUAGAUAAUAUCAUCAAUUACCUAUCCUAUGGCACACUCUCAUUAGCCACUUAUUACAAAAAUAAUUACCUAAAAAUGAUUAAAAAAAUAAUAAAAUGGUGAUUUCUAGUUGUGUGGGGUCCAUUUAAGUUUGAUGGAGUGCCUUAGAUGCAAUUCCCAAGGUAGAGGAGGCGAAACAUCAAAGUGGUAGUGGGUGAAUUUGAAAUUGGUGUCAUUUCAAUGUGGAUUUCGAAUUCAUAAGUUGAAUUUUGAAAUCAUUUUGAAAUGACCCUUUAGCUUUGUGCAGUUGUUUUCAAAUGGCCAUAACUUCUUCAUUUCAGCUCCCAUUUGCACAUUGUUUGAAGUAUUAGACUCUUGACCUCCCAAGCUUCGAAACAAUAUACCAUAUGUAUAAAAUGGUCUCUAGGAAAUGCUCCAAUUUUGUCCUCAAAGUCAGGGUAUAUAUUACCAUUAGAUUUUUGAGUUCUAAAUUUCCAUGCAGUUGAAUCUUGCUUCAUGCCUCAUUUUCUAUGUUUUCUUAGCUUCUUUCUUACUCCAUUAUGGUCAUUUCUCAUCUUCCAAACUCAUGAUAUCCUCAUCUUGCCUUUUCUCAUGGUCCAUGAGUCUUGACUCACUUAUUUCUUCAUUUAACCCUUUCUUGAUCUUUCAAAAUCUAAAGUGAUUCAACUUGCACCCUUUUCUUCCCUCGAACCUGAGAUAAGUCUCCAAAGUACAAAUUAAACUCACGGCUAGGGCUUUAGCAUCAAUUUAGGUAAAGUUGGGUGAUUUGAAUGUCCUUUGGUGCACAAAUCAUAUCAAAUAUGUGCCAUUAGAGCACAUAUUUUGGCUCCAAUCAUCUCCCUUAACUAAACUUUGCUAGUCCAUAGCAAAUGAAAAGAGUAAAGAAAAAAGUGAAAAAUAUGUAAUGAGAUUCAUGAAACCAUAUUGACUCAACAUAACUGAUUACUACUCAAAAAGUGCAUUUUUAUAAGCUUAAACUUAAUUGUAUUAAGCACUUUUGAGUAGUAGUUAGACAUUUUAUCCCAAUUGGCAUGUGAAGGACCUAGCAAAUGUUACUAACCAAUUUUUGGUAAGUUUUAAUGUUUUUAGUAGCUUUUUGAUCACUGAAACAACCCAAUAUUGAGAGAGAGUUUUGUGCAAGCUAUGGCAAGGCAAGUUUAUGGUCAAUCACAUGAAGAAUCUGAGCCUUAGAGCACUUCAAAACCCCUUGCCAAACUUGGAAAGGGGUUGGCAAAGCUAUUAGUAGUAAGAUGGACGGAAACAGAGCAUUUUGCAAGGCAAAAUCAUCAAAUUCGCAAGGUGUGCCAAAAUUCGCAAUGUGUGCCAAAUUUUGGCAGGGUGUGCCAAACUUUCGCAAAGUAUGCCAAAAUUUCGCAAGGUGUGCGAAAAUCACUUUAUGCGCACCGACCUUCAGGAAAAAUCUCCAGAAUUGUAAUUUUUUCUUUUUUACUCCUUUUGUAAUAGAUAAAAGACAUUAGGGUUUGUUUAGGAACUAUAAAUAGGGGUUGGAAAACCUCUCAGAGAUGAUGUUGUGUUAGAUAUUAUGUUUUAGAUAUUUCGUAAAGUCUGAGUUUUUCUCUGCCUUUCCUUCUCAUUUUCUCUUCACUUUCUCUCUAGCCAAACACCCUCUGAGGAUGAUUUCUCAGAGGAUGAAUGGCUAAGUUUCACAUUUCUUGGAGUGAUGGAAGCUAGGUAAAGGACCCAGAUGCAAAGGUGGGAGUUUUCCUUGCUAAAAAUGAAGGUAGUUGUGUAUCGUUAAUGGUUUGUAUGUCAAGUUUUAGCUUUAAUCCCUUAGAAUCACCUUGAAUGGCCAAUACUUGGUAAGCUUUUAGGAUUCUAUGGAUGCUUAUUGCUAGAUCCAUGGAUGUCCAUUAGUUAUCAAGUACGAGCCAUUGGAAGGUGGUUCAAGGUGAGGGUCUUUAGUGUUUGAAGUCAUUAAUGGGAAGCAACUACUAUUUUUCAAGAACCCUUUGGAUCAAAACUUAUUUGCUAAAUACAAAUCCGGUUUGGGAGAUGACCAUCCUUUAUGUCAUUGUCCCCAAUGCGAGGGGAAGAUCCGGAAUUUCCCACUUUGCAAUAGGAACCUGAUCCUAGUAACCAUAGCUCCAAGAGACUUUCUCUUUAUAAUAAUUUCAAUUGUUUAUGUUUGCUUAACUUAAAAUCAACCCUUCCAAUCAAUCUUAUUUUCAUUUAAAAACUAACUUCCAAAAAGAAAAUCACCAUUUCUUCUUUCAUUAAUGUUAAGUGUACAAAGAAAACCCAUCCCUGUGGACGAUCCUAGAGCCACUAUACUAUAGUAGCUUUGUAUUUGCUACUCUAGUAUAAGGUGUUGUAGGUUUUAUAAAUGUUUUGAUAGACACCCGACUGGGCAUGAAUCAAAUGGCGCCGUUGCCGGGAAUGGUGCCUAAGUACAUAAAUGUUACCUUUUAUGAGUACUUGUGAUCUUCAUCACAAGUUGGUGAUUUUUUUUUCACUAACUCGUUUUCUUUGUUUUUAUUUUAUCUUAUCUUUCAUUUACUUUUUAGCUAACUUGUAAUCUUUUCCUAGAAUUGUAGUCCUUUUUGUUUUCUUUGUUUUUGUUUCAGUACUCUCGAGUUGUGUAUGCCCUAUUGGAUAAGAGAUAUUGAGGAAAGACUUGUGAAAAUUGAAACUCCUCAAGAAAUCAAGUUGGAAGUCUGCUUGAACAUCAUGGAUAUUCCACCUGAAGAUCAGCAUAGCCAACAUGGGCAAGAGGAGAAUCUCAAUGCAUAUCGAUCCAUAAGGGACCGCAUGCAUCCACCUCGAAUGAGUGCACCUUCAUGCAUAGUGCCUCCCACUGAGCAACUAGUGAUCCGACCUCAUAUAGUGCCCCUUCUACCUACUUUCCAUGGGAUGGAAAGUGAGAACCCCUAUUCUCACAUCAAGGAGUUUGAAGACGUGUGCAAUACAUUCCAAGAAAGAGGAGCUGCAAUUGACUUGAUGAGACUCAAGCUAUUCUCUUUCACCUUAAAGGAUAAGACCAAGGUUUGGCUUAAUUCUCUAAGGCCGAGGAGUAUCAGAAUGUGGACUAAUUUACAAGCUGAGUUUCUCAAGAAGUUCUUCCCUACUCAUAGGACCAAUGGCUUAAAAAGGAAAAUUUCGAACUUCUCAGCUAAGAAGAAUGAGAAAUUCUAUGAGUGUUGGGAGAGGUACAUGGAAGCUAUCAACGCUUGUCCUCACCAUGGCUUUAAUACAUGGCUCUUAGUGAGUUAUUUCUAUGAUGGUAUGUCUUCCUCUAUGAAGCAACUCCUAGAGACCAUGUGUGGAGGAGACUUCAUGAGUAAGAAUCCAGAGGAAGCUAUGGACUUCUUGAGUUAUGUUUCUGAAGUUUCAAGAGGAUGGGAUGAACCGAAUACUAGAGAUAUGGGGAUAAUGAAGUCUCAGCCCAAUGCUAAGGGUGGAAUGUAUGUGUUGAGUGAAGACAUGGACAUGAAAGCAAAAUUUGCAACUAUGGCAAGGAGAUUGGAAGAGCUAGAACUAAAGAAAGUAUAAGAAGUAUAAGCCAUUUCUGAGGCAUGAGUGCAAGCUACGCCUUGUUCCAUAUGUCAAUCUUAUGAGCAUUUGGUGGAGGAGUGUCCAACCAUUCCAGUAGUGCGAGAAAUGUUUGGUGAUCAAGCAAAUGUGGUUGACCAAUUCAAGCCCAACAACUAUGCUCCUUAUAGAAGCACCUACAAUUUUAAUUGGAUAAACCAUCCAAAUUUCUCAUGGAAGCUAAGGCCACCUCAGUACACACCACCAGCUCAAGCACCUCAACAAGCUUCAAACCUUGAACAAGCCAUUGUGAAUCUUAGCAAGGUUGUGGGAGACUUUGUGGGGGAGCAAAAUUCAAUCAACUCUCAAUUGAAUCAGAAAAUUGAUAGAGUGAAGAGUACAUUGAAUAAAAUGAUGGAUGAGAUGCAAAAUGAUCUAUCUCAGAAGAUAGAUAAUGUUCAAUACUCCAUCUCAAGGCUCACCAACCUCAAUACUGUGCAAGAGAAAGGAAAGUUUCCUUCUCAACCUCAUCAAAAUCCCAAGGUAAUUCAUGAAGUAGAAGCUCAAGAAGGAGAAUCUUCAAAGUUGAGGGAAGUCAAAGCAGUUAUCACUCUUAGGAGUGGUAAGGAGGUUGUUCAACCCCCACCCAAGCUGAAACAUGAUGAAGGAAGUGAAUCAAAUAAGGACAUGGGUGAGAAAAAGUCAAAGAAAGGUGACCAUGAUUCAAGUGUGGAUGAAGAACCAAGGAUAGUCAUCAAGGAAGAUAUGAUGAAGAAGCACAUGUCUCCACCUUUCCCUCUAGCUUUACAUGGUAAGAAGGGAACCAAGAAUACAUCAGAAAUUUUUGAAGUGUUGAGGCAAGUGAAGGUCAACAUUCCUUUACUUGACAUGAUCAAGCAAGUUCCAACUUAUGCCAAAUUCUUGAAGGACUUGUGCACUGUAAAGAGAGGGUUAAAUGUGACCAAGAAAGCCUUCUUGACUGAACAAGUGAGUGCUAUCAUCCAAUGCAAGUCUCCAGUGAAGUAUAAAGAUCCAGGAUGCCCCACCAUUUCAGUAAAUAUUGGAGGGACAUGUGUGGAGAAAGCUCUUCUAGACUUGAGAGCAAGUGUGAAUUUGCUACCCUAUUCGGUUUACAAGCAGUUGGGACUUGGGGGGUUGAAGCCCACAUCCAUUACUCUCUCCCUAGUUGAUAGAUCAGUGAAGAUCCCAAGGGGGGUAAUUGAGGAUGUCUUGGUAUAGGUUGACAAAUUCUACUAUCCAGUAGAUUUUGUUGUUCUUGAUACUAAUCUAGUUGUCAUAGGGACAAACUAUGUGUCAAUCAUACUUGGAAGACCAUUCCUCGCUACUUCUAAUGCAAUCAUCAAUUGUAGGAAUGAAGUUAUGCAACUCAUGUUUGGCAACAUGACCUUGGAGCUAAACAUCUUCCAUUUGUGCAAGAAGCAUCUCCAUCUAGAAUAAGAGAAAGGGCCAGAGAAAGUGUGCAUGAUUGACACUUUGGUGGAGGAGCACUGUGAACAGAGCAUGGAGGAAGAUUUGAUUGAGAGUCUUGGGGAUCCUGAUGAAGGGUUACCUGAACCCUCAGAUUUGCUAACUACCAUGUCUCAUUGGAGAAAGAUGGAAAAGAUUCUACCUUUGUUCAAUGAGGAGGAGUCGCACAGAGUUGGUAAGGAGGAGCCCCCAAAACUUACUCUUAAGCUUCUACCUACUGGGUUGAAAUACGCAUACUUGGAGGAAGACAAGCAGUGCCCUAUGGUGAUUUCUUCAGCUCUCACCAUUCAUCAAGAGGAUUGUCUAAUCGAACUCCUUAGAAGAUGUAAGAAGGCCAUUGGGUGGAAAAUUUUAGACUUGAAAUGAAUCAGCCCUUUGGUGUGCACCCAUCAUAUCUAUAUGGAGGAGGAAGCAAAGUCAGUUCGCCAACCGCAGAGAAGGUUGAACCCUCACAUGCAAGAGGUGGUACGAGCUAAAGUUUUGAAGCUACUUCAAGCCGGUAUUAUAUAUCCCAUAUCAGAUAGCCUAUGGGUGAGUCCAACCCAGGUUGUCCCAAAGAAGUCUGGGAUCACGGUGGUGCAGAAUGAUAAGGGAGAAGAUGUCUCCAAAUGCCUUACUACUGGUUGAAGGGUGUGUAUCGAUUACAGGAAGUUGAAUGCGGUGACAAGAAAUGACCAUUUCCCGUUGCCUUUUAUUGACCAAGUGCUUGAAAGGGUUUUUGGGCAUCCUUUCUAUUGUUUUUUGGAUGGCUACUCUGGCUACUUUCAAAUAGAGAUUGAUUUGGAAUAUCAAGAGAAGACCACUUUCACAUGCCCCUUCGGUACAUUUGCAUAUAGGAGAAUGCAUUUCGGUUUAUGCAAUGCACCUGCAACUUUCCAAAGAUGCAUGCUAAGCAUCUUUAGUGAUAUGGUGGAGCGAAUUUUGGAAGUCUUUAUGGACGAUAUCAUCGUUUAUGGAAGUGCAUUUGAGGAUUGCUUAGUAAACUUAGAAGUUGUUCUAAACCGGUGCAUUGAAAAAGACUUGGUGCUUAACUAGGAGAAGUGUCAUUUCAUGGUACAACAAGGGAUUGUUCUUGGGCAUAUCAUCUCUAAGGAGGGUAUUGAGGUUGAUAAAGAAAAAGUUGAACUCAUUGUGAAGUUGCCAUCCCCCACCAAUGUCAAGGGAGUAAGGCAAUUCCUUGGACAUAUCGGUUUCUAUAGGAGGUUUAUCAAGGACUUUUCAAAGCUUACAAGGCCUCUUUGUGAAUUGUUGGUCAAGGAUGCUAAAUUCAUAUGGGAUGAAAGAUGCCAAAGAAGUUUUGAGCAAUUAAAGUCAUUUUUGACAACAAUACCCAUUGUGCGAGCUCUUAACUGGCAGUUACCCUUUGAGGUAAUGUGCGAUGCUAGUGAUUUUUCUAUUGAAGUUAUGAUGGGCCAAAGAGAAGAUGGAAAACCCUAUGUGAUCUAUUAUGCCAGUAAGACACUCAAUGAGGCUCAAAGAAACUACACAACCACUGAGAAGGAAUUGUUAGCAGUAGUUUUUGCCUUGGACAAAUUUCGUGCUUACUUGGAGGGGUAUUUCAUAGUGGUAUUCACCGAUCACUCUGCUUUGAAGUAUUUGUUGACUAAGCAAGACUGAUUAGGUGGAUCCUCUUGCUUCAAGAGUUCAAUCUUCAAAUCAAAGACAAGAAGGGAGUAGAAAAUGUGGUAGCUGACCACCUUUCAAGGCUUGCAAUCGCACAUAAUUCCCAUGGUUUGCCCAUUAAUGAUGACUUCCCAGAGGAAUCUCUCAUGUUAGUGGUAGUAACUUUGUGGUAUGCUCACAUUGCGAACUACCUAGUUACAGGAGAAGUUCCAAGUGAGUGGAAAGCACAAGAUAGAAAACAUUUCUUUGUAAAGAUCAAUGCCUACUAUUGGGAAGAACCAUUUCUAUUCAAGUAUUGUGCGGAUCAAAUAAUAAGGAAGUGUGUUCCUGAACAAGAGCAACAUGGGAUUCUCUCUCAUUGCCAUGAGAAUGCUUGUGGAGGUCACUUUGCUUCUCAAAAGACAGCUAUGAGGGUCUUGCAAUCGGGUUUCUAUUGGCCCUCACUUUUCAAGGAUGCCCAUGCCAUGUGCAAGGUUUGUGAUCGAUGUUAGAGGCUUGGGAAGUUGACCUGAAGGUAUAUGAUGUCUUUGAACCCCAUUCUGAUAGUUGAUCUUUUUGAUGUUUGAGGCAUUGACUUCAUGGGACCUUUUCCUAUGUCAUUUGGCUACUCCUACAUCUUGGUGGGAGUCGAUUAUGUUUCUAAGUGGGUUGAAGCAAUUCCAUGCAAACACAAUGACCAUAGGGUGGUUAUCAAGUUCUUGAAGGAGAACAUUUUCUCAAGAUUUGGAAUGCCUAAAGCCAUAAUCAGUGAUGGGGGUACUCAUUUUUGUAACAAUCCUUUUGAAACUCUUCUAGCCAAGUACGGGGUGAAGCAUAAGGUAGCUACGCCUUACCACCCUUAAACUAGCGGGCAAGUUAAGUUGGCAAACCGGGAGAUCAAGAACAUAUUGAUGAAGGUGGUGAAUGUGAACAGAAAAGAUUGGUCUAUCAAACUCCUUGAUUCACUAUGGGCUUAUAGAACUGCUUACAAGACCAUUCUUGGAAUGUCCCCUUAUCGCUUAGUCUAUGGUAAAGCGUGCCAUCUCCCUGUGGAAUUGGAAUACAAGGCUUGGUGGGCAAUCAAGAAACUCAACAUGGAUUUGAGCAAAGUCGGGUUGAAGAGAUUCUUAGACCUCAAUGAGUUGGAGGAACUGCGAAAUGAUGCUUACCUUAAUUCGAAAAUUGCAAAAGAGAGGUUGAAGAGAUGGCAUGAUCAGUUGGUGACCCGAAAUGACUUUUCAAAGGGACAAAGAGUCUUGCUCUAUGACUCUAAGCUCCAUAUCUUUCCGGGCAAGUUGAAAUCAAGGUGGUUAGGUCAUUUCACAAUCCACCAAGUGUAUUCAAAUGGAGUAGUGGAGCUACUCAACGCCAAUAGUAAUCGAACUUUCAAAGUGAAUGGCCAUCGUCUCAAGCCUUUGUGGAGCCUUUUUCUCGAGACAAGGAGGAAUUCACCCUCCUUGAUCCCCCUCAGGCUUAAAAAAUAAUAAUAAUAAUCAGAUCCUGGAUGGACUUAGUCUUUCUGAAAACUAUUAAGUUCAUCCAUUUUUGCUUUUUGUUUUUAAUUUCAUGUUUUUCUUGCAUUUGUAUUUGUUUUGAUUUCGAUUUCUUACUUGAAUUCCAUUUUAGUUUGAUUUAAUUUAGGUUUUUGAUGAUCACUUGUAGAGGAAAAGCUGAGGAAAAAUUGAAGCAAAGCAUUUCGCAUACCUCUCUGCGAAUUUUUCGCAUGGUGUGUGAAAAGUGCUCUUUGCAUUAAGUGAGCUACUGCCAUUUAGCAGAGCAUGCAAAAAUUUCGCACCCUCUACGAAAUUCUUGUGACUCUCGGUCUUCAAAUGCGAAUUUCCACAUGGUUUGCUAACUCAAAGUUCACCCUACAAAUCAACUUUGCGAAAAUUCCAUUUUGCGAAAAUCCCACUUUGCGAAAACUCCACUUUGCGAAAAUUACACUUUGCGAAAAUUCCAUUUUGCGAAGACCCCACUUUGCGAAAAUUCCACUUUGCGAACAAUCUCCACCCCUCAUUUUUCUAAAAAAAAAAAAAAAAUAGUAAAAUUUUAUUUAUUUAUUUUUUUUGCAGCAUACAUCCCAACUUCAUUUCUCACUUCUCUAGUCAUUUUUGCGCCCUUUUGCGAAACUUUUGCAUGACUAUGAAAAAUUUGCCUCGAAAGGUAUCACUUCCUCCCUUUAUUUUCACUUGCAAUUGAAACAUUGAGGACAAUGUUCGUCUUGGUUAGGGGGAGAGUUGAGGAAGUAAGUAUUGUAAAUAUUGCUAGGAUAUUUUGUUAACUUAGUUACCUUUUGUUUAUUUUUUUUUUAAAAGUUUUUACUCUACUCUCCAUGGUUGUUAAGGAAAAAUUCUCAAAAUGAAAUGAGAGAAGUUGAGUUCUUGCCUUUUUGCUUAAGUCUUAGAGUUUGUAUUAUGUAUAUUGAGGUUGAUGAAUUAUUGAAGCUCCUAUUGAAUUCAACCUUGUUUCUUCCACUUUAAUCUUACCACACACUGUGCACAUUAGGUUCCAAUUAUAAGAUGAAAAACUAUCUCACCCCUUGAACUUAGGAAAAUUUUGACUUGGUACCUUUGACCUCAUUUUAAUAGUGUUGGGACACCUUAUAGAAGGCCAAUGAGCCUUCAGAAAAAAAAAAAAAAACAAGUGCUACACAUGCCUUGAAACCCAAGCAAGGUCAUAAGGAUAUAUGGCGAAAGUCUUUGAAGCCUGGUGCCCUAAACCUUAAUUGGUUGGGAGUCGCAAACCUUAAUGCUCGUUAUAGGGGUGAAUGGGUGAAGUUGAGCAAAUAAAAGAAUUGUGAAAUAAAAGAGGUGUGUUCUUAGCCUAUUGGGUGUUGGUCAGUUUGCUAGGUUUGAGAAAGAACUAGGUUGGGGGGAGAGCAUAGUUUAGCAUACUAUAAUUGGAAACUAAUCACCUUAACACUUAGAUUCUUGUCGAAGAUUAAGUGUUGGAUCUUUGAGAGUGGAAAUUCUUUUGAUGCUUAAAUUUGUAUAGUGCCUACUCUUUGUAUUUUGUGAUUAGGUAAGUGAUUUAAUGACUCUUGUUAAAGGUUGGGUUUUAUAUCUUUGAUUUUCCAUGAGAGAUUUUUGAUCCAUAUCAUGCUGCUUUAAAAUUUUAUUUUUGAAGUGGUGAGCAUGAUUUUGUAAAUUGUUGUAUAGUCUAUUUUUCUUUUUGUCUCCUUCAUUGCUAAGGGACUAGCAAUGUGUCGGUUGGGGGGAGUGAUUACUACUCAAAAAGUGCAUUUUUAUAAUCUUAAACUUAAUUGUAUUAAGCACUUUUGAGUAGUAGUUAGACAUUUUAUCCCAAUUGGCAUGUUAAGGACCUAGCAAAUGUUAUUAACUAAUUUUUGGUAAGUUUUAGUGUUUUUGGUAGCUUUUUGAUCACUGAAAUAGGCCAAGAUUGAGGGAGAGUUUUGUGCAAGCUAUGGCAAGGCAAGUUAAAGGUCAAUCACAUGAAGAAUUUGAGCCUUGGAGCACUUCAAAACCCCUUGCCAAACUUGGAAAGGGGUUGACAAAGCUAUCAGUAGUAAGAUGGAGGGAAACAAAGCAUUUCGCAAGGCAAAAUCAUCAAAUUCGCAAGGUGUGCCAAACUUUCGCAAGGUGUGCCAAAAUUUUGCAAGGCGUGCCAAAAUUUUGCAAGGCGUGCCAAAAUCACUUUGUGCACACCGACCUUCAGGAAAAAUCUCCAGAAUUGUAAUUUUUUCCUUUUUACUCAUUUUGUAAUAGAUAAAAGACAUUAGGGUUUGUUUAGGAACUAUAAAUAGGGGUUGGAAAACCUCUCAAAGAUGAUGUUAUGUUAGAUAUUAUGUUUUAGAUAUUUUGUAAAGUCUAAGUUUUUCUCUGUCUUUCCUUCUCAUUUUCUCUUCACUUUCUCUCUAGCCAAACAUCCUCUGAGGAUGAUUUCUCAGAGGAUGAGUGGCUAAGUUUCACGUUUCUUAGAGUGAUGGAAGCUAGGUAAAGGACCCAGAUGCAAAGGUGGGAGUUUUCCUUGCUAAAAAUGAAGGUAGUUGUGUAUCGUUAAUGGUUUGUAUGUCAAGUUUUAGCUUUAAUCCCUUAGAAUCACCUUGAAUGGCCAAUACUUGGUAAGCUUUUAGGAUUCUAUGGAUGCUUAUUGCUAGAUCCAUGGAUGUCCAUUAGUUAUCAAGUACGAGCCAUUGGAAGGUGGUUCAAGGUGAGGGUCUUUAGUGUUUGAAGCUAUUAAUGGGAAGCAACUAUGAUUUUUGAAGAACCCUUUGGAUCAAAACUUAUUUGCUAAAUACAAAUCCGGUUUGGGAGAUGACCAUCCUCUAUGUUAUUAUCCCCAAUGUGAGGAGAAGAUCCAGAAUUUCCCACUUUGCAACAGGAACCUGAUCCUAGUAACCAGAGCUCCAAGAGACUUUCUCUUUAUAAUAAUUUCAAUUGUUUAUGUUUCCUUAACUUAAAAUCAACCCUUCCAAUCAAUCUUAUUUUCAUUUAAAAACUAACUUCCAAAAAGGAAAUCACCAUUUCUCCUUUCAUUAAUGUUAAGUGUAUAAAGAAAACCCAUCCCUGUGGACGAUCCUAGAGCCACUAUACUAUAGUAGCUUUGUAUUUGCUACUCUAGUAUAAGGUGUUGUAGGUUUUAUAAAUGUUUUGAUAAACACCCGACUGAGCAUGAAUCAAUAACAUGUUACACACAAAAGAUACCCAAGUAGUCAAAUUUCCUAGAAUUGAGCAAAAUGAAACAAGAUAUGCAAUUUCUUAGUUUUUUCACCUUAUCUUCGUAUACAUAAAUGUGCAUCCAUGUUUAGCAUUCCCCUUAGUGUCUCUUGAUUUUUCCUUGUUUGGUUUUUUCCACCUAAACCUCAUGUGCUUAAUUUUGGUGUCCCCUCAGUAUUUUUCUUAAGACUUUUCUUAAACUCAAACUUCAUCAUUCUUUAAUUUAAAAAAUGAGGAAAAUUUAUUUUGAUUUUUCUUUCUUAGUUUAGGAAAUCUCCUUCUAUAUGGCUUAAUAGGGAUCCAUCGACAACUCCCAAGUUUUCACCCAAGGUACUAGGUAUUGAGAACCUUUGUAGGCCACUUACCUUUUAGGUGUCAUCCUAGCUCAAGGUAGAACAAGGUUGAAUUUCCCAAAUAUUUAUUUAUUUAUUUUAAUGUUUUUUUUCAAAAUUGAGUUUAGCUUAUGUUACAAGCAAGAUAUCGAUGACUUCUAACCAGUCGUUUUCGGGCACCGGGGCUUGAAAACACAGGGCCAUUACCCCCUCAAAUAAUUGCUCAAGCUUAAAUAAAUCAUUUUCAAAUUUUUUUUUCAUCAAUUUUUUUUUUCAUUUCCUCAUUUUAUUGCUUAAGAACAACUCCUUUUAAGCUAAAGAAAUUAUUUUAAUCAAGAUACCACAAGGGUAUAUGUGCUUUAUGUGUGCUUUGAGUCUUAAAUAGAAAAUAACCAUUAAAAAAAAUUUGAAGGCAUUCAAAGAAUUUAACCUAACUAUUUUUGCACUUCAAAGUAUAUAAAGAUAAGGUAAGUGAACUAAUACUCUUGCUCUAACUGUAUUUUUUCUCAAAUUCUAAAGAAAUAAUACUACUUAAAGCAUUCUCAUGCAAAAUAAACCAUGAGUUGCCAAGGCAAAUUAAGAAUGUCAUUAAUUAACCAAAUAUAACAGGCAAACUUUUGAAAAAAAUUAGGGCUAAUAGACCUUCCCCCCUCAACCUAAAUUACACAUUGUCCCCAAUGUGUAGGAUAUUGGGUCAAAUGAAAGGAAAAAUGGAGAUGUUACCUCAAUAUCAUCAAGUGAGAAGUUUGUCAUGAGGACUUCAUAUAAACUAGUCUUGCACAAAAAAAACAAGAUUAGUGGCAAAAGUAUGCAUAGAGAAAAAUAUAAAUGGUGAGAAUCUAAAAGAGAGUAUAAGAGUAUGAGUAUGUGAUUCGUCCCUAGCAGCGGCAGUGGCAACAGCACCAUUUGAUUCGGGGUUCGAUCCCCGGCAACGGCGCCAUUUGAUUCGUGCCCACUUGGUGUCUCAGCUGAUUCAUGUCCAGCUGGUGCUCCUUGAUUGAGAGAGUAAUCAACAAAAUUUAUAACCUAUUACACCAUAUACUAGGGUAGCAAAGACAAAGCUACUAUAACAUAGUGGCUCUAGGAUCGUUCACUGGGAUGGGUUUUCACUUUGCAAAUGAUAUUAAUUCAAAAUUGAAUUGGUGCCUUUUCAUUUCAAGGUUAGCUUUAAAAGAAAACAUAAAGAUGUUUGAAUGAAAAAGGUUUAGAUUUAAACUAACAAAAAAUAGUAACUGAUUUUACUUACAAAGAAAAGUGUUUCUUGGAGUUUCAAAUCACUAGGCUCAGAUUCCUCAUACAAAAAGGGAGUUCCGGUCACUUGUUUCUUUUCCUCGCAUUAGAGAAUUAACAUAUAGUUAAUUCUCUAACCGAUGUUGUACAGAUGCUUCCCAUUAAUGGGUUCAAACACUAAAUCCCUCUCACUGAUGCAUCUUGCAAUGGCUCGUGCCUCUCACCUAGCAUUUGCCAUUCAAGGUGAUCUUUAACCUUGGAUUACCCGUCAAAAGCUCGCAAGAGAUAACUAAUGGAUGUCUCCUUGGAGUCCAAAAGCUUACCAAGUGUUGGCUAUUCUAGAAAAUCCUACCUUCAAGUCACCUCCCAAAAGCUCGCAAGAGAUAAACUAGUGAAUCUCCAUGGACGGAGAUCACUUGCCUUACCAAGUGUUGGCUCAGGUGAAUUGAAGACGUUUUAAGUUAACUAAAAAGAUAAAAACCAUUAACGGGUCACACUUUCUCUUCAUUAAAAACUAAAACAACAAAACUUCCAAACUAUGCAUGUGGAAACUUACCCGGCUUUCCUCACUCCAAGAGACAAAAAGCCUAGCCUCUCAUCCUCUGAGGAAAAAUCCUCAGAGUUUGGUUGGCUAGAAAGAAAACUAACGAGAAAACAAGAAUAUAUAUGAAAAACAGAGCAAGUGCUCUGUUCGUUGAUCUAUAUAUGAUAUAUCUAUAUUACAGUGGAUUACAUGAUUACAUGAUUCUCUGAGAACAAGCUCCCGAGAGCUAUAUAUAAAGAAAAUUACAAAACAAAAUAUCUGAGGUUAUUCACCCCUGUGUUCUUACUUAACAACUAAGGAAUCCUAUAAUUGGUGGAUUACAAGGAGAGAAUUGGGAUUUAGACAUCAAAUAUCUGAAGCAAAAUAUCAAAAAAUGUCGGUCGCAAAUAUCUGGAAGCACUCGGGAGAAUUUCGCAGGCGCACAAAAUGGCUGGUUCGACUCAUGGUAGCUUAGCUUUAAAGGCGUAUCAACAAAAUUUAUACCUUGAAUACUAUUACUAAAGUAGCCAAGCUACUAUAGCAUAGUGGUUCUAGGAUCGUUCACUGGGAAGGGUUUUCGCAAACACAAGUGAUAUUCAAAUUAGGAAAAUAGGUGAUUUUCUUAUGGAUGUUAGCUUUAAAAGAAGAUGUAAAUGUUUUAGAAAGAUUGAAACUAAUCUAAGCUAACAUUAAAGACUAAAAUGAAAGGGUGUAAAAACAAGUUUCUCAAAUAUAGGAUAACUAUGCUCUGGCUCUUAUGCAAAUUGGAAAUCUCAGGAUAGGCUCCUCGCGUUGGGGUUGCAACUAUGGUGAUGCUUGCUUCCCGAACCGGUAUGGAUUUAGCAAAUCAAGUUUUAAUCCUUUAAAAUGACAAAACAGAUGGUAGUGAAUUUCAUCAAUGGUUAUUCACCUUAGACUUCCUUUGAAUGGCUCGUAAGAGAUAACUAGUGGUCUAAAGCCAAAAGCUUACCAAAUAUUGGCAACUCAAAGUCAUUCCAAGUGAUAAACUCACCUUUCAAUGGCCAUUGAAAUUGGUUCUAACGGAUUAAUGCAAAACUUGGAAUUGAAAACCUCACCUUCCAAUAGCUCGUAGGAGAUAACUAAUGGAUAGAAAUCCAAAAGCUUAUCAAGUAUUGGCCGUUGGAAGUUGUCAAAAGGAAAUAAAAACCAAACUUUGCAUUAAUGAACCAUUAAUGAAAAACGACUACCUUACCUUCCGGGUGCGAGAAAUUUCCAUGGGAUUGCAUCCAAGCCAUCACAUAACAUCCAUACUUUGAGAAACUAAAAGUUUUAGCCAAUCAUCCUAUGAGGAAAAGCCCUCAGAGGCUGUUUGGCUACUAAGAAAAUAGAAAUGGGGAAGAACAGGAGAAGAGAGAAAAACAGAGCAAGGCUCUGUAUAUUCUAUAUAUUGAUCGAUAUAUAAUUACAACGGAUGCAAGGGAAUAUAUAUAGAGAAGUUUUUCCAAUCCUUCCUAGCUAAGAAAUCUUAUGAUUCGUGGAUUACAAGGAGAAGAAUGGAAAUUUAUACAAAAAUAUCUAAAAGAAAAGAUCUCGUGUGGAGUCGGCAGAAACAGGGGAAAAUUCGCACGUUGGAGUUCCAAUUUCGCACGUUGAUUUGAGGUGUGCGAAAUUCUCGCACAGUGGACUGAGGAAUUCGCACCUUGAAUAGUGGUGUGCGAAAUUCCCGCUCAGCUCGGUCCAGUUUUCUUGCAAUGACCAUAACUUUUUCGUUUCAACUCCGAUUUGGACACCGUUUGAAGCGUUGGACUUCUGACUUCCCGAGCUUCGAAAUGGUAUAUAGUAUGUAUAAAAUGGACUCGAGAAAGUACUCCAAAAUAUGUCCCAAAGUGGAAAUAGAACCAAUGGCCAGAAUUCUCUCUUCUCUUCCUUUUCUUUCAUCAUUUUUGCAUCUCCUCCUACAAUGAUCAUCCAAAACUCAUCUUAAAAACAUAUUAAAACUAAAUUAAAGCUAAGAAUUCAAACUAAAACAUGCAUAAAUUUAAAGAAAGCAUAGAAUUUAAAUGAAGCUGAUAGCAUGUACCCCAAAAAGAAGAUGAACUAUUUAGCUCAUCCUGACUCACACACCCACUUCAUGCUGAAUUCCCCCUGGAUCCCAAACAAAAUUGGCAUCCUUCCCAUUUGGUCCAAGGGAAUUCGUUUCUCUUCUCUUCCCUAGAGAAGUGGAUGCUUUAAAGGGUUCAGGUAACCCCUUAUCAUCUUGAACCUUAUGAUUUUCAAUGGAAGGUUGGUCCAUAGAGUUGUCAUAGCAAUCCCCCACCAAAGUGUCAAUCUUCAACACUUUCCUUGAUCUUUUUGCAUUGGUUCCUUGAAGGUUAUGGUGGGGUUGAGGAGUAAGCUUCCUUUUCCCCCUUGCUAUGUCGAGAUUGGUGAGCUUCUCAAUGGAGUCUUGAACUUUUUCUAUCCUUAGUGAUAGAUCAUUAUAAACCCCCUCCAUUCUUACAUUUAUUGAACUCUCCAUAUUAUCAAUCUUUUCAUUAAGCUGAGAGUUGAUCUUUUGUUGCUCACCUACAAAGUCCUCCAUGACUUUGCUUAUCUUCAAAAUGGCUUGCUCCAAUGAAGAUGUACUCAUUGAUGGUUGAGGUUGAGGUUGGGUUGCAAGGUUGGGAUGGUUUAUAUACUCAAAUGAAGUUGGCAUGGCUUGUGGUUGUGCUUCAGUAUGCACAUUCCUCAAUUCAAACUCUUCUAUCCUUCUAGCCAUAGAUGCUAGCUUUGCCUUCAUGCUCAUGUCUUCAUUCAAAGCAUACUUACUAGCCCAUUGGCUUUGUUGAACUUGCCUUUUCCCUAAUUCAAUCCGAUCCCUCAUGGAUAAGUAUGCAAAUUUGUCCUUCUCAUGAUCAUAAUGAGAGCUUUGAUCUUCAUGUGGAAUUUCCAUUUAUAAAAAAAAUGAUAUUCAACUAAGGCUCUUUUCUUCAACUUGUACCAGGGUUCCCUCUUGGUCUCGAAUCCAACAAGGAAUGCACAAAUUGAAAUUAAAACAAAAAUAAAAGAAAAGAGAAUAAAAAAUUUAACUCAAUAAAAACUAAACUAAAAAAAAUUAUAAGAAAACUCACCAAACUUGUGAUGAAGAUCACAAGUUACCCUUAAUGGUUGCUUCACUGUGCUUGUGGCACCUUCCCCGGCAACGGCGCCAUUUGAUUCGACUCAUGGUAGCUUAGCUUUAAAGGCGUAUCAACAAAAUUUAUACCUUGAAUACUAUUACUAAAGUAGCCAAGCUACUAUAACAUAGUGGUUCUAGGAUCGUUCACUGGGAAGGGUUUUCGUAAACACAAGUGAUAUUCAAAUUAGGAAAAUAGGUGAUUUUCUUAUGGAUGUUAGCUUUAAAAGAAGAUGUAAAUUUUUUAGAAAGAUUUAAACUAAUCUAAGCUAACAUUAAAGACUAAAAUGAAAGGGUGUAAAAACAAGUUUCUCAAAGAUAGGAUAGUUAUGCUCUGGUUCUUAUGCAAAUUGGAAAUCUUAGGAUAGGCUCCUCGCGUUGGGGUUGCAACUAUGGUGAUGCUUGCUUCCCGAACCGGUAUGGAUUUAGCAAAUCAAGUUUUAAUCCUUUAAAAUGGCAAAACAGAUGGUAGUGAAUUUCAUCAAUGGUUAUUCACCUUAGACUUCCUUUGAAUGGCUCGUAAGAGAUAACUAAUCGUCUAAAGCCAAAAGCUUACCAAAUAUUGGCAACUCAAAGUCAUUCGAGGUGAUAAACUCACCUUUCAAUGGCCAUUGAAAUUGGUUCUAACAGAUUAAUGCAAAACUUGGAAUUGAAAACCUCACCUUCCAAUAGCUCGUAGGAGAUAACUAAUGGAUAGAAAUCCAAAAGCUUAUCAACUAUUGGCCGUUGGAAGUUGUCCAAAGGAAAUAAAAACCAAACUUUGCAUUAAUGAACCAUUAAUAAAAAAUGACUAUCUUACCUUCCAGGUGCGAGAAAUUUCCAUGGGAUUGCAUCCAAGUCAUCACAUAACAUCCAUACUUUGAGAAACUAAAAGUUUUAGCCAAUCAUCCUCUGAGGAAAAGCCCUCAGAGGCUGUUUGGCUACUAAGAAAAUAGAAAUGGGGAAGAACAGGAGAAGAGAGAAAAACAGAGCAAGGCUCUGUAUAUUCUAUAUAUUGAUCGAUAUAUAAUUACAACGGAUGCAAGGGAAUAUAUAUAGAGAAGUUUUUCCAAUCCUUCCUAGCUAAGAAAUCUUAUGAUUCGUGGAUUACAAGGAGAAGAAUGGAAAUUUAUACAAAAAUAUCUAAAAGAAAAGAUCUCGUGUGGAGUUGGCAGAAACAGGGGAAAAUUCGCACGUUGGAGUUCCAAUUUCGCACGUUGAUUUGAGGUGUGCGAAAUUCUCGCACAGUGGACUGAGGAAUUCGCACCUUGAACAGUGGUGUGCGAAAUUGUCCCUCAGCUUGAUGCAGUUGUCUUCCAAAGGCCAUAUCUUUCUCAAUUCAGCUCCAAAUCAUAUAUGGUUUGAACCGUUGGAUUUUUGACUUUCUGAGCUUUGAAAUGGUAUAUAGCAUGUAGAAAAUGGACUUCGGGAAGUGCUCCAAAAGUGCCAAAGAAGACUGCAGCUGCUGUCCUCUGUUUUCCUCUUUGCUUCUUUUAGCUUCUCUUUGCUUCUCUUUGCUUUUCUCCUUUUGUUGGCUUGCUUUGGUGUAGCUAAAACCUUGCUUUAACUUGUACAAGUAGUUCCUCCAUCAUUUGGCAUGCUUGAAUUGAUUCAUAAGCUGAUAUAAACAUGUAAACUUGCCACAAAAUGGUUAAAACCAAUUACUAAGGACCUUAAUGAAUUAAUUGGGUUAAAUGAAUAUGAUUACUACACAAAGGUGCUUAAAAUCAUUAUAAUUAGGUCUAAAAAAUAGCACUUUUUGGUAGUAAUCAAUGGCUGUGAAAUUUCGCAGCCAAAGGCUAAUUUCGCAGCCCUGCGAAAUUGGCCUUCAGCUUGGAGUGAUCUGCUUCCAAUGGCUCUAAUUUCUUCAUUUCAACUCCGAUUUGCAAACCGUUUAAAGCAUUGGAUUGUUGACUUCCUGAUCUUCGAAACGACAUAUAGCAUGUAUAAAUUGGACUUCAGGAAGUGCUCCAAAAGUGGCUGAAAUGACUAUCAUCAAGAAUGCUUCAUGGCAGAUUUCUCUUUGCUUCCCCUCCUUGCAUUCCGGAUUUGCUUAUGGCAAAGGACUUCAAAGCUUUGGUUAUUCAUGUUUUUGAGCUUUCCAUUGCUUUGCCAUGGAUUCCAAAGAACUCUCCUCAAUCUUGGAUUGCUUUGGUGAUCAAAAAGCUAUCAAAACACCAAAACUUAACACAAUUUGAUUAGAAUUGAUUGCAAGGGUCCUUAACAUGCCAAUUGAGUUAAAAGGUAAUAACUACUACUGAAAAGUGUUUAAAAGAGUUAAUUACAAGCUAUCAAAUAGCACUUUUUGAGUAGUAAUCAGUAUGCGCCAAAAAUACCAUAGUAUAUACAACCAAAUUGAAUAAGGUAUAUAUAGAAAUGAACAUCAAGCACCAAUGAUAGGAUGGACAACUCCAUCUAUCUCCUCUAACAUAGGGGUGGCUACCUGGUCAAUAUCCUUCGAUAUAGGUGUAGUAGCCUGAUUAGUGAUAUCCAUGAUAGGUGUAACAGCCUCGCCAGCAGCUUGUACCAUAGGGGGGUCAUCCCUAAUAAUGAUGUCCACACUAGUGUUAAUAGCAUAAAUGAAGAUCUCACCAUCGACCUGUCCUGCAGAAUUUGGAAUAUCAAUAGUCGAGUUAAAAAUCUUAGCUGCGGCAUCACCUGAUGUUUGUAAGAUAGGCAUGGUCUCAUGGGCUACUGUCGGUGCUCUAGUGUCAAAGCCAAAACCAAUCACCUCUGUGUUGCCAUCAACCUCUAAGUUGGUAUCAGUUAGUGUAACCAAAUCUCCCCUUUAUCUAGAUGGAAUAACCAAAGAAGUGAGCUAUUGUAUAGAAAAAGUGAGGUCAUCCAUCUGAGUCUCCAUCUUACUUAGGUAAGCGUCAAUGUGGAAGUCCAUGGACACAAAUAACUUCUGAAGUGUGUCUAGACGAGCCAUGAUUGAUAAAGUACUCGGGGUAGCAUCAACAAUCUAAGGCUAUGAAGGUUUAGGAAGAUCGGAGAUUGGUACUGUUGGUGUAGAAAUAGGAAUAGCAAGCUCUGGGGCACAUGAAAGAGAUGGUGGAAGAGGAAUAGGAAGCACUAGUAAGCUCAUGUCAAAAGUAAGAAUGAGUGGGAGCGGGCUCUUUGUAGUAGAUGGAAGUCGAACAAAAUCCAAAGCUCUCUUUCACCUAGUGCGAUGGGUAGUCAAUUGUGACCCUGAAUGAAUCAUUCGAGCACACUGAUCGAUAACAGAAGUGUGAGAAGCCAUGUGACGACCAAACUCAAGUAACUGUUGUCCACGGUGGAGCAAGUAGUAUGAGAGCAAUCAAGGCAAAGGAAUGAGAUAGCUUUGAGCUAAAAAUAACUGUUUAUCCUUAACCUUCUAAAAAAAAAGAAAUGAUGGUAUCCAACUGAGUUGAGGUGGACUCCACCCCUCGCCUGUGUGCAUAUGAUAUAACCCCCAUAAGACUAAAUCAGAGCGCUCUAUAGAGUGUCCACAACAAGUACCCUGAGGUGCUAGUAUAUGUGCAAUCCUCGAAAAAGCUAGUCGUGACUGAGGUGUAAAUCAGGCUUCAAGAGGAGUGGAUGAUGGUAAACCAAAGGCUGAAACAAUGCUCUCAGUGGAAAUAAUAUCAACUCGUCCUCUAAUAGAAAAAUGGAGCUCUCGGUACCCCCCUCUCUAAUCCUCGAGAGUAAAUAAUAACUCUCGUACACUAGCGACAUAAAAAUAUGGGGGAUGAUCCAUCAAUGCGAGAAAAUAAUAUCGGUCAAGGAGAUGCAUGGACAAUGCAGUGGGCUCAUAAGUACUAAAUGCCUUUAUGUCAUAAAAGAACUCUUGACCAAACUCCCGUUGAGAUAGGUCCACCCUAGGGGCAUCAUCACAAACUCUUAGAGAUGGAGGACGUGUUGGGCUCAGAGUAGGGGGAGCUGCCCAUGGAUGUGGAGGAGUGGUAGUAGGCCUGGUGGUCUUAGGAGUGGUUGAGCGAUCAAAAUGGGCCUUCAUCCUAGUCUUUACAUGCAUGGCUUCAGUCCUCUUAGUGGUUGGGUGGUCAAAACGAGACUUCGUCCUAACCUCUACAUGCAUGGCUUUAGUCCUCUUAGUGGUUGGGUGAUCACAACGAGCCUUCAUCUUGGCCUCUACAUGCUUGGCUUGACUAGUGACAUGCCUCUCGGUAAGCUCACUAAUCAGUACACCACUUUGACUUUGGACAAGAGGUCGGGCAUGCUUUUGCCUUGGGAAUGCUUAGUCUCAUUGUCACUUUGAAUAACAACUUUCCUUUUAUCUCGAGCCAUCUAAAAUAAAUGUCGAAAAAUAAACUAAACUUAAAAAGGGAAAUAAAUAAAUAAAAAUAAAAGCAAAAACUCAUAAGGGUUAAGAAAACAAUCCCAAAAAAAUUGAAUGCUCAUGAAAUUUAUGGAUUCAUGUGAAACGGUGGUAGACCAUUCCUAAAAUGCGGGAAAACAUUCAAGGUGUCCAACACUGAUGAAAAUAUGAGUCUUUGAAGCCUUAGAUAUAAUCCAAACAAUACUUAAGCUCAAAUAUCAUGUGACAAGGAAAUCAAAGUGAUUGGUUAGCUUAGGAGAAUGUGUAGAACAAAUAGAAAAAUCUACUAGAGAGUUUAAAAUGUUCUAGAGGAUAUAAAACAUAAAUUAGGCAACAAUUAUGCAAAACUCAUGGAAAAAUAAGAACCUUGCUCUCAAAGUAUUCUAAGAUGAUAAAAAAUCCCUAAGAAUCAUGUAGAAAAAAUUUCAAAAAUUUUCUCCAAGAAUAAACCAAAAAUUAUAACACCUUGAAUUUCCAAGCAAAACAAAAGAACUAUGUAACCAAAAUCAAUCUUGUUGUGUUGCACUCGGGUUUUUGGGGGUCAAGUUCCCCGUUGAGCUCGUGGGGGUCGAGGGGCAGUGCCCUAUAGAUUUUUUUUUUCAUUAUAUUUAUUGUUUUUUAUUUAUCCAUCCAACCAGAACAAUAGAAACCCCAAACAAUGUUAGUGAGAAUUGGGUAACACCGCAUUUUAUAUGAAGCAACAUCGCACAAUGAAACCAUAAAGAUCAAGGAAAAUCCAUGAAAAAUAAAUAAGAAAUGAGUAUGAGUGUAAUACGUACAUGGAAUGCAACAAACCCACAAUGAAAACCUAAAAUCGCCCUCAAUGGAAGCUAGGACGAUGAACAAGGGAAGUGGAAAUGACCAUUUGUAAAGGAGUUUGGGUGAUUUCAGAGUGAGCUCAAAAUAGAAAUUAAGUAUUUUGAAUUGGAUUUUUGGUUAAGAAAAGUCAUUUCGAAAUUUAACUAUUGAAUUUGAAAAUAACCUUAUUUUGAAUUCAUUAAUUAAUGGUAAAAAAAUGCACAUUUUAAAAUGAAACCAUUGGAUUCGAAAACUACCUUAUUUCGAAAUGGUUCACUAUAUACAAAAAAUUUUAAAAAACCUCAUUUCAAAAUGAAAAAAAAAAAAUUCAUUUCUAAAUUGGGCAAAUUUCGAAUUCACCUUCUGAAGUUAAAAAAUCUCAAUUCUAAAGUAAAAGAUUCAAUUUUGAAAAGCCCACCAUUUUGAAUUUGCUAAAUGUAGCCUCAAUACAUUGUUAAAACCCCAUUUCAAAAUUCCACUAAUGAUUUUGAAAAUAGCUCCAUUUCGAAAUGGCUCACUGUUGAUUCCAACUUCUAUUUCGAAAUAGCAAUUUUUUUAUAUUUCAAAUUUGCCUUUAUUUCGAAAUAACCCACGGUGAGUGUUGAAGUCCAUCUUAAAGCAUGAAAAUUGCUCAUUUCGAAAUUCAAAACUCAUUGUAUUUUGAACUCAUUGUCUGUGAGUUCAAAACACCUAUUUUGACAUUUACUAGUGAUUUCAAAAUUAACCUCAAUUCGAAUUCACUUUCUGUAGAUUUAAAAUUGCAAUUCUAAGACAAAAAUUUUGAUUUCAAAAGGAUCAUAAUAUUUAAAUCACCCAUUACUAGUCUCCAAAAGUGUCAUCUCUAUUUGAGAUUUGAAAUUCAAAAACAAAGGAAUUUUGAAUUCAGCCACUAUACCUUUAACUCUUUAUCAUAAAAAUUUAGGAUUUCCCUCCCAAGGGCUACUCAGUUUUGUAUUUCAUCAUUUGUUUUCAAAGUUCACCAAUGAUUCUCACAAGUAAAUUUUUGGGAGACCUAUUGAUUCGUGCCCAGUCGGUGUAUCAGCUGAUUCAUGUCCAGCUUCUGCUUCUUGAUUGAGGGAGUAAUCAACAAAAUUUAUAACCUAUUACACCAUGUACUAGGGUAGCAAAGACAAAGCUACUAUAGCAUAGUGGCUCUAGGAUCGUUCACUGGGAUGGGUUUUCACUUCACAAAUGAUAUUAAUUCAAAGCUAAAUUGGUGCCUUUUCAUUUCAAGGUUAGCUUUAAAAGAAAACAUAAUUUUUGGUAGAAAAGGUUGGUUUUAAGUUAACCAAAAAUAAUAACUAAUUUUACUUACAAAGAAAAGUGUUUCUUGGAGUUUAGACCACAGGGCUCAUAUUCCUUGUACAAAAAGGAGAGUUCCGGUCACUUGUUUAUUUUCCUCGCAUUGGGGAUUUAACAUAUAGUUAUUUCCCGAACCGGUGUGGUACAGAUGCUUCACUUUAAUGGGUUCAAACACUAAAUCCCUCUCACUGAUGCACCUUGCAAUGGCUCAUACCUCUCACCUAGCACUUGCCAUUCAAGGUGAUCUUUAACCUUGGACUUCUCGUCAAAAGCUCGCAAGAGAUAACUAAUGGAUAUCUCCGUGGAGUCCAAAAGCUUAUCAAGUGUUGUCUAUUCUAGAAAAUCCUACCUUCAAACCACCUCCCAAAGGCUCGCAAGAGAUAAACUAGUGCAUCUCAAUGGAUAGAGAUCACUUGCCUUAUCGAGUGUUGGCCCAGGUGAUUUAAUGGCGUUUUAAGUUAACUAAAAAGAUAAAAACCAUUAAUGGGUCACACUUUCUCUUCAUUAAAAACUAAAACAACAAAACUUCCAAUUUAUGCAUGAGGAAAUUUACCCGGCUUUCUUCACUCCAAGAGACAAAGAGCCUAGCCUCUCAUCCUCCGAGGAAAAAUCCUUAGAGUUUGAUUGGCUAGAAAGAAAAUAAUGAGAAAACAAAAGCAAAGCAAGUGCUCUGUAUUUUACUUCCUUCCCAAAACUGUAAAAAAGGAUUCUCCCCCUGAGAACAGGCUCCCAAGAGAUAUAUAUAAGGAAAAUUACAAAAUAUCUAUAUGAGGUUAUUCACCCUUUUUCCAAACUUAAUAACUAAGGAAUCCUAUAAUUGGUGGGUUACAAGGAGAUUUUGGGGAUUUAGACAACAAAUAUCUAAAGCAAAAUAUCUCAAAAUAUCCCAAAAUAUCGAUGGCAAAUAUCAGGAAGCUUCAGGAGAACACCGCGGCCCUGUGCAAAAUGGCUGCUCUCCCAUCCGGGUAGACGCUAUCAGAUGAUCCGGAUACGUCCGUCCGGAGAAGUUGAAACGCCCUCUUCUCCCAUCCGGCGUCAUGCGCCGGAUGCAAAAUAUCCGGAUGUAAUGGCGGCGACAGUAGAUUUCUGGAUGUGAUACAUCCGGGUGGAAAGAGGCGGCAGCCGGAUGCAAUGGCGGCAGCCGCUCCAUCUGGAUGAAACGAUAGCAUCUUAUCCGGAUAUGUUGUCCGGAUGCCCUCUGAUGGUGUAUCCUGACGCCCUAUCCGGGUAUACUCCUUGCAUGGAUUCCAAGUAACUCUCCUCAAUCUCAGAUUGCUUUGGUGAUCAACAAGCUAUCAAAACACAAAACUUAACACAUUUUUUAUUAGAAUUGAUUGCAAGGGUCCUUAACAUGUUAAUUCGGUUAAAAGGUAAUAACUACUACUCAAAAGUGUUUAAAAGAGUUAAUUCCAAGCUAUGAAAUAUCACUUUUUGAGUAGUAAUCACCUAUGAUCUUAAAUAUAGAUCAAUGUACCUAUAGGAGCUUUGUCACCUUGAACACAUGUGAGGCUUACCAUUUCACUCCCUUCAAGUUUGCAUUCACCUAUAUCACUCGGCUGUUUGCAAGCUAAGUUGCUACAACUUAUAAACUCAUUAGUAAGUUAAAAAUUAACUAAAAAAUGCUAACCACAUUGCUAAUGACUAAUUGAAAAUGCAAAACUAAAAAAAGAAAAAUUAAAUUAAAUAAAAAAAUAAAACAUAAAUUAAAUAAAUAAAAGUUUUACCUAAAUUUAAUUUUUACCUACUAGAUUUUCAGAAAAUACUUCAACCCUUUUAAACAUUCCCAUAAAGAAAAUGGAGAUUCUCCUCUUGUGUCUCAAAUCUUUCAAUGAAAUGCUUUAAGCGUUGACCAUUAACUUUGAAUUCACUACCAAUCCUCAGAUUUUGAAUGGUCACGGUGCCAUAAGGGAAGACUUCCUUUACCACAUAAGGGCCAUUCCACCUCGACCUAAGCUUUCUUGGAAAAAUGUGAAGCUUGGAGUCGUAUAACAACACAUUUUCACCUUGCUUGAACUCUCUUCGUAAAAUAAGUUUGUCAUGGUAGAAUAUGUGUUUUUCCCUUGUAUUAUGUAAGCAUUCAUAACUUUAAUUUUGAUAUGCCUCAAGUUCCUUCAUAUCAUAUUUCCUUUUAGCUCUAGUUUGAUCCAAAUGAAAGUUCAUCUUCUUUGUAGCCCAAUAUGCACGAUGUUUGAGCUCUAUAGGCAAAUGACAUGAUUUACCAUAAAUAGUCUGAUAUGGUGACAUGCCAAAGCCAGUCUUAUAGGUUGUCCUAUAUGCCUGAAGUGCAUCACUCAACUUGGUAGACCAAUCUUUUCUUGUAGUAUUGACUACUUUGGUGAGGAUUUUCUUAAUCUCUCAAUUUUCUAGCUCAACUUGCCAAUUCGUUUGAGGGUGAUAUGGGGUGGACACUUUAUGCCACACUCCAUAUUUCUGCAAAAGAGUGGAAAAGGGCUUGUUACAAAAGUGUGAACCUCAAUUACUAAUGAUUACUCUCAGAAUGUCAAACCUAGAGAAAAUAUUCUCCUUUAAAAAUUUGAGUACCAUUUUGUGAUCAUUGCUCUUGCAUGCCACUGCUUCUACCCAUUUAGAAACAUAAUCCACUCCCACCAAAAUAUAGAGAUUACCAAAAGGAGGGAAUGGUCCUAUAAAGUCAAGGCCCCAACAAUCAAAGACCUUAACAACACAAAUAUAAUUUUGUGGCAUUUGAUACCUUGUGCUGAUUUUCCCCAAUUGUUGACAUUGUGGACAAGUUCCGCAGUGAGUGUUGCAAUCCUUGAACAUAGUUGGCCAAUAUAAUCAACUCUGUAGAAUGUUUGCUAAAGUCUUCCUCGGAGCAAAAUGACCUCCACAAGCUCCCUUAUGGCACAUUUUCAAUAUGUUGUUCAUCCUCUAGAACACAUCUCCGGAUAAUUUGAUUUGGGCAAAACUUAUACAAAUAUGGAUCAUCCCAAGCAUAGUGUUUUUCUCAUAAAAGAAAAUACUUUUUCAUCUCCAUGUUCCAUUCUGAGGGAAGCUCUCUAGUUGCCAAGUAGUUGACUAUAUUUGCGAACCAAGUCAACUUCUCCACUGCACAAAGUGCAUCAUUAAUUCAUACUGCCUUGAAAUGUGACUCUACUUUAACUCGGGACAGAUGAUCAGUAACCACAUUCUUUACCCUUUGCUUAUCCUUGAUUUGAAUGUUAAAUUCUUGAAGAAGAAGGAUCCAUUUGAUAAGUCUUGUUUUGACAUCCUUUUUGUUGAGUAGAUAUUUCAAGGUCGAAUGAUUAGUAAAAAUUACUAUUGAAGUUCUCAAAUGGUAGUUCUUGAAUUUAUCAAGUGUGAACAGCACUACAAGGAACUCCUUUUCAGUAGUUGUGUAGUUCUUCUAAGCAUCAUUGAGGGUCUUACUAGCAUAGUACACCACAUAUGGUUUUCCAUCCUCUCUUUGACCUAGUACGACUCCCAUUGCAUAGUCACUGGCAUCACACAUGGGGUCUCACAAUUAGUGCGAUAGUGAGGAGUGACUUUAGCCUCUCAAAAGCUUCUGGGCAUGCUUUAGUCCAUAUGAAUUAUGCAUUUUUAAGUAAUAAAGCACAAAGAGGUUAAGAGAUUUUUGAGAAGUCAUGUAUGAACCUUCUAUAAAAAUCUGCAUGCCCCAAAAAUUGUCUCACCUCUUUAACGGUAGUAGGCGAAGGUAGCUUUGAGAUGAGCUCAAUUUUUUCUGGAUCUACUUGAAUGCCUUCUCUAGAGAUGAUACGGCCAAGUACUACCCUUGAGGUUGCCAUGAAGUGACACUUCUUCCAAUUUAGGACCAAGUCUUUCUCAAUGCACCUUUUCAAAACUUUUUUAAAUUUAAAAGACAAUCAUCAAAGGCCUUCCCAUAAACUAUCAGAUCAUCCAUGAAAUCUUCCAUGAUUCUCUCUACCAUGUCAUGGAAGAUAUUGACCAAACACUUUUGAAAUGUGGUCGGCGUAUUACAAAGACCAAAAGGCAUGCGCUUAUAAGCAUAGGUGCCAAAUGGGCAUGUGAAUGUGGUUUUCUCCUAAUCCUCUAAUGUAAUGACAAUUUCAAAGUAACCUGAAUAGCCAUCCAAGAAGCAAUAAUAGUCAUGACCAACUACCUUCUCCAAAACCUGAUCUAAGAAAGGUAAUGGGAAAUGAUAUUUCAUGGUGACUGCAUUUAACUUCCUAAAAUCAAUGCAUACUCACCAACCUGUAGUCAACCUUGUAGGAAUGAACUCUCCUUCAUCAUUCUUUACCACAGUUAUCCUGCUUUUCUUAGGUACUACUUGAGUAGGGCUCACCAAACUAUACCUGCAUCUAAAAGCUUCAAUACCUCAUUUCUGACUACAACUUGUAUAAGGGUAUUUAGCCUUUUUUUGUGGUUGCCUUAGUGGUUUUACAUUAUCUUCCAAAUAAAUAUGAUGCGUGCAAAUCAAGGGAUUUAUCCCUUUCAAAUCUAAAAUAAACCAACCAAUCACUCUUUUACUCUCUUUAAGCACUUUUAAAAAAUUGAUUUGUUGCUCUUCAAUUAAUGUAGUUGAAAUGACCAAAGGUUUUUCUUCAUUUUUCUCUAAAUAAACAUACUUAAAACCAUGUGGUGGGCUUUAACUCUAGUUUGUUGGUCUCAACAUUCCCCUUUUUUAUUUCUUCAUCAUUUUCAACACUAUUCAAAGACUAAAUGCUACAUUUUUCUUUCCACUUUGUAGCAACUUCAACGCGUUCUUUCUCAAUGAUUGUAGAGAAAAAUUUGUUUAUAUUUUCUUCCAUUAACUUUUAUAUGGGUUCUUGCACCAAGGCCUCUAUAAUGCAUGCUUCCUCAUCCUCCACAUCAUCAUGGUCCAUCGGUUGCUUGCAUAAAUUGAAGACAUUCAUUUCCACUACCAUGUUCCCAAAAAAUAACUGCAUCAAUCCAUUCUAACAGUUAAUGACAGCAUUGGUUGUAGCAAGGAAGGCUCUCCCAAGAAUAAUUGGAACAAAAUUCACACAUUUUUUCAACGGUUCUGUAUCUAACACCACAAAGUCCAUUGGGUAGUAAAACUUUUCAACUUGCAGCAAGACAUCUUCGACUACUCCUCUAGGUAGUUUAAUCAAACAAUCUGCUAAAGAGAGUGUAAUGGUAGUAGCCUUAAGCUUUCCCAAUCCCAAUUGCUUAUAGAUUGAAUAUGGAAGCAAAUUUAUACUAGCUUCCAAAUCUAACAAAGCCCUUUCCACGAAUGAGUCUCCAAUUUGGACUGAGAUGGUAGAGCAACCUAGAUCUUUGUACUUCACCAUUGCCUUAUUCUCAAUGAUGGCACUGACUUGCUUAGUGAGGAAUGUUUUCUUGCUUAAUUUAAUCAUUCUCUUCAUAGUGCAUAAGUCCUUAAGGAACAUUGCAUAAGCAAGCACUUUCUUGAUCAUAUCAAGGAGUGGAAUGUUGAUCUUCACUUGCUUCAAAACUUCCAAAAUCUCUAAAGUCUUAUCCCCCACUUUGUGUCUUUGCGUUGCUGAAGGGAAAGAAAAAUGAUUGAAAACACUCUUUUUAUCUUUGCUCACAAUGACUUUCUCAUAUUUUUCAUACUCUUUCUCAUUUCUAGCAUUUUUCUCCAUGGUUGGUUCAUUUCUAGCAAGAAUAUCUUCAUUUAUCGGUAACUUGGGCCUUUGAUAUUCUUUUCCAUUUUUUAUUGUGAUAACUGCAUUGCAAUCUUUCUUUUGCACUUCAGAAACUUCAUUUACUCAUCUCAUAUUUUUCUAUUGUUGAGUUGUGAACUUUCUUUUCUCUUGAGAUAAGCCUGUAGCAAGUUGGCUCAAAAUGGUUCAAAUAUUUGCUAGUUCUUAAGAUGCUUGAGCAUUUAUCCUAUUUUGAUCCUCAUUACGGUUGUCUUCCUUCUAUAGAAACUCUCUCAUCAUAUCUUCCAGUCUUGAGUUAAUUGAUGAGGUAUGAUGUUGUUGUUGAAAAUUUUGAGAUGGCAUACCUUGUGGUUGAAAACCUUUUUGCCCAUUAGUCUGAUUACCCUGAAAUCAAUUUCCUUGCUACUGAAAAUGGCCAUUGUUACCUCAUCUCCAUGAUAGAUUUGAAUAAUUCCUCCAACCUGGAUUGUAAGUGUUGGAAUAUGGAGAAUUGCUAGAAUAUUGCUUGUAUGUCCUUAAGGCAUUGGUUUGCUCUGAAAACAUGUCUUGCACUAUAAUUAGAGUGGGACAAGAUUGCACACCAUAUUCCAUAGACUUACAUAUCAAGAACGGUUGAGUUAUUCCCUAAUUGACUAUUUGUACCUCUUGACCUCUUUUGGCUUCCAAAUCAUCCAACCUUCUCAUAAUGGUUACAAACUUUACUUGGACAUCUAAACUCUCUGGUAAUGUAUUCACUCCACUAGCUCUUGCCCUGUUCAUUGUUCUAUCUCUAGGUGUUUCCUUGACGAUUGGUUCUUCCCAACUUCUAGAUACCUCGGCAACAUAAUCAAGGAAUUGAAAUGCUUCAUCAGGGUUUUUAUUCAUGAAAUCUCCUCCACACAUAGUCUCGAGAAGUUGUUUCAUUGGUAGUGACAUGCCUUCAUAGAAAUAUGAUACUAGUAUCUAGUUGUCAAAUCUGUGAUGGGGAUAUGCUGCAACCAUCUCCUUGAAUCUUUCCCAACAUGCAAAAAAUUUCUCAUCCUCCAUAGCCUUGAAAUUCGAGGUUUCCUUUUUCAAUGCACUAGUCAUAUGUAUUGGAAAGAUUUUUUGCAAAAACACUGAUUGUGGAUCACCCCAAUUUCUAAUACUAUAGGGUCUAAGACUAUUUAACCAAGUCUUAGCUUUAUCCUUCAAUGACAAGGGGAAUAGCUUCAUGCGGAAGAUCUCUAAAGGAGUGUUGGCUUCUCGAAAAAUUGAAACGAUGUCCUCAAAUUCCUUGAUGUGAGAGUAUGGGUUUUCAUUUUUCGUUCCCUUAAUAAUGGGUAACUGAGAUACCACUUAAGGUCGAAUGGUAACAUGAUCAUGAUUUGGAGGUAGAAUAAAACACGAUGGUGUGCUCAACCUGGGAGGAUUUAGAAACUCUCUCACAGUUUUUUGGUCCUACAUAGGUGGUCAUGGCCUGUUGUUACUACUGUUGGAUUCUUUAGUGUCCUCCAUAUUUGGUUAAGAUUCCUCAGUUGUUCUUUGAAGUCUACCUAAAAGAUCUCUUUCCCAACCAAGCAUAAAAUAGAAGAAAAAUAUAUAUAAAGAAAAAAAAGAACUAAAACAAAGUAUUGCCAAUCCCUGCCAACGACACCAAUUUCUUGACGAAAAUUCUCUAUUGUACCAAAAUACUUAGCUUUUUUUACGUAGCAACUCCAAUUAAGAAAAACUAGAGAAAGAGUCACUACAACUUUUGAAGUACUCCAGGCAUCGUCCUCAAGAAUUAGCUUAUGGAAAGAAUUAAUACUAGAAUAAAUGAAUUGCUUUCGUCUAAAUCCUAAAGUGAAAAAAAAAAUGAGAAUAAUGUGAAACUAAGUAAAAGAAAUUAAAUUAAUAACAAAAUGGAUAUUAAUAUUAAAUUCAAUUGAUUCAAGUUUGGGCCUUUCCACAAUCCAACCUAAGGUAUAGAAAUUAGAGAAAACAAAGGUCUAUUAAGUAAUAUGAUCUUAGGGUUUUGGGAUCCUUGGCCGCUCACGAUCAAGUUGAGUUUUAUAACUGAAAAUUGCAUCAGAAACCUAUUUUUUUCCUUUUUAAAACAGAUUCCUAAAACCAUCAAAUGAAUGAGAUUGAUUACUACUUUAAGAUUUGGCUUUUUAACCCUUCCUACUCCUUAUAGCUUUGUUUUGGGGCAAAUAAUGAUAGGGAAGACGAGGAUAACUAAUGAUAAAAAAUUACCAAAAAUCACUAGUAUUGGGUAAUAACCUACCAUAUCAUUCCCUAAACCAACUCACAAGGAUAGGAUAAAAAAAAUGAUAAAUUGUCACCCAACCAAUAAAUAAUCUCAUUGUUAUAAUAAUUUACUCAUUGUCCCUAUAGGUUUCCUAGCCCUUAGGUUUUCAUGCUUUAAGCUCCAAGUUGGCUCUUAACCUCUCAUGGGGGUGAUGUCACAUUCACAAUCCAUAAUAUGGUAAAAAUCCAUAAUUUGAAUAAUAAUAAUAAAAAAAAAAACAAACCAAAGUUCUCGUCUUCUUCCACCUUUGAUGUCAAACUCUCCGAAAAAAAAAAUCCAAGAUCCCUAAAACCUAGAACUAAGAGAGUUUAUAUAAUACCAUCAAUUACCAAACAUGUGGCACACACUCAUUGGCCACUUAUUAAAAAAUAAAUACCUAAAAAUGAUUAAAAAAAUAAUAAAAUGGUGAUUUCUAGUCGUGUGGGCUCCAUUUAGGAUGGAGUGCCCUAGAUGCAAUUCCCGAGGUAGAGGAGACAAAACAUCGAAGUGGCAAUGGGUGAAUUCGAAAUUGGUGUCAUUUCGAUGUGGAUUUCAAAUUCAUAAGUUGAAUUUUAAAAUCAUUUUGAAAUCAUUUCAGCUCCGAUUUGCACAUUAUUUAAUGCUUUGGACUUGUAACCUCCCAAGCUUCGAAACAAUAUAUUGUAUAUAUAAAAUAAACUCUGGGAAGUACUCUAAAUUUGUCCUCAAAUUUAGAGUAUAUAUUAUCAUCAGAUUUUUGAGUUCUAAAUUUCCAUGUAGCUAAAUCUUGCUUCAUGCCUCAUUUCCUAUGUUUUCUUGCCUUCUUUCUUACUCCAUAAUGGUCAUUUCUCAUCUUCCAAACUCAUGAUAUCCUUGUUUAGCCUUUCCUCAUGGUUUAUGAGUCCUGACUCACUUAUUUCCUCGUUUAACCCUUUCUUGAUCUUUCAAAAUUUAAAGUGAUUUAACUUACACCCUUUUCUUCCCUUGAACCUAAGAUAAGUCUCCAAAGUACAAAUUAAACUCAUGGCUAGGGCCUUAGCAUCAAUUUAGGUUAAGUUAGGUGAUUUGAAUGUCCUUUGGUGUAUAAAUCAUAUCGAAUAUGUGCCAUUGAGCACAUAUUUUGGCUCCAAUCAAGCUUUCCCGCCAAAUUCUGCAUGCCAAACAUUGAGUGAUAGAAUGGAGUAGGUUGUCCGAAGAUUCACUUGAGGCUCUAUAGUACAGUCAUGAAAGCACACAAAUUAGAUGAUAUGUAGUUGGUUGCUCUCUUCCCCAUGUCACUUAGUUGAGCAGCAUAGAGGUGGUUGGCAUUAAUUAAGCCUUCAAGACUUUGCACUUGGAAGGAUGUGGCCUAUGAGUUUUUGACAUAGUUUGCCUUUAGUGCCGAUAUUGAUUUUUUUUUUUUCACUAAACAAGACGUCAAGAGUGUUACUUAACCAUCCCUAUGGGAAAAGCAAAAGUUGUUGCCUUAAGUGUUAAUAUUGAUGUUUCUAGGUGAGACUUAGAGGCUACUAAGCAGAGGCCAAAUGAGUCUAUUUCUUCAUUUAUUAGGCAUUGGAGGGCUAAGGUGGUUGAUAUGAUAGAUUGACUUAAGGAGUAAGAUCAGAUUGACGCACUUCUUUGGAACCUUCAACCGGGGUUUGCUAGACAUCUUGUAGGUAUUCCAUUUCAAGACUUUUGAAGUUUGGUUCAAGUCGCUUGUAGUGUUCAGGAGGGUAUUGAUAAAGGGUUAUAGACAAACACUAUUCCUUCCUUAGACAAUAAAGGAAAGAAGCCUAUAGGAUCAUCAGGGAGUCUUGGAGAGGUUAACACUAUCAGUUAUCAUCAUUGAGGUUAGCUUAUCAGUCAUACCAAAGGUCUCCUACAAUUAGAGCCCACUUUCCUCAUCCAUUGUGCCAAUAUUAGUCCACCUAUAUUCAACAACCUUUCAUUGCUCAGACCAGUAUGCAACCACGACUACCAUAUCCUAGAGACACUGGUUCUCAUUCAUUACUCAUGUUCCCACUCAUAUUUUUUACACACAUGAUCUUUAUCGAAGAGGGGCAUAUUUGUAGACCCUCCAUUCUAUCUCCUUAAUACAUGCCCUAUUAAGUGUUCUUUCAAUACUCCACAAUGGUUCCCUAGUGGCUCUAUGUUGCUCAUAUAACCUACCUUUUUUAGCCACCUUGGAGACUUUGGUUGAGGAAUUUAUUUCACCCCUCAUUAUGACUCUUGGCAUAAUCGAGUUAGAUUUAGAUUUUUCUUUUUUCUUUUUAGGAUAGCUCCUUUAAGUACAUCUCUAGAAUAGAGUACUUAGGCAUCAUUUUUCGAUCACCUUGGCCCAUUUAGACACUUUUAGCCCAUUUAGGCACAUCCGACCCAUUUGGGAUCACCCUAACCCAUUUAGAUACAUCUGGAUUAUUCAGAUUACCUUGACCGAUUUAGACACAUUUGGCCCAUUUAGGUACAUCCAACUCAUUUAGGUCACCUUGGGCCAUUUAGACACACAUAGGCCCAUUUAGGCACAUCUGGCCGAUUUAAGAUCACCUUAGCCUAUUUAGACACAUCCAACCUAUUUAGGAUGACCUUGCCUCAUUUAGACACAUUUGACCCAUUUAGGAUUACCUGAACCCAUUUAAGCACAUUCGACCCAUUUAGGUCAUCCUAGCUCAUUUAGACCACUUAGGCCCGUUUAGGCACAUUAGGCACAUUGGAGCCAUUUAGGAUCACCCUGGCCCACUUAGGCAUGCCUUGACCCAUUUAGCUCACUUGGCCCAUUUAGGCACAUUUGGUCCAUUUAGGAUCACGUAGGCCAAUUUAGGCAUAUUCGACCCAUUUAGGUUGCCUUGGCCUAUUUAGAAACAGCCAAGCCUAUUUAGGUCACUUAGGCCCACUUAGGCACACCUUGCCCUAUUUAGGUCACUUAGGCCCAUUUAGGCUCAUUCGACCCAUUUUGGAUCACCCUGACCCAUUUAGGCAUAUUUGGCCCAUUUAGGAUCAUCGUGGCCCAUUUAAACACACCCUAGCCCAUUUAGGUCAUUUAGGCCCAUUUAAGAACACAUUAACCCAUUUAGGAUCACCCCAGCCCAUUUAGACAUACCUAGGCCCAUUAAGGCAUAUCUGACCCAUUUUAGAUCACCCUAACCCAUUUAGACACAUUCGGCCUAUUUAUGAUCACCAUGGCACAUUGGGCCCAUUUAGGGUCAGUUAGGCCCAUCUAAGCACACCCUAAGCCCAUUUAGGUCACCCAUUGUCUCACUUCUUAUUGCAUGGUUUGUGUGAUUGCAUUGUUGAACUUCCUUGCAUGGCCUGCAUGACACUUUGUUUUUUUUUUUGUUAUUAUUAAUUACUUAUUUAUUUUUAUUUAUUAUCUUGCCAUUUAUUUAUUUAUUAUUUAUCUAUUAUUAUUUCAUCAGUUUCUGAAUUAUUUUUAAUUACUAUUCAUUUGUUCAAUGUAAUUUUAAUUUUUUUUUUGUUUUUGUAGGGAAAUUUACCAAAGAGAGAGCCAACGGAGAAGGAAAAUAAGAAUCACCAAAAUGAAAAAGGAAGAUAAAGACAAAAGAGAGUAAAACUUACCAAAAGGAGAGGGGAUUGUGAGUUGCAUUAUGAAAGUAUGGAGAACGCAUUUUGGGAAGUUUAUCAAAGAGAGAGUGAAUGGAGGUGUAAAGCAAGAAUUACCAAAAUAAAAAAGGAAGACAAAACGAGAGAGAGUAAAACUUACCAAGAGAAGAGGGGAUUGAGGGUUGCAUUAUGAAAAUAUGGAGAACAUGUUUUGGUAAUUGAGAAAUUCAGCACAUGGAGGUUUUGGAGUAAGGAGAGGAAGGAUUUGGUCAAGGUGGAAUUUUAAGAAAAAAGGAUAUUCAAUGUGGUAGGAAGGAAUGUUUAGCAUAUUAAGGAAGAAUGUGGGGAUUGGUAGGGGGGAAGAAGAACAAUUGCAAUUUUGAGCAUAAUUUUUGUAAAAUUUAUUGGAUGAUUGGUUUGUAUAAUUUUAAUGUUAGUAGAUUUUAAAAUUUUACGGAAUGAUUGUUAGGUUAAAUUCCCAUGUUGAAUGUGUUUUAAAAAUUCGUUAAAAAAAUUAAAUAAAAAUUCUUUGAAUGUUUGUUAGGUUAAAUUCUCAUGUGAGCAUUAUUAUUAUUAUUAUUAUUUAAUGCUAUAUUUGGUUGAAUUUUCAUGUCAAUAGAUUUUUUUUUAUUAAAAAAAAAUUGUUGAAUGUUUGUUAGUUUAAACGUUUAUGUUAAUAUAUUUUUAAAAUUCAUAGGAUGUUCUUGGCAUAAUUCUUAGUUGCCCUUAUCUCUAAAACCUUUCUAAAAUAAGAAAGUCAUUCAAGAAAAUAAAAAAAAUAUAAGAAAAAGGCAAAGUUGCUGCCUUUUUUUUUUUGGGGGGGGGGGGGGGGCCUUAUUUAUUUAUUAAUUUAUUUUUGUCAAUCUCCUACAAAAUGAUAUCCCACUUACACCCUUACGCAACAAGAGCGCGUGGGACACCCACUUCGACCCAACAACUUUAUGAUGAAUCUGAACCCUGUGGACAAUAAUACCAUGUGCAUAUAUACGAGCCUGUAACACUCAUUUAUGGGUUUAAAUUCAUUCAAAUGAGUCAGUAGUAAAAGCUAUGAAACAGAUCGAACCCCACCUUUUUUUUUUUCUUUUUUUUCGUUUUUAAAUUUUCUGGGGUCCCUCAGUUACUUUACAGAAGGUGGCAGAGAAAGAGAGACGAAUAAUCACUUUCAAUGCUGUUGUCUUCUUGUUGUAAGGGUAAAAUAAGAGGCAAAGAAAUUAAUGAAUUCAUUAUCUUACCUUUCUAUUGAAAUGCCUUCCAAGAAAUGUUUUGAGAGCUUUGAGUUUAGUCUAUAAUAAUGGUAGUAUAUUUCAAUGAAUAUGCAUUCUAGAAAAAUAUAUACCUUUAGCAUAUACCAAGAUAUCCUAGGGUUUCAAGUCAAGUAACAACCAAUCAAAACAAAAUCACUCUUCUUGGAAAACAUGGAUGUUCGAGUAUCCAGCUCUUUUCUUUAAUUGUGCUAACAUCGGCUCUCUCUCCAGCAUGCAAGUGUGCGUCCCAGGCAGCUCUUUUGUGCUUUAAAUGAAUUGAAUUCUUGAUCUUAUUCUGCCAUUGUUUUGGCUCAAACCUAAGAAGUAUAUUUACCCUAACUUCUUUUCAUGUCUUCAACUUACUCAAAGGCUCACAAGUCCCAUUGGAAGUAAGCAGUUAAGGAUUUUUGAACUAAAAUUAUCAAACAUAGUCUAAUAGGUUAUUAAUGAAAUUAUUGAUGCAGAAUAACAGGGCGGGUGACUUCAAAUGGAUACACUGAGGUCUAUCUGUGCGUGUUAGGCAUUCAUGAACCUGUUUUCUUCGGUCAAAGAGCAGCCAAUACAAGGAAAAAACAUGGCGAAAAUUAAGUGAAGUAUGACUUCUGGAAGAUUUAUCACCUUCGUAAAUGAAGUGAGAGUUUUGACCGAAUUGAAGUAAAAAAAUUAAAUGCAACGGCUAGACCGGCUCCAACUAUUAAGAUUAUAAGUGCCACACAGAAAGAACGGAAAGAACGGUCCUAGUAAAUGAAGUAUAAAGACAUGAAAACAUAAAAUUGUCCAGGUAAAUGAAGACAUGCAAUGAAGAAGAAAUCUGUUGCAGACUACACAAAUCACAACCACAUAAAUCAACCACCCACCCAUUUUUCGAACUUCCAGCUCUCAUGCACUGGCACAGUUCGGUCCUUUUAAAAAUUAAAGUAGGCAUCUAAAAUUUUAUUGGUUUCAAGAAAUUUGGUGCACUAGGAUCCAAUGAAGAGAACCUUUUUAUUCUAAAUAUUCAAUAGUAGAUUCCAUUCUUAGCUUACCAAUAUAUAUAAAUUACUCAGGACCUUAAGAAGUUGAUAUUACAAUUUAAACAAUGUUAUAUCAUGUGUAUUAGGAGAGAACCAAUCUCACCCACAAAUCAAGAACACUCAAUUGUCAAUUCUUAAGUUUAUGACUAAUAUAGUUUAUGUAUCUUUUGGAAAGUCAUGCGUAUAUUUAAAAGACUAUAGUGUACACCAAUAAUAAUAUACUUGCACCAUUCAUCUAUGUACCUCUUUCUGGUAUCAGAGCAAUUCUAGCUCCCAUGAGUUCUUUUUUUCGCCUUCAUCCUAUGUUUCACCAUGGCUGAAGCAAGCUCAACCAGGCUAUCCCACCUUCCCUUACCUACCAAUACAACCAUGAACCUGGACAAUCUCAUUGCCAUCAACACAAUUAGCUAGCCAACUUCCACUCAAGCUCAUCCUCACUAACUAUUACUCAUGGAAAACAUAGUUUGCUGCACUGCUCUUUGGAUAUGACCUACUUGGCUACAUUGUCGGAACAAAGCCAGGACAAACAAAUAUCAAUCGUAACUAUACUAUUUGGACAAGUAGGACAAGCUUCUUCUUCUAGGAAUCAUCGGCUCUCUCAGCCAUAAAGUCGUACCUGUGGUUCAUUCAUGCAAAACUUCCACUAAAGCUUGGCAUCAUUUUUCAAAGCUCUAUGUCAAUCCCUCAUUCUCCAAAACCAUGGGAUUGGUAGAGCAACUCAUUCUUCUCAACCAUGGCUCUUAACCAAUGGUUAACUACCUUGCAACAAUCCAUGAUAUUAUUGAUGAAUUGGACCUUCUUAGAGAAGCCAUUCCAAACCAAUAACUCACCCCUUAUGCAUGCAAACAUGUCACCCACGAAUUCAAUGAAUUGUUGUUGUUAUAUGCGCACGAGAUACUAUGAUCACAUUUGAUGAGCUGCAUGAAAAAUUGAUGGAAUAUGAAGCCUUCCUCAUGUAGGAAGAGCUUCGUUCCACUAGCACUCUUGGUACCAUUAAAGUCAACAAUACACAAUUUUCAUCUUCCCAUAGUGACAAAAACGCUAGCCAAAAAUAUUUCCCUAGUAGGAAAGGAUACAAAGGCCAACAUCCUCCUCAUUUUGGGAAUCAACACCCCAACAAGAACGCCACUAUGAUUUGCCAAUUCUGCGAGAAGAAAGGUCAUACUACUUGCUAGUGUUACUUGGCUAAGAAAUUGUUCCUUUCAUCCACACCUACUACUAGUCCAAUUAUCCCCACAAACAACUUCCUAACCAAUUGGCUCGUAGAUAUCAGUGCCUCACAUCAUGUUACAUCUAAUCUUAACAAUUUGUCUCUCUGCCAACCAAUGAAUCUGGUCAUUAAUAGUUUUCACAUUUCCUAUACUUGGAGGGUUGUUCCAAGAUUAAAUAAAGUUUUUUCCCAAGCUAAUCUUAAUGUAGUCUUUUCCUAUUCUUUGAGGGUUGUUCCAAGAUUAAAUAUGCUCAGUUUCAGAAUUGAAAGGACUUUUUCAUAUUGCUAAGAAAAAAACUUAUGAGAUUGAUUUUUCUAUCAAAAUUCUUAUCUCUAAAGUGGAUUCCUUUGAGUGGUGAGCUUAAUUCUGAGUUCUUAUCUUUAAGGUGAUGAAUUUCUUAUCGUUAAAGUGGUGAACUUGUGUUAUUAACUUAUCAUUUUAUUUCCUUAAAACGGUAUCAUUUUGUGUCAGAAAAAGUAGUUACAGGCUCCCUUCAAGUUUCUUAUGUAUCAACCCACAAUCAACUUGUGGAUAUACUCAACAAACCAUUGCCCAAGUCCCGCUUUACAUUCUUUCAGUCCAAGAUUGGCAUUUUUUUUUUUUUUAUGGAAGCACCAUCUUGCAAGGGCAUAUUAGGAGAGAACCAAUCUAACCCACAAAUUAAGAGCACUCAACAAACCAUUGCAAGGGCAUAUUAGGAAAGUCAUGUGUAUAAGAUUGUAGUGUACACCAAUACUAAUAUACUUUCACCAUUCAUCUAUUUACCUCUUUAAUGUGAAUGACAUCUACACCAAAAGAUAAUUUGGUGCCUAUACAUGCGUUAGUUUUUCAACUAAAUUGUUGAACAAAUGCCAUGAAUUGAGGUAUUACGAAUUAUUAAAAAGUUAAACUUGACUUAGAAUGUUUCUAAAAAUUAGAAUUUCACUUAGUUUAAGCUAACUAGAAUAUUUUAUUUUUGGCAAUUUAUUAUUUUCUAUUUUUUUUUUAUGAAGUUUUAUAUUUUAUAAGAAGUUUCUAUUUUAUUAGGUGUUAGUAUCUAUAAAUAAGAUGUAAUUUAAUAGUUGAAUAAGAGCGGUGAAAAACAAUAAUUUUUUUCUUAAUCCAUCUCAGUUGCUUAUCUCCCUUUAUGUUAUUAUUUGUCAUAAGUUAUUUCAACCCUAUUACUCCAACAAAUGGCUAUCACUGUCAUUCAAAAAAGUGGAAAUUGGCAUGUAUCUAUUUCAAGUCCACAAAGUCAAUAAAUGUAAUUACAAUAAAGGGGUAUGAAACUACUCUAUCCUAAAAUUAAUCAAAAGGAAUUUUUUUUUUGAAAAAUAUAAGUAAGAAAGAUAAGAAAGCUCUUACCUCCAUCAAUUAAGCAAUGGAUGAAGGUACUUUUGAGAAGAUUUUCAGUGCAACCAUAACCAAAUAUGAGAGAAUUUUAAGCACACAUAACAUAUUUAACAAUAUACAAAAGAUUAAUCUUCAAACUCUAAUAAGAGAAUUUGAAAGUUUGAGCAUGAAAAAAGAAAUCGAAAUAAAUCUCUAAUUAUUUUUCUAGAGUAUUAGCUGUUGUGAGUUUACAAUAAAAAUAUGUCAAAAGUUUGAAUGAUAGCCAUGUGGUAAAAAAAUAUGUUCAAUCUUUAGAUUCCAAAUAAGUUUAACUAUAUUGUUGUUGUCAUUGAAGAAUAUAAACAUUUAGAUUCUAUCACCAUUGAUCAACUCAUGAGAUCACUAUAGACUCAUAAAGAGAUUAAAAAGAAAUAACUAAGAAAAAUUACAACUUUUUUAAACAGAUUAAACUUAUACUAAAGGAGAAUGAUGAAAACAUUAGUGAAAGAAGUCAAAACAAUCAUGAAUAUGUCAAAGACAUGGUCAUAGCCAUGGCUAAGACAAUAGAGGAAGAGAUAGGUUUAAUUUAUCAAACAAUGAAAUAACAAGUCAAAAUUCACAUUCCUCAAGAGGACAUGAAAGAUGACACAACUUCAGGCAUAAUAAAAGAAGAGGAUAUGAUAAAUUUCAAAUUGAAUGUUAUAAUUAUAAAAAAUAUGGUCAUGAUGCUUAUGAAUAUAGAAAUGCUACAAACAAUAUGAAAAGAUACGUCAAAGGAGUUGCCACCUAGGACCAAACUUCCUGCUGAUCAAGUCUCAUAUCGAAUAUUGUAAACCCUCAAUUUUGUCCCUUUAGCACAUGUCUUUAAAAUUCGUUUUCAAUGCUCCACAAUAGUUCCUUGGUGGCCCAUGGCUACUCAUACCACUUACCUUUUUCUGAGUCACCUCGGAGACUUUGGUUGAGGGAUUAUCUGACCCCUUAUUGUGACCCUUGGCAGCCCUAACUUAGACUUAGGCUUUUCUUGCUUUUUAGGAUAGCUUUUAGAUACACUUGGCCCAUUAGGCACCACCUUAGGCCCACUUAGGUCACCUUUUAAGUAAUUUUUUGCAUGUUUGCAUGAUUGCAUUUUUUUGUAUGACUUGCAUGGCUUGUGGGGCCCGAUUUUUGUUAAUUUGUUUAUUUUUAUUUAUUUAUUUUACUUUAUUUUUUAUUUUUUAUUUUUUAUUUUUUUUUUACUAUCAUUCACUUUUUAUUGGUUAUCUUCCUCUUUAUAUUAUUUUCCUUAACUUAUUUAUUUAUUUAUUAUUUUUACCAUUUUCUAAUUUAUUUACUUAUUUAUCUAUUCAUUCAAUUAUUUAACUUAAAAAAUUUCAUGCUUUUGCAAGGAAACUUACCAUUGGAGUUUAAGGAAAGUGGGACUCUCCAUCGAAGGUUUUUGGAGGGGAAUUUGAAAUUGGGAAGAUUGCUUUUGAAUUGGAAGAUUUAAAAAAAAAGGAAAAGGUGAAAAGAAGAAAGAAAAUAAGAGAAUUUGUCUUUUUUAGAGAGAUUUAGGUUUUAGGGGGGUAAUAUAUAUAUAUAUGUGAGAAAAGGAAAAGAAGAGGACACGUAUUGGAGUCACGGUAGGGAGAGGAAUAAAGAUAGCAAAAAAAGGAUUUUUUCUUUUGAGGAGUACGCUGAAGAAGAGGAAGGAGAUGGGUGAUUCAUUACUCUGCAGCUGCCUAAAGGUUAUAGUGUUUUCAUGUUUCACUUUUAUUGAUUUUUCGUCAAGAUCAGUUUGGUACUGCUUUAGUCUCUCUAUAUCCUUGCUUCCCAUAGAGAUGUGGAUGCUUGCUAAUCAGGUAUGCCCUUUCUACCCCACAACCCUAAAAUUCUAUGAAUGUGUAUGUUCUCAUGAGACAUGACCAUGUUUGAUGCCAUAAUUGAUUGCCUUGAUGCUUGAUUGAUAAUCUUUGAUGAAAAUACAUACCAUGUAUCAUAUUUCCAAACUAAUCUCUUAUGUUUCAUGAUAGCGCUUGAGAAGCGGUUUCGGUACGCACCCUAACUUUCCUUUAUUGUGAUUUGAUCUUGUUUAGCAAGCUAUUUUUUGAAAUCACCUUAGUCUAUCUAGGUACUCUCAAUUAAUCAAUUAAUUGCCCCACUUCCCUCAACUUAGUCAGUAGAGACCUCUUUGGGGCUUAGAGGGGUGCUACCUCCUAGAGGUACCUUCCCAAUAAGCAACCUGAUCCCCAGACCUAGACUCGGGUUUCUCAAAGACAUGCUUUUUCCAAAACUAUGGAGUCACUUUUUAGGGUUUCUCUUUCUUGUUUUAUUUUCCCUUCAAAAUAAAAAUAAAAUAGGUGGUGAUUCCAACUUUUCUAAAAUUAAUUUUUCACAAAUAAAAAACUAGUCUCGCCGAUCGAGUGGGGACACACGUGAAAAAUGCGGGUCCGCAAAUAUCACUUUCGAAGUUACUAGAGCUAAGGAGGUAAUUGAAGAAACUAUUGGAUGCAUGCAUGAUCCAAUCUUUAAGGGUUUGUUUUGGUGCUCCUAUCUUAUUCCAAAUAGAUGUGUGUUAACUAUUGGGCCUUGAACAAAGUAACGAUCAAGAAUAAGUAUCCAAUCUCCUUAGUGGAAGAAUUAUUUAAUAAACUGGCCAAGGCAAAGUUUUUCUCCAAAUUCGACUAACGGUUAGGAUACUAGCAAGUAAGGAUUGUAAAGGGGGACAAAAAAAAAAAAAAGACUAUAUGUGUAACUCACUAUGGACCAUAUGAGUUCCUCAUGAUGCCAUUUAGACUAACUAAUGCCUCAAUAACAUUCUACAACCUAAUGAAUGAUUGCCAUACAAGUUCUUAUAUGCCUUUGUUGUGGUUUACUUUAAUGCAUUGUUGUCUAAAGCAAGACCUUAGAAGAGCCUGUGAAUCACUUGAGAUUAGUGUUUCAAAGACUAAGAGAACAUGAACUCUACUUGAAGAUGGAGAAGUGUGAGUUCGCACAAAGUCAUAUUACCUAUCUAGGACAUUAGAUAGAGGAAGGGUUUAUCAAGAUGGAUGUUUAGACCAUUAAAGAUUGGCAUGCUCUAAGCAAGAUGACACUACCUGACUAUUAUUGAAUGUACAUAAGGGGCUACUUCAAGAUAGUGGCUCCCCUUGCUAACCUUCUAAAGAAGGAUAUUUGCUAGGAUUGGAGGUUUGAAUGCUAGAAAGAUUUUGAGAAGUUGAAAGUAGUGAUUUGAGUCAAGUUGGUGUUGCAAUUACUAGAUUUGGAUCUCCUAUUUGAGGCUCAAAUAGAUGCAUCAGCUAGGGCCUUAGGAAGGAUCUUGGUGCAGGAAGGGCACCCAAUAGCCUUUGAGAGUUGAAAACUUAAUGAGUUAGAACAAAGAUACUCCAUUCACGAGAAAGAGAUGACAAUGAUUAUCCAUUGCUUAUAGUAGUGGAAGCAUUAUCUGUUGGGGAGUAUAUUUACUAUAUAUGGUCACAGGCAACAUAGUUAAUACAUUUUUCAAGAUGCAAAAGGAGUUGAGCCCUAAGCAAUCUAGGUGGCAAGAAUUCCUAGCCGACUUCAAGUUUAAAUGGUUGUAUUGACCAAGAAGACAUACUGUAGUUGUAGAUGCCUUAAACCAGAAGGAAUUGACAGAGUAUGUGAUCCCUCUAUCACAUGUGAUCUCAUAUUUUAAUGAAAAGAUCAAGCAAGCUGCUAAGCUUGAUUCUACUUAUGAGAAGAUGAAUCAACAAGUCAAAGAGGGGGCUAUUAAAAAGUAUUGGCUAGAAGAUGACCUCUUGGUGGCUAAAAGAGGUAGGCUAUGUGUACCAAGAAGUUGCUUACAUAAGGAGUUACUAAGAGAGACCUAUGAUGUCGAGUAGCCAGGUCACCUUGGCAAAGAGAUGACAUCAAUAGUAUUGUCCAACUACUAUUACUAGCUAAAAAUAAGAGAGGACAUCUAGGCUUAUGUUCUAUAUUGUUUGAUAUGUCAAUUGGAUAAGACAGGCAAGAAGAAAGCUAUAAGGUUACUACAACCUUUCCCUAUCCUAAAGAGACCUUAGGAGAACAUAUUUGUGGACUUCAUCGGUGGCUUUCCAAAAGUGAGGGAAUUUAAGUAUAUCUUCAUGAUAGUAGAUAGACUCUUUAAGUAUGUUGCUUUCAUACUUACACCACAUGCAUGUCCCGUAAAGGAGGUUGUUAGGCUAUUCCUCAACCAUGUGGUCAAGUACUUCAAGUUGCCUAAAGACAUAGUCAGUGAUUUUGAUGCUUGAUUCAUUGGUUAGUGUUGGAUUGAGUUGUUUAAACUCCUAGGAUUGAAGUUGAAGUUCUAAACAACAAAUGAUUCAUAGAUAGAUGGGCAAACAAAGUGUAUCAAAUGUGCCACUUAAGGAAUACCUCAGACACUAUGUUUUUGCAACACAAAAGAACUAGAUUGAUUUAGUGGAGAUAGCUCAGUUAUCCUAUAACUUACAUAAGAGUUCAAUAAUAGGGUUGAGUCCCUUUGAAUUGGCUAACAAGUGUUAGGGUUCCCAACAAAUACCCCCUUAGAGGUUAGGGUUUCUAAGGUUUUUCAGUUGUCUUCCUAAUCUAGAGAGCGUAAGAGAAAGAGCUUAGGAAUCAUCCCUUCUAAAGCCCACUCUUUGGAGUUCUAAGAUCGUAGUUCGAGUCAUCAAGUGUAAGAUCUUGGAUGUACAAGACCUCCAAACUCUUCAAGUUUAUUUUUUACCCAUGAAAUUGAUUUGGGGACAUCCAGAUCUAGACAUGAAUGUUUCUUCUCUAGUUUUAUUAAUCUAAAUCAUUUUAAAAGUCAUAUUUCAAUUCAAAUUAGUUUCUACAAAAGCCUAGGGUAGAUUUACAUGUACCUAUACAAUCCAAGGUAUGGGAAUGGAAUGAUCCAAGGUUCUCAACAUACACACUAUCUUACUCCCAUGAGAUAUCAUGGUGCUUUUAUUAAGAAUACUUGUUGCUAGCUUUCCCAUAUGGAUAUAUGACCACAUUAGGGUCUCACCUAUAAAUCAAAGUUUCUUAUUGAUUUUGGUAUAAAUUCAAUAUAUUCUCAAGGUUGAGAAUCUAUGUAUUACAGUAGCUUAGUGAAUCAUGACAACUAAUAGCCUUAUGUCAUGAUUCACUAUAGGUCUUGUCCUAUAUGUAACCAUACACACUAAUGUACUCAUCAUGGGAAACUCAUCUCAAUGGUCAUGAUAAGUCAUCUCUCCAAUUAGGAGGUGGUGCAUUGUAGUCUUUAUUGAAUUGCCCAAAUCUAUGAACCAAUUAUAAACAACUAAUCAUCUUGCAAGGAAUCCAUGACUUAUGUCCUUUAUGCAAUUCCUAGUACACUAAAGUCAUAUGCAAUGCAAGUGAAAUGACAUGUUUAUUUAGGUAACCAAUCAGUACAUAAUGGGAUAGUAAGUUGAGCAAUAAACAUAAAUAAAUAAAUUUAUUAAUGAAUCUACAACUAUUAUAUCAUGUCAUGCUUUCCAAGGCACUAUCCCAAUAGGUUGGAUUAGGUGACUCAAGUUCAGUUUAAGCUUAAGUCACUUAAACCCAUAAGAAGCCCUAUAUAAACACUCUAAGAGGUUUAGGGUUCACGAUUUUAACAUUUUGGCCACCAUCUUCCUAAAAGAGAGUAAGAGCAAGCCUUAACCACUCUUAGGAGAGGAAGAGAAGCUCACCCUUAUCUUAUGCCAUGAUCCUUGAAAUGAGAGAUCGAGUAAAAGAUCUUUGGGUAGAUGAACUCCACCACAUCCCCAACAUCUUCUUUGACAUCUUCUUGGGAUUAGAUUCGAUUUUGGAACAUCCAAAUUGUAGGUAUGAAACUUUAACCUCUACAUCUAGAUCAUAAUGUGGUUUUAGUUACCAUAUAUUUUUACUAUGUUAGAUACAAAGCCUAUGAACUAAGUAACUAGUGGUUCCCAACAGUUUAUAGUUAUAAAAUGAUGAAAACUAAUGUCUUUUCACCAACUAAACCUCAUAAAGCAUUAAAAUCAUUAGUUUCAUUGCAAAUUCAAGUUAAAGAUUAAAAUGCACCAAGUAUGAGUCUCACCCACAAAAUGAUCCCUAAUGCUCAUUAAUAUAUAUAUUAAAAGUCAAAAGGAUAAUGAAGAUGAUGACAAACCAAUAAUCAAAGCAAACUUUUGAUAAUGAAGAAAUAUGUUAUGUUCAGUGUCAAAAUAAAAUCAACACUAAAUUUUCUAAUAAAAGAAUUUGAUAGUAGGUUGUGACUACAACCUAGAUAUCAAUUCCAUAUUGAUACAAAAACAGAGCUUAAGGCAAUUUGAAAAACAAGCAUAAAAUCGAUGGUUUUGGAAUUGAUAAUAAAAUCAAUAAACCAACUCAACUUGAUACUCCUUGACAACAUGGAACCAAUGUCAAUCCCAAUAUGAUAACAAGAUCUAUACAACAUGAAAAACUGACAAAGCAAAAUUUACCAGACUUGGUAUCAAAUCAAAAUCAACAUGUAUUUCAAUAAAUUAUAUAUAUAUAAAUCAAUACAACACUAACAAUGGUAAUGUUAUUAUUUGGGAUAAACUAAUAUACAAAUAAUAAAGGCUCUGAGGUAUCAAAAUAUCAUUAAUGAGUACAAAAUCUAAUUCAACCAAUUUCAGGCAUUCUCAUGUGAAUUUACAAGUAUAAAAUAAUGAAAACUAAUGCAUUUUCACAAGCUAAACCUCAUAAAAGCAUUGAAACCAUUAGUUUCAUUGUAAUUUCAAACUAAAUAUCAAAAUGCACCAAAUAUGAGUCUCUCACGCAAAAUGAUUCCUAAUGCUCAUUAAUCUGAUUUUUUUUUUUUUCAUAUAAGACAAAAACAAAAACAAUUCAACAAUUUUUAUAGGGCUAAUUUUUUUUAAAAUGAUAUAGAAUAAUACAAAAGAAAAUAGAAAGGAGAGGAUAAUAUAUUGAAUGAAAGCUUGAAGUGCAGUUGGGGAGGCUUCAAGACUUGUUCAUAGCUUUGAUCUUCCUUUUUGAUCUCCAAUUUGACAAAGUUUCUUCUGCUUUUAUUUCCAUAGAAUUGUCUCCUUUGAAAAUGUAGCUCCCUCUUUGAAUUUAUUGCCUUGAGGAUGAUGAGGAUGAGGAGGAUGAUGAUAAACCAAUAAUCAAAGUUAACUUUUAAUAAUGAAAAAAUAUACUAGGUUCAAUGUCAAAAUCAAAUCAACACCAAAUUCUCUAAUAAAGGAAUUUGAUAAUAAGUUGUGACUCCAAACCAAAUAUAAAUUUCAUUUUGAUACAAAAACUGAGGCUAGACUAAUUCGAUAAACAAACAUAAAAUAGGUGGUUCGGGAAUUGAUUUGAAAUUAAUACUUGAGUAAAUACAACUACCCAAAUUGAUACUCCUCUACAACAUAGAACCAAUGUCAAUCCCAAUAUGAUAACAAGAUCUAUGCACCAUGAAAAAUCAACAGAACAACAAUUACCAUAGACUUGCAUUGAAUCUAAAUUAACAUUGAUUUCAAUGAAGUAUUAAAAAAUCAAUACAAUACAAACAAUGGCAACAUUAUUCUUUGGGAUGCAUGGAUACAAAAACAAUUAAGACUUUGAGGUAUCAAAAUGUUAUUAAUGCUUCAAUAAAAAAUCUAAUUCAACAAGUUUUUUUUUUAUUUCCAUUUGAAUUUACAAGUAUAAAAUGAUGGAAACUAAUGCAUUUUCAAUAGCUAAAACUCACAAAAGCAUUAUGUAGAACCUUCCUUUUUGUCCUGGUAACACAUGCUUUUAAUCGUAUUUAGUACCCCUCAUUUUUAGCAAUUUAAAUUGUUUAUAUAUAUAUAGAUUAUACGAAUGUUUUAACACUUAGAGAAAUUGGAAUGAAGCAAAAUAUGCAAAAAAAAAAAAAAAAAAAAAGAAAUAAUUGUCUAUAGUUAUCUUUAUUAUUUUUUAUACAUUUCUAUUGACAUGGUAUAAAUCAUCAAUAAUUGUUGUGAGUAAUAGCAUUGAGAAAAGUCAAUGUCCAUAAUAAUACUCUAUUGCCAUUUUUUAUUUUUUAUUUUUGUAAAAUAAUAAAUCAAAUCACAUCUUGUAACAUUAUCAUUAAGAUUUACAUGAUUUCUUACAAUGUAGCUUAAAACCAAAUAUUUCAUCAAAGAAGUUAUCAAUAAUUAGCCCCACACAAUGAUAUCUAUUAUAAUACAGACUUCCUUCAAUAUGUGUGUUUGUGAGUGUAAAGAAAAUAACAAAGAUAAGAAAGUAAGGUAAUAGAAAUUGAGAAAGUAAGAGAAAUAUUUUUUUUUUGUUUUAUUUUUCUCUCUCUAUUUAUUAUGCUAUUUAUAGAGUAAUAUAUAUAGUAAACCUAACUAAAAAAUUCUUUAACAAUAAUAGAAGAAAACCAAUGAGUAUAUGACACGUGUACAUCUUGUAACCAUAUGAAACUAUCUCUUAACAUUCUUCCUUGAACUUAAGGUAGAAAGAUUUUCUACUUUGAGUUUGUUUCUUAGAUUUACAAAGUGAGUGCUUGAGACAACUUUUGUUAAGACAUCUGCUACUUGAUCAAUGGAAGGCACUUGUUGGACUAAAACCUUUCUUUGCAAAACCUUUUCCUUGACAAAAUGUAAAUCCAAUUCAAUGUGUUUGUCCUAGCAAGUAAUAUUGGAUUAGCAACCAACAUAAUAGUGCUAAGAUUAUCACACCAAAUAACUAGUGGUGUCGGCAAAGUGAUUUUAAGUUUUGAGAGAAGAUAUUGUAACCAAGUGAUUUUUGCAACGAAACUAGUUAGGUUUCUAUACUCUACUCUUGUACUUGAUCUAAAAAUAGUAUGUUGUUUCUUUGACUGCUAAGUGACUACAUUUAAACCAAAGUAUACACAAAAUCCUAAAGUUGAUCUUCAAUCAUGAGGAUCAAAGGCCCAAUCGACAUCACAAAAUGCUAUAAGAUCAAGAGUAGGAGACUUUCUUAAAUGGAAUUUCAAGUAUCUAAGAAUUCUUUUGACUACUGUUUAAUGAGAUUCUAAGGGAGCUUGCAUAUAUUGACACUUUAUUAAUACUAUAGGUAAUUUCAAGCCUAUUAACUAUUCCUUAUUGUAAAGGUCUUACAAUUGAUCUAUAUAACUUCACAUCCUAAACUGAUUCACUUCCAUAGCUUAAAAGUUUCUAUUCAUUGGUCAUAGGAGUAGAAAUAGGAUUGGAACCUUGCAUUUUGAAUUUUCAUAAUAGAUCAGUUAAGUAUUUUCCUUGAGAGAGGUGAAUGCCUUCAACAAUAUGCUUUACUUCAAUCCCUAAAAAAUAAUUGACUUCUCCAAGAUCUUUUAAGGUAUACUCUCUAUUUAAUUGGUAAUGAGAUAAAUCAUAACUUUUUCACUACUACCAGUGAUAAGAAUAUCAUCUACAUAUACAAGAAUAUAGGUAGAAUGAAUAGAGAUUGAUCUAACUUUGUAGAGAUAAAUCCAAAAGGAAUAUAGGGUUGCACUUAACUUUUCAAGCCAAGCACUUGGUGCUUGUUUGAAGUCAUAUAAAGUUUUAUGUAAUUUGUGAACAAGAUGAGACUAGUUGUGCUGAAUAAAACCAGGAGAUUGUUGCAUAAAAACUUCCUCAUGUUAUUAAUGUCUAAUUGAUGAAUUAACCAACCUCUAGACAAAGUUAUAGUAAGCAUAACCCAAAUAGUGGCAUGUUUAACAACUGGAUUGAACGUUUCAGUGAAAUCAAAACCAGAUACUUAAUGAAACUCUUUAGCCACUAACUUGGCUUUGUACUUCUAAAUUGAGCCAUUGGGGUUUUCUUUCACUUUAAAUACCCAUUUGCAGCCAAUAGGUGUUCUUCCAGGUGGUAAUGAGACUAAGGAUCAUGUAUUAUUCUUCAAAAAAGCCAUCAAUUCAUCAGUCAUUGCUUGUUUCCAAUGAUGUAUAUGUAAAUCUUCCUUAACACAAGUAGGUUCACAUGUGGCAGCAAAAAGCUUUGGUUUAAAAAAUUCCAGUUUUAGAUCGAGUGACCAUAGAAUGAGUAUUUUUGCAAGGUUGCAUUGGAACAAAAGCUAAAUCUUCUUGUGUUUGGUCUUGUGAAAGAGCUCUAUGACCAACAACACUGUCAUAAGUAUUAGUAGCAAGAGGAGAGGUAGUGGGUACUAAAACAUUAGUAACAGAUUGGACAAUUUCUAGAUGAGUAAACCUACCAAAAAAAGAAAUUAUUAGAGAAGCAACAGAAAGAUGAAAAAAGGGUGAAACAUAAUUAGAUAAGGAUGAUUGAAUUUUAUGAGCAAAAGAAAAUGAAGACUCACAGAAAAUGACAUCUCGAGAAAUAAUAAAUUUGCCAUUAAAAUCAAGACAUUUAUAGCCUUGAUGAUUGAGACUAUAACCUAGAAAAGUACAUUCAACGAAUUGGAACUGAAGCUUGUGUUUGUUAUAUGAAUGAAUGUUAUGAAAAUAGGAGCAACCAAAUAUUUUUAAGAAAAAGUAAUCUGGUAAGGUUUUGAACAAAACUUCUAGAGGAGUUUUAUGAUGAAAAACAAAAGUUAGUAAAUUUAUUGUUGAGAUAAACAUAAGCUUUAAAGGCUUCAUCCCAAUAUUCCAUUGGCAUUAAAGCAGAUGCUAACAAGGUGAGACCAUGUUCUACAAUGGUUUUAUGCCUCCUUUCAGGCCAACCAUUUUGUUCAUGAGUAUAAAGACAAGAAUAUCUAUAAAAAAUGCCAUUUAAAGUUAAAAAAUUUGUGAAAGCUCUAUAUUCUCCACCCUAAUUUGUUUGUAUGGUGUUCAUUUUAAAUCCUAGUUGUAAUUCACCUUGAGUUUUGAAAUUAAGAAAGGCUUGAAAUGCAUCUAAUUUAUAUCUAAGCAAGUAGAUCCAAGAAAAUCUUGAGUAAGCAUCAACAAAGUGAAUGUAGUAGUAAUAACCACUAGAAGAUUGAAGUAGAGAGGGACCCCAUAAAUCAGAGUGUAUAAGUUGUAGGGUUUGAGUGUAAACAAUGUCAGAAAAAUAAAAAAGAAGUUUGUGAAUCUUGCCAUAACAACAAGUUGAGCAAAAAGAAAAUUGCAUUUUAUUAGGAACAUAAAUAUUGCAAUUAAUUAGACAGAACAAACUUUAAAAUUUUAAAGAAUGGAUGUCCAAGUUUGUGAUGCCAUAGAUCAAAAGUAUUCAAAGAACCAGAAGAAUCCUUAGUUGCAGUACAAGAGUCAAGAUUAUCUUGAAAGGGGCUAGAAACAUGAUUCUGAAAUAAAGAGGUGGAAAACUCGCAAAAGGUUGUAAAAGAUGGAACUGAUAGUGGCUUUGAUGAAGACAAUAGUGUGAAAUCAUCAAAUACGUAAAGUUCAUUCUUAACUCUCCUUGCCAUGAAAAUUUCCUUGGAAGCUUGAUCUUUGACAUAACAGAAAUUAGGAAAGAACUCAAAAUACAUAGCAUUAUCUUUGGCAAAUUUAGAGACAUUGAGCAAAUUUUUGGUAAUAGAUGGAACAUGAAGAAGAUGAUUUAAAGAGAGCAAUUUCAAAGUAAAUUGAGAUUGAAAAGAUGAUUGUCCAAUAUGUUUAAUGUUCAACCCUGUUCCAUUACCCAUCAUGAUCUUAUCUUACCCAACAAAUUUAGUUUUAUUCAUCAUAUUAUUAAUGUCUAGUGUGAUAUGAUUUGUAGCUCCUGAAUUUGGGUAGGCAAAUUCAAGAGUAGUAGCAACCAUGGCAAUCAUUUGUGAUGAAUCUUGAGUAGAAGGAAAUUCAUGCUAAAAUGAAGAUGGAUCAAAUCUAUAGUAACAUGGUUACACCAAAUGACCAACACGACCACAAAAUUGGCAUUGAGGUUUAUUGAAAUUCCAAUAAUUUUGACCACCAUUGAAGCCUCCAUGACCUUUGCUACUAGGACCUCUAAAUUUAUUGAAUCCACGACUACCAAAACCUCCUUUACUAUGAAAGUUAUUGAAAACACAAAAAUCGCCCUGAACAAAAGUAGAAAAGCCAUUUUCAGAAGAAUUGUAAGACCUUUUCUUGUCUUUGUUAUUCUCACUCUGAGUUGCUAAGUUAGCAUUCAAAUUAGAAUCUAAAACUUUUAUAGCCUUCUCAAUGUGCCUUUCUUGAGCCAAAAGAACAAACUUUAUUUCAUCAACAGUAUAUGAAUCCAUGUGUGUGGUAACAACAGUAAUCAAUGUGUCAUACUUGAGGGUAAUCCUUCAAAAAUUGUGUCAAUAUGAUCCAAAGUAGAUAUAGAAUAAUUAACCAAUAAUAUGCUAUCAACAAUGAUUUUGAUUUGCAAGUGAUAAUCAUUCAUGGAUGAUGAACCUUUCUAAGAGCUCUUGAUUUGCAUCUUGAACUUAUCAGUCUUAGUAUGAGUUUUAGUAGCAAAGAAAAUCUCCAAUUUCUCCCAAAUCUGAAAAGAAGUUACACAUCCAACCAUUCUUGUUAAAAGCCCUUUGGACAUUAAUGAAUGAAACCAAGAGAUUAGUAAUUAGUUCUGUUGUUCCCAAUUAGAGAAAUCUCAAUUGAUUUUACCACUUGUUUCAUUAAUGGAAGAAAGAAAUUUUGGAGGAGUGGUAUCGGUUCUAUUGAUGAACUUUGAGAGCUUGUAACCCUUGAUUGCAACUUCAACUUGUUGACGCCAAAUCAAAAAAUUAUUAUGAUAAAGUUUUAUGGCAAUUGAGUGAUUGAAGGAAAUCAGAACAAAUUGGGAUAGGAACGAAAAAGUAGGGGUGAGGGAAUCGGCCAUGGAUGAGACCUCCGAUACCACGUAAAGAAAGUAAUAGAGAUAAGAAAGUUAGGUAACAGAAAUUGAGAAAAAUCUUUUCUCAUUUUCUAUUUUAUUUUUCUAUUUCUAUUUAUUUUGCUAUUUACAGAGUAAUAUAUAUAGUAAACCUAACUAACAAAUUCUCUAGCAAUUCAUCUAACAAUAAUAGAAGAAAAUCAACGAGCAUAUGACACAUGUACAUCUUGUAAUCAUAUGAAAUUAUCUCUUAACAAUGAGUAAAAAACAAAGUUCUUGGUUUAUAUUCAACAUAAAUGUUAUAAAGGUAUUGCUAAUGGCAAGUAAUAACAAAAAAUCUCAAUACUAAAGUUUUUAGCAUGCUAACAUUUAUUUUUUCUGUUAUAACAACUAUAUUAGUAUAGAAUAUUCUCGAUAUAGUUUGUUAGAAUAAGUUUUGAGCUAUACAACCUCGUUUAGCAAUGUAAGGAAAAACACUUUCCUAUAUAUUUUUUGUACUUUCAAACUAUCAAUUAAAUUCAAUGAAAUGAGAAUGUGUUUUCUCUUUUCUAUUCUCUUCUUAUAAUAUGGUAUCAAAACAUUUUCCUUUUGUUGUUCUUCCAUCUUCUUGCUAAAAUGACCCAUGGUGGUCAAAAUAACAACACCAACUUAUUCAAGUCAUUGAUACCUCCUUCUUCCACUAGUACCAUGGCUUAACAUGAUUCUUCUUCUUCCAUGAAUAACACUAAUGGUCCUUUUUUCUUGCACAGUUGUGACCAUCCCGAAUUGGUUCUUGUUUUUCAUUUCCUUACUACUCUUAACUAAAAUUGUUGGAGUCAAGCCAUGGCCAUGGCUCUCAACACCAAGCAUAAACUCGUUUUUGUCAAUGGAUUGAUUCCACAACCACCUUCAGAGAAUCCUGUUGCUAAGGUUUGGUUAAGAUGUAAUAGUAUGGUCACUUAUUGGCUUCUCAAUGUCGUUUCCAAAGAGAUUAUUGAUAAUUUCCUCUACCUUGAUAGUGCUCAAGAUAUUUGGGCAGAUCUAUGAUCCAUGCCCAGUCGAGUGUUUAUCAAAACAUUUAUAAAACCUACAACACCUUAUAUUAGGAUAGCAAAGACAAAGCUACUAUAGUAUAAUGACUCUAGGAUUGUUGAUUCCUGCCCAGUCGGUGUCUCAACUAAUUCGUGUCCAGUUGGUAUCCUUGAUUGCGGGAGUAAUCAACAAAAUUUAUAACCUAUUACACCAUGAACUAGGGUAGCAAAGACAAAGCUAUUGAUUACUACCCAAAAAGUGUUAUUUUGCACCUUUAAUUCAUUAUGUUUUAAGCACUUUUGUGUAGUAGUUCUCCAUUUUUAUUCAAAUUGGCAUGUUAAGGACCUAGCAAUGACUUCUAAUCAUAUUUGUGGCUAUUUUUAGUGUUUUGACAGCUUUUUGGAUCAUUAAGACAAGCCAAGUAAAAGAGAGAAGCAAAGAGGAAAACAGAGUGAAGAAAACAGAGGACAGCAGCUGCAGUCUUCCUUCGCACUUUUGGAGCACUUCCCGAAGUCCAUUUGCUACAUGCUAUAUACCAUUUCAAAUCUCAGGAAGUCAAGAAUCUAACAAUUCAAACUGUGUAUGAUUUGGAGCUGAAAUGAGGAACAUAUGGCCUUCGAAAGACAACUGCACCAAGCAUGUGCAAACUUUGCACAACAGCCCAAGCUUGUGCAAAAUUCGCACAACACCUUUCCCUUGUGCGAAAUUCGCACCAGCCCAUGCAUGGUGCGAAAUCUCCUCUGUUCUGCUGACUCCACACGAGAUCUUUUCUUUUAGAUAUUUUUGUAUAAAUUUCCAUUCUUCUCCUUGUAAUCCACCAACCAUAAGAUUUCUUAGCUAGGAAGGUUGGAAAAACUUCUCUAUAUAUAUUCCCUUGCAUCCAUUGUAAUAGAUAUAGAAGUAUGUAAUAUAGAUAUAUAAAUAUAAAGAAUAUACAGAGCCUUGCUCUGUUUUUCCUUCUCUUUUAUUUUUCUUUUUCUUGAAAGCCAAACAACCUCUGAGGAUGUUUUCCCAGAGGAUGAGAGGCUAAACUUUUGGUUUCUUGGAGUGAAGGAAGCUAGGUGAAAAGUCCAGAUGCAAAGGUGAAAACUCUCGUGCAUUAAAUACAGGUAGUUGGAGUUCAUAAAUGGCUUUUAAAUCUAAAGUUUUGCUUUAAAUCCCUUAGAAUAACUUUGAAUGGCCAAUACAUGGUAAGCUUUAGGUCUUUGUGGAUACUUAUUACUAGAUCCACACCAGUCCAUUAGUUAUCAUGUACGAGCCAUUGGAAAGUGGCUCAAGGUGAAGACCCAUAGUGUCUAAAGCCAUUAAUGGAACCUGACUACCAUUUCUAUUGACUUUUUAUGGAUUAAAUCUUCAUGGUUAAACCUAUACCGGUUCGGGAAACAACCAUCUUUUAUGUUGUUGUCCCCAAUGCGAGAAGAAGAAUCCGAAAUUUCCACUUUGCAUUCUGAACUUGAUCCUAGCAACCUUAGCUCCGGGAGACUUUCUUUCUUCCAUUUUUACCUAGUUUUAUGUUAGUUUAGUUUAAAACACCACUUUCAAAACAAAUAUUAUUUUCUUUUAAACUUAAAGUUUUUGACAAAGGAAAUCAUCAGAUUCAAUCUCUAAUCUUGAGUCUAUCACUGGUAGAGUGAAAACCCAUCCCAGAGUUCGACCCUAGAGCUGCUAUACUAUAGUAGCUUUGCUACGCUAGUAUGAGGUCAUAGGAUUUAUAAAUUUUUUUUAUUAAAAGACCCGACUGGGCACGAAUCAAAAUGGUGUCGUUGCCGGGGAUGGUGCCACUUUACAGUGAUAUGACCUUUUCAGAGUACUUGUGAUCUUCAUCACAAGUUUGGUGACUUUUCUUUUCCUUUUACUAACUUUUUUUAUUUGUUUAUUUUCCUUUGUUCAUGUUUUAGUAUAUCUUUUAUUUAGUUUUUAGUUAAUCUUAACAAUUUUCUUUAGAAUUUUAUUUUCUUUUAUUUUCUUUUGUUUUCUCUGUUUUUAAUUCACAAAUUGCUAGUUGUGCAUGCCAUUUCUAAAACACUAGUGCAAGCUAUGUUGUGUUCCAUUUGUCAAUCUUUUGAGCACUUGGUGGAGGAGUGUCCUAUCCUUCCAGCAGCGAGGGAGAUGUUUGGUAUGCCAUGUAGCAUUUGUCAGUCUUUUGAGCACCUGGUAGAGGAGUGUCCUAUCAUUCCAGUGGUGAGAGAGAUAUUUGGUGAUUAUAACACCUACAAUUCAAAUUGUAGGAAUCAUCCAAAUUUCUUUUGGGAACCACAACCACGUCAGUACAUGCAACCCACUCAAGCACCACAGCAAGCCUCAAACCUUGAACAAGCUAUGAUGAAUCUUAACAAGGUCAUGGAAGACUUUGUUGAAGCUCAGAAAUCCAUCAAUGCUCAGCUCAGUCAAAGAAUAUCACUCCCUGAUAGAGUAGAGAGUUCAUUGAAUAAAAAGAUGGAUGGAGUGCAACAUGAUCUAUCUCAAAAGAUAGAUAAUCUCCAAGAUUCAAUCUCAAGGUUUGCCAACCUCAACACAAUGCAAGAAAAAGAAAACUCUCCUUCUCAACCUUAUCAAAAUUCCAAGGGUAUCCAUGAAGUGGAGGCUCAAAAGGGAGAAUCUUCAAUGGUGAAGGAAGUUAAAAUGGUUAUCACUUUGAGUGCUAAAGAGGUUGAUUUGGCCACAUCCAAACAAGAGCAUGAAAUAGAGAAUGAAAUAGAGAAAAAGAAGAGGGAGGAAAUUAAAGGAAAGAGAAAGGGAAUUGUUUCCAUUGCCAUCAUACAAUGCAAAUCUCUAAUGAAGGAUGCAAACUUCAUAUGGGAUCCGGGCAAGCUGAACCAGGAUCAAAUUUUUUUAUGGACUUAGUUUUUUUAAAGACUAGCUAGUCCAUAUCUUUUUGUUUUAUUUUUAAAUUUGUUUUGAUUUUGAUUUCUUGCUUUAAUUUUAUUUUGGUUUGAUUUAACUUGUUUUUUUUUUAUGAUCAACAUAGGGGAAGCCAAAAAUAGAGGAAAAUAGAGCAAUUUGCACCACCCAAUUCUCUGGUGCGAAAUUCGCACCACCCUACCCCCUUGUGCGAAAUUGCCUUUGUGAGCGUUUUCCAAAAAGCAUGCUCUCAGUCCCUACCCAAAAUCUCAGUGCAAAAAUCACAGGAAUGCGAACAUUGUGUGAAAUUCCCACCGCCAUCUCCACAUGUGCGAAAUUCGCACAACACUACUCCACCUGUGCAAAAUUCGUACCACCCCAUUUCGGCAACUGUUGGGCACAUUUAGAUCACUUCCCAAAUUUCAUUUCAUGCGUACUAUAUCUCGUUUCAAAGCUUGGGAAGUCAGGAGUCCAUAGCUUCAAACGGUGCUCGAUUUGGAGUUGAAACGAAGAAGUUAUGGCCAUUUGAAGACGACUGUGCAAAGCUGAACGGAAAUGUUGCAGCCGCACCCCAUUUCGCUACUGUUGGACACGUUUUUUGGAGCACUUUCUGGAGAUAAAAUUAUGCAUACCAUAUGUCGUUUUUAAGCUUAGGAAGUCAGGAGUCCAGUGCUUCAAACGGUGUGCGAUUUAGAUUUGAAACGAAGAAGUUAUGGCCAUUUGAAACCACCACAAUUUCGCAUUUGGACGGGUGAAUAGUGCCUUGUGCGAAAUUCGCACAACCCAUUCCCUUGUGCUAAUUUUUGAGAUUCUUCAUCCCUACCCUUCCCAAUCCCAAGCCUUUGAGCCUCAUUUCUUUGCUCCAUUAUGCCUAAGACCCGAGGAGGCUAUGCCUCAGCUCCCCAGAGGCAGCAUCGUCUGAUGCCCCACCUACUGUCCCUCCUUACCAACAGAGCCCCGCGCACCCUGGGAUCACACACAUGAAGCCUCUUACUCCAUUUCUGACCUCCUUAAACCAUCAAAGCCCAUAGCUCCAGCUGAGAGCUCCAGUUGAGGAGACUAUGCCAUCCAAGGAGAAUAUCAAAACAGAGGCCAAAGUCCUGAUCCAACCCACUCAGAAGGCCACCACAGAUGCAUCAGCUCCAUAGGACCUUACCAUUAUUUGAUCAUCUCUUUACUUUUUGUCUUUACAUAUUAUAUUAGUAUAUAUAAUUCCAUGUUUUGAUGUUUUAUAUUCUGGGAUUGGAUGUAUUGCAUGAUCAUAUAUUAUAUUCUAUUUUCUCAGAUUAAUAUAUAGGCAUCAUUUUUGUUUAAACUUGACAUUUUUCUAUUUUCUCUACUCACUAUUUUUUUUUAAACAUGUGGUUUCUCUUAUACAACUCAGACUCCAUGUCACUCAAGAGGUACCACUUCCUCCCUAUUUUUUAAUCGCUUUGUCACAUUGAGGACAAUGUUUAGCUUGGUUGGGGGGAGAGUUGAGGAAGGAAGUUUUUGUUAUUAAUGCUAAGUUAUUUUGGUAAUUUAGUUGCUUUUUGCUUAAUUUUAAAAAAUUUUUAAAGUUUUUUUUGAAUACUCUCCAUGGUUAUUAAGGAAAAAAUUUCAAAAUGAAAUGGGAGAAAUUAAAUUUUUGUCUUUUUACUUGAAACUUAGAGUUUGUAUUAUGUUUAUUAAAGUUGAUGAAUUAUUGAACUCCUAUUGAUUUCAACCUUAUUUCUUCCACUUUAAGCUUAUCACACACCAUGCACACUAGGUUCCGUUUAUAAGAUGAAAAACUAUUUUACCCCUUGACUUAGGAAAAUUUAGACUUGGUACCUUUGACCUCAUUUUAAUAGUGUUGAGACACCUUAUAAAAGGCCAAUGAGCCUUUGGAAAAAGAAAGAAAAAGAAAAAUGUUUUACUUGCCUUGAAACCCGAGCAAGGUCUGAGGGGUAUAUGGUGAAAAUCUUUAAAACCUGGUGCCCUAAGCCUUCAAUGGUUGGGAGUCACCGACCUCAAUGCUCGUUACAUGGGUGAAUAGGUGGAGUUUAACAUAUUGUAGGUGCUUGGGUAUUAAAAAUUCAUUCUCAAAAGUCCGAGGUGAAAUCCGAGGAGUUAGUGGUUGAAAAAUCCUUAAAGCUUGAUGCCCUAAACCUUGAUUGGUUGGGAGUCAUCGAUGGACCCCCGUUACAUGGACAAUUUAGAAAAGAAUGCCUUUAAGCUUUGCACUCCUACAGGAAAAAAAUUGUGAAAGAAAAGAGGUGUGUUCUUAGCCUAUUGGAGGUUGAUUAGUUUGCUAAGCUUUGAAAAGAACUAGGUUGAGGGGAGAGAUUAGUUUGACAUACUAUAUCCGGAAACUAAUAAAUAACACAUAGAUUUUUGUGGAAGAGUAGGGUUGGACCUUUAGGAGUGGAAAUUAUUUUGAAGCUUAAAUUUGCAUAAUGCCUACUCUUUAUGAAUUGUGACUAGGCAAAUUAUUUGAUAGCUCCUAUUGAAGUUUGAGUUUUAUUUCUUUCAUGUUCCAUGUGAGAGUUUGAUCCAAUCAUGCCACUUGAUUAUUUUUUGGAGUGAUCAACAUGAUUUUAUAAAUUAUUAUAUUAUCUAUUUUUCUUUCUUUCUUUUUCUCUCCUUCAUUGCUUAGGGACUAGCAAUGUGUCAGUUGGGGGGAGUGAUUACUACCCAAAAAGUGCUAUUUUGCGCCUUUAAUUCAUUAUGUUUUAAGCACUUUUGUGUAGUAGUUCUCCAUUUUUAUUCCAAUUGGCAUGUUAAGGACCUAGCAAUGACUUCUAAUCAUAUUUGUGGCUAGUUUUAGUGUUUUGACAGCUUUUUGGAUCAUUAAGACAAGCCAAGUAAAGGAGAGAAGCAAAGAGGAAAACAGAGUGGAGAAAACAGAGGAUAGCAGCUGCAGUCUUCCUUCGCACUUUUGGAGCACUUCUUGAAGUCUAUUUGCUACAUGCUAUAUACCAUUUCAAAGCUCAGGAAGUCAAGAAUCCAACUCUUCAAACCGUGUACGAUUUGGAGCUGAAAUGAGGAAGAUAUGGCCUUCGGAAGACAACUGCACCAAGCAUGUGCGAAUUUCGCACAACAGCCCAAGCUUGUGCGAAAUUCGUACAACACCUUCCCCUUGUGCAAAAUUCGCACCAGCCCAUGCGUGGUGCGAAAUCUCCUCUAUUCUGCCGACUCCACGUGAGAUCUUUUCUUUUAGAUAUUUUUGUAUAAAUUUCCAUUCUUCUCCUUGUAAUCCACCAACCAUAAGAUUUCUUAGCUAGGAAGGUUGGAAAAACUUCUCUAUAUAUAUUCCCUUGCAUCCAUUGUAAUAGAUAUAGAAGUAUGUAAUAUAGAUAUAUAAAUAUAUAGAAUAUACAGAGCCUUGCUUUUUUUUUCCUUCUCUUUUAUUUUUCUUUUUCUUGAAAGCCAAACAACCUCUGAGGAUGUUCUCCUAGAGGAUGAGAGGCUAAACUUUUGGUUUCUUGGAGUGAAGGAAGCUAGGUGAAAAGUCCAGAUGCAAAGGUGGAAAACUCUCGUGCAUUAAAUACAGGUAGUUGGAGUUCAUAAAUGGCUUUUAAAUCUAAAGUUUUGCUUUAAAUCCCUUAGAAUCACUUUGAAUGGCCAAUACAUGAUAAGCUUCAGGUCUCUGUGGAUACUUAUUGCUAGAUCCACAUCAGUCCAUUAGUUAUCAUGUACAAGCCAUUGGAAAGUGGCUCAAGGUGAAGACCCAUAGUGUCUAAAGCCAUUAAUGGAACAUGACUACCAUUUCUAUUGACUUUUUAUGGAUUAAAUCUUCAUUGUUAAACCUAUACCGGUUCGGGAAACAACCAUCUUUUAUGUUGUUGUCCCCAAUGCGAGAAGAAGAAUCCGAAAUUUCCACUUUGCAUUCUGAACUUGAUCCUAGCAACCUUAGCUUCGGGAGACUUUCUUUCUUCCAUUUUUACCUAGUUUUAUGUUAGUUUAUUUUCAAACACCACUUUGAAAACAAAUAUUAUUUUCUUUUAAACUUAAAGUUUUUGACAAAGGAAAUCAUCAGAUUCAAUCUCUAAUCUUGAGUCUAUCACUGGUAGAGUGAAAACCCAUCCUAGAGUUCGACCCUAGAGCUGCUAUACUAUAGUAGCUUUGCUACGCUAGUAUGAGGUCAUAGGAUUUAUAAAUGUUUUUUAUGAAAAGACCCGACUGGGCACGAAUCAGCUACUAUAGCAUUGUGGCUCUAGGAUCGUUCAUUGGGAUGGGUUUUCACUUCACAAUUGAUAUUAAUUCAAAACUGAAUUAGUGCCUUUUCAUUUCAAGGUUAGCUUUAAAAGAAAACAUAAAGAUUUUUGAAACUAAACUAACAUAGAACUAGGUAAAAAUGGAAGAAAGAAAGUCUCCCGGAGCUAAAGGUUGCUAGGAUCAAGUUCAGAAUGCAAAGUGGGAAAUUCCGGAUUGUUCUCCUCGCAUUGGGGACAACAACAUAAAGGAUGGUUGUUUCCCGAACCGGUAGAGGUUUAACAAUGAAGAUUUAAUCCAUAAAAAGUCAAUAGAAAUUAGUCAAGUUCCAUUAAUGGCUUUAGACAUUAUGGGUCUUCACCUUGAGUCACUUUCCAAUGGCUCGUAUAUGAUAACUAAUGAUCUGAUGUGGAUCUAGCAAUAAGUAUCCCCAUAGACCUAAAAGCUUACCAUUUAUUGGCCAUUCAAAGUGAUUCUAAGGGGUUUAAAGCAAAACUUUAGAUUUAAAAGCCAUUUAUAAACUCCAACUACCUGUAUUUAAAGCACGAGAAUUUUCCACUUUUUCAUCCGGACUUUUCACCUAGCUUCCCUUAGUCCAAGAAACCAAAGGUUUAGCCUCUCAUCCUCUGGGAAAACAUCCUUAGAGGUUGUUUGGCUAGUAAGAAAAUAUAAUCAAAAUGAGAAGGUAAAAGCAAAGCAAAGCUCUGUAUUUUUCUUCCUUUCAAAAUUGUACAAAGGAUUGAUCGAUAAUAUAUUCGAUAUCUUGUGUAAAGGAAAUUACAAACUAUAUAUAAGGGUUUAUUCACCCUUUUUCCAAACUUAAUAACUAAGGAAUCCUAUCAUUGGUGGGUUACAAGGAGACUUUGGGAAUUUAGACAUAAAAUGUCUAAAGCAAAAUAUCUUAAAAUAUCCCAAAAUAUUGGUGGCAAAUAUCAGGAAGCUUCAGGAGAACACAGCAGCACUGUGCAGAAUGGUUGCUCUCCCAUCCGGGUAGGCGGUUAUCAAAUGAUCCGGAUACGUCCAUCUGGAAAAGUUGAAACACCUACAUCUCCUAUCCGGCUCCUGAAUUCCAGAAGUGAACAUUCGGGGUGGAAAGUGCGCGGCAACCGGAUGCAAUGGCAGCAGCCGGGUGCAAACGGCGGCGCACAUCCGGGUGCAAAUGGUGGCGCACAUCCGGGUGCAACUCCUAUCUGGUGGUGUGGUCCGGACGCCCUCCAAUGGUGUAUCCGGACGCUCUGUCCAGGUAUACUCCUUGCAUGGAUUCCAAAGAAGUCUCCUCAAUCUCAUAUUGCUUUGGUGAUAAAAAAGCUAUCAAAACACCAAAACUUAACACAUUUUUUAUUAGAAUUGAUUGCAAGGGUCCUUAACAUGCCAAUUGAGUUAAAAGGUGAUAACUACUACUCAAAAGUGUUUAAAAGAGUUAAUUACCAGCUAUGAAAUAACACUUUUUGAUCCUAGUUCAGCUGGCCCGGAUCCCAUAUGAAGUUUGCAUCCCUCACUUGAGAUUUGCUUUGUAUGAUUUUGCCAUACAAAGCUUGGGGGAAAAGUGGAUGCAUGUGUUUCUUCCUUGAUGACUAUCCUUUUUGGUUUUUCUUUUAUACAAUCAUCUUUCUCUGUACUUUUCCCCUUUCUCUUUCCUUUUAUUUUCUCCCUCUUUUCUUUCUCUGUUUCACUCUCUUCUUUGUGGUCUAGCUUGCAUGCGGGUAGAUCAACCUCUUUAUCACUCUCCUUAGCCUCUAUUUCAAGGAUACCCUUUUGAUUUUGAUGAGGUUGAGAAGGAAAGUUUUCUUUCUCUUGCAUUGCGUUGAGGUUGGCAAACCUUGAGCUUGAGUAUUCGAAAUUGUCUGUCUUCUGAGACAGGUCAUUGAACCUCUCAUCCAUCCUAUCAAUUCUUUGACUGAGCUGAGCAUUGAUGGAUUUUUUAGCUUCAACAAAGUCUUCCAUGACCUUGUUAAGAUUCAUCAUAGCUUGUUCAAGGUUUGAGGCUUGCUGUGGUGCUUGAGCAGGUUGCUGAUACUGAGGUGGUUGUGGUUUCCAAGAGAAAUUUGGAUGAUUCCUACAAUUUGAAUUGUAGGUGUUAUAAUCACCAAAUAUCUCUUUCGCCACUGGAAUGAUAAGACACUCCUCCACCAAGUGCUCAAAAGAUUGACAAAUGGCACACGACAUAGCUUGCACUAGUGUUUUAGAAAUGGCAUGCACAACUAGCAAUUUGUGAAUUAAAAACAGAGAAAACAAAAGAAAAUAAAAGAAAAUAAAAUUCUAAAGAAAAUUAUUAAGAUUAACUAAAAACUAAAUAAAAAAUAUACUAAAACAUGAAUAAAGAAAAAUAAAAUAAAAAGAGUUAGUAAAAGGAAAAGAAAAUUCACCAAACUUGUGAUGAAGAUCACAAGUACUCUGAAAAGGUCAUAUCACUGUAAAGUGGCACCAUCCCCGGCAGCGGCGCCAUUUGAUUCAUGCCCAAUCGGUGUCUCAGCUAAUUCGUGUCCAGCUGGUAUCCUUGAUUGCGGGAGUAAUCAACAAAAUUUAUAACCUAUAACACCAUGAACUAGGGUAGCAAAGACAAAGCUACUAUAGCAUAGUGGCUCUAGGAUCGUUCACUGAGAUGGGUUUUCACUUCACAAUUGAUAUUAAUUCAAAGCUGAAUUGGUGCCUUUUCAUUUCAAGGUCAAGUUUAAAAGAAAACAUAAAGAUGUUUGAAACUAAACUAACAUAGAACUAGGUAAAAAUGGAAGAAAGAAAGUCUCCCGGAGCUAAAGGUUGCUAGGAUCAAGUUCAGAAUGCAAAGUGGGAAAUUCCGGAUUGUUCUCCUCGCAUUGGGGACAACAACAUAAAGGAUGGUUGUUUCCCGAACCGGUAUAGGUUUAACAAUGAAGAUUUAAUCCAUAAAAAGUCAAUAGAAAUUAGUCAAGUUCCAUUAAUGGCUUUAAACACUAUGGGUCUUCACCUUGAGUCACUUUCCAAUGGCUCGUAUAUGAUAACUAAUGAUCUGAUGUGGAUCUAGCAAUAAGUAUCCCCAGAGACCUAAAAGCUUGCCAUGUAUUGGCCAUUCAAAGUGAUUCUAAGGGGUUUAAAGCAAAAAUUUAGAUUUAAAAGCCAUUUAUAAACUCCAACUACCUGUAUUUAAAGCACGAGAAUUUUCCACUUUUUCAUCCGAACUUUUCACCUAGCUUCCCUUAGUCUAAGAAACCAAAGGUUUAGCCUCUCAUCCUCUGGGAAAACAUCCUCAGAGGUUGUUUGGCUAGUAAGAAAAUAUAAUCAAAAUGAGAAGGUAAAAGCAGAGCAAAGCUCUGUAUUUUUCUUCCUUUCAAAACUGUACAAAGGAUUGGUCGAUAAUAUAUUCGAUAUCUUGUGUAAAGGAAAUUACAAACUAUAUAUAAGGGUUUAUUCACCCUUUUUCCAAACUUAAUAACUAAGAAAUCCUAUCAUUGGUGGGUUACAAGGAGACUUUGGGAAUUUAGACAUAAAAUGUCUAAAGUAAAAUAUCUCAAAAUAUCCCAAAAUAUCGGUGGCAAAUAUCAGGAAGCUUCAGGAGAACACAGCAGCACUGUGCAGAAUGGCUGCUCUCCCAUCCAGGUAGGCGGAUAUCAGAUGAUCCGGAUACGUCCAUCUGGAAAAGUUGAAACACCUACAUCUCCCAUCCGGCUCCUGAAUUCCAGACGUGAACAUCCGGGGUGGAAAGUGCAUGGCAGCCGGAUGCAAUGGCAGCAGCCGGGUGCAAACGGCGGCGCACAUCCGGGUGCAACUCCUAUCUGGUGGUGUGGUCCGGACGCCCUCCGAUGGUGUAUCCGGACGCUCUAUCCGGGUAUACUCCUUGCAUGGAUUCCAAAAAACUCUCCUCAAUCUCAUAUUGCUUUGGUGAUAAAAAAGCUAUCAAAACACCAAAACUUAACACAUUUUUUAUUAGAAUUGAUUGCAAUGGUCCUUAACAUGCCAAUUGAGUUAAAAGGUGAUAACUACUACUCAAAAGUGUUUAAAAGAGUUAAUUACCAGCUAUGAAAUAACACUUUUUGAGUAGUUAUCAAUUGUCCACAAUGAUGGGUUUUCGUUAUACACUUGACAUUAAUGAAAUGAGAAAUGGUGAUUUCCUUUUUGAAAGUUAGUUUUUAAUGAAAAUAAUAUUGAUUGGAAGGGUUGAUUUUAAGUUAAGCAAACAUAAACAACUGAAAUUACUACAAAGAGAAAGUCUCUUGGAGCUAUAGGUUACUAGGAUCAUGUUCCUAUUGCAAAGUGGGAAAUUCCGGAUCUUCUCCUCGCAUUGGGGACAAUAACAUAAAGGAUGGUUAUCUCCCAAACCGGAUUUGUAUUUAGCAAAUAAGUUUUGAUCCAAAGGGUUCUUGAAAAAUGGUAGUUGCUUCCCAUUAAUGGCUUCAAACACUAAAGACCCUCACCUUGAACCACCUUCCAAUGGCUCGUACUUGAUAACUAAUGGACAUUCAUGGAUCUAGCAAUAAGCAUCCAUAGAAUCCUAAAAGCUUACCAAGUAUUGGCCAUUCAAGGUGAUUCUAAGGGAUUAAAGCUGAAACUUGAAAUACAAACCAUUAAUGUUACACAACUACCUUCAUUUAAAGCAAGGAAAACUCCCACAUUUGCAUCUGGGUCCUUUACCUAGCUCCCAUCACUCCAAGAAACGUGAAACUUAGCCACUCAUCCUCUGAGAAAUCAUCCUCAAAGGGUGUUUGGCUAGAGAGAAUAUGAAGAGAAAAUGAGAAGGAAAGGUAGAGAAAAACUCCCGUAUAUUUUCUUCAAAACCCGACUUUACAAAAUAUAAAAAACAUCAAGCAUCCUUUGAGAGGUUUUCCAACCCUUAUUUAUAGUUCGUAAACAAACCCUAAUGUCAUUUAUCUAUUACAAAGGAGUAAAAAGGAAAAAUUACAAUUCUGGAGAAAAAUCCCAAAAGUUGGUGCGCACAAAGUGAUUUUGGCACACCCUACCAAAUUUUGGCACAUCCUGCCAAAUUUUGGCACAUCCUGCCAAAUUGAUGAUUUUGCCUUGCAAAAUGCUCUGUUUUCCUCCAUCUUACUACUGAUAGUUUUGGCAAGAAUAGAGAAGUCAAGUAAUGGGUACAUUUCCUCAAUCAAUAGAAGCAAGACACACUAUAACUCAUAUGGCAUAAACUUCAUUCAAACCAAGUUUUCCAAACUCAAAUUUCAAAAUUUUGAAGGUGAGAAUUGGGAAUUAGGAAAAAGUAGGUGUGGACCCCGCAUUUCGCUUUGCUCGAAUGCGUUUCCCACUCGAAUGGCGAGCUCGAUUUUUAUUUUUUUUGAAAAUGAUUUUUAUUCAUUAAAAAUUGACUUGGAGUCGCCACUUAUUUUUGUUUUAUUUUUAAAGGGUAAACAAAAUAAGAAAGAAAAACCCUAAGUGUGACUCCUUAUUUUGGAAAAGGCGGUCUGUGAAAAACCGGAUCGGGUUCGGGGGUCAGGUUACUUAUCGGGAAGGUACGGUAAAGACCGUAGCACCCCUCUAAGUCCCUAAAGUCGGGUCUCUACUAAUAAGAUGAAACUGACAUGGCAAUCAAUGAGAAUCGAUGAAUAGUCAAAUCAAUCAUGCACAAUAUGAGAAGCGAAGCAUGUAUAAAGAAUGAGCGAAAUAUGAAUAGAUGCGUACCUGGAUGGCAAUCACGAAUGUGCUAUCAUGAAACAUGGUUAGUGAACAAUGAACAAAUAUAGUUAAGCGCAUAUCAAGGAAUAGAGUAAAUCAAUCAUGCAUGACAAAUAAAUAAAUCAAUCAGUCAAUCCAUCAUGAAGUCUCAUAUGUAGGGCCCCCACCAAAGCCCAAUUCAUUUUUGCAUGAAUUAAUACCAUAAAUUCCCUUGCUUGGAAUUACGGAAUUUUAUUCUAGCUUAUUUUAAAACAUUUUGAAAAUUUGAGGAGUUGUGAAAAUUGCUUAUCAGAAGAAAAAGUGGAGGCAAAAAUUUAUUAAAAAUAGGAUUUUUGUGUAACCUAGGGAAAAUGCUAAGGAUGAAAAGUUGGAAUAUUUGAAGUUAUUUAAUCGACCAAAACUUGGAAAACUACUUUGAAAACAGAGGUUUGAGGAAUUAUUUUAAAAUAAAAUAUGAUGAAAUAACAAAAAAAAAAUAAAAAAAUGGCACGUGGUCUAAUUGCCUGCUUUUUUAUUUCAUAAUAGUGACUCCAAACCCCACGCCUCUCAAGCUCACAAACUUGUCAUCUUCUCAAUCAGCAAAUGGCCUGUCUGCCAAGGCUGGCAUGUCACAAACGAUGCGUCCUGCAGCCAACAGUGUUUCAAGAACAGCAGCUUAGUGAUCAACAUGGAAAAUCUGACACGGCUCCCAGGUCAAAUUUGGUUUAGAACGAGUCCUCAAGCUGUUUCUCCCUGCAAUACUGGACCAUAAAUUUGUGACGAGAGUCCUGAAGUGACCUUUCCCAGCAAUAUGUUCCCAAAAGUGAGGGUUACUCUCCACAUGUUUAUCAGGACUCGAAACAUCCACACUACUGGUGCUCAUGUCGUUACGUACAAUGCACAGCUUUCCAUUAAGGGGGACAAGAGCAGCAGCCUCUAGAACUCGGGAGCUCCCCAGAUGGAGCUUGCUAUCUAUGAAUUUGUUCCAUGAAUCUGUGUCACUGUCAUAGACCCUGAGCUUGCACCCACCCUGGCAGUCCAAGGCGUAGAGCUGUCCAUUCAAAGAGAUGCUAGGGUUGCGCCAACCAGCAACCAUUCCAUCACUGAUUGGGGUCCAAGUAUUGGUUUCAGGAAUAUAAGCUUCACUCAUGACCUCACGGUGGGAUCCAAGUCCUUUUAGGAACCAUUUUCCAUUUAUAGAUUACUCCGAUAAAGGGCACCAUAGCCGAGCUCAUAUCUGAAAUAAAGCUCCACCUAUUCCUGUUAGGAUCAUAGACUUCAGCUGAACGGAGAGUCUUCUGAAUUCCUUCACAUUCGGAGCAUGCCAACUAAGGAGUUGAACGAAGUGGGCCCACAAUUCUUUAUCAAAACGAGGCUCAACAGUUUCUUUAUUGUUGGAAUCCUUGAGCCGACUAGGAUCCUCAUUGCAUACCUUCAGGUUCUGACGCCUUUCCAAGCAACCAUGCAUAUUUACUUCGAUCACACUGGUGAAUAGAAAGAGUUAUCUUCGUGUAAGCAUGCUAAAAAAACAUCGGUGUGCACUGUCGAAUGCUUCGAGCAUUGAGCUAUAUGUUUACAAAUCUGACAUGAGGGAAAUACUGCCACCAUCCAUGCAUAUACUAGAAGCAAAAAGUAGCAUCAUCGGAGACUAUAGAUAGACACUUGGCGGCCAAAUCUGGAGGGCAGUCUGAAUAUGAAGCAUGUAGUCCCCAAAUGAGCUUUUCGAGCUCCUCAUACCAUGAAGAAGAAUUUUUAGAAGGUGGUGAAGGGAAGGAUAAUGGAUAUGAGAAGGUCUUAGAGUGAGAAAAUGGGUUUGACGGAUGUUUUGAUGGGUAAUGAAGGCUGCCAUGCAUAUGAGAGAGUAUGAGACACGGGCAUGAAACAAUGGAUUUGAUGGAUAUGGGAUGCAUGCAUGAGGUGGAUGACAGAGGAUGAGAUGGACGGGUUUGAUGGGUACGUAGAAAUAAAAUAAUGGGUAUGAAAGGGUAGAGAGAGAAAAGAUGAUAGGAAAUGGGUGUGAAGAGUGGAAUAGAGAGAGAAAGUGAGGUGGUGAGAAAAAUGUAAGGGUGUAGGGAUAUGGGUCUAGAUAUGAGUGUAGGGAGAUGGUUUGUGGGUAUGAAAAGAAUGGGUACGAAGGACGGGUAUAGUGGGGUGUGGUUCAAUGAUGUUGUGCAUGGGCUUGUGCUCAGUUUCGCUACCGAUCCUGGAUUCAUCCCAUUGUUGAAGCAUGAAAUUAGUGGAGUAGCGUAGUGGCUGCGUCUUAGCAAGAUGCUUCACGGUGUCUUCUCCAGCUGUAGCCAAAACGCGUCAGCUGCUUCCACCCAAAACCUGAUAUGCUGAGAAGUUUCUGUCUAUUAUUGGAUUCGGUAUCUGAUUCGUCAAUCGUUGUGAUCUUCUCUUCUUCAAACUUGAUGCAUGGAUGCCAAAUUGCUCCAACAUUCUUUGAUAUACAUAUAGUUGGUAUCAGCCUUUGUCCUACUGUUGGGAGCAAGGACAUGAACCCUAGCAGCAUUAACUCUAACUUGACCUUUUCCAGCGCUUCAUAUAGAGCUCUCCUGUGUAACCUCAGAUUGCAAGGUAACCUCAGAGUUUUGUACAUCACAACCAGGAAUUCCAGCAGCGGAAUUAUUGCCAUAGCCUCUGACACUGACAUCAAAUUCCUGUCUCAUAUUCCACAAAUACUAAGACAAAGCUUUCAAAGAAUCCGGAAUCAUUGGUGGCUGUAGUUGCUCCAAAGUAACAUCAUUUGGAAGCAAAGAAGCACCAUUGAGAGAAUCAGAUUGAUUAAUUGUAACAGCUUGGUUAAGUUGUUGUUCGCUAGAGUCUCUCAAACCACUUAAACCAUAAGUUCCUAUGCCUUUCUCUGAGACAGGAUCCCAAAUUUUUGAGGAGGAUUUAUCUUCAUGUGAAGAAGAAACAGGGCAUGUAGCAUCAGUGAAGUCCCUAAACCAUACAAGCCCAUCCUCUGUACCACAGCUAGUAGUGAUAACUCUUUGCAUCGUCCUCAAAUCAAUUGUGGAAACAGAGGAACCAGCAGCAACAAAAAACAAUGAUUCAUAACAUCUCAUGUCCAUAGGUGCAUCAAGAACAGAAGUCAUUCCCACACAACAUAAAGAAUGGACAGUAGAUGAUGUAGUUGUAUUCCAAACUCUCACCUUAGAAUCUUUCGAAAUUGUCACUCGAAGAGAAGUUUUAUGCCCAGUAACUGUCAUCAAUUUUACAGGUUUCGCAUGCCCAUAAAGAGUUGCCUUUAAAGCCUGAUAGCCACGUUAACCACUUGAGCUAAGGAACCAAAGUCAAACUGUACCAUCUUAUCCUCCACUUGCAAAUACUUUGCCACUACCAUCACCCAGCAAUUUAUCUCAAAGAGUGGAAACUGGGCCAUUAUGAUUUCUAAAACACCGCUGGCAAGAACCCUUCCACCAUAGACGAAUGGAGUGGUCACAGCUUGAGAUUACCGAAACAUUUUCUUCUCGUUGUGUCUCACUUCGAAAUAAAGAUGUUUCACUAAGCGGAAAUAAUCUGCUAAAUGAUCAAUUCCAUAUUCUUUGUCAUUCACAUCAUGGGAAGCCCAGAAACGAAUUAUUAAUUACUUCUGGUCCAAAUUGGGAGACGAAUUCAGGCAGCCCUAGCAGGAGCCCACGACUUUCAGACAAGCUGAUGGUAUCUUCUGGGGUCACUCUAUCAGCACAUGGAACCUUCUUAGUCAAGGAUGCUACUGCUACUGCCAAUUUGGCUCCGCUUCUUGGCCGUGGCUAUGGACCUUUGGCUGAACUUCAAAACGUCAUUGACAAGACUGAAGCUGCCGAAUCACUUAGAUGUUCUCGUGAUCAAUUCUCCUCUUAGAUGUCAACCAAACUUUGAGAAUAUGUAUCCCUUGUAAGGAUUCACAACUAGCCUUGAUUUCUCUCUCUCUCACAGCCAAUGUAUUGAACGAGAUCCCAAAAGCAAAAGGCAAUCACCACAGAGAAAGAAACAAUAGAAACAGAGCAUAAAAAAAACAAAGUAAAAACAUCCUCAAAUGAGGCUUCACUGCAUGAGUCAUCAGCAAGCCCUCUGAUUAAGUGAGAAAAACCACAUCAAAUAUGACUAUUGGCAUGAUUCCUAGGUAUUUCGCAAUAGAGGCAAGGUGCAUUAAGAUCAACAAUGGCAAACAUGAGUUCAAGAUUAUAUAUCAACAAGCAACAAGUGGCCUUCAUCAUCCACUCCAAGCAAACCAACAAAUAUCCAGAUAUUAACAAGAAAUGCAGAGGAGUAAUAAGAAUCCAAACCAAACAAGAAAUCAGCUGCAUUCAUACCUGAGAGAACCCUUUUCCGGUAAGGCUCUGUUCAGCUCUAAACGCCUUAAGUCCUCCUCCAAUGCCGAUGAAACCAGCAAGCUUACCUCCCUAUCACUCUCUCACCAGCAGCCUCUAAAUCAACUCUCAGCAGUCUUCUCCCUCUGGUUUUCUCUCUGAGCUCCUCUCAAUCUCUAGCUAAGCAAUCCCUCAAAAAUAUCUCUCUCUAAGCUCUCCAAAAACUCACCUCUCUGCUCCAACCUCAAACCUCCCUCCUACAGUAAUAAAAAACUCCCCUCCCUAGCUUACCUUCCUUCCUCUCUGGUUCUCUCCCUCUCAAGUUCCCCUUCUCUCAAGAAAACUCUCACAGUAGUCUAUCCGCCCUCCCCUCCAGUUGCUCUCUCUCCUUUUCUCUGCCGAGAACCCUCCAAAAGCAGCCUGCUGUCCAAAAUAUCUCCUAACCAACUCUGAAAAGCACCACCUGCCAGAGACGCCCCUCUCACAGCAACGUACCUCCUCUGCAUAUCCUCCUCCAGGUGUCAACCUCUGAUUAGUCCAUCAAUUCCACUAUUUUGAUAACCAACUCUGAAAAGCACCACCUGCCAGAGACGCCCCUCUCACAGCAACGUACCUCCUCUGCAUAUCCUCCUCCAGGUGUCAACCUCUGAUUAGUCCAUCAAUUCCACUAUUUUGAUCCCAUAUUGACUAAUCCGGGAGUGACACGUGGCCAUGCAAGAUGGUGACACUUGUCAAGCAUCAGCUGCAAGAAUCACUCCCAAAAUGGGGGUCUACAGUAGGAUUGGCUUCCUUACAUUUAAAAGGAAGGGCCUUAGAAAGGUUUCAAGGGUAUGAGGCUAUUAACAAGGAAAUCAAAUGGACACAAUUUUAUAUAGAUGUUGUUUCUAGGUUUAGCCCUAGUGUUAAUGAUAACCUUAUGGGGUAAACAACCAAAUUGAAAUAGGUUUCUACAGUUAUGGCAUACAAAAAUUAGUUUAAGGUAUUGAUGACCAAAACUAGUGGGUUUUUGAUUCAUGCCCAGUCGGGUGUUUAUCAAAACAUUUAUAAAACCUACAACACCUUAUACUAGGGUAGCAAAGACAAAGCUACUAUAGUAUAGUGGCUCUAUGAUCGUCCACAGGGAUGAGUUUUCUUUGUACACAUGACAUUACUGAAAGGAGAAAUGGUGAUUUCCUUUUGAAAGUUUGUUUUUAAUGAAAAUAAGAUUGAUUGGAAGGGUUGAUUUUAAUUUAAGCAAACAUAAACAACUUAAAUUAUUACAAAGAGAAAGUCUCUUGGAGUUAUAGGUUACUAGGAUCAGGUUCCUGUUGUAAAGUGGGAAAUUCCGAAUCUUCUCCUCGCACUGGGGACAAUAACAUGAAGGAUGGUUAUCUCCCCAACCAAAUUUGUAUUUAGCAAAUAAGUUUUGAUCCAAAGGGUUCUUGAAAAAUGGUAGUUGCUUCCCAUUAAUGGCUUUAAACACUAAAGACCCUCACCUUGAACCACCUUCCAAUGGCUCGUACUUGAUAACUAAUGGACAUCCAUGGAUCUAGCAAUAAGUAUCCAUAGAAUCCUAAAAGCUUACCAAGUAUUGGCCAUUCAAGGUGAUUUUAAGGGAUUAAAGCUGAAACUUGAAAUACAAACCAUUAAUGAUACAUAACUACCUUCAUUUAAAGCAAGGAAAACUCCCACCUUUGCAUCCGAGUCCUUUACCUAGCUUCCAUCACUCCAAGAAACGUGAAACGUAGCCACUCAUCCCCUGAGAAAUCAUCCUCAGAGGAUGUUUGGCUCUAGAGAGAAUGUGAAGAGAAAAUGAGAAGGAAAGGCAAAGAAAAACCAGGCUUUAUAAAAUAUCGAAAACAUAAUAUCUCCUCCUCCUCUGAGAGGUUUUCCAACCCUUAUUUAUAGUUCCUAAACAAACCGUAAUGUCUUUUAUCUAUUAUAAAAGGAGUAAAAAAGAAAAUUUACAAUUCUGUAGAAAAAUCUCGAAGCUCGGUGCGCAUAAAGUGAUUUUCGCACACCCUGCGAAAUUUUGGGACACCUUGCGAAAGUUUGGCACACCCUGCCAAAUUUUGGCACAUCUUGCGAAAUAGAUGAUUUUGCCUUGCGAAAUAGAUGUUUUCCUCCAUCUUACUACUGAUAGUUUUGGCAACCCCUUUCCAAGUUUGGCAAGGGGUUUUGAAGUGCUCCAAAACUCGGAUUCUUCAUGUGAUUGAUCUUCAACUUGCCUUACCAUAGCUUGCACAAAACUCUCCCUCAAUUUUGGCCUGUUUCAAUGAUCAAAAAGCUACCAAAAACACUAAAACUGACCAAAAAUUGGUUAGUAACAUUUGCUAGGUCCUUAACAUGCCAAUUGGGAUAAAAAGGUCUAACUACUACUCAAAAGUGCUUAAUACAAUUAAGUUUAAGCUUAUAAAAAUGCACUUUUUGAGUAGUAAUCAAUCUACAUGCAUUUUUUUAGAUCAAACAAUAACUGCAUGGUUUGUCUCAAGGUUCUCUCGAUAUUAAUACUUAUUAUACCAGUUUAAAAAUUCUUUGGGAUGAACUUAAGAUGUUUGAACCCAUUUCCCGUUUGGCAAUUUGGUGGCAUCAAAAUAUGGAUGGAUUAUCAAUAGCAUAAGUAUGUAAUGCAAUUUUUUAAGGGCUUGAAUGAAUCCUAUGUCGUGAUGAGUGGGUAGAUUUUGAUGUUUGGCCCAUUACCCUCUGUUGCGAAGGUUUUCAAUCUCGUCGUUUAAGAAGAACAAUAAUGCACCAUCGAAUCUAGUUCCCUUGCUCUGUUUGAAUCUUUGGCAUUUAGUGCCUCCUCGUCAUCUCUCUCUGUUGCAAAUUUCUCUUCUUAGGGUAAGCUCAAUCAUGAUCACCCGAUUUGUUCUCAUUGUGGGCUCAUGGGGUAUAUUGUGAAUUGUUGCUACAAGUUACAUGGGUACCCAAUUGGGUAUAAGCCCAAACCCAAGGCCCAAUUGAGCUCUCUUCAGCCCACCAACAAUCCAUUAUCUUUCCUUAAGCCAUCAAAAGACACCCACUUCUCUCAUUUAGCUACAACUGCCAUACCAUCCUCUCCACUUUCUAGUUCUCUCUCAAUAGAUCAAGUUCAAUAGCUCAUAAAGUAGACUUUAUUCACUUUGGAAUAAUCCUUUGUCAUGAUCAAAUCUUAUUAUCCACAUGCCUUGUUUGACUAAGAUCAUUAUAAUUGUUUCCCAAAGUGAGUCAAUGCCAAAUAUUGAAUAAUUGGUUAAGCAUAACUCUUACACACAUUCUAAGAUUUAUGCUCUUAACUUUAUGUGACUUGCUUGCAACAUUUGGAAAUACCCCUAAAGUGGAUACAAAGGUAGCCAUGAAUGAAAAAAAAAAAUCAAUAUUGAUCAAAGUGUACAAUAGCUUUACUUUCAAAAGAAAAAAAAAGUAAAAAAAAAAAAAGAACUAUGAUAUCAAAUUAAGGGGAAGUCAAGUUGUGUUGUAUAUAAAUCAACAAGACCGUGUUAAAUAAAAAUCCAACAAUCUUAGAUCAAAUUAAUUGGAUGUGUACUUUAAUUAGAACAAAGGUAUGAUUGGAACUCUUCUAAGUGAUCAAUUUUGAAAUAUAGAACUAGACAAUAAGUUGUAUUCCCUUGAACAUCAAUACUUAUGUAUCUAUGUUGACCUUCUUAUCUACUAAUGGUUAUGCACUAGAUUUUGAAAUUGAAAUUACAAUUAACUCUAACCUUUUGGACUUGAAACCUCAAUCUUGAUGGAUUGAUGUAUAAUAUCUAUAGUAACUCGCUUUAUAAUUGAUUAAAGUAACUCCUGCAAGCUAUUUAAAGCCAUCCAGUACAUUAUUUCUUAUUUCUCACUUUUCUGAGUUGUUUCAAUCACUCCAUGUUUCCACUUCUUCGUCAUUUGAGGUCAAUUCUCUUAGUUUUUCGUAUUUUUGUUCAUAUAAUAUUUUUUACACCUCAUUUUUAGUAUUCUUAGAUGUUUAGGGGUUUUUUUUUUUUGGAUUUUCAUCAAUUUUUCUUACUUUUAUUGUCCUUUUAUAUUUCAUCCUCUUGUUAUGGAAAGUCGUCAUCAUCCGUAUGAGGUGACCCCUCUAAGGUCGCCUGAGCUCAUUUAAAGCAUUGCACUCUAAAGUCCAUUUGACCUAAGAAUUUUUCUUGUUGAGUGCUUCCAUUGUUAGGAGGCAUGAGAUCAAUACUACACCUCUUUCAAUGAUUAACUAGUCGAGGUUGAGCAUCCAGUCAAUCUCAAAGUCUUCUAGGAGACUUCUCUCAUUGCUAUUGUUAGAGUGAGGAUAAGAGACAUUAUUUUCUCUUUAGGGGACUUCUACCCCCAUCAUAUUCACAUGUUUUAUGUGAACAUGCAUUCUCUUGUAAUUGGAGUUACCUUUUAGUUGAUUUUGUAUUAUCAAUCAUUUCUUGUCUCUUCCUGUUCUAUUUGAUGUGUUCUUAGCAUGUUGCGACAUGAGUCUUGCUUUGGGCAGAAGCCAUUCUCUAAGCCAGCGUGGCUACUAGCUACCUUCUUCACCUACUCCUUCUGUCAUUCUACUCAUCGUACCCAUAUUUGUCGGUUGUCUACUCAAUUCAUUCAUGCCAUACUCUCUAGCUACCAAUUUGAUAUCGACUUAAUGAUUUUGGAUAGAAUUACUCCUUCCCAUGAUCCAUAUUUUUGAGAAGGCACCUUUUCCUUUACCCUUCUUAUCUCAUAGAAUUUGGAGGAUGUAGGUUUUGAGAUAAACCCUACAUUAGGGGGUAUAAGAUACAUAUGCCCUCUUGGAAGGGAGCUCCUGGGCUAAGCCUUAUAGCCACAUUUAUGGACCAAUGGCACCUUUAAUCCACCAUGGUCCUCAGGAUAUAGCUCAACAGGCGGCUUAGGAGGCAACAAUAGAGGAGGAUGAGCUCCAAGCUAUGAAGCAAAGUGUAGUUCUUGAGGUAAAUUAUCUUAAGCCUACUUUGAGGACUUGCUCUAGUUGAGGUCAAGCAAAUUCUUCAAGAGCUACUCACAAGCAGUGUUUUAAAUGCCACAAAAUAUCGGGGAUAUUUUGCCAAUAUUUCGGGUAUAGAUGGGGCUCAAUAGAUAAAGAGAAUGAAAUUUUGGGUUAUGCAAAAUUUUGAGUAUUUCCCUCAUUUUUCAUUGAUAUAUCGGCUAUAUGCUGAUAUAAUACCAAUAGAUUAGUUAUAUUGGUCAUUUUUUAGUGCUUUGAUUUCUUUUAGGCCAAAAGGUUUCCCUUUUUUGCCAAAAGGUUUCUCUUUUUUUUCCAAAAGGUUUCCAUUUUUUAUUUUAAGCCGCAUUCUCACACGCACAGCCACACAAUAGUUGUUCGAGAGGAGAAAGGCACCAUCUAUUAAAUAGGCAAUUUUGUUCUCUCAAGUUUAUUGAUAAGUUUAAAAUUCUAAUCAAAUAGGUAAACAAAAUUUACAUUGGUGAGACUUGAACCCGAGUGCACAAGUUUGUCAUGGAAGGACACAACCAUUAAACCAUAUGUGAAUUUGUGGUUUAAAUUGUAUAUAGAAUUAUAUAUAUAAUGUACAUACCUUUUAUACAUUAUAAUAUUUUUAAUAUAUAUUAUAAUAAUAUUUAAUAAAUUAAACCAUUAUAAAUAAGUUAAUUUUAAUUAUCAUAUUAUAUAUUUUGUAUUCCAAUUAAAUACAAGGUAAAUAUAAAUUUUAUAAAUGAAUUUUUUAAUAUAAAAUACUUAUCUAAAUAUCACUUUUUUAUCCCUCAAUAUAUUCAAAUCAAACUAUUAUCAUUCUAAUAUUAUUGUGCUUUUAAAUUAGUAUAUUAUUGCCUACUAUUACAAAUUUAUUACAUAUUACUAUAUAUAUAGUAAUAUGCGUAUUCUUUUUUAUUUUAUCAUUUUUUUUAAGUUUUUCCAAGUAUUUUCAUGAAUUUUGAUUAAUUUGUAUUUCUUCAUUUUUUUUUUCAAAAUAUUCCACCGUUAUUUCCUGAUAUAUCCAUAAAAUCCAAUGAUCAAUAAUUCCAUGAUUAUCGAUAUUUUCAUCUUUGCUCACGAGACAUCUUUUUCUAUAGGCCCGACUACCCGAGAGACAUUGGAUUCCAUGGCUUAUGUCCAUUAGUAGAUGGACUCACAGGAUCUUCACCUUCGUGAGAUCCAAGGAUAACUCCACUAUAUCAUUUCCUAGAUCCACUAUAAAGGCGCCUUGAGCUCUACCUCUCUGUCUUCUUUGGAUGCAUAUAUAUAUAUAUAUGUUGUAUUCUUCUUUCUAUUUAACUCUUUAACUAUUGUGUGCUUUCCAAUGUUUAUAAUUCAUAUGCUUUGCCAUUUUUAUGACAAAAACAGGAGAUCAUUGACCAUAUUUAACUCACUUAAAUAGGGAGAGCGUAGGCAUCAAUAUAAUAGAAAAAAAGAUAAAGAAACUCGUUGACAAAUAGGAGUUAAUAAUUUUUUAAUUAUUUAUUUAAUUCAUUCUUUUGCUCAUUUAAUUCUUAAGGGAAAUUAAUUGAAAUAUUGGAGAAAAUUAAACCUAAGACAUUAGAAGAAAUUCGAUCAACUGUUGAAAGCAUAACUUGGAAGUUUAAGAGAGUUACCUAACACAAAUAUUUAUGUUUGAAUUGUCUUUCUCUUUGGAACUAUUAUGAGUCACGAAAGCUUCUUCUCAUGGUUUUCAUUGUCUAUUUUCUAGUUGGAGAUAGGCCUCUAGGCAUCAUAGUUGAUCUAUUGUGUCUUAUCAAGAUUCUAUUAUGUUCGGUUGAUUUGUAUACAUUUAAAUUCCUCUCGAGCUUUACUUUGUACCUUGGUAUCACUAUAGGGAUAUAUUUCUCUUACAUGUUUUCACAUCCAACUAUCAUGUUCUAUUGCUUUGAUCAUAUCUUAUUUCACACAUUGUUCUACUUUUGUUGUAGUUUUUUUAUGUGUGUAGCUUACAAGAUUGGAAGAUAAGUACUACAAGAUGAUGCAAAGCAUUCCCUUAGUUUAUUUUUAAUUAAGCAUUAAUGUGUGUUAUGUAAACUCCUUUAUAAGAGUUUAGAUCGGUUUAUGUAAUGAUGUUUUGUCACAAGACUGCCAAAGAGUGAAAUAGUUAGGACAUUAAGUCUUGAUUAUAUGUUGGAAAUUUUGUUCAUUUUAAUGUUUGGCCACAAAAGUCUUUUUAGAUAGUGAAUUGCUCUCCAUUGAAGGUCAAAAGUUAUUGUUUGUCUAACCGAGAAUUCACAAGUAUAUCUAAAAAAGUUUGGCUUGUAGUAAGUUAGGCUCCUUUGAGGUAUAAAGAAGAUUGAUAAUUGUUUUGAACUUAAAAUUAAUUUUUAUAAGGUUUUUGAAAAACAGGGGAUGCUUAAGUAGGAAGCAAUGCUCAAGUUGACCACUCAAGUGCCAUACACUGCUUGAAUGCCCAAAGCGCUCAAGCCACUAUCAUAAGCUCGAGCAAUCAUGAAUUUAUAGUUGAGAUUUUUUCAUGCAAAAUUGAUUUGGAAGUCUUCUAAAACCAAACCUUUUGGAGAUUUAUUCCUACAAAUACCUCUUUAUAACCCCUUAAGGGUUAGAGAUUGUUUAAGAGAUUGGUGAGAGAUCUUACAUUCUUUAGGGAGAGUCUCUUAGAGAAAAAGCUUAACGAGCCACACCAUUCCCAAUCUCUCAUUCAAGGAUUCAAUCUUUGAAUCUUGGUUGAAAUGCAUUCACUAGAGUAAUAGGAGGUUGCUACGUUGCGGACAUGGAUCAAGUUUUAAGUAUUAAAGAGUAAGUCUUUAGGGUAAAGUGGCUAAGUAAAUCUAUAUAACUUGAUCUCAUAUAAUGGAUUUAGAUUAUUGGUCUUACACUUCAUGUUCUUUUAUCUCCACAAUUAGUGUGGGGGUUUUCCAUGUGAAAAAUCUCUUGUACCUCAUUUCUUAUUACUUGAUAUCUUAUUUGAACUGCCUACAAUAGAAAUUAUUGGUAUACUAAUAUCUCGUAGGAUAAAAAUUAGGUAUAACAUAUAAAUCUUUAUUUAAAUUUUUUAACAAAUCCAUUUUGCCUCCUUCCCCUAGGUGUUACCUCACUGGACUUAGGGGCUUUUCAAACCAUAAGUUGGUUCAACUUGAGUUGUUCUUUUAUGUUGUUGACCAUCGUUAGAUGAAUCAUUUUGUUGGAUUGCACUUGUUAAUCGAUUUUUUUUUCUCAUAUCCAACUUUUGUUUCUUGUGAUUCCUCCAUCUAAAACCCACCAAUUAUUUUACAUCAUAAUAUAAAGUUUCACCACUUGUUUUGUAUUUUAACCCUAACAAUUCAUGUUCUUUAAAAGUAACAUCUCUACUAAUUAUUGUCUUUCUCAAAUUCAGACACUACAACUUAUACCCCUUCACUUUAGUAGAAUAUCUAAGAAAUAAACAUUUCUUUCUUUGCUCUUGGUUGCAACUUUUUAUCAUUUACAUGUGCAUAUGUUGUUGACCCAAAUACAAUAAGGUGUUCCAUACUUCUUGAGGUGUUUUGAACUUUAUGGAACUUGAAGGUCAUUUGUUAAUCAAGUCACAUCUUGUAUGGAUAUCUUUCACCCAUAACUUUGUAGUUUAUCUUAUAUUUAUCAACAUGCAUCUUACUCUUUCAAGAAUAGUAUGAUUCAUCCUUUUAGUUAAGCCAUUUUGUUGAGAUGUACUCUUCACAGUUCUUGUUGGGAUUGAGCUCUUAAAGGAAACACAUGAUGUAACAAAGUUAGACUUAACUGUCCUCUUGCCAUCCUUUUGGUGUAUUGACAUUGAUUUGAGCAUUUAGCUCAUAUCUCUUACAUUAUUACAUGACUUAGGUCAUUAAGAGUUGCACACAAGAUACAAGUCAUGAGUUCCUCAUAAGUACAUAAGUUGUCCACAAUUGGUUAAUGGAUUUGGGCAAUCCAAUAAAGACUGUAGUGCACCACCUCAUAAUUGAAGGGAUGACUUAUCUUGGCCAUCAAGAUGAGUAUCCCAUGAUGAAAUGAUGAGUGCACUAGUUUAUGUGAUGCACAUUGGACUGGACCUAUGGUGAAUCAUGAUGUAAGGCUAUCAAAUGUCAUGAUUCACCAAGCUAUUAUGCUACAUGGACUCUCAACCUUGAGAGGAUAUUGAGCUUGUGAUGAAAUCAAUAGAAGGCUUUGACCUAUGGGAGAGACCCUAAAGUGGUCAUAUAUCCUUAUAGAUUAGGUCACUAUUAAUGAAGACUAGCGACAAUAGGUAUUCUCAAUAGAGGCACCAUGAUAUCCCAUAGGAUUGAGACGGUGUGUCCCCUUGAGUGAUCUAAAGGACAUGUGAUAAUGAAAUUUGUGGCCAAAGUAAUUCCUUUAGUGGAAUUUGACUUAUGCUCCUUGGAGUUGGAGCUAGAGUAUGUUAGUUAAUCAUAUAAUAGGUUGUGUGCACGAGACGCGCAUAGGUCACAUGCAUGGGAAUUGCAUGAGACGUGCUUAUGGGUAGCAGCAUGAGGAGAAAGACUCUCUAGUUUUUCCAAGUAUGUUCUUCAUCGGAUGGAUUUUGAUUUGGGAACAUCUAAAUCACAAGUAUGAGUUUCAAAUAUCAAGAUCUAUAGUUAUUAAUGGUUUUCAUUGCCAUUUUAUUUCACUAUGAUAGAUUUUCAAAUGCCUAGAGAUAGAUGCAUGCACCCUAUGAGAUCCAAGGUAUUGGAAUGGAGUAUUAAUCUAGGGUUCCGAAGUGAUUAGAAUAGUAAGAUCUAAAGAUUGAACCUAGCACUAAUUAAACAUCUGGUAUUUAGACCUAGGUCAUAUUAAUCUGAAUAAGAUGCAAAGAUUGGCAAAGUCAAGACUCUUUGAUUCCAAAAGAUCUUCCAAUCUAUGAAUUUUAUAUAGAUGGUAAAAUGAUCAAGAGGACUAGAAUUAAGGAAUAUUUGGAGUUAGUGCAUACUAACAUGUAUGGACCUUUUAGUGUCUAUGCAUGGGGAGGGUAUGGGUAUUUCAUCACUUUUAGUAAUGAUUGCUCUAGGUUUGGAUAUGUACAUAGGAAAUCUGAUGCCUUGGAUACAUUCAUUGAAUUUAAGGUGGGAUCGAAUAACCUAUUGGAUAUACAUACCAAGUCAUUUCAAUUAUGUCAAGCUGAUAUGUCUAGUAAGUUUGAUUUUUUUUGUUGGAGCAUAGGAUUAUUUUCUAGUUAUGUUCAUCAAGGUCUCUAUUGCAAAAUGGAGAAGUGGAAAUAAGAUAUCAAACUUGGAUUAACAUAGUAAGAUUGUGGAUAGGCUUCUCCUAUUUUAUCAGAUUAUUUUGGGGAUAUGUCAUAUAGUCUGUGUAAUUACCUUUUUCUUUUUUCUUCGUAAGAGGUGUAUUAGUUUAUAGGAUAUCUAAGAGGAUUUUUGGGUUAUUAGGUUUAUAGUCAAGAUGAUCAAAAAAUAUUUGUGAACAUAAAUGUCCCAUUUUUUAUGAAGAUUAUAUGAUAAGGAAGAAGGCAGGGAGUGACAUAGAUUGGAGGAUAUAUUAGAAUAUAGUUCCACAUUACAUAGGACACUAUGGAUCGAAAGGGUUAAAGACAUACCAUUCUUAUGAUUUCUAGUACACCAGUACUUCAUCAUAGUAAGGAGUUUAUAUCCCACAAAUUAUGAUGAAGCAAUGAGCAGUGUUUAUGCUCACUUAAGGCAAGGACGUGUGAUCAUGAAAUCUAUGAACCCAUUAUAAUUCUUUUAGUGAAAUUUGACAUAUGCUCUUAGUGAUUUAGAGUAUGUAAUUUAAUCACAUAAUAGGAGGAUCUAUAACUCUAAAAUUGUAGAGGUAGUCUUUAAAGACUGAUAACUUUCACCUUGUUAGACUACAAACAACCAAUUCAUGGGAAGAUUGUAUACAAUAGAUAGCAAGUCACGAACUUGAGCACUUGGUGUCUCAUUGUAAUAUACAUAGGGUACCAAAAUAUAGUUAACUCUCUAUAGUGGGAUAUUGAGUCAACUUUAUAAUUGGAUUCUAAGGGAUCUAGUACUGUCCUAUGGGUUCCAUUGGUCUCUACUAAAGCUUAUUUUCCUUGAUAACAUGGUUUAUGAGAGUUGGAUGAGUUUUUAGUUAACUUGUGUGCAUAAAUGCAUUUUGGUAAUUACACAAGGUUACAUAGGGGUAACUGUGCGAUAUCUUUGAACUUGGGUAAUUGAUUAAUUAGAGCCUUAUCGUAUUAAUUAAUCAAUUAGAAAUCUUUUUGGGUUAAAUUAAGUGACCCAUGCCCAUAGUGGGCUCAAGUCACUUAAGCAUAGUAGGAAACUUAUAAAUACCCCUCUCAAGGGUUUAGGUUUCUAAUUCAAUCUUGCCAUUCUCUCCCUACAGUCCAGAGAGAGAACCUUAGUCUUCAACCUUGAGAUUUCCACCAUCUCAGUGCCUAGAUUCAAGAAGGAGUCAUCGAGUGGAUGAUUAUGGGUUUACAGGAUCUUUAUUAGAUUUGGAGCUUUCUACACUAACAAGAAUUGAUUUGGGAACAUCUGAAUAAUACAUAUAACACUUUUUUCUAGAUUCAUGAUAUGUUUUCUUUUUUAAAAUACCAAAGUUUUCAACUAUGCUUAGAUCUAGAAAGCACAAAAUAGGAUUACAUGCACCCUAAUGAUCCAAGGCCUAGGAAUAGAGCGAUCCAAGGUUUCCUAGAAAAUAUAACCCAAUAAGUAAGAAUGAUUUAUAGGAACUAAAAAUUCUUUCAAAAAGAAAAAAAGUUAAUUGGAGUAAGAUAGGUAUACAAGAGAAGGAAAAAUGCAAAAGGAGUAGAAAAAUAUAAAGCAACAUUGGUGCAAAGGAUUACAAGAAAGAAUAAUGCACCAACAAGAUGAGGGUAUUUGCUCUCAUUGUUCUUUUAGUAACUAUAAAUUAAUAAUCUCUUUGGUAGCUCAAAAUAGUUGAAAUUUUCAAAUGGAUGUGAAAUCCAAUUUUUUGAAUUGACAUCUUGAAGAAGUGUAUGUAGAACACACCAUAGUUGGUAUAUAUAUAUAUAUGGGCAUGAGAAUAAAGUUCCAAAAUUGAAAAUAACCUUGUAUGGAAUAAAACAAACACUAAGAGCAUGAAAUGAUAGAAUUGACCAAUAUUUUCAUGAUAAUAAUUUUGUUUAAUACCUUUAUGAACACGCUCUCUGCAUAAAAGUGAAUGAAAAAAAGUAAUAUAUUACUUGUUUGUUUAAAUGUGAAUUUUUUGAUCUUUAUUGGAACUAAUCCAAUCAUGUUUAACGAGUUCAAAGAAGUAAUAGAAUAAAAGUUUGAGAUGACUGGAUUAGUCUCAUAUCAUACUCUCUUGGCUUAGACUUGAAGAGAUUGAAAAGAGUACUUUUUAUUUCUCAAGAAGACCAUGCAAAAUAAAUUUUCAGAAAGUUUAACUUGAAUAUGUGUAAUAUGGUAAACACUACAAUAUAAUGCAAAGCUAAAUUAUCAAAGACAUGUAGAAAGAGAAAAAGUGGAUUCAACAUAACAUAAAAUCUUAGUUGGAAGCAUACACUAUUUGACUUAUACAAUUUCAAACAUUCUCUAUGGCAGUUGGAUUUGUCCAUCAUUAUAUGGAAGCACUAAUGAGUAUUUACACUAAGACCUCGUGAAUUUUUCACUACAUCAACGACACAUUUGAUUAUGACUUAUAUUAUUCACCUUUAACAAUUUCAAACUUGUUAGAUAUAACGAUAGUGAUUAAGGUGGAGACUUAGGAUGAUACAAAGAGAACCACUAGCUUUAUGUUCCUCAUGGGAGAUACCAUGUUCACUUGGACUUCAAAGAAGCAACCUAUUGUGAAACUUUCAAUGUAUAAAGUGGAAUUUGUAUUGGCAUCAUGUGUACGUAGGUCAUGGAAUUUGGCUCAAAAAUUUGUUGAAAGAAUUUAGUUUACCACACAAGAAACCAAUAAAGAUCCAAGUGGAUAUAAAAUCAACAAUUACCUUAUGAAAAAAUCUAGUUCUCCAUGAUGAAAGCAAGUACAUUGAUACAAAAUAUCAUAUUUUAGAGAGUAUAUGAAAUACAGAGUGCAAUUAAAAUUUACAAAAUCUCAUAAUCAAAUUGUUAAAAUGUUUACAAAUUCUCUUAAGUUUAGCGAUUUUAGAAAGCUAAGCUUGCUACUUUGACAAAUCAAGUUGAAGGCAUGAGUGAAAAUGUUGACAAAGUUUCUCGAGUUUAAAAAUUUUAGAAAACUAAGGAUGCUAUUUUUACAAUUGAAUGGAGGAUUUAGUAAAACUGGAUUUAGGAAGUUUCUAAAAAUUAGAAUUUGAGUUAGAUUCUAAAAUGCUUGUUUAGUUUGUAUAUUUUGUUAUUACAAGAUUUCAUAUUUUACCAUUAUGAGUAUUAAAUUUUUUUAGGUGUUAAUAUCUAAAAAUAAGAUGUUAUGUAAUAGUUGAACAAGAGUGGUGGAAGAAAAUAAAUUUUUUCUUAGUCAUCCCAAUUAUUUAAAUAUCUCCCUUUACAUAUGUAAUUAUGUAAUGCCCUAAACCCAAUUUAGGGGUAAAAUCAUAAUUUAGAAAUUAUUAAUGAAUAAAAGUAAUUUAAUAAGGGUAAAAAAGUCUUUUUAUAUUUAAAACCCUAGAUAUAAAUUAGAUUUUUCAUAUCUUCUCUAUUCAGAAAACCCUUUUACAUAGAGAUCAGAAAGAUCAAAGAGCAUAGGGCUGAAGAUUUGGAGGUUUAGGGUUUGAAGAUCAAUUUUUCAGGUAAGAUUUUUAAUCCUUAAAUUAAUAUUUUAUAUUCGCUAAUUAGUUUUGAAUACUUUAGAUAUUCUUUGGAAUAUCUCAAUUUUGAUUAGAGUUCAUUUAAUUAAUUUCUAGGUCAAAAAGAUUAAAAAUUUAUGAACAUAGUUUGAUUUAUUAAUGGAGAUCGAUAAGUUUUGAUUGCUCAAAUGAAUAAAUCUAGAUAAAAAAAAAUUAAAAAUUAUACUUUAGAGGGUAUGGAGGUUAAAAGUUUUUACUUUAGAGAGGAGAAAACAAAUGAUGAAAGAUGCGUAGGAAGGAUUUGGCAUGUUGAAAAAAAAAAUGGUUGACCUAGGAAAGGAAUUAAAUAGUAUUUUGGUAAACAAUAAGGAAGAAAAGGACGUGGAUGUCUUGGAAGAGAAAUAGGUUAAGGUGUUGUUAGGUAUUGAAAUUAAUAAUAAUAAUAAUAAUAAUAAUAAUAAUGAUGAUAAUAAUAAUAAUAAUAAUAAUAAUAAUAAUAAUAAUAAUAAAAGAAACAAUAAUAAUGAAAGGAGUUGGUGUGGAGUUGUUGGGAAAAAAAAAAAGAAAAAUUGCAUGGGGUAUUUGUUAAGUUUCAAUAGAAGAUUUAAAUAAUAGUAAUAAUAAUUUAAUACAAAUAAAUAUUCGUAAAAGUUUUAAUUUAGAUAAGUUAGAAAAGAGAAAUAAAUUAUUGUUUAGGAAGUUGAAAAUAAUAUUGGAUGGUAAUAAUAUUAAUAUGAGAAAUUAAUUAGGAUCCCUAAUACUAAAUAAAAUAUUUUUAAGGUUGUCAAAUUUAUAUAUUUAGAUAAAUAAUCAAUAAUCAAUAUUGUGUAUGAUAUUAUGUUAGGUGAGGAGUAAAUUCGUCAAGCUAAAUACUUUAAGUUUUUGAGUGCUUCUUCAAGGUAAGGGAAAUUAGUGCGGAUUUUUAUAAAAGAAAACAAUUUUAUUUUUAUAUUGUAUUUUGAAAUGUGCAAAAAUAUUAUUUUUAUCUUUACGUAUAGAUGAAAUAUGUGUUUUGUAUGGAAAAUAUAUUUGAGAAUUUUCUUUGUUUAUGAAAAAUGAAAAAUUAAGGAGAUAUGAUAUUUUGUUUUGUAAAUUUGAAUUAAUGAAAUAAAGUGUUUGACUUUGGUUCUUAUGGCCCUAAUCAACGGGUUAUAAUUGUUGACAUAUUCAGCCCUAAUCAACGGGUUAUAAUAGUUGAUAUUAUAUGACCCCAGUCAACAGGUUAUAAUUGUUGACAUAUUCAAUCCUAAUCAAUAGGUUAUAAUAGUUGAUAUUAUAUGGCUCUAGUCAAUGGGUUAUAAUUGUUGACAUUUGGUUUUGUUCACCUUAAAUAGAACAAAUUUGAAACUAGUUACUCAAUUGUGAAGUCCCAUCUAAUUAGGCACUAUUUGUCAUACAAUAACCAGAGUAAAGAUAUUUUGAAUGUAUUCGAUUUGGUUUUGAUGAGAAAUUGUUUUGAAAUGGAUAUGAGAAAGUUUUGUUGAAAAGUUUGAAUGUAUUAGUAUUUUGAACUCAAAAGUUUUUGUGAAAAUAAGUAUAUGUUAUAUUUGUUAUUUGCAAGCAUGAUUGAAAAUGUUUGAUCCAUGAAACUGUAUUAAUGUUCCUUAUUGGGCUUUGAGCUCAUCCACUUUUGUUAAUAAUCUUUCAACUAACCUCAGUUCGAGUGAGGAGUGACCGUUAGGAGGGAAAUUUGGCUUUAUUAGGACAUUUGUUUAAACUCUCUUUAUGUUGGACAUUGUUUAGAUGUUAAAACUUAAUUCUCAUUUGAAUUAUUUUGAGUUUGGAGUUAUUUGGACAAUGACACUUUGGUUGAUGUAUUAGUUUUUUUAUAAAGUUGAUACUUGGAGAUUUUAGAAUUUUAUCAUACUACUCUGAAUAGGAAUUUGGUAAUUUGUAAAUUUCUAGUUACAAUAUGAAUGUUUGUAUCGUUUCCACUUUGAGCCUUUGGGCUUGAGGUGAAAUGAGAGGUGAAAUGAUCGUCAUGCCCUUGGAGUGGGUUUUGGGGUGUGACAAAUUACUUCCAUGUUUUUUCAACCAUAUUAUUGCAACAUAUGUGGAUCUGCUGGUUGGUCUAUGAAAAUUCAUAUAAGUUGUUAAAUUCUGUUAGGCUUGUGUAACGGUAUUUAGAUCAUAACAUCUUUCCCUAAGCCCGCAUUUUUCUAAAUAUAUAAUUAAAAUUGUUGUGUUUGCAAUUUUAAUGAAAUCUAGCAUUGGAUACUCAACUUCUCACAAAAUGACAAAAAAAAAUGGUGGUGAUUUCAUGGAGGCUAACCAUUCACCUACCUUUAGUCAAGGUUUUCAAGUUGUGUUACAAUAGUAAAGUAAUAAUCUCAAUCAAAACACAAAAUUUAGUUUUCUAAACAAUUAUUGUUCUUGGAAAACAUGCAAGGAAUUUAAGCAUCUUAAGGUACUUAAGCAAUCUUAGUUGGACAUUCAGUAUCCAGAUCUUUUCAUUAAUUGGUUUUUCUCUUUUUGUGCCAACAUCUGCUCUCUCUCUCUCCAACAUGCAAGCGUAAGUGGUAGGCACCUCUUUUGUGCUUUAAAUUAAUUUUUGAAGUAAUUUAAAUCAACUUAAAAGAUCAUAAGUCCCAUUGGAUAUGAUGUAUUGAGUUUUAGAUUUUUGAAGUAAAAUUAUCAACAUAGUCUAGAAUAUAUACUAAUAGAUUAUACUCUUUCCAAGAGUUUAAAUUGCUUUUUGUUAAUAGAUUAUAUGGAUGUUUUAACACAGAAAUUGGAAUGAAGCCAAAUAUGCAGAAAAAAGAAAUGGUUGUGACCAAUAGUUAUAUUUAAUCUCUUUUAUUUCUAUUGAUACUCAAAUUUUUAGGGAUAGAGCAUCAACAAUCCUUGUGAUGAAUUAAUAAUGUUGAUAAAAGUCAAUGACUACACAAUGUAGCUAGCUUAAAACCAAAUAUGUCAUUAAAGAAGAUAUCGAUAAUCACCCCCACACAAUGAUAUCUUGUAUAAUUCAUUAGUUGAAUCAAACACAAAUUUCGUUCAAUAUAUGUGUCUACGAGUAAAAGAGAGUUCUUGGUUUAUAUUCGACAUACACGCUAUAUAGGCUAUGCUAACAGCAAUUGAUAACAAGAAUCUCAACACUGAAGUCCAUGUAGAAUCAGGUGUCCACCAUAUUGGAGUUGCAUAGUUAGGAUAUUGAAAGGAGCAUGAGCAUAGGAUGGCGAAAGUUCAAAUAAGAAGUGUUGUAAGAUCAUUGCCAAAGCUAUUUUUGCCUCCAUCAUUGCAAAAUUUUGUCCAAUGCAUGCCUGAGGACCCCAACCAAAUGGGAAAAAUGAAACUUGGUUUUUUUUUGCCUUCGAAAUUCCUUCUGCAAGCCUCUCUGGGUUAAACUCCUUUACAUCAUCUCCCCAAAUUUCAUGAUCAUGGUGAACUAGGAUGGUGGGCAACGCAACCUGCACUCCAGCUGGAAAAUACAUGUCUCCCACUUGAGUGUCCUUAUAAACAGCUCUAGUAAGCAUUGCUACUGGUGGGUAUAACCUAAGAACCUCAUGAAAAAUCAUGGUAACCUGUGGUAGAGAAACUUUAUAAGUUGUAGCAUGAGAAUUCUUACUAAAAUACAUUCUAAUCAUUAUGCAGAACACUGAAGAAUAAAGCAAUUUCUUAAAAUAGUGAUGCAUAAGAGAAAAUGUUCUAAAUCAUGCAUGCCAAAAUAUCAAGUAUACAAAGGACAUUGCAUAUCCCAUGGAUAUAAUAACUUAAGAACCUCAUAAAAAAUCAUCAUGAUCUAUCAGAGAAAUUUGAAAUCAUGGCAUGAGAACCUGUUCCUGAGCUACUAAGUGAAAGCAAAUGUUUAGUACAAAAUAUAAAAACUUAAGAAAAAUGUGUUUUCAAUUUUACUCCAAUUUUGGGGAAAAAAAAUAGAGUACUAUAUGAUUUCAGUGAGAAUCACUAAACUGAAGAUUGGACUGAGUACUCACAAUUUUUAGGUGAUUUAAUCCAUUAGCUUCCAGUUUUUUAUUCCCAAAAACCUGUAAAACCUCUUCUCUUGCACGAGCUUGCCAAUUUGGAUUCUCGCUUAGCAGGACCAUUGUCCAUACAAGAAAAACUGAGGUUGUCUCUUGGCCAGCAAGAUAGAAUAUCUUACACUCUUCAAUGACCUCUUUGACACUCAUUCCAAUCUUCUUGUUAUUUUUAUGUUCUUGAAUUUAUCUAAAAUUGGAUUCCAUUAGUAUAACUAAUAAGUCACUAUUACCAGUUUUGUCAGCCUUCAUUGUCUUCUCCCUUUUGUUAAUGAUACCCCUCAGCAAUGCAUAUGCUUUUUUGCUUAUUUGCUUCAUCUUCCUGUUCGUCUUUGUGGGUAAAAACUUGUGCGCAUGUUAGUAAUUCUAGUAAAUAAAACAUCACAUGAAACACACAGACAUUAAUUCUUAUUUUCAUUCAUGCUUUUUACUUCUCCAUUAAUUUUUUGAAGCUUGUAUAAGGCUUCAAAGGUAGAAACUAUCAAGACAAUAACUAAUGGUUUCAUCUACACAUGUGUUGCAAUGGUAUAUCAUCAUCUUGACACAGUAUCCUGCCAACAUAAGAUUGAGGAUACUAAACAUCAAUUAGUGAAACAUACUACUUUCUAGGUGUUAUACAAAAGAAGUAAUUGACUAAAAGGGGAUGAAAUGAUCUCAUAUUUGUAAAUCUAAUAUCUCCUAUGCUUGACCGUGAAAAGUAAUCCAUUUUUAACAUAAAUUCCCUUCAACAUAUGAACCGAAAUUUGUGCUGGCAUCAUGUGUAGGUCAUGAAAUUUGGCUCUGAAAUUUGUUCAAUAAACUUAAUUUACCAAACAACACUACAAGGAAAAAGAUAUAUGGUGACAUUUAUAAUAAGUCACUAUAAACAUAGGGUGUCACUACAACAUAGCGUCACCUUAUCCACUGACACCAUAAAGGGUAUCAAUUGGUGACGUAUUUGGAAGCGACACCAAAGCAGAUAAAUGGUGACACAUUCAGAAGAGACACCAUAUAUUUUUAGUGAUGCUUAAUUUGAUAUAGAGUUGUAUGAGAUAUAUAAGGUGUCAUAUUAAAUGCAUCAUCUUUGAGUUAUGGUGUCACGUUAAAUGUAUCACCUUUAAUUUAUGGUGUCACAUCAUUGUAAAUGAUUAUGGAAAAUAUGGUUGUUUUUUGUUGAUUAGUUUGUAGAUUUUUGUAAUGCUUAUUAAUAAAUAAGACUAACCUGUGUAAAUUGUCCAUAAAUAUAAUAAUCAUAUUACAUUUAACUUAUAUUUUCAUAAUGCUUAUGAAUUAAUUUGUAACAUAUUACAUCAUCCAAUAAUAUUUGUAUAUCAAAUGUUCACAAAAUGAUAGUACAUCAAACACAUCAAACCCACCAAAAGGAAAAAAGAAAAGUGAAUACACAUUAAAACAUGAUUUAAANNNNNNNNNNNNNNNNNNNNNNNNNNNNNNNNNNNNNNNNNNNNNNNNNNNNNNNNNNNNNNNNNNNNNNNNNNNNNNNNNNNNNNNNNNNNNNNNNNNNGAAUAAGUAAUGUUAUACAAUAUCAAUGGAAAAUUCAAUCAUAUAACAACUAAGGGACUUACCAUGAAUGAUCACAAUACAUCAAUAUGAUUCAUGAUUAGUUAUAACACAAAAGUAAUCUAUUCUUCUCUAAUUUCAUCAAAUUCUACUUGAGAAUAUGUUUUAUUUGUCAUCAAACUGAAAUCAAAUGAGAAUAACAUUAAUAUCACAAUAAUUAAAAGUAUGAAAUUAUGUACAAUUCAUUAAAUGAGUAAAACCUUUGAUGCAAUUACUGUAAAAUCAACAAUUAUUUCUUUAAUGAAUCUCAUAACAAAGUAGUCAUAUUUGAACUUAGCAUUAUUUUUUUACUCUUAAAUUAUUUUAAAACAAAAUAACAAUUAUUAAUAUAUUGGUUCAUUUUUAAAUACUUUCACAAGAAUAUAUUUUAACUACGAGUUAUUUUAAUUUAUCAAAAGACUUUUAGGAAAUGAGCUAUUAUCCAUUUAUUAUUUUCUUAUUUUUCAAAAAAUAUUUUUAGUCAUUUCAUACACGUUUUCAACUACUAAAAUUAUUGUUUUUAUAGAAUAAACAAAGAAGCAUACACUUCUCCUCCACUCACUAAGUCAACUAUUACAAUCACCAUAAUAUUUUAUUCACCUACCAACAUCUCAUUCCAUUUAGAUAACUCUCUCAACAAAAUCAUUUCUACAAUACUUUUUACUCUCCUAUGAUAUUGAAUAUUUUAUUCCAUUUAGGUGACUCUCAACACAAAGAAAAGUAGGAAUGUCUUCUUAGGUUAACUAAACAAAGACUUUUUUUUUUUUUUUUACUUUACAAUAUGUAUAAAAAACAAUUAUUUAUUACAAGGAAUGUGGUAGAAAGGUCAUUUUAUUUUUAAAGAAUUUUUAAGAAUUUAUUAAACAUUUACAAAAAAUAGAAUCUAACAAUUUUAUUUCUAAAAAAAUUGAUCAAUUCAAAAAAGAAAGAAGAAUGUUAUUUUUUAAGAAAAGUUAAUAAACCACUUUAUUCUUGAAUUAUCUAAACAAAACUUACUAAAAAAUAUUUUAUCCCAAAUUUAUUUUCAAAACUUUCUUAUUGAAAACUAUCUCAUAUAUAAAUUAUUUUAUUAUAUAGAGAAAUUCUUAUUUUAUUCUUUUUUUAGAGAAAAAUUCACUUGUUUUUUAAAUAUCAAAGAAGUCUAUUUUUAUGUCUAUUAUAUAUAUAUAUAUAUAUAAAUUCUCUUAUUUUCAUACAAGAAAUUUCCAUUUAUGCCUAAAAUACUUUUAGAAAAAUCAUUGCCAACAAAAUUUUAUUUUUAAAAUUAUUUUCAACAUUCUUAUUUAAAAAAAUUAUCAUUGGAUUAUUUUCAAAAAAGACCGUCCUAAAAAAAUUAACCAUUUAUAACCCAAUUUAAACUCAAAAAUUAUCCCCAAUAUUAUUUUAUAUUCCUAAAUUAUUUUCAAACAAAAUAACAAUUAUUAAUAUUUUGAUUCAUUUUUAAAUACUUUCACAAAAAUAUAUUUAAACCACAUAUUAUUUUAAUUUAUCAAAAUAUUUUUAGGAAAUGUGCUAUUUUCCAUUUAUUACUAUCCUAUUUUUCAAAACAUAUUUUCAGGCAUUUCAUUCACAUUUUAAAUUUCAAAUACUAAAAUUAUUGUUUUUAUAAAACAACAAAGCAUGUAAAUUUCAACUACUAAAAUUAUUGUUUUUAUAGAAUAAACAAAGCAACAUACACUUAUCUUCCAUUUACUAAUUCAACUAUUACAAUCACCCCAAUAUUUUGUUCACCUACCAAUAAUUCAUUCCAUGUAGGUGACUCUAAAAAAAAAAAGUCAUAUUUAUAAUACCCUUUACCACUCUGAUACCCAAUAUUCUAUUCCAUUUAGGUGACUCAAUACAAAGAAAGUGGGAAUGUUUUCUUAGGUUAACCGAAGAAAACCCUAAAUAACUUAAGUGCUUUUGGAUUAAUUGAGCAUCAUCUUGUAGUAGAUGUCAAUCUCUAUUGUUAGACUUCACCAAAAAGCUCCUAGCACGGUGGAAAAAAGUAUCAAAUAUAGUCAAGUCUUCAAUAAAAUAUUUUCACAUGUGAAAAAUUACAACCAAUACACUAUAUAGUCAAGUCUUCAAUAAAAUAUUAUUUCAUACGAAAAAUUACUACAAACUAGUGUAUCUCUCAUUCUCAAUUAGACAUAAUUUUUAAAAAUAAUUCCUUUUUUUUUUUCAUUUGUUUUGGGGCUUAUUAGCAAUGAAACAAAAAAUAUGUUAGAAUGUUAAACCUAGUUUUUACUUCCCUGGAACUUGAUAAAAAACACCAUUUACAAAACCCACAUCAUAGAUAUACUUAAUCAAGAGAUAUAAAACAAUUAUACUAACAAAGUUUUUUGCAUUAAUAAAAAAAAAUGAAGAUGAUAGAUAAGAGAUUUGGACUUACCCGAGAUUUUACGAAGCAAAGAAUAUCAAUUAUGGGUGUGCCGACCAUGGGUGUGAGAAGAAGGAGAAGAAAACGAUGGUUAGGGUUAAGCAAUAAGAUCUUUUAUAUUAGUUAAUGUAUAUAUGGAAACAAUGGACUUUUCAUAAAUUGUUCCUACUUACUAUUUUUAAAAAGGGCCCAUUGAGUUAUAAAAUUUAAAACUUUUUAUUUCAUAUGGUGUCACUUCCAAAAAAUGACACUGUAAAUCUGAAAUUAGCAUCAUCUAACUAUCCUAAUUGAAGAUUUUUUAUAUGAUGUGUCACCUUUAUAAAUUUUAAGUUCAAUGGUGUCAUUAUUUUAAAUGCGACACCAUAAAUAGUGACAUCAUAAAUUAUUUUUGUAGUAGUGCAAGAAACGAAUAAAGAUCUAUAUGGAUAUGAAAUCAACAAUUAUCUUAUGAAAAAAUCUAGUUCUCCAUGAUGGAAGCCAGUAUAUUGAUACAAAAUAUAAUUUAUUAGAGAGUACAUUAUGAAAUAUGAAAUGCAAUUAAAAUUUACAAAAUGUCAUGAUCAAAUUGUGAAAACAUUAACCAAGUCUCUCAAGUAUAAAGAUUUUAGAAAGCUAAGGAUGCUAUUUUUACAAAUCAAGUUGAUGGGAGGAUGUUAGUUAAACUAGAUUUAGAAAGUUUCUAAAAAUUAGAUUUUGAGUUAGGUAUUAAAAGUUAAUUAAAAUAUUUUAUACAGAAUUCUUGAUUUAGUUUGUAUAUUUUGUUACUGCAAGAUUUUAUAUUUUACUAUCGUGAGUAUCUAUUCUUUUUAGGUGUUAGUAUCUAUAAAUAAGAUGUUAUGUAAUAGUUGAUCAAGUGUACAGGUGGACGACAAUAAAUUUUUUCUUAAUCAUCUCAAUUAUUUAUUUAUGUAAUUGCUUGUGUGUUUUUUCAACCACAUUGCUGCAACAUAGGUGAAUCUGUUAGUUGGUCUAUGAAAAUUCAUAUCAGUUGUUCAACCUUUUAAAUUCUAUAACGUAUGUAGAUUAUAGCCUCUUUCCCUAAGCCUGCAUUUUUCUUUCAUUUCAUGGUGUCAACACUUGAGGAAAGCAAAAUUUCCUAAAAUGGAAUAUGGUGUGCAAGGAUCCAGUGACUUAUUAGGCAUCUAAACAUGGUGGCAUUUAUUUUUUUGGCUUUUUGCUAAAAGCAAUUUGCUUUCAAAAUUUAGGUUGUUUGUUUUUUUAGUUUUUGAUGACUUAUUAUUGAAUUUUUAAAAUUUUUGGCUAAAUUGAGCACAAACAACUGACAUAAAAAUUCAUCUAAAAGUUUUCAAAAUUUUUGCUAAAACGUUAUAAAUUAACACUUGAAAAAAAAAUAGUACUUUUCAAAGUGGAAGUAUAUUAAUUUCUUGAUAAAAGAAAUUGCAAUAUUGUUAGCAAAGAUUAAGAACUACCACUGAAAUCUAAACCUUUGGUGUAAUUUAAAAAAGAGGGAAAAAAAACAAAAAGGAAAAGAAAAAUAAUUAGGAAGAGAAGAGCAGAAAACAAACAACUGCUUUAGGGCAGUAUAAAAAAGUUGGCCAUAAUUUGAAGAGAUCAGCAAACUUUAAUACUAUGAUGAAAAGUAAUAACUCAUAUCGCUAACGUAUUUCUUAAUGAAAUGACAACGGAAGGGCAGGACACGCGGGGCAAUAUCAUCAGAGAGGCUGAUUGGUCUUGAAUAUGCUUCUUUUAAUAUCAUGGACAUUUCUUUGAAGUCCCCAUGUAAAAGGCUAUAAGAAUUCUCAGCCAGGCCUUACUCUCUAAGGCAUCUUUCUAACCUCUAUGGCCUCAACCACACCCAAUUCAAUAGCAUCCAUAAACAGCUUAUGAACACAGUAAGGAACCCAAAAGAAAUUGCAACUGAGUUAUGCUUCAUUUCCAGGUUGAGGGACUUCUAUCAGGAGAGGUAUGUUAAAUCACUUCAGAGUGAGAAAAUGACUUUAUGCUGCCGAUGUGUAUAAAUUGGCCGCUAUUCUAUUCCCUCGUGUCGGCAAACAUAGAAGAGUUCGUCAAUACCUAAUGGAGAGAAGAACUUCUAGUAUUUUAAAAUCUAUAAAUUAUCUAUUUUAAUUGUCUCCAUCAAUAUGGCUUUUAAACUUCUCAAUGAAUUAUUAAUUUAUUCUAUUUGAUACAUUUCAAAGUUUGUGCAAUCAUCACUGCUUAUUAAAAACUAUAUAUGCCAUGAAUGUAGAAGGCAAAAUUUGAGCAUACAGAAUAUGGAAUUCUAUUUGAUGGACCAGCUUUCACUUGUGAGUCGAUGGAGCAUGUGGAUGCUCACUUUCAGAGAGUCAAGGGGCAGCUCGCAUCCCUCACAUCUUGGAAGAUGUCGCAGGGUGCUUCCAGCUCUACAACUCCAUCUGAUCUGGACUUUUUGAUACUUUAUGUUUUUUUUUUUUUUUUGGUGGAUAAGCUUAUUUUGUACACCUAACCCAUCUUGGCUCAGUUUAUCAUAUAUUUUGUUUGUCUAGAUGUACUUUUAUUUUCUUAUCUCUUGUAUCCAAAACCUUUUUUAUCAUAUAUGUCCAUGUGUUUGCUUUUCUUUUCUUCUUUUUGUAUGCUUACUGCUUCAUCAUGCUUUUUGUCAUUUUUUUUGCAACAAAAAAGGGGAAAUGGAUUGUUGAUUUGAUUGAGUGUUUUGAUAUUCAUAUUUUUUUGACAUCUGUUUCAUGACUUGCAUCCCCUUACUCGUUUACCUGAUUUGAUAAAAUUGAUCAAUUAUCUUUCUUCCCACACACUACUUUACCUGGGUAUGUUGUUUAGUGUGUGCAAGUUCUAGGUACUAGGGUGUUGGUCAUUUUUUGGAUGUGGCUUCUAGUCCUUUGCACGAUAGAUGAUGAAUUGGUUUAGACAAGAGGUAUUGAGAGAGAUUUGUAAACUCCAUUUCAGAGUAUUGAGGGGUUUAUGCAAUUUGUAUUUUAUCACAAAAUUGCCAAAGGGAGAGAUUGUUCGUACAUUAGGUGAUGUAGUUUAAAAUUGUCAAUUUUGUUCUAUUCAUUUUGGUUUAGGAUCUUUCUAGAUUGUGUUUCAUUCCCCAUUGAAGACUCAAGGUUAUUAAUUGAUCAACCAAGAUUACAUAGGUAAGUGUAAAAAGAUUUAGGAAAGGGAAGUUAGUGUUUGGUAUGACAUGGCAUGGAUUGAGUGGUUUAAAAUUGAGCAAAAUGAUUUUCUAAUUGGGUUUAAAAAAUGCUUAAAGUGCUCAAGCACUCUAAGAGCAUUUGAGCUCUAGAAAAAAAAUUCUCUAGAAUUUUGGAGAUCUGUCUUUCUAUUUUUAAAGGAUUUAUUUUGAGGAACUUUUUAGAAUUAGUCCACUAGGUUCCUAAGCUUAAAUAUACAUUGCAUAAAAAGGUUUUUGGUUUGAUGCUUUUGAGUUGAAAAACCUAGUUUUUCUUAUUGUUUCCAAAAUUAUAGAAGAAACAUUCAUAUUUACUUCUGCCUAGUUGAGAAGGAGAUUUGUAUCCCCCUCAAGUGCUGAAGUGAGAUCCUCUAUGAGCACAUGAGAUGUUGCAUUGUGGACGCAAAACACAGUGUAGGUGUUAGGUAGUAAGUCUUAGUAGUAGCUUUCAUCAGGUAAAAUUGAGUACAUACCUCAUUAUAUAUGAUGGACAGCUCCUCAAAUGCAUAUCCUACAAUCAAAAUCAAUUGAUUCUAAAUUAACACCCAACCCAUAUUUCAAACAAAAUCUUGCAAUUUCACAUUUUGAGCACCAAUCCAUGAAAAUGGUGUUUUUGGGGAGAAAAUUCAAUUGAUUUAGGAGCAUAUUAGAUCUUACCCUUCCCCUCUUGAGACUUGAGACUUAGGAGUAACCUAUUUUCAGAUAGAUUCAAUAUCACUAAUUGAUUAAUUUUUAUGUACAAUAUGUUUUUCUAAAUUUUUAAAAAUUCCAUCCUUUUAAUUCUAUUAGAAUAACGUAAAUCAUAUGGAAGUUAGAUUCUAAAUCUCAAGUCUUCACAUCAUCAAGUAUCAACUAUAAGAACUCAAACUCAACACUUUAGUGGCUCUAAAGAGUCUAUUUUAGUGCAUUUGAGGUAUUUAAAAAUGACCUAAUGCUUGGUUUUUUUGUUAUUAAUGCCUUAGCCAUUUGUUUUUGAUAUUUUUUUGUGAGUAUUUUUAGAACUUUAAAGUAUUUUGAAAAUGAAGUGGACUUUGUGGAGGAUUCUCAAAGAAUAAAAUGCCUAAGUAGAGAGCAAGAACAAAUUGUAUACCUUUUAAGUACACAGGAUUCUAUUGUGCAUCUCGCUAGUGUGCCACCAAACUAGAUUGCACAUUCCCUCUAACAAUUUAAAUUGAGCACCUUCCCUAUGAUUCAAAGGUUGCAUACCCCUCAACAAUUGAACCUAACAAGAGCACUCAAGUUGUGCAUGUCCAUAACAUCUUAAUUGCACUUUUCCCUACCGCUACAGUAGUUUAUCCCUAGGGUCACUCACCAUGCAAUGUCACACCCCAAAACCCACUCCAAGGGCAUGAAGAUCUUUUCACAGCUAGCUCAAGCCCAAGGGCUUAAAGUGGAAACAACACAAACAUUUGUAUUGUAACUGAAAAUUUACCAAUUACCAAAUUCUUGUUCAAAGUAGUAGGACAAAAUUCUAAAAUCUCCAAGUAUCAACUUGAAAAAAAAAACUAAUACAUCAACCAAAGUGUUAUUGUCCAAAUAACUUUCAACUCAAAAUAAUUCAAAUGAGAAUUAAGCUUUAACAUCUAAACAAUGUCCAAAAUAAAGAGAGUUUAAACAAAUGUUAUAACAAAGCCAAAUUUCCCUCUUAAUGGUCACUCCUUGCCAGAACUGAGGUUGCCUAAAAGAUUAUCAAUGAAGAGAGGUAAGCUCAAAGGCCAAUAAGGAACAUUAAUACAAUUUUAUGGAUCAACAUUUUCAAUUAUGCUUGCAAAUAGGAGAUAUAACAUAUACUUAUUUUCAUAAAAACUUUUGAGUUCAAAAUGCUAAUACAUUCAAACUUUUCAACAAAACUUUCUCAUAUCCAUUUCAAAACAAUUUCUCAUCAAACCAAAUCAAAUACAUUCAAAAUAUCUUUACUCCAGUUAUCGUGUGACAAAUGGUGCCCAAUUAGGUGGGACUUUGCAAUUGAGUAACUAGUUUCAAAUUUGUUCCAUUUAAGGUGAACAAAACCAAAUGUCAAGAAUUAUAACCCAUUGACUAAGGUCAUAUAAUAUCAACUAUUAUAACCUGUUGACUAGGGCCAAAAAUGUCAACUAUUAUAACCCGUUGACUAAGGCCAUAUAAUGUAGAGAGUCAAAUACUUUAUUUCAUUAAUUCAAACUUACAAAACAAAACAUCAUAUCUCAAAUUUUCAUUUUUCAUAAACAAAGAAAAUACUCAAAUAUACUUUCCAUACAAGACAUAUAUUUGAUCCGUGCUUAAAGAUAAAAAUAAUAUUUUUAAACAUUUCAAAAUAUAAUAUAAAAAGAAAACUAUUUUCUUUUACAAAAAUCUGCAUUAAUUUCCUUUACUUGAAUAAGCACUCAAAAUCUUGAAGUAUUUAGCUUUGAAGAAUUUCCUCCUCACCUAACAUAAUAUCAUACACAAUAUUGAUUAUUGAUUAUUUAUCUAAAUAUAUAAAUUUGACAAUCCUAAAAAUAUUUUAUUUAGUAUUAGGGAUCCUAAUUAAUUUCUCAUGUUAAUAUUAUUACCAUCCAAUAUUAUUUUCAACUUCCUAAACAAUAAUUUAUUUCUCUUCUCUAACUUAUCUAAAUUAAAUCUUUUAAGAAUAUUUAUUUGCAUUAAACAUUAUUACUAUUAUUUAAAUCUCCUACUAAAACUUAACAAAUACCCCAUGCAAUUCUUUAUUUUUUUCCCAACAACUCCACACCAACUCCAUUCAUUAUUAUUAUUUCUUUUAUUAUUAUUAUUAUUAUUAUUAUUACUAAUUUCAAUACCCAAUAACACCUUAACCUAUUUCUCUUCCAAGCCAUCAACGUCCUUUUCUUCCUCAUCGUUUACCAAAAUACUAUUUACUUCCUUUCCUAGGUCAACGUGCUGACCAAUCCUUAGUUUUUUUUUUUUCAACAUGCCAAAUCCUUCCUACCUACAUGCAUCUUUCAUCAUUUUUUUCUCCUCUCUAAGGUCAAAACUUUUAAUCUCCAUACUCACAAAUUUUAUGUAAUUUUCACAUCUGAAACUAUAUAUAUAUAUAUAUAUAUAUAUAUCUAGAUCUAUUCGUUUGAGUAAUCAAAAUUUGUCGAUCUCCAUUAAUAAAUCAAACUAUGUUCAUAUUUUUUUUAUCUUUUUGACCUAGAAAUUAAUUAAAUGAACUCUAAUCAAAAUUGAAAUAUUCCAAAGAAUAUCUAAAGUGUUCAAAACUAAUUAACAAAUAUAAAAUAUUAAUUUAAGGAUUAAAAAUCUUACUUGAAAAAUUGAUCUUCAAAUCAUAAACCUCCAAAUCUUCAACCGUAUGCUCUCUAAUAUUUCAAAUCUUUAUGUAAAAGGGUUUUCUGAAUAGAGAGGAUGGGAAAAAUCUAAUUUAUACCUAGGAGUUUUAAAUACAAAAAGACCUUUUUACCUUUAUUAAAUUACUUAAUUUAAUUAUUAAUUUCUAAAUUAUGAUUUUACCCCUAAAUUGGGUUUAGGGCAUUACAUUCACACUGUUCCCACUCUUGCAAAGGUUGCACACCUGAGAAAACUCCUUCCAAUGAUUUGUACACUCACCAAAGUAAUGCAAGCAUCUAAGCCUUAAGUCAUCAUCUAUACUAUCAAUUCUCCCAUACCGAUUGCAUUGAAAGCCAAGUGCAGCCACCAACUCCAAGCUGACAAGUCAAGUACAAGAAAGAUGGCUAGUUGACUACAUUGACACAUGAUAUGAUCCCCAACAUGAGCAAGAGGCAGUUCUAGGAGAAUAGUUUGAGCAAUAAGAAUGGAUUACCUAAAGGGAAACCCAUCUAUAAAUAGAGGAUUGUCUGGGCACGCGUGCGCAUACACACACACACACACACACACACAUAUAUAUAAAUAUGUAUGUAUGUAUGUAUGGGGAGAAGAAAAGAAAAGAAAAAAAGAAUGUUGAAGAGUUUGAAUCUUUAAUGGAGAUGAUAUUAACCUUUUUAGGAUUUAGUUAGGAAUUUAUUUUGGUAAUUAAAAUGACAAUUAAUUAUUUGGAUAGGAUUUGUUAGGUAGUUUCCUACUUCUUUCCAUAUAUUUUCCUUAUGUUUGUAGGUUUCCUACAUUAUAUAAAUAGAGGACAUUUUCUCUUCUUUUCUCUAUGAAUGAAUAUAUGACUAGGUAAAAUUAAGCUAUAGGUUUCUUAAUUGUAUCAAAGCCAAAUUCUUAUUACUAGGAAUAAUGGUUAAAAUUACAAUGAUAGGUGCUUCCAAUUAUGAUAACAACUUGAAGGAGGCAGAAAGAAAACCUAUCCCUCAUUAGAAUUUUGUGACCAAUGGUCAUGGUCACUCUUCUUAGCUAAUUACCUCUCACAAACUAACUUAAUGGAGAAAAUUAUCUUGAAUGGUCUCAAUUUGUCUAACCUUUCAUUCGUGGGCAUGGACAAAUUGAAUAUUUUAUUAGAGUAACAUCAAUACCACAAGGAACAAUUCUCAUCGAGACAUAGGAAGUAGAGAAUGCCAUGAUUAUGUCAUGGUUGAUCAACUCAAUGGAACUCAAGAUUAGGAAGACAAACAUGUUCAUGCCCAUAACUAGAGAGAUCUAGGAGGCUACCAAGGAAACCUAUUACAACUUGGUAAUUUGCUCAAGUCCACAAGAUAGCCAUACAAGUAAAAAAUACCAAGCAAGAUAAUAUGAAUGUAAUUCAAUACUAUAAUACACUCAAAACUCUUUGGUAAGAACUUAAUUUGUUCUAUGAUUAUGAAUAACAUUGUGCACAUGAUAGUGAAAUGUUCUAAAAGAUAUGAUUGAGAAGGAUCGAGUAUUUGCAUUCCUAAUGGGGUUUAAAUAAUAAAUUAGAUGAGGUUUAAAGUAGAAUUCUUAGUAGUGAAUAAUUCUAGCAAAAUCUAAUACCUCUUUACUUAACAUUACCCUAGUUGUAAAAAAACAGUAAGCUUCACAUUUCGACCAAUGAUCCAAAAUUCAAAAGUAUUCAUGGAAGGCCCUAGUGUGACCGUCAUCUCCUCUAAAUGCUUCCAGAAUUCAAAAUAUUCAUUGACAAGUGAUUAACCAUCAUCUUUUCCAAAUGCAUCUUUAGAUGUCAUAUACCCAAAGGUGUUCAAAUUCACAAGAUAUUGACCAAGUCUAGAUAUUAAGAAGGUAUAUGAUCCUCUACCAUUAGAAAGAAUAAGAUACAUUAUCCUCUACUAGUGAAAGCACAUAUGUCAUCAUAUCAACAAAUCAAGCAUGCGUGCAAAUCUAUCUUCUUGGUCUUCUAAUUGUGGUCAAGCAAGUAUUAAUGAAGUACUUAAUUUGAAGCAUCUCUUUAUCAUCUAUAGUGGUUGUAGUUGCUAAUCCAAUAAUUGUACUCCUUUAAAAGUGGUACAAAUUAUUCUUCCUUAUUCCUUGCAUCACGACAAGUUUACUUGGCAUAACUUUCAAAAUCCCAUCUUUUAUAGUAACAAUAUUGAACCCUAUGGGUUCUAAUACUCCAAUUGAGAUGAGACACUUAUUCAUACUAGGAACAUACCAAACAUCACUCAAAAUUUUAGUUGAUUCAUCGUGAGUCUUCAACUGGAUGGUAUUUAUUAUUGUUAUCUCAUAAGCAUUAUCAUUCCCCAUGUAAAUAACUCCAUCUUGUAGUUCUUCAAAGCAAGAAAACCACUCCUUGUAGGAAUGCGUGUCAAGGUGGACCCAAUAUCCAAAAUCCAUUCAACUAAGUUAUAAAACAAGGAUAAGCAAACCAAAGCAAAGUUUGACCCAUCUUUUCCAAACUUAGCCACACAAGCAUCGAAUACUAUUUCUUCUUUAUUCUUAUUCUGUAGCUUAGGACAAUCAUUAUUUUGACACUACCAAAACUUAAGUAUGGUUGACCCAUUUACAUUUAAUUUUCUAACAUAUUUAAGCUGACGGAAAUUUAUAAUACACCUAUUCCAUCGCAAAUUGAAUUGUCCGUCACUUAUAUGUAACUAUUUACCAACAGUAAUUGCAACAACAAAUACUUGUCGGCAAAAAUAUUAUUGCAAUGGAUUUAAACCAUUGCAAAUGUUCAACUAAUAUACUUUGUCACAAGAGCAAUUUACCUAUAAAAUAGAAAAAUAAAAAACAAACUUUCAAAAAUAAUUUUUUCUAUGAAAAUUACUACUCACUAAAACAGUUUUAUUAUAGUGGAUAAUAAUACCACACAUAAUUUGUUCCAAAAAUAAUUGUAGUUAUAUGAAUAUAAAAUCUUUUCACCAUGGUUUUAUGAUAAAUACGAUCUAGCUAGUGACAAAACAAUUUUAUGAUUAUUUUUUAGGUUCAUACAAUAUUUACAUUUUUUUUAAUCAUAAUAGUUUUAACUACUUUUUAUUGUCCAUUUUAGAAAGAAAUAAAUUAAAAAUUAUUGACAUAUAUAUAUAUAUAUAUAUAUAUAUAUAUAUAUAUAUAUGUAUGUAUGAUAUAAUUUAUGAUAUCGAAUAAUAAUAUUUAAAAUUUAAAAAUAUAUUUUAUAGAGAUUUAUCUAAUUUGAAUGUAUUCAAUAACAUAAAAAAAUGAUAGUACAUGUAUAAGUAUUUUUAUUUUAAAAUGUUGAUAAUUUUAUUUAUAAAUUUAUAUUUAAUUAUUAUACAAAAUAAACAAGAAUCAAAAUUAAUUAAUUUAUAAUAAUUUUAUUUUAACUAAUUUAUAAUUUAUAUAUAUAUAUAUAUAUAUAUAUAUAUUAAUUCAUGCAUGUAUAAUUUAUAUAUAAUAUGUAUUUAUAUAUAGAUAAUAUUUAUAAUAUAAAUGCAUAAGUAUAUAAUAUUUACAUUUAUGAAUCUCAUAUACAUUCUUUAUAUUACACAUAAAUAAGAUGACUUGGUGGCAUAGUUGCUUCCUUUCAAACUUGAGGUCAAGGGUUCAAUCUCAAGAAACAACAUCCAAGUCAAUAUCCAAAAUUAGCAAGGAGAGGAGUGUACAAGAUGCUCCAUGUGAAUGUAAUGAAAUCGAAAUUUCAUGACAACCUAAAAUCUUUUAUUAUUUAUAUUUCUCAACCAACUUAAUUUGUUGGUAAUAGUGAUGGUCUAAAUCCAUUGGAUAGUUUGUCACUAAAUAUUUUUUAUUGGCAACGGAAAAUUCCCAUCAAUGGACUUUUGCCAACACACCUUUCCUCGACUACCAUGCGAUGGGAUUAUUGAUUGGUAAAUAUUUAUUUCGACUGUGUAUAUUAGUUGAGAAAAGUCAAAUUUCUUGUAGUGCGGUGACCCUUGUCAUGAAAAAAGACGCAUUCAUCUUUUGCAAGUAUACAUUUAAAUUAAGAAUUGUCUUCUUUUCUAAGUUUUCAACUUUGAGAUUAGUCAUUAACUGUUAAAGCUUCCAAUGAUAUAUCUCUAUGAUCGCUUUGGUCCUUCUUCCUUUAUUCAUAUAUUUGUCCUCCAAUGUCUUCCAUAAAUGUUUUUGUGGAUAUCUCUUUCAUAAUGGAAUAAUUUUAAGCUUUAACAAGAUAUAAGUGGAUGGAACUAUAAAAUUGACAAUUGAUCCCUUACCCAUUCUUUAUCAUUCAUGUUUUCAAGUUUUUCUUCCAAAACAAUAUCCAAAUCCUAUUGACAUAUCUAAUUAAUGCCUCUUACUGCCACAUUCCAAAAGUACUAGUCCUAUCAAAUUUAUCUAUUAUAAAUUUUGCAUUAGUAACCAUAGUUUUAACUAACGAAGUUUUUACCUUUUCUUUUAACUAGUGCAAUAAAAAAUAAUCUUGAACUAAUCUUGAAACCAACCUUGGAUAGAACUAAUGCUCUUAUACCAUUUUGUUGUGCUUUAACCUAAUCCCACAUGCAAGACUUCCAAAAGUACCAAAUAAAAUACAAACUAAACUAGUCCAUAAUAUAAAGAGAAAUAUCAAGAGAAAUAAAAAUAAAGGAGGGUACACAAUAUUUAUGAGGUUUAGUAACGAUGUCUUACCUAUUUCACCGAACAAUGAUGAUCAAUCUACUAAUCUUCAAAUCAAAAUUACAAAAUCAAGUUGUGAAAGAUUGUCUCACAAAGUGGCUGCAAUUACAAAGAUUGACUGAAGCUACUCUAACAACUUUGCUAAAGUCAUUCUUACACUACUAUGAUGAAAAGACUUAAGACUCAUUUAUAGAACCUAAAUAAGUCCUCGAGCCUUGACAAAACUAAUUCAUAGUUCCUAUGGGACAAGGACUCCUAACAUAUAACAAAUUAUGAAAUCAUAAUCCUUAUAGGACAAGGAUCCCUAAAAUAUAUUAAACUCUUAAUUAAGCUAAAAGCCAGUACCUAAUAUAGAACCUAUACCAUAUUUGCUAUAACUCUACUAAGUAGAUGGUUGUUAAGAAGUAUUAUCACUUUCAAAAGUUAAAUAAUCAUUUAUUUUUCCUUCCCUUUCCACUUUUCUUAUCAUCCAGACAACAACAGUAAAAAAUGUAGUGUAACUUUUGUUACUUUGCUACUUGUUCUCUCAACUUACUUGCUUGCUUGUGAAUGACCUCCAUAAUCAAAGUAAAUGGAGAAAAAAUGUGGAGUUCCAAGAUAUAGGUAGAAAAGAGUGGAAAAAACCUUAGUUCUAUAAAAUAGUUUGCAAUUUUGUCUCUAGAUCUCUCAUUUUCGUGGUAAUGGCCAUUGAAGAUGUCAUCACUGAGAAGAUCACAAAGUGAAGAAGGCAUGACUGAGGGUUGGUAGUAUAGAGAGUUAAGGUAGAAAAUAGCAAAGAUAGGAUUUUGACGUUUUUAGAAUUUGUAAAUAAAAAAUAAAUACAAUCCAAAAAUCACUUUUAGAACAUGAUUUUACCUAACCAUGCCAAACAUAUUUUUUGUUAUGUGGAUUGUAUUUGAUGUUCUCAAAAACAUUGAAUACAUUUUGGAUUGACUAUUAAACACGACCUUAGUAAUUAAAUUAGCAUAUUGAUAAAUUAUCAAGAGGCUCUUAUCAAUUUGGUCAACUCUUAGAAAAGUGUUGUUGAAAACACUAAAUACAAUCUAUAUAUAUAUAUAAAAAAAUGAAACAUGAAUUUACUUGACCAUACCAAACACAUUAUUUUUUAUUUGGAUUGUGUUCAGUAUUUUCAAAAACACUAAAUACAUGCAGUUUGAUUGACUACUGAACAUGAACUUAGUAAUUAAAUUAGAAAUUUCAAAUGAAUUAAUGUCUUCUAUUUUGCAAGCAAGUCAAGAUUUUAUGUUUUCUACUAAAAUUUUAAAUGCAUCACUAAAAGUAACAUCACCACUUUCUAGUUAUAAAGUUUUGAGAAGAUAUUUUUUAUCAACACAUAUAGUUGUUUGCUUUCAUGUCAAGAUACCAAAUACUUUUUUCGUAAAAUUUUUCCUUUUUAUGCAACUAAUAAAGUGGGGUUUUUUUCUUGAUUCAUUUUUUAACAUAGUUUUCCAUUCUACACUGUUAAUAUACCAACACUUUUCAUUUUUUCUUGAAUUUUGGAUGUUCCUUCAUUGUAUGAUGGACAAUUUCCUUAGCCACAACCAUGAUGACCAUGACCAUGACAAUGAUUAUUUUGGCUUCCUUCAUACCAAAUUUUUUUCCCCUCUUGUUGAUAUAUUAAACUAUGUUGACAAUUUUCUUUUAUUUAUAUAGUGAGUCUAAUACAUCAUACUUCCAAGGGUCAUAUUGAUGUCACUCAACUUCAAGCUACUUUUGAGUUAACUAUAUUACAAGGUAUAUGUGCAACAUUAGGUUGAAUUAAGGCACAAGGAAUGGCUACCACAUGUAUGCUAGGUGAAAUAUUAGAGUUUUUUUUUUUUUUUUUGUCAAGGAUAAGGAUUUGAGUAACUAAAGCCUCAAUAAAGUCUUUAAGAUAUCCAUUAAGGAACACAAGGAGUGUUGCAUGGGGGCGUGGAAGAAGAAUAUAAGUUAUGUGUAUCUUGUCUUUAUAUUUAGUAGAUUGUUUGUGGUUGAUAAACUAUUCAUGUAAUGACCUGCUCCCAACCGUGUAGAUAUUGUCCACUUUGGACCUAAAGGGGCCCUCACGGCUUUAAAAUGCCUUUAUAGAGUUAAGAUAAGUCCAUACUUAUAUAGCGCUAAGAAAUUUCCCCCCUAUUUGAUGUGGGAUGUUAGAAACACCCCCUUCCCUAUGUAGACACAACGUCCUCGUUGUGUCCUAUGGGAUUGUAGGGCCAAACAAAUGAACACCCCUACAAGGCCAAACAAACCCUCAAACCGAGGUUGAAGAUCGGCUUUGAUACCAUUUGUAACAACCCAUUCCCAGCCAUGUAGAUAUUGUUCGCUUUAGGCCUAAAGGGGCCCUUACGACUUUAAAACACAUCUACGAAGUUAAGAAAAGUCCAUACUUAUAUAGCGCCAAGAACUUCCCCCCUAUCCAAUGUGGGAUGUCACAAACACCCCCAUCCCCCACCCCAUUAUAUAAAUAUAUUAUUAUUAUUAUUAUUAUUAUCAUUACUUUCAAAAAACCCUACAACACCAUUACUCCAAGCCACCAACUACACUCAUUAUUAUUAUUAUAAUAAUAACACUUUUUUUUUCUUUUGUUUCUUCCUUCAUAGACGUCCACAUGCAUUUUUUUUUUCUUUUUAGUUUGUUUGUGACAUCCCACAUCAGAUAGAGGGAAAGUUCUUGGCGUUAUAUAAGUAUGGACUCCUCGUAACCCUGUAGACGUGUUUUAAAGUCGUGACGGCCCCUUUGGAUUCAAAAUGGACAAUAUCUACAUGAUUGGGAGCGGGUUGUUACAAAUGGUAUCAAAGUCGAUCCCCAACCUCGGUGAGGGGUUUGUUUGGCCCUGUAAGGGUGUUUGUAUGUUUAAACCCACAAUCCCGUGGGACACAACGAGGACGUUGUGUCUGCAUGGGUGUUGUUUGUGACAUCCCACAUCAAAUAGGGGAGAAAGUUCUUGGCGCUAUAUAAGUAUGGACUCCUCAUAACCCUGUAGACGCAUUUUCAAAUUGUGAGGGCCUAUUUGGGUCCAAAGAGGACAAUAUCUACACGGUUGGGAGCGGGUCGUUACAUACACAUAAAUUUCAUGAAAGUCUUGCAACAUAUAAGGGGUAGGCCUUGAAGUUACAGUGAUAAUUUAUUCCACUAAAAAAUUUGAUCUCUACAUUGAUAUCAAAUUUUUUUUUUUUUUUGGGAGUAAUAGGGAUAAAUACACAAAUAAUAGUACUAUUAAAAGAGAUAAGUAGAUGAGGAAAUUAAAAGAAAUUUAUUGUGUUUUAAUACAUUAAUUGAAGUAUUAUAUACACAACUCCAAUUACAAUAUGUUUUAAUACACUUUUAAAAACCAAAUCAAAUGUAAUUUUUGAAAACUUCUUGAAACUCAAAUUUAGAUUUCAACGUGUGAUUGAAUGAUAGGGAUGAAAAAAAAUAGGUAAAUAAAACAUAUGUAAUAUUAUUGUAUAUUAUUAAUCGCUUCCAUACCAUUAGCAUAUCAAUGGCAUCUUGCUAAGAAGAAGAACCACCACAACAAUCCAUUAUAAUAGUUUCGGAAUGAAUGACAUUUAUUUGUUUGUAUUCUAUUGUUUUUCUAUUUACGUCAUAUUCACAUGAAUUGACUUUUUGUUUAGAGUAGUGUUUUAGUAGAGUAUUCGUAGUACACCUAGAUAUCUUUCUAUGCUAUCAUAAAGUAGCUGAUUGCCCAUGAUUAUGCAAUGCCAUCAUAAAGGAACUGAAUGGCCAACACACGUACAUGUGAGGUACCAUAUUUUUUAAGAAAGACAAGUCAGUUUGCAAUUGAUGUUAAUAUCUUUCCAAGGCAGAAACAUCAUUUUGUAGGUAUAAUUGAAUUAGUUAAACUCAAACCCCAAUUGACAUUCUUUCAAGUAAAAUCAUUUUUAACCUAUAAUGCUCAACACUUUUAUGAGAAUCAUAAAAGUAUCAGAAUCAUAGAGAAUUAUUGAAAGUGAUUUUGUAGUGUUGUUGAUAAUAUGUCACAUGACUAUAAAAAUGCUUUUAAUAUUAGCAAAUUAUAAAAAAGGACAUCAAAUUUAAUUACAAGGAAAUAUUAUAAUAAACUAAUACUUUUUCGUGAUAAAAGAAUAUAUAAACAUUUAUAGUAAAAGAAUAUAUAAACAUCUAUAUUACUAACAAAAACUAAAAAAUAAUAGUUCUUGUGAUUACAAGAAAAUUUUAGAAAAUAUUUACAACAUGAUUUGGAUUAAUAAACAAACAUCAAUAAUAAUAUAAUAAUUUUUAAAACAAAAAAAAUCAUUUGAUUAUUUAUUCACUUAAAAAUAAUAAUUUUUAUUACUACAAAAUUUUGAAAAAUACUUACUAAAAAUCUAGAUUAAUAAUGAAAAAUUGAAUAAAAACAUAUUAGUUUAGUUUCUAAAAAAAAAAAAAUAGUAAUUGAAAGCAAAUGAGAAAACAAAUUCUCUCAUAGUAAAAAAAUGAGAAAAUUAUAUAUAUUUUUUUCAUAUUAGUGUUAUAAUAAAACAUCAACAAGAUAUAAAACGACUAGCAAUUCGAUCACGUUUUUCUUACAUCUCUCUUGCAUGAUAGAACCAUCUUUCUCAACUCAUGAAUCCACUCUACUCUUUUUUUUUUUUUUUAUUGAAACAGAUGUAACCCUUGAUCAUCAUCAUAAGGUUUAAAUUUCAUAUAUAUCCUAACAUUAAUCAUUAUUAAGUUGUAAAAACCAUCAAAGUAAUAACAGUGUUGACUUAUUUUUCAAGAGGAAAACUAUGCAUUUCUCAUAUUGUUCCACAUCUAUUCUUUAAAAAGGCAAAUGUUCAAUUGUUCUUCUCAAAGAUGUCUAUGGUUAAAUAUUUCCUUCUUACCUCUUGGUAAACUACUCUAUCGAAAUCUAAAAGAUGGUAACACUCGCCCUUUAAGGGCCUAAUUAUAUAUCCACUCAUUUAAGGAUAACCAACAUUGAGUAAAUAAUAUUUACCUACAAAAAAAAAAUUAAAAUUAUAUAAGAUUAUGAAAAUCUAAUCACAAAAGUAACUUUCAUAUUUUUAGUCACAAAUCUCUAGAAGGAUGAGGAAAACCCAAUUCUAGCAUUUUUUUUUAAUGCCUAUGAAAAGACGCAUACAUCAUGAGCAAAACCUUCCCAUCUAGCCAAUGCAAAUGUGAAAUACAUAUUGAAAUAAUAUAUGACCAUAAUAUUUUAGGUAGUUAUGCUUUUUGUACCAAUAUAUGAUAUUUGCCUAUCUAUAAAAACCAUAAUGGGCAUAUGAGUUCCAUCAAUUAACCCUGUACAAUUCUUAAAAUAUUGCCAAUAACGUCUAACAUUUCUUAUUUUAUCAAGGAUCUCCCUAAACUAUGAAUCACUUGGUUUUAUAUAUCCAUAGCUAUAAGAUAAACAACAUAUAAUAUAAUCUCAAACCAUCUAGAAAUAAAUUCAUUGGAGUGAUAAAAUCUUUCUUAGGUUGUCAUGUUGCCAAGUUUAUGGCCAAUUGUAGUGAGAAACAUUGCUAAAGCCUCUAUUAAGGGAAUAUCUAAACCUUCUCUUAGACCAUGCCUUUUAAUAAGUGUUUCCAAUAAUUAAUGCAUACAUGUUUUUCCAUUCUAAAUUGCUCAACUAUAAUUUUGAAAAAGUUCUACAAGGUUUUUAUUUUUUGUAGUUAGUAACUGUUAUAGGUAUAACACAUCCAACCAACACCAAUUGAUAAAAAUCAUUUCAUCACUGCGUUCAUCUUUAAUAUCAUGAUUGCAACUAUUAUUAUAAUUAGAAAACAUAAAUACAAAAAGUAAAAAUAAGAAAUACAUUAAAAAAACUAAUAAUGUAUAUUAUGUUAAUAUAGCUUAAACUAAUGCAUGUUUACUAAAAUAAAAGGAUUUUUUAUUUAAAAAUUUAUUUGAACAUGCAAAAUCAAGAGUAGUAGUAGUAUGCAAAAUAAUAGCACUGAAAAGUAGUAAGAGUAGAAAUACAUGUAAUCGUAUAAUUCUAUUUUUCCAUAAUAAUAAUAAUAAUAAUCUAGCUCAUGUGGGUCACCCUAGGAUAGGACUCCUCCCAUAACACCCCUAUUUUCAAUCCAUUUAUAUUCUUAAUAGUUUGACUAAAUAAAAUUUUAAAUUCAAAAGUGUUGUAUUGAGAAAUCAAAUACAUUAUAAAGCUCAUCUAAUUAGGAACUUGACUGAGACAAAAUUUUAGAUUCAAAGGUGUUGUGUUGUGAAAUCAAAUACAUUAUAAAGCUCAUCUAAUAGUCACAACUUUUAGAGAAAGAAACAAUUAAAUAUACCAUGUGAUAGACAUAUAUGUCUUCCUCACUCAAAAAGUUUACUCAAUACCAACAUACAAAUCUUAUUUAAAACAAUAUUAGGUAGCAAAAUAUGUUUCAACAUUAGAAUAAGAAAUAACUCAAAUAGUGAAACAUAUUUAUGCUUAUUUCAUGCAAUUUGAUCAAUUGAGUUUUCUAAUGCUAGAAACAGCUCCUUAUUUCCCUUGACAACUUGAAUAAUACAAUUUAAGGUCAUUCUUCACUUCAAGCAUGCCACAUAUAACUUUUAUUACUUUAACAAUAGCCAGGCUUAUCUACUCUAGAUGUAACUUUAAAAAUGGCCUCUAACUGCAUAGUCAAAAAACAAGAUUUGGUUCCAUCUCUUAUCUUCUUUCUUAUUCUCUCAUUUUGCUAUGAAAUUUAUUUCCUUGGGGUUCUCCUACAAAAGUAUUCAAUUUAUUAUAUUUCACGACCAAAAUAUAAAUUAACCAAAUAAACUUAGUAAAUAAAUAAAAAUGUAUCAUCAAUUUAUUAUCCCACCAUUCAUUUUUAGCAUUAGUGGUUUCUCAUAGGAUCCCACCCAAGGCCAAUCUUUUUCUGAAUCAAGGCAUUCCAAAGUUGUCAAUCUUUUUUAAGAGAACUUAAUAUAUUCUUAGGUUGCUUGUAUUGGUAGGUUCUUCUAGUUAGAUUGUUGAAUACCUUUAUCAUUUUUUUCCAUCCAAUUUACUAAAGUGACUAUUUGGUCUAUUUUUAGCCAAAAUCUUAGCAACACAAACUGUGAGAUAUGCAUUAACAACAAUAUCAUUCAAUAUACUUUGCUUUAUUUAUCAUUUUCUUUACCACUUGUUUGUUGUAGUGGUUGAACUAUACUACUAGACAUCUAAUAACAAAGUAAAGAACAAAGAAGUAUUAAAAGAAAAUGUUGUCAAUGUACUUUUAUAUUUUAUAGUUUAGACAUCUAAUGAGACCCAUAAAAAAGUGAACCUUAAAGAAAUAGGUCAACUAGAGGAAAAUGAAUCUCAGAAUACUGAAUUGGAAAGACUCACAUUCAUGGAAUAAAUUAAUAUACUAUAUCAUAAUUUUAUUAAUUCUUUUCAUUAGGUUGCUAAAAGUUGAAAAAGAAUUCCUCAUGAAACAAAUUAAAUAAUUUCCUCAUGAAAGAAUCCAAUCAUGGCCUCAUUAUGAAGUAUUGAAUUAACUCAAAGAACUUAAAUAUUAUCUAAUAAAUUUUUUCAUGGGUUUGUUUUUAUAACUUUAAUGUUACCAAUAUAAAAGGAAAUGAAACAUGUUUUAAAUAAUGUAAGAAACUAUGGUAGAAACGUGGAAAGAUUUAAGGAUAAGAGGCUUUAUAUGAACUUUAAUAUUGUUAGUAACAGAGAGGCAAAUGAGAUAUCUCAAUAUUAAAUUAUGCAUAAUUAGUAUAAUUUUUUAAAACUAAAUGGAAGAGAAUUUAGGAGGAAAAUAAGUAAUUAGAGUAUGAGAUAACAUGAAUGGUUAAAAUUGCCAAUCAUUAAAUUUAAGAUAAUUGUUAAUUUUCCAACUCCAUUAAUUAAAGCAAAGAGGGGAAAUGAGUUGGAUUUCUUAAUAGUAUUAAGUGUUGGAUUGACACAAAAUUAGGGUGCUAGUGGACACUUGAAAUGAGGACAAAGUAACAAUUGCAGAUAGCAUUUUACUCAUCUAACAUAGUUAAAAUUUGCAAAACCCACUUCUUAUUUAGUACUUUUAUUGAAUAUAUGGGUAUAGUUUAACUUCGAAUCUAAUAUGAGUGUACUUUGAAUUUCCUAAAGCUUACAUAUAUCUUCACAUAUUAAAUCAAAGAGAAAAUAUUAACGUUUUUUACAAUUACAAUUUAUCAGGACUCAAGGUUUAAUUCCUAAACUUUUAAAGUGGGAAAAAGAAGUGUAAGGGAGAAAAAAGGAAAAGGAAAAGAAAGGAAAAACAAAAAGAAUAAAAAACUAUUAAAAGGCAUUAGAAGCCUAAGAUGGGCAUAUCCAUGAUUUGAGGUGCAAAUAGGGGUGACAAUUCAUGUUGGUGGAUAGUGUUUGUGUUGUGUCAAAGCCUAGGUAUUCUACUACAUAGCUCAACCCAACCCUGAUACUACUUAUAAUCAUAUAAAAAAUAUAAGCCUAAAUACUAUCUAAUUAUUAAACAAGUAACACAUUGUACAACCCGCUUAAUCUAUUUAAUAUUCAGGUCCUGCUAUUUAAUAAUCAAAUUAAGUUAGGUCUUCUAUAUGUCUAUAUGAUUAAUGCCUCAAUAAAAUAUGUUUUUGGCUCAAUUGACCUAUCUAUUUAGAAACAAAUUUAAAAUGAAUCAAAUAUGGGUCAAACAUCUUAAAAAUAUAAGUAAGUUAAUAGCAAGAUUAUUAAAUAGGUUAAUUUGGGUCAAAUUCGUAUUAUGCAGGUUGACCAAAAAAGUACUUAUUUAGUAAAUGAGUUAUGUAAGUCGACACAAAUUUUACCUAAACUCAUUUAUACUUGACCCAAACCCAUGAAAAGCAUGUUAGGCUUGUAUCAUGCUAGGAAUUGUAUCAAACUUUGUCAUUCCUAGGUGCAAACAACUCCAAGACCCUACUUUUAAGGAGAAUAUAUAUACUUGAGAUUGCUACAUGAUUACUACUCAAAAUGUGCACUUUUAUAAGCUUAAACUUAAUUGUACUAAGCACUUUUGAGUAGUAGUUAGACCUUUUUAUCCCAAUUGUCAUGUUAAGGACCUAGAAAAUGUUACUAACCAAUUUCUAGUAAGUUUUAGUGUUUUUGGUAGUUUUUUUAUCACUGAAGCAGGCCAAGAUUGAGGGAGAUUUUUGUGCAAGCUAUGGCAAGGCAAGUUAAAUAUCAAUCACAUGAAGAAUCCGAGCUUCGGAGCACUUCAAAACCCUUGCCAAACUUGGAAAGGGAUUGGAAAAGUUAUCAGUAGUAAGAUGGAGGAAAACAGAGCAUUUUGCAAGGCAAAAUCAUCAAUUUUGUAAGGCAGGGUGUGCCAAACUUUUGCAAGGUGUGCCAAAAUUUCGCAGGGUGUGCAAAAAUCAUUUUGUGCGCACCGACCUUCUGGAUUUUUCUCCAUAAUUGUAAUUGUUCCUUUUUACUCCUUUUGUAAUAGAUAAAAGACAUUAGGGUUUGUUUAGGAACUAUAAAUAGGGGUUCGAAAGCCUCUCAAAUGAUGUGAGAUAUUAUGUUUUAGAUAUUUUGUAAAGGAGUUUUGAAGGAAAUAUAUGGAAGUUUUUCUCGGCCUUUCCUUCUCAUUUUCUUUUCAUAUUCUCUCUAGCCAAACACCCUCUGAGGAUGAUUUCUCAGAGGAUGAGUGGCUAAGUUUCAAGUUUCUUGGAGUGAUGGAAGCUAGGUAAAGGACCUAGAUGCAAAGGUGGGAGUUUUCCUUACUUUAAAUGAAGGUAGUUGUGUAUCAUUAAUGGUUUAUAUUUCAAGUUUCAGCUUUAAUCCCUUAGAAUCACCUUGAAUGGCCAAUACUUGGUAAGCUUUUAAGAUUCUGUGGAUGCUUAUUGCUAGAUCCAUGGAUGUCCAUUAUUAUCAAGUACGAGCCAUUGGAAGAUGGUUCAAGGUGAGAGUCUUUAGUGUUUGAAGCCAUUAAUGGGAAGCAACUACCAUUUUUCAAUAACCCUUUGGAUCAAAACUUAUUUGCUAAAUACAAAUCCGGUUCGGGAGAUAACCAUCCUUUAUGUUAUUGUCCCCAAUCCGAGGAGAAGAUUCGGAAUUUCCCACUUUGCAACAGGAACCUGAUCCUAGUAACCUAUAGCUCCAAGAGACUUUCUCUUUGUAGUAAUUUCAAUUGUUUAUGUUUGCUUAACUUAAAACCAACCCUUCCAAUCAAUCUUAUUUUCAUUUAAAAACUAAAUUCCAAAAAGGAAAUCGUCAUUUCUUCUUUCAUUAAUGUUAAGUGUACAAAGAAAACCCAUCAUUGUGGACGAUCGUAGAGCCACUAUACUAUAGUAGCUUUGUCUUUGCUACCCUAGUAUAAGGUGUUGUAGUUUUUAUAAAUGUUUUGAUAAACACCCGGCUGGGCAUGAAUCACUACAUUAUUUAGACUAAUCCACACCUACUUAUUAAGGGAAAAAAAUAAAAGAGGACAAAGGUAGGGCACAAGAUGAUGAGACAAGGCACAAAAUGAUAAGACGUAGGAUGAUAAGAAUCCACUUCAAUUAAUAUUUCCCUAAAUCAAGAGUAAUCAAAUAUUAAAAUAUUUUAUUCUCCUAAUUUAGGAUAUAAUAUUUAUUCUAAAUAAAUCAAGAGCAAUCAAAUAUUAAUAAUAUUUUAUUCUCUUAAUUUAAGAAAUAAUAUUUAUUUUCCUUAAUUAUAGGAUAUUUAUUAUUUAUUUCUUCUAUAAUUCACAAUGCAUUCUUGUAUAAAUUUAUGAAAAGAAAUAAUAAAAAUUCAUCGCUUCUAUUAUCAAAUUAUCAAAUUCUUCUUGGUAUUAGAGAUAGAGGAGGAGACUCAAACUUGGGUUUUCUCCGAAGGUGGUUGAAUACCCUAAAAGACUUGACCUAUCCACACAAACAAUGUCUUCCUCUUCAUUCAUUCAAAAAUAAAAUAAAAUAAAAUAAAAUCCUUAGUGCUCUAGCUUUCCAUCAACAUUUUUUCUAAUUUGAUUUCAUUCAAGCUAAACACAACAAAUUUUCUACUAUGGGGAAAUCAAAUCAUCCUCUCAGCUUGUGGUUUCCGUGUUCAAACCUUUCAUCAAUGUUUUACCCUUUCAUUGGUGUUAUUUCUAGUUUGAUUUCAAUCAAGUUAAACACCAUAAAUUUUCUACUAUGGCAAAAUCAAGUCAUCCUCUUAGUUCAUGGUGUGUUCUCUGACAUUUCUUAGGUGGAGAAAAACCUGCUAAAGAAUUAAAGAUGAUGAGGAAAGCAAAAUUUUUAUCCUACAAUACUAGUAAUCAAUUAAUAAUAACAUAUUUGUCACUUCAUGAGUUAUCGAAACCAUGACAAAAGACAUUUUCAUUAUGAUCCUUGGGGCUAACAAGAUAUAUAAGGUAUAAACUUUUCUUAAGGAGUAAUCGCUUCCUAUUAUAGUUGAAAAAAAAAUGAUAUCUUCAAGAAUAGUUAAGAGAUAUAAACAAUAUAUAUUAUAAUCUCAUGAAAAUCAAAAGCUAAUUUCAGACCAAUACAAAGUUUGUUGAUUCACUCAUGGUUUAGGAUAAUGGAAUGAUUUUUUUUUUUAACCUACUAUGCUUUUCUAACCAAUUCAUGGCAACUCUUUAGGGACAUAAGCAAUCACUCACUACCAAAGGGAUGGAAAGAAAAUUUUUAUAGAGUAUUCACAAAUUUUUAUUUGGACAACAUAGUUAUGGUCAUAAUGGUUGAAAAGGCAUAAAUUUUAAUUUGAGGGGAAGAAGCUUUACACUUUCUAUGUAUUACAAUUCUUUAAAAAAAAUAAACUUUUAUGAUUUUAUGAAGUCCUUGUCAAAGGAUAUCUUCAUCAUGUUUUGAGAUAAGCUGGGGUGUGCAUAUUCUUUUCGACUCCAAUUUGAGCUUGCAUAUUAAGGGAAAUAAUAAAAUAAGAUAAAAAGCACAUAGGAUUGCAACAUGUAGGAUGAUAAAAAUCCGAUUCAAUUAAUAUUUCCAUAAAUCAAGAGUAAUCAAAUAUUAAAAUAUUUGAUUCUCCUAAUUUAGGAUAUAAUAUUUAUUUUAAAUAAAUAAUGAACAAUCAAAUAAUAAUAAUAUUUUAUUCUCUUAAUUUAGGAAAUAAUAUUUAUUUUCCUUAAUUUUAGUAUACUUGUUAUUUAUUUCUUUGUAUAAUUCAAAAUGCAUUCUUGUAUAAAUUUUCUAAAAGAAACAAUAAAAUUCAUCAUUUUCACUACCAAAUUAUCAAAUCCUUUACUAAUGACCUUAUGAUUAAAAUCUUGUUUGUUUGGUAAGUGUUAAGCAAAAUGCCUUAGUAGCUACAAACAUUAUGGAAGACGUGUGAAAGUUGUUGUGAACUGAGGAAGCUUAAGAAUCUGUUAAGAAGGUUGCUGAGGUGUGAAGAGAUGUUGAAAUUGAGGCUGCAACCAUAAAACAACUUAGUCAAUGAAGUUGUUAUGCUAUUGUUGCUGUUGUUGUUAAAAUCUUGUUUCAUGGAGUUGUUAUGUUGUUGUUGUUAAAAUCUUGUUUCAUGGAGUUUUUAUGCUGUUGUUGCUAUUAUAUAGGAAAUAAUUGUUAGUUCCAACUAUUUUUGCUACUUUUCUAUUGUUUUCUGUUGCAAAUUUGUGUAUAAAUGUUGCAUUGAUCAUUCAACAAGAGUAGACAUUUUCGUUGUCUCAAAUACAACUUUUGGUUGUUACUUCCAACAUUUCUAGAUUCUAAAACCUAUAGAUUAGUAUCAGAGCCUUCAAUGUUGAGGAACAUGUGAGGAUUGAGUGAAGCCAAAAUACCUUCACACAUACUGAAACUCCAAAGCCAACAUAAACACACAACCUUUGACAGGUUGUAACUAUCAUUCUACAACAAAUGGAUGGAGAUACAAGCUUUCUGUUAGUACCAGUUUUCAAUGGUGAUAAUUAUCAGGCGUGGGCUAUUAGAAUGACAGUCCACCUUGAAGCUUUGGAUCUUUGGGAAGUAGUAGAAGAAGAUUAUGAAGUACCACCACUUGGAGACAAUCCAAGUAUCAAUCAAAUGAAGAUUCACAGGGAAAUAAAAACAAGGAAAGCCAAAGCCAAGGCUUGCCUCUUCUUUGCAGUUUCACCUUCUAUUCUCACCAGAAUCAUGCAAAUAGAGUUUUUUAUAGCAAUCCGGGAGUAUCUAAAAAAUGAGUAUUGGGGGAAUGAAAGGGUGUAGAAUAUGCAGGUAAUGAAUUUAAUAUGAGAAUUUGGAAUGAGCAGAAUGAAAAAGUCUCUAACUAUCAAAGAUUAUGUUGAACAACUGCUUAGCAUAGCAAACAAGGUAAGAUUGUAUGGUAAGGAAUUUUCUGAUGAAAGAAUUGUUAAGAAAAUCUUAGGAACUCUGCCUGAAAAAAUAUGAAGCCACAAUCUCUUCCUUGGAAAACUCUAAAGAUCUGUCAAGUAUAUCUUUGGUAGAAAUUGUUAAUGCUUUGCAGGCCUUGGAACAAAGGAGAAUGAUGAGACAAGAAGGAUAUGUUGAGGGAGCAUUCUAAGCCAAAUCAAAGAACAAUGAUUCCAGCAAAGACAGAAAGAAAAACAAGAAAUAGAAGUCAAGCAAUAACAAAAUGAAUCAGAAAGGAGCUGAUCCACCUUGCCCUUAUUACAAAAAAACAAAUCAUCCUCCACAAAAGUGUUGGUGGAGGCCAAAUGUCAAGAGCAACAAUUAUGGUCAAUUAGGCCAUAUGGAGGAGGUAUGCAAAAAAAAAAAAAAAAAAAAAAACAAACAAGGAGAGAUCAAGGCUACAAUUGUUGAUCAAUAUCACGAAGAACAAUUGUUUGUUGCCACCUGUUUUUCCAGCAAAAACAUGUUUGAAAGUUGGCUCAUAGAUAGUGGUUGCACAAACCACAUGACUUAUGAUCAAGGACUUUUUAGGGAACUCGAUAAAAUAACCGUUUCCAAAGUAAGAAUUGGAAAUGGGGAAUACAUCUCAGCAAGGGGCAAAGAGGUUGUUGCCAUUGAAAGUCUCUCAGGUUUGAAACUUAUCCCCGAUGUUUUGUUUGUUCCUAAUAUUGAUCAAAAUAUCUUGAGUAUUGGGCAGCUACUUGAGAAAGGUUUCAAGGUGCUAUUUGAGGACAAGUUCUGUAUGAUUAAGGAUGCAAAUGGAAAAAAUGUGUUCUAGAUCAAGAUGAGAGGCAAAACCUUUGCCUUGAAUCUGCUUGAGAAAGAGUAGGUUGUUAUUUCUCAAGAAAAUAAUGUCACAAUUUUAUGGCAUAAGAGAUUGGGGCACUUUCAUCAUAAUGGAGUGCUCUACAUGAAGAAUAAUCAACUUACAGUAGGUCUACUUGACCUAAAGCAAAAUCUUCCUACUUGCAUAGCCUGUCAGUAUAGAAAACAAUCCAGACUUCCUUUCCCAUAGAAAUCUACAUAGAGAUCAUCACACAUGCUGCAACUUGUACACAUUGAUGUUGGAGGACCUCAGAGAACACCAUCUCUAAAGGGCAGUAAGUACUACAUUGCCUUUAUAGAUGAUUACACCAGAUAUUGUUGGAUUUUUUUCCUAAAUUUUAAAUCUGAGGUUGCUGAUGUAUUUUGGAAGUACAAGGCCCUAGUAGAAAACCAAAGUGGUGUCGUCUUGUAGGUUAUAAGGACAGAUAAUGACACUGAAUAUACUUCUGAAAUAUCCAACAAUUUCUAUGAAGAAGUAGGCAUAAAGCACCAACUGACUACACUUUACAGACCACAACAGAAUGGAGUGGUGGAGAGGAAGAAUAGUGGAGAGGAAGAAUAGGACUAUAAUGGAGAUGACAAGAUGCCUUUUGCAUGAGAAAGGGCUACCAAAAAAGUUUUGGGCUGAAGCCACAAACACUAUAGUGUUUCUACUGAAUAGACUCCCAACCAAAGCUUUUAAAAAAAAGACUCAUUUUGAGGCUUGGUUUGGAUAUAAACCUCUAUUAUUAAACUUAAAAACAUUUGGUUGCCUUUGUUUUAGUUAUGUGCCUUAGGUGAAACAAGACAAGUUAGAUAAAAAGGCAGAAGUUGGGAUCUUCGUAGGAGACAACAACCAAUCAAAGACUUAUAGAGUUAAUAUGCCUCAUGCUAACAAAGUCAUUGUUAGCAUAGAUGUCAAAUUCAUGGAGGAUGAUAAAUGGAGUUAGGAUGCUAAAAAAAAAAUUAGAAUUUUGAGUUACUUGACGAAAAUAUUGAUGACAUUCCUAUAAGAAGCACCAAAUCACUUUUUGAUAUUUAUCAAAUGUGUAAUGUGGUUGUGUUUGAGCCUGUAGGGUUUAAUGAAGUUGUUGAGGAUAAAAAAUGAAGGGUUGUAACGUGGGAGGAGCUUAGAAUGAUAGAGAAAAACAACACUUAGGAGCUAGUUGAUAGACCAACACAUAAAAAGACCAUUGGUGUCAAGUGGGUUUAUAAAACCAAACUCAAUUCUGAUGGUUCUGUAAACAAACAUAGAGCCUGGCUGGUUGUCAAAGGUUAUGCUCAAAUGUUCGGUGUGGAUUUUUCAUAAACCUUUGCACCUGUAGCUAGGUUGGAUACAAUAAGGAUGCUGCUAGCUUUGGCUGCUCAAAAUGGUUUGAAAAUCUAUCAGCUAGAUGUAAAAUCAGCUUUUCUAAAUGGCUACCUUGAGGAGGAAAUCUUUGUAGAGCAACCUGAAUGAUUUGCAGUAAAAGGCAAAGAAGACAAGGUUUAUCAACUAAAGAAAGCCUUGUAUGACUUGAAGCAAGCCCCCAGAUCUUGGUACAACAGGAUUAAUGCACAUCUGCUUGGUUUGGGGUUAAAAAAAGUCAGAGUGAAUCCACACUUUAUAUUUGAAAAAUUAAUGCUGGCAUACUUAUUAUUUCAUUAUAUGUUGAUGAUUUGCUUGUAAAGGAAGCAAUCAAUUUUUAAGCUAAAAUAGAGAAGGUCUUUGAGAUGAAAGAUCUUGGAGACAUGUCUUAUUUUCUGGGAAUGGAAGUCCAUCAGAAUCAGCAUGAGAUAUUCAUCUAUUAGCAAAAGUAUGCAAAGGAAAUUCUAAAACAGUUCAAGAUGGAGGAAUGCAAGGCCACAUGCACACCUAUGAAUCAAAAAGAAAAGUUUUGAAAAGAAGAUGGUGCUAAAAAAGUAAAUAAAGAGUUAUACAGAAGCAUGAUUGGAUGUUUGAUGUAUUUGAGUACAAGAAGAACAAAUAUAAUACAUGUUGUAAGUCUACUCUCAAGAUAUAUGCAUUGUGCUAGUGAAAUUCACUUGUAGGUAGCAAAACGUAUUGUGAGAUAUAUAAAAAACACUAUCGACUUUGGCAUCAAGUUCAAGCAGGUGCAGAAUUUUCAUUUUCAUGGAUUUUAUGAUAGUGAUUGGGUUGGCUGCAUUGAUGAUAUGAGAAGCACAUCAAGUUAUUGCUUUAGUUUUGGUUCAAGUUUUUUUCUCUUGGUGCUCUAAAACAUAGGAUAUCAUGGCAUAAUCCAUAGUUGAAGCAGAGUACAUUGCUACUGUUGCUGCUGCAAAUUAAGCACUUUAGAUAAGAAAGCUACUAACAGACUUAAACAUGGAGCAAACUAGGAGCACACAAGUCUUUGAGGACAAUCAAGCUGCAAUUUCAAUUGCAAGUAAUCCAGUAUUCCAUGGUAGGACAAAGCACUUCAAAAUCAAGUUUUAUUUCUUAAGGGAAAUACAACUUGAUGGAGAAGUAAUUUUGGUACAUUGUAAAACAGAAGUAAAAAAUGUUAAUAUUCUAAAAAAAGCUCUACCAAAAGCUAGGUUUGAAUUUCUCAGAAAAAGACUUAAAGUUUGUAGCUCCCAAGUCAAGGAGGAGUGUUAAGCAAAAUACCUUAGUAGCUAUAAUCAUGUUGGAAGACGUGUGAAAGUUGGUGUCAACUGAGGAAGCUUAAGAAUUUGUUAAGAAGGUUGCUGAGGUGUGAAGAGAUGCUGAAAUUGAGGUUGUAACCAUAAAACAACUUAGUCAAUGAAGUUGAUAGAGUUUCAUGGAGCUGUUAUGCUGUUGUUGCUAUUUUAUAGGAAAUAGUUGUUAGUUCCAACUAUUUUUGUCGCUUUUCUAUUGUUUUCUAUUGCAAACUUGUGUAAAAAUGUUGCAUUGAUCAUUCAAUAAGAGUAGACAUUUUCGUUGUCUCAAAUACAACUUUUGGUUGUUGCUUCCAGCACUUCUAGAUUCUAAAACCUACAGAUUCUAUGAAUUUUAAUGAUAUUCCAUCAUUUCUAGGUCUCUCAAACCUUCAAUUUAGUAGGGUUACAAAACAUAGCAUCUCUAUUUGGCAUUUCAUCAAACGCCUUUCUCACUUUUUCUUGAUCCACAUGGGCAUAAAUCACUCUCAACUAUUAACACAAACAACAUAGAUUUUAGCUAAUUACAAACCAAAUUGAUAUAUCACCCCUAGUAGUUGUAAUUUCCUUCAUUAAUUGCCUUCCCAUUUCCACAUCUCUUUUUUUACGCAACCCAUAAAAAAAUUUCAUGAAAUUUGAGUCUAGGUAGGAGAAAGCACGAAUCUCAGUGCACAAAAAUUUGAUUUCAAUCAUUCACAAAAAAAAAUUAAUUUUAUGGAAAAACAUUAAAAUAGUAAAAUAACAAAUUGAGAAGGACUUUCUAAGAAAAUAUAAUCAAAGGAAAACAAGGUAAUCAAAAGACUCAUAUAAUGUUUUACUUCCAUUUUCUAAGUAACUAAAUAGAAAUGUUGAAAUGAAAGUACCUCCAACUAUGGAUGUAAAGAGUCAUUGUUAAUGAGAAAAUGGUGAGAAUUGGAAUCAUGAAAAGUGUAGAAGAAGACUGUUUGGACUAUGGAGAGUGAAGGAGAAAGAGAAUGCUUGUUGAAAAGGAAAGAGUGGGUUAUUGGGUAACACUUAAGGUUAUUUUAGGUAUAUUUGAAAAUUUUAAAAGUAUUUUUUUUUUAAAUAAUCAGCUCUUAAGUGCUUUUCUAAAAAUUACUUCAAGUGAUUUUUUUCUUUUAAAGGUUUUUAAAAGUGUUUUUGAAAUCUUGCCAAACAUCUAUUUUUCACCCAAAAAAAAACUCUUUUAAUUAUUAAAAAUGCUAGACACUCUUCUUAAAAAUACUACUAAACAAGUUCUUAAUAGGAUUUUAUUUAUUAUCGCAUGUUUCUUAGUCUUUAACCAAGGAUAUGUCUAUACUUCAAAAUAAAAGAAGGGACACAAUUUUAUUCUAACCAUCCUUCAACCUUAUUUUCUUUAAAUAUCUACUAAAAUGGGAUUACUAUGAUUUCACCCCAAUUCCAACUCCCUUUUCUACAAAAAGUAAAACUAAUUUUUUGGGAAUACGUAUGCAAAGGUAAUGGCAUAGAUGAAGUUGUAAAUGGAGAUUAAUGGAAGUGAUAGAAACGGGAUUAUGCUAGGGUUUUAGAGCCAAAGAGGAUGGGUUGGUGAUGGUGGGUCUUAAGGGAAGUGAUAGAGAAGUUGGGAAUUAAGGUUAGAUUUAAGGUUAAGGUUAGGGCUAGGGUUUCAUCAAUGGAUGGUGAUGAAGAUGAAGAUAUGGACAUCCCUUGCAAAAUCUACCAAUAUAAUUAGUUUCUACUAUAUAAUCAACUAAAAUUGGAAUCAAUUCUCCUUCUCAAACUAUGAUAAUAUGACUUUAGAUGGUUUUUGAUAAUGAUUUCUUUUCCUCUCAAUGAAACUAUAGAUCAAUUAUAUGUUUCAACCCAAAUAAGGGAUCCUUAGAAUCCCUUAAUCUUUAGUUUCUAUUUAGAUUAAGGAAUAAGAGAUCCCUAAGAUCUUUUAAUCUUUAAUUUCUAUUUAGUUUCCUAUAUAAAAUAAGAAGAGUGUAAUGGGGAAAGAAAUGGAAAAAUAAUCUCAAUAUGAAAAAUUGGUUCUCUCAAUUUUGCAUCUUCUCUUUGAGUCAUAAGAAUUGGUGUUAGAACACGAUCUUGGCACCAAUCAUGGAUGAAGGGACUAGAGUGUAAGAACAACAUAGACUUGAAGAUACUAUUAAAUAGUUGAAAAAAUCAUUGGAUAAACAAGCGACUACCUCAUUAGAACUAUCAAAGAUGGUUGCAACCAUAAACUUGAAAUUUAAACACAUGAAUUCAAGAAUAGAGAAGUCAAGUAAUGGGUACAAUGCCUCAAUCAAUAGAAGCAAGACAAACUAUCAUUCAUAUGGCAUAAACUCCAUUCAAUCCAGGUUUUCCAAACUCAAAUUUCAAAAUUUUGGAGGUGAGAAUUGGGAAUUAGGAAAAGGUAGGAUUGGCUUCAUUACAUUUAAAAGGAAGGGCCUUAGAAAGGUUUCAAGGGUACAAGGCUAGUAACAAGGAAAUCAACUGGACACAAUUUUAUAUAGUUGUUGUUUCUAGGUUUAGCCCUAGUGUUUAUGAUAGCCUUAUGAGGUAAAUAACCAAAUUGAAAUAGGUUUAUACGAUUAUGGCAUACAAAAAUUAGUUUAAAGUAUUGAUGACCAAAACUAAUGGGUUAUCAAAGGAAUUUUUUGUCUAGUAUUUCAUUAGUAUCUUGAAAGAGGCAAUUAAAAAUCAAGUCACCAUGUUUCAACCGAUCACACUAGCCCAAACCAUCGAAUUAGUCUUGUUGCAGAAAUGAAUAGUGGAAGUAAUUCUCAAGGAAGUCAAGGACUCUAACGAAAGUGAGGAUAGUACAAUGAACUUUACAAGAAUCAUAAUGAAUCAUAAUAACAAAUUACCACCCUUAAGAAGAUUUCAGUUGUAGAAGUGCAAGAGAGAUGAAAAAAAUGUUUUGUUAUUAUUGUGAUGAGAAGUAUAAGUCUGGCUAUAUAUAUAAAAUGAGACAAUUUUUUCUACUAAAUGGUCAUAGAAGUGAAGGGAAAGCAACGUGUGAAGCUAAAAAUGAUAUCAGGAGGAUGAUCUUAUGGCUUUAAUAAAUGCAAUAUUUGGUUCAACAUCUCAUCAAACCAUGAGAAUCUGUGGCAACAUAAAAAGGAAGGUCGUGACCAUACUAAUUGACUUAGGAAGAACCCAUAACUUUCUUGAUCUCGUAGUGGCCAAAAGAACAAGAUGCUCAAUACAAACUACCGACCCCAUGAAGGUGGCAAUAACAGAUAGAACUAGAAUUACUAGUGAUGCAAUUUGUCAGCAAUGAUAGGAUAGAACCCUUAAAAGCAUGACAUAAUGUAAUAAACUGGGAAUUCAUUAUUUAUUCAAUGAUAUUCCAAUUUCAGUUUUAUCUAUCCUUAUUCCAUGUAUUAUACUUUAUGAACUUUUUUGUCCGCAUCUUUUGCAUUAUAUGUGACUUAGGUGGAUCAGGAGUUGCAUAGAAGAUCUAAGUCAUGAGUUCCUUGUAAAUAGAUGACUAGUUCACAACCAAUUUAUGGGUCUAGGCAAUCCAUUAGAGGUUUCGGUGCACCACUUCCUAAUUAGAGGGAUAACUGGUCUUGGCUAUUAGGAUGAGUUUUACUAAUAUGUAUGGAUGCACAUUGGGCAGGACUGAUUAUAAGCUUAAGGCUAUCAAGUAGUCAUGACUUCACCAAGUUGUUUCAUUAUGUUGUUUCUCAACCUUGAGAGAAUAUUGCAUUUGUGUAGAAGUUAGCAGUGCUUUUGAUCUACGGGUAAAAUCGUAAGCUAAUCAUAUGCUCUUUAUGGAUUGGAUCACUAUUGACGGAUGCCAGUAGCAAUAAGUAUUCUAAAUAGAGACACCAUGAUAUCUCUUAGGAAUAAGACAGUGUGUAUCCUUGGGUGAUCCUAAGGAGGUGUGUUCAUGGAAACUAUGGUCAUAAUAGUUCCUUAUGUGGAACUUGACAUAGGCUCUUUGAAAGUUAAGAUAUGUCAAUUGAAUACACAAUAGGAGAAUCUGUAACUCAAGGAUGGUAGAGGUAGUCUUAAAAAGCUUAUAGCUUUCACUUUAUUAGACUACGAACACCAAUUCAUGGGGAGACUAAACAUAAUGGAUAGCAAGUCAUGGACUCGAGCACUUGGUGUCUUAUUAUUAUUUACAUAGGAUAUUUGAGUUCAAUUGAUUCUCUAUAGUGGGAUGUUGAAUCCACUUUAGAAUUGGAUUAUGAGAGAACUAGUAUUUCUAUAGGUCCUAGUGGUCUUUGUUUUGAGCUCAUAUACCUUGUUGGCACUGAUUAUGAGGGUCAGAUUGGCUUUAGGUUCACUUUUGUACAUAAAGGUGUUUUGGUAAUCACACAAGGUUGCACAAAGGUAAGUGAGCAAAGUCUUUGGAUUAGGCUAAUUGAUUAAUUAGUAGGCCCUAUUGGGUUAACUAAUCAAUUAGGACCCAUUUUGGGAUAGAUUAAGUGACCUAAGCCCUUAGUGAACUCAAGUCACUUAAGUCUAAUAGGAAACCACAUAAAUACCCCCUUAGGGGUUAGGGUUCCCAUUGCUUUUUCUAGAGAUCCAUAUUCCAUCUCUAGAGAGAGAGAGAGAUUCAUAGCAUGUACUCUUCCUUCUAUCCCCACCAGAAGUGUGUCAAGAUCAAGUUUCGAGUCAUUUGGCGAAAGACUUCGGGUUUAUGAGACUUCUACGAUUUCAUUCUUCAUCUUCACCAUGUAGAUUUGAUUCACAAACAUCCGAAUCUAAGGUAUGGAUUUUGUUUGCACUUUCUGAAUCCCUUUAAAGUUUAAAAAUGUUAUUUUUCCGUUGUGCAAAGGAUUUAGAAAAAGCCUAGGAUAGUUAUGCAUAUUCCUAACUUGAUCCGAUCUUAGGAAACAAAGAGAUCCUAGUUUUUCCCAUUAGGCAAUUGACAUGGAACAUGCAAGGGAAGAAAUUUUAGAUAGAUUUGAGGCUCAUCCUUUUGAGUGGGUGCGAUAUGGUAUUGGGAAUUCAAUGGCCAACUGAAUUGGGACUCAUAUUGUGGGAUUUCAGGAAUUUUAAAUUUGAAUUUAUUGUUGAUGGAAGGAAAUUCGUGUUAAGAGGUACAACUAUAGGUCCUAAGAAGUUAGUUUCAACUAAUGAAAUUCAAAAUUAUUGAAGGCAUAUGUCUCAAGCAUCUACAAUUCAAAAUUUCACUAUACAAGGGAAUGAGGAAAAUAAAGUUGAAAAUGAACAACAUGGCAGCUGUCCAACUCAUUUCCAAAUAAUGUAACAUAGAAAGAUGCUUACUUUCAACAAAAGUUUCCAUAGUUUCAACCUUGAGGACAAUGCUUCUUUUGAUGGGGGAGAGAAUGUUACAACCCUGAAUAAAGGAUCCCUGGGAUCCCUUAAUCUUUAGUUUCUAUUUCUGUUUAGUUUCUACUUCUAUUUAAAUUGGGGAAUAAAGUAUCCUUAAGAUCCCUCAAUCUUUAGUUUCUAUUUCUAUUUAGUAUCCUAUAUAAAAUAAGAAAAGUGUAAUGGAGAAAAAAAUGAAAAAAAAAUCUCAAUAAGAAAAAUUUGUUCUCUCAAUUUUGUAUCUUCUCUUCAUAUCAUAAAAUUCUACAUGUAGAUUUUCUCCUUCUAAAUCUCUAUAUGAUACAAAAUCAAUUCUUUUUUACUCCAAUUCCAAGUAUGUAUUUAUAGAAAUAGGUAUGCUUUGACUCUCAAUGAACACAUUUUUUCAAUUUUUCUACCUACCUAAGUGGAAAUAACAUAAGGUAACUAAACUUGCUUUGAGAUUAAUUAUGGUUUUGACAAUACAAAACUAGGUAUAGUACAAGACCUCCUAAACAAAGUUUCUAGCAUUAAUGAAUUCAAAAGAAGCUGGGUAAAACAAGUUUCUACUCACCAUCCCAAACAUCCCUUUAGAUGUAUUGUAUGAUAGAGGAUUAUUCUUUUAUUAUUAUUAUUAUUAUUAUUAUUAUUAUUCUUUUUUCUUUUUCCUUUUAAUGGUUUGGAGCAAAUUCAAAUGGCAUUAUAGAAGUAGAAUUUCCUAAUUUAAUUUGUUGGACAAAUUUGUUUUGGUUUUGCUAUAUUUUAUGUUUUGAAUACAUAGAAAUUGAAAUAUAAUAAGAUAACAAUUAUAAUGUAUUUUUAAGGGGAAAAUGUUUUUAUCUUCUAUAAUUAAAAAAAAAAAAAAAACAACAACAACAUCAACAACUACAAUAAUAUAGACAUUUGCAAUUUUUUUUAAAGUGUCUUUGUUAGGACAUUGAGUUCUAUUUGUAUGUUGGCAAUUUUGUUCCGAUUUAUUUUUUGCCUUAGAAAUCUUUUUAGAUAGUGACUUACUUUCCAUUGAAGAUCAAGGAUUGCUACUUGUCCAACUGGAAAAUCACAGGCAUGUCUAAAAGAUUUGACUUGUAGCAAAUUAGGGUUCUAAAAGGUAUAAAGAGGAUCGUUAUUCUUUUUUUUUUUGGAAUAAAAUUGAUUUUUAUUUAUCUUUGUCAAAAAGGCAGGAUUGCUCAAGCAAGGAAUAACACUCAAGCGUUAGGAUGCUCGAGCACUUGACUAGCGCUCGAAUGCCCGAGUUGCUUAAGUGAUGGUUAAGUGGACUCGGCCUCGAGCUCUCGAGCAUUCAUACCAAUUCUACCAAAGAUUAGCAUAAUAUUUUUGGAGAUUUCAUGCAAAUCCUUUCUGGAAACCUUGAGAUACCGACUCUCUUCAACCUUUAAGCCUAUAUGUACCCCAUUAUGGCCAUUCUAAAGUUAGGAGAUUGAUUUAUUGUCGUAAUUGAUAGAGAGUCUCCUAAAUAGAAAGCCUAAUGAACCACACGAUUCCUAAUCUCUCAUUUGAAGGAUAAUCUAGGGUUGAAAACUUGCAUCCCUUCAGUAAGGUUGAAGAGUACUCAGUGGAGUAAUUAGAGAUUAUUGCAUCACAGACGUCAAUGAAGUUGUAGGUAUUAGAGGGUAAGUCUUUAGGAUAAAACGACGAGGUAAAUUUGUGUAACUUGAUCUUGUAUAGUGGAUUUUGAUUAACAAUCUUAGACCUCGUGGUUUUUUUAUCUCCACAGUAGUGCAUGGAUUUUCCAUGUAAAAAUCAUUGUGUCCAUUGUUAUAUCUUGUGAUUAUCAUGAUUGUUUGGAUUUUUUUUAUCUCUAAUAUUAUCUCAUAGGGUAAAAAUUGAGUAUAACAUAUAAUCUUUUUUUUAGAAUUCUUUUAAUUACACCCAUUCACCCCCCUCCUCUCUUUGGGUGUUACCCUACUAGACUUGGCUUUUUCAGUCUCAAAUACUACAAUAGCAUUUUUUUACUUAAGUUAUAAAUGGAAAAAGUUAUAAACCCAAGAUAACUUGCUAAAAAAGUGAGAAAUAAUAAAGGACUCGUGUUAGAGUAUAAAUAGUUAAUCUAUUCUAGGCUUAAUAUAGCUCCAAUGUCAAACAUGAAUACUUAAUUAUUUAUUAUAUUUUGAAAAUAAAGUAAGUAUUUUUUAUAUAAAAAAUGAAACAACUUUUCUAGAACAACACAAGGCACUAAUGCAUAUAGUUGGUAACAAGUUGGAGAAAGAAAAUAAUGUGGAGAAAUAAAACAACAUGUAGAAAGAAACAAAAUGGAGAGAAAGAAAAUGACUAACAAAAAAGAAAAUAGAGAAAUUAUAGAAAAUAAGAUAAUUAAACUUAUUUUCAUAAAAAUAAUAUAUUUUCGAAAAAUAGAAAAUUUCAUUCAUAUUCUCUUUUUCACUUAUUUUAAAAAUAAAAGUAAAAAUUAAUAUUUAUCAAAUAUAUAAGAUUAAGAUUGAGAUAUAAACUUUUUAUAAUCUAAACUAUUAUUUUCAUUUUAAACAAGAAAGUUCGAUGUGACAUAAUAAAAUUUGUACACAAAAUUUAAAUUAUCUCUAUUCAUAUAGAAUUAUAUAUAGGUAUAGAUUCAUUUCAAAAUUCGAAUAAUUAUUUGAAUUUUACAUUUAAAUUUUAUUUUAAAAUUUAAAACUUAAUUAUUUUGUAAUAGGGUAUGUGUCAUAAAAUUGAAGCUUAUAUAUAUAAAUGCCUCCACUUCCAUACCUCUCAUAAAAUUGGAGCCUACUUUUUUUGUUUUCUUUUGUGUGUUUAUAAAUGUCUCAAAUUCCAUAUCUAGUUGUGAUAUAGUUUUGUAGAUGAUUGUGAUUGAAGUAUACUUUCUUUUGAUAUGUUUCCCUCCAUACAAAUCUAUUUAAAAGAAAAAAAAAACACAAAGUGUGGACCCCGCAUUUCGGCUCAUGCGUUUCCCACUCGAUGGUGAAACUCGCUUUUUAAAUUAAAAAAUGAUUUUUUGUUGUUGAUUAAGAAAAAUGACUUAGAGUCGCCACUUAUUUUGUUUUAUUUUUAAAGGGUAAACAAAAUAAGAAAGAAAACCCUAAGUGUAACUCCUUAUUUCGGAAAAGGUGAUAUGUGAAAAACCGGAUCGGGUUUGGGGGUUAGGUUACUUAUCAGGAAGGUACGGUAAAAAAAAAACCGUAGCACCCUUCUAAGCCCCUAAAACGGGUCUCUUCUAAUAAAAUGAAGCUGACAUGGCCAUUGAUGAGGAAAUCAAUGAAUACCCGGAACUAUCAUGCACAUAUGAGAAUCAGAAUAUACGUAACGAAUGAUCAGAAUGAGUGAAUGCGUACCUGGGCAGCAAACUGCAACGCGCUAUCAUGUGUGGACCCCGCAUUUUCGACUCAUGCUCGAAUGCGUUUCCCACUCGAUGGCGAGCUCGAUUUUGCCAAUUGAUGAAUAAAUCAAUGAAUACACAGAGUGAUCUUGCACAUGUGAGAAUCAAAAUAUGCAUAUAGAAAUACCAGAAUGGGAAUAGAUGCGUACCUGAGCGACGAACCACUAGGCGCUAUCAAGAAAGAGGGUUAGUGCACAAUUAAGGACUAAUAACAUGCAUGUAAGAGAGCAGGAUAAAUCAAUCAUGUAUCAUAAUCAAAUCAAAUCAAUCAGUCAAUCAAUCAAUCGGUCACAUAUGUGGGGGCCCCCACCAAAGCCCGUUUAUUUUGCAUGAAUUAAUUCCAAUAACUCCAUUACUUGGAAUUACGGAAUUUAAUCCUUGCUUAUUUAAAAACAUUUUAAAAUCCGGGAAGUCUUGAAAGUUGCAUGCCGAAGAGAGGUGGCAUCAAAUUUUAUUGAAAAACAGGAUUUUUGGAACUCAAAGGAAACGUAAGGAUGAAAGAUGGAAAUUAUUUAAAUUAUUUGAAAACCGACAUAAAAAAAAAUUAUUUGCAAGAAAGGUAUCAGGAAAUUAUUUUUUUAAGCCAAAAGAUUGAGGGAAUGGGAGGUGACACGUGGCCCAAAAGGUGGCCAUGCAGCUGGGUGUAUAGAGUAGAUGGCAAGUGGACCCCUGAGUCAUUUUGUUUGACAAACAGCUUGCUGUUGUAGUCUGCAUCCAUAUUGAUAAUACCCAAACUUGGAGCGCUGACCUUAUUUUUCAUUGGAGACAUCAAAUGACGUGUUUCAUGGUGGUGAGGCACGUACACUGCUGCAAAAUGGGUGACUUUGCUCCUAUGACUCAUGUUUUCUCCUCUUGAGUUGUUCAUCUGGGAAUAUACAAUAAUUUUCCAGCACAAACAUUCAGAAUCUGGAUUCCUUUCACUCAAUUUAUCUGCUACCACUUCUGAUAUAUUCAGCUCGAACCAGGGUCGUUCAUGUUCUCGGUAUAUUUCCCUUAUACCCUGGUCAACAUGGAAUUCGCGGAAACUGCUUGGUUGAUCUGCAUUAAAUGGAAUUAGUGAGCUCAGUGAUAGCAAAUCUAGCUCAGCACUUGCUGCUAAUUGCCUUUGUUCGCGCAACUCCCUUCCUUUUGAAGGUCGUUACUUCCACCUCGAGCCAAGCCAGUCUGGAUGUCUCCCCUAAUUGAGCAUUCAGAAUACUCAAAGAAUCUAGACUGCGACAGAUGACCUGUCUGACCUUCGCAUGCUAUGUGCUUGCUGCACUGAGCUUUGCUCCACCGUUGAAGGCGACGCUGGAGGUAGCAACGACACAGGUCUGAAUGACGGUGUUCUCCUGCCUUAUGAAGGGCUGCUUAGGGAAUUGGAAAACUCACAACCACUUAAAGUUCCAAAUUGACUGCCACCAUUCGAAACUAAGCCUUCAUCUGAUUCAAAAAUGUCUCGGCUUUAACAUCCAUUAGAGCCUUUGUCCUGAUGUUAAUAGAAUCUGGAUCAUAUUGCUCAGAAAAAGAUUUCGGUGCUUUGCUUCCCCCAGAGAACCCAGCUAUCCUUGAAAACUUUGUCUCAUAUUGAAUUCCCAAAACAACCAGUGGGAUUGCUACAGCUGGACCAUUUCCCCUUUUGACCAACGUGGCUGUUAAAGCUGGAAGAUGAGGUCAGAGGUGUUCCAUGAUAUCCUUGUUCGAGAUCCCUUAACAUUCAUUCCAACAGCUACCGAUUUGCACCCUUCAGUAGACAUUGCUCGGGUAAGGACUGUAGCAUAGGCGGUACCAUCUCUUGCCACAUUAUUAAUGGUAUUUGCAACCUAUUUUGCAAGGCUUGCACAAAUAUUCUUGACUGUAGCAUUAAGCCUCGAACUUCAACCCCGAAUCUGAUGUCUUUAGCAGUAUGGUUCCUGCCCUAGUUCAGCCUACUACCGAUAUGAUGGGUGUUGUGCCAAGUGGUCUGAACCUUAGGAGCAAGACUGGUGACGAGUGUGAAGGUGAUGGGUGAUGUUCACUUGCACCAUGCCCUUUUCUAAUUGGAGAUAUCACCAAUAUAAAGCAGGGUGGAUUUUCUGAUGAGAGAUUUCUAUGUCCUAGAGUGGUUCAUGUCGCAUGGGCAUAGGGAUUAAUGAAGGGGCAUGAUGAUGCCAGACGGGUAUGAGUUGUUGAUAACGGAUGUGAGGGAUAGUAGGCUCUACUAACAGAUGAACAAUGUCAUGCAAGCCUUGCACAACAAAAUGCGGAGAGCACAGUACCCGAGAAUACUUCCUUUGUCCCCUUCAACUCAUUUUCUGCUUGAACACUUCCUCUUCCUCUCAUCCUUAGAUGACAUCUCUUCUUUCAAAGGUAUCUCUUCUCUCAAAACCCAUAUAAUGAACAAGAUCCAGGAACAGAGGUGGCCUCAACCAUGAAAAGAAAUGCAUGAAAACAGAGCACAAAGGGAAACAAAUAUAAAGGUCCUCAAAGGAAGAUUCACAUCAUGAGUCAUCAGUGAACCUUCCUAUUAGGUGAGGAAAAACAGCAUCAAAUGCAAACAUUGGUGGGGUUCUCGGGCAUUUCAUAGUCACAAAUAGAAACAGAACAUAUUAAGAUUGACAAUGGCAGGUAUGAAUUCAGGAUUAUAUCUCAACAAGCAACAAGUGGCCUUCAUUAUCCACCCCAAGCAAAACAACAAAUAUCCAAAUAUCAACAAGCAAUGCAGAGGGAUAGCAAGGAUCCAAAUCAAACAAUAAACCUGUUGCCUUCAUACCUGAGAAUGUCCUUCUCCAGUAAGGCUCUGUUCUUCUACAAACACCUCAAGUUCCCCUUUAAAAUCAACGAAAACUAAUGAGACAGCAGCACCUCUUCUACUCUCCAAACACACAGCUCUCUCCCUCUUAAUUUUCUCUCAAACUAAACAGCCACCUAAAAUCCUCCAUCAACCUCUCUCUCAAAACUCCUCCUGUGAAAACUCUCCCCUCUCUCAGGUUCCUCUAAACGGCAGCCAAUAGCACCCCUACCUCUCACAGUUUGCUGCUCCCUGUUCUCUCCUCCGAUAGCCUCUCCUCUAAGCUAGAAACUUAUCCUCAAACUCUCACCCUUUUCUCCUCUGAUUCCCCUGUUUUUCUCUCUCUCUAGUCUCCCUCAGUAACCAGCCUGGAGACCCUAGUUCUCUCCCAAGCUCUCCUCUCUCGUUCCCCCAAGCAAAGGCCCCCCUAACAAUAUCUCCCGGUAGCCUCCUUCUUUUGCUCUCUAGCCUCAAAACUCUCUCUGGAAUCCCUCAGACUUCAGCAGCCCAGGUACCUCUCUCUUCUGAUUUUUCUCUAUUUUCUCUCUAAAAAUCCUCCCCCUUGAGUAACCAGCCUCCUCCUUACCCAAGCAAAGGAUCCCCUAAAAAAAUAUCUCUAACGGCCUGCUCAGAGAGCUCCUGCAGCUGCCAGACGACACCCCCUUCCAGCUGCCUGCCUCCAAAAUAUCUCAUAACUGCCUGAAGAAUCCCUUUACAGGUGUCACCCUCUGGUUUGCCUCUCAAAUCCACUACUUGAUCCUUUAGCAGCCUGUCAAGAGGCACCAUGCGGCCUCCUCAAGUUGCUCCACCUGGAAAAAUUUGCUACAACAAUUACCUCCCAAAGUGGGGGUCUACAUCAUGGAAUGGGGUUAGUGAAUAAAUGCAGAAUGAUUAUAUGUAUAUCAAGGAAUAGAGUGAAUCAAUCACGCAUGGCAAACAAAUAAAUAAAUCAAUCAAUCAAUUAUGAAGUCGAGUAUAUGGGGCCCCCACCAAAGCCCGUUUUAUCUUGCCUGAAUCGAUUCCGAUAACUCCAUUGCUCGGAAUUACAGAACUUGAUUCCUUGCUUAUUUCAAAACAUUUUAAAAAUAGAGGAAGUAUGAAAAAUUGCUUGCCAGAAAUAAAAGUGGCAGCAAAGCUUUAUCAAAAAUGUGAUUUUGGAACCUAAGGAAAAUGCUCUAAGGAUGAAGAAAAAGGUGGAACAUCGGUUGGAUAGAAUUCCGGAUGUGAGAUAUCCAGAGAAGGUGGAACGUCGGCGGAUAGGAUUCCAGGCGUGAGACACCCGGUGAUUACUACCAAAAAUUGCUAUUUUUUAGACCUAAUUAUAAUGGUUUUAAGCAUCUUUGAGUAGUAAUCAUAUUCAUUUAACCUAAUUAAUUCAUUAAGGUCCUUAGUAAUUGGUUUUAACCAUUUUGUGGCAAGUUUACAUGUUUUUAUCAGCUUAUGAAUCAAUUCAAGCAUGCCAAAUGAUGGAGGAGCUACUUGGACAAGUUAAAGCAAUGAUUUUGGAAGUUUACAGGCUUGAAUUUCAAGUGGAAACACGAGCACAAACAAAGGGAUAGCCAUUUCGCAAGGCAAGGCAAAGUACCUUGCCAAAAUGCAAUUUUCGCAAGGUGAAUUUACUCAUGAUGCGAAAAUAAGGCACUUCGCAUCAUGAGUAAUUCACCUUGCUAAAAUUUAGCAAGGUGCCUUUUACCUUGCCAAAUUACCUCUGUUUCUCCACGCACGCACCAUCGACUUCCCAGAUAUUUUUAGCUUGAUAUUUUCUCGUGUAAAUUCCUUUUGUAACCUUGUAUUCAGCCGACAUAAGGCUUUAUCUUGUAAUUUUGCUAUAUAUAGAGGUGCACAACACCUCCAAAAGAUAUUGGGGAUCGAUCCUCUGUACAUUAACUUAGAAAUAUAUAAAGCUCUGUUUUUCUCUCUUCUCCUGUUCUUCCCCAUUUCUAUUUUCUUAGUAACCAAACAACCUCUGAGGGCUUUUCCUUAGAGGAUAAUUGGCUAAAACUUUUAGUUUCUCAAAGUAUGGAUGUUAUGGGAUGGCUUGGAUGCAAUCCCAUGGAAAUUUCUCGCACCUAGAAGGUAAGGUAGUCGUUUUUCAUUAAUGGUUCAUUAAUGCAAAGUUUGGUUUUUAUUUCCUUUGGACAACUUCCAACGGCCAAUACUUGAUAAGCUUUUGGAUUUCUAUCCAUUAGUUAUCUCCUACGAACUAUUGGAAGGUGAAUUUUUCAAUUCCAAGUUUUACAUUAAUCCGUUAGAACCAAUUUCAAUGGCCAUUGAAAGGUGAGUUUAUCACCUGGAAUGACUUUGAGCUGCCAAUAUUUGGUAAGCUUUUGGUUUUAGACCAUUAGUUAUCUCUUACGAGCCAUUCAAAGGAAGUCUAAGAUGAAUAACCAUUGAUGAAAUUCACUACCAUCUGUUUUGCCAUUUUAAAGGAUUAAAACUUGAUUUGCUAAAUCCAUACCGGUUCGGGAAUCAAGCAUCACCAUAGUUGCAACCCCAACGCGAGGAGCCUAUCUUGAGAUUUCCAAUUUGCAUAAGAGCCAGAGCAUAGCUAUCCUAUCUUUGAGAAACUUGCUUUUACACCCUUUCAUUUUAGUCUUUAAUGUUAGCUUAGAUUAGUUUAAAUCUUUCUAAAACAUUUACAUCUUCUUUUAAAGCUAACAUCCAUAAGAAAAUCACCUAUUUUCCUAAUUUGAAUAUCACUAGUGUUUGCGAAAACCCUUCCCAGUGAACGAUCCUAGAACCACUAUGCUAUAGUAGUUUGGCUACUUUAGUAAUAGUAUUUAAGGUAUAAAUUUUGUUGAUACGCCUUCAAAGCUAAGCUACCAUGAGUCGCAUCACCCGGGAAAGGUGGAACAUCGGCGGAUAGGAUUCCGGAUGCGAGGCAUUCGGAUGGAAUGACAGCGGAGAGGACUCCGGGUGUGAGACACCCGAGGAAGGUGGAUCGUCGGCGGAUAGGAUUCCGGGCGUGAAACACCCGGGGAAGGUGGAACGUCGGCGGAUAGGAUUUCGGAUGCCUUGCAUCCGGAUGGAAUGACGGCGGAGACGACUUCGGGUGUGAGACACCUGGGGAAGGUGGAUCGUCGAUGGAUAGGAUUCCGGACAUGAGACACCCGGAUGGAAAUGACGGCGCAGAACGAUUCCGGGUGUGAGACACUCGGAUAGAAAUGGCAGCACAGAAGGGAUUCCGGGUGUAAGACAGUCGAAUGAAAAUGGCGGUGGGGAAGGAUUCCAGGUGUGAGACACCCGGAUGGAAAUGGCGGCGCAGAAGGAUUCCAGGUGUGAGACACCCGGAUAAGGUAGAAUGUUGUUACGAGUAGCAUGAAGGAUAGGUAUGGGUUGUGUGGAUAUGGGGGCUUGGGUGAGUGGUUUUAAUGGGUAUGCGAAAAAGUGAAGGAUAGCAUGCACCCAAGAGACCCCAUGUACGUGGGGGGAGUGGGGUGGAGAAUGAAUGAGAGGAAAAGGAGUGCAGUGGAGGAUGCCCGAUUCCUAUAAGCUUGAGUGAGGAAAUGGGUAUGACGACCUAGAAAGAAAGGUAUAUAGAUGAACGAUGGGUAUGGGGAUGCUGAUGAGGUGAGCUUUGCCGCCACGAAAACUACUCCAGAUUCUCUAGGAUCUCUUUCGAGUAGGGAUGAGAAAAUGGAUGCGUACCAUGGACGGAUAUCAAGAAACAGGGGAAGUAGAGAAACAGAGCGUGAAAGAAGACGAAUAAACAAAGAAAAAAAAGAAUCUCAGAAAAUCCAUUUCAUGGAUCAUCCAUGAACCUUCUGUGCAGGUGAGUAGAUCAUGUCAAAUGCAACCACCCCCCUGAUUCUCAAGCAUUACGUAAUCAUAGUAGGAUUAGAGUAAGUAAAAAUGGACAGUGGCAAACACAAAUACAAGGUCAUACUUCAACAAGUAGACUGGUGGCCUUCAUUAUCCACCCUAAACAGAUCAAUGAGUAUUCAAAUAUUCACAAGAGAUGUAAAAGAGUGAUAGUCAUACCUGAAAGCCUCUUCUCCCGCUAGGCGUCUCUGGCUAAACUCUCCUCUCCUCUCCCCUCUGUCUCCCUUUUUCCUGGAUUCACCUUCCUUAGCAAGUCAGUACCUGCCUCCUCCUAUUCAUGCAUCAGCCAGUAUGGCUUGCCCAACUACCGUCACUGUUGUUGUACGCUUCAUGCAGACGACAUCAAGCUCCCAGCUGGGGGUCCCCUACCCUAUCUCAAAAAAUGUAAUCCAAAACCAAGAAAAAAACCGCUCCCCCCUCCUCACAAAAAGCUCAUCUCUAACAACCAAAAAGCUCCUCCGAAUAUCCUCCAACAGGUGUCUCCACCCCAUUGCAUUUCCAAACCACUACCUGGUUCAUUGACCACCCAACCAGGAAGCAACAUCUGGCUCUUCAAGAGCCCUCCACUUGGCCAGAAGCGUGAACUGCAGCAAAUGAAAAAAACGAGCCCCAUAUGGGGGUCUACACAAACAAAGACAACAACAGAUGAAAAUAAUUAUUCAUCUGUUAGUGCAAAAUAUGAAAGAGAAGACAACAGUGUGCAUCUUCACUAUGACUGAGGAUCAAAUUCUCUUUGAGAUUGAUAUAAAUUAUUUAUAGCUUCAUUGUUCAUGGAGAGUUGAUUCAGUAGUGUCUUCCAUUUGAAGACAUACAAAAAUGGUUAGAAUUAUCUAUUCAUUUCAAGAGAUAACUUGCAUCUAUGACCCUUAUACUCCCAUGAACUUUGAGCAUCUAUUAUUUAUAAAAUAUGGAUGAAAAGAGAAUAAAAAAAAAAAAUUCAUGGGAAGUGUAUUUUGGAAAAAAUAAUUCUCAUUUGAUACAUUGGAAAAGUGUCUACCUCACAUUACCCAAAAAUGACGUUAUAUGUGUACAUGGGUCAUCAUCCAUAGUAACCCAAUUCACAUGAGGAUGGUAUAUCAUUUAUAAAGGUACAUUAAGCUCAAAACAGUGGUACAUUAUAAUCAAAACAAUAUUACUUUAAUAUCAAAAUACAUGUAAGGACAUUUUCAGGUAAUGUGAGGUAAAUACUACUAUAAUACAUUAAAUAAGAAUUAUUUUCCCAAAAAAGUACUUCCCAUGAAAAUGACUUAUGUAGGUUUUCUUUUAUUUAUUUUUUAUAAAUAGUGCAUGUUUACAUGAUUCCCUUAUUAAUAUAAUAUAAUCAUCUAUACAUGAUAAUUAAGGAAAUCGAAAAUAUUUACAUACUAAGCAAGGAUAAUGGAAAUUAAACAGUAUGAAAAAAGAGAAAAAUAAAUAUUAAAUAUAAAUUAAAACUCUAAAAUACAAGCCUUCAUUUGCACAUAUAGGCCAAUAUCUUAGGAGGUAUUUGAUUAAAAAAUAAUAAUGAUUAAAACUGGAAAAAUUUAUGGGUCCCAUUUUUUAAGUGUUUUCAAUAACAUAAUUAUAAACCUCUUAAAAUUUAAAAUCAUUUAUUUAAACCACUUUAUUCAUUUAGCAACAAGGACUUAAUUAAUCACUAAGAUCAAACAUAAUGAUUUAUAAUUUUUAUAAUUUUUUCUUCCAUUACUAUCAUUUUUUUGUUAAUAAAAUGAAGAUUUCUAUUGAUGAAUUUUUUACUAUUAAAAAAAUUAAUUCAUCUAUGAGAUUCUUUUAACUAAUCCUUUUAGAAUUUUUAUAAUUUUUUUUUUCAUAUUUAAAGAUAAAAAAAUUGUUAUGAAAUAAUUAAAUUAAUUAUAAAAUUUAUCUUUCUUUUCUAAAUCAGAAUUUUUGUCAUGUCCAUUCAUAUAAUAAAAUUAAAAUUAUAAAUAAAUAAAAAAACCUAUUUUAAUUGACAGCAUCAUGGAAUCUCUCCAUGCACACUCAUGCAGCCAGCCAUCAAUUCCCACGGCAGCCACGUGUCUUCCAACAAGUAUAUUCCCUUUCUUUGGCUCUCCACGUGUUUGUGUUCUAUUUUUAUUUAUUUAUUUUAUCCUGAUUAGUAGUUCACCGAACAAGCAUAACAAGGAUAUGAGUAGAUAUGUCAUGGCUAUGAUCACUUCUAACACUAAACCUUCUUAAACAAAGUGAGGUAUGAAUGUAGUAUGCCAGUCUAAAUAAUGGUGAAAGAAUAAAAACAAUGGAGAAUGCAUGUAAGAUGUAUAUAUAACUAUAAAUAAGGAUUCAAAAUGAGGGGAAAAAUCAUUGAGAAGGGUGAACCAUGGGUGAUAAGCCACUUUAAGGUUCAUCCUUUGGAUAAAUAUUAAAAGUUAAAGAGUAUAAAAUGUCUACUUAUGUCAUCAUUUUUUUUUUUCACUUUUAAGUUAAAUAUAUUUUUAUUGUUAUAAAUGAAGUAAUGAAUGCCACCACAUUUAUUAUAUUAAAUGUUCAUUAAAAGCAUAUAAAAAUGUUUCCUAUCCCCUAUAAAAUGCAUCCCAAGCAAAGAAAUACAUUUUCUUUCUCUUUUAUUCUCUUUUUUUAUUUUUUUAUUUUAUUUUUAUUCUCCAUAUCUUUCAUUCUUUCAACUAUCUUAAUUGUCUUUUAUGAUUCCUUCCUCUCCAUUAUAUAUCAUUGUCAAAAUAAUAUAUAGUUGUUCUCUACUUUUAUUGUCGUUGCAUUUAUCCUCUUUUUAUAAUAGGUUAUUAGCAUGAAUUGCUCUGAAGGUAAUUCUCAUAUCUUAAACUUGAAGUUAUUUAUAUAGAAUAAAAUUUUACAUAUUUAUAUUGCUAUUGUUAAAUUCAUUUAAUUUGUGUUAUAUAUUAUUAAAAGCUAUACACAAAUUAUUUGAUUUUGAUUAUAAUCAAAAGUUAUACCAAUGCCAUUAAUUUAUAACUAAUUAUAGUAAUAUUGUUUUGUCAUAUAUCUGAAGUUAUUUAACAAUGUCAAAUCUCACAAAACUCAAAUUUAUGGCACUUGACAUUUCGGGAAAGAACUAUAUAUCUUGAAUCCUUAAUGCUGAAAUACGUCUUGAUGCAAUGAAUCUUGGAGCUAUGAUUAAAGAAGGAAAUCAAGCAUCCUUGUGGGAUCACGCAAAAGCGUUGAUUUUCUUUUGCCAUCAUCUCUAUAAAGGUUUUAAAAAUGAGUAUCUUAUAGUAAAUGACACUUUUACUCUAUGGAGUAAUUUAAAGGAAAUAUAUGACCACCAGAAAAUUGUAAUUAUCCGGAAAGCCUGAUAUGAUUGGAUGUAUUCAAGGUUGUAGGAUUUCAAAACUAUUGGUGAAUAUAACUCUGCCCUUUUCAAAAUCAGGUCUCAAUUAAAGCUAUGUGGAGAAAAAAACCAUAGAAGAAGACAUGUUAGAAAAAACUUUACUACAUUUCACGCCUCGAAUGUGCUCUUACAACAGUAAUACCAAGAACGUAUAUUUACAAAAUACUCUGAAUUAAUAUCAUGUCUUCUUGUUGUUGAACAAAAUAAUGAGCUUUUGAUGAGAAAUCACUAGUCUCAUCUAAUUGGAUAUGAACCAUUCCCUAAAGUGAAUGCAAUAUUGUCCCAAACUCGUGGACAUGGGCAAUGACAAGGAAAUGGUCAUGGUCAUGGAAGGAAUCCCUGAUAUAAUGGUUAUUAUGGUAAUAAUUCCACAAAUUCUCAUAAAAUGAAAGCUUCAUUGCACCACUGAUUACUACUCAAAAAGUGCAUUUUUAUAAGCUUAAACUUAAUUGUAUUAAGCACUUUUGAGUAGUAGUUAGACCUUUUAUCCCAAUUGGCAUGUUAAGGACCUAGCAAAUGUUACUAACCAAUUUUUGGUAAGUUUUAGUGUUUUUGAUAGCUUUUUUAUCACUGAAACAGCCCAAGAUUGAGGGAGAGUUUGGAGCACAUGAAGAAUCAGAGCUUUGGAGCACUUCAAAACCCCUUGCCAAACUUGAAAAAGGGUUGCCAAAACUAUCAGUAGUAAGAUGGAGGGAAAUAGAGCAUUUCGCAAGGCAAAAUCAUCAAAUUCGCAAGGUGUGCCAAAAUUCGCAAGGUGUGCCAAACUUUCGCAGGGUGAUUACUACCAAAAAGUGCUAUUUUGUAGACCUAAUUAUAAUGGUUUUAAGCACCUUUGAGUAGUAAUCAUAUUCAUUUAACCCAAUUAAUUCAUUAAGGUCCUUAGUAAUUGGUUUUAACCAUUUUGUGGCAAGUUUACAUGUUUUUAUCAGCUUAUGAAUCAAUUCAAACAUGCCAAAUGAUGGAGGAGCUACUUGGACAAGUUAUGGCAAAGCUUUUGGAAGCUCAAAUUCAUGAAGAACCAAGCUUUGGAGCUCCAUAGCCCUUUUCCAAAGUCGUUCAAAGUAUGCAAGGAAAGAACAAUGGAAAAGAGGAAAAGCAAGCAAAGUGAAGAGAAGCAAAGAGGACAGCAGCUGCAGUCUUCUUUUGCCCUUUUGGAGCACUUACCGAAGUCCAUUUUUUACAUAAUAUAUACCAUUUCAAAGCUCUGGAAGUCAAGAAUCCAACGCUUUAAACCAUGUACGAUUUGGAGCUGAAAUGAGGAAGAUAUGGCCUUCGGAAGACAACUGCUCCAGGUUAUGCGAAAAUUUUGCACGACACAAGGUGUUAUGCGAAAUUCGCAUAACACCUUCAAAAUUCGCAUAACCCAUGCGUGGUGCGAAUUUUGCUCUGUUUUUUCCGACUCCACUUUAGAUAUUUUCCUUUGUAUUUUGUGAUGUAAUUUCCUUUCUUAUCCUUGUAACUAACCAAUCACAAGCUUUUGUUUUUGUAAAGACUAUAAAAGAGGUGGAAAUCACCUCUUGAAAAAAAGAGAACAUGCGUGUUAGGUUUUAUACAGAGCUCUCUCGUUUCUCUUUUCUCUUUACUAUUUUAUUUUCUUGGAAGCCAAACAGCCUCUGAGGGCUUUUCCUUAGAGGAUGAUUGGCUGAAACUUUUAGUUUUUCAAAGUAUGGAUGUUAUGUCAUGGCUUGGAUGCACUCCCAUGGAAAUUUCUCGCACCCGAAAGGUAAGGUAGACGUUUUUCAUUAAAGGUUCAUUAAUGUAAAGUUUGGUUUUUAUUUCCUUUGGACAACUUCCAAUGGCCAAUACUUGAUGAGCUUUUGGAUUUCUAUCCAUUAGUUAUCUCCUACGAGCUAUUGGAAGGUGAGGUUUUCAAUUCCAAGUUUUGCAUUAAUCUGUUAGAACCAAUUUCAAUGGCCAUUGAAAGGUGAGUUUAUCACUUGGAAUGACUUUGAGUUGCCAAUAUUUGGUAAGCUUUUGGCUUUAGACCAUUAGUUAUCUCUUACGAGCCAUUCAAAGGAAGUCUAAGGUGAAUAACCAUUGAUGAAAUUCACUACCAUCUGUUUUUCCAUUUUAAAAGAUUAAAACUUGAUUUGCUAAAUCCAUACCGGUUCGGGAAGCAAGCAUCACCAUAGUUGCAACCCCAACGCGAGGAGCCUAUCCUGAGAUUUCCAAUUUGCAUAAGAGCCAGAGCAUAGCUAUCCUAUCUUUGAGAAACUUGUUUUUACACCCUUUCAUUUUAGUCUUUAAUGUUAGCUUAGAUUAGUUUAAAUCUUUCUAAAACAUUUACAUCUUCUUUUAAAGCUAACAUCCAUAAGAAAAUCACUUAUUUUCCUAAUUUGAAUAUCACUUGUGUUUGCGAAAACCCUUCCCAGUGAACGAUCCUAGAACCACUAUGCUAUAGUAGCUUGGCUACUUUAGUAAUAGUAUUCAAGGUAUAAAUUUUGUUGAUACGCCUUUAAAUCUAAGCUACCAUGAGUCGAAUCACAGGGUGUGCCAAACUUUUGUAGGGUGUGCGAAAAUCACUUUGUGCGCACCGACCUUUGAGAUUUUUCUCCAGAACUGUAAUUGUUCCUUUUUAAUCCUUUUGUAAUAGAUUCAUUACAUUAGGGUUUGUUUAGGAACUAUAAAUAGGGGUUGGAAAACCUCUCAAAAGAUAUUAUGUUAGGAUAGAUAUUAUGUUUUAGAUAUUUUGUAAAGUCUGAGUUUUUCUCUGCCUUUCCUUCUCAUUUUCUCUUCACUUUCUCUCUAACCACACACCCUCUGAGGAUGAUUUCUCAGAGGAUGAGUGGCUAAGUUUCACGUUUCUUGGAGUGAUGGAAGCUAGGUAAAGGACCCAGAUGCAAAGGUAUGAGUUUUCCUUACUUUAAAUGAAGGUAGUUGUGUAUCAUUAAUGGUUUAUAUUUCAAGUUUCAGUUUUAAUCCCUUAGAAUCACCUUGAAUGGUCAAUACUUGGUAAGCUUUUAGGAUUCUAUGGAUGCUUAUUGCUAGAUCCAUGGAUGUCCAUUAGUUAUCAAGUACUAGCCAUUGGAAGGUGGUUCAAGGUGAGGGUCUUUAGUGUUUGAAGCCAUUAAUGGGAAGCAACUACCAUUUUUCAAGAAUCCUUUGGAUCAAAACUUAUAUGCUAAAUAUAAAUCCGGUUCGGGAGAUAACCAUCCUUUAUGUUAUUGUCCCCAAUGCAAGGAGAAGAUCUGGAAUUUCCUGCUUUGCAACAGGAACCUGAUCCUAGUAACCAUAGCUCCAAGAGACUUUCUCUUUAUAAUAAUUUCAAUUGUUUAUGUUUGCUUAACUUAAAAUCAACCCUUCCAAUCAAUCUUAUUUUCAUUUAAAAACUAACUUCCAAAAAGGAAAUCACCAUUUCUUCUUUUAUUAAUGUUAAGUGUACAAAGAAAACCCAUCUCUGUGGAUGAUCCUAAAGCCACUAUACUAUAGUAGCUUUGUCCUUGCUAUCCUAGUAUAAGGUGUUGUAGGUUUUAUAAAUGUUUUGAUAAACACCCGACUGGGCAUGAAUCAAAUGGCGUUGUUGCCGGGGAUGGUGCCUAAGCGCAUAAAUGUUACCUUUUAUGAGUACUUGUGAUCUUCAUCACAAGUUGGUGAUUUUUCUUUCACUAACUCAUUUUCUUUGUUUUUAUUUUAUCUUAUCUUUCAUUUAGUUUUUAGAUAACCUUAAAUAUUUUCCUAGAAUUGUAGUCCUUUUUGUUUUCUUUGUUUUUGUUUCAGUAAUCUCGGGUUGUGUAUGCCCUAUUAGAUAAGAGAUAUUGAGGGAAGACUUGUGAAAAUUGAAACUCCUCAAGAAACUGAGUUGGAAGUCUGCUUGAACAUCAUGGAUUGUCCACAUGAAGAUCAGCAUAGCCAACAUGGGCAAGAGGAGAAUCUCAAUGCAUACCGAUCCAUGAGGGACCGCAUGCAUCCACCUUGAAUGAGUGCACCUUCAUGCAUAGUGCCUCCCACUAAGCAGCUAGUGAUCCGACCUCAUAUAGUGCCACUUCUACCUACUUUUCAUGGGAUGGAAAGUGAGAACCCCUAUUCUCACAUCAAGGAGUUUGAAGAAGUGUUGAUUACUACCCAAAAAGUGUUAUUUUGCUCCUUUAAUUCAUUAUGUUUUAAGCACUUUUGUGUAGUAGUUCUCCAUCUUUAUUCCAAUUGGCAUGUUAAGGACCUAGCAAUGACUUCUAAUCAUAUUUGUGGCUAGAUUUAUUGUUUUGACAGCUUUUUGGAUCAUUAAGACAAGCCAAGUAAAGGAGAGAAGCAAAGAGGAAAACAGAGUGAAGAAAAUAGAGGACAGCAUCUGCAGUAUUCCUUUGCACUUUUGGAGCACUUAAUGAAGUCCAUUUUCUACAUGCUAUAUACCAUUUAAAAUAUCAGGAAGUCAAGAAUCCAACGCUUCAAACCGUGUAUGAUUUGGAGCUAAAAUGAGGAAGAUAUGGCCUUCGAAGACAACUGCAUCAAGCUAAGUGCGAAUUUCGCACAGCAGCCCAAGCAAGUGCGAAUUUCGCACCACCAGCCAUGCAAGUGCGAAUUCGCACCAGCCCAUGCUUCUUUGGUGCGAAAUCUCCUCUGUUUUUCCGACUCCACAUGAGAUCUUUUCUUUUGUAUUUUUUGAUGUAAAUUCCUUUCUUAUCCCUGUAAUUAGCCAAUCACACGCUUUGCUUUUGUAAAGAUUAUAAGAGGGGUGGAAAUCAUCUCUCGAAAAAUGACGAACAUAUGUUAUGUUUUACACUUAGUAAAAUACAGGGCUCUCUUUGCUUUCCUUUUCUCUCUACUAUUUUCUUUUUCUUGGAAGCCAAACAACCUCUAAGGAUGUUUUCCCAGAUGAUGAGAGGCUAAACCUUUGGUUUCUUGGAGUGAAGGAAGCUAGGUGAAAAGUCCAGAUGCAAAAGUGGAAAACUCUCGUGCAUUAAAUACAGGUAGUUGGAGUUCAUAAAUGGCUUUUAAAUCUAAAGUUUUGCUUUAAAUCCCUUAGAAUCACUUUGAAUGGCCAAUACAUGUUAAGCUUUAGGUCUCUGUGGAUACUUAUUGCUAGAUCCAUAUCAGACCAUUAGUUAUCAUGUAUGAGCCAUUGGAAAAUGGCUCAAGGUGAAGACCCAUAGUGUCUAAAGCCAUUAAUGGAACCUGACUACCAUUUCUAUUGACUUUUUAUGGAUUAAAUCUUCAUUGUUAAACCUAUACCGGUUCGGGAAACAACCAUCCUUUAUGUUGUUGUCCCCAAUACGAGAAGAAGAAUCCGGAAUUUCCACUUUGCAUUCUGAACUUGAUCCUAGCAACCCUUAUCUUCGGGAGACUUUCUUUCUUCCAUUUUUACCUAGUUCUAUAUUAGUUUAGCUUCAAACACCACUUUCAAAAAAAAAUUUAUUUUCCUUUAAACUUUAAGUUUUUGACAAAGGAAAUCAUCAGAUUCAAUUUCUAAUCUUGAGUAUAUCAUUGGUAGAAUGAAAACCCAUCCCAGAUUUCGACCCUAGAGCUGCUAUACUAUAGUAGCUUUGCUACGCUAGUAUGAGGUCAUAGGAUUUAUAAAUAUUUUUUAUUAAAACACCCGACUGGGCACGAAUCAAAAUGGCGCUGCUGCCGGGGAUGGUGCCACUUUACAGUGAUAUGACCUUUUCAGAGUACUUGUGAUCUUUAUCACAAGUUUGGUGACUUUUCUUUUCCUUUUAUUAACUCUUUUUUUUUGUUUAUUUUCCUUUGUUCAUGUUUUAGUAUAUCUUUUAUUUAGAUUUUAGUUAAUCUUAAUAAUUUUCUUUAGAAUUUUAUUUUCUUUUGUUUGCUCUGUUUUUAAUUCACAAAUUGCUAGUUGUGCAUGCCAUUUCUAAAACACUAGUGCAAGCUAUGUCGUGUGCCAUUUGUCAAUCUUUUGAGCACUUGGUGGAGGAGUGUCCUAUCCUUCCAGCAAUGAGGGAGAUGUUUGGUAUGCCAUGUGGCAUUUGUCAGUCUUUUGAGCACCUGGUGGAGGAGUGUCCUAUCAAUCCAGUGGCAAGAGAGAUAUUUGGUGAUUAUAACACCUACAAUUCAUUUUGUAGGAAUCAUCCAAAUUUCUUUUAGGAACCACAACCACGUCAGUACAUGCAACCCGCUCAAGCACCACAUCAAGCCUUGAAACUUGAACAAGCAAUUGUGAACCUUACCAAGGUUGUGGAAGACUUUGUAGCACACUAGAAAUCCAUCAUUGAUCAAUUCAGGCAAGAAAAUGCUCAAGUCAGGCAAGAAAUUGAUAGCCAAGACAGAAAGAUGGAUGGGAGGUUGAAUGAUUUGUCUCAGAAGACAGACAAUCUUGAAUACUCAAGCUCAAGGCUUAUCAACCUCAACACAGAGCGAGAAAAAGAAAACUUUCCUUCUCAACCAUAUCAACAUCUCAAGGGUAUCCAUAAAGAGGAGGCCCAAAACGAAGAAAAUUCAAUGGUGAGGAAAGUCAAAGUAGUUAUGGUUGAUCAGCCCAUAUUCAAGCCAAAGCAUGAUGAAGGGUUACCUGAACCCUCAGAGAAGCUUGCUAAUCUGUUCCAUUGGACGAGAACAAAAGAAAUGUAGCCCUUAUUGAAUGCGGUGGAGAUACAGAGACAUGCGAAGGAGGAGCCCCCAAAGCUUAUUCUUAACUCGCUACCUCUAAAGAUGAAAUAUGCAUACCGGGUAGAAGACAAGCUGAAACAGGACCAGUUUUUUUUUUUUUUUAUAGACUUAGUCUUUCUAAAGACUAGCUAGUCCAUAUAUUUUUGUUUUAUUUUUAAAUUUGUUUUGAUUUUGAUUUCUUGCUUUAAUUUUAUUUUGGUUUGAUUUAACUUGGGUUUUUUUAUGAUCAACACAGGGGAAGCCAAAAACAGAGGAAAACAGAGCAAUUUGCACCACCCUACCCCCUUGUGCAAAAUUGCUUUUGUGAGCAUUUUCCAAAAAGCAUGCUCUCGGUCCCUACCCAAAAUCUUAGUGCAAAAAUGCACAGGAAUGCGAAAAUUUUUGCCAUCACUAUUCACUUUGUGCGAAAUUCGCAUUUGCUCUUUAAAAGCCAAUUUCUCUUCUUAAAAUCUAAGUUUGUUCUUCUUCAAUCCUCUCAACCCCUCUUUUCCGAUCACUCCUUUCCAUCCACAAGGUCCUCUCCUUCAUCAUCUCCCAUCCUAAAACCCCACCAUGGCAGCCCAUCUCAAAAGCUUCAUUCCAUAGUCGCGGCCAUCACUAUUCACAACAGCCCAUGCCUUUCAUUUUCAGCUUUUUCUCCUCCUUCCACCAUAAAAAACCCUUCAUUUCUUCACUCAACACUCCAAAUCCAUCCCUAAACCCAACCCAACCUUGAUUUUUCAAAAUCAAAACCUCAAGCAUAGGUUUCAAAGCCUCGAUUUCUUCAUAAGAAACCCAUUGUCGCCGGGUAUGGGAGCUUCAAAAUCUCUCAUUCUCUUCUUGUAAAGCUCCCAUUUCCAAGCUUAGCCACCAUGAAAAACUCCUUUCCUACCUCAGCCAGCAUUUCCCACCCUCAAAAACCAAGAAUUGUUGCCAUUUGAAACCACCACAAUUUCGCAUUUGCACGGGUGAAUAGUGCAUUGUGUGAAAUUCGCACAACACAUUUCCCUUGUGCGAAAUUCGCACCACCCUUCCCUUGUGCAAAUUUUUGAGCUUCUUCAUCCCUACCUUCCCUAAUCCCAAGCCUCUGAGCCUCAUUUCUUUGUUCCAUUAUGCCUAAGACCCGAGGAGGCUAUGCCUCAGCUCCCUAGAGCAGUCAGAGAGCUGCCCCUGUGCAGGCCCCACUAGAUGUACCCCCAUAUUUACCUGAUUCUGUCCCUUAGCGCAGAUACCAUACGAGGAGAGCAGUUGCCAUGCUUGUGGCCCCUACUCAGAUUCCACCUAGGAGUCCUCCUACAAAGAAAGCCAAGACUUCAAAGCCAAGAGAGUCCUCCAGAGCACCUCGAGAUUCACAGUCUCAGCCUCCUCCCACCAAGCGCCCUAUCCUCGCCAGCUCGCCCAUUGAGGGCAACUCCGAUUGCCGAUCGAGAGCAUUCCAUGUCGAGGCAUAUUUUGAUCACUCUAUUUUGCGACAGCAGCCUGAGUUAGGGGAUUCAUACCGCAUACUUGAGAGGUACCACCUUAUACCCUUUAUGACUCCCCCACAGUUCUUUUAUCCUCAAGUAGCUUUAGACUUUUACCAGUCUAUGACUACUCGUGGCGUCCCGGUACCAGCCUCGAUCCUUUUUGCCAUUGAUGGAUGCCAGGGUAUUUUGGGGGCUAGACAGAUUGCCGAGGCUUUCCAUAUCCCUUAUGCACUAGCAGAUCCCGCUACAUUUAGACGUUGGGCCCCACUUUCUGAGUGGGACAUGGUUCGUAUACUAUCUCGAGGGACAUCUUCACAGAGGAUCAUUAUGAGGAAGGAGCUUCCCCCUGGGAUGCUCCUAGUUGAUGUGGUGCUUUGUAACAAUCUUUUUCCUCUUCAGCAUAAAGUGUAAAGGCGAGGGGCCAUUCUAAAGGCAUUAUUCCGUAUCUCUGAGGACUACUACUUUAGCCCCCAUCAUUUGAUUAUGGUCGCCCUCCUCCAUUUUGAGGAGAAGGUGCAUAAGCGGCGUCUUACGAGGGCAAACACCAUUCUUUUAUUUUUCCCUCGACUGCUAUGCCAUGUUCUAGCGCAUAUGGGUUUCCCUGCAGACCCUCAUUCUGAGCACCGUCGCCAUUAUCGAGAGAACUUCUCUCUUGACCAAUGGAAUCAGGUAUGGCUCCAUCAACAUUCCCCAGAACUUCCCGAGCCAAGGGAAGUCCCUCCACAGCCUUUACCAUCUAUAUCUGCUCCGUCCACUUCAGCUCCCUCGGAGCCCGUACCAGAGGCAGCAUUGUCUGACACCCCACCUGUUGUUCCUCCUACCUAAGAGCCACCCAUUACUAUCCCUGGUGCAGAGUAUCGUGACUUGCUCGCUUCUUUCCAGACUCUGACCACUACUCAGACGGCUAUUAUGGAGCGGAUGGACCACUUCCAGCUUCGGUAGGACCAACAGACUCUCAUUCUCUGUGAGAUUCAGCAGCACCUCGGUCUUUUGCCACCAGCUCCACCUGUUGCUCCUGUGCCCUCAGAGCCUUCUACUCCAGCUGAUGAUGCUACACCUAUAGCGGUACCUUCCACAGUUGCAGCGGAUGACCCCUCCUAUCCACCAGAGGAGCCUACUACUUGAUCAUACGAUCACUCCUCUCAUUUUUUGAUUUGUAUCUAUAUUCUAUGUUUUUGGAUGUGUUAUAUAUUUUGGACUACUUUUAUAUUGGGAUUGGAUGUGUUCCAUGUUUAUCUUGUAUAUUGUACUCUCUCAGUUUAUAUAGACAUCUUCCUUUUUGUGUAUUUUAGUUUUUUCUUUUUAUUUCCUCUAAUCAUCACUCUUAUGAUUUUUCUUUUCUUAUGCAACAUGUGGUUUCUCCUAUUCAUUUAGAGUCCCUUACUAUCAGGAGGUAUCACUUCCUCCCUUUUUAUUAUCACUUGUUUUUGGAACAUUGGGGACAAUGUUCAUCCUAGUUGGGGAGAGAGUUGAGGAAGUAAUUUAUUGAAUUUUUAGUUAAGUUAUUUUGCUAACAAAUUUUUUGCAAACUCUUUUUGUUUUCUCAAAGAUAAAUUCUCAAAAAUAAAUGGGAGAAAUUAAAUUCUUAUCUUAUUGCCAUAGUCUUAGAGUUUGUAUUAUGCUUAUUAAAGUUGAUAAAUUGUUGAAGCUCCUUUUGAUUUCAAUCUUAAGUCUUCCACUCUAAUCUUUUCACACACUGAACACAUUAGAUUCCAGUUAUAAGAUGGAAAACUUUCUCACCCCCUAAACUUAGGAAAUUUUCGACUUGGUGCCUUUGACCUCAUUCUAUUAGUGUUGGGACACCUUAUAAAAGGCCAAUGUGUCUUAUGAAAAAAUUUGCUUCACUUGCUUUGAAACUCGAGCAAGGUUCGAGGGGUAUAUGGUGAAAAUCUUUGAAGUCUGGUGCCCUAAGCCUUUAUUGGUUGGGAGUCACUGACCUCACUGCUCGUUACAUAGGUGGAUGGGUGGAGUUCAAAAAAAAAAAAAAAAAAAAAAGGUGCGUUCUUAGCCUUUUAUAUGGGGGUUAGUGUUGCUAAAGUUAGAGAAAAACCUUAGUUGGGGGGAGAAUAUAGUUUGACAUACUAUAACUGGAAACUAAGCACCUUAACACUUAGAUUUUUGUGGAAGAUUAAGAGUUGGUCCUUUGGGAGUGGAAAUUAUUGUGAUACUCAAAUUUGCAUAAUGCCCACUCUUUGUAUGUUGUGAUAUGUAAGUUAUUUGAUGACUCUUGUUGAUGAUUGAGUUUUAUAUCCUUGACUUGCCAUGUGAGAUUUUGAUCUAAUCAUGCCACUUGAUUAUUUUUUCGAGUGAUCAGCAUGAUUUUGUAAAUUAUUAUAUUAUCUAUUUUUCUUUAUUUUUCUCUCCUUCAUUGCUCAGGUACUAGCAAUGUGUCAGUUGGGGGGAGUGAUUACUACCCAAAAAGUGUUAUUUUGCGCCUUUAAUUCAUUAUGUUUUAAGCACUUUUAUGUAGUAGUUCUCCAUCUUUAUUCCAAUUGGCAUGUUAAGGACCUAGCAAUGACUUCUAAUCAUAUUUGUGGCUAGAUUUAUUGUUUUGACAGCUUUUUGGAUCAUUAAGACAAGCCAAGUAAAGGAGAGAAGCAAAGAGGAACACAGAGUGAAGAAAACAGAUGACAGCAGCUGCAUUCUUCCUUCGCACUUUUGGAGCACUUACCAAAGUCCAUUUUCUACAUGCUAUAUACCAUUUCAAAGCUCAGGAAGUCAAUAAUCCAACGCUUCAAACCGUGUACAAUUUGGAGCUAAAAUGAGGAAGAUAUAGCCUUCGGAAGACAACUGCAUCAAGCUAAGUGCGAAUUUCGCACAGCAGCCCAAGCAAGUGCGAAUUUCGCACCACCAACCAUGCAAGUGCGAAUUUCGCACAGCCCAUGCGUCUUUGGUGUGAAAUCUCCUCUGUUCUGCCGACUCCACAUGAGAUCUUUUCUUUUUUAUUUUUUGAUGUAAAUUCCUUUCUUAUCCCUGUAAUUAGCCAAUCACAGGCUUUGCUUUUGUAAAGACUAUAAGAGGGGUGGAAAUCAUCUCUUGAAAAACGACGAACAUAUGUUAUGUUUUACACUUAGUAAAAUACAGGGCUCUCUUUGCUUUCCUUUUCUCUCUACUAUUUUCUUUUUCUUGGAAGCCAAACAACCUCUAAGGAUGUUUUCCCAGACGAUGAGAGGCUAAACCUUUGGUUUCUUGGAGUGAAGGAAGCUGGGUGAAAAGUCCAAAUGCAAAAGUGGAAUACUCUCGUGCAUUAAAUACAGGUAGUUGGAGUUCAUAAAUGGCUUUUAAAUCUAAAGUUUUGCUUUAAAUCCCUUAGAAUCACUUUGAAUGGCCAAUACAUGUUAAGUUUUAGGUCUCUGUGGAUACUUAUUGCUAGAUCCAUAUCAGACCAUUAGUUAUCAUGUACGAGCCAUUGGAAAAUGGCUCAAGGUGAAGACCCAUAGUGUCUAAAGCCAUUAAUGGAACCUGACUACCAUUUCUAUUGACUUUUUAUGGAUUUAAUCUUCAUUGUUAAACCUAUACCGGUUCGGGAAACAACCAUCCUUUAUGUUGUUGUCCCCAAUACGAGAAGAAGAGUCCGUAAUUUCCACUUUGCAUUCUGAACUUGAUCCUAGCAACCCUUAGCUCCGGGAGACUUUCUUUCUUCCAUUUUUACCUAGUUCUAUAUUAGUUUAGUUUCAAACACCACUUCCAAAACAAAUUUUAUUUUCCUUUAAACUUUAAGUUUUUGACAAAGAAAAAACCAAAAGCAACCCUGAAUCAAGUACCAAUUAAACACUAAUCUAAAUUAAAGUGAUCGUGAGAAGUUGCCAACUCAUAUUGGCUGGUGUAAAGUUUUUUUGGGAUUCAAUAGGUUUUGAUAUACUUCCCUUAAACCAUCGCACUUGAAUUUAAAGGCUAGAAUCAAGAAGCCUAAUGAAACUUGGUACAAGCUCAAUUACUGGACUUCUUAUUAAUUAACCAGGAGCAUCAAGUGACAAGAUAUUCACAAAAUCUAUCAAAGCAAUGAAAAUUGUGUAUCCUACAUAAUUUGAUUGUAGAGCUGAUUUCAAAUCCAUUACUCGAACUUAAAAGGAAAAAAAUUGAAGACAAUUUUGUGAGGACAAAUUAAAAUUGUGAGGAUCCCGAAUUCAACAAAUUAGCAUUUCUCUACCGGGUGCAAUUUGGCAAAUUGGUUUGACCUAACUUGAAUCUUGGUGAAGUUGAGAAACCAUUUAUAGUACUCAAGUUAGGAUUUGGUCGAGUUUCUCAACCAAAAGUUAUUUUGGGUUGAGUUCAAUUUUGGGCUAAGUUCAAACCAAUGCUUCAACAAUCUAAGCUGAAUUAAACUCCAUUAAUAUUUUAUAAUAUUUAUAGAAUAUAUUACUAUAUAAUAAUAUCAAUUUUUUUUCUAAAAUAAGUUUAAGGGAAAAACCAUCAAAAUAUAUUAAGCUAACUCUCAGAAAUUUGCCUAUCCCCUUGUGAACACUAUUUGGAAGGAAAAUUAAUUAGGAAGCCUCUUAAGCAAGCCAAAAAGGUAUCUGGUCCUUUGUAGCCUAUGCAUUCCAAAGUACAGGGCCUAAUGAACAUGCGAGCCAAGCAUGGUGCCUACUACUUCAUCACAUUUGCGGAUGGUUAUAUCUACAAGUCCAAAGAAUUGCUUUGAUUUAGAUGUUAUAUGAAUAUUGUUAAAAAAAAUGAAAAGAAAAAACUAUUACAACAUUAAGGAUAAAUCAUGGACUUGAGUAUCCAUUGAAGAGUUUUAAAAAUCUCUAUGAUGAAAAGGAAAUCCAAAGAACAAUCAAUGGCUUCAAGGACUCCACAGUAAAAUGGUUGAACUAAAAAAAGUAACCAUAAACUUUUGGAUAUGGUUCACUCAAAAAGGCACAAGCCAACUAUCUAACAUCUUUCAGGGUGGGAAAUGAGGGUUACUAUUUUGAUUGAAUAGAGUGCCCUCAAAAUCAAUUACUUCAAAUCCAUAUAGUUAAGAAGUCAAACCUAGCUCACUUGUGAUCCUAAGGGUUAGCAAGUUUAGUUCAUGUAAAUUUUCAUAGAUAUUGUGCUAUAAAGGAAACAAGUGCACUUUCAUUAGAUAUUCUAAUAAAUCAAAGGUUGUGUGAUGCUUAGUGAACAACUCAAUGGGAGUAUAAUUGAAAUAAAGUCAUAUGAAGUCAAUUUCUUAUAGGAUGAUAUUUUUAGUAGAGCAGCAUUGAACAAGAGUCUCAAUUUAUUUGAGGCAAUUAAACCAAAGGAAAAUACUAUGAUAUCUCAUAUCGAAUAGGAGAAAAAGUUCUUGACAUUAUAUAUAUGAGCUUCUCUUAAUUAUUUAGACACAUUUUAAUGUUGUAAGGGCUCUUUGAGCCCAAAGUGGAUGAUAUAUAUUUACACGGUUGGGAGUGAGUCAUUACAAAUGGUAUCAAAGUGUAUCCUCAACCAUGGUAUGGGAGUUUAUCUCAUCAUUGUAAUUAUGGGCAUUAAGGUGAAGCUUUCAUGUUUGCAUGAUAUGAUGUAACCAUAAAUGGAGUUCAUUAAUACUUAUAUUAUGACUUCGAAUUUCUAUUCACUAUCCUAUUUAUGAAUUAUGUAUGUUAAGCAUUCAAACCUACAUCACUUGCAUGUACAUGACUUGAGUGAAUUAGGAGUCACAUGAAAAAUCUAAGUCAUAGAUUCCUUACAAGUUAAUGACUCGUUCACAAUUGGUUCAUGGACUUUAAUAAACCAUUUGAGGCUAUAGUGCACUACCUCCUAAUUGGAGGGAUGACUUGCCCUAGUCAUUAGGAUGGGUUCCCCAUGGUGAGUGUACUAGUGUGUUUAAUUAUGUUGGGAAACCUAGAUAUUUCCAUUCCCAUAACCCUAGAUCGUAUAGGUGCAUGCAAAAUACCCUAGGCCUCUAAAUCCUAUGAACCAGAAGCAAAAAUCAAAAUUUUAACAUUCUAUAAUCUAGGGAAAAGUCACUAAAAACUUUGAGAAAAUUAAAGGCUAAUCUUAAUAGAGAAAACACCCAAGAGAUGAGGAAGGGGGUGAAUUGGGUUUUUAAAAAAUAUUUUUCAAACACCACAAAUUCAAGAAAAUGAAACACAAAUAUAAAGAUAUAAGGUUAGAAAGAGCAAACUUAGAUUUUAUAGUGGUUCAGCACUUCCUUGCCUAUGUCCACUCUCCUCAACCUCUUAACCGAGUGAAGGUUCCACUAUACUUGAAGCUUCAACUAAGCUUUUAAUCACCUUUACACUUGGAUUCCGGCUCCAAUGGGCUAUUACAUAAUCCCUUCAAGUCUUAACUCACUUGAAUCUUUUAGCAUUCAAAUAACAAGUUUGAAUCUCUCAACCUAGCCCAACAAGGGCUCAAAUACAACUUAAAUGUUAGGAAGAAUCACAAAGGUGCACUAAGAAAUAUGCAAAUGGAUAUUGAAUGCACUAAGGAAAGAAUGAGAGCUUUUGAGGCAAGAACAAGUAGGCAAACAAAUAAAUGCAGGUGUUCUCUACCUCAUAAAUGAAGUGGAGUUCUCAAUUUAUAGGUUUCUAGCCUUAAGAGUAAAAAAUGCCAAAAAGCGGCCAUGAUCAGUCGAGUUAGGGUUACUAGCCAUUGGAUAAUAAAUGCAUUGUAGGUGAUUGUUACGCCUCAACCGGUUUUUGACCAAAUCUCGACCAGAUCUCGACCGAGAAGGCAUAUCCCUUGACCAGGAAUGCAAAGCUAUAAGAAGAGAGAGAAGAUUUUUUGCAUUUCUCGACUGGACCUCGAUCAAGAAGGUGUAACCGAUCGACCAGUGCCCUAGCCGAUUGAGCCAGUUGGCUAGUGCCUUGACGAGUUCACCAUUUUUUGCCUGAAAACUUUUUUUUUUUUUUUUUGUUCUUUUCUCUUCUAACACUUAGGCAAGGUAUUUAGGUAAAUUAAUAUGCCAAUUUUGAAACAAUUUGUCUAAGGUUCAUCUGAUAAAACUCGGGUUUUGACGAAAAUGUAACUUUAAUGCCUAAACUGAGUUUUUAAAGUGCAUGAAAAGAUAUGAAAAUCCUAUGUGCACAAUGCAUUCAUCUUAGAUAUGUUUCCUAUUAUUAAAGGGUCUUUCAAUUGUCUUGAUCUUGCAUCCAUUGGGUUCUUUUAUGAAUUUCCAAACUAAUAUAUGAAAUUCUUUAUAAUUCAAACCAAUUAAUGACUUAACCAUGGUUUGUUAUCAUCAAAACGUGAUUAGGAGAACCCUUGGGCUAACAAACUUUACAUUUGAUUUAAAUGGUUCUUAAAUCAAUUAUGCUUAGUGAAUGUGAAGCCUAAAGAGUCCAGAGGUCUCACACAUCGAAAAUCUUUUGCUUGAUGACUUGAUCCACGAUCUUGCCACUCCAAAAUGGGGGCUUUUGAAGAGAGAAAUCCUAGGCUCUCUCUUUUUAGAGUUAGAAGAUGAUUGUCUCUCAAAAAGUGAUUGCAACCCUAACCUUUAAAUGGUAUUUAUAGAAUUUCCCUACUGGGCUUAAAUGACUUGAGCCCACUAAGGCUUGGGUCACUUAAUCUUGUAUAAAAUAGGUCUUAAUUGAUUAAUUAACCAUACAAGAUCAUCUAAUUACCUAAUUCAUGUCAAUGAGAUAAUAAAGAGAAAACAAAAAAUAUAAAUAAAUUUCUAUCUGUUACAUCAUGUCAUGCUUUUUAGGGCUCAAUCCUAAUAGGUUACACAUUAGAUAGGAUUUAUGGUGAGUCAGACAUUGGUCAUUAGGUAGUCUUGACUUCACGAAGCUACUAUGUUGCAUAAGCUCUCAACCUUGAGAGAAUAUUGAUCUAGUGCUAAGGUCUUCAAUGGCUUUGACCCAUGAGUGAGACCCUAAAGUGGUCAUAUAUUCUCUAUAAAUUGAGUCACUAUGAUUGAGGCAUGUGAUAAUGGGUAUUCUCAAGAUAAGCACCAUGAUAUCUUAAGGGAUUGAAACAUUAUAUCCCCUUAGAUGAUCAUAAGGACAUGUGAUUGUGAAAAUUAUGGUCAUAAUAAUUCCUUAAGUGGAAUUUGACAGAUGCUCUUGAAGAGAUAUAGUAUGUCAAUUGAUCACAUAAUAGGAGGAUCUAAGACUCAAGGAUUGUAGAAGUAGUCUUGAGAGGUUGAUAACAUUCAUUUUGUUAAAUUAUGGAUAAUAAUUCAUGAGGAGCUUGCAUGCAAUUGCUAGUAGGUCACAAACUGAAGUUUUCUAUCUCGGUCUAAUAUCAUAAAGAUACUAAAGUGUAGUUGACUCUCUAGAGUUAGAUUUUGAGUCAACUUUAAAAUUGGAUUUUAAGGGAGCUAGUACUUCCCUAUGGAUCCUAGUGGUUCCCACUCAAACUCAUAUUCCUUGGUCAAAAAAUAUUUGAGGAAUAGUAGGAUUCUUUAUUUAUAUGUGUGUAUAAGAGCAUUUUGGUAAAUACAGAAGGUUGCACAAGUACAUAUAAAUAGUCUUUUAAAUCAGAUAAUUAAUUAAUUGAAGCUUAAUAGAUAAAUUUAGUUAAUUAGGACCUAAUGAGUUAGAUUAAGUAACCCAAACAUAAGAUGAGCUCAAGUCACUCGAGCUAAGAGGUAAGCCUAUAUAAACUCCUUAAAGGGUUUAAGGCUUAGUACUUUUCAGCUAUUCAAUCUUCUACCUUAAUAUCUAUCCCCGUAGAGAGGAUUCUAACACCCUUGUGUAUUAGGAUACAAGAAAGAGAGUUAUCAGGCAAAAGAUCAUGAGUUAUUUGAGAUCUUAAUUAACCUCUUCACCAAUUAGAUUUAAUUCUUUGAGCACUUAAAUCUAAUAUUCAUUGUUCUGAAUUCUCCCAUUACAUAGUUCUAGCAUUUCUACGAAGAUAGUGUCAUGCACCUAAUGAUCUAGGGCUUGAAGUUAAGUAAUCUAGAUGUUCCAACACAUCAGAAGUAUAAAUUUUUUAAUAAUGUUCUCUUAUCCAUACUUGUGAAAUAUGGAAAGCUAUAGUGAAAUAACAUAUGAAGUUUAUUAGCAAGAACUCUAUUUGAGAAUUAAUUGAACUAUUGUUAAGACAUAAGACCUUAAGGAAUAAGUAGGUUUUUAAGGUCAAACUUUAGGCAAAUGAUGCAAGUUGUUAAACUUAACUCAUGAAGAAAGGCUACAACCAAAAUGAGAGUGUAGAGUAUAAAAAAAAAAAAAAAAAAAAAAAAAAGAACUUCUCAUGAGAAGUGAGGUUUGCCUCAACUCUCCUUAUUCAACCAUUAUCACAUUUUGGAUUUGAAAUUAUAUCAAAUAAACAUUCAAAUCAUUUUUUUUUCAAUGGAGAACUAAAUAAGAAGAACUAUAUAGAUCAACUAACUUGUUUUAUGGCAACUAAAUAGAAAGUCAAAGUUAACAACUACAAAGGUCCAUUUAUAGCCUACAAUAAUCAUUUAAACAAUGGUAUAUUACACUAAUGGGUUUAUGAUGGUCUAAGAACACUAUUACAUGUUUGUUAAAUGGUGUAAGGGUAGAUUCUUUAUUUUUUAUUUAUUUAUUUAUUUUUUUGUAUACAAAUGAAAUGUUAGUUAGGGAUGAUAAUGAGAUGGUUGCCUCUAAAGUGUGGUGGUCGUCAACUUUUAAAAUGAACAACAUGCUUAAAGCAAACUAUGUGUUCAAAGUUAUGAUUCUAAUCAAUCAAUCAAUGAGACUUUUUGGUUUGUUUUACAAAUCAUACACAAUGAAUAUUCUUGGAAAAAAUCUAGAUGUAAAAUUGAAAAUCUAUUAGCAUACAUAUACAGAAAGAUAAGACCUUAAGCUUUAACAUGUGUCGUAAGACUUUAAAUGAAUAGGAAAAGAUCACUCAAGGUUCCUAUAUGCUAGCAUUGUUAGUAGCUUAAAGUACCCAAUGAUGUGUACAUGAACUAAUAUUUGUUAUGUAAUUAGGUUAGUAACUUCUAAUUAGAUCUAAACCUUGCUUACAAAAAAGCAAUGGACUGGAUGCUUUCGUACCUUAAAGUCACCAUAGGCUAUAUAAUUUUCUAUUGAGGAUUGAAUUUGGACUUGAUUAGCUAUAACAAUGAUAAUUGGGGUAGCAUCCUAAAUGAACCCAAAUCCACACAUGGUUAUAAUUUUACAUAUGCUCUAUGAUGGUAGCAUAUAUUGGUGAAAUAGAAAACAAUCAUGUAUAACAUUGUCUACCAUGCAUGUAGUUAGGAGUACAUGACUUGUCGUUUAGGAAAGUGACUAGUUUAUGAUGUUCAUACAUAUUUUUCACAAUAUUGCUUGUUCUUUUGAGCAUACUACUAUUUAUUGUGAUAGCAUGGAAACUUUAGCCUAUGUCAAAGACCCCCCCAAGUAUCCAUAGUUGAACCAAACACAUCAAUCUUAAACAUUAGUUUAUAUGAGACAUGGUUGCAUAGGAACAUAUUUCUAAUUGAUAAAUGGUUAAAAAUCCCACCCUCACCCCCUUGUUGACUAAGCUAAUAUGUAAAGAUGUUUAUUAGGGUCAUGUUGAGAGCAUUGUAUUAUUUAGAUUAUGAUUACAUGGGAGUUAAGUUAAGAGCAUUGGAUCAUGUAUAUUAUGAUUACAUAUUAUAUAUUUCAAUUAACCAUUAUAUCUAUGAUUUAUUCAUUGUCCAAUCUUGUUUGAUGGUGCCAUUUAAUUAUUUGUUUUACUUUAUUGACAUACACUUUCAUUACUUUGCACAAUUGAAACAUAAUGAGUCCAAACCACUUAGAUAGUGUGUUAGAUCAUUGAUAUUUAUAAGACUCCUAUUUGUAUCCAAUAAAACUUGCAUGUUAGUAGCGACCAAGUAUAGAUAGUCCUAUAGUACACAUUUGUAAUGGAGUCAAUUGCCAAAUCUUGUUAAUGUAGUGCUUGAUUUAGUAAGCAUGUGCAAAACUUGAGUUCUUUGUUCGAUGCAAGUAAACUAAGAUUUGUACAAUAUAGAAGAUCUAAGGUACACUCAUAAUGAAGAUCUCCAUGUCAGCAUGUAUUUUCAUACUAUAUCUUCUUGGCAAUCAAACAAGAAUGAAUGAAUAUAUUCAUAGCUACUCCCUCAUCAUGUGCAUUAAUCUUAUAGGUCAUUAUAUAGUAUAACUUUUAUGCCCUUGUGAUUUUCAGUCAUAAGUUACAAGUAUGGUGUAGUUUUAAAUAUUUUUCUAAGGGGAUUCACCAUGUUUAACUCAAUGUGAAUAAAAGUGUUUAAGAUAUAACGAGACACCUUUUAGGGAUGAAUUACACUGGUUAAGAUGAAAUUUAGUUUAAUACUCUUACACCUUUCUUAUCAAUGUGUUCGACAGUUGUACAAUCCAUUAGUCAAUAUGGACAUGGAUGAUAAUGAUAUAGUUGAGAGAAAUGCAUGACGUUAUUUUGCCUACUAUGCAUGAGUGGGAAACAAUGGAGUUUCUAUUUCAUGAGAUACUCUUAGUAGAACUUCAUUAACUAAGAGCUUGAGAGUAAGUUGCAUACUUAUCAGUUAAGAUUCCUCAUGCGAGGAAAGUUUAGUUAAGAUUCCUCUCGUGGGAGGAGGUUCACAUUUAGAUUUGGUCAGAAUAUAUAAGAGUUGUUUGUCCUUUGCAAUUCCAAUUCUAGUCUUUUUGCAUGUUUUCAAUUUAGUUUGUGGCAGUUGUUAAAUACUUCUACUUUAAUUUGUAGCAAUUAUAAUUUUUAAAGCUUACUAUUUAGGUUUAGAUUUACUACAUGCUUAUUAGAUAUCUUAAUUCCUAUUGUAUUCUCCUUGGUUAAUAAUCUUUCAAUUUGAUUGUGGAGUUCAAAGAUUUUUACCAAAAUAGGGAUCGGGGUUUUCAAAGUUAGGAAAAGUAUUUAAUAAAAUUAAUUUUUGAAAAAGUUUGCAAGCUAAAUCUUUCAAUUGAACCUAAUGAGUUUACAUACUAAAUCUCUCAUUUUCAGCCUUGGUUGUUUCCACUCUUUGCAAUUUAAUUAGUUUUUUUUAAUAUACAUAUAUAUAUAUAUAUAUAGAUAAUUCAUUUUGUGUACCUAUAUACUCAAGUUUUUGAGUAAUUAUGAGUUGUAUUGUUAUAUAGUAGAAUUUGAUAAACUAAAAAUGCUUACCUUUGAACAAUCGAGUACAAUAGCACAUUUGUGUGGAUAAAUCAUAGCUACCAACUUGAUUCUCCAUGCCUCCUCUAUUAGGCUGACUAAGAAAAUGGAUUAAUUUCACAAGAACACCUUAAGAAUAAAAAUGUCAAGAAAAAGAGAAAAAUCAUGCUUCAUCUAAUUUGACUGCAAGACUUAAAGGAAAAAACAUAAUAAUAUAAUAGUUAUUAUAAUGAAUAUAAUAAAAGGAAAAAUUGUCAUGUUCUUCCCAAUACUCAUAUAACCCCUUUCAAUGAAACUUUGUAAGCUCUACUAAUACAAAAUAAUGGUUCAUAUAGUAAAAGCUCAAUAAAUGAAUCUUUGAUAAAUUGAUAAUCUUACUUAUAAAACAAAAUCUUCUAGUCUUAACUCAUACCAAUGUACUAAAUUAGCAAUCUCGUUAAAUACAUAAGAAAAAUAUUUUCAAAAAUCAUUAAGGGCUCAAGAAAUAUAAACUAAUAAUUGAUGAAGUAGAAACAAAAAUUUAUAGUAUAGCAAAUAGAACUUCGUAAUAUAGUAUUAAGUAAUUUUUCAUAACUUUUGUUUUUCUAAAUUCACUUCUUUUAGAAUUAUCACAUAUUUGAAAUAGCUUUAUCUUUUUCAACAUUAAGUUUUGAUGCCACAUCUUUUUUUAGGAGUCUUUUUAUCUUUAAUUUACAAUCAAUAACUUUUUUUUUUCUUCAGUCUCUUAGGUUUCUAUGUAUUAACUUUUUACCAUGUUUAUUAUUUUUAAAUUUAUUAAGUCAUACAUGUACUAAUAAUGUACAGUAACAACAUAAUACUCUUCAUCAAUUAAUAAAUAUUCAUUUAUCUAUAAAUCAAUAACCUUGCUAAGAUCAUAAUUUUUCUUAGUACCAAGAGUACUAUUUUAUAAGAGUUUUUCUCUAUAUAGUUCCUUCAUUGUAGGAAUUUCUUUGGGUUAAUAUUACUAAAGUUGUAAUUUUAAAAAACAUAUAUAAUGGAAAUGAAGAGAAAUUUGAAAUCUAUGAAUUAGUGUUUUAUAUCAUUCUUUUUUCCUAUGAAUGCUAAAGCCAUUGUCAAAUAAAAAGAGUAAAUAAAAUAAUUAAUCAAGUAAUUAGUUGAAAGUGAAAUAGGUGACUUAAAACUAUUGCUUUGGUACAUGUUUGUUUGAGGUAAAUAUAGUAGAUAAUAAGAAAUAAAAUCCUCUAACUAUGUUUAUUUGAUAGAAUAAAAAAGUGAGUGUGUGGUUGCUCCAUAGGAGAAGACCACAUGUUAACCAAAGAAUAAGUAACUAGAAAGCUUACACAAGUGUUAAAUGAUCAAUUUCUCACCUAAGCACAUUAAUGAGAACUAAAUGUUGAAGGUCCAUGCCUCCAUGUGGGGAGACCUUAAUUGCUACCUUAAAGGGGCAGUUUAAAAGUGGUCACAUCCUCUAUGCCAAGUUAGUAUUCCAAAAACUAAGAAAGUUAACCUUUGAGUUGAUGCUUAUUUGUUUGGUAGUUUCCUCAUUCUUCUUACUAACUUGACCUUUGAAGGCUCUAUGACUGUAAGGAGCCUAGAGUGGUCACUUUAGGUUCCUUAUUAUUGUAAGGUCCUAACCAUCCAUUGAAGUAAGAAAGUGAACUAAUACUUGGAAAAAUGGUGUCAUCUAUGGUGAAGAUACAAAAAUUCAGCUCACCAAAAAAUCUUAGUAAAGCUACUAAAAAACACCCCACCCCGAGGCAAGGACCUUCAUUUUAGUACUCCUUGAGGUCUACCCAAAUCAAAGACCCGACGUUGAAGAAAUGAAGUCAACUAAACUUAGUUCCAUGCAUGAUAAGGUUGAAAAGCCUGCAUAAAAACCUACAGAAAGCUUGCCUCUUUAUAAGAAUAACUUGAACAUAAAAAGGAAGAAGACCUAUAAAAGGAAAUCAUAAACAACAAAGAAAAAGAAGUUUUUCCCUCCUUUGAAAAAGCUUUCUGUGAAUGCAAAAACCUAUUUUUUUUUUUUUUAUCAAGAAACCUUCCUUUGUAUCCAAAAAUUGGUGGAAUAAAAAUUUUUAAUUACAUAUGAAGAGUUUUAGCUUCUUCAUAUGGGAAUGCAUUAAAAGCCUUGAAGACAUUGUUUAGAUCUAUAGCAACGGUUAGGCAAUAGAAGACUAUGUAAUAGAGUCUUGGUAGGAAAAUGUAAUCAUGAUAGAAAUGAAGUGGAGCAAUGAGUGAGAGCAAACCAUUCAAUAAAUGAAGAAGCUCACUAAAAGAAGCAAUCGACUCAUUCAAGAAAAUGUUGCCUUCAAGGUAAGGGUAAACAAAUGCCAAUGUGAUUUUGACUAGGAACUCUCAUUGGUAAGCACCAAUAAGAUGCAAGUUAAUGAAUAAUAGUUAUCAAAGCAAUUAGACCAACAUAUAGAUUAAAUUGGGAGAGAAAGGUGAAGCAAACCUUAAUUAAACUAACCAAAUAGACCACCUUGCCAGAGGUCCCAAUGCUCUAAGGGCUUCUUACCACUAAAGCUACCACAAAAUGCAUAAUCUUAGUGGAUAAGGCGAUUGAGGCUAAGUCCCUUUAGGAGGAGGAGGAGGCCACAUGAGGGUUUUCCCUCCCUAAGUUUAAUUUCUUUCAAUGAAACUAAAGGCACUCUAGAUAACUCAUGCAUUUCUAUGCAUAUGAUGAUCUUAGAGAAGGGAAAUGAUCGACUUUUAUGCAAAAUCUUCUCCUUCAUCCUCCAAGGACUAACUUUGUAUUGUUUUAUCAACUUACCUUAGAGUUUGUUCCUGAUAUUGAGACCCUAAGGGCGAUGUCUGCCUCCUAGUACAUGCACUUAACAAGACAAAAGAAAAGCCUCAAAUAACCCAAGGUAGUUAUAGCUACCAUCCAUGGUGGCUCAUCUACUAGAUUUGAGUAACUAGACAGGGUAUCAAGAUGUUACAGAAGCAUAUGGCGAUUGAAGCAAAAGUCCUCACAUCCUUGCAUGAAGCAACUACCACUUGUCCAUAUGUCAUAUGCUUCUCUAAUAAAGACUUAAAAGGAGUCCAAACCCUGCCCAAGAUCCAUUGGUUAUUACUUUAAGAAUUAUUGAAUACAACAUGCACCUAUUCUUAGUUGACCUAACAAGUUUAGUUAACUUGCUAAAUAUAUUAGCCCAUAUAUGAACAAAUGAAUAUGGACGAAGGAAAACUAGUUUCAAGUCUUGGGUCAUUAGUGGGACUAGACAAAGUCCUAUGUGGCUCAACUAGGGAAGCAGCUCUAAUGGUUUCAAUUAGUUGUUGCCAUAUAAUGACACAAUUCUUUGUUAUGGAUAUCCUUUUCCCGAUAAUGCCAUUAUGGGAUGAACAUGGAUAUACAACCACAGAGGAACACUAUUCACAUACCAUCAUACAAUUAAAUUCCUAACACUACAAGGAAUAUGGGAAAUAUAUCGGGACUAGGUGGCAACAUGAGUAUGCUACACCAUACCCCUUAAAGCAGUCAACAAGUGCAUCAACCAGGACCUUUAGGAAGUUCAUAAAUCAAAACUCAAAUACAAAUUAGUAGGUGACCCAAGAAAGCAAUUAGAGAACCUAUGGAUUCAUUAUUUGAAAGCCCCUAAACCUAGGAGGUUCCUUCUAGUCCAUGUAAAAAAAAAAAAAAAGGUUUAAGAUGGCUACUAGAAAAAAACACAUCUUUGCUAGGAAACUACAGGACAUCAUGGGCAUUGAUCCCCAAGUCACAUGUCAUCGACUCAACAUAAACCCUAGUGUUUAGCUCCUUAAAAACAUUAGAUUGUGAAAGAAAUGGUAUUUAGGCUCUUAGAUGCUAGAUUUGGUCAUCUAGGUCUUUUAACAACAAAUAGAAGUCAGUAUGCUAGUUUACAUUAAUAACAUGUUAGUAACAAGUAAGAAGAGGAAUGAGUACCUGAUUGACCUCCUAAGAACAUUUCAAACUCUUAGAAAUUACUAAAUGAAGCUAAAUUAGUGAAGUGCACCUUCAAAUGUAGGGUAUGGAAAGUUCCUUAGGUACUUGGUUACAUACAAAGGAAAAGAAGCUAACCCAAACAAAAUAAAAUCAACUUUGGAGAUACCAAUGACCAAAAGGGUUGGAGAAGUCCAAAAGCUCACUAACAAGAUUGGUUCUUGAAAUGGAUUUAUAUAUUGGACAAAAAAUAUAUGUCCUCCUUUAUUUGACAUUAGCAAGAAGGGAAAAUGGACUAAAGGAACCAAAAAAUGCAACUAAGCCUAUGAAUCACUAAAGCAUUACAUGAUGCUAACCUUCACUUUGGAUAAACCUUAGGAUAAGGAGGUCUUACAAGGUCUCAUUAGUAGUAGUAAGUGGAGUGUUAUCUCAAAAAAAAAAAAAAAAAGGAAAAGAGGAGCAACCAAUGUACUAUGUCUAAAAGGCCCUCUUAGAUGUGGAAACCUGAGAUACAUAUAAAUAUUGAAAAACCGAUGCUUGCCCUUUAGAUUGCCACAUUGAAGCUUCAAUGUUACUUCCAAGUGCAUGUUAUUAAGGUAAUGACAAAGUGAUGAGAACUCAAACUUAAUACUUUAAUGGCUUUAAAGAGCCCACUUUAGUGUGUUUGAGGUACCAAAAAAUUAACCCAAGGUUUUGUUUUUUUUUAUAAUACCUUAGAAAAUUAUGUUUGAUGCAUUCUAUGACCAUUCUACAUUCUUUAAGGUGUUUUUUUGUUAGGAUAGAGUCCUUAAAAGUAUGAUAUGAUGUAAUAAAUUUGGAAUUCAAUAUUUAUUUAAUGAUGUUCUAGUUUCACUUUUAUCUAUCCUUAUUCCAUGUAUUGUACUUUAUGAGCAUUCUUAUCUACAUUUUUUGCAUUGCAUGUGACUUAAGUGCAUUAGGAGUUGCACAGAAGAUCUAAGUCAUGGGUUCCUUGCAAAUAGAUUACUUGUUCACAUUCAGUUCAUGGGCGUAGGCAAACCAUUAGAGGUUGCAAUGCGCCACCUCCUAAUUGGAGGGAUGGUUGGUCUUGACUAUUGGGAUGAGUUUUCCAUGAUGAGUGCACUAGUGUGUAUGGUUGCACAUUGAACAGGACCUAUGGUGAUUUAUGACUUAAACCUAUCGAGUAGUCAUGACUCCAUUGAGCUACUUCAUUGUAUUAUCUCUCAAACUUGAGAGAAUAUUGAGUUUGUGCUAAAGUUAAUAGUGGCUUUGGCUUAUAAGUGAGGUCGUAAGCUGAUCAUAUAUUCCCUAUGGAUCAGGUCACUAUUGAUGGAAGUCGAUAGCAAUGGGUAUUCUUAAUAAAGGCACCAUGAUAUCUAUUGGGAUUGAGAUAGUGUGUCCCUUGGGUGAUCUUAAGGAAGUGUGUUCAUGGAAACUUUGGCUAUAGUAGUUCCUUAAGUGGAAUUUGACAUAGACUCUUUGAGAGCUAAGAUAUGUUAAUUAAACACACAAUAGGAAGAUCUGUAACUCAAGGAUGGUAGAAGUAGUCUUGAAAGGCUGAUAGCUUUCACCUUGUUAGACUAUGAACACCAAUUCAUAGGGAGAUUAAACACAAUGGACAGUAGGUCAUGAACCCAAGCACUUAGUGUCUCCGUUGUUAUUUACAUAAGAUACCGGAGUUCAUUUGAUUCUUUGUAGUGGGAUGUUGAAUCAACUUUAAAAUUGGACUAUAAGGGAGCUAGUAUUCCUGUAGGUCCUAGUGGUCCUCGCUAUAAGCUCAUAUUCCUUGUUACAUGGGUAAUGAGGGUUGGAUUGACUUUAGGUUCACUUUUGUGCAUAAGGGCAUUUUGGUAAUUAUGCAAGGUUGUAUAGGAGUAAGUCAUCAAGGUCUCUGAACUGGGCUAAUUGAUUAAUUAGUAGGCCCUAUUGGGUUAGUUAAUCAAUUAGAACCCAUUUUAAACUAGAUUAAGUGACUUCAACCCAUGUGGGCUCAAGUCACUUAAGUCCACUUAGAAACCCUAUAAAUAACCCCUAGGGGUUAGGGUUUCCAUAACUUUUGUCUUCCAUCAUCCAGAGAGAUAGAGAGCCAUAGCCUCCACCAUUUUUUCCUCCUUAUCGAAAGUGUUCCAAGAUCAAGGUUCGAGUCAUUUGGCAAAAGACUUCGGGUUUACGAGACUUCUAUGAUUUCAAUUUUCAUCUUCACCAUGUGGAUUUGAUUCGGGAACACCUAAAUCUAAUGUAUGGUUUUCUUUAGCACUUUUUGAAUCCUUUUUAAGUAUAAAAAUGUUAUUUUUCCAUUGUGCAUAAGAUUUAGAAAAAGCCUAAGAUAGUUAUGCAUGUUCCUAACUUGAUCCGGACUUGGGAAAUGGAGAGAGAUUCGGGUUUUUCCCAUCAUUUUUGGUGCAAUAGAACCUUGUUAGGAAAUCAUAUAGACAAAAAUGCCUAAGUAAGGAGGAAACAUAGAUUGCACACCUAAAAGGUGUGCAAGACUUAAUCAUGCAAUUCUUUCUUAGUGUAAAGCCACAUAGUGCACCUCCCAUGUAUACCUUAAAGACCAAACACACAAGAUCUCUCUAAUGCAUUGGACCAAAUUUCACACCCUAUUCAAGCAACCCAAUCUGCAAACCUCUUAAGUGCUUUAAGCUAAGAUGUUGUGCACCCCCUUACUUGAGUCAACAAGAUGUGUAGUAGUGCAGCCCCUUGAUGUCAUCUAAAUUACAAACCAUUCUUACCUCUACAAUAGCUAAGUACUUAAUAAUUCUUCUAAUGAUUGGCUUACACACCAAAGUAGUAUGUUGUUUAUACCUCAAAGUCUUCAAUUGUACUACCUAAACGUACCUAAGCCAAAUUACAUAGAGAAAAAGAUGCAACUACCGACCAUAAGCUAACACAUCAAGAAUGAUGGCGGGUUGAUUGCAAUGACAAAGGACUUGACCCUUAAUAUAAGAAGAGACAAGUCUUGAGGAGGGGGGGACAAGUUUUGCCUAUAAAUGGAGGAUUGUGAAUAUACAAGUGGAAGCAAAUUAUAGAAAGUGAAAUUGUAGAUAAGUUUUUUCUGCUUGUGGGAACAAAAGUAGGAAUAAGAAUAACUUAAUGUAAUUUUAGUUUUUAAUUUUCCACUGUAAUCUUUUCUUUUCAUUAUAAAUGUUCCCUAAUUUCUAGUUUAAUGAGUUUUCUAGUCUUUUUAAUUAACAUCACAUUUCAGUUUUUCAAUUUCAACUUACAAAUUUGCAUUUUUAGUUCUUUACUUAAUUUUAACAUGCUUAGAUAACCUUUAACACUCUAAGGGGUGAGAGGAGCUCAAGUCUCCCAUAUCUUAGUUUAGCUCUCUAUUGGUUUAUCUGUGCAUUAGUUACAAGCAAUAUGAUCUCUAUUAGUAAUUAUAAUGACCAAAAGAAGUAACCAUGGGGAGAAAAGUCUAUGUUGCAUUGGUUGUGAGCGUUGUAAGUCAAGCAACCUUGGAAGCAUACUUAGGCAUUGUUUUAAUGAUUCUUUCAACUAAGUAUAGGCCUAUUGACAUGAAAAGAAUUUAUCUAAAUCAUUUGGUUAUAAGGAUAUUAAAAAAAAAAAAAACAAUUAGAGGGAGAUGAACGUUAUUAAGGUGGUUCUUGUUCAUUUGAAGCAGGAAACCUUUUUGGUAUAAAUCCUUGCUUUGACCCUAAAUCUGAAAGCAUAAGUUCAAAGCCUUGUUGGUGAGUUGUAUCUAAAAGUGGUGAUCCUAGUGAAUCUCUAGGUUUGAGGUUUUCUUUCCUUUAAUUUUCUAUCUUUUAAACUUUGUGUGUGUAUGUCUAUUUUAUUUAUAAAAUCAUUUUUCUAAUCUUUUAGCUAACAUUCACACCCCUAAAGCUAUUACCUUAGUUGCUACCAAUUAAAGUUCCUUGUGGAGGCAACCUAACAAUUAUAAAAUUAUUAAUUUUAUUUUUUUAUUUUUGGUUAAGGAGUUGAAAGUUUCAAUGAAUGAUCAAGUUUAAUUUCUCUUUGUAAAACUUAACUAUUAAAUAUAUUUCCUAGUUUUGAUAAAAGAAAUGAAUUAGAGAAUGACAAACCAAAAAUUAGUGUCGUCACUAGGGUACUUUCAACAUUGAUGACUCUAAAGGUAUUUUUGUGUAUAUGCUUGUUGUUUUAGAAGCUUAACAAGUAUAUUUCACCCACUCCCCACCUCUCUUUUAGUUGGAUUUUUUUCUUUUUUUACAUAAUUUUUUUUCUUUGGAUUUUCUUUUUCUACUCAGUUAGCAUUUUCAAUUGUUAAAUCCAACAUUUCCAGCAUUUUCUUUAAAGUGAUAUGAUGUAUUAGGGAAAUGAUUUUAAAGGAAGGGAACUAAGAGUGCAUUUGGGAGCGAUUCUACAAAGCAUUUCUAACAUUUCUAACACUUGAGUGAUAAAAAUUUUCAAGUAUUAUGAAUAUUAAAAGUGUUUCCUAGAAUCACUUCCAAAUAGGUUCUAAGUAAUCAACUAGAAGAAACAAUUUUAGAGGAAGGACACUAAGUAAUUAACCAAAAAAAAGUGAUUUUAGAGGAAGGACACUAAGUAAUCAACCAACCCCUAGUUAUCCUUUUCCUCAACACACCAAACCACCACCGUCUCAUAUCUAUUUUCCAAAUUCAACUAUUGGUGGUACUAAUAGAAGUGUGAUGAAUGGGGGUUUUAACCCCAAUAACUAGCCACCUAAGACCAUGAGGGAUUACCUAGUCGGGCCAAUGCUCCUUUUUGCUUGAUAUUUUUUUUUACGCUUUUCAAAUAAACAUUGAGCUUGAAAUGAUCCAAUUUCUAUCUCUAUUUUAUGGAAGGGAGGACGAAAAUCCUUUUUCUUAUUUAAAAGAAUUUGAAUAGGUAUGGUUUAUUUUGGUAGAACUGGAUUUGAUAUCUCUAUUUUAUGAGCCUUCAUGAAACCUGGAUCAUUCGAAACUCAAGGUUUUCUUUUUUCAUUAAAGAAAGAGGAUAAGCAUUGGUGGUAUAGCAUGAGACUCUAUAGGAUAAGUUCUUAGGAUACUUGAUAAAAUAUUUUUUUCACAAAUUUAUUUUGGUAUAUAAAAUUGUUUCCUUUGAAAGACAAAUUAAAAUUUUUUGUUUUAUAGAGAAUGAGACUUUUCAUCAUUGUUAUGAUUAAUUUAAAGCUUUUUUGUUUAACUUCCUUACCAUAGUUUUGAAAACUCAAGGAUUGCUUCUUCUUUUUAAAGGGGACCAUCCCCCUAAAUGAAAUAAUUUGUUGAAAACAUGACUGGUGGGUACUUUAUACAGGAGAAACCAAAAGAAGCACUUAAGCAUUUAAAAUUGCUUGCUGAAAAAUCAAGGGUUUGGGACCCCUUAGUCCUCAAGUGCAUCUUCUAGAACGUGAAAGCCAACCCCAACAACAUCUAAUCUCUCAUCUCAUCUCUCAAUUUAUCAUUUCCCCUUAGAACAAGAGUUUUGACGAAGAUGAUUUUUGGAUGCUGUAAGAGGACGAAGCCACUGAAGUUAAGGAAAAGGAAACUGUGUACAUAGCAGUUGAAAAGAAUUUGAAGAGAACUUCCAACAGGUUGCAAAUAAGGUUAUAAGCUGCAUUUUUUCUUCUUUUCCAAAAAAAAAAAAAACCAAAGAUAGAAAAAGAAAUCCGUAAAGAGCAAGAAACAGAGGAGGAGUGGAGCAAUGUAUUGCAUGAUCACACCUACUUUAUUUGUUUCUCAAUUCCCUUCUCUUUGCAACCCAAAAAUGUUGAUCUUCAAGGUAUCAUCAGAGGGCUUCUCAAUAUCUCUUCUAAUGAAAGUGGCUCUUAACUAGAGGGGAGGGCAUCCCAAAAAUUUUAGGAAACCAUGAAGAAAAAUUUAUCAAAGUGGAUGCUUCCAAUCUACCUGUGGGAAGCAAAGAAAAAGUGAACCAUUGGCUAGCUAGAAGCUAGCCAAAAACUUGUAAAUAGCUUUCAUUUUUUUUUUUCUUUAUUAUUUUUGUUUUUAUUGCUUUGGCCAAUUUAGUGUGUAGGAGCACCAUCAUUGUGAAGCCUAUAAUAUUAUGUUCUCAGUCCACUCAAUACAUUUGGGUAACCUUUAUCAUCUCAUAAGAACUCAAGUAUAAAUUUCUCUAUACUCUAUUGGUUUUAUCAUACUUCAGAGUAGGUGUAAAUUGUUAGCACCAGGAAAGUGUAGGACAUAUAGGAAUUGCGCACUUUUGAGGUUUGCUAACCCAACUUGUAUGAUGACUUAAAUUACGUAUCUGUAGAGCAUAACUCAAAUUGUACACUUUGAAAGCAUGACUGAAAUUCCACACCCUAAGAGAUUAAUUUAAACGGUGCAUCCAAAGGAGCGCAACCAAAAAUUGCACACCUUUAAGUGCGCAAUCAUUUCCCAAGGGAUGCCUACUUAUUCUCUUUUGUAUUAUUGUCCAAGCACGCCAUCCAUAAUAAAAAUCUUUAUUCUCUUAUGUAAACUUUUUGGAAGAAAAAUGCCUUCCCAAAUAAAACCAUAAUUGCUUAGAGACUUUUGUCCACCCCACCAUCAUAUCAAUUGAGGUAACCGAGAAGUCUUCUAAGUUUUAUAUAAAAGAAGUAAUUUUCACUAAAGUAGUCACUGCAAUAAAUACUAAAAUAAUCCAACGAAGCAUUCAGUGGAAUGAGCAUAUUAUAAAAUUGUACAUGGGAACCCGACAGUAAUUCAUAUCAAGAAAGUAGAUAGGGGAUAGUAAAUAUAGCUCACCAUGAAACCCCACCAUUAGAGCUCUGUACAGAAGUUCGAAUCCAGGCUUGUCUGCGAAAGGACUUGGAUCUACAUCAUCUCUGGUGACGCUUAAUAAAUAUGAAGUCAGCUCUUUAUGACCAUACCUAACAGCGCUGUGAAGAGGCGCAAAAUUGUGGCGUUGGCAGAUAUUGGGCAAGCUUGGGUUUCUGUUCACUAACAACUUGACUGCUUUUAUAUUGCCAGCCCUUGCAGCGUUGAAAAGGGUAGUGGCGCCAUCAGAAUCCCGCAGAGCCAGUGCCUCACUUGGCAUAAACUCAACGAACUUCUCCACGAAAUCCAUUCUGGCCUCUCCUAACUCAACUGCUAUGUGAAGCAUUGGGGAAUCAUCUGUUCCAAUCGGGGCGGAGAAUGAUUUGGGAUCAUCCGCCAAUAAUUUUGAAGCACUUUCCCAGUCACCAUUGAGCACAGCUUUGUACAGUUCCAAGUAAUAGAAUUCUGCAGUCACAAAACCAAAAGAUGUAUACCUCGCAGAGAAGAUACUCUCAUCCAAAGAGAAACAACAGCAGCCCCUUUUUCCCAGAGUCUUCAAAAGAUACAGGAAAUGGGCCAGGAACCAUUGAAGCAUAAGAGGUGCAAUGAUAGAGUCUUCCAAGUCAACUUUAUUUAGUUGAGUAUUGGGUCAGGAGUAGAUAUAGCGUUGAAACGUUAUGACUGGUGGAUGAUAGUCAUUCAAAAUAAACAAAGAAAAUUAGGGGGUAACUUUGAGCCGUUUGUUUUCGCAUGAUUUCUUCUGACUCUGUUGCUGGGCAUAGACCUCGACUGCCAUACAAGCACAGUCACCAGCGGCUGCCGUGGGAAUUAAUCCUAUGCACCACACAUUGCUAUGAUAGUUUACAAUAACUAAUUAUAUAAAAUCUGUUAAAAUAUUUUAUAUAAUUAACUUUUUGGAAUUUUUUUUUUAUCAAGUAGUAAAAUAAAGAAAAUUUAGGAAAAAAAUAUUUUUGAAAAAUGAUAAGUUUAAAAAAACGAUAAAGUUUUUGUAAAAUAUAGAAAAGGAUACAAGGCUAUUAAAUCAUAAUUAUAUGAUAACCUUUUAGUAUUUCAAUCUUUGAAUUUUUUUUGGAGAUUAUUUCCAUAAAUUCCACAUUCCAAAAACAAUGAUAAUCUUUACACAAUAUUAUUGUCAUAAAAAAUAAAAUUUUUUAAAAAAAUUAGAGAUUACAAAGAAUAUAAGGAUACGAAGAAUGUGAGAAUUGUCAUAUUUUUCGUACCCUCCUCACAUUCUUCAUGGCCCAACCCAUUUGAAUUUUUUUAUUUUUUUAUUUUUUUCAAACAUUAUUUACUUCACUUGCAAGUGUAAUUAGUGUUUUUACACAAUAUUAUUGUCAAAUGAAGUAAACAAAAAAAUCCUUAUUCUCUUAUGUAAACUUUUUGGAAGAAAAAUGCCUUCCCAAAUAAAACCAUAAUUGCUUAGAGACUUUUGUCCACCCCACCAUCAUAUCAAUUGAGGUAACCGAGAAGUCUUCUAAGUUUUAUAUAAAAGAAGUAAUUUUCACUUCCUUUUGCAUGCACUCAAACAAGAACACACACAAUAACGCAACAUGAAAACUCCAAAGAAUCUUAAAACCAAAACACUGAGCCUAAAUAAGAUAAGGAAGUGAGAUAAAAAUGAACAAUCAAGCCAAUUUGUUGAAGUCAAUAGGCACAAUACUAAAAUAAUCCAACAAGCAUUCAGUGGAAUGAGCAUUUGGACAGAAAGGGAACACAUUAAAUUUAAAAGCACUUGAAGCUAGCAAUGGGUGAUAUUGAUAUUUUUGGUCAAUCUCACCCUCAGUGCAGAAUUCCAAAUUGUUUCCAACUUUUCUGUAAUAUUUUUCUUACAUUUUUAUAUUAUCCAAAGACAGAAAAUUAAUUAUUCCUUUCAAGUUUUUUUUUUCUUUUUUAUUUAUAGGACAUAGCUAAACAGGAUUAGCAUAAAAGAAAAUAACUUGACUUAUAAACAAAAGCAAAGGAGAUGCAAUGGCAAACACAAAGCAAUUUAAAAGGGGCAAGCAGUAAAGAAACUAACAAUGAUAUAUUAUGAGUUGCCAUAAGUUGAAGCGACUUCCACUUGGGAAAGCCCAAGGCCUUUUAGCCAAUACUGUCAAAGGGGCAAAAUCCUCAUCAGAAUCAUUAGCAUCAUCGUGGCGGGCGGAAUCGAAAUGGCAUGUGGCAAGGUCAGGAUAACGUUCAACCAGAUACAGUGCUACAUCUGCAUAUUAUAAAAUUGUACAUGGGAACCCGACAGUAAUUCAUAUCAAGAAAAUAGAUAGGGGAUGGUAAAUAUAGCUCACCAUGAAACCCCACCAUUAGUGCUCUGCGCAGAAGUUCGAAUCCAGGCGAAUUUGAGAAAGGAUAUGGAGGUUCAUUAUCUCUGGUGACGCUUAAUAAAUAUAAAGUCAGCUCUUUAUGACCAUACCUAACAGCGCUGUGAAGAGGCGCAAAAUUGUCGCGUUGGCAGAUAUUGGGCAAGCUUGGGUUUUUGUUCACUAACAACUUGACUGCUUUUAUAUUGCCAGCCCUUGCAGCGUUGAAAAGGGCAGUGACGCCAUCAGAAUCCCGCAGAGCCAGUGCCUCACUUGGCAUAAACUCAACCAACUUCUCCACGAAACCCAUUCUGGCCUCUCCUAACUCAACUGCUAUGUGAAGCAUUCGGGAAUCAUCUGUUCCGAUCAGGGCGGAGAAUGAUCGUGGAUCAUCCUUCAAUAAUUUUGAAGCACUUUCCCAGUCACCAUUGUGUUGGGGAUAAAUGUAUGCCCAAGAUCCAAUCUAUCAUGUAAUCAACUUUAGUUUUAAUAAGGUAUUAAUUCUUUAUUUCAUUAUCAUAUCUGUUUAAAAUAGUUUAUAUGAUAAGGUCCUUGAUUAAAAUUUGAAAAUUGUUAUCAUGAUAGAGAUUAUGAUAAUGAGAAGCAAUUCUUUUAAUAAUUUUAAUCUAAACUGUUCUUGAUCAUAGGAUUAUUGUCAACAGGACAUCAAUAAUCCAGAUAGAUCAAUAUAUAUGUGAUGGUCUUUAUUGGAUAAAGAUUGAUAUAUCUCAUUUGUUAAAUUACAUAUAUAGAUGAUGCACAUGUAGAUGUGAUCAUUGAACUGACUCAACUGAGAAUUUCUAAUGGUCAUCUUUACCUUAAAUUGUCAAUAGGAAUUUCUCAAGAAGAAAUAUAAUAGUUUUCUUUGACCUGAGAUUAUCAAAGUAAUUAACAAGUUAUUUAUUAUAUUUUAAUCCCGGACACCUAAUGCCUUAGGGCACUAGUUGAAUGGAUAUUGGAUAUAAUUAAAUACUUGUAGAAUUAAUGAUUAAUCAAGAAGGAAUCCAUCAACUCGUGGUAAUGAGUUUGAGCUCUAUGAUAAAAAUAAGACCUUGGCCAAGGGCAAUUGAAUGAAUGAAGAAAUGAGUUUCUUAAGUUAUUCACUAAAUAAAUAAUGUGCUGACUUAUUAGAGUUUGACAGUAAUACCAUACUCUAGAGUUAGCCCAGAGCUGUGAAUGAUGGAAGGAAAUAUUACAUUAUUCUUCUACCGGUUCUUGAAAGUAAAAGAUAUUACUUCAUACUAUCUGGACGUUAAGGAGUGUUGCUAGAUGCCUACCUUAAUUAGUAAAUUGAUUUGAUUAAUUUACUACCAGCUUAGUAAUGAACCUACGGGGUUACACACAAACGAGUGUUUUAAUCUUUGCAAAGAACUAUUUAUUAUUAUUUGAUAAUUAAAUUAGAGAAUUUAAUUUUAAUCAAAUAAAUAAAUAUGUUCUAUGUGGAAUAUUAUUAUAUUCUUUGCUAGCACCAAGAAUAUAAUUAAUAUAUAGAUAAAAAAAUAAAAUAUUUUUCUUUGGACGUGGAAGUUAGUCCACGAGAAUGUUUGCUAAACAUUUGCAAACAUAUGGGUACAUGCAGCAACUUACAGGAGGGAUGUGGGUUUUGUUUUUAACUUACAAGACUUGGUCAAAGUGUUUUUCAAAUGCUAUUGAAAAUAGCAAAAGAAAAACAAAUGGACCAAUAGAAUCUCUUAGUAGCCCAAAAAAGAAGGAGGACACGAUAGAGAUAGAUUAAGUGAUAAAAUCAAAAAUCAAAUUAGUUGAGUUAUCUUAUCACUUAAAACAGAAGUUGUAUCGGAUAUGCUAUAUAGCAUAUAUACACAAUCUGAAUAAGGAUCGAUCUAUCUUUAUCCUCCUUGUUUUUACGCCAAAGAAAUACAAAGUGUUGUUCUAUUUUUUUUAAGUUCCGCGUAUCAAAGGGUUGAUAGCAAAGAUUAAUUUCGGUGUGGAUACACGUAGAGUCUUCAUACAAUUGGAGAAAAUUUUAUGCUUGAAGAACUGAUAUCCAGGUUAUUAUUUUAAAUUUUUUGAUAGCUGCAGUAUAUAUUUUGAAUGCAAAAUAGAUCAAUUUUCCGCUGUAUGUGUUAUAAAUUUAUUUUAUAACCUUUCAAUUGGUAUCAGAGCCAGGUUUAUUUUUGUGUUUAAAAUUAUACUACCAAUAUAAUUUUCGUGACGUGAAAGCUUUAUCCUCUGUUAUUGCUGUUCAUUAGACUGCAACAGUUGCAGAAGUAAAGAUUGAUGCGACAAUUGCUUAUUGCUUUUCUGUUGAUAUACGUGCCUAAUAGAUAUUUCAAAUUUAUAUUCACAUGCUGAAGUAUUACUUUUUGAAUUAUAUAUAUAUGUGAUCUUUUACUUUGAAUCCCGCAUGCAUAUAUAUUUUUAUAUGCUAAAGUCUUGUCAUGCUUUAUCAUUGUGAUAAGUAAAAGUUGAUUCAAAUAAAUGAUCCUCUGUCUUGCCAUUUAUCUAAUAUAAAAUAUAGUAAUAUAUAGUUGAUAUAUUUUGACUUACGUUUUAUUAAAACUAUUUGGCUUUAAUAUGAAUAUAUAAAUAUACAUGUACCUGGAGAGGUAUAAUUCAUUAUUGAUUUUGUUGAAUUAUUAUAUAUAGUGAUAUAUAUUAAUUCUUUGAUAGAUGAAUUCUAUUCAUGUAUAAUAAUGUGUUUAUGUAUAUUUGCAAGUUGUGUAAAUUUUUUAGCAUGUGAUGAAAUUUUUUUUAUUAAUAACAAGGAACGACCUGAUAACCAGGAGACUUGUAAUUAAUUACAGCAUGUAUGUUUAAAAUAAUUUUAUACUUAAUGUCUGGACUACCCAGAGAAGUAUUAAAUUAAAUUCAUAGAUAUUAAUAAGUUUGACCUGACAACCAGGAACUUAUGUAAUAUAUUAUUCUUUUGAAAUUGUAUGAGAUACAUUUUGUCUUAGAAUAUGUAUGAGAAACGACUUGAUAACCAAGUGGCUUAUUCAUAGUUUUAAGAAAUUAUAUAUGUUUUGACAUAAUUAUAUUUUAAUAUCCAGAAUGUCUUCCUUAUCACUCCGUUCCAUACUUGAAACUUCAAAAUUGGUUGGAGCCAAUUAUGAUGACUGGUACCGCAAUCUGAGAAUUGUUCUCAUGCAUGAAAAACUUAUCAAUAUAAGUGAUAAGCCUGCUAUAACUGCACCAGCUGACACAAAUCAUGCUGAAGCAACCAAGACCUAUCAAAAUACUUGGAAGAAUGUCUUUCUGCAAAAUGCAUAAUGCUAGCAUCCAUGAGUCCUGAACUUCAGAGGCAACAUGAGGAUAUGGAACCACCUGCAAUCAUCGAGCAUCUUAAGAAGAUGUACGGUGGACAAAGUAGGACAGCUAGAUACCAGUUAUCUAAGGCUUUGUUCAGGUCCUCAUUAGGUGUAAAUGCUCAAGUUGGACCCCAUGUUCUGAAGAUGAUUGAUCUUAUUGAACAACUUGAGAAGUUGGGGUGCACGCUUGGAAAGGAACUUUCUCAAGAUUUGAUUUUACAAUCACUUCCUGAUUCUUUGUCACAAUUCAUUGUGAAUUUCAACAUGAACAAAAUGAGUUGUGAUCUGCAUGAGAUGCUUAACUUGUUAAUUGAUUAUGAGAAUCAAGUUUCCUCUGAAAAGAAUAAAGGAAUUGUCAUGGUGGUUGGCAAGACUUCUAAGAAAAAGGGCAAAGGUAAAUAUAUACCAAAAAGGAAACCUCUUGGAACUAAGGGUGGUGUGACCAAACCCAAAUACAAGAAGGUUAAAACUGACCACAGUGAUGCUGAAUGCUUCUUCUGUAAAGAGAAAGGACAUUGGAAGAGAAACUGCAAGAAAUAUCUUGAUUCUUUGAAAAACAAGAAACAAGGUAAGACAUUAAUGAAAAAUGUUUUCAUGAUUUCUUUAACUGUCACAGAUUCUUCAACAUGGGUAUUAGAUACCGGUAGUAGUUUUAACAUCUACAAUAUGUUGUAGGGGCUGAAGAUAACUAGAUGGUUGAAGAAAGGAGAAAUCAACCUUCAAGUAGGGAAUGGAGCAAAUGUUGCCGCCUUAGCUUUAGGAUCAAUUUCUUUAAAUAUGCCCACUGGCAAAGUACUAGUGUUAAAUGAUUGUUAUUAUGUUCCGAACUUUGUUUCAAAUAUAAUUUCAAUUUCUAUGUUGGACAAGCGAGGUUUUCGCAUUAUUUUCAAUAAUAACAUUUGCUCAAUUUAUCAUGAUGAUGAUUUAUAUGUAAAUGGUUAUCUCCAACAUGGCAUUUAUGUCUUACCUGAUGUGAAUUAUAAUUCAGUUAUGCAUGUUUCUUCUAGUUUUAAAAGAAAAAGAGAUAGUCAAUUAAAUAAAACAUAUCUUUGGCACUGUAGGCUUGGUCAUGUUGGUGAGAAAAGAAUUAACAAGUUAUACAAGGAAGGUUACCUUGAUAAUUAUGAUUAUGAAUCAUAUAAAACUUGUGAAUCUUGUCUCAAAGGAAAAAUGACUAAAUCUCCAUUUAUUGGAACUGGAGAAAGAGCCUCUGAAUUAUUGGGACUAGUUCAUACAGAUGUUUGUGGACCCAUGAAAAUUCAAGCCAAAUGAGGAUAUUCUUAUUUUAUAACCUUCACUGAUGACAUGUCAAGAUAUGGUUUUUUGUAUCUCAUGAAACAUAAAUCUGAGUCAUUUGAAAUGUUCAAAAGGUUUCGCAGUGAAGUUGAAAAACAAACAGGUAACAGUAUCAAAGUGCUGAGAUCUGAUAGAGGAGGAGAAUAUCUCAGUGAAAAUUUUAUUGACUAUCUAAGAGAGAAUGGGAUUCUCUCACAGUGGACACCCCCAGGAACACCACAGCACAAUGGUGUAUCAGAAAGGAGAAAUCGAACCUUAUUAGAUAUGGUAAGAUCUAUGAUGAGGUUCACUGAUCUUCCAUUAAAUUUAUGGGGAUAUGCUUUAGAAGCAGCAGCUUAUUUACUAAACAAAAUCCAUACAAAAACAAUAUCUACAACUCCGUAUGAGAUAUGGAAAGGGCGUAAACCAAAUCUCAAACACAUUAAGGUUUGGGGUUGUCCAGCUUACGUUAAGAAAUUACAAACAGAUAAACUUGAGGCAAGGUCAGAUAAGUGUAGGUUCAUUGGGUAUCCCAAAGAAACAAUGGGAUAUUAUUUCUACCACCCUUUAGACCAUAAAGUGUUUGUGGCAAGAGGAGGAACCUUUCUAGAAAGGGAAUUUCUUGCAGAAGGGAGUCAUGGCAAAGAAAUAGAGCUUGAUGAAACUCAAGAAGAAACCAAUGAAACAACAGCAGCUCAAGAACAUGAGAUGGAAUUUGAGCAACCUUUCUUUGAUGUCUUAAAAUCAACACAAAGGUUACAAUCUCCAACAAUUGUGGCUCCAGAACCAGCUAUAGUUCAAGAACAAGUUAAUGAACCUGAACCAGCUGUAGUUCAAGAACAGGUUAAUGAACCAAUCUUAGAACAGAUUCAGCAACCUCUGAAUCCAAUACAUGAGCCUCUAAGAAGGUCUAGUCGAGCACAUCGUGCGCCGGAUAGACUAAACUUGAUGGUUCAAGAUGACUUGUCUAAUGAGGUUCAUCAUAAUGAUGAUGACCCUAAGAACUAUGAAGAGGCUAUGCAAAGCUUGGACCGCAAUAAAUGGCAAGAAGCCAUGGAAUCCGAAAUAGAAUCAAUGAAGAUCAACAAAGUAUGGACUUUGGUUGAAGCUUCAAAGGAUAUAAAACCAAUUGGUUGUAAAUGGGUUUACAAGAAAAAGAUUGGAGCAGAUGGAAAAGUUGAGACUUACAAAGCUCGCCUUGUUGCUAAAGGAUAUCGUCAAAAAGAAGGAAUUGAUUAUGAUGAAACUUUUUCCCCAGUGGCAAUGCUCAAAUCAAUUCGGAUUCUACUUGCCAUAGCAGCAUACUAUGAUUAUGAAAUAUGGCAAAUGGAUGUGAAAACAGCUUUUCUUAAUGGUGAGUUGAAAGAGGAUGUAUACAUGACACAACCUGAAGGAUACACAUCAAUGUCUGAUCAUAAUAAAGUUUGCAAGUUGCGACGAUCCAUUUAUGGAUUAAAACAAGCUUCAAGAAGUUGGAACAUACAUUUUAACAAGACAAUCGAAAAGUUCGAUUUUGUUAAAUGUGAAGAAGAACCUUGUGUGUACAAAAGGUUUAGUGGGAGCACAAUCAUUUUCUUAGUGUUAUAUGUAGAUGACAUAUUGCUUAUAGGAAAUGAUAUACCAGCAAUGCAAGGGACAAAGGUUUGGCUAUCAGAACAGUUCUCCAUGAAAGAUUUGGGAGAAGCAGCCUAUAUUCUAGGAAUAAAGAUUUAUAGAGAUAGAUCUAAAAGGUUGCUUGGACUAUCCCAAUCCAUGUACAUUGAUACCAUCUUAAAGAGGUAUAAUAUGGAAAACUCCAAAAGGGGCUAUUUACCAAUAGGAACUGGAGUUACUCUUAGUAGGGAGGAUUGUCCUAAAACUCCUAAAGAGAGAGAACGCAUGAAUAGGGUACCAUAUGCUAGCGCAGUGGGAGCUAUUAUGUAUACCAUGACUUGUACACGUCCUGAUGUCGCUUAUGCACUAAGUGUAGCUAGUCGAUAUCAGGCAAACCCUGGUGAGGAACAUUGGAAAGUGGUCAAGACCAUUCUUAAAUACUUAAGAAGAACUAAAGACCAAUUCCUUAUCUAUGGAGAAUCUGAAUUAAAAUUAAAGGGUUAUACUGAUGCAAGUUUUGCAUCAGAUAAAGAUGAUAGCAAAUCUAUUUCAGGUUAUGUUUUCACCUUAAAUGGUGGUGCAGUGAGUUGGAAAAGCUCCAAACAAGCUACAGUAGCAGAUUCAACUACUGAAGCCGAAUAUAUAGCAGCAAGUGAGGCAGCUAAGGAAGCAGUUUGGAUGAAGAAGUUCAUAUCUGAACUUGGUGUGGUUCCUUCAAUUGAAGAACCAAUUCCACUGUUAUGUGACAAUAAUGGAGCAAUUGCUCAAGCAAAGGAACCAAGAUCACACCAAAAGUCUAAACAUGUCUUGCGAAUGUAUCACUUGAUUAGAGAAAUCAUUGAACGUGGUGACGUUAAGAUUGAAAAGAUAGAUGGAAAAGAGAAUGCGGCAGACCCAUUUACCAAAGCACUUGGCAUAACGCAGUUUGACAAGCACAAAUGGGAAGUGGGAAUGAAAUACAUGACUGAUUGGCUCUAGUGCAAGUGGAAGAUUGUUGGGGAUAAAUGUAUGCCCAAGAUCCAAUCUAUCAUGUAAUCAACUUUAGUUUUAAUAAGGUAUUAAUUCUUUAUUUCAUUAUCAUAUCUGUUUAAAAUAGUUUAUAUGAUAAGGUCCUUGAUUAAAAUUUGAAAAUUGUUAUCAUGAUAGAGAUUAUGAUAAUGAGAAGCAAUUCUUUUAAUAAUUUUAAUCUAAACUGUUCUUGAUCAUAGGAUUAUUGUCAACAGGACAUCAAUAAUCCAGAUAGAUCAAUAUAUAUGUGAUGGUCUUUAUUGGAUAAAGAUUGAUAUAUCUCAUUUGUUAAAUUACAUAUAUAGAUGAUGCACAUGUAGAUGUGAUCAUUGAACUGACUCAACUGAGAAUUUCUAAUGGUCAUCUUUACCUUAAAUUGUCAAUAGGAAUUUCUCAAGAAGAAAUAUAAUAGUUUUCUUUGACCUGAGAUUAUCAAAGUAAUUAACAAGUUAUUUAUUAUAUUUUAAUCCCGGACACCUAAUGCCUUAGGGCACUAGUUGAAUGGAUAUUGGAUAUAAUUAAAUACUUGUAGAAUUAAUGAUUAAUCAAGAAGGAAUCCAUCAACUCGUGGUAAUGAGUUUGAGCUCUAUGAUAAAAAUAAGACCUUGGCCAAGGGCAAUUGAAUGAAUGAAGAAAUGAGUUUCUUAAGUUAUUCACUAAAUAAAUAAUGUGCUGACUUAUUAGAGUUUGACAGUAAUACCAUACUCUAGAGUUAGCCCAGAACUGUAAAUGAUGGAAGGAAAUAUUACAUUAUUCUUCUACCGGUUCUUGAAAGUAAAAGAUAUUACUUCAUACUAUCUGGACGUUAAGGAGUGUUGCUAGACGCCUACCUUAAUUAGUAAAUUGAUUUGAUUAAUUUACUACCAGCUUAGUACUAAACCUACGAGGUCACACACAAACGAGUGUUUUAAUCUUUGCAAAGAACUAUUUAUUAUUAUUUGAUAAUUAAAUUAGAGAAUUUAAUUUUAAUCAAAUAAAUAAAUAUGUUCUAUGUGGAAUAUUAUUAUAUUCUUUGCUAGCACCAAGAAUAUAAUUAAUAUAUAGAUAAAAAAAUAAAAUAUUUUUCUUUGGACGUGGAAGUUAGUCCACGAGAAUGUUUGCUAAACAUUUGCAAACAUAUGGGUACAUGCAGCAACUUACAGGGGGGAUGUGGGUUUUGUUUUUAACUUACAAGACUUGGUCAAAGUGUUUUUCAAAUGCUAUUGAAAAUAGCAAAAGAAAAACAAAUGGACCAAUAGAAUCUCUUAGUAGCCCAAAAAAGAAGGAGGACACGAUAGAGAUAGAUUAAGUGAUAAAAUCAAAAAUCAAAUUAGUUGAGUUAUCUUAUCACUUAAAACAGAAGUUGUAUCGGAUAUGCUAUAUAGCAUAUAUACACAAUCUGAAUAAGGAUCGAUCUAUCUUUAUCCUCCUUGUUUUUACGCCAAAGAAAUACAAAGUGUUGUUCUAUUUUUUUUAAGUUCCACGUAUCAAAGGGUUGAUAGCAAAGAUUAAUUUCGGUGUGGAUACACGUAGAGUCUUCAUACAAUUGGAGAAAAUUUUAUGCUUGAAGAACUGAUAUCCAGGUUAUUAUUUUAAAUUUUUUGAUAGCUGCAGUAUAUAUUUUGAAUGCAAAAUAGAUCAAUUUUCCACUGUAUGUGUUAUAAAUUUAUUUUAUAACCUUUCACAUUGAGCACAGCUUUGUACAGUUCCAAGUAAUAGAAUUCUGCAGUCACAAAACCAAAAGAUGUAUACGUCAGCCUAGAUUUCCCUAAUAUGUAUAUUUCUUCAACGUUCACAAUGUCCUAAUACUAAAAUUAUUUUUAAAAAAUAAAUCAUUUAAGUUAUGUUUGGUUCUUAGAAAAUUUGACAAAAAAAUAGAGGGGAAAGAAAAGAAAGUAAAUUGAAAAAAUAGAAGGCAAGAAAAAGUGAAAUAAAAUACAUCUAAAAUCAAUAAAUUAAUUAUUUUUAAUUAAUUUAUUUUAAUUAUAUUUUAUUUUCUUAAAUAUUUUUUUUCGAUAUAACCAAAUACGGGAAAAUCAUUUUCCUUGAUAUCUUUUCUUUGCUAAUUAUUUUCUUGGACUUCUUUGUUUACAUCUAAUCAACAUCUUUAUAUAUUUCAAUAAUAGUUUGAACCUCCAAUAAACUACACGAAUUAAAAUUUAAUUUUCUUCCAUUUUUUAUUUUAACAGCAGGUUGUAAAAUACUUCUACUUGUAUACUAAUUAUGCCCAAAAGUUUCAGGAGGACCUCAAACGGAAAUGGGCAUGAACAUGGUUUUCAGCAUCUCACCGGAGCUGCUAGUCCUUCGCAAAGAUGAAGAUGAAACCACUGAAACAUAUUCAUUGGUAUGGUGUGCCGUGUCGAUGGUAGUAGUUCUUUUCAAUGAUGAAGUGGAAGAGACUGGGCCAUAUUCAUCAGUAUCCUGCGCCAUAUUGAUGCUGCUACAGUUAGGAUUGUUUGGGCUGUCAUCGAUUACCGAGAGUGGUAAUGAAGAGGAAGCCAUUACAGUGAACUCCUCAUCAUGCUCAGCAAUGUCCAUGUUACUGUUUGUAGGGCUGUUUGCGCUGUUGUCAUUUAUAAGACGUAGUGAAGAAGAAGAAGCCAUUACAACAAAUUCUUUAUCGUGCUGAUAGUCAUUGCCAUGUUUAGCGAAGUUAUUCUAAUGUGCAACAGAAAACCUAAACAAAAUCUGCAGUUGACAAAGGUCAAAAUUAACUUACCUCGCAGAUGGAUUUGUUAUCUAUGAUAGAAGAUUAUAUUUAACUAUAUCAAGGCAGAGAAGAUACUCUCAUCCAAAGAGAGACAACAGCAGCCCUUUUUCCCAGAGUCUUCAAAUGAUACAGGAAAUGGGCCAGGAACCAUUGAAGCAUAAGAGGUACAAUGAUAGAGUCUUCCAAGUCAACUUUAUUUAGUUGAGUAUUGGGUAAGGAGUAGAUAGCGUUGAAACGUUAUGACUGGUGGAUGAGAGUCAUUCAAAAUAAUAGGCAUACAUGAUUUAUUCAUAUAUAAAUUAAACAAAGAAAAUUAGGGGGUAAUUUUGAGCUGUUUGUUUUCGCAUGAUUUCUUCUGACUGUGUUGCUGGGCAUUACUAGGUCUUUUCUUUUUAAUUUUUCAUGUUUUAUUUUAAGACGAUAUCCAGAAGUAGUAGGUAUGGUAUAUGAAUUAUGGUCUGCGGGCAUGUUGAACACAGACUUGAAUUUCACUUAGAAUGAUAAACAUUCAUAGAGCCAAAUGUAAAUCCAGGCGAAUUUGAGAAAGGAUAUGGAGGUUCAUUAUCUCUGGUGACGCUUAAUAAAUAUAAAGUCAGCUCUUUAUGACCAUACCUAACAGCGCUGUGAAGAGGCGCAAAAUUGUCGCGUUGGCAGAUAUUGGGCAAGCUUGGGUUUUUGUUCACUAACAACUUGACUGCUUUUAUAUUGCCAGCCCUUGCAGCGUUGAAAAGGGCAGUGACGCCAUCAGAAUCCCGCAGAGCCAGUGCCUCACUUGGCAAAAACUCAACCAACUUCUCCACGAAACCCAUUCUGGCCUCUCCUAACUCAACUGCUAUGUGAAGCAUUCGGGAAUCAUCUGUUCUGAUCGGGGCGGAGAAUGAUCGUGGAUCAUCCUUCAAUAAUUUUGAAGCACUUUCCCAGUCACCAUUGAGCACAGCUUUGUACAGUUCCAAGUAAUAGAAUUCUGCAGUCACAAAACCAAAAGAUGUAUACGUCAGCCUAGAUUUCCCUGAUAUGUAUAUUUCUUCAACGUUCACAACAUCCUAAUACUAAAAUUAUUUUUUAAAAAAUAAAUCAUUUAAGUUAUGUUUGGCUUUUAUAAAAUUUGACAAAAAUUACAAGGAAAAGAAAGUAAAUUGAAAAAAUUGAAGGUUAGAAAAAGUGAAAUAAAAUACAUCUAAAAUCAAUAAAUUAAUUAUUUUUAUAUGCUACUCAUUUCACUUAUUUUAAUUAUUUAAUAUAAAAAUUAAAUAAUUUAAAAUUUCAUAAAUUUAUAACUAAUUUUAAUUAUAUUUGAUUUUCUUAAAUAUUUUUUUUCGAUAUAACCAAAUACGGGAAAAUUAUUUUCCUUGAUAUCUUUUCUUGGACUUCUUUGUUUACCUCUAAUCAACAUCUUUAUAUCUUUCAAUAAUAGUUUGAACCUCCAUUUUUUAUUUUAACACUUCUACUUGUAUACUAAUUAUGCCCAAAAUACACGGAAAUGGACAUGAACAUGGCUUUCAGCAUCUUACCGGAGCUGCUACAGUUAUUGGUAAGGUGUGCCGUGUCGAUGGUAGUAGUUCUUUUCAAUGAUGAAGUGGAAGAGGAAGCAACAGUUAGGAUUGUUUGGGCUGUCAUCGAUUACAACAAAUUCCUUAUCGUUCUUAUAGUCAUUGCCAUGUUUAGCAAAGUUAUUCUAAUGUGUAACAGAAAACCUAAACAAAAUCUGCAGUUGACAAAGGUCAAAAUUAACUUACCUCGCAGAUGGAAGAUUAUAUUUAACUAUAUCGAGGCAGAGAAGAGAGUCUCAUCCAAAAAUAAAAACUUUGCUCUCAAAGUAUUCUAAGAUGAUCAACAAGCCCUAAGAAUCAUGUAGGAAAAAUUUUAAAAAUUUUCUCUAACUAUAAACCAAAAAUUCUAACACCCUAAAUUUCCAAGCAAAAUAAACGAAUUGUGUGUAACCAAAAUCAAUCUUGUUGUGCUACGCUCGGGUUUUCGGGGGUCAAGCUCCUCGUUGAGGUCGUAGGGGUCGGGGGGCAACACCCUCUAGAAUUUUUUUUUCAUUAUAUUUAUUAUUUUUUAUUUAUCUAUCCAACUGGAACAAUAGAAACCCUAAACAAUGUUAAUGAGAGUUGGGUAACACUACAUUUUAUAUGGAGCAACACUACACAACGAAACCAUAAAGAUCAAGGAAAAUCCAUGAAAAAUAAACAAGAAAUGAGUAUGAGUGUAAUGCGUACCUGGAAUGUGACAAACCCACAAUGAAACCCUAAAAUCGCCUUCAAUGGAAGUUAGGAUGAUGAACAAGGAAAGAGGAAACAAGGGAAAAAGGAGAUGAAAAUUGUAAUAUCUGAUAGAAAUAAAGGUAUAUAAAAUAUCGUUUUUUCACCAACAAAAAUUAUCAAAACUUUUCAACACUAUCUACUCUACAGAAUGUUUGUUAAAGUCUUCCUUGGAGCAAAAUGACCUCCACAAGCUCCCUCAUGGCACAUUCACAAUAUGUUUUGUUGUUCAUCCUCUGGAACACAUCUCCGAAUAAUUUGAUUUGGGCAAAACUUAUACAAAUAUGGAUCAUCCCAAGCAUAGUGUUUUGCUCACGAAAGAAAAUACUUUUUCAUCUCCAUGUUCCAUUAUGAGAGAAGCUCUCUAAUUGCCAAGUAGCUGAGUAUAUUUGCGAACCAAGGCAACUCUCCACUACACAAAGUGCAUCAUCAAGAAACUCAUCAUUCAUCUUUUCUUUCUCGAAAUGUGACUCUACUUUAACUCAGGAGAGAUGAUUAGUAACCAGAUUCUCUUCCCUUGCUUAUCCUUGAUUUGAAUGUUAAAUUCUUAAAGAAGAAGGAUCCUCUCUUUGACCUAGUACGACUCCCACUACAUAGUCAAUCGCAUUACACAUCAACUCAAAUGGAAGAGACCAAUUGGGAGGUCUCACAAUUGGUGUAGUAGUGAGGAGUGACUUUAGCCUCUCAAAAGCUUCUUGGCAUGCUUUAGUCCAUAUGAAUUCUGCAUCCUUAAGUAAUAAAGCACAAAGAGGUUGAGAGACUUUUUAGAAGUCGUGUAUGAACCUUCUAUAAAAAUAUGCAUGCCCCAAAAAUUGUCUCACCCCUUUAACAGUAUUGGGCGAAGGUAGCUUUGAGAUGAGCUCAAUUUUUGUUGAAUCUACCUGAAUGCCUUCUCUAGAGAUGAUAUGACCAAGUACUACCCCUGAGGUUGCCAUGAAGUGACAUUUAUCCCAAUUUAGGACCAAGUCCUUCUCAAUGCACCUUUUCAAAACUUUUUUCAAAUUUAAGAGACAAUCAUCAAAGGUCUUCCCAUAAACUGUUAGAUCAUCCAUGAAAGCUUCCAUGAUUCUCUCUACCAUGUCAUUGAAGAUAUUGAGCAUACACCUUUGAAAUGUGGUCGGUGCAUUACAAAGACCAAAAGGCAUGCACUUAUAAGCAUAGGUGUCAAAUGGGCAGGUGAAUGUGGUUUUCUCCUGAUCCUCCAAUGCAAUGGAAAUUUGAAAGUAGCCCGAAUAGCCAUCCAAGAAGCAAUAAUAGUCAUGACCAACUACCUUCUCCAAAACUUGAUCUAAGAAAGGUAAUGGGAAAUGAUAUUUCUUGGUGGCUGCAUUCAACUUUUUAAAAUCAAUGCAUACUUGCCAACCUGUAGUCAACCUUGUAGGAAUGAGCUCUCCUUCAUCAUUCUUCACCACAGUUAUCCCGCUUUUCUUAGGUACUACUUGAGUAGGGCUCACUAGACUACUGUCAGAGAUAGGAUAUAUAAUACCUGCAUCUAAAAGCUUCAAUACCUCAUUUCUGACUACAUCUUGCAUAAGGGGAUUUAGCCUUCUUUGUGGUUACCCUAUUGGUUUUGCGUUCUCUUCCAAAUAAAUAUGAUACGUGCAAAUCAAGGGAUUUGUCCCUUUCAAAUCUAAAAUAGACCAACCAAUCACUCUUUCAUUCUCUUUAAGCACUUUUAAAAAUUUGAUUUCUUGCUCUUCAGUUAAUGUAGUUGAAAUGACCAAAGGUUUUUCUUCAUUUUCCUCUAAAUAAACAUACUUUAAACCAUGUGGUAGGGGCUUUAACUCUGCUUUGCUGAUCUCAACCUCCAUUUUUUUUUUCUUCAUCAUUUUCAACAUUGUUCAAAGACUGAAUGGUAAAUUUUUCUUUCCACUUUGUAGCAACUUCAACACUCUUUCCUUAAUGAUUGUAGAGAAAAAUUCAUCUAUAUUUUCUUCCAUUUAAUUUCUUAUGUUUUCUUGCACCAAGACCUCUAUAAGGCAUGCUUCCUCAUCCUCCACAUCAUCAUGGUCCAUCAGUUGCUUGCAUAAAUUGAAGAAAUUCAUUUCCACUGUCAUGUUCGCAAAAAAUAACUGCAUCAAUCCAUUCUGAUAGUUAAUGAGAGCAUUGGUUGUAGCAAGGAAGGGUCUCCCAAGAAUAAUUGGAACAAAAUUCACGCAUUUUUUCAACGAUUCUAUAUCUAGCACCGCAAAGUCCAUUGGGCAGUAGAACUUUUCAACUUGCACUAAGACAUCUUCAACUACUCUUUUAGGUACUUUAAUUGAACGGUCUGCUAAAGAGAGUGUAAUGGUAGUAGCCUUAAGCUCUCCCAAUCCCAAUUUCUUAUAGAUUGAAUAUGGAAUCAAAUUUAUACUAGCUCCCAAAUCUAACAAAGCCCUUUCCACAAAUGAGUCUCCAAUCUGGAUUAAGAUGGUAGAACAACCUGGAUCUUUGUACUUCACCAUUGUCUUAUUCUCGAUGAUGUCAUUGACUUGCUCGGUGAGGAAUGCUUUCUUGCUUAAUUUAAUCAUUUUCUUCAUAGUGCAUAAGUCCUUAAGGAACUUUGCAUAAGCAAGCACUUGCUUGAUCAUAUCAAGGAGUGGAAUGAUGAACUUCACUUGCUUCAAAACUUUCAAAACCUCAAAAGUCUUAUCCCCCACUUUAUGUCUUUGCAUUGAUGAAGGGAAAGACAGAUGAUUGAAAAUACUCUUUUUAUCUUUGCUCACAAUGACUUUCUUAUAUUUUUCAUACUCUUUCUCAUUUCUAGCAUUUUUCUCCACGAUUGGUUCAUUUCUAAUAAGAAUAUCUUCACUUAUUGCUAACUUGGGCCUUUCAUAUUCUUUCCCAUUUCUGAGUGUGAUAACUGCAUUGCAAUCUUCCUUUUGCACUUCGGAAACUUCAUUUACUCAUCUCGAAUUUUUCUAUGGUUGAGUUGUGAACUUUCUUUUCUCUUGAGAUAAGCUUCUAGCAAGUUGGUUCAAAGUGGUUCGAAUAUUUGCUAGUUCUUAAGAUGUUUGAGCAUUUAUCCUAUUUUGAUCCUCAUUACGCUUGUUUUGCUUCUAUAUAAACUCUCUUAGCAUAUCUUCCAGGCUUGAGUUAAAUGAUGAGAUUUGAGGUUACUGUUGAAAAUUUUGAGAUGGCAUACCUUGUGGUUGAAAACCUUGCUACCCAUUAGUCUGAUUACCUUGAAAUCAGUUUCCUUGCUAUUGAAGUUGGCCAUUGUUACCUCAUCUCCAUGAUAGAUUUGGAUGAUUCCUCCAACCCGGAUUAUAAGUGUUAGAAUAUGGAGAAUUGCUAGAAUAUUGCUUGUAUGUCCUUAAGGCAUUGGCUUGCUCUGAAAACAUGUUUUGCACUGCAAGUAGAGUAGGACAAGAUUACACACCAUGUUCCAUAGACUUACAUAUCUAGAAUGGUUGAGUUAUUCCCUCAUUAACUAUUUGUACCUCUUGACCUCCCUUAGCUUCCAAAUCAUCCAACCUUCUCAUAAUGGUUACAAACUUUGCUUGGACAUCUAAACUCUCUGUAAGGUAUACACUCCACUAGCUCUUGCCCUAUUCAUUGUUCUAUCUCUAGGUGUUUCCUUGAUGAUUGGUUCUUCCCAACUUCUAGAUACCUCAGCAACAUAAUCAAGGAAUUGAAAUGCUUCAUCGAGGUUUUUAUUCAUGAAAUCUCAUCCACACAUAGUCUCGAGAAGUUGUUUUUCCUUCAUAGAAAUAUGAUACUAGCAUCCAAUUGUCAAAUCUGUGAUGGGGGCAUGUUGCAACCAUCUCCCUAAAUUUUUCCCAGGAUGCAAAAAAUUUCUCAUCUUUUAUAGCCUUGAAAUUCGAGAUCUCCUUUUUCAAUGCACUAGUCCUAUGUGUUGGAAAGAACUUUUUAAAAACACUAAUUGUCAAUCACCCCAAUUUUUUAUACUACAGGGUCUAAGACUAUUUAACCAAGUCUUAGCUUUAUCCUUCAAUGACAAGGGGAAUAGCUUCAUGCGGAAGGUCUUUAAAGAAGUGUUGGCUUCUCGAAAAAUUGAAGCGAUGUCCUCAAAUUCCUUGAUGUGAGAGUGUGGCUUUUCAUUUUUUGUCUCCCUAACAAUGGGUAGUUGAGAUACCACUUGAGGCCGAAUGGUAACAUGAUCGUGAUUUGGAGGUAGCAUAAAACACGAUGGUGUGCUCAACCUAGGAGGAUUUAGAAACUCUCUCAUGGUUUUUUGGUCCUGCAUAGGUGGUCAUGGCCUGUUGUUACUACUGUUGGAUUCUUCAGUGUCCUCCAUAUUUGGUUGAGAUUCCUUAGUUGUUCUUUGAAGUCUACUUGAAAGAUCUCUUUCCCAACCAAGCAUAAAAUAGAAGAAAAAUAUAUAUAGAGAAAAAAAAAAGAACUAAAACAAAGUGAUGCACUAUAUCCUAGUUAUGACGAUUGCUAAUCCCCACCAACGACGACAGUUUCUUGACUAAAAUUCUUUAUUGUACUAAAAUACUUAGCAUUUUUUACGUAGCAACUCCAGUUAAGAAAAACUAGAGAAAUAGUCACUACGACUUUUGUAGUACUUCGGGCAUCGUCCUCAAGGACUGGCAUAUGGAAAGAGUCAAUACUAGAAUAAAUGAAUUGCUUUCGUUUAAAUCCUAAAGUGAAAAAUAAUAUGAGAAUAAUGUGAAACUAAGUAAAAGAAAUUAAAUUAAUAAAAAAAUGGAUAUUGAUAUUAAAUUCGAUUGAUUCACGUUUAGGGCUUUCCACAAUCCAACCUAGGUUAUAGAAAUUAGAGAAAACAAGGGUCUUUAAAGUAAUAUGAUCUUAGGGUUUUGGGAUCCUUGGCCGUUCACAAUCAAAUUGAGUUUUAUAACUUGAAAUUGCAUUUGAAACCUAUUUUUUCCUUUUUUAAAACAAAUUCCUAAAGCCAUUAAAUGAAUGAGAUUGAUUACCAGUUUAAGAUUUGGCUUUUUAACCCUUCCUACUCCUUAUAGCUUUGUUUUGGGGCAAAUAAUGAUAGGGAAUAUGAGGAUAACUAAUGAUAAAAAAAUUACCAAGAAUCAUUAGUAUCGGGUAAUAACCUACCAUAUCAUUCCCUAAACUAACUCACAAGGAUAGGACAAAAAAAAUGAUAAAUUGUCACCCAACCAAUAAUUAAUCUAAUUGUUAUAAUAAUUUAUCCAUUGUCCUUUUAGGUUUCCUAGCCCUUAGGUUUUCAUGCUUUAAGCCCCAAGUUGGCUCUUAACCUCUCAUGGGGGUGAUGUCACAUUCACAAUCCAUAAUAUGGUAAAAAUCCAUAAUUUGAAUCAAAAGAACCUAAAACAACAUAUUUAAUAAAGAAGAGAAAGAAAACAAACCAAAGUUCUCAUCUUCUUCUACCUUCAAUGUCAAACUCUUCGAAAAAAAAAAUCCAAGAUCCCUAAAACCUAGAACUAAGAAAGUUUAUAUAAUAUCAUCAAUUACCUAACAUGUGCCACACUCUCAUUGGCCCCUUAUUACAAAAAUAAUUACCUAAAAAUGAUUUAAAAAAAUAAUAAAAUUGUGAUUUCUAGUCAUAUGAGGUCCAUUUAGGGCGGAUGGAAUGCCCUAGAUGCAAUUACUGAGGUAAAGGAGGUGAAACAUUAAAGUGGCAAUAGGUGAAUUUGAAAUUGGUGUCAUUUUGAUGUGGAUUUCGAAUUCAUAAGUUGAAUUUCGAAAUCAUUUCGAAAUGACCCUUAAACUUUGUGCAGUUGUUUUCAAAUGGCCAUAACUUCUUCAUUUCAGCUCUGAUUUUCACACUAUUUGAAGCAUUGGACUCAUAACAUCCCAAGAAACGAUAUAUUGUAUAUAUAAAAUGGAGUCCGAGAAGUGCUCCAAAUUUUUCCUCAAAGUUAAAGUAUAUAUUACCAUCAAAUUUUUGAGUUCUAAAUUUCCAUGUAGCUGAAUCUUGCUUCAUGCCUCAUUUCCUAUGUUUUCUUGCCUUCUUUCUUACUCCAUAAUGGUCAUUUCUCAUCUUCCAAACUCAUAAUAUCCUUGUCUUGCCUUUCCUCGUGGUCCAUGAGUUCUGACUCACUUAUUUUCUCAUUUAACCCUUUCUUGAUCUUUCAAAAUUUAAAGUGAUUCAACUUGUACCCUUUUCUUCCCUUGAACCUAAGAUAAGUCUCCAAAGUACAAAUUAAACUCAUGGCUAGGGCCUUAGCAUUGAUUUAGGUCAAGUUGGGUGAUUUGAAUGUUCUUUGGUGAAUAAAUCAUAUUGAAUAUGUACCAUUAGAGCACAUAUUUUGGCUCCAAUCAAGCUUACCCGCCAAACAUUGAGUGAUAAAAUGGAGUGGGUUGUCUAAAGAUUCAUUUGAGGCUCUAUAGUAUAGUCAUGAGAGCACACAAAUUAGAUAAUAUGUAGUUGGUUGCUCUCUUCCCCAUGUCACUUAGUUGAGCAGCAUAGAGGUGGUUGGCAUUAAUUAAGCCUUUGAGACUCUAUACUUAGGAGGAUGUGGCCUAUGAGUUUCUGACACAGUUUGCCUUUAGUGUCGAUAUUGAUUUUUUUUUUUUUACUAAACAAGAUGUCGAGAGUGUUACUUAACCAUCCCUAUGGCAAAAGCAAAAAUUGUUGCCUUUAGUGCUAAUAUUAAUGUUUCUAAGCGAGAGUUAGAGGCUACUAAGUAGAGGCCAAAUGAGUUUGUUUCUUCAUUUAUUAGUCAUUAGAGGGCUAAGGUGGUUGGUAUGAUAGAUUGACUUAAGGAGUAAGAUCAUAUUGACGUGCUUCUUUGGAACCUUCAACCGAGGUUUGCCAGACAUCUUAUAGGUAUUCCAUUUCAAGACUUCUGAAGUUUGGUUCAAGUCGUUUUCAGUGUUUAGGAGGGUAUUUCUAAAGGGUUAUAGACAAACACUAUUCCUUCCUUAGACAAUAAAGAAAAGAAGCCUAUAGGAUCAUUAGGGAGGCUUGGAGAGGUUAGCACUAUCAGUUAUCAUCAUCGAGGUCAACUUAUCAGUCAUACCAAAGGUCUCCUAUAAUCAAAGCCUACUUUCCUCAUCUAUUGUGUCAAUAUUAGUCCACUUAUAUUCAACAACCUUUCAUUGCUUGGACUAGUAUGCAACCAUGACUGUCGUAUCCCAGAGCCACUGGUUCUCAUUCAUUACUCAUAUUCCCACUCAUAUUUUUUAAAACAUGUGAUCUUUAUCAUAAAGGGGCAUAUUUGUAGACCCUUCAUUCUAUCUCCUUAAUACAUAAGUGUUCUUUCAAUACUCCCCAAUGGUUCCCUAAUGGCUCUUUACUGCUCAUAUAGCCAACAUUUUUUAGUCACCUUGGAGACUUUGGUUGAGGAAUUUAUUUGACCCCUCGUUAUGACCCUUAGCAGAAUCGAGUUAGAUUUAGGUUUUUCUUUUUUCUUUUUAGGAUAGCUCCUUUAAGUACAUCUCUAGGAUAGAAUACUUAGGCAUCAUUUUUCAAUCACCUUGGCCCAUUUAGGCACAUUUGACCCAUUUAGGAUCACCCUAACCCAUUUAGAUCCAUUUGGCCUAUUUAGUUCACCUUGACUGAUUUAGACACAUUUGACCCAUUUAGGUACAUCCAACUCAUUUAGGUCACCCUGGCUCAUUUAGACACAUAUAGGCCCAUUUAGGCACAUCCGACCCAUUUAGGAUCACCCUGGCCUAUUUAGACACAUCCAACCUAUUUAGGAUGCCCUUGUCCCAUUUAGACACAUUUGGCCCAUUUAGGAUUACCUAGGCCCAUUUAGGCACAUUCGACCCAUUUAAGUCAUCUUAGCCCAUUUAGACCACUUAGGCCCGUUUAGGCACAUUAGGCACAUAGGACCUAUUUAGGAUCACCCUAACCUACUUAGUCACACCUUGACCCAUUUAGGUCACUUAGCCCAUGAUUACUACUCAAAAAGUGCUAUUUGAUAGCCUAUAAUAAAUCCUUUUAAACACUUUUGAGUAGUAGUUUAGGCCUUUUAACUCAAUUGGCAUGUUAAGGACCCUUGAAAGGGAUUUUAAUCACUUUGUGUAAGUUUUGGUGUUUUUGUUAGUAAUUUAAUCACCAAAGCAAGUCAAGACUAAGGAGAGCUAUGAGGAAUCUUGGGCAAAGCUUAGAAGUCAUUUUCCAAGAGUAAAUCCGGAUUGCAAGGAGAAAAAGUAAAGAGAAUCUGCCAUGAAGCCUAUUCUUGAUGACAGUCGUAGCAGCCACUUUUGGAGCAUUUUAUGAAGCUCAAAUGAUGCAUGCUAUAUACCAUUUCAAAGCUCAGGAAGUCAACAAUCCAAUUCUUCAAACGGUGUGCAAUUUCGAGUUGAAACGAAGAAGUUGCAGCCGUUACAAGCCAAUCACUCCGAGCUGAAGGAAGCAUUUUGCAAAGUGCUGCGAAAUCACCCAUUUGUUGCAAAGUGAUUUCGCAGCCUUUUUGAACAGUGUGAUGUUUCUCCUUCUGACGAUGCCCGACAUAUACCGUGAGAGGGAAGCUAGGAACCUCAAGGUGGGAGCCAACUUCGCAGCCCUGCGAGUUUAACUUGUUGAUGCGAAAAUAUUUCGCAGCCCUCUUGAGUGUCUGCGAAAUCUCGCAGACACCAUUUUUCUCUUGCGAAAUGGUUCCUGAAGCCUCCUGAUAUUUGCUACCGACAUUGGGAGAUAUUUUCCAUUAGAUUUUUGUUGUCUAAAUCCCAAAGUACUCCUUGUAAACCACCAAUUACAUGAUUCCUUAGCUUUUAAGUUAGUAAAAAGACUAAAUAUCUAUGUAAUAAUUAGUUUUAUAUUAUGUUCAUAUAUAUACCUCUCGGGAGCCUGUUCUCAGGGAGGAGUUCCUUCUAUAAAAGUUUGGGUAAGCAAGUAAAGUUUAUUUCUUUCUAUUGCUUUACCUUCUCACUUUGUAUUUUCAUUUUCUUACUAAGUUAUGAAUUCUCUGAGGAGUUUUUCCCAGAGAAUGAGUAACUAAACCUCUAAUUCCUUGGAGCUAAGGUUGCCAGGGAAGGUUCCAAGUGCAAGAAUGCAAGGCUUUGUGGUUUUAGCUAUUAAUGAAGAGGAAGUGAAAUCCUUUAAUGAUUUCUAUGUUUUUAGUUAACUUAAAACACCUUAGAGUCACCUGGGCCAACACUUGGUAAGGCAUGUGAUUUCCAACCAAGGAAAUGCACUAGUUUACCCCUUACGAGCCUCUGGGAGGUGACUUUAGGGUAGGAUUUUCUAGAAUAGCCAACACUUGGUAAGCUUUUGGACUCCUAAGAGACAUCCAUUAGUUAUCUCUUGCGAGCUUUUGACGGGUAAUCCAAGGUUAAAGAUCACCUUGAAUGGUUGAGGCUUAGUGAGAGGCUUAAACCAUUGCAAGUUGCAUCAGUGAGAGAAUUAAAGUGAAAUCUAAUUGAAGGAGUCUCUGUACAACACCGGUUAGAGAAUUGACUAUAUGUUGAAUCUCUAACGCGAGGAAAUGAACCAUCUGACCAGAGCCGUGUCUUUUGCAUGAGGAACCACCCCAGUGAACCUAACUCUCCAGGGAAUGCUUUUCUUCCUAAAUUAUUCCAAACUUCUGUUGUGUUAGUUAGUUUAAGUCUAAACCUUUACCAAUCAAAGCUUGUGUUUUACUUGUUAAGCUAACCAUGAAAUGAAACAAAACCAAUUCACUUGGAAUUGGUAUCAUUGAUAGCUUGCUAAUCCUUCCCAGUGAACGAUCCUAGAGCCGCUAUACUAUAGUAGCUUUUUCUUUGCUACCCUAUUAUAUGGUGUUAUAGGUUAUAAAUUUUGUUGAUUACUCCCUCAAUCAAGGAGCACCAGCUGGACACGAAUCAGCUGAGACACCAAUUAGGCACGAAUCAAAUGGCGCCGUUGCCGGGGAUCGAACCCCGAAUCAGAUGGUGCCAUUGCCACUUCCGCUGCUAGGGACGAAUCAAAUGGUGCCGUUGCCGGGGAAUGAGUGUCAAGUUUAUAUUGAUACCAUUUUUGAGCACUUGUGAUUUUCAUCACAAGUUGGUAAAGUUUCUUUCACUUUACUAAUUCUCAUUCUUUCUUUAUUUAUUCAUAAUCUAAGUUUAUCUUUUAAAAUUUAGCCUAGUUUAAUUUUGUUGUUGUAGCCCUGUUUUUCUUGUUGUCCUCUGUUUUCAUUUUUUGUUGCAGAUUGAUACUAGUUGUGUAUGCCAAAGUGGAUACGAGACAUUGGAGGCAGGCUUGUUAAGUGUGAUACACCUCAGAGAAGAGAAUUCGAAGUGAUCUUGAAUAUCAUGGAAGCUACACCUGAAGAUCAACAUAGUCACCAAGGUCGUCAAGAUAAUCUUAAUGAAUUCAGAUCAAUGAGGGAUCGUAUGCAUCCACCUCGUAUGAGUGCACCAUCAUGUAUAGUGCCCCCUACAGAGCAGCUAGUGAUCAGACCGUAUCUUGUUCCACUUCUACCAACUUUCCAUGGAAUGGAAAGUGAGAAUCCGUAUGCACACAUCAAGGAAUUUGAAGAUGUUUGUAAUACAUUCCAAGAGGGAGGAGCUUUAAUUGAUUUGAUGAGGCUUAAGUUAUUUCCUUUUACUUUAAAGGAUAAGGCCAAAAUUUGGCUUAAUUCUUUAAGGCCAAGGAGUAUCCGCUCUUGGAUUGAUUUACAAGCUGAAUUCCUUAAGAAAUUUUUUCCCACUCAUAGAACAAAUGACUUGAAAAGGCAAAUUUCAAACUUCUCAGCUAAAGAGAAUGAGAAAUUCUAUGAGUGUUGGGAAAGAUACAUGGAAGCUAUAAAUGCUUGUCCUCACCAUGGCUUUGAUACUUGGCUAUUGGUGAGCUAUUUUUAUGAUGGUAUGUCCUCCUCAAUGAAGCAACUCCUCGAGACAAUGUGUGGAGGAGAUUUCAUGAGCAAAAAUCCAGAGGAAGCUAUGGAUUUCUUGAGCUAUGUAGCUGAUGUUUCAAGGGGAUGGGAUGAACCAACCAAAGGAGAAGUGGGAAAGAUGAAGUCUCAGUUGAAUGCUUACAAUGCAAAGGCUGGGAUGUAUACCUUGAAAGAAGAUGAUGAUGUGAAAGCAAAGUUGGCAGCUAUGACAAGAAGAUUGGAGGAGCUGGAGCUGAAAAGAAUACAUGAAGUGCAAGCUGUUGCUGAAGCACCAGUGCAAGUGAAGUUGUGUCCCAAUUGUCAAUCAUAUGAACAUUUGGUGGAGGAAUGCCCUGCAAUUUCAGCUGAAAGGGAAAUGUAUAGAGAUCAAGCAAAUGUUGUUAGACAAUUCAGGCCUAAUAACAAUGCGCCUUAUGGAAAUACCUACAACUCAAGUUGGAGGAAUCAUCCAAAUUUCUCAUGGAAGGCCAGAGCAACUCAGUACCAACAGCCGGAUCCACCAUCUCAACAAUCUUCAAGUAUUGAACAAGCAAUAGCCAAUCUCACUAAGGUAGUGGGAGAUUUUAUUGGAAAGCAAGAAGCCACCAAUGCUCGAGUCGAUCAAAGAAUUGAUAGAGUGGAGAGUAUGUUGAAUAAAAGGAUGGAUGGAAUGCAAAAUGAUAUGAACCAAAAGUUUGAUAACAUCCAGUAUUCAAUUUCAAGGCUCACAAAUUUGAAUACACUGCAAGAAAAGGGAAGAUUUCCUUCUCAACCUCACCAAAACCCCAAAGGUGUCCAUGAAGUGGAAAGCCAAGAGGGAGAAUCAUCACAAAUGAAAGAAGUUAAAGCCUUGAUCACUCUAAGGAGUGGUAAAAAAAUUGAGCAGCCAACACCCAAGCCACAUGUUGAGAAAGAAGAAGAGAUAAAGAAAGGGAAGGAAAUGGAAGAUAAAGAGAGUGAGAUCAAUGAAGAAAAGAAGGACUCUGAUUCAACAAGGAAAGUAAUUCCAGAGAAGGAGCUUCUGAAGGAAGAAAUGCUGAAGAAAUCAACUUCUCCACCUUUUCCUCAAGCAUUACAUGGGAAAAAGGGGAUUAGAAAUGCAGCUGAAAUCCUUGAAGUAUUGAGACAAGUGAAAGUCAAUAUUCCACUGCUGGAUAUGAUUAAACAAGUUCCAACGUAUGCAAAAUUCCUAAAGGACUUGUGUACUAUCAAGAAAGGGUUAACUGUAAACAAGAAAGCCUUCUUGACUGAGCAAGUAAGUGCAAUCUUACAGUGUAAGUCUCCUUUGAAGUACAAAGACCCUGGAAGUCCUACCAUUUCAGUCAUGAUUGGAGGAAAGGUAGUGGAAAAAGCCUUGCUAGAUUUGGGAGCAAGUGUGAAUUUGCUUCCAUAUUCCGUCUACAAGCAAUUGGGACUUGGAGAGUUGAAGCCAACAACAAUCACUCUAUCUCUGGCAGAUAGAUCAGUGAAAAUUCCAAGAGGGGUAAUUGAGGAUGUAUUGGUUCAAGUAGAUAAUUUCUACUAUCCAGUAGAUUUUAUUGUUCUUGAUACAGAUCCUACUAUAAAGGAAGCUAAUUUAGUUCCUAUCAUCCUUGGAAGGCCAUUUCUUGCAACUUCAAAUGCAAUCAUCAACUGCAGGAAUGGGCUUAUGCAACUCGCUUUUGGUAACAUGACACUGGAUCUCAAUAUUUUCUAUAUGUCUAAAAAGCAAAUCACUCCGAAAGAAGAAGAAGGACCAGAAGAGUUAUGUAUUAUUGACACUCUGGUGGAGGAGCACUGUAAUCAAAAUAUGCAAGACAAGUUGAAUAAAAGUCUUGUGAAUUUUGAGGAAGGUUUGUCUGAAUCUCCUAUUGGGCUUGCUACUCUACAAAGUUGGAGAAAGAUAGAAGAAAUUCUACCUUUGUUCAAUAAAGAAGAGGAGGCAGCUGUUGAAAAAGAAAUUCCAAAACUCAAUCUGAAGCCUUUACCUGAGGAGCUGAAAUAUAUAUAUCUUGAGGAAAAUAAUCAAUGUCCUGUUGUGAUAUCUUCAUCUCUGACCAGUCAUCAAGAGAAAUGUUUAAUGGAAGUUCUCAAGAAGUGUAAGAAGGCAAUAGGAUGGCAAAUAUCUGACUUGAAAGGCAUUAGUCCUUUAGUUUGUACUCAUCAUAUAUAUAUGGAGGAGGAAGCAAAGCCAAUUCGUCAAUUUCAAAGAAGGUUGAAUCCUCAUCUACAAGAGGUGGUGCGAGCUGAGGUGCUGAAGCUACUUCAAGCAGGAAUCAUUUACCCUAUAUCUGAUAGCCCUUGGGUGAGUCCUACUCAAGUGGUACCAAAGAAGUCAGGGAUCACAGUGGUUCAAAAUGAAAAAGGGGAAGAAGUUACUACACGCCUCACUUCAGGUUGGAGGGUGUGUAUUGAUUAUAGAAAGCUGAAUGUUGUAACCAGGAAAGAUCAUUUUCCAUUGCCAUUUAUUGAUCAAGUGCUGGAGAGAGUCUCUGGACAUCCAUUUUAUUUUUUUUUUGGAUGGGUAUUCAGGGUAUUUUCAUAUUGAAAUUGAUUUGGCAGAUCAGGAAAAGACCACUUUUACAUGUCCAUUUGGAACAUAUGCUUAUAGGAGAAUGCCUUUUGGUUUAUGCAAUGCACCUGCUACAUUUCAAAGAUGUAUGUUGAGUAUUUUCAGUGAUAUGGUGGAGCGAAUUAUGGAGGUUUUCAUGGAUGACAUCACCGUAUAUGGAGGUACAUUUGAGGAAUGCUUGGUUAAUUUGGUAGCAGUUCUUCACAGAUGCAUUGAAAAAGAUCUGGUGCUCAACUGGGAGAAAUGCCAUUUUAUGGUACAUCAAGGAAUUGUCCUUGGCCAUAUCAUCUCUGAAAAAGGCAUUGAAGUUGAUAAAGCAAAGGUGGAGCUUAUUGUCAAAUUACCAUCCCCAACAACUGUAAAAGGAGUAAGGCAGUUCCUUGGCCAUGCAGGGUUCUAUAGGAGGUUUAUAAAAAGUUUUUCAAGUCUUUCAAAACCUCUUUGUGAGCUGUUAGCUAAGGAUGCUAAGUUUAUAUGGGAUGAAAGGUGUCAAAAUAGCUUUGAUCAACUGAAGAAAUUUUUAACAACAACUCCAAUACUAAGAGCCCCUAACUGGCAAUUACCUUUUGAACUGAUGUGUGAUGCCAGUGACUUUGCUAUAGGAGCUGUGCUUGGCCAAAGAGAAUAUGGGAAGCCCUAUGUGAUUUACUAUGCAAGUAAAACACUGAAUGAAGCUCAAAGGAACUACACAACUACAGAGAAAGAAUUGUUAGCUGUGGUAUUUGCUUUGGACAAAUUUCGUGCUUAUUUAGUGGGGUCUUUCAUCAUUGUCUUUACUGACCAUUCAGCCUUGAAGUAUUUAUUGACAAAUCAAGAUGCAAAAGCAAGGUUGAUUAGAUGGAUUCUUUUGUUACAAGAAUUCGAUCUUCAAAUCAAAGAUAAGAAAGGAGUGGAGAAUGUGGUAGCUGACCACCUUUCAAGGUUAGUUAUAGCACAUAAUUCCCAUCCCUUGCCUUUUAAUGAUGAUUUUCCUGAAGAAUCACUCAUGUUCCUAGUGAAAACUCCUUGGUAUGCUCAUAUUGCUAAUUAUUUAGUAACUGGUGAAAUUCCAAGUGAGUGGAAUGCACAGGACAGGAAGCACUUCUUUGCCAAAAUUCAUUCUUAUUAUUGGGAAGAGCCCUUUCUCUUUAAGUAUUGUGCAGAUCAGAUUAUUAGGAAAUGUGUCCCUGAAGAUGAGCAGCAAGGGAUUCUAUCUCAUUGUCAUGAGAAUGCAUGUGGAGGCCACUUUGCCUCUCAGAAAACAACCAUGAAGGUAUUGCAAUCAGGGUUUACUUGGCCAUCUCUUUUUAAAGAUGCCCACAACAUGUGUAGGAAUUGUGAUAGAUGCCAAAGACUUGGAAAGCUAACAAAAAGAAUCAAAUGCCUAUGAGCCCCAUUCUAAUAGUUGAGCUAUUUCAUGUAUGGGGCAUUGACUUUAUGGGACCUUUCUCAAUGUCUUUUGGUAAUUCUUACAUCUUGGUGGGGGUAGAUUAUGUUUCUAAAUGGGUUGAGGCAAUCCCCUGUAAACAAAAUGAUCACAGGGUGGUUCUCAAGUUUCUUAAAGAGAACAUUUUCUCAAGAUUUGGGGUGCCCAAAGCCAUAAUCAGUGAUGGAGGUGCUCAUUUUUGCAACAAACCUUUUAAAGCUCUGUUAUCCAAGUAUGGAGUGAAGCAUAAGGUGGCUACACCUUAUCAUCCUCAGACUUCCGGGCAAGUUGAGCUAGCUAACAGGGAAAUAAAGAACAUCUUGAUGAAAGUGGUGAAUUCCAAUAGAAAGGAUUGGUCUAUUAGGCUUCAUGAUUCAUUGUGGGCAUAUAGAACAGCUUAUAAGACUAUUCUUGGGAUGUCUCCCUAUCGUCUUGUCUAUGGUAAAGCAUGCCAUCUCCCUGUGGAAGUUGAAUACAAAGCUUGGUGGGCAAUAAAGAAGUUGAAUAUGGACUUGAUCAAGGCAGGAGAAAAGAGAUAUCUAGACCUUAAUGAGAUGGAGGAAUUAAGAAAUAAUGCUUAUAUCAAUUCCAAAGUUGCAAAACAGAGGAUGAAGAAGUGGCAUGACCAACUCAUCUCCAACAAGGAAUUUCAGGAAGGGCAAAGAGUUUUACUGUAUGACACAAGACUCCAUAUCUUUCUUGGGAAGCUCAAGUCAAGGUGGAUAGGGCCGUUCAUUAUUCACCGAGUAUGUUCCAAUGGAGUGGUGGAAUUAUUGAAUUCCAAUGGCAAGGACAGCUUUAGAGUCAAUGGAUAUCGUCUCAAGCCAUUCAUGGAGCCAUUCAAACCAGAAAAGGAGGAGAUCAACCUCCUUGAACCUCAAAAAGCAUAAGCGAAAAAGGGUUUGCUGGACGUGGUUUACCACAGUCCAAAUUUUUUUGUAAAUUUUGUAAAUUUUCAAGUUGUUUCCAUACUUUUGAUCUUAGUUUUUGAUCUUAAAUCAUGUUUUUAUGUGUAUUUUAAUCUUUUUGAAUGAUCCCAGGUGGAAGAAAUUUCAAGGAGAUUGAAAGAAAAAAAAUCGGGAAGAAAUCGGAGCAAAAAUAGAGUAAAAACAGAGGAAAAACAGAGCUCUGCGAAAUUUCGCAGAGUGAAGGAAACUUCUGCGAAAUGAGCACUAUGCUGCAAAACCAUUCCGCAACACUGUAGAAGUCUCUGCGAGGGUAUUUCGCAACUGCGAAGGCGUUCUUGGCACACGAGUGCCACUUCGCAGCACAGGAACUCUCAUUUCGCAGCUACGAAACGCACUGCAAAGUUACUGCGAAAAUGGCAUUUUGCUACGAAAUUUGCGUUUUGUUGCAAAACUUAAACUGACCCUUAGGCUUCCGUUUUUCCUAUUUAUACCGGUCAUUUGAGCUGCGAAAAGGGUUUCAAAAAUCAGAGCGCCAUUCUCGCAAGCUGUUCGUCUUCUUCAGUGAGCCACGCCGACCAAGCCUCCGGUCAUCUUCUCCGAUCAGCAAUGUCGGCCAAAGUUCGGUAUCCCGAAAUGGCGCGAACACAAGGGGCUAAGUCUUCGUCUCCUUCGAAUCGCAAGAGGAGUCUGCGAAAGGAGCCAGUUUCAGAUCCUGCUCCUCAACCUUUGCAGCCGAAAACAAUCCCUCCUCCAAUGAAGCCAGCGCUGCCAAAGCCUCCGGUGAAGCCCGCACCGCCAAAACCUCUGGCAAAACGAUACCUUACCAGGUCAGGGGGUCGGCCACUGUAGAAGAAGCCCAGGGUUGAGAGCUCAGAACCCAUCGAUUUGACUGAGCAAUCUCCAGAGCCUUCACCAAUUCCAACUCCAGUGCCGUCUCCAGUUCCCUCGCCGAUUCCAAUGCCAGUUCUGUCUCCGGUGUCAUCUCCGGCGCCGAAAGAAAAAUCUCAGGAGCCUCAAGCGCCAAUUCCUGAGCCCCAAAUUCCAUCCGAAACAGCUCUGGAAGAAGUAAUUAGGCGGCCAAUGCUUCAUCAGCCACCAAUUGAGGGAAACUUGGAUUGUAGAACUCGGCCAUUCCAUUCCGAGCUAUGCUUCGACUUACCGGCAUUCAGAGUGAGGCCAGAGCUUGCCCAAUCAUUCCAGCUAUUGAGGAGGUAUCACAUGGAGCACUUGCUGACUCCAAGAGAUUUUUUCUAUCCCCGGAUAGCCACGGAUUUCUAUCAAUCCAUGACAACCAAAGAGGUUAGGAAUCCAACCUUGAUUCAUUUCACUAUCGAUGGGAGACAUGGCAUAUUGGGAGCAUGACAUAUUGCUGAAGCCCUGCAAAUUCCCUUUGAGCCAACCCAAUUCGAUAAUUUUAGAGCUUGGGCAAAUCCUACUGAGCUGGAGAUGGUGCGCACCCUUUCCAGAGGAGCUGCAAAUCGAUCACAUCUGCUGAGGGGGGAGCUUCCUCCAGUUAUGUUUUUGAUUGAUGCAUUUUUACGUCAUAAUAUCUAUCCAUUGCAGCAUUGGACCCAAAGAAGGGGAGUCCUCCUAGAAGCUCUUUACAAGAUGUCAGAAGGAUUUUUCUUUGGGCCUCAUCAUCUGAUCCUAGCAGCCCUUCUCUAUUUCGAAGAGAAGGUUCACAGAAAGAAGCUUCAGAGAGCUGAUUGCAUUCCCCUCCUCUUUCCAAGGCUGCUAUGCCAAAUUUUGGAGCAUCUGGGAUGCCCUUCUAAGCCUCAGCUGGAGAGAAAGCGAAUUUUCCGUGAACCAUUCACUCUUGAUAAAUGGAACAAUAUGACGGCCUACAAAGUUGAUCAGCCUGAGCAGCCUCAGCCAGCUGCAAGAAGAGCAUCCCCAAGACAUAUACCUGAAGGUAUAACAGUUGCUGCUCCUGCCAUUCCUAGAGCUCCACCAGCUGCACCAGCUUCAUCUCAGCCAUCCACAUCAGCUGAGCCGAGGAUGGCCAUUCCUAUAUCUGAAUAUAGAGAGUUGUGUCGUGCAUUGGAGACUCUCACAGCUUCUCAUAGCAGUCUUGCUCAGGAGAUGGCAACCAUUAGAGCAUGCCAAGAGCAAAUGUUGGCCACUCAGGCUCAACAAGCUGCCAUCUUAAGGCAGCUCCAGCUUCAUUUCAAUCUGCCACAAGCUGUAGAGCCCUCCACUGAUACACCACCAGAGCCACACUCUCAUCCUUCAGAGUCUCAUCCUCCAGAGCCCCAAGCCCCAGUUGAUGCACCUACUGAAGAGGCAGAUCCUUCUGCCUAGUCCCAGCACCACCCCACUCAUCAGACUAUAUUAUAUAUCUAAUAUUUUUAUGUAUUUCGUUUUUUUAGUUGAAAAGAAGUCCCAGUAUUUUGGUACUAUAUUUGGGAUUCCUUGUGUUACUUAUCUUUUGCAUUGUAAUCAAAUGAAUUUAAAGUAAUACAAGUUGAAUAUUUCUUGUUAACAGUUAGCAUUAAGUUGUCUUUAUUUCCUUUUCUCACAUAUUCUAUUCUUUUUUAAACAUGUGGUUUUCCCCAAUCAAUAUUCGAAUUUGAUAUCAACAAGGAGGUACCACUUCCUCCCUUUAAUUACAGUCACUCAUAUCACAUUGAGGACAAUGCUUAAUUCGGUUGGGGGGAAUGAGGAAGGAAGUAUGCUAAAUCUUUUUGGUAAUGCAAUUAUUUUGGUAAAUUAGUUGUAAUUUUUACUUUUUACUCUUGUUACUCUAAUCUCCAUGAAUUUUGAGGAAAAAUUUUCAAAUUAAACCAAGAGAAAUUGAACUGUUGUUUUUCACUUGACUUAGAGUAUGGAUUAUGCUUACUAAAGUGGUUCAAUUGUUUAAACUUCUAUUGAAAUUGAAUUUAGUUCUUCCACUUUAAGCUAUCCACACACUGUGCACAUUAGAUUCCGAUUAUAAGAUGAAAAUCUAUUUCCCUCUUGACUUAAGAUAAUUUUGGGACUUGGUAUAUUUGACCUCAUUUGAUAAAAUUGAAACACCCUGCAAAAGGCUAAUGAGCCUUUGAAAUAAAGAAAGUUGUUUGCUUGCCUUGAAACCUGAGCAAGGUCUGAGGGGUAUAUGGUGAAAGCCUUUAAAGCCUGGUGCCCUAAGCCUUAAUUGGUUGGGAGUCAUCGACCUCAAUGCUCGUUACAAGGGUGAAUAGGUAGAGUUAACAUAUGGUAAAUGCUUGGGUAUUAGAAAUUCAUUCUUAAAAGUCUAGGGAAAAAUCCGAGGAGUUAGUGGUUGAAAGAUCCUUAAAGCUUGGUGCCCUAAAUCUUAAAUGGUUGGGAGUCAUCGAUGGACCCCCAUAACAUGGACAAGUCAGAAAAAGUACCACAUAAAGCUACCUUAAAAAAAAAAAUAAAAAAAUAAAAAAAAAUGAUGAAAGUGUGUUCUUUUCUUAUUGAUUUUGGUCAGUUUGCUAAGUGUUGAAAAGAGAUAGGUUGGGGGGAGAGAUUAGUUUAGCAUAUUAUUCUCGGAAGCUAAGGAACCAAUACACAUAGAUUUUUGUGGAAGAUUAAAGUUUGGUUCUUAGAAAGUGGAAAUGACUUUAAAACUUCAGUUUGCAUAAUGCACUCCCUUGAUUGACAGUGUUUAGCAUAGUUUGUUAUAACUCUUGUUGAAAUUUGGGUUUGUAUUUCUUUAAUGUUUCAUGUGAGAAUUAGAUCAUCAUGCCACUUGAGAAUUGAUUUUGAUCAGCAUGAUGUGGUAAAUUUUAAUAUAGGUUGCUUUUUAUUUUCAUUGUUCUCUCCUAUUUUGCUAAGGGACUAGCAAUAUGUCGGUUGGGGGGAGUGAUUACUACUCAAAAAGUGCUAUUUGAUAGCCUAUAAUAAAUCCUUUUAAACACUUUUGAGUAGUAGUUUAGGCCUUUUAACUCAAUUGGCAUGUUAAGGACCCUUGAAAGGGAUUUUAAUCACUUUGUGUAAGUUUUGGUGUUUUUGUUAGUAAUUUAAUCACCAAAGCAAGUCAAGACUGAGGAGAGAUAUGAGGAAUCUUGGGCAAAGCUUAGAAGUCAUUUUCCAAGAGUAAAUCCGGAUUGCAAGGAGAAAAAGUAAAGAGAAUCUGCCAUGAAGCCUAUUCUUGAUGACAGUCGUAGCAGCCACUUUUGGAGCAUUUUAUGAAGCUCAAAUGAUGCAUGCUAUAUACCAUUUCAAAGCUCAGGAAGUCAACAAUCCAAUGCUUCAAACGGUGUGCAAUUCGGAGUUGAAACGAAGAAGUUGCAGCCGUUACAAGCCAAUCACUUCGAGCUGAAGGAAGCAUUUUGCAAAGUGCUGCGAAAUCACCCUUUUGUUGCGAAGUGAUUUCGCAGCCUUUUUGAACAGUCUGAUGUUUCUCCUUCUGACGAUGCCCGACAUAUACCGCGAGAGGGAAGCUAGGAACCUCAAGGUGGGAGCCAACUUCGCAGCCCUGCGAGUUUAACUUGUUGAUGCGAAAAUAUUUCGCAGCCCUCUUGAGUGUCUGCGAAAUCUCGCAGACACCAUUUUUCUCCUGCGAAAUGGUUCCUGAAGCCUCCCGAUAUUUGCUACCGACAUUGGGAGAUAUUUUCCAUUAGAUUUUUGUUGUCUAAAUCCCAAAGUACUCCUUGUAAACCACCAAUUACAUGAUUCCUUAGCUUUUAAGUUAGUAAAAAGACUAAAUAUCUAUGUAAUAAUUAGUUUUAUAUUAUGUUCAUAUAUAUACCUCUCGGGAGCCUGUUCUCAGGGAGGAGUUCCUUCUGUAAAAGUUUGGGUAAGCAAGUAAAGUUUAUUUCUUUCUAUUGCUUUACCUUCUCACUUUGUAUUUUCAUUUUCUUACUAAGUUAUGAAUUCUCUGAGGAGUUUUUCCCAGAGAAUGAGUAACUAAACCUCUAAUUCCUUGGAGCUAAGGUUGCCAGGGAAGGUUCCAAGUGCAAGAAUGCAAGGCUUUGUGGUUUUAGCUAUUAAUGAAGAGGAAGUGAAAUCCUUUAAUGAUUUCUAUGUUUUUAGUUAACUUAAAACACCUUAGAGUCACCUGGGCCAACACUUGGUAAGGCAUGUGAUUUCCAACCAAGGAAAUGCACUAGUUUACCCCUUACGAGCCUCUGGGAGGUGACUUUAGGGUAGGAUUUUCUAGAAUAGCCAACACUUGGUAAGCUUUUAGACUCCUAGGAGACAUCCAUUAGUUAUCUCUUGCGAGCUUUUGACGGGUAAUCCAAGGUUAAAGAUCACCUUGAAUGGUUGAGGCUUAGUGAGAGGCUUAAACCAUUGCAAGUUGCAUCAGUGAGAGAAUUAAAGUGAAAUCUAAUUGAAGGAGUCUCUGUACAACACCGGUUAGAGAAUUGACUAUAUGUUGAAUCUCUAACGCGAGGAAAUGAACCAUCUGACCAGAGCCGUGUCUUUUGCAUGAGGAACCACCCCAGUGAACCUAACUCUCCAAGGAAUGCUUUUCUUCCUAAAUUAUUCCAAACUUCUGUUGUGUUAGUUAGUUUAAGUCUAAACCUUUACCAAUCAAAGCUUGUGUUUUACUUCUUAAGCUAACCAUGAAAUGAAACAAAACCAAUUCACUUGGAAUUGGUAUCAUUGAUAGCUUGCUAAUCCUUCCCAGUGAACGAUCCUAGAGCCGCUAUACUAUAGUAGCUUUUUCUUUGCUACCCUAUUAUAUGGUGUUAUAGGUUAUAAAUUUUUUUGAUUACUCCCUCAAUCAAGGAGCACCAGUUGGACACAAAUCAGCUGAGACACCAAUUGGGCACGAAUCAGCCCAUCUAGGCACAUUUGGCUCAUUUAGGAUCAUAGGCUAAUUUAGGCACAUUCGACCCAUUUAGGUUGCCUUGACCCAUUUAGAAACACCCAAGCCUAUUUAGGUCACUUAGGCCUACUUAGGCACACCUUGCCCUAUUUAGGUCACUUAGGCCCAUUUAGGCACAUUCGACCCAUUUUGGAUCACCUUGACCCAUUUAGGCAUAUUUGGCCCAUUUAGGAUCAUCGUGGCCCAUUUAAACACACCCUGACCCAUUUAGGUCAUUUAGGCCCAUUUAGGAGCAUUCGACCUAUUUAAACAUAUUUGGCCCAUUUAGGAUCAUCGUGGCCCAUUUAAACACACCCUGGCCCAUUUAGCUCAUUAAGGCCCAUUUAAGAACACAUUAACCCAUUUAGGUCACUUAGGCCCAUUUAGGUACAUUUCAUCCCCUAGCCCAUUUAGAAACACCCAAGCCCAUUUAGGUGAUUUAGGCCAAUUUAGGCACAUUUGGUCCAUUUAGACACUCUGGGCUCAUUUAGGUUCACGUAGGCCCAUUUAGGCACAUCCGACCCAUUUAAGAUCACCCUAACCCAUUUAGACACAUUCGACCCAUUUAGGAUCGUCUAGGCCCAUUGUAGCACAUUUGGCCCAUUUAUGAUCACCAUGGCACAUUAGGCCCAUUUAGGGUCACUUAGGCCCAUCUAGGCACACGCUAAGCCCAUUUAGGUCACCCGUUGUCUCACUUCUUAUUGCAUGGUUUGCGUGAUUGCAUUGUUGAACUUCCUUGCAGGGCUUGCAUGACACUUUGUUUUUUUUUUUUUUGUUAUUAUUAAUUACUUAUUUAUUUUUAUUUAUUAUCUUGCUAUUUAUUUAUUUAUUAUUUAUCUAUUAUUAUUUCAUUAUUUUCUAAAUUAUUUUUAAUUACUAUUCAUUUGUUCAAUCUAAUUUUUUAGUAUUAUUUUUUUUUGUGUUUUUGUAGGGAAAUUUACCAAAGAGAGCCAACGGAGAUGGAAAUUAAGAAUCACCAAAAUAAAAAAGGAAGAUAAAGGCAAAAGAGAGUAAAACUUACCAAAAGGAGAGGGGCUUGUGAGUUGCAUUAUGAAAGUAUGGAGAACACAUUUUGGGAGGUUUAUCAAAGAGAGAGUCAAUGGAGGUGUAAAGCAAGAAUUACCAAAAUAAAAAAGGAAGACAAAGCGAGAGAGAGAGUAAAACUUACCAAGAGAAGAGGGGAUUGAGGGUUGCAUUAUGAAAAUAUGGAGAACAUGUUUUGGUAACUGAGAAAUUCAGCAUAUGGAGGUUUUGGAGUAAGGAGAUGAAGGAUUUGGUCAAGGUGGAAUUUUAAGAAAAAAGGAUAUUCAAUGUGGUAGGAAGGAAUGUUUAGCAUAUUAAGGAAGAAUGUGGGGAUUGGUAGGGGGGAAGAAGAACAACUGCAAUUUUUCUUUUUUCUUUUUUGGUAGAGAGAACACUUUGGCAAAUUUUUGGGAGGUUCAACGUGCAUGUACAAUAAGAUCUCUUGAAAGAGAACCUAUAGAAGAGGGCACAAAUUAUUUUUGGAGACAAUUAGUUGCAUCUUAAAAGGGAAUUGAAGGAAAAUAUUGAUGAUGAUAUUGAUUUUAUUAGUUUCCAAAAUAUUGAUAUUAGUUUCAUGAAUAUGGAUGUUUUAGUUUAGAUAGAUAUUGAUGUUUUAGUUUUGAAAAUAUUGAUGUUUGCUUAGAUGUUUUGAUUCAGAUAAAUUUUGACAUUUUAGUUUUGAUAAAUAUUGAAUUCUUGGAUGUGUUUGCAUGUUGGUUAUAUUUUUAAAUAAAAAUUCUCAGAACGUUAGUCAUCCGAGAAAAUAAAAAUAAUAUAAGAAAAAAGCAAAGUUGUUGCCUUUUUUUUUUUUUUUUUGGCCUGUAUUAAUUUUAUUUUUAAAUUUCAUUGGAUGAUUAGUUGGGGUAUAAUUCACAUGUUAUUUUUAUUGGAUGAUUAGUUUGGUUAUAAUUCACAUGGUGGUAUUAAUUUAAAAAUUCAUUGGAUGAUUAUUUUGAGCAUAAUUUUUGUAAAAUUUAUUGGAUGAUUGGUUUGUAUAAUUUUAAUGUUAGUAGAUUUUAAAAAUUUAUGGAAUGAUUGUUAGGUUAAAUUCCCAUGUUGAAUGUGUUUUAAAAAUUCGUUAAAAAAAUUAAAUACAAAUUCUUUUUUUAUUUAUUAAUUAAAUAAAAUUAAAUGAUUGGCUAUAAAUUAAAUAUUUACAAAUGAUUCCUCAGAAUGGGAAACGAAAGGCUAUAAAUGAUUGGCAGCUUAGAAACCUCAACAAGCCCAUCUCUAAAACCUUUCUAAAAUAAGAAAGUCAUCCAAGAAGAUAAAAAUAAUAUAAGAAAAAGGCAAAGUUGCUGCCUUUUUUUUUUUUUUUGGGCUGUAUUUAUUUAUUAAUUUAUUUUUGUCAAUCUCCUACAGAAGGUGGCAGAGAAAGGUAGAGAGGAGUUAUUAGAGUUACAGACGAAUAAUCAGUUUCAAUGCUAUUGUCUUCUUGUUGUAAGGGUAAAAUAAGAGGCAAACAAAUUAAUGAAUUCAUUAUCUUAGCUUUCUAUUGAAAUGCCUUCCAAGAAAUGUUUUGAAAGGUUUUGAGAGCUUUGAGUUUAGUCUAGAAUAAUGGUAGUAUAUUUCAGUGAAUAUGCAUUCUAAAAAAAUAUAUACCUUUAGCAUAUACCAAGAUAUCCAGUAACAACCAAUCAAAACAAAAUCACUCUUCUUGGAAAACAUGGAUGUUCGAGUACCCAGCUCUUUUCUUUAAUUGUGCUUUCUUCUUUUUGUGCCAACAUCUGCUCUCUCUCCAGCAUGCCAGUGUGCGUCCCAGCCAGCUCUUUUGUGCUUUAAAUGAAUUGAAUACUUGAUCUUAUUCUGCCAUUGUUUUGGCUCAAACCUAAGAAGUAUAUUUACCCUAACUUCUUUUCAUGUCUUCAACUUACUCAAAGGCUCACAAGUCCCAUUGGAAGUAAGCAGUUAAGGAUUUUUGAACUAAAAUUAUCAAACAUAGUCUAAUAGGUUAUACUCUUUUCAACAGUUUAAAUUGUUUUUGUUGAUAGAUUAUUUGAUUUUUCUCCUAGCUGGCCCAGUUGUUUAUUUCAAAGUGCAGUUUAGAACAACUUUCAACAUUUGAAUAAGGAAAAGAAAAUAUAUAGAUGAAUUGACUGAUUCAAAGGGCAUAUUACAGUCAGUCUGGUCACCUACAUUAUUAAUGAAAUUAUUGACGCAGAAUAACAGGGCGGAUGACUUCAAAUGGAUACACUGAGGUCUAUCUGUGCGUGUUAGGCAUUCAUGAACCUGUUUUCUUCGGUCAAAGAGCAGCCAUUACAAGGAAAAAACAUGGCGAAAAUUAAGUGAAGUAUGACUUCUGGAAGAUUUAUCACCUUCGUAAAUGAAGUGAGAGUUUUGACCGAAUUGAAGUAAAAAAAUUAAAUGCAACGGCCGGACCGGCUCCAACUAUUAAGAUUAUAAGUGCCACACAGAAAGAACAGAAAGAACGGUCCUAGUAAAUGAAGUAUAAAGACAUGUAAACAUAAAAUUGUCCAGGUAAAUGAAGACAUGCAAUGAAGAAGAAAUCUGUUGCAGACUACACAAAUCACAACCACAUAAAUCAACCACCCACCCAUUUUUCAAACUUCCAGCUCUCAUGCACUGGCACAGUUCGGUCCUUUUAAAGAUUAAAGUAGGCAUCUAAAAUUUUAUUGGUUUCAAGAAAUUUGGUGCACCAGGUUCCAAUGAAGAGAAGCUUUUUGUUCUAAAUAUUUAAUAGUAGAUUCCAUUCUUAGCUUACCAAUAUAUAUAAAUUACUCAGGACCUUAAGAAGUUGAUAUUACAAUUUAAACAAUGUUAUAUCAUGUGUAUUAGGAGAGAACCAAUCUCACCCACAAAUCAAGAACACUCAAUUGUCAAUUCUUAAGUUUAUCACUAAUAUAUGUAUACUUAUAUAGUUUAUGUAUCUUUUGGAAAGUCAUGUGUAUAUUUAAAAGAUUAUAGUGUACACCAAUAAUAAUAUACUUUCACCAUUCAUCUAUGCACCUCUUUCUAGUAUCAGAGCAAUUCUACCUCCCAUGAGUUCUUUUUUUCUCCUUCAUCCUAUGUUUCACCAUGGCUGAAGCAAGCUCAACAAGGCUAUCCCACCUUCCCUUACCUACCAAUACCACCGUGAACCUUAACAAUCUCAUUGCCAUCAACACAAUUAGCUAGCCAACUUCCACUCAAGCUCACCCUCACUAACUAUUACUCAUGGAAAACAUAGUUUGGUGCACUGCUCUUUAGAUAUGACUGUAGACCCUCAAUUUUGUCCCUUUAACACAUGUCUUUAAGUUCGUUUUCAGUGCUCCACAAUAGUUCCUUGGUGGCCCAGUACUAUUCAUUACUUACCUUUCUUGAGCCACCUCGAAGACUCUGGUUGAGGGAUUAUCUGACCCCUUAUUAUGACCCUUGGCAGUUUUGAUUUAGACUUAGGUUUUUCCUUCCUUUUUAGGAUAGCAUUUAGGUGCACUUUUAGGAUAGCACACUUAGGCAUUGUCCUAAACAUCCUAGUCUCACUUAGACACUUUUUUUUUUAGACUCACUCAGGUUCGCUAGGUCCACCUAAGCAUCCCAGCCCAUUUGCAUUUUUAAUGCUUGCAUGUACUUGAUCUCUUAUUUAUUUAUUAUUAUUUGGUUAGUUAUUUGUUUUUAUUUAUUUAUUUUAUAGAAUAUUGCAUGAGAUUGAUGAUUAAUUGUGUAAAUUGAUGUCUUAAUUAUUUUUGUGUACCUAUGAUAGACAUAAUGUUUUUAAUUGCAUAAUUUUAAAUUAGUUUUAAUUUUCAAUUUCAUGACCUUUACUAAUUUUAAUUCUUAUUUUUAUUUUGGCAUGAGAUUCGAAUGCACACAUUGGAGAAGAUCCUUGAUGUACACGGCUGCAUAUAUGUGGGAAGAUUCUAUGCAACAUGGAAAGGAGAUUUAAAAUGUUAAAGAAAGGAAAGCAGAUCACUUAUGAAGGAUGGAAAGAAGAUUUUUCUUUUAUUUAUUUUUUUUUUUCUAAAAAAGGGGCUGCCAUUUAUUGGGAAGGAGGAUCACCAAAAUUUUAAAGAAAGGAAAGUAGCUGCCCAUAGAAUAAUAUAUGGAAACUUCCAUACAAAAGGGGGGAUUCUUGGAUGGUCAGAGGGGGAAAGGAGCACGUAUUGGAGGAUGGGAGAAUUCUGAAGGGAGGAGAGAGGAACGUGUAUUGGGAACGCAGGGAGAUACAUAGAAAGCAAGGAGGUUAGGCUAUGAUUUUGAGAGGGCGGGCUGCUGUUUUCAAAGGGAUCAGCCCGUGGAUUUUGAGAGUGAGAGAUUAGUCCGCGGAUUUUUAGAGUGGAGGAUCAGUCCGUUUCAGAGUAGAGGACUGGCUGCUAUUUUUUUAAGAGAUCAGUCUAUGGAUUUUCAGGAUGGUGGACCAAUUCGUUUUAGAGGAGAGGACGGUCUGCUUUUUUUUUAAAAAAGAUCAGUUCGUGGAUUUUGAGAGUGGGAGAUCACUCCGUGAAUUUUUAGAGUGGGGGAUCAGUCCGUUUCAGAGGAGAGGGCAGGCUGCUAUUUUUUUUUAAGAGAUCAGUCCAUGUAUUUUCAGGGUGGAGGAUCAGUCUGUUUCAAAGGAAAGGGCGGGCUGCUAUUUUUUUAAGAGAUCAGUCCAUGGAAUUUAAGAGUGGACGAUUAGUCCAUUUCAGAUGAGAAGGUGGGCUGUUAUUUUUUUUAGAGAUCAGUUCGUGGAUUUUCGAAGUGGAAUUUGGAGGAUCCUCACGCAGCCAUAGAAGGAGUGGGCUGCCACAGAAAUAAAGGGAGAAGAACAGGAAAAAGGAGAGAGAUCAAUCCAUGUUUCAAAGAGAUUAGAGGCUGCUGUUUGGGCAAAGAGCAGUCCGUGUUUUGAAAUGAUUUUGGGGGCUGCUAUUUGGAGGGAUCAAUCCGUGUUUUGAAAGGAAGGGGGCAGCAGCGGCACGAAGGAGAAUUCGGGUGAAAGGAGAAGGAUGGAUUUUCUGGAAUGUGAGAGGGUGCAGCCGCAACACUUUGUGCGAUACCCGAGCAUCUCCGACAACAUCUUAUGGCUGUUGGAGAUUCGCACCAGCUUGUUAAUCCCGCCACCUAAACACCACAGCCGCACCGGAUUUUCAAAGGGAAUUCAUAUCCACGCAGCACUUUGAGGAUUUGCAGCACAUAGGUAUCCACCACACCAUGCAUCCUUGGAAUUUUUUUUUAAUUAAAAAGUCCUACUAGUGGAAAGUAGUCUUCACAUUUUGAAAAGGUAUUUAAAGAAUUUGCUGUGCAAGGGUAUCCACCACACUAUGCAUCAUUGGAAUUGUUUUUUUGUUGUUUUUAUUAAAAAAAAUCCUACUAGUGGAAAAUGACCUUCACGUGUUAAAAAAAAGUAAACUAAUUCAUCCCAUUUCAAUUUUGCUCCAUGAAACAUUCAAUUCAAUUCAUAGUUGUUUAGAAUUUUGGUUAUUUAGUUUAAUUUAUUCCAAUGUCAAUAUAUUCAUGCUAUCAAGUUGUUAAGUUUAGCUUUAAAUUAUUCCUAUUUGGCCUAUGCAUUUUCAAGGUUUAUUUUAUUAGAAAUUCAUGGUUAAUUUAGAUGUUAUUUAUUUAUUUAUUUUUAAUUUUUCUUAUCUAAAUAAAUUAAUUAUUACUGAUUCAUUAUUCUAGUUUGAAGAUUAUGAUUUUUGUUUAAUAUAGUUACAAUUUAUUAUUCUUAGUUUGACAAAUUAAUUUUUUAGUAUUGGUUUGGGCAAUUUUUGUUAAUAAUGGAAAAGUUAAGAUUUUUUAGAGUUUAGGUAAUUUGUUAUGAUAGGUAAAAAUUUAGAAUUUUGAUUAGCAUUAUUUUGGUUCUCAAUUAGGAAAUUCAUAAUUUCUUUUAGUUUAGUUUUAAUCUAUCUUUUAGUUUAGAUGUUAUUAAAAUUCAGUUCAUUAGUUCAAUUGAUUCCAUGUCACAUCUUUUCGUAUCUAAAGGUUGUUAAAUUUAAUUCAUGAUUCAUUCUUUUAGUUUAUUAAUUUUAGAAUUUAAGUUGGUUAAUUUAUUUCAUUCCGCAUUGAUAUAUUCAUGUUUUAAAAUAAAUAAAGAAAAAAAAUUAUUUUAGUUUUGAUUGAUCCUACUUUAGUUGAUAUUCUUUAGAGUUUUAAUUAAUUCGAUUGGUUUCAUAUUGUUUAGUUUAUGUUAAAAUUUUUCAAUUCCAUUUUGCUAUUAAUUCUAUGCUUUCAAAUUGUAGGCUAUUAGUUUAAUCUAUCCCCAUGUUGCCAUUUUGCGUUUAAAAAUAGUUCAUUUUCGUUUUUGAUUAAUUUUAUUUAUUUUAUGUGUUUGUCUUUUUUUUUAUUACUUUCUUAUUUUUUAUUAUUAUUUUUUUUAUUUUUUUAUUUUUUAUUACUCAUUUGUUUAGUUAGUCGAUUAAAUUUAUGACUCCAAAUUGUCAAUAUUAGUUGAUAUGUAUCGUUUGUACUAUUUUAAAGGUCACAUAAUAUUUAGUGCUUGAUUAAGUUUAUCUUAAGAUUAAAUGUUGUUAAAGUUUCAAUGCUUGUAAGAUCUAAGGUUUCAGUUUAUCACUUUGGUCAUCCUUUGUCAAAUUCAAUUUUUAGAGGCUAUCGGAAAAUAGUGAAGAUUAGCCUCCAUUCUCACCUUCAAUUUUCUUGGUUGUCAAAAAUUCUACUUUGUGAUUUUGUUCUCUUUUGUUUUGCUUGGUAUUUUGAUUCAUACACUUUAUUGCUUUCAAAUUAAUUUCUUUUUAUUUUUAAAAUACAACACUAUUCUCAAAAUCUCAUUUUCCUUAAAAAUUCAUUUAGAGUUCUUAGAAUCAAAAUCUCAUUUUUUUAAAAAUAAUGUGCAACCAUGUUUUGAUCGGUUCACAUCUUUCAAAUAAAAUUACAGUUUUGAAUAAAACACGAAUCAAAGCUUGUGGUCCCAAAUAAAUGGGAUAAUUCUAGGCUAAAUUCGUGUAUAUCAAUUGGGGAAUUGGUGAAACCCCUACAUAAGAAAAUCUUUUCAAAAAUUAUUUUCGUUGCCACUUUUGUCACUUGUUGAAAUUAUGUCUAUCUUUUUAUUAGAAAUUGUAUACAAGAUGAGUGUGAUAAUUAUCGUUUUCAUAUACUUUGAUAAUUUCUGCUAUGCUAAUUAGAUAACGAGCAUGCUAGGCUUUCUAUAUUUUAUUAUUUAUCAUCUAACCCCUUACAACUUGAGGAAGCAUGUUACAAAUUAUCUAUGCUAUCCAGGUAUGUCUUCUAUCACCUACUUUCUGAAUUUUGUGAACAUGCUUGUCAUUGUGAAAUAAUACUUAUGUCUAAUAAUGCUCGAAUAUUCUGAUAUACAUGUUUCAUUGCUUGAUUAUUUCUGAUAAAAUACAUGUUGGAUGAUAUAUUGUUUAAAUUAACCAUCGAUGUUUUAUGAUAGCGCUUGAGAAGCCGUCCAGGUAUGCACCCUAACUCUCUUUUAUGGAAAUCUGAUCCUAUUUGGCAUGUUAUUUUUCGAAAUCACCUUAGUCUGUUUAGGUAUCCCCAAUUAAUCAAUUAAUUACCAUUUUACCCCCAACUUUGUUAGUAGAGACCUUUUUAGGGCUUAGAGGGGUGCUACCUCCUAGAGGUACCUUCCCAAUAAGUAACCUGAUCCCCAGACCUAGACUCGGGUUUCUCAAAGACACGCUUUUCCAAAAAUUAUGGAGUCAUUUUUUUUAGGGUUUUAUUUCUUGUUUUAUUUUCCCUUUAAAAAAAAAAUAAAAUAAGUGGCGACUCCAACUGUUUUUCAAAAAAUCAAUUUUUCACAAAAAUAAUAAAAAGCGAGUCUCGCCAAUCGAGUGGGGACGCACGUGAAAAAUGCGGGUCCACAAUGACCUACUUGGCUACAUUGACGGAACAAAGCCAGGACAAACAAAUCUCAAUCCUAACUAUACUUUUUGGACAAGUAGGACAAACUUCUUCUUCUAGGAAUCAUCGGCUCUCUUAUUGGAUUUUAAGGGAAUGGAAACAAAGACUAUCCCAAAAGACACAAACAAAUAACAGAAUGAAUAAAAAGAAAAAAUUAUCGGCUGAGGUGUGACAAACACUAUCCUUGAAAUAGAUCCACCCUCCUCGAAGACAAACUCGGUGCACUAGGGUACCAAUGGUCUACUUCCAGGAUUCAACAGCUAGAUCUCGCCUUGGGUGCACUCUGAAAUCGAGAUGUAUACAACUUGAAUUUUUUAAUAAAUUCCUCCAAUUAGAUGUAUGAAAAUACUCCCUGAAAAACUCUUCAAAAAAAUUCUCUAAAAAAUUUUGUAUCCAAAGUAUAGAGAGGGGUGACCUGCUUUUUUAGGCCACUAACACAAUCUCAAUGGGAAUCUACUUAUAAUUAGAAGAUGACACAAAGUGGAAGGUGAUUCUACUUAUAAAAGGAAUGAGAUUCCACUAGCACAAUUCCAAUAGGACUCUUCCCAAAAAUAUAACACUAAUAGAAUAAAAUAAAAUAUAAAAAAAUAAAAAAAUAAUUCUCAAUAGGACACUUCCCAAAAAUUUAAGACUCAUAGAAUAAAAUAAAAUAAAAUAAAGUUAAUUUCCAAAAAUAAAAAUAGAAAUUAUUUACACUCAUCCUAUAUCUCUCAGCCACAAAGUCAUACUUGUGGUUCAUUGAUGCAAAACUUCCACUAAAGCUUGGCAUCAUUUUUCAAAGCUCUAUGUCAAUCCCUCAUUCUCCAGAACCAUGGGAUUGGUAGAGCAACUCAUUCUUCUCAACCAUGGCUCUUAACCAAUAGUUAACUACCUUGCAACAGUCCAUGAUAUUAUUGAUGAAUUGGACCUUCUUAGAGAAGCCAUUCCAAACCAAUAACUCAUCACUUACGUAUGCAAACAUGUCACCCCUGAAUUCAAUGAAUUGUUGUUGUUAUAUGCACACAAGAUACUAUGAUCACAUUUGAUGAGCUGAAUGAAAAAUUAGUGGAAUAUGAUGCCUUCCUCAUGUAGGAAGAGCUUUGUUCCACUAGCACUCUUGGUACCACUAAAGUCAACAAUACACAAUUUUCAUCUUCCCAUAGUGACAAAAACGCUAGCCAAAAAUAUUUCCCUAGUAGGAAAGGAUACCAAGGCUAACAUCCUCCUCAUUUUGGGAAUCAACACCCCAACAAGAACGCCACUUUGAUUUGCCAAUUCUGUGAGAAGAAAGGUCAUACUACUUGCUAGUGUUACAUGGCUAAGAAAUUGUUCCUUUCAUCCACACUUACUACUAGUCCAAUUAUCCCCACAAACAACUUCUUAACCAAUUGGCUCGCAGAUAUCAGUGCCUCACAUCAAGUUACAUCUAAUCUUAACAACUUGUCUCUCUGCUAACCAAUGAAUCUAGUCAUUAAUAGUUUUCACAUUUCCUAUACUUGGAGGGUUGUUCCAAGAUUAAAUAAAGUUUUUUCCCAUGCUAAUCUUAAUAUAGUGAUUCAUGCCCAGUCGGGUGUUUAUCAAAACAUUUAUAAAACCUACAACACCUUAUACUAAGGUAGCAAAGACAAAGCUACUAUAGUAUAGUGGCUCUAGGAUUGUCCACAGGGAUGGGUUUUCUUUGUACACUUAACAUUAAUGAAAGGAGAAAUGGUGAUUUCCUUUUUGGAAGUUAGCUUUUAAAUGAAAAUAAGAUUGAUUGGAAGGGUUGAUUUUAAGUUAAGCAAACAUAAACAACUGAAAUUACUAUAAAGAGAAAGUCUCUUGGAGCUAUAGGUUACUAGGAUCAGGUUCCUGUUGCAAAGUGGGAAAUUACGGAUCUUCUCCUCGCAUUGGGGAUAAUAACAUAAAGGAUGGUUAUCUCCCGAACCGGAUUUGUAUUUAGCAAAUAAGUUUUGAUCCAAAGGAUUCUUGAAAAAUGGUAGUUGCUUCCCAUUAAUGGCUUCAAACACUAAAGACCCUCACCUUGAACCACCUUCCAAUGGCUCGUACUUGAUAACUAAUGGACAUCCAUGGAUCUAGCAAUAAGCAUCCAUAGAAUCCUAAAAGCUUACCAAGUAUUGGCCAUUCAAGGUGAUUCUAAGGGAUCAAAGCUAAAACUUGAAAUACAAACCAUUAACGAUACACAACUACCUUCAUUUUUAGCAAGGAAAACUCCCACCUUUACAUAUGGGUCCUUUACCUAGCUUCCAUCACUCCAAGAAACGUGAAACUUAGCCACUCAUCCUCUGAGAAAUCAUCCUCUGAGGGUGUUUGGCUAGAGAGAAAGUGAAGAGAAAAUGAGAAGGAAAGGUAGAGAAAAACUCGUCUUUACAAAAUAUCUAAAACAUAAUAUCUCCCAUCCUUUGAGAGGUUUUCCAACCCCUAUUUAUAGAUCCUAAACAAACCCUAAUGUCAUUUAUCUAUUACAAAAAGAGAAAAGGAAAAAAUUACAAUUCUGGAGAUUUUUCCCGAAGGUCGGUGUGCAUAAAGUGAUUUUUGCACACCCUACAAAAAUUUGGCACACCUUGCGAAAAUUUGGCACACCUUGCGAAUUUGAUGAUUUUGCCUUGCAAAAUGCUCUGUUUCCCUCCAUCUUACUACUGAUAGCUUUGCCAACCCCUUUCCAAGUUUGCCAAGGGGUUUUGAAGUGCUCCAAGGCUCGGAUUCUUCAUGUGAUUGAUCUUCAACUUACCUUGCCAUAGCUUGCACAAAACUCUCCCUCAAUCUUGGCCUGUUUUGGUGAUAAAAAAGCUACCAAAAACACUAAAACUUACCAGAAAUUGGUUAGUAACAUUCGCUAGGUCCUUACAUGCCAAUUGGGAUAAAAAGGUCUAACUACUACUCAAAAGUGCUUAGUACAAUUAAGUUUAAGCUUAUAAAAAUGCACUUUUUGAGUAGUAAUCACUCCCCCCAACUGACACAUUGCUAGUCCCUUAGCAAUGAAGGAGAGAAAAAAAAAUGCAUCUCUCAUGGAAAAUCAAAGAUAUAAAACCCAACCUUCAACAAGAGUUAUUAAAUCACUUACCUAAUCACAAAAUACAAAGAGUGGGCAUUAUGCAAAUUUAAGCAUCAAAAGAAUUUCCACUCCCAAAGAUCCAACUCUUAAUCUUCCACAAGAAUCUAAGUGUUAAGGUGAUUAGUUUCCAAUUAUAGUAUGCUAAACUAUACUCUCACUCCCCCUAACUUAGUUCUUUCUCAAACUUGGCAAACUGACCAACAUCCAAUAGGUUAAGAACGCACCUCUUUUAUUUUACAAUUCUUUUAUUUGCUCAACUUCACCCAUUCACCCUUGUAAUGAGCAUUAAGGUCUAUGACUCCCAACCAAUUAAGGUUUAGGGCACCAGGCUUUAAAGACUUUCGCCAUAUACCCCUAGGACCUUGCUCGGGUUUCAAGGCAAGCACAACAUUUUUUUAUUUUUUUUCUGAAGGCUCAUUGGCCUUCUAUAAGGUGUCCCAACACUAUUAAAAUGAGGUCAAAGGUACCAAGUCAAAAUUUUCCUAAGUUCAAGGGGUGAGAUAAUUUUUCAUCUUAUAAUUGGAACCUAAUGUACACAGUGUGUGGUAAGAUUAAAGUGGAAGAAACAAGGUUGAAUUCAAUAGGAGCUUCAAUAAUUCAUCAACCUCAAUAAACACAAUACAAACUUUAAGACUUAAGCAAAAAGGCAAGAACUCAACUUCUCUCAUUUCAUUUUGAGAAUUUUUCCUUGACAACCAUGGAGAGUAGAGUAAUUUUAAAAAAAAAAUUAAACAAGAGGUAACUAAGAACAAAAUAUCCUAGCAAUAUUUACAAUACUUACUUCCUCAACUCUCCCCCCAAUCAAGAUGAACAUUGUCCUCAAUGUUUCAAUUGCAAGUGAAAAUAAACGGAGGAGGUGAUACCUUUUGAGGCAAAUUUUUCAUAGUCAUGCAAACGUUUCGCAAAAGGGAGCGAAAAUGACUAGAGAAGUGAGAAAUGAAGUUGGGAUGUAUGCUAUAAAAAAAAAAAUGUACUUUUUUUUUUUGUAGAGAAAAAUGAGGGGUGUAGAUUGUUCGCAAAGUGGAAUUUUCAUAAAAUAGAAUUUUCGCAAAAUGGAAUUUUCGUAAAGUGGGAUUUUCGUAAAGUGGGAUUUUCGUAAAAUGGAAUUUUCGCAAAAUGGAAUUUUCGCAAAGUGGAAUUUUUGCAAAAUGGGGUUUUCGCAAAGUGGGGUUUUCAAAACUUGAUUCGCAAGGUGAACUUUGAGUUUGCAAACCCUAUGGAAAUUCACAUUUGAAGACCGAGAGUUGUAGUUUUCAAAAAUGAUCACAAAGGGUUUUCGCAGAGGAUUCGCAUACCCUGUGUUUUUUCACAUAGGGUGCGAAGUUAAAGACCGAGAGCUUGAAUUUUUCAAAAAUCAUCAGGAGGAUUUCGCAGAGGGUGUGAAAUUUUCGCAUGCUCUGCGAAAUGGCAGUAGCUCACAUAAUGUAAAGAGCACUUUUCGCACAACAUGCGAAAAUUUCGCAGGGAGGUAUGCGAAAUGCUCUGCUUCAAUUUUUUCCUCAGUUUUUCCUCUGCCGACGAAUCCUUAAGUGCCCUCCCCUACAAGUGAUUGAUUACUACUCAAAAAGGGCUAUUUGAUAGCUUGUAAUUAACUCUUUUAAACACUUUUGAGUAGUAAUUAUUGCCCUUUAACCCAAUUAACAUAUUAAGGACCUUUGCAAUCACUUCUAAUCACUUUGUGUAAGUUUUGGUGUUUUUGUUAGUAAUUUGAUCACCAAAGCAAUCCAAGAAGGAGGAGAAGUAAAGAGAGAAUCUACCUUGAAGCAUUCUUGAUGACAGUCAUUUCAGCCACUUUUGGAGUACUUCCUAAAGUCCAAUUUAUGCAUGCUUUAUGUCGUUUCGAAGAUCGGGAAGUCAACAAUCCAAUGCUUCAAACGGUUUGCAAAUCAGAGUUGAAAUGAAGAAGUUAGAGCCAAUGGAAGCAGAUCACUCCAAGCUGAAGGCCAAUUUCGCAGGGCUGCGAAAUCAGCCUUCGGCUGCGAAAUGAUUUCGCAGCCAUCUUGUUCGUCUACGAAAUUUCGCAGCCAUUUUGUGCGCCUGCGAAAUUCUCCUGAGUGCUUCCAGUUAUUUGCGACCAUCGUUUUUUGUUAUUUUGCCUCAGAUAUUUGUUGUCUAAAUUCCAAUUCUCUCCUUGUAAUCCACCAAUUAGAUGAUUCCUUAGUUGUUGAGCAAGGAUGCAGGGGUAAACAACCUGAUAUGUAUUGUUUUGUAUUUUUCACUUUAAAACAUCGGGGAACUUUCCCCAGGAGAACGGAUGUAAAUUUUACACUUAGCUAAAUACGAAGUAUCUUUUGCUUUCUUUUUCUCUCUACUAUUCCCUAUUUUCUCAGUAGCCAAACAUCCUUGGAGGAUGAAAUCCCCAAGGAUGAGAGGCUAAAACUUUUUAGUUUCUUGAAGUAAUGGAUGCCAUGUGAAGCUCCCGUGUCAGGAUGGAGAUUUCCAAGCCAUGAAUGUAAGUAGUUGAGCAUCAUAAAUGUUUUCAUUCAAAGUAAAGCUUUUAAUCCCUCUGACUUGCUUUGAAUGGCCAAUACUUGAUAACCUUUUGGUCUCAGUGGAUUCUUAUUGUUAGAUCCACUGACGUUCAUUAGUUAUCUCCUACGAGCCAUUGUAUUGCAAGUCGAGGAGAUGACCUAUAUCAUUAAAAGAGCAUUUAUGAGGUUCAGCUACCCUUUUUGUAAGUUUUGAAGGACUAAAACUCAGUUGUUAAACACAUACCGGUUCGGGAAGUAAGCAUCACCUUAGUUGCUUCCCCAACUCGAGGUGAAAAGUUCCAAAAUCUCCAUUUUUACACAUUGAGUUAAGCAUGGCUAUCCAAAGCUUUGAGAAACUUCUUUUUCCAUCUUUUAACCUAUUUGCAUGUUAGUUUAGUUUAAAACACUUUCAUCUUUUUAUGUUUUCAUCUUAACCUAAUUUUUAUUAAGAAAAGUUCACUCCAUCCUCCGAACUUCAUCAGUUAAAGUAAAAACCCUUCCCAGUGUUCGAUCCUAGAGCCACUAUGCUAUAGUAGCUUUGCUACUUUAGUGUAAGGACGUUAGGUAUAAAUUUUGUUGAUACCCUUACAUGCCAAGCUACCAAGAGUCGGGUUAUCAGUGAUCAUCAAAAACCUAAAUUAAAUCAAACUAAAAUGGAAUUCAAGCAAGAAAAUGAAAUAAAAACAAAUACAAAUACAAGAAAAAACAUGAAAUCAAAAACAAAAAACAAAAAUGGAUGAACUUAAUAAUUUUCAGAAAGAUUAAGUCCAUCCAGGAUCUAAUUUUUCAAGCCUGAGAGGGAUCAAGGAGGAUGAAUUCCUCCUUGUCUCGGGAAAAAUGCUCCAGAAAGGGCUUGAGACGAUGAAAGUUCGAUUGGUGUUGGCGUUGAGUAGCUCCACUACUCUAUUCGAAUACACUUGGUGGAUUGUGAAAGGACCUAACCACCUUGAUUUCAACUUGCCCGGAAAGAUAUGGAGCUUAGAGUCAUAAAGCAAGACUUUUUGUCCCUUUGAAAAGUUCUUUUGGGUCACCAACUGAUCAUGUCAUCUCUUCAACCUCUCUUUUGCAAUUUUGAAUUGAGGUAAGCAUCAUUUCGCAGUUCCUCCAACUCAUUGAGGUCUAAGAAUCUCUUCAACCCAACUUUGCUCAAAUCCAUGUUGAGUUUCUUGAUUGCCCACCAAGCCUUGUAUUCUAAUUCCACAGGGAGAUGGCAUGCUUUGCCAUAGACUAAGCGAUAAGGGGACAUCCCAAGAAUGGUCUUGUAAGCUGUUCUAUAAGCCCAUAGUGAAUCAAGGAGUUUGAUAGACCAAUAUGUUUUGUUCACAUUCACUACCUUUAUCAAUAUGUUCUUGAUCUCCCAGUUUUCCAACUCAACUUGCCCGCUAGUUUGAGGAUGGUAAGGCGUAGCUACCUUAUACUUCACCCCGUACUUGGCUAGAAGAGUUUCAAAAGGCUUGUUACAAAAAAUGAGUACCCUCAUCACUGAUUAUGGCUUUAGGCACUCCAAAUCUUGAGAAAAUGUUUUCCUUCAAGAACUUGAUAACCACCCUAUGGUCAUUGUGUUUGCAUGGAAUUGCUUCAACCCACUUAGAAACAUAAUUGAAUCUCACCAAGAUGUAGGAGUAGCCAAAUGACAUAGGAAAAGGUUCCAUGAAGUCAAUGCCCCAAACAUCAAAAAGAUCAACUAUCAGAAUAGGGUUCAAAGGCAUCAUAUUCCUUUGGGUCAACUUCCCAAGCCUUUAACAUCGAUCACAACCCUUGCACAUGGCAUGGGCAUCCUUGAAAAGUGAGGGCCAACAGAAACCCGAUUGCAAGACCCUCAUAGCUGUCUUUUGAGAAGCAAAGUGACCUCCACAAGCAUUCUCAUGGCAAUGAGAGAGAAUCCCCUGUUGCUCUUGUUCAGGAACACACUUUCUUAUUAUUUGAUCCAAAAAAUACUUGAAUAGAAAUGAUUCUUCCCAAUAGUAGGCAUGGAUCUUUACAAAGAAAUGUUUUCUAUCUUGUGUUUUCCACUCACUUGGAACUUCUCCAGUAACUAGGUAGUUUGCAAUAUGAGCAUACCACGGAGUUACUUCCACCAACAUGAGAGAUUCCUCUGGGAAGUCAUCAUUGAUGGGCAAACCAUGGGAAUUAUGUGCAAUUGCAAGCCUUGAAAGGUGGUCAGCUACCACAUUUUCUACUCCCUUCUUGUCUUUGAUUUGAAGAUUGAUCUCUUGAAGCAAGAGGGUUGAUUCCGUGCCCAACUGGUGUACCUUGAUUUCCGUCCUCUGAUGGGAGUAAUCAACAAAAUUUAUAACCUACUGCACCAUGUACUAGGAUAGCCUCGGCUAGCAUAGCAUAGUAGCUCUAAGAUUGUUCACUGGGAAGGGUUUUCAAUUAUAAAUGAUACUAAUUCAAAGUGAAUUGGUGCCUUUUCAUUUCAAGGUUAGCUUUAAAAGAAAACAUAAACUUGGGUUGGAAAAGGUUUGGUUUUAAGCUAACUAAAAAGAAAGUAAUGGGAAUUACUUAUAAAGAAAAGCGUUUCUUGGAGUUUUAGGAUCACCGGGGUCAGGCUCCUUAUACAAAAAAAAAGUUUUGGUCACUUUGAUUCUUUUCCUCGAAUUGGAGAAUUAACAUAUAGUUCAUUCUCCAACCGGUGUUGUACAGAUGCAGCCCAUUUAUGGAUUUCAGCAUUAAACCCCUCUCACUGAUGCAUCUCGCAAUGUCUUAUGCCUCCCACCUAGCAUUUGCCAUUCAAGGUGAUCAUUAACCUUGGACUUCCCUUCUCAAGCUCGCAAGAGGUAACUAAUGGAUGUCUCCUUAGAGUCCAAAAGCUUACCAAGUGUUGGCAAUUCUAGAAAAUCCUACCUUCAAGUCACCUCCCAAAGGCUUGCAAGAGAUAAACUAGUGAAUCUCCAUGGACGGAGAUCACUUGCCUUACCAAGUGUUGGCCCAGGUGAAUUGAAGGCAUUUUAAGUUAACUAAAAAGAUAAAAACCAUUAACGGGUUACAUUUCCUCUUCAUUUACAACUGAAACCACAAAACUCUAAAUUCAUGCAUUUGGAAACUUACCCAGCUACCUUAGUCCAAGAGACACAAAGUCUAGCCACUCAUUCUUUGAGGAAACAUCCUCAGAGCUUGUUUGGCUAGUAAGAAAAAUACAAUCAAAAUGAGAAGGUAAGGCAGAGCAAAGCUCUGUAUUUUACUUCCUUGAAAAACUAUACAAAAAGUUGGUUUUUCUCUGAGAACAGGCUCCCGAGAUAUCACUGAUAUGAAAAUUACAAUAAUAAUAUAUACAUGGCUAUUCACCCUUUUUGUCUUUCUUAGCAACUAAGGAAUCCUAUAAUUGGUGGGUUACAAGGAGAAAAUGGGGAUUUGGACAUCAAAUAUCUGAAGCAAAAUAUCCAAAAGUGUCGAUCACAAAUAUCUGGAAGCACUCAAGAGAAUUUCGCAGACGUACAAGAUGGCUGAGAAAUUUCGCAGCCAAAGGCUGAUUUCGUAGAGGCUUUCCUUAGGCUGCGAAAUUGGCCUUCAGCUUGGUGUGAUCGGCUUCCAAUGGUUCUAACUUCUUCAUUUCAACUCUGAUUCAUGUACCAUUUAAAGCUUUGGAUUGCUGACUUCCCGAGCUUCGAAACGACAUAUGGUGUAUAUCAAAUGGACUCUAGAAAGUGCUUCAAAAGUGUCAAAUAGUUGAUGUCCUCUUGCAUUAUUCAUGUUACUUUCAUCCUUGCAUUCUUGAUUUGUUUUUGGCAAAGGAUUACAAAGCUUCAAAGCUUGAAUUCUUCAUGUUAAUGAGCUUCCAAUUGCUUUGCCAUGGAUUCCAUAGAACUCUCCUUAGUCUUGGAUUGCUUUGGUGAUCAAAAUACUAUCAAAAACACCAAAACUUAAACUUUUUGAUUAGAAAUGAUUGCAAAGGUACUUAAUAUGUUAAUUGAGUUAAAAGGUAAUAACUACUACUCAAAAGUGUUUAAAAGAGUUAAUUACAAGCUAUCAAUUAGUACUUUUUGAGUAGUAAUCACUCCCCCCAACUGACAUAUUGCUAGUCCCUUAGCAAAAAAUGAGAGAAAAAGAAAAUUAAAAAGUAAAAAAAAUACUAUAAUUUACAACGUCAUGCUGAUCACUUCAAAAAAUUUUAAGUGGCAUGAUGAUCAAGCUCUCUCAUGGAACAUUAAAGAAAUGAAACUCAAAUUUCAGCAAGAGUUAUCACGUAUGUUUUCUAAUCAUAAUUCCAACAAGAGAAGGCAUUAUGCAAAUUGAAGCUUUAAAAUCAUUUCCAUUUCCAAAUGACCAACCCUUACUCUUCCACUAAAAUCUAAGUGUUACUUGAUAGUUUCCGAAUAUAGUAUGCUAAACUAAUCUCUCUCCCCAAUCUAGUUCUUUUUCAACACUUAGCAAACUGACCAAAUUCAAUAGGCUAAGAACACACCCUUUUAUUUAUUUAUUUAUUUUUAUUUUUUUUUUCAGCGUAGGAGUACAAGGCUUGAAGGUAUUCUUUUUCUAAAUUGUCCAUGUAGCGGGGGUCCAUCGAUGACUCCCAACCAAUUAAGGUUUAGGGCAUCAAGCUUUAAGGAUCUUUCAACCACUAACUCCUCGAAUUUUACCUCGAACUUUUGAGAGUGAAUUUUUAAUACCCAAGCACCUACAGUAUGUUAAACUCCACCUAUUCACCCUUGUAACGAGCAUUGAGGUCGGUGACUCCCAACCAAUUAAGGCUUAGGGCACCAGGUUUUAAAGAUUUUCACCAUAUACCCCUCAGACCUUGCUCGGGUUUCAAGGCAAGCAAACAUUUUCUUUUAAAGGCUCAUUGGCCUUUCAUAAGGUGUCUCAACACUAUUAAAUAAGGUAAAAAAUACCAAGUCUAAAUUUUCCUAAGUCAAGAGGGAAAUAGUUUUUCAUCUUAUAGUCGAAAUCUAUUGUGCACAGUGUGUGAAUAGCUUAAAGUGGAAGAACUAAGGUUGAAUUCAAUAGAAGUUCAACAAUUCAUCAACUUUAAUAAGCAUAAUACAAACUCUAAGUCAAGUAAACAAAAAUUCGAUUUCUCUUAUGUUAAUUUGAGAAUUUUUCUUUAAUAACCAUGGAGAAUAGAAUAAAAACUUUAAAAAUUUAAAAUUAAGCAAAAAGCAACUAAAUUAUCAAAAUAACUUAGCAUUAAUCACAAAACUUCCUUCCUCAACUCUCCCCUCAACCAAGCUGAACAUUGUCCUCAAUGUGAGAAAAGCGAUUGAACAGUAGGGAGGAAGUGGUGCCUCCUUAGUGGUAUGAAGUUCGGGUAGAAUAGGAGAACCCACAUGUUUCAUAAAACAACAAAAGAUAUCAGUAGAGGAAUUAAAAUAAUGCUAAAAAUGCUAACAAAUUGAUAGACUUGUAUUACUUGAAGAAAGUACAAGAUGGCUAACAAGUAAUACAACCAAUCCCAAUAUAUAAUAUCAAAAGCAUGGGAGUACAAUUUCUAUUUUAGUAAAAAAAAAAAAUACAUAAAGAAAAUACAUAAAGUAAAGUAUGUAAAUGAUCAGAUAGGGGGAGGGUGAUGAUGGCUCAGGUGGAUGUCUCUACAUCUCCUGCAGUCGGCGGCUCAGUAUAGGGCUCUGUGGGCUCUGAAAUGAUAGGAUUGGGGUACUCAGAAGCUGAUGGAAUACCCAGAUAGUGCUGAAUCUGCCUCAUAAUGGCAGUAUGCUGAGUCUGGGUGGCCAAAAUCUGCUCCUGAUGGGCACGAAAAGCUACCAUCUCCUAAGUAAGGAUGUUUUGAGAUGUGGUCAAUGUCUACAAAGUGUGACAAAGACCUCUAUACUCGGACAUGGAUAUAGCAAUCCUAGGCUCAGAUGACGAAGUGGGCUCUGAUGUAGAUGGUAUAACAGGAGGAGUCUGUGGUGUGGCAAGAGGAGCAGAGGGUGCAACCUUAGGUAUAGGCUCCUCAGGUUGUGGAAUGUCUGGAUGUUCUGCUCCAGCUGGGGAUCCAGGCUCUGCACUAUAUGCUGUCAUAUUUGACCAUUUAUCAAGAGUGAAUAUCUCUCGGCAAAUGCGUUUAUGCUCAUGGUGAGGCUCAGAUGGAUAGCCCAAAUGCUUGAAAAUCUGGCAAAGCAAUCUCGGGAAAAGAAGUGGAAUAGCAUGUGCUUGGAGCAGCUUCUUCUUGUGAACCUUCUCUUCAAAGUAGAGAAGAACAGCCAUAAUCAGAUGAUGAGGGCCAAAGAAGAAUCCCUCAGAUAUCCUAAACAGGGUCUCCAGCAAAACUCCUCUCCUCUGCACCCAAUGCUGAAGUGGAUAAAUGUUAUGGCGCAGGAGUGCAUCGAUGAAGAACAUGCUGGGAGGGAGCUCCUUCCUCAACAGAUACUGAUGUGAGGAUGCUCCUCUGGAUAGGAUAUGAACUAUGUCACUCUGAGCCGGAUGAGUCCAUACUUGAAAAUCCUCUGGAUGGGCUGGCUCGUAUGGAAUAUGCAGUGCCUGUGCUAUAUGUCGAGCUCUUAGAAUACCAUGAUGUCCGUCAAUGGUGAAGUGAAUGACAGUAGGAUCUCUGACCUGGUGUGUGGUCAUGGACUGAUAGAAGUCCAUGACUACACGGGCAUAGAAAAAAUCCCUAGGAGUCAGCAAAUGCUCCAUAUGAUACCUGUGUAGCAGAUGAAAGGAGUCCCGGAGCUCAGGCUAAAGUUUGAAAGUGGCUGUGUCAAAACACAGCUCAGAGUGAAAUGGUCGAGCCCUGCAAUCUAGAUUACCCUCAAUGGGCGGCUGAGCGUUCAUGGGACGCCUGAUAAUCACCUCAGGAGUCAUGCCUGAGGGAAUCUGAGAUUCUAUAGGUGGCGACUGAGACUGAUGAGGCUCCAACAGAGGCUCCGGAGACGGCUCCGUUAAGUCAAUUGGCUCUGAAUCCUCUACCCUGGAUUUUUUCAUUGGUGGACGGCCACCUGACCUUGUCUGAUAUCGUCUGACCGGUGGACUUAUCGGCAAGGGUUCAACCGGAGGUGGAGCGACUACUUGACGCGGAGGCUGGGAUGUGGAUCCUUGAACAGGGGUCUCUUUUGCGGCUUUCUUGCGGCCGGACGGGGAUGAGGACUUUGCUCCUCUGGUUCUUGCCAUGGCGAAUUGAAGAAAAUGGUUGGAGACACUUGCGGCUUGGGCUCAGACGAGAGAGAGCAAAUGAACGGUUGCUCUGGCUUUCUUUCUCUUUAGUAUCUUUUUGCAGCUCAAAUGACCGGUUUUUACAAAAUAUGGAAUUUAUAAGGUUCAAAAAAUGGAUACCAAGGGUCGUUUUAAUUUUUCGCAGAGGAGGGUCGAUUUCGCAAUGGAGGGGCUUUUUCGUAGCGAAGGGCCGAUUUCGUAGCCCAUUUCGCAACUGCGAAAUGAGGCUACUGUGCUACGAAAUGGCACUCGUGUGCCAAAGGGGUGUUUCGCAGCUGCGAAAAUUUUCGCAGAGGAGGGCAUGGGGCUGCGAAAUGAAUUUCGCAGCCGAUGGGCGAUUUCACAGCGGACCUUUUGGGGCUGCAAAAUCAUUUCGCAGGGGCCCCCUUUUGGCUGCGAAAUUUCGUAAACCACUACUUUUCCCUUUCUUUUAAAUUCCUUUUUGCUCCCAACGACCUUCCUUCGAUUUCUUUGCAAUUCCUCCUACAUGAGAUCAUUCAAAAAGAUUUAAUUACAUACAAAUACACAACUUAAGAUCAAAAAUUAAAAUUAAAAUAAUUAAUAAAGCUUUUAAAUUAACAAAAUUAAACAAAAAUAUGGACUUUGGUGAAACCAAGUCCAUCUAACCCUUGUCUGAUUAGGCUUUAUGUGGCUUAAGGAGGUUGAUUUCCUCAUUUUCUUUCUUGAAUGGCUCAAUGAAUGGCUUGAGACGAUGACCAUUGACCUUGAAAGUGUCAAUGCUGUUGGAAUUCAAUAAUUCCACCACUCCAUUCAAGCGCACUUGGUGAAUAAUGAAAGGGCCUAUUCACCUUGACUUGAGCUUCCCUGGAAAGAUGUGGAGCCUUGAAUCAUAGAGUAAGACUCUUUGUCCUUUAUGGAAUUCUUUAUUGGAGAUUAAUUGAUCAUGCCACCUCUUCAUCCUCUGUUUUGCAACUUUGGAAUUGAUGUAAGCAUCAUUUCUUAAUUCCUCCAUCUCAUUAAGGUCUAAGCACCUAUUUGCCCCGGUUCUGAUCAAGUCCAUGUUUAACUUCUUGAUUGCCCACCAAGCUUUAUAUUCAACUUCCACAGGGAGAUGGCAUGCUUUGCCAUAGACUAGGCGAUAAGGAGACAUACCAAGAAUAGUCUUGUAAGCUGUUCUAUAUGCCCAUAGUGAAUCAUGAAGCUUAAUAGACCAAUCUCUUCUACUUGUGAUCACCACCUUCAUCAAUAUAUUUUUGAUUUCCCUGUUUGCUAGCUCCACUUGAUCGGAUGUCUGAGGGUGAUAAGGUGUAGCUACCUUAUGCUUCACUCCAUACUUGGCUAAUAAGGCUUCAAAAGGUCUAUUGCAAAAAUGAGUACCUCCAUCACUGAUUAUGGCCUUGGGCACCCCAAAUCUUGAAAAAAUGUUCUCUUUGAGAAACUUGAGAACCACCUUGUGAUCAUUAUGUUUACAGGGGAUUGCCUCAACCCAUUUAGAAACAUAGUCCACCCCCACCAAGAUAUAAGAGUUACCAAAAAACAUUGGGAAAUGGCCCAUGAAAUCAAUGCCCCAAACAUCAAAGAGAUCAACUAUUAGAAUGGGGUUCAUAGGCAUUUGAUUCCUUCUUGUUAGCUUUCCAAGCCUUUGGCAUCUAUCACAGCUCCUACACAUGAUGUGGGCAUAUUUGAAAAGUGAUGGCCAAGUAAACCCUGAUUGCAACACCUUCAUGGUUGUUUUCUGAGAGGCAAAGUGGGCUCCACAUGCACUUUCAUAACAAUGGCUGAGGAUUCCUUGUUGCUCUUCUUCAGGAACACACUUCCGUAUUAUUUGAUCUACACAAUACUUGAAAAGGAAAGGCUCCUCCCAAUAAUAAGCAUGAAUCUUUGCAAAGAAGUGCUUCUUGUCUUGUGCUUUCCACUCACUUGGAACAUCACCAGUAACUAGAUAGUUAGCAAUAUGAGUAUACCAAGGAGUUUUUACUAGCAACAUGAGUGAUUCCUCAGGAAAAUCAUCAUUAAUAGGUAAGACAUGGGAAUUGUGUGCUAUAGCCAACCUUGAAAGGUGGUCAGCUACCACAUUUUCCACUCCUUUCUUGUCUCUGAUCUGGAGAUCGAACUCUUGUAGUAAGAGAAUCCAUCUAAUCAACCUUGCUUUAGCAUCUUGUUUUGUCAAUAAAUACUUCAAGGCUGAAUGGUCAAUGAAAACAAUGAUGAAAGACCCUACUAGAUAAGCACGAAACUUGUCUAAGGCAAACACCAUGACUAAAAAUUCUUUCUCUGUAGUUGUGUAGUUUCUUUGAGCUUCGUUCAAGGUUUUGCUUGCAUAGUAGAUCACAUAGGGCUUCCCAUCUUCUCUUUGGCCAAGCACAGCUCCUAUAGCAAAGUCACUGGCAUCACACAUUAUUUCAAAGGGUAGUUGCCAGUUAGGAGCCCUCACUAUUGGAGUUGUUGUUAAGAAUUGCUUCAGUUGAUCAAAGCUCUUUUGACAUCUUUCAUCCCAUAUAAAUUUAGCAUCCUUAGUCAAAAUUUCACAAAGAGGUUUUGAAAGAUUAGAGAAAUCUUUUAUAAAUCUCCUAUAGAACCCUGCAUGGCCAAGGAAUUGCCUCACUCCUUUUACAGUUGUUGGGGACAACAAUUUGAAAAUAAGUUCCACCUUUGCUUUAUCAACUUCAAUGCCUUUCUUGGAGAUGAUAUGGCCAAGGACAAUUCCCUGACGUACCAUAAAAUGGCAUUUCUCCCAGUUGAGCACCAAGUCCUUCUCAAUGCAUCUGUUAAGAACCGCUUCCAAAUUGACUAAGCAUUCUUCAAAUGUACCUCCAUAUACGGUGAUGUCAUCCAUGAAAACCUCCAUAAUUUGCUCCACCAUAUCACUGAAGAUACUCAAUAUACAUCUCUGGAAUGUUGUGGGUGCAUUGCAUAAACCAAAAGACAUUCUUCUGUAAGCAUAUGUUCCAAAUGGACAUGUGAAAGUGGUCUUCUCCUGAUCUUCAACAUCAAUUUCAAUUUGAAAAUAUCCGGAGUACACAUCUAAGAAACAAUAGAAAGGAUGGCUAGAGACUCUCUCCAAAACUUGAUCAAUAAAUGGCAAUGGAAAAUGAUCUUUCCUUGUCACAACAUUCAAUUUUCUAUAAUCAAUACACACCCUCCAACCUGAAGUGAGGCGUGUAGUAAUUUCUUCUCCUCUUUCAUUUUGAACCAUAGUAAUCCCUGACUUCUUUGGUACCACUUGAGUAGGACUCACCCAAGGGCUGUCAGAUAUGGGGUAGAUAAUACCUGCUUGAAGUAGCUUUAACACUUCCACUCGCACCACCUCUUGCAAAUGAGGAUUCAAUCUUCUUUAAGGUUGACGAAUUGGUUUGGAUUCUUCCUCCAUAUAUAUAUGAUGUGUACAAACCAAAGGACUAAUGCCUUUCAAGUCAGAUAUUUGCCAUCCUAUUGCUUUCUUGCACCUCUUGAGAACUUCAAGUAGACACUUUUCCUGAUGAUUAGUAAGAGAUGAAGAUAUAACAACAGGGCAUUGUUUAUUCUCUUCUAGGUAUGUAUAUUUCAACUUCAUGGGCAGAGGCUUCAAAUUAAGCUUUGGGGUUUCUUUUUUAUCAGCUUCUUGUGCCUCCUCUUUAUUGAACAAAGGUAGAAUCUCUUAUCUCCUUCUCCAACCUUGUAGAGUAGCUAGCACAUCAGAGGGUUUAGGCAACCCUUCUUCAAGAUCCCCAAGACUUUCAUUUAAUUUGUCUUGCAUAUUCUGAUUACAGUGCUCCUCCAUUAGAGUGUCAAUAAUGCAUACCUCCUCGAGACCUUCUUCUUUUUCUGGAGUGAUUUGCUUUUUAGACAUAUAAAAGAUAUUGAGCUCAAGUGUCAUGUUGCCAAAAGUGAGUUGCAUGAGUCCAUUCCUACAGUUAAUGAUUGCAUUUGACAUAGCAAGGAAUGACCUUCCAAGGAUGAUAGGAACUGAAUUUGCUUCCUUAACAGUAGGAUCUACUAGAUAGUAGAAAUUGUCAACUUGAACUAAGACAUCUUCAAUUACCCCCCUUGGAAUUUUCACUGAUCUAUCUGCUAGAGAUAGAGUGAUUGAUGUUGGCUUCAAUUCACCAAGUCCCAAUUGCUUGUAGACAGAGUAUGGAAGCAAAUUCACACUUGCUCCCAAGUCUAACAAAGCUUUCUCCACUACCUUUCCUCCAAUCAUGACGGGAAUGGUAGGACAACCCGGAUCUUUGUACUUCAAAGGAGACUUGCAUUGUAUAAUAGCACUUACUUGCUUAGUCAAGAAGGUUUUCUUGUUCACAUUCAACCCUCUUUUGAUAGUACACAAAUCCUUUAGGAAUUUUGCAUAUGUUGGAACUUGUUUAAUCAUAUCUAGCAAUGGAAUAUUGACUUUCACUUGUCUCAAUACUUCAAGAAUUUCUGAUGCAUUUCUAAUCCCCUUUUUCCCAUGUAAAGCUUGAGGAAAAGGUGGAGAGGUGUGCUUCUUCAGCAUUUCUUCCUUAAGAAGUAUCUUCUCCGGAUUUGUAUUCACUGUUGAAUCAUGGUCCUCUUUCUUUUCACUGAUAUCUUUCUUCUUUCCUUUGAUCUCCUCCCUCUUCUUUGUCUCUUCUUCUUCUACCUCUUCAUUGUCUCUUCUUCUUCUACCUCUUCAUGUGGCUUGGGUGUUGGCAUCUCAACCUUUUUACCACUCCUUAGAGUGAUCAAAGCUUUAACAUCUCUCACCUGUGAGGAUUCUCCCUCAUGAGUUUCCACUUCAUGGAUACCCUUGGGGUUUUGGUGAGGUUGAGAAGGAAAUCUACCCUUCUCUUGCAUUGUGUUCAAGUUAGUGAGCCUUGAGAUUGAGUAUUGGAGAUUAUCUAUCUUUUGAGAUAAGUCAUUUUGCAUCCCAUCCAUCAUUUUAUUCAAAGUAUUCUUUACACUGUCAAUUCUUUGACUGAGUUGAGCAUUGAUGGCUUUUUGAUCUCUAACAAAAUCUCCCACAACCUUGCUGAGAUUUACAAUUGCUUGUUCAAGACUUGAAGAUUGUUGAGAUGGUUGAGCCGAUUGUUGGUACUGAGGUGCUCUUGACUUCCAUGAGAAAUUUGGAUGAUUCCUCCAACUUGAGUUGUAAGUAUUUCCAUACGGAGCAUUGUUAUUGGGCUUAAAUUGUCCAACAACGUUUGCUUGAUCUCCAAACAUUUCCCUUGCAACUAGAAUUGUAGGGCAUUCCUCCACCAAGUGUUCAUAAGAUUGACAAUAGGACAUGGCUUUACUUGCACUGGUGAUUCAGCAUCAGCUUGCACUUCACACAUCUUUUUUAGUUCUGGCUCCUCCAAUCUUCUUGUCAUAGCCGCAACCUUUGCUUUCAUAUCAUCAUCUUCAUUCAAGGUAUACAUCCCAGCCUUAGCAUUAAAAGCACUCGGUUGAGACUUCAUCUUUCCCACUUCUCCUUUGUUUGGUUCAUCCCAUCCCCUUGAAACUUCAGCCACAUAAUUCAAGAAAUCCAUCACUUCCUCCAGAUUUUUGCUCAUGAAAUCUCCUCCACACAUUGUCUCGAGGAGUUGCUUCAUUGAGGAAGACAUCCCAUCAUAGAAAUAGCUCACCAAUAGCCAUGUAUCAAAACCAUGAUGAGGGCAAGCAUUGAUGGCUUCCAUGUAUCUUUCCCAACACUCAUAGAAUUUCUCAUUCUUUUUAGUUGAGAAGUUUGAAAUUUGCCUUUUCAAGCCAUUUGUUCUGUGAGUAGGAAAAAAUUUCUUAAGGAAUUCAGCUUGUAAAUCAGUCCAAGUAUGGAUACUAUUUGGCCUUAAAGAAUUAAGCUAAAUUUUGGCUUUAUCCUUUAAAGUAAAAGGAAAUAGCUUAAGCCUCAUUAAGUUAAUUGAAGCUCCUCCCUCUUGGAAUGUAUUACAAACAUCUUCAAAUUCCUUGAUAUGUGCAUAGGGAUUCUCACUUUCCAUCCCAUGGAAAGUUGGUAGAAAUGGAACAAUAUGCGGUCUGAUCACUAGCUGCUCUGUAGGGGGCAUUAUACAUGAUGGUGCACUCAUAUGAGGUGGAUGCAUGCGGUCCCUCAUUGAUCUGAAAGCAUUGGGAUUGUCCUGGUGACCAUGGUGACUAUGCUGAUCUUCAGGUGUAGCUUCCAUGAUAUUCAAGCUCAAUUCCAAUUCCUUGUUAUGAGGUGUAUCACGUUUAACAAGCCUUCCUCCACUGUCUCGUAUCCAAUUUGGCAUACACAACUAGUAUCAACUGUAACUAUAAAAAAAACAAAAGAAAACAAGACUACAAAAAGACUAAAAUAAAGUAAAUCUGAAUUAAAAGAUGUAUUCAAAUAUGAACAAGUAAAGAAAUAAUAAAAAAAAAUAGUAAGAUGAAAGAAAAGUUACCAAACUUGUGAUGAAAAUCACAAGUACUCUAAAAUAGUAUCACUGUGAAAUUGGCACCUUCCCCGGCAACGACGCCAUUUGAUUUCGUGCCCAGCUGGUAUACCUUGAUUUUGGUCCUCUGAUGGGAGUAAUCAACAAAAUUUAUAACCUAUUACACCAUGUACUAGGAUAGCCUCGGCUAGCAUAUCAUAGUAGCUCUAGGAUCGUUCACUAGGAAGGGUUUUCAAUUAUAAAUGAUACCAAUUCAAAGUGAAUUGGUGCCUUUUCAUUUCAAGGUUAGCUUUAAAAGAAAACAUAAACUUGGGUUGGAAAAGGUUUGGUUUUAAGCUAAUUAAAAAGAAAGUAAUGGGAAUUACUUAUAAAGAAAAGCGUUUCUUGGAGUUUUAGGAUCACCAGGGUUAGGCUCCUUAUACAAAAACAGAGUUUUGGUCACUUUGAUUCUUUUCCUCGCAUUGGAGAAUUAACAUAUAGUUCAUUCUCCAACCGGUGUUGUACAGAUGCAGCCCAUUUAUGGAUUUUAGCAUUAAAUCCCUCUCACUGAUGCAUCUCGCAAUGGCUCAUGCCUCUCACCUAGCAUUUUCCAUUCAAGGUGAUCAUUAACCUUGGACUUCCCUUCUCAAGCUCACAAGAGGUAACUAAUGGAUGUCUCCUUAGAGUCUAAAAGCUUACCAAGUGUUGGCAAUUCUAGAAAAUCCUACCUUCAAGUCACCUCCCAAAGGCUCGCAAGAGAUAAACUAGUGAAUCUCCAUGGACGGAGAUCACUUGCCUUACCAAGUGUUGGCCCAUGUGAAUUGAAGGCGUUUUAAGUUAACUAAAAAGAUAAAAACCAUUAACGGGUUACACUUCCUCUUCAUUUACAGCUGAAACCACAAAACUCUAAAUUCGUGCAUUUGGAAACUUACCCGGCUACCUUAGCUCCAAGAGACACAAAGUCUAGCCACUCAUUCUCUGAGGAAACAUCCUCAGAGCUUGUUUGGCUAGUAAGAAAAAUACAAUCAAAAUGAGAAGGUAAGGCAGAGCAAAGCUCUGCAUUUUACUUCCUUGAAAAACUAUACAAAAAGUUGGUUUUUCUCUGAGAACAGGCUCUCAAGAUAUCAUUGAUAUGAAAAUUACAAGAAUAAUAUAUACAUGGUUAUUCACCCUUUUUGUCUUUCUUAGCAACUAAGGAAUCCUAUAAUUGGUGAGUUACAAGGAGAAAAUGGGGAUUUAGAUAUCAAAUAUCUGAAGCAAAAUAUCCAAAAGUGUUCGCAAAUAUCUGGAAGCACUCAGGAGAAUUUCACAGACGUACAAGAUGGCUGUGAAAUUUCGCAGCCAAAGGCUGAUUUCGCAGAGGCUUUCCUUAGGCUGCGAAAUUGGCCUUCAGCUUGGUGUGAUCAGCUUCCAAUGGCUCUAACUUCUUCAUUUCAACUCCGAUUCAUGUACUGUUUGAAGCGUUGGAUUGCUAACUUCCAGAGCUUCGAAACGACAUAUGGUAUGCAUCAAAUAGGCUCUGGAAAGUGCUUCAAAAGUGUCAAACAGUUGAUGUCCUCUUGCAUUCUUCAUGUUACUUUCAUCCUUGCAUUCUUGAUUUGUUUUUGGCAAAGGACUACAAAGCUUCAAAGCUUGAAUUCUUCAUGUUAAUGAGCUUCCAAUUGCUUUGCCAUGGAUUCCAUGGAACUCUCCUUAGUCUUGGAUUGCUUUGGUGAUCAAAAUACUAUCAAAAGCACCAAAACUUACACAAUUUGAUUAGAAAUGAUUGCAAAGGUACUUAAUAUGUUAAUUGAGUUAAAAGGUAAUAACUACUACUCAAAAGUGUUUAAAAGAGUUAAUUACAAGCUAUCAAUUAGUACUUUUUGAGUAGUAAUCAAGGGUCCACCUAAUCAGUCUUGCCUUGGCAUCUUGCUUGGUCAACAAAUACUUCAAAGCAGAGUGAUUGGUUAAUACCACUAUGAAAGACCCCACCAUGUAAGCACGAAAUUUGUCCAAGGCAAAAACUACCGCUAACAAUUCCUUCUCGGUGGUUGUGUAGUUUCUUUGCACCUCAUUGAGUGUCUUACUGGCAUAAUAGAUCAUAUAGGGUUUUCUAUCUUCUCUUUGGCCCAACACAGCUCCAAUAGCAAAAUCACUAGCAUCGCACAUUACCUCAAAAGGUAAUUGCUAGUUAGGAGCUUGCACAAUGGGUGUUGUUGUUAGAAAUGACUUUAAUUGCUAAAAAAUUCUUUGAAAUCUUUCAUCCCAUAUGAAUUUGGCAUCCUUGACCAAUAGUUCACAAAGAGGACUUGCAAGCUUUGAAAAGUCCUUGAUAAACCUCCUAUAGAACCCGACAUGUCCAAGGAAUUGCCUUACUCCCUUGACAUUGGUGAGGGAUGGCAACUUGACAAUGAGUUCAACUUUUGCUUUAUCAACUUCAAUUCCCUCCUUAUAGAUGAUAUGCUCGAGAACAAUCCCUUGUUGUACCAUGAAAUGGCACUUCUCCCAGUUAAGCACCGAGUCUUUUUCAAUGCACCGAUUUAGAACAACUUCUAAGUUUACCAAGCAAUCCUCAAAUGCACUUCCAUAAACGGUGAUAUCGUCCAUAAAGACUUCCAAAAUUCGCUCCACCAUAUCACUAAAGAUGCUUAGCAUGCAUCUUUGGAAAGUUGUGGGUGCAUUGCAUAAACCAAAAGGCAUUCUCCUAUAUACAAAUGUACUAAAGGGGCAUGUGAAAGUGGUCUUCUGUUGAUCUUCCAAAUCAAUCUCUAUUUGAAAGUAGCCAGAGUGGCCAUCCAAAAAACAGUAGAAAGGAUGCCCAGAAACCCUUUCAAGCACUUGGUCAAUAAAAGGCAACGGGAAAUGGUCCUUCCUUGUCACCGCAUUCAAUUUCCUGUAAUUGAUACACACCCUCCAACCAAUAGUAAGGCGUGUGGAGACAUCUUCUCCCAUAUCAUUCCGCACCACCGUGAUCCCAGACUUCUUUGGGACAACCUGGGUUGGACUCACCCAUAAGCUAUCUGAUAUGGGAUAAAUAAUACCGGCUUGAAGUAGCUUCAAAACUUCAUCUCGCACCACCUCUUGCAUGUGAGGGUUCAACCUUCUCUACAGUUGGCGAAUUGGCUUUGCUUCCUCCUCCAUAUAGAUAUGAUGGGUGCACACCAAAGGGUUGAUCCCUUUCAAGUCUGAAAUUUUCCACCCAAUGGCCUUCUUACAUCUUCUAAGGACUUCAAUUAGACAAUCCUCUUGAUGAAUGGUGAGAGCUGAAGAGAUCACCAUAGGGCACUGCUUGUCUUCCUCCAAGUACGCGUAUUUCAACCCAGUAGGAAGAAGCUUAAGAGUAAGCUUUGAGGGCUCCUCCUUACCAACUUUGUGCGACUCCUCAUCAUUGAAUAAAGGUAGAAUCUUUUCCCUCUUCCUCUAAUGAGACAUGGUAGUUAGCAAAUCUGAGGGUUCAGGUAACCCUUCAUCAAGAUCCCUAAGACUCUCAAUCAAAUGUUCCUCCAUGCUCUGUUCACAAUGCUCCUUAACCAAAGUGUCAAUCAUGCACACUUCCUCUGACCUUUCCUCUUCUACCGGAUGGAGAUGCUUCUUGCACAAAUGGAAGAUGUUUAGCUCCAAGGUCAUGUUGCCAAACGUGAGUUGCAUAAUUCCAUUCCUACAAUUGAUGAUUGCAUUAGAUGUAGUGAGGAAUGGUCUUCCAAGUAUGAUUGGCACAUAGUUUUUCCUCGUGACAACUGGAUCAGUAUCAAGAACAACAAAAUCUACUGGAUAGUAGAAUUUGUCAACUUGUACUAAGACAUCCUCAAUUAUCCCCCUUGGGAUCUUCACUGAUCUAUUAGCUAGGGAGAGAGUAAUGGAUGUAGGCUUCAACCCCCCAAGUCCCAACUACUUGUAAACCGAAUAGGGUAGCAAAUUCACACUUGCUCCCAAGUCUAGAAGAGCUUUCUCCACACAUGUCCCUCUAAUAUUUACUGAAAUGGUGGGGCAUCCUGGAUCUUUAUACUUCACUGGAGAUUUGUACUGGAUGAUAACACUUACUUGUUCAGUUAAGAAGGUUUUCUUGGUCACAUUUAACCCUCUCUUUACAAUGCACAAGUCCUUCAAGAAUUCGGCAUAAGUUGGAACUUGCUUGAUCAUGUCAAGUAAAGGAAUGUUGACCUUCAGUUACCUCAACACUUCAAAAUUUUAUGAUGUAUUCUUGGUUCCCUUCUUACCAUACAAAGCUUGAGGGAAAGGUGGAGGCAUGUGCUUCUUCAUCAUAUCUUCCUUGAUGACUAUCCUUGGUUCUUCAUCCACACUUGAAUCAUGGUCACCUUCAUCUGACUUCUUCUCACCCAUGUUUUUCUCUGAUUCACUUCCUUCACCAUGCUUCAGCUUGGGUGGGGGUUGAACAACCUCCUUACCACUCCUAAGAGUGAUAACUACUUUGACUUCCCUCACCUUUGAAGAUUCUCCCUCUUAAGCUUCUACUUCAUGAAUACCCUUUGGAUUUUGACGAGGUUGAGAAGGAAACUUUCCUUUCUCUUACACAGUAUUGAGGUUGGUGAGCCUUGAGAUGGAAUAUUGAACAUUAUCUAUCUUCUGAGAUAGAUCAUUUUGCAUCACAUCCAUCCUCUUAUUCAAUGUACUCUCCAUUCUAUCAAUUUUCUGAUUCAAUUGAGAGUUGAUUGACUUUUGCUCCCCCACAAAGUCUCCCACAACCUUGCUAAGAUUCACAAUGGCUUGUUCAAGGUUUGAAGCUUGUUGAGGUGCUUGAGCUGGUGGUGUAUACUGAGGUGGCCUUGGCUUCCAUGAGAAAUUUGAAUGGUUCCUCCAAUUAGAAUUGUAGAUGCUUCCAUAAGGAGCAUAGUUGUUAGGCUUGAAUUGGACAACCACAUUUGCUUGAUCACCAAACAUUUCUCUCACUGUUGGAAUGGUUGGGCACUUCUCCACCAAGUGCUCAUAAGACUGACAUAUGGAACAAGGUGUAGCUUGCACUCGUGUCUCGGAAAUGACCUGUACUUCUUGUACUUUCUUCAGUUCUAGCUCUUCCAAUCUCCUUCCCAUAGUUGCAAAUUUUGUUUUCAUGUCCAUGUCUUCACUCAACACAUACAUUCCACCCUUAGCAUUGGAAUGAGACUUCAUCCUCCCCACAUCUCUAGUAUUCGGUUCAUCCCAUCCUCUUGAAACUUCAGAAACAUAGCUCAAGAGUCCAUAGCUUCCUCCGGAUUCUUACUCAUGAAGUCUCCUCCACACAUGGUCUCUAGGAGUUGCUUCAUACAGGAAGACAUACCAUCAUAGAAAUAACUCACUAAGAGCCAUGUAUCAAAGCCAUGGUGAGGAAAAGCGUUGAUAGUUUCCAUGUACCUCUCCCAACACUCAUAGAAUUUCUCAUUCUCCUUAGCUAAGAAGUUUGAAAUUUGCCUUUUCAAGCCAUUGGUCCUAUGAGUAGGGAAGAACUUCUUGAGAAACUCAGCUUGUAAAUCAGUCCACCUUCUGAUACUCCUCGACCUUAAAGAAUUAAGCUAAACCUUGGCCUUAUCCUUUAAGGUGAAAGGGAAUAGCUUGAGUCUCAUCAAGUCAAUUGCAGUUCCUCCUUCUUGGAAUGUAUUGCACACGUCUUCAAACUCCUUGAUGUGAGAAUAGGGGUUCUCACUUUCCAUCCCAUGGAAAGUAGGUAGAAGUGGCACUAUAUGAGGUCGGAUCACUAGCUGCUCAAUGGGAGGCACUAUGAAUGAAGGUGCACUCAUCCGAGGUGGAUGCAUGCGGUCCCUCAUGGAUUUUGAGAUUCUCCUCUUGCUCAUGUUGGCUAUGUUGAUCUUCAGGUGGACAAUCCAUGAUGUUCAAGUAGACUUCAAACUCGGUUUCUUGAGGAGCUUCAAUUUUCACAAGUCUUUCCUCAAUAUCUCUUAUCCAAUGGGGCAUACACAACUCAUGAUUUCUGAAAUAAAAACAAAGAAAACCAAAGGACUACAUUUCUAGGAAAAGAUUUAAGGUUAGAUAAAAACUAAAUGAAAGAUAAAAUAAAAUAAAAACAAAGAAAACGAGUUAGUGAAAGAAAAAUCACUAACUUGUGAUGAAGAUCACAAGUACUCAUAAAAGGUAACAUUUAUGUACUUAGGUACCAUCCCCGACAGCGGUGCCAUUUAAUUCAUGCCCAGCCGGGUGUUUAUCAAAACAUUUAUAAAACCUACAACACCUUAUACUAGGGUAGCAAAGACAAAGCUACUAUAGUAUAGUGGCUCUAGGAUCGUCCACAGGAAUGGGUUUUCUUUGUACACUUAACAUUAAUGAAAGGAGAAACAGUGAUUUCCUUUUUGGAAGUUAGCUUUUAAAUGAAAAUAAGAUUGAUUGGAAGGGUUGAUUUUAAGUUAAGCAAACAUAAACAACUGAAAUUACUAUAAAGAGAAAGUCUCUUGGAGCUAUAGGUUACUAGGAUCAGGUUCCUGUUGCAAAGUGGGAAAUUACAAAUCUUCUCCUCGCAUUGGGGAUAAUAACAUAAAGGAUGGUUAUCUCCCGAACCGGAUUUGUAUUUAGCAAAUAAGUUUUGAUCGAAAGGAUUCUUGAAAAAUGGUAGUUGCUUCCCAUUAAUGGCUUCAAACACUAAAGACCCUCACCUUGAACCACCUUCUAAUGGCUCAUACUUGAUAACUAAUAGACAUCCAUGGAUUUAGCAAUAAGCAUCCAUAGAAUCCUAAAAGCUUACCAAGUAUUGGCCAUUCAAGGUGAUUCUAAGGGAUUAAAGCUGAAACUUGAAAUACAAACCAUUAAUGAUACACAACUACCUUCAUUUUUAGCAAGGAAAACUCCAACCUUUUCAUCUAGGUCCUUUACCUAGCUUCCAUAACUCCAAAAAAUGUGAAAAUUAGCCACUCAUCCUUUGAGAAAUCAUCCUCAGAGGGUGUUUGGCUAGAGAGAAAGUGAAGAGAAAAUGAGAAGAAAAGGCAGAGAAAAACUCGUCUUUACAAAAUCUCUCAUCCUUUGAGAGGUUUUCCAACCCCUAUUUAUAGUUCCUAAACAAACCCUAAUGUCAUUUAUCUAUUACAAAAGGAGUAAAAAGGAAAAAAUUACAAUUCUGGAGAUUUUUCCCAAAGGUCGAUGCGCAUAAAGUGAUUUUUGCACACCCUGCAAAAAUUUGGCACACCUUGCCAAAUUUUGGCACACCUUGCGAAUUUUGGCACACCUUGCAAAUUUGAUGAUUUUGCCUUGCGAAAUGCUCUAUUUCUCUCCAUCUUACUACUAAUAGCUUUGCCAGCCCCUUUCCAAGUUUGGCAAGGGGUUUUGAAGUGCUCCAAGGCUCGGAUUCUUCAUGUGAUUGAUCUUCAACUUGCCUUGCCAUAGCUUGCACAAAACUCUCCCUCAAUCUUGGCCGGUUUCGGUGAUAAAAAAGCUACCAAAAACACUAAAACUUACCAAAAAUUGGUUAGUAACAUUCUCUAGGUCCUUACAUGCCAAUUGGGAUAAAAAGGUCUAACUACUACUCAAAAGUGCUUAGUACAAUUAAGUUUAAGCUUAUAAAAAUGCACUUUUUGAGUAGUAAUCAUAUAGUCUUUUCCUAUUCUUUGAGGGUUGUUCCAAGAUUAAAUAUGCUCAGUUUCAUAAUUGAAAGGACUUUUUCAUAUUGCUAAGAAAAAAACUUGUGAGAUUGAUUUUUCUAUCAAAAUUCUUAUCUCUAAAGUGGAUUCAUUUGAGUGGUGAGCUUAAUUCUAAGUUCUUAUCUUUAAGGUGAUGAAUUUCUUAUCCUUAAAGUGGUGAACUUGUGUUAUUAACUUAUCAUUUUAUUUCCUUAAAACGUUAUCAUUUUGUGUCGAAAAAAGUAGUUACAGGCUCCCUUCAAGUUUCUCAUGUAUCAACCCGUAAUCAACUUGUGGAUAUACUCAACAAACCAUUGCCCAAGUCCUGCUUUACAUUCUUUCAGUCCAAGAUUGGCAUUUUUUUUAUGGAAGCCCCAUCUUGCAAGGGCAUAUUAGGAGAGAACCAAUCUCACCCACAAAUUAAGAGCACUCAAUGGUGAAGUAUUAAGUUUAGGAGUAACAGAUGUAUACCUUGUAUAGCUGUUGUAUCUUUUGGAAAGUCUAAUACAAAAGAUUAAUCUUCAAACUCUAAUAAGAGAAUUUGAAAUUUUGAGUGUGAAAAAAGAAAUCGAAAUAAAUCUCUAAUUAUUUUUCUAGAGUAUUAGCUGUUGUGAGUUUACAAUAAAAAUACGUCAAAAGUUUGAAUGAUAGCCAUGUGGUAAAAAAAUAUGUUCAAUCUUUAGAUUCCAAAUAAGUUUAACUAUAUUGUUGUUGUCAUUGAAGAAUAUAAACAUUUAGAUUCUAUGACCAUUGAUCAACUCAUGAGAUCACUACAAGCUCAUAAAGAGAUUAAAAAUAAAUAACUAAGAAAAAUUACAACUUUUUUAAACAGAUUAAACUUAUACUAAAGAAGAAUGAUGAAAACAUUAGUGAAAGAAGUCAAAACAAUCAUGAAUAUGUCAAAGACAUGGUCAUAGCCAUGGCUAAGACAAUAGAGGAAGAGGUAGGUUUAAUUUAUCAAACAAUUAAAUAACAAGUCAAAAUUCACAUUCCUUAGGAGGACAUGAAAGAUGACACAACUUAAGGCACAAUAAAAGAAGAGGAUAUGAUAAAUUUCAAAUUGAAUGUUAUAAUUAUAAAAAAUAUGGUCAUGAUGCUUAUGAAUAUAGAAAUGCUACAAACAAUAUGAAAAGACACAUCAAAGGAGUUGCCACCUAGGACCAAACUUCCUACUGAUCAAGUCUCAUAUCGAAUAUCACUUUUGAAGUUACUAGAGCUAAGGAGGUAAUUGAAGAAACUAUUGGAUGCACGCAUGAUCCAAUCUUUAAGGGUUUGUUACGAUGCUCCUAUCUUAUUCCAAAUAGAUGUGUGUUAACUAUUGGGCCUUGAACAAAGUAACGAUCAAGAAUAAGUAUCCAAUCUCCUUAGUGGAAGAAUUAAUUAAUAAACUGGCCAAGGCAAAGUUUUUCUCCAAAUUGGACUAGUGGUUAAGAUACUAGCAAGUAAGGAUUGUAGAGGGGGACAAAAAAAAAAAAAAAAGACUACAUGUGUAACCCACUAUGGGCCAUAUGAGUUCCUCAUGAUGCCAUUUAGACUAACUAACGCCUCAAUAACAUUCUACAACCUAAUGAAUGAUUUUCCAUACAAGUUCUUAGAUGCCUUUGUUGUUGUUUACUUUAAUGCAUUGUUGUCUAUAGCAAGACCUUAGAAGAGCAUGUGAAUCACUUGAGAUUACUAUUUCAAAGACUAAGAGCACACGAACUCUACUUGAAGAUGGAGAAGUGUGAGUUCACACAAAGUCAUAUUACCUAUCUAAGACAUAAGAUAGAUGAAGGGUUUAUCAAGAUGGAUGUUCAAACCAUUAAAGAUUGGCAUGCUCUAAGCAAGGUGACACUACCUGACUAUUAUUGAAUGUACAUAAGGGGCUACUUCAAGAUAGUGGCUCCCUUUGCUAACCUUUUAAAGAAGGAUAUUUGGGAUUGGAGUUUUGAAUGCUAGAAAGCUUUUGAGAAGUUGAAAGUAGUGAUUUGAGUUAAGUUGGUGUUGCAAUUACUAGAUUUGGAUCUCCUAUUUGAGACUCAAACAGAUGCAUUAGCUAGGGCCUUAGGGGGGAUCUUGGUGAAGGAAGGGCACCCACUAGCCUUUGAGAGUUGAAAACUUAAUGAGUUAGAACAAAGAUACUCUACUCACGAGAAAGAGAUGACAAUGAUUAUUCAUUGCUUAUAAUAGUGGAAGCAUUAUCUGUUGGGGAGUAUAUUUACUAUAUAUGGUCACAGGCAACAUAGUUAAUACAUUUUUCAAGAUGCAAAUGGAGUUGAGCCAUAAGCAAGCUAGGUGGCAAGAAUUCUUAGCCAACUUCAAGUCUGAAUGGUUGUAUUGACCAAGAAGACAUACUGUAGUUAUAAAUGCCUUAAACCAAAAGGAAUUGACAGAGUAUGUGAUCGCUCUAUCACAUGUAAUCUCAUAUUUUAAUGAAAAUAUCAAACAAGCUACUAAGAUUGAUUCUACUUAUGAGAAGAUGAAACAACAAGUCAAAGAGGGGGCUACUAAAAAAUAUUGGGUAGAAGAUGACCUCUUAGUGGCUAAAAGAGGUAGGCUAUAUGUACCAAGAAGUUGCUUACACAAGGAGUUGCUAAGAGAGACCUAUGAUGUUGAGUAGCAAAGAGAUGACAUCAAUAGUAUUGUCCAACUACUGUUACUAGCUAAAAAUAGGAGAGAACAUCUAGGCUUAUGUUCAAUAUUGUUUGAUAUGUCAAUUGGGUAAGACAAGCAAGAAGAAAGCUAUAAGGUUACUACAACCUCUCCCUAUCCAAAAGAGACCUAUUUGUGGACUUCAUCGGUGGCUUUCCAAAAGUGAACGAAUUCAAGUAUAUCUUCAUGAUAGUAGAUAGACUCUCUAAGUAUGUUGCUUUCAUACUUACACCACAUGCAUGUCCCGUAGAAGAGGUUGUUAGGCUAUUCCUCAACCAUGUGGUCAAGUACUUCAAGUUGCCUAAAGACAUAGUCAGUGAUUUCGAUGCUCAAUUCAUUGGUGAUUCGUGCCAAGAUGGUGUACCUUGAUUUUGGUCCUCUGAUGGGAGUAAUCAACAAAAUUUAUAACCUAUUACACCAUGUACUAGGAUAGCCUUAGCUAGCAUAGCAUAGUAGCUCUAAGAUCGUUCACUGGGAUGGGUUUUCACUUCACAAUCGAUAUUAAUUCAAAGUUGAAUUGGUGUUUCUUCAUUUCAAGGUUAACUUUAAAAGAAAACAUAAAGAUGUUUGAAAAGGUUGGUUUUAAGCUAACAAAAAAUAGUAACUAAUUUUAAUUACAAAGAAAAGUGUUUCUUGGGGUUUCAGAUCACUAGGCUCAGGUUCCUUAUACAAAAAGGGAGUUCAGGUCACUUGAAUCUUUUCCUCACGUUGGGGAUUUAACAUAUAGUUAUUUCCCAAACCAGUAUGGUAUAGAUGCUUCUCCUUAAUGGGUUCAAACACUAAUUCCCUAUCACUGAAUCAUCUUGCAAUGGUUCAUACCUCUCACCUAGUAUUGGCCAUUCAAGGUGAUCUUUAACCUUGGAUUACCCGUCAAAAGCUUGCAAGAGAUAAGUAAUGGAUGUCUCCUUGGAGUCCAAAAGCUUACCAAGUGUUGGCUAUUCUAGAAAAUCCUACCUUUAAACCACCUCCCAAAGGCUCGCAAGAGAUAAACUAGUGUAUCUCAAUGGACGGAGACCACUUGCCUUACCAAGUGUUGGCCCAAGUGAUUUAAAGGCGUUUUAAGUUAACUAAAAACAUAGAAACCAUUAACGGGUCACACUUUCUCUUCAUUAAAAAUUGAAACAACAAAAACUUCCAAUUUUUGCAUUCGGAAACUUACCCGACUUUCUUCACUCCAAGAGACAAAAAGCCUAGGCACUCAUAUUAUGAGGAAACAUCCUCAGAGUUUGAUUUGCUAUAAAUAAAAAUGACGAGAAAACAAAAAUAUGAAGGAAAAACAGAGCAAGUGCUCUGUAAAAUAUAUUUCUUACUAUCGUCGAUUACAUAUCUGAUAUAUGAUAUAUGAUUUACAUUGGUUCAAAGAUAUAUAUAUAUAUAUAUAUAGAAGAUAUUUUCUAAGAAAUAUCCCAAUAAUAUCUUUGACUGAUUACAAAGAGAAAAUAGAAAUUUACAAAAUAUCUUGAAAAAAAUCUAACUUAGUCGGUGGCAAAUAUCUGAGUUUACACAAGUGGAUUUCGCAGCUGCGAAAUGGCCUUUGGGUUGCAAAAUUUUCGCACAACUUGAUGUAGUUGUCUUCAAACGGCCAUAACUUCUUCGUUUCAACUCCGAUUCGCACACCGUUUGAAGCGUUGGACUUCUAACUUCCCAAUAUUCGAAAAGAAAAGAAAUGGAAUCCAGGAAGUACUCGAAAUAUGUCCAACAGUUGUUGUCCUCUUGAAUUUCCUCAUGUUAGAUUUCUCUCAUUUUCCUCCUUGCAUUUUUUAUUGGCUUUGGCAAAGGACUACAAAGCUCCAAAGCUUGAAUUCUCCAUGUAAAUGAGCUUCCAUUUUCUUUGCCAUGGAUUAUAUAGAACCCUCCCUUAUCUUAGAUUGCUUUGGUGAUCAAAAAGCUAUUUGAUUAGAAGUGAUUGCAAGGGUCCUUAACAUGCCAAUUGAGUUAAAAGGUAAUAACUACUACUCAGAAGUUGGAGCUUUCUACAUUAACAAGAAUGGAUUUGGGAACAUCUAAAUAAUAUGUAUAACACUUUUCUCUAGAUCUAUGAAAUGUUUUUGUUUUUUAAAUACCAAAGUUUUCAACUAUGCUUAGAUCUAGAAAGCAUAAGAUAAUGUUACAUGCACCCUAAUAAUCCAAGGCCUAGGAAUAUAGCGAUCUAAGGUUUCCUAACAAAAUAACCCAAUAAGUAAGAAUGAUUUAUAGGAACUAAAAUUUCUUUCAAAAAGAAAAGAAGAUUAUUGGAGUAAAAUAGGUAUACAAGAGAGGAAAAAAUGCAAAAGAAGUAAAAAAAAUACAAAGCAACAUUGGCGCAAAGGAUUACAAGUAAGAAUAAUGCACCAACAAGACAAGGGUAUUUGCUCUCAUUGCUCUUUUAGUAACUAUAAGAUUAAUAAUCUCUUUGGUAGUUUAAAUUAGUUGAAAAUUUUCAAAUGAAUGUGAAAUCCAAUUUUUUGAAUUGACAUUUGGAAGAAGAAGUGUAUGUAGAAUAAACCAUAGUCGGUAUACAUAUAUGGGCAUGAGAAUAAAGUUCCAAAAUUGAAAAUAACCUUGUAUGUAAUAAAACAAACACUAAGAGCAUGGAAUAAUUGAAUUGACCAAUAUUUUCACGAUAAUAAUUUUGCUUGAUACCUUAAUGAACAUGCUCUCUACAUAAAAUUGAAAGAAAAAAGUGAUAUAUUACUUAUUUGUUUGGAUGUGAAUUGUUUGAUCUUUAUUGGAACUAAUCCAAUCAUGUUUAGUGAGUUCAAAAAAGUAAUAGGACAAAAGUUUGAGAUGAUUGGAUUAGUCUCUCUUGGCAUAGACUUGAAGCAGAUUGAAAAGAGUACUUUUUAUUUCUCAAGAAGACCAUGCAAAAUAAUUUUUUAGAAAGUUUAACUUGAAUAUGUGUAAUAUGGUAAACACAAUAAUAUAAUGCAAAGCUAAAUUAUCAAAGACAUGUAGAAGGAGAAAAAGUGGAUUCAACAUAACAUAAAAUCUUAGUUGGAACCAUACACUAUUUGACUCAUACAAGUUCAAACAUUCUCUUUGGAGUUGGAUUUAUCCAUCAUUAUAUGGAAGCACUAAUGAUUAUUUACACUAAGACCUCCUAGUGAAAUUUUCAUUUUUCACUACAUCAAUGACACAUUUGAUUAUGACUAAUAUUAUUCACCUUUAACAAUUUUAGACUUGUUGGAGAUAAUGAUAGUAAUUAAGGUGGAGACUUGGAUGAUACAAAGAGAACCAAUAGCUUUAUAUUCCUCAUGGGAGAGAUACCAUGUUCACUUGGACUUCAAAGAAGCAACCUAUUGUGAAACUUUCAACCUAUGAAGUGGAAUUUCUGAAAAUGUUUACAAAAUCUCAUAAUCAAAUUGUGAAAAUGUUUACAAAGAGUCUCAAGUUUAAUGAUUUUAGAAUGCAUGAGUGAAAAUGUUGACAAAGUUUAAAAUUUUUAGAAAACUAAGGAUGUUAUUUUUACUAACCAAGUUGAAGGGAGGAUGUUAGUUAAACUGGAUUUAGGAAGUUUCUAAAAAUUAGAAUUUGAGUUAGAUUCUAAAAUGCUUGAUUUAGUUUGUAUAUUUGUUAUUACAAGAUUUUAUAUUUUACCAUUAUGAGUAUCUAUUUUUUUUUAGGUGUUAAUACCUAUAAAUAAGAUGUUAUGUAAUAGUUGAACAAGAGUGGUGGAAGACAAUAAAUUUUUUCUUAAUCAUCUCAAUUAUUUAAAUAUCUCCCUUUACACAUGUAAUUACUUGUGUAUUUUUUUUCAACCAUAUUACUGCAACAUAUGUGAAUCUGUUGGUUGGUCUAUGAAAAUUUAUAUCAGUUGUUCAACCUUUUAAAUUUAUAUGUAACGGUAUUUAGAUCACAGGAUCUUUCCCUAAGCCCGCAUUUUUCUAAAUAUAUAAUUAAAAUUGUUGUGUUUGCAAUUUUAACGAAAUCUAGCGUUGGAUACUUAACUACAUCCCACAAAACGACAAAAAAAAUGGUGGCGAUUUCAUGGAGGCUAACCAUUCACUUGCCUUUAGCCAAGUCGUGUUUCAACAGUAAAGUAAUUAUCUCAAUCAAAACACAAAAUUUAGUUUUCUAAACAAUUAUUGUUCUUGGAAAACAUGCAAGGAACUUAAGCAACUUAAGUGCCAACAUCUGCUCUCUCUCUCUCCAGCAUGCAAUCGUAAGUGGUAGGCACCUCUUUUAUGCUUUAAAUUAAUUGAAUACUUGAUCUUAUUCCGUCAUUCUUUUGGGUCUAACCCAAAAAUACAUUUACCAUGCCUUCUUUUCAUGUCCUCAACUUACUCAAAAGCUCAUAAGUCCCAUUGGAUAUGAUGUACUAAGUUUCAGAUUUUUGAAGUAAAAUUAUCAACAUUGUCUAGCAUAUAUAGUAAUAGGUUAUACUCUUUUCAACAAUUUAAAUUGUUUUUGUUAAUAGAUUAUAUGGAUGUUUUAACACUCAAAGAAAUUGAAAUGAAGCCAAAUAUGCAAAAAAAAAAAAAAAAAAAUGGUUGUGACCAAUAGUUAUAUUUAUUCUCUUUAAUUUCUAUUAAUACUCAAAUUUUUAGGGAUAGAGCAUCAACAAUCCUUGUGAUGAGUUAAUAAUGUUGAGAAAAGUCAAUGACUACACAAUGUAGAUUAAAACCAAAUAUGUCAUCAAAGAAGACAUCAAUAAUAACCCCACACAAUGAUAUGUUGUAUAAUUCAUUACUUGUAUCAAACACAAAUUUCCUUCAAUGUGUGUAUAUGAAUAAAAGAGACUUCUUAGUUUAUAUUUGACAUACAUGCUAUAUAGGCCAUGCUAAUAGCAAUUGAUAACAAGAAUCUCAACACUGAAGUCCAUGUAGAAUCAGGUGUGCACCAUAUUGGGGUUACAUAGUUAGGAUAUUGAAAGAAGCAUGAGUAUAGGAUGGUGAAAGUUCAAAUGAGAAGUGUUAUAAGAUCAUUGCCAAAGCUAUUUUUGCCUCCAUCAUUGCAAAAUUUUGUCCAAUGCAUACCCGAGGACCCCAACCAAAUGGGAAAAAUGAAACUUGGUUUUUUGUUACCUUUAAAACUCCUUCUACAAACCUCUUUGGAUUAAACUCCUUUGCAUCAUCCCCCCAAAUUUCAUGAUCAUGGUGAACUAGGAUGGUGGGCAACACGACCUGCAAUCCAGUUGGAAAACACAUGUCUCCCACUUGAGUGUCCUUAUAAACAACUCUAGGAAGCAUUGCUAUUGGUGGGUAUAACCUAAGAACCUCAUGAAAAAUCAUGGUGACCUGUGGUAGAGAAACUUUAGAAGUUGUUGCAAGAGAAUUCUUACUAAAAUACAUUCUAAAUCAUUAUGAAGGACACUGAAGAAGAAAGCAAUUUCUUAAAAUAGUGAUGCAGAAGAGAAAAUGUUCUAAAUCAUGCAUGACAAAAUAUCAAGUAUGCAAAGGACAUUGCAUAUCCCAUGGAUAUAAUAACUUAAGAACCUCAUGAAAAAUCAUCAUAAUCUAGCAGAGAAAUUUGAAAUCAUGGCAUGAGAACCCGUUCCUAAGCUACUAAGUGAAAGCAAAUGUUUAGUAUAAGAUAUAAAAACUUAAGAGAAAUGUGUUUUCAAUUUUACUUCAAUUAUGGGGAAAAAAACCAGAGUACUAUACGAUUUUAGUGAGAAUCACUAAACUGAAGAUUGGACUAAGUACUCACAAUUUUUAGGUGAUUUAAUCCAUCAGCUUCCCAUUUUUUAUUCCCAAAAACCUGUAAAACCUCUUCUCUUGCACGAGCUUGCUAGUUUGGAUGCUCGCUUAGCAGGACCAUUGUCCAUACAAGCAAAACUGAGGUUGUCUUUUGGCCAGCAAGAUAGAAUAGUUUACACUCUUCAAUGACAUCCUUGACACUGAUUCUAAUCUUCUUGUUAUUUUGAUGUUCUUGAAUUUCUCUAAAAUUGGAUUCCAUUAGCAUACCUAAUAAGUCACUAUUAGUAGUUUCGCCAACCUUCAUUGCCUUCUCUCUUUUGUUAACGAUACCCCUCAACAAUGCAUAUACUUCUUUGCUUAUUUGCUUCAUCUUCCUGUUCGUCUUUGUGGGUAAAAACCUGUGCGCAUGUUAGUAAUUCUAGUAAAUAAAACAUCACAUGAAACACACAGACAUUAAUUCUUAUUUUCAUCCAUGCCUUCUACUUCUCCAUUAAUUUUUUGAAGCUUGUAUAAGGCUUCAAAGGUAGAAACUAUCAAGACAAUAACUAAUAGUUUCAUCUACACAUGUGUUGCAGUGGUAUCUCAUCAUCUUGAUACAAUAUCCUGUGAACAUAAGAUUGAGGAUACUAAACAUCAAUUAGUGAAACAUACUACUUUCUAAGUGUUAUACAAAAGAAGUAAUUGACUAAAAGGGGAUGAAAUGAUCUCAAAGUUGUAAAUCUAACAUCUCUUAUGCUUGACCUUGAAAAGUAAUCCAUUUUGAACAUAAAUUCCCUUCGAACAUAAAUUCCCUUCAACCUUGUUAACCAAACACACACUUGAGCAUUGUGAAACUUUCAACCUAUGAAGCGAAAUUUGUGUUGGCAUCAUUUGUAGGUCAUGAAAUUUGUUCAAGAAACUUAAUUUACCACACAAGAGACUGAUAAAGAUCUAUAUGGAUAUAAAAUCAACAAUUACCUUAUGAGAAAAAUCUAGUUCUCCAUGAUGGUGUUGAGUUUUGAAUUUUGCCUUAGUAUCUGCUGGAAUUUGAAUUUUGAAGUUAAAUUUUACAGCUGGAGUCUUGCACAAAAUCUGCAACAUCCAAAUAUUUUCUUGUUUUUAUUUGGUCAAGAUUUGGUUUCUAUUUUAUAGGAAGUAGUUGUUCAUCAUCUAGUAGCUUGAUUUUAUGCUAUUCUAAUGUUAUUUCAGUUACAAGCUCAUGUAUAAAUUCAGCACUCUUCAUCAAUAAAAUGUGUGUUCCAACAGUCUAAAAAUAUAUAUUCUGCAUAAGUGUUUUAAUUUAAGAUCAACAGAUGGAAGCCAACAAUGCAUUCCCUUACAAUUCAAAGUAUAUUCAAUUGAGCACCUUUCCUAUGAUUCAAAGGUUGCAUGCCCCCUCAACAAUUGAACCCAACAAGAGCACUCAAGUUGUGCAUGUCUGUAACAUCUUAAUUGCACUUUUCCCUACCACUAUAGUAGCAUAUCCCUUGGGUCACUCACCAUGCACUGUCACUCCCCAAAACCCACUCCAAGGGCAUGACGAUCUUUUCACGCCUCAACCCCAAGGGGUCAAAGUGGAAAUGACACAAACAUUCAUGUUGUAAUUGAAAAUUUACCAAUUACCAAAUUCCUAUUCAAGGUAGUAGGAUAAAAUUCUAAAAUCUCCAAGUAUCAACUUUAAAAAAAACUAAUACAUCAACCAAUGUGUUAUUGUCCAAAUAACUUCAAACUCAAAAUAAUUCAAACUAGAAUUAAGUUUUAACAUUUAAACAAUGUCCAAAAUAAAGAGAGUUUAAACAAAUAUCCUAAUAAAUCAAAAUUUCCUUCCUAACGGUCACUCCUCGCCCGAAUUGAGGUUGAUUGAAAGAUUAUCAACAAAGGGGGGUGAGCUCAAAGCCCAAUAAGGAACAUUAAUACAAUUUCAUGGAUCAAACAUUUUCAAUUAUGCUUGCAAAUAGAAGAUAUAACAUAUACUUAUUUUCACAAAAACUUUUGAGUUCAAAAUGCUAAUACAUUCAAACUUUUCAACAAAACUUUCUCAUAUCCAUUUCAAAACAAUUUCUCAUCAAACCAAAUCGAAUACAUUCAAAAUAUCUUUACUCCGGUUAUCAUAUGUCAAAUGGUACCCAAUUAGGAGGGACUUCACAAUUGAGUAACUAGUUUCAAAUUUGUUCCAUUUAAGGUGAACAAACCCAAAUGUCAACAAUCAUAACCCAUUGACUAAGGCCAUAAAGUCAACUAUUAUAACCGGUUGACUCGAGCCAUAAGGUCAAUUAUUAUAACCCGUUGACUAAGAUCAUAUAAUAUCAACUAUUAUAACCCGUUGACUAGGUAGGCCCGAAAAUGUCAACUAUUAUAACCCGUUGACUAGGGCCAUAUAAUCUAGAGUCAAAUACUUUAUUUCAUUAAUUCAAACUUAUAAAACAAAACAUCGUAUCUCCUCAAUUUUUCAUUUUUCAUAAACAAAGAAAAUACUCAAAUAUACUUUCCAUACAAAACAUAUAUUUGAUCCAUGCUUAAAUAUAAAAAUAAUAUUUUUACACAUUUCAAAAUACAAUAUAAAAAGAAAAUUAUUUUCUUUUACAAAAAUCUUGAAGUAUUUAACUUUGAAGGAAUUCCUCCUCACUCAACAUAAUAUCAUACACAAUAUUGAUUAUUGAUUAUUUAUCUAAAUGUAUAAAUUUGACAAUCCUAAAAAUAUUUUAUUUAGUAUUAGGGAUCCUAAUUAAUUUCUUAUGUUAAUAUUAUUUGCCAUCCAAUAUUAUUUUCAACUUCCUAAACAAUAAUUUAUUUCUCUUUUCUAACUUAUCUAAAUUAAAUAUUUUAAGAAUAUUUAUUUGCAUUAAACUAUUAUUACUAUUAUUUAAAUCUCCUAUUGAAACUUAACAAAUACCCCAUGCUAUUCUAUUUUUGUUCCCAACAACUCCACACCAACCUCAUUCAUUAUUAUUAUUAUUAUUAAUUUCAAUACCCAUCAACACCUUAAUCUAUUUCUCUUCCAAGCCAUCAACAUCCUUUUCUUUCUCAUUGUUUACCAAAAUACUAUUUACUUCCUUUCCUAGGUCAACGUGUUGGCCAUUUCUUUGUUUUUUUUUUUCUUUCAACAUGCCAAAUCCUUCCUACUUACACACAUCUUUCAUCAAAUUUUUUUUCUCCUCUCUAAAGUCAAAACUUUUAACCUCCAUACUCACAAAUUUUAUAUAAUUUUCACAUCCAAAACUAUAUAUAUAUAUAUAUAUAUAUAUAUAUAUAUAUAUAUAUAUAUAUUUGUCUAGAUCUAUUCGUUUGAGUAAUCAAAAUUUGUCGAUCUCCAUUAAUAAAUCAAACCAUGUUCAUAAAUUUUUAACAUUUUUUUAUCUAGAAAUUAAUUAAACGAACUCUAAUCAAAAUCGAGAUAUUCCAAAUAAUAUCUAAAGUGUUCAAAACUAAUUAAUGAAUAUAAAAUAUUAAUUUAAAGAUUAAAAAUCUUACUUGAAAAAUUGAUCUUCAAACCCUGAACCUCCAAAUCUUCAAUUGUAUGCUCUCUAAUCUUUAUGAUCUCUGUGUAAAAGGGUUUUCUGAAUAGAGAGGAUGGGAAAAAUCUAAUUUUUACCUAAGGGUUUUAAAUACCAAAAGACUUUUUUACCCUUAUUAAAUUACUUAAUUAAUUAUUAAUUUCUAAAUUAUGAUUUUACCCCUAAAUUGGGUUUGGGGCAUUACAUGCACACUAUUCCCACUCUUGCAAAGGUUGAGCUCUUGAGAAAACUUAUUACAAUUAUUUGGAUAGGAUUUUUUAGGUAGUUUCCUAUUUCUUUCUAUAUAUUUGCCUUAUUUUUGUAGGUUUCCUACAAUUAUAUAUAUAUAGGAUAUUUUCUCUUCUUUUCUCUAUGAACGAAUAUAUGACUAGGUAAAAUUAAGCUAUAGGUUUCUUAAUGGUAUCAAAGCCAACUUCUUAUUACUAGGAAUAAUGGUUAAAAUAGCAAUGAUAGGUGCUUCCAAUUAUGAUAACAACUUGAAGGAGGCAGAAAGAAAACCUAUCCCUCGUUAGAAUUUUGUGACCAAUGGUCAUGGCACUCUUCUUAGCUAAUUACCUCUCACAAAUUAACUUAAUGGAGAAAAUUAUCUUUAAUGGUCUCAAUUUGUCAAACCUUUCAUUUGUGGGCAUGGACAAAUUGAAUAUUUUAUUAGAGCAACAUCAAUACCACAAGGAACAAUUCUCAUCGAGACAUGGGAAGUAGAGAAGGCCAUGAUUAUGUCAUGGCCGAUCAACUCAAUGGAACUCAAGAUUAGGAAGACAAACAUGUUCAUGCCCAUAACUAGAGAGAUUUAAGAGGUUACAAAGGAAAACUAUUACAACUUGAUAACUUGCCUAGGUCCACAAGAUAGUCAUACAAAUAAAAUACCAACCAAGGUAAUAUGAAUGUAAUUCGGUACUAUAAUACACUCAAACCCCUUUGGUAAGAACUUAAUUUGUUCUAUGAUUAUGAAUAACAUUGUGCACAAGAUAGUGAAAUGUUCUAAAAGAUGAUUGAGAAAGAUCGAGAAUUUGCAUUCCUAGUGGGGUUUAAAUAAUAAAUUAGAUGAGGUUUAAAGUAGAAUUCUUAGUUGUGAAUAAUUCUAGCAAAAUCUGAUACCUCUUUACUUAACACUACCCUAGCUAUAAAAAACAGUAAGCUUCACAUUUCGACCAAUGAUCCAAAAUUCAAAAGGAUCCACAGAAGGCCCUAGUGUGACCAUCAUCUCCUCUAAAUGCUUCUAGAAUUCAAAAUAUCCAUUGACAAGUGAUUAACCAUCAUCUUUUCCAAAUGCAUCCUUAGAUGUCAUAUACCCAACGGUGUUCAAAUUCGUAAGAUAUGACUAAGUCUAGAUAUUAAGAAGAAGGUAUAUCAUCCUCUACCAUUAGAAAGAAGAAGAUAUAUUAUCCUCUACUAGUGAAAGCACAUAUGCCAUCAUCUCAACAAAUCAAGCAUGCGUGAAAAUCUGUCUUCUUAGUCUUUUAAUUGCGGUCAAGAAAAUAUUAAGGAAGUACUUAAUUUGAAGCAUCUCUUCAUCAUCUAUAGUGGUUGUAGUUGCCAAUCCAAUAAUUGUACUCCUUUGAAAGUGGUACAAAUUAUUCUUCCUUAUUCCUUGCAUCACCACAAGUUUACUUGGCAUAACUUUCAAAAUCCCAUCUUUUAUAGUGACAAUAUUGAACCCUAUGGGUUCUAAUUCUCCCAUUGAGAUGAGACACUUAUUCAUACUAGGAACAUACCAAACAUCAUUCAAAAUUUUAGUUAAUUCAUCAUGAGUCUUCAAAUGGAUGGUAUCUAUUAUAGUUAUCUCACAAGCAUUAUCAUUCCCCAUGUAAACAACUCUAUCUUAUAGUUCUUCAAAGCAAUAAAACCACUCCUUUUACAGGAAUGCAUGUGAAGGUGGACCCAAUAUCCAAAAUCCAUUCAUCUAAGUUAUAAAACAAGUAUAAGCAAACCAAAGCAAAGUUUAACCCAUCUUCUCCAAACUUAGCCACACAAGCAUCAAAUACUAUCUCUUCUUUAUUCUUCUUCUGUAGCUUAGGACAAUCAUUAUUCUGACACUACCAAAAUUAAGCAUGGUUGAUCCAUUUAUAUUUACUUUUGCGAUAGAUUUAAGCUGACGCAAAUUUCUAACACACCUAUUCCACUGCAAAUUGAAUUAUCCGUCGCUUAUAUGUAACUAUUUACCAAUGGUAAUUGCAAUAACAAAUACCUGUUAGCAAAAAUAUUAUUGCAAGGGAUUUAAACUAUUGCAAAUGUUCAACUAAUAUACUUUGUCACAAAAGCAAUUUACCUGUUUUUUUUUUUUUUUAUUUUAAAAAAAGUGAAAUUUCAUAAAUAAUUUUUUUAAUGAAAAUUACUACUCACUAAAAUAGUUUUAUUAUAGUGGAUAAUAAUACCACACAUAAUUUGUUCCAAAAAUAAUUGUUGUCUUAUGAAUAUAAAAUCUUUUCACCAUAGUUGUAUGAUAAAUACGAUCUAGCUAGUGACAAAACAAUUUUAUGAUUAUUUUUUUAGGUUCAUACAAUAUUUACAUUUUUUUUAAUCAUAAUAGUUUUAACAUUUUAAUAUUUUUUAACUACUUUUUAUUGUCCAUUUUAGAAAGAAAUAAAUUAAAAAUUAUUGAUAUAUAUAUAUAUAUAUAUAUAUGUUUGUAUGUAUGUGUGUAUGUAUGUAUGUAUGCAUGUAUGUAUAUAUGUAUGAUAUAAUUUAUGAUAUCGAAUAAUAAUAUUUAAAAUUUUAAAAUACAUUUUAUAGAGAUUUAUCUAAUUUGAAUGUAUUCAAUAACAUAAAAAAAAAAUGAUAGUACAUGUAUAAGUAUUUUUAUUUUAAAAUGUUGAUAAUUUUAUUUAUAAAUUUAAAUUUAUUCUAUAUUUAAUUAUUAUACAAAAUACACAAGAAUCAUAAUUAAUUAAUUUAUAAUAAUUUAUAUAUAUAUAUAUUAAUUCAUGCAUGUAUAAUUUAUAUAUGAUAUGUAUUUAUAUAUAGAUAAUAUUUAUAACAUAAAUGCAUAAGGAUACAAUAUUUACAUUUAUGAAUCUUAUAUGCAUUCUUUAUAUUGCACAUAACAAAGUUGAUUUGGUGGCACAGUUGCUUCCUUUCAAACUUGAGGUCAAGAGUUCAGUCUCGAGAAACAGCAUCCAAGCCAAUAUCCAAAACUAGCAAGGAGAGGAGUGUUCAAGAUGCUCCAUGUGAAUGUAAUGAAAUCGAAAUUUCAUGACAACCUAAAAUCUUUUAUUAUUUACAUUUCUCAACCAACUUAAUCCAUCGGUAAUAGUGAUGGUAAAAAUCUAUUGGAUAGUUUUUCACUAAAUAUUUUUUAUUGGCAGUGGAAAAUUCCCAUCGAUAGACUUUUUGCCUACACUCCUUUCCUUGACUACCAUGCAACGGGAUUAUCGGUUGGUAAAUGUUUAUUUAGACCAUGUAUAUCAGUUGAGAAAAGUCAAAUUUCUUGUAGUGUGAUGACCCUUGUCAUGAAAAAGGACACAUUCAUCUUUUGCAAGUAUACAUUUAAAUUAAGAACUGUCUCAUUUUCUAGGUUUUCAACUUUGAGAUUAGGCAUUAACUGUUAAAGCUUCCAAUGAUAUAUCUCUAUGAUUGUUUUGGUCCUUCUUCCUUUAUUCAGAGCUUAGCAAAGUGGAACGCACAACAUCAAAAGUAAUCUUAUCCUUACCAUAAAGUAAAGUGAUGGUAAGAUUUUCUUACACAUCAAGAAGCAAAUUCAAUAACAAUAAGGCCUUAUUCUCAUCUUCAAUGAUCUAAUCUAAAUUCAAAAAAUUUGCUUUGAUUCUAUCAAAUUCAUGCAUAUGAUCAUUCAUAGACAUAUCUAGUUGAUACUAGAAGCAAAUAAGUUUUUUCUUCAAAUAUAGUUGAUUUUCUAGACCUUUUUUCAUUUACUUGUCCUCCAAUGUCUUCCAUAAAUGUUUUUGUGGAUAUCUCUUUCAUAAUGGAAUAAUUUUAAGCAUUAACAAGAAAUAAGUGGAUGGAACUAUAAAAUUGACAAUUGAUCCCUUACUCAUUCUUUGUCAUUCAUGUUUUCAGGUUUUUCUUCCAAAACAAUAUCCAAUUCUUAUUGACAUAUCUAAUUAAUGCCUCUUACUACCACAUUCCAAAAGUACUAGUCCUAUCAAAUUUCACAUUAGUAACCAGAGUUUUAACUAACGAAGUUUUUACCUUUUCUUUUAACUAGUGAAAUAACAAAUAACCUUGAACUAUCUUUGAAACCAACCUUGGAUAGAACUAAGGCUCCUAUACCAUUUUUUUUUUGUGCUUUAACCUAAUCCCACAAGACUUCCAAAAGUACCAAAUAAAAUACAAACUAAACUAGUCCAUAAUAUAAAGAUAAAUAGCAAGAGAAAUAAAAAUAAAAGAGGGUACACAAUAUUUAUGAGGUUUAGUAAGGAUGUCUUACCUAUAUCAUCGGACAAUGAUGAUCAAUCCACUAAUCUUCAAAUCAAAAUUACAAAAUCAAGUUGGGAAAGCUUAUCUCACAAAGUGGAUGCAACUACAAAGAUUGACUGAAGCUACUCUAACAACUUUGCUAAAGUCAUUCUCACACUACUAUAAUGAAAGGACUUAGACUCAUUUAUAGAACCUAAAUAAGUCCCCAAGCCUUGACAAAACUAAUUCAUAAUUCCUAUGGGACAAGGACUCCUAACAUAUAACAAAUUAUGAAAUCAUAAUCCUUAUAGGACAAGGAUCCCUAAAAUAUAUUAAACUCUUAAUUGAGCUAAAAGCCAAUACCUAAUAUAGAACCCACACCAUAUUUGCCAUAACUCUACUAAGUAGCUGGUUGUUAAGCAGAAUUAUCACUUUCAAAAGUUAAAUAAGCAUUUCUUUUUCCUUCCCUUUUCAUUUUUCUUAUCAUCCAAACAACAACAAUAAAAAAUUUAGUGUAACUUUUUGCUUUGAUACUUGUUCUCUCAACUUGCUUGCUUGUGAAUGACCUCCAUAAUCAAAUUAAAUGGAGAAAUAAUGUGGAGUUCCAAGAUAUAGGUAGAAAAGAGUGGACAAAACCCUAGAUCUACAAAAUAGCUAGCAAUUUUGUCUCUAGAUCUCUCAUUGUUGUGGUAAUGGCCAUUGAAGAUGUCAUCACUGAGAAGAUCACAAAGUGAAGAAGGCAUGAUUGAGGGUUGGUAGAGUAGAGAGUUAAGGUAGAAAAUAGCAAAGAUAGGAUUUUGACGUUUUUAGAAUUUGUACAUAAAAAAUAAAUACAAUCCAAAAAUCACUUUGAGAACAUGAUUUUACCUAACCAUGCCAAACACAUUUUUUGUUAUGUGGAAGUGAUAGAAGCGAGAUCAUGCUAGGGUUUUAGAGCCAAAGAGGAUCGGUUGGCAAUGGUGGUGUAGACCCUCCAUUUUGUCCCCCUAGCACACGCCCUAUUAGGUGAUCUUUUAGUAUGCUAUAGUAGUUCCUGGGUAGCCCACGUUACUCGUACAACUAACCUUUUUGAGUCACCUCGAAGACUCUGGUCAAGGGAUUUAUCCGACCCCUUAUUGUGGCCUAGGAUUUUCCUUUCUUUUUUGGACAACUCAUUUAGAUACACUUUUAGGAUAACAUAUCUAGGCACACUCGACCCAUUUAGAUGCACUUGGCCCACUUAGGCUCACUUAGGCCCACCUAAGCUCACUUGGGCCCAUUUUGGCGCGCCUUGAUCCACUUAGGUUUACCUAGUCUUGCUUAGGCCACCUUUUAGAUAUGGUUGCAUGGCUUGUAUGACUAGCAUGUGCUUGAUUUUAUUUUUUUUAUUAGUUUUAUUCAUUUACUUCUUCAUUAUUUAGAAAAUUGCAUGAGAAUUGAGAUUUUAGUUUUUCCUAAUUGCUUGAAUUGAUAUUUCAUAUAUAUUUAUAUAUUUAAUUUAUUCAUUUACUUAUUUUUGUAGGAAAUUGCUUGAGCUUCAUGAUUUUAAUUCUUUUAAUGCGAUUGAUAUUUUAGUUUUAAUUACAUAAUUUUAAUUUUUGAUUUUCAAUUACAAGAUUUUUUUUUUAUCCUACUUUUUAAGUUUUUCAAAUUUUACUAUUUUAUUAUUAAUAUAUGGUUACUAACUUCUAUUUUCUUUUGUUUUAUAGAGAGGAUGUCACUUUGAAAGGUGAACUUACCAUUUUGAAAAGGAAAAGAACCCUAUGAGCUUCACUUUUAAAGAACAUGAUUCCAUACAUUGUUUGAGGAUUAAUUAAGUGGGCAGGUUGCAUAAUUCUCUGUAGGCACAUAGACCUAGACAUUCUUUUUAUUCUUAUUAUUUCCUUGAUUUUCUACUCUUCCAUAUAUUCUCUGCAGGCUGCCAUGUAAAAAUGGAAACAUGUUGCAUAUAAGAGCAAGGUCAACACACAGCCAAAGGAAAGGGUGGCAUACCUACCAUACAGUAGGCAUUCAGAAUCACAAUUGGUGGAAUUUUUAGAAGGAUGAUCAACUUGCCGUUCUGAAUAUGGCAGAACGCUAAAGUGAAAUAAGGAAUGAGAUAUUCGGUUAAGGAAAAUUGAAGGAUUUUGGAAGGCUGGUCAAAGGGACAUUCAGGAUGUUUUUGGAAGGAAGACUCUUCAAGCAAGAUCCAGCAGCACACAAUAAUCAAGAGUGGGGUUUUAUCUUUGGGAAAAGCACACAGCACACGCUGGAUGGGGGAUUUUUCUCCAGCAGACACAAUUGAAGAUUUUCUUGAAGGUAGUAUAGACACACUACCAUUGGGGAUUUUUCUGGUGACACACAUCAUAGAGGCUUUUCCAACAGGCAUGCACCAUAAGUUUGCAAAAUCGACCAUGCUGCCAGAUUUUUAGAGCAGCAACUGCACUGCCAGAUUUUUAGAGCACGCACAUGGGGUUAAAAAAAAAAUAAAAAAUUUCCCCACACAGACUAACCACCAAGAAUUCAUCUUCAUUGGGACACACUUUCCACAGAAAAAUAAAUAGAACCAGUUGCCAUCCACUUUGGAGAGGAAAGCGGCCUACACCUUUGGACUUCGAAACAGCCCCCAUGCAUUAUUGAAAAAGGUAAGUUAAAGCUUUUUUAUUUAAUUUUUUGAUGCGUGAAUAUUAAUUUCGUAAUGGUUUUAGAAUUUUAGUUUUUUUUUAUUUAAUUAAUUCCAUGUCGAUAUUUUCAUCUAUGUGCUUUAGAUUUUUUUAUUUUAAUUAAUUCCAUGUUGAUAUGUUGGUGUUUUCAUAUUUUUAAGUUUAGUUUUUUUCAAUUCGUCCCAUUUAGUUCAAAAGUUUUUAGGUUUUGUUUUGUUUUUUUUUUUUUUUAAUUUAUUAGGUUAUUUGUUUUAUAAGAAAACAUGUGUGAACUUUAAGAUUUCAAUUAGGUAUGUGAAAUGUGGCAGAUUAUUAGAUAUGUUAGCGGCUUGAAUUUAAAAAUAAAAGAGUUAAUAAGUGAAUGUGAAUUGUUGUGAGAUGUUAACUUAGUGGUUUGACUAAAGAAAGAAAAAUCAAUGAAUUGAAAUAACACAUGUUGCCAUGGAUUGAUUGGUGUUGGUGGCCUAGUAAAAUAUAAAAACCAAUGAACUGAAAUAGUGCAUGCCAACCUUGGAUUUAUUUGUGUUAGUGGUAUUUGUUGAGUGAAUAAAAAAUAAAAAUUUGUUUAGGAAUGUUUGGUUAAUUAAUUUAGUGAAUCUCAUGUUUGUGUUUGUGUGUUUCCGAAUUCUUUAAUUUUGAUUUUAAUCCAUUAAUAUUCAAUUUUGUAGUUGAUUAUAAUUUUAGUUAGCUAAUUGAGUUAAUAAAAUGUUAUUAUUUUCCUGUUUUAAGUUUAGUAAUUUUAAUUUUGAUCUAUUAAUAUUUAGUUUGAGUGUAUUAGAGUUUUAGUCAAUUAAUUUAGUUAGUCACAUGUUAUUAUUUUCAUGUUUUAAGUAUGGUAAUUUUGGUUUUGAUCUAUUAAUAUUUAGUGUGAGCUUUUUGUAAUUUUAGCUAAUCAAUCUAGUUAAUUACAUAUUAUUGUUUUCAUAUUUUCAAGUUUGUUAAACUUUGGUUUUUGAUUCAUCAUAUUUUGUUUGAGUGUUAAUUUACUUUAAUUGAUCCUAUGUUAUUAUCUCCAGAUGUUAAGUUUGUUGGUUUUAAUCCUUGAUUGGUUUUUAUCUUAGUUCAUGCACUUCUUGAAUUCUAGAUGUUAGUCUUGGUUAAUAUUUUUGUUAGUUUGUUUAAUUUGGAAGUCAUUAAUUUGUUGCCUUAGUGAUUGAUAGUCAAAUCCUUUUUUUGAAGGCCAUUGGAAACCCAUGAAGUGUGGACCAGUAUUUUUCACGUUUGUCCCCACUCAAACAACGAGACUUGCUUUUAUUUGUGAAAAAUUAAUUUUUGGAAAAGUCGAAGUCGCCAAUUAUUUUAUUUUUAUUUUAAAGUGAAAAUAAAACAAGAAAGAAAACCCUAAAAGGUGACUUCAUAAUUUUUGGAAAAAGUGUCUUUGAAAAACCCGAGUCUAUGUCUGGGGAUCAGGUUACCUAUUGGGAAAGUACCUCUAAAAGGUAGCACCCCUCUAAGCCCUAUAAAGGUCUCUACUAACUACUUUGAGGGAAAUAUGACAAUUAACUGGUUAAUCAUGGAUACUUAAGUAGGCUAGGUGAUUUUGAAAAAUAGCAUGCUUAAUAGGAAAAACAAUCACAAUCAUAAGAAGAUUUAGGUUGUGUACCUGGACUGCUUCUUAAGCGCUAUCACAAGACAUCAAAGUUAGUUCAAAUAGUAUAUCAUCCAACACAUGCGUUUUAUUAGAAAUAAUCGAACAAUGAAACAUGUAUAUCAAAACACUAAAGCACUAUCAAACAUAGGCAUAAUUCACAAUGACAAGCAUAUUCACAGAAUCUAGAAAGUGGGUGAUAGGGGGGACAUACUUGGAUAGCAUAGAUAACUCAUUAUACGCUUCCUCAUGACAUAAGGGGUUCAAUAAUAAAUAAUAAAAUAAGAAAUCCUAGCAUGCUUAAUAUCUAAUUAGCAUAACCAAAAUUAUCAUAGUAUACAAAAGCAUCAAUUAUCACUUACAUCUUGAAUAUAAUUCCUAAAAAAUAAAUAGACAUGAUUACAACAAAUAGCAAGAGUGGUAGCAAAAAUAAGUUUUGAAAAGAUUUUCUUAUGUAGGGGUUUCACCAAUUCCCCAAUCGAUAUACACGAAUUUAGCCUAAAAUUAUCCCAUUCAUUUGGGACCACAAGCUUUGAUUUGUGUUUUGUUCAAAACAUAAAUUUUUAUUGAAAACCGAGAAGGAUGCAGACCGAUCAAGAUAUGGUUGCAUAUUUUAUUUUUAUUUUUUAAAAAGAGAUUUUGAUUCGAUAGACUCAAAAUGAAUUUUCUUUUUGAAUAGAUUUUUUAAAAGGGAUUUUUUGAGAAAAAGUGUUUUGUUUUAAAAUAAAAGAAAUUAAUUUUUAAAAUAACAAAACAUAGAAAACAAAAUACCAACCCAAACAAAAGGAAAUGAAAUCACAAAAUAAAGAUUUAGACAAUCAUGCCAAUUAAAAUGGUGAGAGUAAGGCCAACCUUCAUGAGUUUCUAGUAGCCUUCAAAAAAAGAAUUUGACUAAUAAUCACUAAGGCAACGAACUAAUGACUUCCUAAUCAAACAAACCAAUAAAAAUAUUAUCCAAAACUAACAUCUAGAUUUCAAGAAACACAUAAUAAAAAAAGAACAAUCUAGGAUUAAAGUCAACAAACUUAGCAUAUGGAGAUAAUACUAUAGGGUCAAUUAGGGUGAAUUAACAUUCUAACAAAAUAUGAUAAAUCAAAGACCAAAGUUUAGCAAUCUUGAAAAUAUGAAAACAAUAACAUGCAAUUAACUAGAUUGACUAUCCAAAAUUGCUCAAAACUCGAACUAAAUAUUAAUAGAUCAAAACCAAAAUAUGGCAUACUUAAAAUAUGAAAAAUAAUAACAUGUGAUUGACUAAAUUAAUUAACCGAAACUCUAAAAAUACUAAAACUAAAUAUUGAUGGAUCAAAAUUAAAAUUGUCAUAUUUAAGACAUGAAAAUAAUAACACGUGAUUAAAAUCAAAAUUAACGAAAUCAGAAAAAGCACAAACACAUUCAAACUAAAAAAAAAAAAAUUAAUACUAGAUUAAAUUAGAACUAAAAACAUCAACAUCAUCUAAUAAGAUUGGUUAAACUAUCAAAUAGAAAUUGCAAAUACAUUUAAACUAGAACAAAUAAAUAAAUCAGCAAAUUACAACUAAACUAAAAUUAGAAUUAAAAAUAUGGAAUUCACUUAAGAGGAUUAAUCAAAUAAUUAAAUUAAAAUCAUAAAUGCAUUCAAAUUAUAAAAUAUUAAAAUUAAACUAAAUUGAAAUUAAGCUCUAUCUAAUAAGACUAUUUAAACUAAUGAAUUAAAAUCAACAAAUACAUUUAAGCUAAAAACAUAUUAAAACCAAACCAACUAGGAUUAAAAACACAAACUUUAUUUAACACGAUUAUUUAAACUAAUGAAUUAAGAUCAGUAAAUGCAUUUAAACUAAAAACAAAUUAAGAUCAAACUAACAAGAAUAAAAAAACGCAAACUUUAUUUGACACAAUUAUUUGAACUAAAGAAUUAAUAUCAACAGAUGCAUUUAAACUAAAAACAAAUUAAAAUCAAACAAAUUGGAAUUAAAAACAUAAACUUUAUUCAACAUGAUUAUUUAAACUAAAUAAUUAAGAUCAACAAAUGCAUUUAAACUAAAAACAAUAUAAAAUAAAACUAAUUGGAAUUAAAAACACAAACUUUAUUUGACAUGAUUAUUUAAACUAAAGGAUUAAGAUCAACAAAUGCAUUUAAACUAAAAACAAUAUAAAAUCAAACUAAUUGGAAUUAAAAACACAAACUUUAUUUAAAGAAUUAAGAUCAACAAAUGCAUUUAAACUAAAAAAAAAUUAAAAUAAAACUAAUUGGAAUUAAAAACACAAACUUUUGUUUGACAUGUUUAUUUAAACUAAAGGAUUAAGAUCAACAAAUGCAUUUAAACUAAAAACAAUAUAAAAUCAAACUAAUUGGAAUUAAAAACACAAACUUUAUUUAACAUGAUUAUUUAAACUAAAGAAUUAAGAUCAACAAAUGCAUUUAAACUAAAAAAAAAUUAAAAUCAAACUAAUUGGAAUUAAAAACACAAACUUUAUUUAACAUGAUUAUUUAAACUAAAGAAUUAAGAUCAACAAAUGCAUUUAAACUAAAAACAAAUUAAAAUCAAACUAAUUGGAAUUAAAAACACAAACUUUAUUUAAAUUAUCAUAUAAAUUAAGAUAAACUAGGAUGGAACUUAUGAACUGCAAUCACAAAAAGAAGACAUCUAAUUUAAGAAAAAUAAAAAAAAUUAUACGAAUUGAUAUUCAAAAGAAUUUAUCACAAAAAAAUUGAUUAAACUAACGAACUAAAAUCUAAACUAAAAAAUGCUCUAUCGAAAACGAAAACUAACCUGUGUUGUGUUUGAAAAAAUACUCUCUUGAUGAUUAAAGUGGCAGCCCGAUCUCCUUCUAAAGUCCUUUGCUCUCCUCCAAAAUUCCGUGUGUUCUCUCUAAAAAAGUUCCCUCGCAUGUUCUCUCUAUCUCAAAAAUUCUCUUGUGCGUGUCCUCUCUUUUAAAAAAAUAUCCACAUGUUCUCUCUACCAAAAAAUUCCUCACUCUGGAAUUCCUUCGUGUGUCCUCUCUAAAAAAAUUGCUCUUGUGUGUCGAUCUCCAAAAAAAUCUCCCCUCUCUUCCAUUCCUUCUAUCUUAUUUAUAUAACAGCCCACCCUAUGGAAUAUUUUAUUUCCUUUUUGGAGAUGUACUUCUAACCUUAAAGGAGACCCAACUUUCUAAACUUCUAAUGGCACUUUCUAUUUCAACUGACUUAAUAAAAGAAACAUGCCAACCCAAUGAAUGUUGUCUGAUGGGCCCUUGGUCAUAUUCCCCUUCUCUCUUCCAACCAACAACACCUGUAACUUGUAAAGUUGCAUUGGGGACUAGUUUAUCUGAAAGCUUGGAUGAGAAUGGAGACCGAACUCCUUCUUAGGUAAUGUAGAGCUUCAAAAUUUCUAGAGAAAGAUUUUAUGGAUAACCAAAGUCCAUGAUUUCAUCCAAUAGCUCAUAAAUCAGAACAAAGUUGUUACGAAUAGCAUCUUCAUCGAAAGCCCCACCGAAAUAAGAUUUGAACAAUGCAACAGGCUCAGCAAUAAACUUGAAUGCACAAGUUACAUUGGCAUUGCUACUGACCACAAUCAUAAUGUACACAUUGUUGAUUCUCAUAUAAAAGGAGUAACCUCCAAUCUACCGCAUAGGACAUGUGCUAAGUUCUUUUGUUUGCAUUAUAUGCAUUCGAAAGGCAUUCACCAUGUUUCCCCUAACAUCGUCAUGAUAUAGGUAAUUGAUGAGGACAUCGCCCCGGAGAUUCAAGAAAUAGAUAGCCGAAAUAGCCAUUGACAUCUCCGAUCUAGUGGAUCCGAUGCCAAACAGAUCAAAGAAUGGGGUUCAGAUAUGCGGUGGUUGAGGCCUUGUUUCAACGACGUCGUUUUGAUUGGGUUAGAUCUCAAGCUUUGGAGAUGAUGAACUCAAAUCUCCCAAAUGAGAGUUGCAGUCAAUGCUAUUGAUCUUGUGUUCUAAAUGCAGUGUGGGCAAUAACCCUGACGGAUCUAUAAUAGCAUCUAGGGUUCUGACGCGGGAGAGGUGGAGAAAGGGACGACGACUGUGGUAGGGAUUCACGAUGGGGGGAGAGGAAAGAGUGGUAAGAAUGUUCUUACUGGAGAUAUCGAGGCAAGAGAGAAGAGCUCGAGGGGAAGGAUCGCGGUCAAUGAAGGAGGUGAGGAUAUGGGUACCGUCCUCGACUACAGCGCGGAAGGAGAAGAAGAGAUUAGGUACAGAGGUCAAGUAGUAAAAGUGGAGGCAGAGGAUUGGUCAUGGCGUGAGAUGGAGCUAUGAGGCGAGUCUUCCAUUUCUAUUUUCUCUGCGAGUGUAUAUGGGUCCCCCACCUUAUAGGCUGCUUCUCUUCAACAGUGACUCCCCUCUCCUUGAUCGCUUCAAGUGACAUGCAAAAUUAAAAAAAUAAAAUUGGAAUAAGAAAAUCCUAUGAUUGGAAAUAUAAUAUAAUAAAAUAAAAAAUCAAAUCAUAUGCCAUAAAAAAUCUAAGAUGUCAAUUCAUGGAAUUAAAGAAUGUAUAAAUAAGUGAGUAAAUAAACAAAUAAAUUGACAAGGGUAUAAAAAUAAAUAUUAGACGUAUGCCAUUAGAAAAAAUCAAGAAAUUAAAUUAAUGUAACGGAUCAUAACAAUUUAAAUAUCAAACUCAAACCCUAAAAAAAAUAUAUAUAUAUUCAUUUAAUGCAAUAUAUAGUUAAGCCAAUACUCAUUUUGUCUCGAAAAAAUAAAAUCAAGAACAUGCCUAAAUGAACUAUGCCAAAAGAAGUGUCUAAGUGACCUAUUCUGAAAAAGUGCUUAGGUGGCCUCGGGUGAAUGUGUGAAAGUUGAAAAGUGUCUAGGUGAAUCUAAAUGGGUCAAAGGGAACCUAAAUAGGCCUAAGGUGGUGCCUAAUGGGCCAAGUGUAUCUAAAUAGGCUUAGGGUAAGACUAGGUGGGCCUAACUAAGUCUAACCUAAAGUGCACCUAAGUGAAACUUAAUCUAAACUUGAAAGACAACCAAGAUAGUAAUGUGGAACUGGAUAAACCCCUCAACCAAAGUCUCAAAAGUGGCCCUGAGAAGGUAAGCUACAUGAGUAGGAAUGGCCCAUCAUGUGCUAAAGGGACAAAAUGGAGGGUCUACAAAUAUGCCCCUCUUCGGUAGAGAUCACGAGUGUAGAGAAUGUGAGUUGAAAUAUGAAUAAUGAGUGGAACGAAGUGAACUAUAUUGAAGAACUAAAGAAGGACCAGAGAUUUUGUCUUAGCACAUGACGAGAGUAAGAUUAGAACACGGGGCUGCAACGACAAUGAUGGAACAACUAUAUGUGGGAGGAAUGACAGUAAAGAGGUAAAGGUAUGUGAUGAGUAGCACAAAGAUAGAAAGGGAUAAAAAGAAUGACUAAAGGUCAUGGAUGAGAUAAAUGACUCUGGGUUGUGAGCUUAGGGCUCUAAAUGGAAAAAAAUGACUUUGGGUUGUGAGCUCAAGUCUCUAAAUGGAAAACAAAUGACUUUGGGUUGUGAGCUUAGGGCUCUAAAUGAAAAUAAUGAAUAUGGGUCAUAAAUAAGAAGAACGACUCUAGGUCAUGAGCUCAGGGCUCUAAAUGGAUAGCUGAUCAGGAUGCUUUUCGGCUCAUGGUGUCGGGUCGAGGCCACUCGCAAGUGGCUAGAAUGGUGAAAACAAAACAUCUCAAGGAUGUGAAGGAUGCAAAUGACUUUAGGUCAUAAGCUCAGGGCUCGGGAUGCUAUGAAUGACUCUAGAUCAUGAUACAAUGGGAAACUUAGGGUUACAAUGAAUAGCUUAGGGCUAUGGAUGGAAUGAAUGACUCUAGGUCAUGAUGCAAUUUGUAACUCAAGGUUACAAUGGAUAGCUCAAGGUUAUAAAAACAGCUCAGGGCUGUGAGCUCCAGGCUCUAUGAAUGAUUAGCUUGAAAGAGAGAGCGAUAUGCAAACUCCAGGUCAAACCACUCAUGGGUGAGCAAAUGAUGAAGGCUCAGCUCAAGGCUGGAAAGACUCCGGGUCUUAAAGAAAUGAUAGCUCAAGGCUAUCAGGUUUAGGGCCUAUAAGGAAUAGAUAGCUCAGGGCUAUGAGACUCAAGGUCUAGAAGGAAUGGAUAGCUCAAGGCUACGAGGCUCAGGGCCCAGAAGGAGCAGAUAAAGAAGACCAACUCAAAAGUGGGUAGGAAGUAAAUGAGAUCAAAUUUGUAUACCUAAAAUGCUAAGGUUCGGACUAUUGAACUUAAGAAGGGAAAUAUGCCCUAAUAUCUAGGGUGCUCGCACUGCUAAAACAACCAGUAAAUCAAUCAUCUAUCGAAAUCAAUUGGUUAGAAAUCAAUGCAUCAUGACAAACCUCUGAAAAAUUUAGAUUGAAAGAACUCUCUGUGUUUGAAAAGCUGCUCUGUCGAUGAAUCUCAAAGUGUGUAUAUCAUGGCUCAUCUAAAAGCAAAUCUCAAAGUGCUAUUGCUCAUCUAGAUAACCCAAUCUGCAAGACAACAAUGGUGAAAGCAAUCUAUCUCAAGAACAUCUGGCUAACAAAUCUACCCAUGCUCCUUAAGUGAAACCUGAUGUGAUCCAUUUCUAUCUCAACGAAUCCAUGUAAGGAGGUCUUGAUACAGUCAAUCGUCGGAAGCUCCAGACUAGUCUCAAUUUAAAAUCAAGUUUGUCAUUGUCUCAAUCUCAAGGAUACUCAAAGAAAAUGGGGAAAUAUGCCCAGUAUGAGAUCCGACGUCAAAGUUGUACGGUAAAUAACCAACACCUAUCAUCCAUCCUCGUACUAUUGCCUAAACAAAAUCUCACCAAGGAGAGGGGAAUAUGUUCCAAUAUGAUAUCUGAUGUCAAAGUUGUGAGAUAAACAACCAACAAUGAUCAUCCAUCUAUGUAUCGCUGUCUAAACAUAAUCUCACCAAGGAAAGGGGAGUAUGCUCCGGUAUGGAUAUUUGAUGUACGAUAAAGAAUCCGUCAAAAUCAAUCAAACAUCUUUAUAACCAUAAAUGGGAAUAGCCAUGCCGUCUAACAACAACUAGGAACCUCAGAGAAAAAGGGAAAUAUGCCCCAUUGUGGAUGUCUAAUGCAUGACAAAAUGAUGAAUCCGAUAUCAUCAAUGAACUGUCUCCAAACUCAAAAAUCCAUCAAAUAUCAAUAUGCCAAUCAAGAGAGAUAAUAAAUGCUUCCAAAAGUAUCCUGCAUAAGAGAAAGCAUAAUAACGACUAUACUUCAACCAAUCUAUAAAAACCUGUCAAAGUGAAGACUAUCAAAGAUAACGUCUGAUCUUAUGGCCUCAAGGUGGUCUUAAGACCAGGGACGUAACGUAGGCCAGGGUGAUAGGGUGAAAGAAAUGAAGGGAAACUUGGCUCAAAUACCCAAUGAUCAAACCCAUACCCUCAUGUACAAGAUGUAAUGCAUAGAAAAACCUCAUGAGCCAUGGACUUAAAGGUAACCAAAGGAAAUGUCGAUAUUGAAACAAGAGAGAGGAUAAGUGGUCAAACUGUUAAUGAAACAUGUGGAUGAUGUGUAGAAGGUAUCGGACUAGAAAUGUGUGUCAAUAUGUAGGGAAUGGAUAAAAGGUGGAACGAAGAUCUAGAAAGAGGUGAUGAGAUAUAAAAUAAGGCAAUAAGAAAGUGGAAGGAAUGAUGAUCAACCCAUAUCUGUACAAUAAAGAAAAGUCAUAUCACCAACGAUUGAAUGGUGAUUAAGACAAUGAUUCGGAGACCCUAGUAAGAAGUUCAAUCAUCUCUCAUACCUAAUACAUAUCAACCAUGACCCAAGAAGCAUAGGAUCUCAUAGAAAUCUCACAUGAACUCUUGACACUCCAAAUGCAUAACAAAAGUGGCUCAAAGAGUGAAAACUCAUAUAAAAAUCUCACAAGAAUCCAAAAUGACAAAUAUACCCAAUAAACAUACCUUAAAAGGAGACAUAAGUGUCCAAUGGAGCAAAAUACCAUAUACGAACAUAUCAUUGGGUUUUUUUUUUUUUUUGAAUGCGCAUGUUGUUAUCAUCAAUAAAUCGAACUCCAAUGGGAAAUAUAUAAGGAAUGAACAAACUCUCUCAAGUCACUAAUGAAUACAUGAACCUCAUCCCAUGAGACAACCUCUCAAACUGAAAUCUCCGAAUCAAUGCCAAAUGAUGGGAUGAAUGGAGUGAUAUGAUUGCCCUCUUUGCACCAAGAAGUGAAAAAUCAUCAACACAAAGAAGAUGAGAGAUAAGAUGAAGCAAAUAACGAUAAAAACAAGAAAGAGAAUGAAAAUGUGAUAAUAGUAAAAUAGAACAAACAAUGUGAUAAGGAGAUGGUAACAAGAAUGAGAAGAUAGGCCUAUAAGUCUAAAGUUCAUGAGACUUUCAUAGCAAAGCAUGAAUAUACAUCAAAGGGCCCUAACCUGAGUAUAGAAAUGUUAAUCAAGUCUAUAAGAAAUAAAUAAGGCUAUAACAUACCGUGUGAGGCUCAAUGGGCUAGCAAUGGUAUAAUAUAUUAAUAAAGGUGAUAAAGUGUAAGGCUAACCAAAAUGAUGGCCACCCAUCCUACGACCAUAAUCUCAAACGUAAUACUUCUUCAGCUGAUCCACAUUGGUAGGCUUUGAAAAUUGGUUUCCAUCUAAAUUGGUUAACCAUGCUGCCCCUUUUGGAGUCAACUCUCGAAUAACAUAAGGCCCAUUCCAACUAGGUCUGAACUUCCCUCUAGGGUCUCCAACUAAACCUCUGAGAAUCCUUAAAACCAAAUCCCCAUUUUUGUAAUGGUCUAAGCUUAACCCAUUUCCUGAAGGCACGAGCCAUCUUCCUCUAAUAGGCUUGAACAUGAUCUGCUGCUCUCAAUCUCCUCUCAUCUAAAAGGUUAAGUUGAUCAAAUCGAGCCCGAGCCCACUCUGUCUCAUAAAUCUGUUGCUCAAGGACUACUCUCAAUGAACCCAUCUCUGUCUCAACUAGCAAAAUAGCCUCCAUACCAUACACUAGAAAGUAAGGUGUAGCUCCCGUAGAAAUGCGAAAAGAGGUACAGUAUGCCCACAGUGCAAAAUGGAGUUUCUCUAACCAAUCUCGAGAAGUCUCAACCAUCUUCCUCAAAAUCCUCUUAAUGUUCUUAUUUGUUGUCUGUACUGUCCCAUUGGUCUGUGGCCUAUAUGCAUAAGAUCUAUGAUGUCGAAUGCCAUACUUCCACAACAAAGUAUCUACCUCAGCUCGAAAGUGCACCCCUCUAUCUGAAAUCAACUCAUGAAGAAUCCCAUAGCGGCAAAUGAUGUGUGACCUGAUGAAACGGGCAACUCUAGUAGAUGUUAACCUCGCAUAUGAUGCAGCCUCCACCCACUUGGUGAAAUAAUCUAUGGAGACUAGGAUGAACUCAUGACCAUUGGAAUAUUUUGGUGAAAUCUUCCCAAUAAUAUCAAUACCCAUACUGAAAAUGGUUAUGGCGAGGUCAAAGCAUGUAACUUUGAUGGCGGUGCAUGAAUGAGAUCACCAUGAAUUUGACACUCUGGGCAUUUAUGAAAAAACUGAGAACAAUUUGUCUCCAUAAUCAACCAAAAACACCCUGUCCUCGUAAUCUUACGGGCCAACAUGUGUCCUCCCAUAUGCAGACCACAAACUCUUGCAUGAACCUCUCUCAUCACUUUGUCUACAAAGGCUUAAUCUAAACACAACAGAAGCAUACCAUCAGCUGAUCGCCUAUAUAAGUGAUUACUACCCAAAAAGUGCUAUUUUACACCUUUAAUGCAUUAUGUUUUAAGCACUUUUGUGUAGUAGUUCUCCAUCUUUAGUCCAAUUGGCAUGUUAAGGACCUAGCAAUGUCUUCUAAUCAUAUUUGUGGCUAGUUUUAAUGUUUUGACAGCUUUUUGGAUCAUUAAGACAAGUCAAGCAAAGGAGAGAAGCAAAGAGAAGCAAAGAGAAGCAAAGUGAAAAAAAUCAAGAUGUAGCAGCUGCAGUCUUCUUUCACACUUUUGGAGCACUUUCCGAAGUCCAGUUUUUACAUACUAUAUACCAUUUCAAAGCUAUGGAAGUCAAGAAUCCAACGCUUCAAACCGUGUACGAUUUGGAGCUGAAAUGAGGAAGAUAUGGCCUUCGGAAGCCAACUGCUCCAGGUUAUGCGAAAAUUUCGCAUUCCACAAGAGGUUAUGCGAAAUUCGCAUAACAUUCGCAUAUGGUUCGCAUAACCCAUGCGUGUUGCGAAUUUUGCUCUGCCCUUUGCCGACUCCACUUUAGAUAUUUUCCUUUGUAUUUUGUGAUGUAAUUUCCUUUAUUAUCCUUGUAACUAACCAAUCAUAAGCUUUGGCUUUUGUAAAGACUUUAUAAGGGGUGGAAAUCACCUCUUGGAACAUAUGGAAUACGUAUUACGUUUUUACACUGUGAAUUUUACAGAGCUCUCUCGUUCUCUUUUCUCUUUACUAUUUUCGUUUUCUUGGAAGCCAAACAACCUCUAAGGAUGUUUGCCCGGAGGAUGAGAGGCUAAACUUUCGGUUUCUUGGAGUAAAGGAAGCUAGGUGAAAAGUCCAGAUGAAAAGGUGGAAAGCUUCCAUGCAUUAAAUUCAGGUAGUUGGAAUUCAUAAAUGGCUUCUAAAUCCAAAGUUUUGCUUUAAACCCCUUAGAAUCACUUUGAAUGACCAAUACAUGGUAAGCUUCAGGUCUUUAUGGAUGCUUAUUGCUAGAUUCAUAUUAGUCCAUUAGUUAUCAUGUACGAGUCAUUGGAAAGUGAUUCAAGGUGAAGACCCAUAGUGUCUUAAGCCAUUAAUGGACCUUGACUAUCAUUUCUAUUGAUCUUUUAUGGAUUAAAUCUUCAUUGUCAAACCUACACCGGUUUGGGAAAUAACUAUAGGUUAAAUCCCCAAUGCGAGGAGAAAAAUCCGGAAUUUUCCACUUUCUAUUCUGAACUUGAUCCUAGCAACCCUUAGCUCCGGGAGACUUUCUUUCUUCCAUUUUUAAUUAGUUUAUGUUAGUUUAGUUUCAAACACUUUCAAAACAAAUUUUAUUUUCUUUUAAACUUUAAGUUUUUUAUCAUGGAAAUCAUUAAAUCCAAUUUCUAAUUUUGAGUAUAUCACUGGUAGAAUGGAAACCCAUCCCAGAGUUCGACCCUAGAGCCACUAUACUAUAGUAGCUUUGCUACGUUAGUAUGAGGUCAUAGGUUUUAUAAAUGUUUUUGAUUAAAUGACCCAUUUGGAGUUACAUGCGAAUCAAAAUGGCGCCGUUGCCGGGGAUGGUGCCACAAUACAGUGAUGCAACCUUUUAGAGGCUACUUGUGAUUCCCAUCACAAGUUUGGUGAAUUCCUUUUUCACUAACUUCAUUUCCUUUCAUUUUAUUUUUGUCAGGUUUAUUUUCAUUUUCAUUUUCUUUCUAACCUUAAUUUUUUUUUUCUAGGUUUCUUUUGUUUUUGUUAUUUUUGUUUUAUUUCAGGUAAGUAGUAACUUGUGCAUGCCCUAUUGGAUUCGGGACCAAGAGGGAAGAUUAGUAAGGAUUGAGAAUCCUCAAGACACAGAGUUGGAUAUUUGUGUUAAUAUCAUGGACCCUCCACCAGAGGAUCAGAAUUCUCAACAAGGUCAAGGGGGUAAUCCCAAUGCAUAUUUAUCCAUGAGGGAUAGAAUGCACCCACCAAGGAUGAGUGCACCCUCAUGCAUCAUACCUCCUCUUGAGCAGUUGGUUAUAAGGCCCCAUAUUGUGCCCCUUCUACCAAAUUUCCAUGGAAUGGAGAGUGAGAAUCCAUAUGCCCACAUCAAGGAGUUUGAGGAGGUUUGCAAUACCUUUAGAGAGGGAGGAGCUUCAAUAGACUUGAUGAGACUCAAGCUAUUCCCUUUUACUCUGAAGGACAAGGCAAAAAUAUGGCUUAAUUCUUUAAGGCCAAGGAGCAUAAGGAAUUGGGUUGAUCUUCAGGCCGAAUUUUUGAAGAAAUUUUUCCCCACCCAUAGGACCAAUGGGUUGAAGAGACAAAUCUCAAAUUUUUCUGCUAAAGAAAAUGAGAAGUUCCAUGAAUGUUGGGAAAGGUAUAUGGAGGCCAUCAAUGCUUGUCCUCAUCAUGGCUUUGAUACAUGGCUCUUGGUGAGCUAUUUUUAUGAUGGAAUGUCCUCCUCCAUGAAGCAAAUUCUUGAAACCAUGUGUGGGGGAGAUUUUAUGAGCAAGAAUCCGGAAGAAGCCAUGGACUUUUUAAGUUAUGUGUCUGAAGUGUCAAGAGGAUGGGAUGAGCCCAACUCAAGAGAAAAAGGGAAGUUUCCCUCUCAACCAACCCAAAAUCCAAAAGGUGGAAUGUACGUAUUAAGUGAAGACAUGGACAUGAAAGCUAAAGUGGCAACAAUAGCAAGGAAGUUGGAAGAACUUGAGUUGAAAAAGAUACAUGAAGUCCAAGCCAUUUCCGAGACCCAAGCCCAUGUCAUGCCAUGCACCAUUUGCCAAUCAUGUGAUCAUGUGGUAGAUGAGUGCCCAACCAUGCCAGCUGUGAGGGAGAUGUUAGGUGAUCAAGCCAAUGUUGUGGGGCAAUUUAGGCCUAACAACAGUGCACCUUAUGGAAACACCUAUAAUUCAAGUUGGAGAAACCAUCCAAAUUUUUCAUGGAAACCAAGACCACCUCCAUACCAACCACAAGGCCAAACCCAAGCACCUCAACAAACCUCUUCAGUGGAGCAAGCCAUUGUGAACCUAAGUAAAGUCAUGGGUGACUUUGUGGGUGAACAAAAGGCAAUCAACUCCCAAUUGCAUCAAAAGAUUGAAAAUGUUGAGAGUUCUCAAAUUAAGAGAAUGGAGGGGAUGCAAAAUGAUCUAUCUCAGAAGAUAGAUAAUAUUCAAUACUCCAUCUCUAGGCUUACCAACCUCAACACUGUGAAUGAAAAGGGAAAGUUUCCCUCUCAACCAAGCCAAAAUCCCAAGGGUGUUCAUGAAGUUGAAACCCAAGAGGGGGAGUCUUCAAAGUUGAGGGAGGUUAAAGCUUUGAUCACUUUAAGGAGUGGAAAAGAGGUUGAUCAACCCCUGCCUAAGGUGAAGCAAGAUGAAGAACUCAUGUCAAAGAAAACCUUGGUCAAAGAGAGCAAUAACCAAGAAGAGAAGAGUGGGAAGAAAAAUGCAUCCAAAUCAAGCAUUGAAGAAGAGCCAAGGAUAGUGAUUAAAGAGGAUAUGAUGAAGAAACAUAUGCCUCCCCCUUUUCCUCAAGCUUUACAUGGAAAGAAGGAAAUCAAGAAUUCAUCAGAAAUUCUUGAAGUCUUGAGACAAGUGAAGGUGAAUAUACCCUUACUUGAUAUGAUCAAGCAAGUCCCCACAUAUGCAAAGUUUCAAAAGGACUUGUGCACGGUCAAGAGAGGGUUACAUGUGACAAAGAAUGCAUUCCUCACUGAGCAAGUAAGUGCUAUCAUUCAGAGUAAGUCUCCAGUUAAGUAUAAAGAUCCGGGAUGUCCCACCAUUUCAGUCAACAUUGGAGGGACACAAGUGGAGAAAGCUUUACUAGACUUGGGGGCAAGUGUGAAUUUGCUCCCAUACUCUGUGUACAAGCAACUGGGACUUGGAGGAUUGAAGCCCACAGCCAUCACUCUCUCCUUAGCUGAUAGGUCAGUAAAAAUCCCAAGGGGGGUGAUAGAGGAUGUUCUAGUUCAAGUGGACAAAUUCUACUAUCUUGUGGAUUUUGUUGUGCUUGAUACUGAUCCCACAGUGAAGGAAGCAAACUAUGUACCAAUUAUCCUUGGGAGACCUUUCCUAGCUACCUCCAAUGCCAUCAUCAAUUGUAGAAAUGGGGUGAUGCAGCUCACAUUUGGGAAUAUGACCUUGGAAUUAAACAUAUUCCACCUAUGCAAGAGGCAUCUUCACCCAGAAGAAGAGGAAGGAUUAGAGGAGGUGUGCUUGAUCAACACCUUGGUUGAAGAGCAUUGUGACAAGAAUUUACAAGAGAGCUUGAAUGAAAGCCUUGAAAUGUUUGAAGAAGGGUUACCUACACCCUCUGAUGUUCUACCUAUCAUGUCUCCUUGGAGGAGACAGCAAGAGAUCUUACCACUGUUCAACCAAGAAGACUCACAAGAAGCAACUGUGGAUGACCCUCCAAAGCUUGUUUUGAAGCCGCUCCCUGUUAAUUUGAAAUAUGCAUAUUUGGAGGAAAAUGAGAAAUGUCCAGUGGUGGUUUCUUCAACUCUUACUAGUGAUCAAGAGGAUAAUCUUUUGGGAGUCCUCAGGAAAUGCAAGAAAGCCAUUGGAUGGCAAAUUUCUGAUCUGAAAGGGAUUAGCCCUUUGGUGUGCACCCACCAUAUUUAUAUGGAGGAUGAUGCAAAACUAGUGAGGCAGCCCCAGAGGAGGUUGAAUCCUCACAUGCAAGAGGUGGCGAGGGGUGAAGUUCUGAAGCUACUCCAAGCUGGGAUCAUAUAUCCCAUUUCAGACAGUUUGUGGGUGAGCCCCACCCAAGUAGUCCCAAAGAAAUCUGGAAUCACUAUGGUCCAGAAUGAGAAAGGGGAGGAAGUCUCUACACGCCCUACCUCAGGAUGGAGGGUGUGUAUAGACUACAGGAGGUUGAAUUCAGUGACUAGGAAGGACCAUUUCCCAUUGCCUUUCAUGGACCAAGUCCUUGAGAGAGUCUCAGGACAUCCUUUCUACUUUUUUCUGGAUGGGUACUCGGGGUACUUCCAAAUAGAGAUUGAUUUGGAAGAUCAAGAAAAGACAACCUUCACUUGCCCCUUUGGUACUUUUGUGUAUAGGAGAAUGCCCUUUGGUCUAUGCAAUGCUCCUGCAACUUUCCAAAGAUGUAUGCUGAGCAUCUUCAGUGAUAUGGUGGAGCGCAUCAUGGAAGUCUUCAUGGAUGACAUCACUGUUUAUGGAAGUUCUUAUGAGGAGUGUUUGUUGCAUUUAGAAGCUGUUCUCCAAAGAUGUAUUGAGAAAGACCUAGUGCUAAAUUGGGAGAAGUGCCAUUUUAUGGUACAACAAGGAAUUGUCUUAGGACAUAUCAUCUCCAAGAAGGGCAUUGAGGUAGAUAAGGCUAAGGUGGAGCUUAUUGUUAAGUUGCCACCUCCCACAAAUGUUAAGGGAAUUAGGCAAUUCCUUGGACAUGCCGGGUUCUAUAGGAGGUUCAUUAAGGAUUUCUCAAAAAUCUCAAAGCCUCUUUGUGAACUCUUGGUAAAAGAUGCCAAGUUUGUGUGGGAUGAGAAGUGUCAGAAGAGUUUUGAGGAACUGAAGCAAUUCCUCACAACUGCACCAAUAGUGAGAGCCCCAAAUUGGAAGUUACCUUUUGAGGUAAUGUGUGAUGCAAGUGACCUUGCUAUGGGGGCUGUCUUAGGGCAAAGAGAAGAUGGAAAGCCCUAUGUAAUUUAUUAUGCUAGCAAAACUUUGAACGAGGCUUAAAGGAACUACACAACUACUGAGAAGGAGUUGUUGGCAGUAGUUUUUGCCUUGGAUAAGUUUCGUGCUUAUUUGGUAGGGUCCUCUAUAGUGGUGUUCACUGACCAUUCCGCUUUGAAGUACUUGCUAACCAAGCAAGAUGCCAAGGCAAGAUUGAUAAGAUGGAUCCUUUUGCUCCAAGAAUUCAAUCUCCAAAUCCGGGAUAAAAAGGGGAUAGAAAAUGUGGUAGCUGACCACUUGUCAAGACUUGUGAUAUCACGUGACUCACAUGGUCUGCCUAUCAAUGAUGACUUCCCUGAGGAGUCUCUCAUGUCAAUAGAGGUAGCUCCAUGGUAUUCUCACAUUGCAAAUUUCUUGGUUACUGGAGAAGUACCAAGUGAGUGGAGUACCCAAGACAAGAGGCAUUUCUUUGCUAAGAUCCAUGCCUAUUAUUGGGAGGAGCCUUUUCUCUUCAAAUAUUGUGCGGAUCAAAUCAUAAGGAAAUGUGUUCCUGAACAAGAGCAAUCAGGAAUUCUUUCCCAUUGCCAUGAUAAUGCAUGUGGAGGUCAUUUUGCCUCAUAGAAAACAGUAAUGAAAGUGAUCCAAUCAGGUUUUUGGUGGCCCUCUCUUUUCAAGGAUGCCCACUCUAUGUGCAAGGGAUGUGAUCGGUGUCAAAGGCUUGGUAAGCUAACACGCCGAAAUAUGAUGCCCUUGAAUCCCAUCUUGAUAGUGGAUGUCUUUGAUGUUUAGGGGAUAGACUUCAUGAGACCAUUUCCAAUGUUGUUUGGACAUUCCUACAUUUUGGUGGGAGUGGAUUAUGUCUCUAAGUGGGUAGAAGCAAUCCCAUGUAGGAGCAAUGAUCAUAAGGUGGUUCUUAGAUUCCUCAAGGACAACAUCUUUGCAAGAUUUGGUGUGCCUAAGGCCAUUAUCAGUGAUGGAGGAACCCACUUUUGCAAUAAACCUUUUGAGACUCUUCUAGCCAAGUAUGGGGUUAAGCACAAGGUAGCUACACCUUAUCACCCUCAAACAAGUGGCCAAGUUGAGUUAGCCAACCGGGAAAUCAAGAAUAUAUUGAUGAAGGUGGUGANNNNNNNNNNNNNNNNNNNNNNNNNNNNNNNNNNNNNNNNNNNNNNNNNNNNNNNNNNNNNNNNNNNNNNNNNNNNNNNNNNNNNNNNNNNNNNNNNNNNCAUUGCCAUGAUAAUGCAUGUGGAGGUCAUUUUGCCUCCCAGAAAACAGCAAUGAAAGUGAUCCAAUCAGGUUUUUGGUGGCCCUCUCUUUUCAAGGAUGCCCACUUUAUGUGCAAGGGAUGUGAUCGGUGUCAAAGGCUUGGUAAGCUAACACGCCGAAAUAUGAUGCCCUUGAAUCCCAUCUUGAUAGUGGAUGUCUUUGAUGUUUGGGGGAUAGACUUCAUGGGACCAUUUCCAAUGUCGUUUGGACAUUCCUACAUUUUGGUGGGAGUGGAUUAUGUCUCUAAGUGGGUAGAAGCAAUCCCAUGUAGGAGCAAUGAUCAUAAGGUGGUUCUUAGAUUCCUCAAGGACAACAUCUUUGCAAGAUUUGGUGUGCCUAAGGCCAUUAUCAGUGAUGGAGGAACCCACUUUUGCAAUAAACCUUUUGAGACUCUUCUAGCCAAGUAUGGGGUUAAGCACAAGGUAGCUACACCUUAUCACCCUCAAACAAGUGGCCAAGUUGAGUUAGCCAACCGGGAAAUCAAGAAUAUAUUGAUGAAGGUGGUGAAUGUGAAUAGGAAGGAUUGGUCUAUUAAGCUCUUAGAUUCCCUAUGGGCUUAUAGGACCGCUUACAAGACCAUUCUUGGGAUGUCUCCUUAUCGCCUUGUUUAUGGCAAAGCGUGUCACCUUCCAGUGGAGAUUGAAUAUAAAGCAUGGUGGGCAAUCAAGAAGCUCAACAUGGAUUUGACAAGAGCCGGGUUGAAGAGAUGUUUGGAUUUGAAUGAAUUGGAGGAAAUGAGGAAUGAUGCUUACCUCAAUUCAAAAAUUGCAAAAGAGAGGUUGAAGAAAUGGCAUGAUCAAUUGGUAAAUCAAAAGAAUUUUGCCAAGGGACAAAGAGUCUUGCUUUAUGACUCUAAGCUUCAUCUUUUUCCGGGAAAAUUGAAAUCAAGAUGGACGGGUCCUUUCAUAAUUCAUGAUGUGAAAUCAAAUGGAGUAGUGGAACUACUCAACUUCAAUAGCACUCGAACUUUCAAAGUGAAUGAGCAUCGUCUUAAGCCUUAUAUAGAAUCAUUUUCCCGAGACAAGGAGGAAUUCAUCCUCCUUGAUCCACCUCCAACAUGAAAAUACUUGGUUUAUGGUUGAACUUAGUCUCUUCAAAGACUAAAGAGUUCAUCCUCUUUUUGUUUUCUUUUAAGUUGAUUUUAAUUUAAUCUAGUUUUUUUUUCUUGUGUUUUUCCAUGUUUUGAUUUUUUUUUUUUGACUUUAAUGCCGUUCUAAUGUGUUUUUAAUUGGUUUUUUGGGUUAACAUUUAGGUGGGAAAGCUUGAGGAAUGAAGUCAUGGUGAAAGUAAGGCAAAACAGGGGAGAAAAAAACAAGUUUCAGCCAUUUUCGAAACCCCCCCCCCAUAUGCGAAAUUUUCGCAUAACACACCCCUUAUGCGAAAAUGCUUUUGUGGCAAUUUAAAAAAAAACAUGCUCUCGGUCCCUUCCCAAAAUCCCUUAUGCGAAUUUCACAGGAAUGCGAACCAUAUGCCAACCAUAUGCGAAUUCGUUUUUGAGACAAAUUUGCAAAACCAUGCUCUCUGUCUGGGUUCUCACAGGAAUGCGAAAUUUUCGCAUAACAUAAGGGGUAAUGCGAAAUUUGCAUUUCCUCUUUAAAGACCGUGUUCUUCUCUUCCCAUGCUCAAUUUCUUCUUCAUUUCUCAUAGCACCUCUCUUCCAAUCACCAAAUCCCUUCAUUAAGUUUCUUUUCUUCAUCAUUCCUCAAUCUCAACACCACCAUGGCAGCCCAUCUCCAUAACUCCACCUCAUAGUCGCGGCAGUCACUAUUCAUCACCGUCCACCCCUUCAAUUUUCAGCUCUUUCCACCAUCAAAAACCUCCCAAUUCCUCACUCAACACUAUAAAUCCAACCCUCAACCAAUUUCAGCCUUGUAUUCACCAAUUCAAAACCUCAAGCUAAGCAUUCAAGCCACGUUUUCUUCAAAGAGAACCCAUGGCCGCCGGGUAGAGGAGCUCCAAUUUUCAAAAUUUCUUCGUGAAAAAGCUCCAAUUUCCAAGCCUAUUCACCAUGAAAAAUUCUUUUCUUACCUUAGCCAGCAUUUCCCACCCUCAAAAGCCAAAAAUUUCCACAAUUUGAAUGAGCUUCAAAACUUCAAGUGGGCGUGUGAAUAGUGCAUAUGCGAAAUUUUUGCAUUCCAUCAUGUGUUAUGCGAAAUUCGCAUAACCCCCCCCCCCCCCCCAAAGGGAAAAUUUUACAAAAACCCCACCCUGGGGCAAUUUUUCACUUUUUUCCUCUCUGCCCCCCCCCAACCCAAACCCGGGGGGCCCCAUUCAUUACUUUCUUAAGCCCAAAAACCCCAGGGGGAAUACCCCCGCCCCCCCAAGCAAUGGGAAAAACCGCCCUGGGGGGGGCCCNNNNNNNNNNNNNNNNNNNNNNNNNNNNNNNNNNNNNNNNNNNNNNNNNNNNNNNNNNNNNNNNNNNNNNNNNNNNNNNNNNNNNNNNNNNNNNNNNNNNCCCCCCCCCCCCCCCAUAUGCGAAAUUUUCGUAUAACCCCUACCUUGUGCCAAUUUUUCACUUUUUCCAUCUCUGCCCUCCCCAAUCCAAAGCCUAUGAGCCUCAUUUCAUUACUUCAUUAUGCCUAAGACCCGAGGAGGACAUACCUCAGCUCCCCAGAGCAGUGAGAGAGCCACCCCUAUGCGGGCCCCACUAGAUGCGCUGCCACAUUUAGCUGAUUCUGCCUCUCAGAGCAGAUACCAUACGAGAAGAGCAUCUGCCACACCUAUGGCCCCUACUCAGAUUCCACUUUGGGGUCCUCCUACAAAGAAAGCCAAGACUUCAAAGCCAGGAGAGUCCUCUAGAGCACCUCGGGAUUCACAGUCUCAACCGCCCAUCACUAUCCCUGGUUUAGAGUACCGUGCCUUGCUCGGUUCUUUUCAGACUCUGACCACUACUCAGACGGCCAUUAUGGAGCGCAUGGACUACUUCCAGAUUCAGCAGGAGCAGCAGACUCUCAUUCUCCGUGAGAUUCAGCAGCACCUCGGUCUUGUGCCAUCAGCUCCACCUGUAGCGGUGCCUUCCUCAGUUCCAGCAGAGGACCCCUCCUAUCCACCAGAGGAGCCUACUACUUGAUCAUACGAUCACUCCUCUCCCUUUUUUUUUUUUUUUUUAUCUAUAUUCUAUGUUUUUUGGAUGUCUUAUGUAUUUUGGACCACCUUUAUAUUGGGAUUGGAUAUAUUCCAUGUUUGUCUUGUAUAUUGUACUCUCUCAGUUUAUAUAGACAUCUUCCUUUUUGUGUAUUUUAGCUAUUCCUUUUUAUUUCCUCUAAUCAUCACUCUUAUGAUUUUUCUUUUCUUAUGCAACAUGUGGUUUCUCCUCUCUAUUCAGAGUACCUUACUAUAAGGAGGUAUCACUUCCUCCCUUUUAUUACCAUUUGCUUUUAGAACAUUGGGGACAAUGUUCAUCCUAGUUGGGGGGAGAGUUGAGGAAGUAAAUUGUUGAAUUUUUUUGGUUAAGUUAUUUUGCUAACAAAUUUUUUGCAAACUCUCCUUGUUUUCUUAAAGAUAAAUUCUCAAAAAUAAAUAGGAGAAAUUAAAUUCUUAUCUUAUUGCCAUAGUCUUAGAGUUUGUAUUAUGCUUAUUAAAGUUGAUAAAUUGUUGAAGCUCCUUUUGAUUUCAAUCUUAAGUCUUCCACUCUAAUCUUUUCACACACUGAACACAUUAGAUUCCAGUUAUAAGAUGGAAAACUUUUUCACCCCCUAAACUUAGGAAAUUUUUGACUUGGUACCAUUGACUUCAUUCUAUUAGUGUUGGGACACCUUAUAAAAGGCCAAUGUGUCUUAUGAAAAAAAUUUUGCUUCACUUGCUUUGAAACCCGAGCAAGGUCCGAGGGGUAUAUGGUGAAAAUCUUUAAAACCUGGUGCCCUAAGCCUUCAAUGGUUGGGAGCCACCGACCUCACUGCUCGUUACAUGGGUGGAUGGGUGGAGUAUAUUAAAAAUAAAAAUAAAAAAAAGAAAAAAAGAAAAAGAAGAGGUGCGUUCUUAGCCUUCUAUAUAUGAGUUAGUGUUGCUAAAGUUAGAGAAAAACCUUAGUUGGGAGGAGAAUAUAGUUUGACACACUAUAACUGGAAACUAAGCAUCUUAACACUUAGAUUUUUGUGGAAGAUUAAGAGUUGGUCCUUUGGGAGUGGAAAUUAUUUUGAUACUCAAAUUUGCAUAAUGCCCGCUUUUUGAAUGUUGUGAUAGGUAAGUUAUUUGAUGACUCUUGUUGAUGAUUGAGUUUUAUAUCCUUGACUAUUCACAAGAGAGUUUGAUCCAAUCAUGCCACUUGGUUAUUUUUUGGAGUGAUCAGCAUGAUUUUGUAAAAUAUUAUAUUAUCUAUUCUUCUUUAUUUUUCUUUCCUUCAUUGCUCAGGGACUAGCAAUGUGUCAGUUGGGGGGAGUGAUUACUACCCAAAAAGUGCUAUUUUACACCUUUAAUGCAUUAUGUUUUAAGCACUUUUGUGUAGUAGUUCUCCAUCUUUAGUCCAAUUGGCAUGUUAAGGACCUAGCAAUGUCUUCUAAUCAUAUUUGUGGCUAGUUUUAAUGUUUUGACAGCUUUUUGGAUCAUUAAGACAAGUCAAGCAAAGGAGAGAAGCAAAGAGAAGCAAAGUGAAAAAAAUCAAGAUGUAGCAGCUGCAGUCUUAUUUCACACUUUUGGAGCACUUUCCGAAGUCCAUUUUUUACAUGCUGUAUACCAUUUCAAAGCUCUGGAAGUCAAGAAUCCAACGCUUCAAACCGUGUACGAUUUGGAGCUGAAAUGAGGAAGAUAUGGCCUUCGGAAGCCAACUGCUCCAGGUUAUGCGAAAAUUUCGCAUUCCACAAGAGGUUAUGCGAAAUUCGCAUAACAUUCGCAUAUGGUUCGCAUAACCCAUGCGUGUUGCGAAUUUUGCUCUGCCCUUUGCCGACUCCACUUUAGAUAUUUUCCUUUGUAUUUUGUGAUGUAAUUUCCUUUAUUAUCCUUGUAACUAACCAAUCAUAAGCUUUGGCUUUUGUAAAGACUUUAUAAGGGGUGGAAAUCACCUCUUGGAACAUAUGGAAUACGUAUUACAUUUUUACACUGUGAAUUUUACAGAGCUCUCUCGUUCUCUUUUCUCUUUACUAUUUUCGUUUUCUUGGAAGCCAAAAAACCUCUAAGGAUGUUUGCCCGGAGGAUGAGAGGCUAAACUUUCGGUUUCUUGGAGUAAAGGAAGCUAGGUGAAAAGUCCAGAUGAAAAGGUGGAAAGCUUCCAUGCAUUAAAUUCAGGUAGUUGGAAUUCAUAAAUGGCUUCUAAAUCCAAAGUUUUGCUUUAAACCCCUUAGAAUCACUUUGAAUGACCAAUACAUGGUAAGCUUCAGGUCUUUAUGGAUGCUUAUUGCUAGAUUCAUAUUAGUCCAUUAGUUAUCAUGUACGAGUCAUUGGAAAGUGAUUCAAGGUGAAGACCCAUAGUGUCUUAAGCCAUUAAUGGACCUUGACUAUCAUUUCUAUUGAUCUUUUAUGGAUUAAAUCUUCAUUGUCAAACCUACACUGGUUCGGGAAAUAACUAUAGGUUAAAUCCCCAAUGCGAGGAGAAAAAUCCGGAAUUUUCCACUUUCUAUUCUGAACUUGAUCCUAGCAACCCUUAGCUCCGGGAGACUUUCUUUCUUCCAUUUUUAAUUAGUUUAUGUUAGUUUAGUUUCAAACACUUUCAAAACAAAUUUUAUUUUCUUUUAAACUUUAAGUUUUUGAUCAAGGAAAUCAUUAAAUCCAAUUUCUAAUUUUGAGUAUAUCACUGGUAGAAUGAAAACCCAUCCCAGAGUUCGACCCUAGAGCCACUAUACUAUAGUAGCUUUGCUACGUUAGUAUGAGGUCAUAGGUUUUAUAAAUGUUUUUGAUUAAAUGACCCGAUUGGAGUUACACGCGAAUCAAUAAGGUAUCUCCACAAAUCAUAAAUCUAGUGGCUAACUGUCUCAAUGCUCUUCGAUCCUUAGCUAUGGCUACCUCAAGAUAUGUGCCAGAUCUAAGAAACUGAUAAAUGUCAUGAUAUCAAGGUAGAUCAUCCUGGACCUCUGUCUCUCCAAUCAAACAACAGUAGGUGGGUGCAGACCUCAACUCAAUUAGCAAUGGAUGUACUACUACAUCAAUCGGAAUGUCCAUAGAAGAAGCUAGGGUAGCUAAGGCGUUAGCAAACUGGUUUUGCAAUCUAGGAAAAUGAACAUAUCUCAAGUCAUCAAAUCUCGCAACUAGUAACUCCAAGUAAGCGUGAUACGACCUAAGCUUCACAUCUCUAGCCUUCCAAUCUCCUUAAAUCUGUCUGAGUACCAAAUUAGAGUCACCAAAUACCUCAAUUUGUCUAAUGCCAAGCUCCAAUACAGUCUCUCAACCAAGGAUACAAGCCUCAUACUCAAUUAUAUUAUUCAUGAUAAGUGUCAAUCAAGGAAUGCCAAACAAAUAGACCUCGAAAUGUGAUCAUCCUGAGGGGAUACCAACAAAACACCUAUCCCAUACCCUGAUUGAUUAGCUGCACCAUCAAAGUACAUGCACCAUCCUGAUAAGCUAGUCAUAACAAUAAACUCCUCAUCUAAAAAAUCAUCAUCAACUGGUCUAUCCUUAGAUGUCAGUAGUGAGGCUAAGUGAUUGGCGACAAUACUUCCCUUAAUAGACUUUUGAGAAACAUAUUGAAUAUCAAACUCUGUCAAAAGUACGAGCCAUCUCAUCAGUCUACUAGUCAAUACAGGUCUAUCAAAUAGAAAUCUCAAUAGAUCUAGGCGGGAUAUCAAAUGCACUGAAAUCUUUGUCAUGUAAUGCCUCAAUUUCUUGGUAGCCUAAGGUAGUGCUAAGUAAAGGUGCUCAAUCAUAACAUAUCUCAUCUUAUACUCUAACAUCCUCUUACUUGGAUAGUAAAUAGCUCGCUCCCUCCCUAAGUCAUCAAGCUGAGCUAAAAUACAUCCUAAGGUCAUGUCUGAAACUGACAAAUACAAAAGAAGUGAAGGUCCCAACAUAGGAGGCAUUAGAAUAGGAGGAGAAAUCAAGUACUCCUUGAUCUUCUCAAAUGCAAGUUGGUAAUCAUCAUUCCAAAUUGUUGGUGAUUCAUGCCCAAUUGGUGUCUCAGCUGAUUUGUGUCCAGCUGCUGCUCCUUGAUUGAGGGAGUAAUCAACAAAAUUUGUAACCUAUAACACCAUAUACUAGGGUAGCAAAGAAAAAGCUACUAUAGUAUAGUGGCUUUAGGAUCGUCCACUGGGAAAGAUUAACAAGCUCUCAAUGAUACCAAUUCCAAGUGAAUUGGUUUUGUUUCAUUUCAUGGUUAGCUUAAGAAGUAAAACACAAACUUUGAUUGGUAAAGGUUUAGACUUAAACUAACUAACAUAACAGAAGUUUGGAAUAAUUUAGGAAGAAAAGCAUUCCCUGGAGAGUUAGGUUCACUGGGGUGGUUCCUCAUGCAAAAGACAUAGCUCCGGUCAGAUGGUUCAUUUCCUCGCGUUAGAGAUUCAACAUAUAGUCAAUUCUCUAACCGGUAUUGUACAGAGACUCCUUCAAUUAGAUUUCACUUUAAUUCUCUCACUGAUGCAACUUGCAAUGAUUUAAGCCUCUCACUAAGCCUUAACCAUUCAAGGUGAUCUUUAACCUUGGAUUACCCGUCAAAAGCUCGCAAGAGAUAACUAAUGGAUGUCUCCUAGGAGUCCAAAAGCUUACCAAGUGUUGGCUAUUCUAGAAAAUCCUACCUUGAAGUCACCUCCCAGAGGCUCACAAGGGGUAAACUAGUGCAUUUCCAUGGUUGGAAAUCACUUGCCUUACCAAGUGUUGGCCGAGGUGACUCUAAGGUGUUUUAAGUUAACUAAAAACAUAGAAAUCACUAAAGGAUUUCACUUCCUCUUCAUUACUAGCUAAAACCACAGAGCUUUGCAUUCUUGCACUUGGAACCUUCCCCGGCAACCUUAGCUCCAAGGAACUAGAGGUUUAGUUACUCAUUCUCUGGGGAAAACUCCUCAGAGAGUUCAUAACUUAGUAAGAAAAUGAAAAUACAAAGUGAGAAGGUAAGGCAGUAGAAAGAAAAUAAACUUUACUUGCUUACCCAAACUUUUACAGAAGGAACUCCUCCCUGAGAACAGGCUCCCGAGAGGUAUAUAUAUGAACAUAAUAUAAAACUAAUUAUUACAUAGAUAUUUAGUCUUUUUACUAACUUAAAAGCUAAGGAAUCAUGUAAUUGGUGGUUUACAAGGAGUAUUUUGGGAUUUAGACAACAAAAAUAUGAUGGAAAAUAUCUCCCAAUGUCGGUAGCAAAUAUCGGGAGGCUUCAAGAAUCAUUUCGCAGGAGAAAAAUGGUGUCUGCGAGAUUUCGCAGACACUCAAGAGGGCUGCGAAAUAAUUUCGCAACACCAAGCUAUAUUCACAGGGCUGCGAAAUUGGCUUCCACCUUGAGGUUCCCAGCUUCCUUCUCGCGGCAUAAAUCGGGCAUCGUCAGAAGGAGAAACAUUACACUGUUCAAAAAGGCUGCGAAAUCACUUCGCAACAAAAGGGUGAUUUCGCAACACUUUGCAAAAUGCUUCCUUCAGCUAGGAGUGAUUGGCUUGUAAUGGCUGCAACUUCUUCGUUUCAACUCCGAAUUGCACACCGUUUAAAGAAUUGGAUUGUUGACUUCUUGAGCUUUGAAAUGGUAUAUAGCAUGCAUCAUCUGGACUUCAGAAAGUGCUCUAAAAGUGGUUGUUACGACUCUCAUCAAGAAUAUGCUUUAUGGCAGAUUCUCUUUGCUUUUUUCUCCUUGCAAUCCGGAUUUACUCUUGGCAAAUGAUUUCUAAGCUUUGCCCAAGAUUCCUUAUAGCUCUCCUCAGUCUUGACUUGCUUUGGUGAUCAAAAUACUAACAAAAACACCAAAACUUACACAAAGUGAUCAAAAUUGUUUUCAAGGGUCCUUAACAUGCCAAUUGAGUUAAAAGGCCAAAACUACUACUCAAAAGUGUUUAAAAGGAUUAAUUAUAAGCUAUCAAAUAGCACUUUUUGAGUAGUAAUCAGUUGGCUGAUUCUUUCUCAAAAGACGAAAAAUGGGCUCACAUAUGUCUAUCAAUCUGGCUAUGAAUCAACUGAUAUACUGUAAUUUGCCUAGAAAACCCCUGAUAUCUUUCUUAGUCUUUGAUACAAGCAUGUCAAGUAUGGCUUUGAUCUUAUCUGGGUCGACCUCUAUGCCCCUCUCACGAACCAUAUGCCCCAAUAAUUUCCUAGAAGUCACUCCAAAGGUGCACUUCUUUGGAUUCAGCCUCAAUCUGAAUUUUUGGAUUCUCUCAAAGAAUCUCUCUAGAGCUUCUAGGUGAUUUGCUCUGCCUCAGGAUUUCAAAAUCAUAUCAUCCACAUAAACUUCAACAUCCUUAUGCAUCAUGUCAUGAAACAAAGUAGUAGCAGCCCUCUGAUAAGUGGCUCCUACGUUUUUCAACCCAAAUAGCAUAACCCUGUAACAGUAGGUACCCCACUCAAUAAUAAAGGUUGUCUUCUCCAUAUCCUCUAGAGCCAUCAAAAUCUGAUUAUACCCUGAAAACCCAUCCAUGAAGUCAACAUUGAAUGGCCUGAGGUGCUAUCAACCAAUAAAUCAAUAUGAGGGAGAGGAAAGUCAUUUUUAGGGCUAGCUUUAUUAAGGUCUCUAAAGUCAACACAUACUCUAACUUUGCCGUACUUUUUGGGAACAGGGAUGACAUUAGCCAACCACUCUGGGUACUCAACCACUGAUAUGAAUCCAACACUGAGUUGUUUCUGAAUCUCCUUUUUCACCUAUAGACUCCAACGUGGAUGCAACCGUCUUAAUUUCUGCUUAAUUGGUUUGGCAUGUGGUGUUGAACUAUAGAGGGAUCGAGGUUAGGCAUGUCCUCAUAAGACCAUGCAAAGACAUCUAAGUAUGACCAGAGUAAAUAAAUAAGUCUAUCCCUCUCAUCUGUAGAUAAGGGUGAACCAAUCUUCAGCUCUCUAGGCUAAUCCUUUGUGCCAAAAUCAACAGUCUUAACAUCCCCUGUAACUGGUGAAACUCUCUCAUCCAUGGGGUUUGAGUCAUGAUAAAAAAAAGCCUUUAUCUAAAUAGAGCUGUGCAAUCUCAUAAUUUAUAUCCAAUAUCUGUGGAGUGGGUGAAUAGGGUACAAAUAUAGAGAUACUAUCAUAAGAGAUAAGAAAAUACUAAAAAAUACUCAAAUCCAUAAAUGAAGCAAUAGAAACAUCGUCAGAGCAGGAGACAAAUCCUGAUAAAACAUCAAAGAAAAGAUGUGGAUCCACAAGGUUGGACGCUCCCUUAACUGGGCUAACAGUGCCCUCAAACAAACUACCAUCAUCCUCUAGAACCUCUAGAGCAGGAAUAGUCUAGGUCUCCUCAAUAACCUCAAUAGUAGACACCCCAAACAUAUCAAAUGGUGAAACUGGUUGAAGCUGAACAAUGUUGCUGAUCUGAAUCAUGGUUAUCAUGUCCAUCUCAUCUCGGUACUCAUCAUGGAGAACAACUCCAUUAAUCAUCUCAGUGGUAUCGACGACCACUCCCUCAUCAAUGACCUCCUUUGGGAAGCAUAGAAACAACAAACUAGCUCGAUCUAGAGACGGAGGAGCAAUUUCCAUAGAAAUAGAAGUGUCAGGAGCCCCAUCACUCAAUUGUGACCAGUGAAAUAGAUGUUGAAGCUCGAUCUCUCUAUCUAUAUGAAUCACACUAUCAAUCUCCUCUAGACGGGGUUGAAUCUCUGAUCCUUUGACAAAGUAGUUGGUCAAACUUAUCCUAUAAGAUCGAAUAGGAUAAUCAAAUGGUGUGUGAGACAAACGGGCCCUCACUCUCUCCUUGCAUAGUCAUGCCAUGUAUCGGUAAUCAACCUCACUAGGAAUGAACCCAAGUUCAAAUGUCGUAUCAUGGUCAAUGGCAGUUAUAAACUCACUGGGUCCCUACUGAUGUCAUUCUAACCCCAUGCCAGGUAGAAAAGUCAUACCCCUCAUCAUAUCAAGAAUCAUUGUGUGUUGAUCAAAUGACAUGGCUACAAAAUCUCUACAAAAAUCCUCAAUCUCAAGAGUUCGUAUCUCAUCAAAAGUAAACCCAGUUAGAAAUAGGUCAUCCUCACUGUGAUUGGUCUGAAGUACUGGCUCAGAAGAGGCUAACAUAUCUCAGAUAGACUAUACUGUGAUGACUUGCCCAUCAUGAAUGAACUUCACCUUCUGAUGAAGGGAAUAAGGAAUAACUCAUGCUUUAUGAAUCCAUGGUCGGCCUAGUAGCAUGUUAAAAGAUGUAGGAAUCCUCAAAACCUGGAACAAAGUAGAGAAUGUGGCUAAACCAAUCCAUAAAUCAAUCACUAAGGUACCCAUAACCUCUCUCUUGGUGCUAUCAUACUCUCUGACUGUCCAAGUAGAGGGACCAAAAUCCGAAGGCGUGAAACCAAGGGCUAUAGUAGUGGUUAAAGGGCAGACGUUCAGGGUUGAGCCAUAGUCUAAUAGGACAGAUGGAACUCUAUGGCAUGAACAACCAACUAUGAUAUAUAGAAGGCGUACAUGGUCUGAACCAUCAGGGGACAAAUCAUCAUCUGAAAACACAAUGCAAGUGGCCUUGCUGGUCGUCAUUAUAUGAAUCAAUCCCUCUAGAGUGGUUGGGUUCUCUACUCUGAUCUGACUCAAGGCUCGAAUCAAAGCAUCUCUAUGAGUACUAGAUGAUGCUAAUAAGCUCCAAAUAGAAAUACGAGCCUGAGUACUAUAUAACUAUCUCAAAACCUUAUCAUCAUCUCUCUUAACCUCCUUAUGAGAGGCUACACCCUCAAAUGGUUUGACUGCUAGUGGUGGUGGUGGAACUAUCCUCCCACUAAGAGUCACAAUCUGUAUCUCUUUUUCCUCUAAAUCAUCAUCCUCUAGCCACAAAGUGAAUGGGACAGUGAUAUCCUAGUAUCUGAUAACCAAAGGUGUAGAAUGAACCAACUAGAAUGGCGCCCCAUCUGGGAUCAAAUUGAAUGGUGCAAGAACCCGCAGACCUAAUAAAACCCCAUCAACCUCACUACUGUCAUGCAGAACAAUUGGCUUGGGUAAUCCAUCAUCCUAACUCAACAUAUGUAUACUGUCAUCCUCUAUAAAGUCUAUGUGAUGGAUAUCUCUUGGAGGUGGAGGCACUGCAUGUGUAGAAUGGGCGGGAAGAGGGUUAGUGGUCACACUUGGCUGCCCCAAGUUAACCAAACCCUGGUCUAACAAGUCCUGUAUAGCAUGUCUCAAAGCAAUGCAAUGGUCUGUAUCAUGCCCUAUACCCUGAUGGUAGGAACAAUGUAAAUCCAUCCUGAAACGAGGUGGUAUGGGCUGGGGUAAAGGCCUAGGAGCUAACUGAGUCAAUAAACCAUCCUCUAUGAACUUGUGGAAAGCUCGGCUCAAAGACAUACCUAGCUGGGAGAACUUUCAUGUCGACCUUUGUACAUAAGUAGUGGUCUGUGGGGCUUGGGGUUGAGGGUAUGACAUAGGAGGUCUCUCUGUGAAAUGUGCAGAAAAAAUAGGUUGUGAGACUGGAUGUAGAUAAUUAGGAAUGAUGGGUCUAGAAGGAGCAGGUGGUUUAUACUGCACAUGAUGUGAGGGUGGGUAAUAGAAUCCAAAAGUCUACCCAACUGUCUGAUAAAGUAUAGGAGGUCUCAUCCUUGAUGAAUUGAUAGCACUUACAUCUCUUGGUCUUUGUCCUCCUGAAGUCUUCUUCCCCUUAAAGUCAGUAGGAGAAGACUCGGGCCACAAUCCUCUGGCAAUGCCCUCCUCUAUACCAUACAAAGCCGGUACCAAAGAUCCAAAAUCCUUAUAGGGAAAUCCCAUCAAGUGUUUAGCAAAUCUAGGCUGCAAACUCCUCAAAAUCAUACUAAUCUGAUCCUUCUCUGAAAGACGAUCAAUAAUUUGUGAAAUCUUCUCCCUCUAACGGGAGAUAAAUGAAGUGACUAACUCCUUUGGCCUCUGUCUCAAUGCCUCUAGCUCUCUCCUCGAAACAUCAAUGAUAGUGUUAAAUGAAAAAUGUCUCAAAAACUCCUGGGCCAGAUUAUCCCAAGUCCUACGGCGUAAUACACCCAAUGAAGCGAACCAACAUUAUGUCGCACCACUCUAGAAGAUAGGGAAAAGCAUAACCAUUUGGGUCUCAUCUAGUCUGUGGGUCCUCAUAACCGUACUAUAGAGCCUCAAAUGGAUACGAGGAUAACCUAUGCCCAUGUAUCUCUCAAUCUCAAGCAUCCUAAACUUGGUCGGUAAACUGGCCAAUAGUGCUCCAUCAAAAUCCUCCUAAGUAAUAACUAAUUUUGAAGCCCUCAUUUGUCUCAACCUCUGCUCGAGUCUAUCCAUACGUGUAUGUGGGUCCUUUGAGGUCGGGAUAGGCAAUGUGAUAGGAGGUGGGGCUACCUCGGUCUGACUAUGCAGAGUGAAAAGUAUAACCUAUGGUGUUGAUUGACUGGGUGGAGGAGAUAGUGGAACUGUGGUAUCGAACCGGGCACUCUCCUAAACUGGGACCUGUUGGGCCUACUGCCCAUCUAUCAUUUGGCCAAGAUUAGCUAUAGCUUCCUGGAUCAAAGCCAUAACUGCAUCAAAAUGGUCAAUGGUAACUAUCUAUGAGUCCAUAUCUCUCUAAUCUGAUCUCUGAUCUAACUGGUCUGAUACUCUAUUCAAUCUAUCUCCAACCCUAAUCCAUGAAGGUGAAUCCAGAUCGGUCACAGUAAAUCCUCCUACAAAUAUGGAAACACUAGAUAAGGUGCAGUAUGAAUGUGACUCUAUAGGAAUCAACUGACAAGUGCAUAAAAGUAUAGCCCAAAUAUACUCAAUCUGAUACCCAUCUUUGAUCACACCAAAAGGAGACUAUGGAAGGGAUAACCGAACCUAAUCAUGACCAAGACAACUCUAAAGGUCCACAGAUGCACCUACGUGUAGGAAUGAAAUCUUAAUUGGGUCUAGGUUAACUUACAGGGUGGAGAUGGCUCUACAGGAUAAAAUGGGUGGGUUAAAGGAUCCCUAGCAGAAGUUAUCAUACCCUCCAAUGGUACGCAACCCUUUGCACGCCUCCAAGGAAACUAGGUACUUCCAUGCAAGGUGGUCAUCACCUCCACACAUGCACUUCCUCACUUUCCCAGGGGGUUUCUUAAAGGUGAAGGCUCUCUCAUCUCUCAACACUUAGGGACAAUGUAAAGUGCACAAUGAAGGAUGUGGGUGCAUCCGAAAAACCUAAGAUCUAAAGUGAGAUAAGGAACAAAGAUAAACAAUCAUACAAUCAUGCAAGAGAAAGGGUUAUCAUGCAACAAACAGUCAUGCGAAGCAAAUAAAUAUCAAACAAUCAAAGUUUUAUCUAUCAUAUGUGAGAGUGAAUCAUGCUGAAGUGAGCAAGCAAUCAAGUGAUCAUCCUAGGCAAUCAAACAUGUUAAGAUAGCAAACCCAACAAGCAAGCAAAUCUAAUCACCUUGUCCAAAAAGGGGGUACCCUCUAAUCGACCAAUUAAACGCCACAUUUUCCUCAAAUAGUGUACAAGCUUGAUCCUAAAACUCCCCAAUGGAGUCACCAAUUUAUGGACCUGCAUUUUUCAUGUGUGUCCCCACUUGAACGGCGAGACUCACUUUUAUUUGUGAAAAAUUAAUUUUUGGAAAAGUCGGGGUUGCCACUUAUUUUAUUUUUAUUAUAAAGGGAAAAUAAAACAAGAAAGAAAACCCUAAAAAGUAACUCCAUAAUUUUUGGAAAAAUCGUGUCUUUGAAAAACCCGAAUCUAGGUUCGGGGAUCAGGUUACCUAUUGGGAAGGUACUUCUAAAAGGUAGCACCCUUCUAAGCCCUAUAAAGGUCUCUACUAACUAAGUUGAGGGAAAUAUGGCAAUUAACUGGUUAAUCAUGGAUACCUAAGUAGGCUAGGUGAUUUUGAAAAAUAACAUGCUUAACAAGAAAAUCGAUCACAAUCAUGAAGAAUAUUUAGGGUGCGUACAUGGACUGCUUCUUAAGCACUAUCACAAGACAUCAAAGUUAGUUCAAAUAGUAUGUCAUCUAGCAUGUGUUUUAUUAGAAAUAAUCGAACAAUGAAACAUGUAUAUCAAAACACUCAAUCACUAUAAAAAAUAGGCAUAAUUCACAAUGACAAACAUACUCAUAGAAUAUAGAAAGUGGGUGAUAGGGGACGUACCUGGAUAGCAUAGAUAACUCAUUAUAUGCUUCCUUUGGACAUGGGGGUUAGGUAAUAAAUAAUAAAAUAAGAAAUCCUAGCAUGCUUAAUAUCUAAUUAGCAUAGCAAAAAUGAUUACAAUAUACGAAAUCAUCAAUUAUCACUUAUAUCUUGUAUAUAAUUCCUAAAAAAUAAAUAGACAAGAUUACAACAAAUAGCAAAGGUGGUAGAAAAAAUAAGUUUUGAAAAGAUUUUCUUAUGUAGGGGUUUCACCAAUUCCUCAAUCGAUAUACACAAAUUUAUCCUAAAAUUAUCCAUUCAUUUGGGACCACAAGCUUUGAUUUGUGUUUUGUUCAAAACCAAAAUUUUUAUUGAAAAUCAAGAAGGAUGCAAACAAAUCAAGAUAUGAUUGCAUAUUAUUAAUUUUUUUUUUUUUUUAAAAAAAAAAAGAGAUUUUGAUUCUAAAGCUCUAAAUGAAUUUUCUUUUUGAAUAGAUUUUUUAAAGGGAUCUUUUGAGAAAAAGUGUUUUGUUUUAAAAUAAAAGAAAUUAUUUUUUAAAAUAACAUAACAUAGAAAACAAAAAUACCAACCAAAACAAAAGAAAACGGAGAUCACAAAAUAAAGAUUUAGACAAUCAUGCCAAUUAAAAUGGUGAGAGUAAGGCCAACCUUCAUGGGUUUCCAACGGCCUUAAAAAAAAUAAAAAAUUGACUAACAAUCACUAAGGCAAAAAACGAACGGCUUCCUAAUCAAACAAACUAACAAAAAUAUUAUCCAAAACUAACAUCUAGAUUUCAAGAAACACAUAAUAAAAAAAAGAACAAUCAAAGAUUAAAGCCAACAAAUUUAGCAUAUGGAGAUAAUACUACAGGGUCAAUUAAGGUAAAUUAACAUUCUAACAAAAUAUGAUAAAUCAAAGACCAAAGUUUAGUAAUCUUAAAAAUAUGAAAAAAAAUAACAUGCAAUUAACUAGAUUGACUAUCCAAAAUUCCUAAAAACUCGAACUAAAUAUUAAUAGAUCAAAACCAAAAUAUGCUAUACUCAAAAUAUGAAAAAUAAUAUGUGAUUGACUAAAUUAAUUAACCGAAACUCUAAAAACACUAAAACCAAAUAUUGAUGGAUCAAAAUUAAAAUUGCCAUAUUUAAGACAUGAAAAUAAUAACACAUGAUUAACUAAGUUAAUUAACUAAAAUUAUAAUCAACUACAAAAUUGGAUAUAAAUGGAUUAAAAUCAAAAUUAACGAAAUCGGAAAAAACACAAACACAUUCAAACUGAAAAAAAAAAAAUUAAUACUGGAUUAAAUUAGAACUAAAAACAUCAACAUCAUCUAAUAAGAUUGGUUAAAAUAUCAAAUUGAAAUUUCAAAUACAUUUAAACUAGAACAAAUAAAUAAAUCAGCAAAUUAGAACUAAACUAAAAUUGGAAUUAAAAAUAUGAAAUUCAUCUAAGAGGAGUAAUCAAAUAAUUAAAUUAACACCAUAAAUGCAUUCAAAUUAUAAAAUAUUAAAAUUAAACUAAAUUGAAAUUAAGAUAUAUCUAAUAAGAUUAUUUAAACUGAUGAAUUAAAAUCAACAAAUACAUUUAAGCUAAAAACAAAUUAAAACCAAACCAACUAGGAUUAAAAACACAAACUUUAUUUGACAAAAUUAUUUAAACUAAUGAAUUAAGAUCAAUAAAUGCAUUUAAACUAAAAACAAAUUAAGACCAAACUAACAAGAAAAAAAAAACACAAACAUUAUUUGACACGAAUAUUUUAACUAAAGAAUUAAGAUCAACAGAUGUAUUUACACUAAAAACAAAUCAAAAUCAAACUAAUUGGAAUUAAAAACACAAACUUUAUUUAACAUGAUUAUGUAAACUAAAGAAUUAAGAUCAACAAAUGCAUUUAAACUAAAAACAAAUUAAAUAAAACUAAUUGGAAUUAAAAACACAAACUUUAUUUGACAUGAUUAUUUAAACUAAAGGAUUAAGAUCAACAAAUGCAUUUAAACUAAAAACAAAUUAAAAUCAAACUAAUUGGAAUUAAAAACACAAACUUUAUUUAAACUAUCAUACAAAUUAAGAUAAACUAACAUGGAACUAAUAAACUGCAAUCACUAAAAGAAGACAUCUAAUUUAAGAAAAAAAAAAUUAUACAAACUGAUAUUCAAAAGAAUUUAUCACAAAAAAUUGAUUAAACUAACAAACUAAAGUCUAAAAAAAAAAAUGCUCUAUCGAAAACGAAAACUACCCUGUGUUGUGUCUGAACUUGAUGAUUAAAGUGGCAACCCGAUCUCCGUUCGAAGUCCCUUGCUCUCUUCCAAAAUUCCGCGUGUUCUCUCUAAAAAAGAUCCCCCGCGUGUUCUCUCAGUCUCAAAAAUUCUCUUGUGCAUGUCAUUUCUUUUAAAAAAAUAUCUACGUGCUCUCUUUGCCAAAAAAAAUCCUCCCUCCCGAAUUCCUACACAUAUCCUCUCUAAAAAAAUUACUCUUGCUUGUCGAUCUCCAAAAAAAUCUCCCAUCUCUUAUGUUCCUUCUAUCUUAUUUAUAUGGUAGCCCACCCUAUGGAAUAUUUUAUUUCAUUUUUUGAGAUGUAAUUCUAAUCUUAAAGGAGACCCAACUUUCUAAACUUCUAAUGGCACUUUCUAUUUCAACUGACUUAAUAAAAGAAACAUGCCAACCCUAUGAAUGUUGUCUGGUGGGCCCUUGGUCAUAUUCCCCUUCUCUCUUCCAACCAACAACACCUAUAACUAGUAAAGUUGCACUGGGGACUGAUUUAUCUGAAAGCUUGGAUGAGAAUGGAGAUCAAACUCCUUCUUGGGUAAUGUAGAGCUUCAAAAUUUAUGGAGAAAGAUUUUGUGGAUAACCAAAGUCCAUGAUUUCAUCCAAUAGCUCAUAAAUUAGAACAAAGUUGUUACGAAUAGCAUCUUCCUUGAAAGCCCCACCAAAAUAAGAUUUGAAUAGCGCAACAGCCUCAACAACAAACUUGAAUGCACAAGUUACAUUAGCAUUGCUACUGACCACAAUCACAAUGUACACAUUGUUGAUUUUCAUAUAAAAGAAGGAAAAACCUCCACUUUGCUGCAUAGGACAUGUGCCAUGUUCUUUUGUUUGCAUUUUAUGCAUUCAAAAGGCAUCUAACAUGUUUUCCCCGACAUCGUCGCGAUAUAGGCGAUUGAUGAGGACAUCGCUCGGGAGAUUCAAGAAGUAGAUAGCAGAAGUAGCCACCGAAAUCUCUGAUCCAAUGGAUUCGAUGCCAAACAAAUCAAGGAAUGGGGUUUCGAUCUACGGUGUUUGAGGCCUUGUUUCAACGAUGUCAUUUUUAUUGGGUUGGAUCUCAAGCUCUAGAAAUGAUGAACCUAACUCUCCUAAACAAGAGUUGAAAAUAGCGCAAUUGAUCUUGUGUUCUAAAUGCAGUGUGGGCGAUAACUCUGGCAGAUCUGUAACAGCAUCUAGGGUUCCGAUGUGGGUGAGGUGGAGAAAGGGGCAACGAUGGUGGUGGGGAUUCACGAUGGGGGGAGAGGAGAGUGGCAAGAAUGUUCUUACCUGCGUUAUCGAAGCAGGAGAGGAGAGCCCUGGGGGAAGGAUUGCGAUCGAUGAAGGAGGUGAGAAUAUGGGUUCUGUUCUCGACAACGGUGCAGAAGGAGAAGAUGAGCAAAUGUGAGGAUAUCAAGCAGCGAAGGUGGAGGUAGAGGAGUGGUCAUGGCAUGAGAUGGAGUUGUGAUGUGAGUCUUCUAUUUCUGUCUUCUUUGUGAGUGUAUAUGGGUCCCCACCUUGCGGGCUGCUCCUCUUCAGUUGUGACCCCCCUCUCUUUGAUCGAUCCAAGUGAUAUGCAAAACUAAAAAAAAAAUUGGAAUAAGAAAACCUUAUGAUUGGAAAUAUAAUAAAAUAAAAUCGAAAAUCAAAUCAUCUGCCACAAAAAAAUCUAAGAUGUCAAUUCAUGGAAUUAAAGAAUAUAUAAAUAAGUGGGUAAAUAAACAAAUAAAUUGAUAAGGGUAUACAAAUAAAUAUUAUACAUAUGCAAUUAGAAAAAAUAAAGAAAUUAAAUUAAUGCGAUGGAUCAUAACAAUUUAAAUGUCACACUCAAACCAUCAAAAAUAAGAAAAUAUUCAUUUCAUGCAAUAUAUAGUUAAGCCAAUACUCAUUUUGUCUCGCAAAAAUAAAAUCAAGAACAUGCCUAAAUGAACUAUGCCAAAAGAAGUGUCCAAGUGACCUAUUCUAAAAAAGUGCUUUGGUGAGCUCAGGUGAAUGUGUGCAAGCUGAAAGGUGUUUAGGUGAAUCUAAAUGGGUAAAGGAGAACCUAAGUGGGCCUAAGGUGGUGCCUAAUGGGCCAAGUGUAUCUAAAUGGGCCUAGUGUGAGACUAGGUGAGCCUAACAAAGACUAACCUAAAGUGCACCUAAGUGAAACUUAAUCUAAACUUGAAGGACAACCAAGGUCAUAAUAUGGAACCAGAUAAACCCCUUAACCAAAGUCUCCAAAGUGGCUCAGAAAAGGUAAGCUCCAAGAGUAGGAAUGGGCUAUCAAAGAAACACUGUGGAACACUGGAAGUGAACUUAAAGACAUGUUCUAAAAGGACAAAAUGGAGGGUCUACAACAUGAAGGUUGGCCAUACUCUCACCACUUUAGUCGGCUUGGUUGUCAAAAAUUUUAUUUUGUGAUUUUGUUUUCCUUUGGGUUACCUAUGUUUGAUCCUUGAGUAUUGUCGUUUGUAAAUUAUUUCUUUCAUUUUAAAAAGAAACAUUUUCUCAAAUUGUUCCUCAUUAAAAUGCAUUUCAAAAAUUCAUUUAGAGUCCUUAGAAUCAAAAUCUCAUUUUCUUAAAUAACUUGCAACCAUGUCUUAAUAGAUUUGCAUCUUUCUCAAUUUUCAAUAAAAAUUCUGGCUUUGAGUAGAAUACGAAUCCAAGUUUGUGGUCCUAAAUAAAUGGGAUAAUUCUAGGCUAGAUUUGUGUAUAUCAAUUGGAGAAUUGGUAGAACCCUUACGUAACAAAAAAUUUCAAAACUCUUCCUUGCUACUAGUUUUCACUCAACCACUGACUCUUUAGCUUUCAAAUUUGUUUCAACAACUUUAGAAUAUAUAUAUUUUUUUUUAAAUAUCCAAAUCUUGUAUGAUUUUUCUCACUUCUUGAACUUGAAUUUGAAAUUUCGUUUGAGUUAGAAAGCAAUUUUGGAAUAGAAGAUAUAAAUGAGUUUUUAGGAGGGCUCUGUUUUCACCUAGUUCUGGACACUUGAAAUAUUUUUCUAAAAAUAAAAUAACAUAUGACUUUUUUAAUUUGAUUCAAUAUUUUUUCUUAAUUCAAGAAUUCUUGAAAUUGAUUUAGAGAUAUAAAAUAUUUUAAAAAAUAUGCAUUUUUAAGGCAGAUAUGAUUUUUCAAAGUCAUACCUAAUGCACAUGAUGGAAUCUAGACAUCUAAUUAGUUGGAGUGUUUCAAAAAUAUUUUUGAGUACUAUUCGACCCUAGAUUUAUUUUUCAUGUGCUAUAGACCUUUGACCAAUGUGUGUGAUUUUUUGUAUGAUUUUAUGUGAUCUUUUAUUAUUUUUAAAAAAUUGAUUUAUGCAUGCCACUUUUUCUUUACCUAACCUACACUUUGUGGAACUUUUGGGGUGUCUUUGCUGCAAUCUGUCAUUUGAAUGAGUGUUUGGUUUUUGGUAUGUUGUUCUAGAAUUGUAGGUGUUGUUUUCUAAAAAUUUUUGUAAUUAAAUUCAACUCCAAAAUAUUUUUUUUGAAAUUUCUUUUUGAUGCUUCAUUUUAUAAUUGCAUGCUAAUGAUCUUGUACAUUACUCUAGCAUUUUUGGAGGAAUUUUAUAAAUCGUGCAUGUUAUCUAGGUACACUUUCUAUCACUUACUUUUCAGAAUUCUAUGACCAUGCAUGUUGUUGUUAGCCUUAUUUAUUUUUGAUUCCAUCCUUGGGUGCCUAGAUGUUUGUUCGAUUUGCUCAAAUAAAAUACAUUUCGUGUGCUAACUUUAAUGUCUUAUGAUAGUGCUUGAGAGGCAGUCCAGGUACACAUCCUAACCUUCCUUUGCGAUUGUGAUUUGAUUUCUUUUUUGGCAUGCUAGUUUUGAAAUAACCUUAGCCUACCUAGGUACCUCCAAUCAAUUGAUUAAUUGUCACUUUUCCCUCGACUUAGUCAUUAAAGACCUCUUUAGGGCUUAAAGGGGUGCUACCUGAUUCGUGCCCAGUUAGGUAUUUUAAUAAAAAAUAUUUAUAAAUCCUAUGACCUCAUACUAGUGUAGUAAAACUACUAUAGUAUAGCAGCUCUAGGGUCGAACUCUGGGAUGGGUUUUCACUCUACCAGUGAUAGACUCAAGAUUAGAAAUUGAAUCUAAUGAUUUCCUUUGUCAAAAACUUAAAGUUUAAAAGAAAAUAAAAUUUGUUUUAAAAGUGGUGUUUGAAACUAAACUAACAUAGAAAUAGGAAAAAAUGGAAGAAAGAGAGUCUCCCGGAGCUAAAGGUUGCUAUGAUCAAGUUCAGAAUGCAAAGUGGGAAAUUCCGGAUUUUUCUCCUCGUAUUGGGGACAACAACAUAAAGGAUGGUUGUUUCCUGAACCGGUAUAGGUUUAACAAUGAAGAUUUAAUCCAUAAAAAGUCAAUAGAAAUGGUAAUCAAGUUCCAUUAAUGGCUUUAGACACUAUGGGUCUUCACCUUGACCCACUUUCCAAUAGCUUGUACAUGAUAACUAAUGGUCUUAUGUGGAUCUAGCAAUAAGUAUCCAUAGAGACCUAAAAGCUUAUCAUGUAUUGGCCAUUCAAAGUGAUUCUAAGGGAUUUAAAGCAAAACUUUAGAUUUAAAAGCCAUUUAUGAAAUCCAACUACCUGUAUUUAAUGCACGAGAGUUUUCCACUUUUGCAUCUGAACUUUUCACCUAGCUUCCUUCACUCCAAGAAACCAAAGGUUUAGCCUCUCAUCCUCUGGGAAAACAUCCUCAAAGGUUGUUUGGCUUCCAAGAAAAAGAAAAAUAGAAGAGAGAAAAGGAAAGCAAAGAGAACUCUGUAUUUCUCCCUGAGAGGAAAAUUUUACUAAGUGUAAAAAAUACAAUAAUUUGAGAGAUGAUUUCCACCCCUCUUAAAGUCUUUACAAAGCAAAGCCUGUGAAAAUUACAAGGAUAAGAAAGGAAUUUACAUCUAAAAAUACAGAAGAAAAGAUCUCAUGUGGAGUCGGCAGAACAGAGGAGAUUUCGCACCAAAGUCGCAUGAACAAUACAAGGUGCAAAAUUCGCACUUGCAUGGGCUGGUGCGAAAUUCGCACUUGCAUGGCAUUUUCGCAUGAACAGUACAAAGUGCGAAAUUUGCCAUUUUUAGCUCCUUAUACGAAUGGCAAUAUACCACUAUAGGUACUUGAUUUGUCAGAAAUUCCAAGCCGGUUUCGAAUAUGGGAUUCUUGAAAUGUGAUUUUGCACGAUGAACAAAAUAGAGCCUCCCAAAGUGACAGUGCACGGCUACAAAAACUGCUUCUUUCCUCUGUUUUUCCUCUUUGCUUCUCUCCUUUACUUGGCUUGUCUUAAUGAUCCAAAAAACUGUCAAAACACUAAAACUAGCCACAAAUAUGAUUAGAAGUCAUUGCUAGGUCCUUAACAUGCCAAUUGGAAUAAAAAUGGAGAACUACUACACAAAAGUGCUUAAAACAUAAUGAAUUAAAGGCGCAAAAUAGCACUUUUUAGGUAGUAAUCACUACCUCUUAGAGGUACCUUCUUAAUAGGUAACCUGAUCCCUAGACCAAGACUUGGGUUUUUCAAGACUUGCUUUUCCAAAACAGUGGAGUCACUUCUUUAGGGUUUUCUUUCUUGUUUUAUUUUCCCUUUUAAAAUAAAAUAAAACAACUGGGGACUCCAACUUUUCCAAAACUAAUUUUUCACCAAUAAAAAAAGUCUUACCAUUGAGUAGGAACACACGUGAAAAAUGAAGGUCCAUAGGUGGGUCUUAAGGGAAUAGAUGGAGAAGUUGGGAAUUGAGGUUAGAUUUGAGGUUAAGGUUAAGGUUAGAGCUAGGGUUUCAUCUAUGGAUGGUAAUGAAGAUACAUAUAUAGACAUCCCUUGCAAAAUCUACCAAUAUGAUUAGUUUCUACUAUAUAAUCAACUGAAAUUUGAAUCAAUUCUCCUUCUCAAACUAUGAUAAUAUGAUUUUAGAUGGUUUUUUAUAAUGAUUUCUUUUCCUUUCAAUGAAACUAUAGAUCAAUUCUAUGUUACAACCCGAAUAAAGGAUCCUUAGGAUCCCUUAAUCUUUAGUUUCUAUUGCUAUUUAGUUUCUAUUUAGAUUAGGGAAUAAAGGAUCCCUAAGAUCCUUUAGUCUUUAAUUUCUAUUUAGUUUCCUAUAUAAAAUAAGAAGAGUGUAAUGGGGAAAGAAAUGGAAAAAUAAUCUCAAUAAAAAAAAUUUGUUCUCUCAAUUUUGCAUCUUCUCCUUUAGUCAUAAGAAUUGGUAUUAGAACACGGUCUAGGCACCAAUCAUGGCGGAAAGGACUAGAGUGUAAGAACAACAUAGACUUAAAGAUACUAUUAAAUAGUUGAAAGAAUCGUUGGAUAAACAAGCGACUACCUUAUUAGAACUAUCAAAGAUGGUUGCAAUCAUAAAAUUGAAAUUCAAACACAUAAAUUCAAGAAUAGAGAAGUCAAGUAAUGGAUAUAGUGUUUCAAUCAAUAGAAACAUGAUAGACUAUCACUAAUCUAUCAUAAACUCCAUUCAAACCAGAUUUUCCAAACUCUAUUUUCCAAAUUUUAAAGGUGAGAAUUGGGAAUUAGGAAAAGGUUGGAUUGGCUUCCUUACAUUUAAAACGAAGGGCCUUAGAAAGGUUUCAAGGGUAUGAGGCUAGUAACAAGGAAAUCAAUUGGACACAAUUUUAUAUAGAUGUUGUUUCUAGGUUUAGCCCUAGUGUUUAUGAUAGCCUUAUGGGGCAAAUAACCAAAUUGAAAUAGGUUUCUAAGUUAGGGCAUACCAAAAUUAGUUUAAAGUAUUGAUGACCAAAACUAGCUAGUGGGUUAUCAAAGAAAUUUUUUUUCUAGUGUUUCAUUAGUAGCUUGAAAGAGGUAAUUAAAAAUCAAGUAACUAUGUUUCAACCAAUCACACUAGUCCAAACCAUCAAGUUAGUCUUGUUGCAGAAAUGAAUAAUGGAGGUAAUUCUCAAGGAAUUCAAGGACUCUAACGAAAAUGGGGAGAGUACAGUGAGCUUUACAAGAAUCAUAAUGAAUCAUAAUAACAAAUUACCACCCCUUCAGAAGAUUUUAGACGUAGAAGUGCAAGAGAGAUGAAAAAAAAAAAGUUUUGUUAUUAUUAUGAUGAGAAGUAUGAGUCUAGUUAUAAAUAUAAAAUGAGACAAAAUUUUCUAUUAAAUGGUCAAAAAAGUGAAGGGAAAGCAACAUGUGAAGCUAAAAAUGAUAUAAAGAUGAUGAUCUUGUGGUUUUAAUCAAUGCAAUAUUUCGUUCAACAUCUCAUCAAACCAUGAGAAUCUGUGGCAACAUAAAAAAGAAGAUUGUCACCAUACUAAUUGAUUUAGGAAGCACCCAUAACUUCCUUGAUCUCAUAGUGGCCAAAAGAACAAGAAACUCAAUACAAACUACCAACCCCAUGAAGAUGGUGGUAAAAGAUGGAACUAAAAUUACUAGUGAUGCAAUUUGUAGGCAAUGUUAGGAUAGAACCCUUAAAAACAUGACAUAAUGUAAUAGAUUUGGAAUUCAUUGUUUAUUUAAUGAUGCCCCAGUUUCACUUUUAUCUAUCCUUAUUCCAUGUAUUAUACUUUAUAAGCAUUUUUGUAAACAUCAUUUGCAUUAUACAUGACUUAGAUGCAUUAAAAGUUGUACAGAAGAUCUAAGUCAUGAGUUCCUUGCAAAUAUAUGACUUAUUCACAACCAAUUCAUGGGUCUAGGCAACCCAUUAAAGGUUUUAGUGCACAACUUCCUAAUUGGAGGAAUGAUUGGUCUUGGCUAUUGGGAUGGGUUUCCUAUCAUGAGUGCACUAGUAUGUAUGAAUGCACAUUGGAUAGGACCUAUGGUGAGUUAUGACUUAAGGCUAUCAAGUAGUCAUGAUUUCACCAAGUUACUUCAUUAUGUUGUUUCUUAACCUUGAGAGAAUAUUAAGCUUGUAUUGAAAUUAGCAGUGGCUUUGACCUACGAGUGAGAUAGUAAGAUGAUCAUAUAUUCCUUAUGGAUUGGACCAUUGUUGAUGGAUGUCGGUAGCAAUAAGUAUUCUCAAUAGAAACACCAUGAUAUCUCUUAGCAUUAAGAUAGUGUGUCCCCUUGGGUGAUCCUAAGAACGUAUGUUCAUGGAAACUAUGGCCAUAGUAGUUCCUUAGAUGGAACUUGGCAUAGGCUCUUUCAAAGCUAAGAUAUGUCAAUUUAACACACAAUAGGAGGAUUUGUAAUUCAAGGAUGGUAGAGGUAGUCUUAAAAGACUGAUAGCUUUCACCUUGUUAAACUACAGACACUAAUUCAUAGGAACAUUGAACACAAUGGAUAGUAGGUCGUGGACUCGAGCACUUGGUGUCUCAUUGUUAUUUACAUAGGAUAUUGGAGUUCAAUUUAUUCUUUGUGUGGAAUAUUGAAUCCACUUUAGAAUUGGAUUAUGAGGGAACUGGUAUUCUUAUGGGCCCUAGUGGUCCCUACUUUGAGUUCAUAUACCUUGUUGACACGGAUUAUGAGGUUUGGAUUGGCUUUAGGUUCACUUUUGUACAUAAGGAUAUUUUGGUAAUUAUGCAAGGUUGCACAAAAGUAAGUGAAUAAGUUCUUUGGAUUGCGCUAAUUGAUUAAUUAGUAGGCCUUGUUAGGUUAACUAAUUAAUUAGGACCCAUUUUGGAUUAGAUUAAGUGACCCAAGCCCUUAGUGGACUCAAGUCACUUAAGCCAAGUAGGAAACCCUAUAAAUACUCCUUUAGGGGUUAAGGUUCCCAUUGGUUUUUUCUAGAGAUCCAUCUUCCAUCUCUAGAGAGAGAGAGAGAGAGAUUCAUAGCCUCUACUUUUCCUUCUGUCCCCACUGGAAGUGUGUCAAGAUCAAGUUUUGAGUCAUUGGGUGGAAAACUUUGGGUUUACAAGACUUCUAUGAUUUUGUUCUUCAUCUUCACCUCAUUGAUUUGAUUCGGGAACAUCCAAAUCUAAGGUAUGGCUUUCGUUAACACUUUAUGAAUCCCUUUAAAGUUUUAAAAUGCUAUUUUUUCGUUGUGCAUAGGAUUUAGAAAAAAGACUAGGAUAGUUAUUCAUGUUCCUAACCUGAUCCGAGCUUAGGAAAUGAAGAGAUUCGAGUUUUUCCUAUAAGGCAAUUGACAUGGAACAUGCAAGGGAAGAAAUUUUAGAUAGAUUUGAGGCUUAUACCUUUGAGUGGGUGUAAUAUGGUAUUGGGAAUUCAAUGGCUAGCUGAAUUGGGACUCAUAUUGUGGGAUUUCAAGAAUUUAAAAAUGGAAUUUAUUAUUGAUGGAAGGAAAUUCGUGUUGAAAGGUACAACUAUAGGUUCCAAGAAGCUAGUUUCAACAAAUCAAAUUUAAAAGGAUUUAAGGCAUAUGUCUCAAGUAUCUACAAUUCAAAUUUUCACUAUACAAGGGAAUGAGGAAAAUAAAGUUGAAAAGGAAUAACAUGGCAACUGUCUAACUCAUUUCCAAAAGAUAUAACAUGGAAAGUUUCUUACAAGAUUCAACAAAAGUUUUCAUAGAUUCAACCUUGAGGACAAGGCUUCUUUUGAUGUGGAAAGGAAUGUUACAACCCCAAAUAAAGGAUCCCUAAGAUCCUUUAAUCUUUAGUUUCUAUUUCUAUUUAAUUGGAGAAUAAAGUAUCCCUAAGAUCCAUCAAUCUUUAGUUUUUAUUUCUAUUUAGUUUCCUAUAUAAAAUAAGGAAAGUGUAAUGGAGAAAAACAUGAAAAAAUAAUCUCAAUAAGAAAAAUUUGUUCUCUCAAUUUUGCAUCUUUUCCUCAUAUCAUAAAAUUCUACAUGUGGAUUUUCUCCUUUUGAAGCUCUAUAUGAUACAAAAUUAAUUCUCUUUUACUCAAAUUCCAAGUAUGUAUUUAUAGAAAUGGGUAUGCUUUGACUCUCAAUGAACACAUUUUCUCAAUUUUUCUUCCUACCUAAGUGGAAAUAACAUAAGGCCAUUAAACUUGCUUUGAGAUUAAUUGUGGUUUUGACAAGCAUUUCAUCUAUAAUUCAUUUAUGCAGAACUAGGUAUAGUACAAGACCUCCUAAACAAAGUUUCUAACAGUAAUGAAUUGAAAAGAAGCUGGGUAAAACAAGUUUCUACUCACCAUCCCAAACAUUCCUUUAGAUGUAUUGUAUGGUAGAGGAUUAUUCUUUUAUUAUUAUUAUUAUUAUUAUUGUUAUUAUUAUUAUUAUUAUUAUUAUUAUUAUUAUUAUUAUUAUUAUUAUUCUUGUUUUCUUUUCCCUUUUAAUGGUUUAUAGUAGAUUCAAAUGCCAUUAUAGAAGUAGAAUUUCCUAAUUUAAUUUGUUGGACAAAUUUUCUUUGGUUUUACUAUAUUUUGUGUUUUGAAUACAUACAAAUCGAAAUAUAAUAAGAAAACAAUUAUAAUGUGUUUUUAAGGGGAAUUUUUUUAUCUUCUAUUAGCAAAAAAAAUAAAAAUCAACAAUUAUAAUAAUAUAGACAUUUGCAAUUUUUUUAAAAUGUCUCUGUUAGGACAUUGAGUUUUAUUUGUAUGUUGGUAAUUUUGUUCCAAUUUAUUUUUUGCCUUAGAAAUCUUUUUAGAUAGUGACUUAAUUUCCAUUGAAGAUCAAGGAUUGCUACUUGUCCAAUUGGAAAGUCAUAGGCACGUUUAAAAGGUUUGACUUGUGGCAAAUUGGGGUUCUAAAGGGUAUAAAUAAGAGCAUUAUUCUUUUUCUGGGACUGCUCGAGCGCUUAACUAGCACUCGAAUGCCCAAGGUGCUCAAGCAAUGGUUAAGUGUGCUUGGCCUCAAGCUCUCGAGUGUUCAUGCCGAUUCUACCAAAGAUUAGCAUAAUAUUUACAAAGAUUUCAUGCAAAUCCUAUAUGGAAACCUUGAGAUACCAACUCUCUUCAGCCUCUAAGCUUGUAUAUACCCCAUUAUGCCCAUUCUAAGGUUAGGAGAUUGAUUUAUUGUUGCUACUAAGAGAGAGCCUCCUGGAAAGAAAGCAUAAUGAGCCACACAAUUCCUAAUCUCUCAUUUGAAGGAUUCAUUCAAUAAUCUAGGGUUGAAAACUUGCAUCCCUUCAAUAAGGCUAAAGAGUAUUCAGUGAAGCAAUUAGAGAUUGUUGUAUCAUAUACGUGGAUGAAGUUGUAGGUAUUGGAGGGUAAGCCUUUAGGAUAAAACAACCAGGUAAAUUUGUGUAACUUGAUCUUGUAUAGUGGAUUUUGAUUAGUAGUCUUAAGCCUUGUGGUUUUUUUAUCUCCACCGUAGUGUAGGGAUUUUUCAUGUAAAAAUCAUUGUGUCCAUUGCUAUAUCUUGUGAUUAUCAUGAUUGUUUAGAUUCUAUUUAUCUCUAAUAUUAUCUCAUAGGGUAAAAAUUGAGUAUAACAUAUAAUCUUUAUUUUAGAAUUCUUUUAAUUACACCCAUUCACCUCUCUCUUCUCUUUGGGUGUUACCCUACUAGACUUGGCUUUUUUAGUCUCAAAAUCUAUAUUAGCAUUUUUUUUUUACUUGAGUUAUAAAUGGAAAAAGUUAUAAACUCGAGAUAACUUGUUAAAAAAGUAAGAAAUAAUAAAAGGACUUGUGUUAGAGCAUAAAUAACUAAUCCAUUCUAGGCUUAAUAUAGCUCCAAUGUCAAAUAUGAAUACUUAAUUAUUUAUUAUAUUUUGAAAAUAAAGUAAGUAUUUUUUAUAUAAAAAAUAAAACAACUUUUCUAGAACAACACAAGGCACUAAUGGAUAUAGUUGGUAACAAGUUGGAGAAACAAAAUAAUGUGGAGAAAUAAAACAACAUGUAGAAAUAAAACAACUUGGAGAGAAAGAAAAUGACUAACUGAAAAGGAAAUAGAGAAAUUAUAGAAUGUAAGAUAAUUACACUUAUUUUCAUAAAAAUAAUAUAUUCUAAUACAUUAAAUAAGAAUUAUUUUCCCAAAAAUGUACUCCCCAUGAAAAUGACUUUUGUGGGUUUUCUUUUAUUUAUAUUUUGUAAAUAGUGCAUAUUUACAUAAUUCCCUCAUAAAUAUAAUAUAAUAAUCUAUACCUGAUAAUUAAGGAAAUUGAAAAUAUUUACAUACUAAGCAAGGAUAAUGGAAAUUAAAGAGUAUGUCCAAAGAGAACAAAAAUAUUAAAGAUAAAUUAAAACUCUAAAAUACAAGCCUUAAUCUACACAUAUAGGCCAACAUCUUAGGACGUAUUUGAUUAAAUAAUAAUAAUAAUGAUUAAAAAAUAGAAAAAAUUAUGGGUCCCAUUUUUUAAGUGUUUUCAAUAACAUAAUUAUAAACCCCUUAAAAUUUAAAAUCAUUUAUUCAAACCACUUUAUUCAUUUAGCAACAAGGACUUAAUUAAUCACUAAGAUCAAACACAAUGAUUUAUAAUUUUUAUAAUUUUUUCUUCCAUUACUAUCAUUUUCUUUUUUAAUAAAAUGAAGAUUUCUAUUGAUAAUUUUUUUAUAAUAAAAUGUAACUUCUUUUAAAUUAAAACAUUUAUUAUUAAAAAAUUUAUUUUAAUUCAUCUAUGAGAUUAUUUUAACGAUUUUUUUUUUAGAAUUUUAAUAAUUUUUUUGUUUCAUAGUUAAAGAUAAAAAAAUUAUUAUUAAAUCAUUUUAUUCAUUAUAAAAUUUAUCUUUCUUUUCUAAAUCAGAAUUUUUGUCAUGUCCAUUCAUAUAAUAAAAUUAAAAUUAUAAAUAAAAAAACCUAAUUUAAUUGAUAGCACCAUGGAAUCUUUCCAUGCACACUCAUGCAGCCAUCAGUUCCCACAACAGCCACGUGUCUUCCAACGAGUAUAUUCCCUUUCUUUGGCUCUCCAUGUGUUUGUGUUCUAUUUUUAUUUUUUUAUUUUAUCUUAAUUAGUAGUUCACAUAACAAGCAUGACAAGGAUGAGUAGAUAUGUCACUUCUAACACUAAACCCACUUAAACCAAAGUGAAGUAUGAAUGCAGUAUGCAAGUCUAAAUAAUGGUGAAAUAAUAAAAACAACGGAGAAUGCAUGUAAGAUGUGUAUAUAACUAUAAAUAAGGAUUAAAAAUGAAGGGAAAAAUCAUUGAGAAGGGUGAACCAUGGGUGAUAAGCCACUUAGUUCAUCAUUUGGAUAAAUAUUAAAAGUUAAAGAGUAUAAAAUGUCUACGUAUGUCAUCAUUUUUUUAAGUUAAAUAUAUUCUUAUUGUUGUAAAUUAAGUAAUGAAUGUCACCACAUUUAUUAUAUUAAAUUUUCAUUAAAAGCCUAUAAAAAUGUUUCCUAUCCUCUGUAAAUUUCAUCCUAAGCAAAGAAAGAAACUUUCUUUCUCUCUUAUUUUAUUUUUAUUUUUUAUUCUUCAUAUAUUUCAUUAUUUCAACUCUCUUAAUUCUCUUUUAUGAUUCCUUCCUUUCCAUUAUAUAUUAUUAUCAAAAUAAUAUAUAGUUGUUCUCUACUUUUAUUUGUGUUGCAUUUAUCCUUCUUUUACAACACGUUAUUAGCACGAAUUGCUCUGAAAGUAAUUCUCGUAUCUUAAACUUGAAGUUAUUUAUAUAGAAUAAAAUUUUUCAUAUUUAUAUUGCGAUUGUUAAAUUCAUUUAAUUUGUGUUAUAUAUUAUUAAAAGUUAUAAGCAAAUUAUUUGAUUUUGAUUGUAAUCAAAAGUCAUACCAAUGCUAUUAAUUUAUAACUAAUUCUAUUAAUAUUGUUUUGUCAUAUAUCUAAAGUUAUUUAAUAAUGUCAAAUCUCACAAAACUUGAAUUUGUGGCACUUGACAUUCCGAGAAAGAACUAUCCAUCUUGGAUCCUUGAUGCUAAAAUACAUCUCGAUGCAAUGAAUCUUGGAGCUACAAUUAAAGAAAGAAAUCAAGCAUCCUUGUAGGACUACUCAAAAACGUUGAUUUUCCUUCGCCAUCAUCUCUAUAAAGGUUUUAAAAAUGAGUAUCUUAUAGUAAAUGACAUUUUUACUCUAUGGAGUAAUUUGAAGGAAAGAUAUGACCACCAAAAAGUUGUGAUUCUCCCAAAAGCUCGAUAUGAUUGGAUGCACUUGAGGUUGUAGGAUUUUAAAACUAUUAGUGAAUAUAACAUAACUCUACACUUUUCAAAAUCAACUCUCAAUUAAAGUUGUGUGGAGAAAAAAUCACAAAAAAAGAAAAAACUUUACUAUAUUUCAUGCCUCGAAUGUGAUCUUACAGCAGUAAUACCAAGAGCAUAGAUUUAAAAAAUACUCUGAAUUAAUAUCAUGUCAUCUUGUUACUGAACAAAAUAAUGAGCUUUUGAUGAGAAAUCACUAGUCUCAUCCAAUUGGAUCUUAACCAUUCCUUGAAGUGAAUGCAAUAUCAUCCUAAACUCGUGGACAUGGACGAGGACAAGGAAAUGGUCGUGGUCGUGGAAGGAAUCCCCAAUAUAAUGGUUAUUAUAGUAAUAAUUCCUCAAAUCCUCAUAAAAGGAAAGCUUCAUUGCACCUCCAGAAGUGAAAUAAUAUUGAGGCAAAAUAAGAAAAUGGGAAAUGUUUGCAAGAUAAACCUCUAAAGAACCAUGAGAAUAAUUGUUAUAAAUGUGGUCUGAAUGGUCAUUGAUUGCAUACCUAUUGUAUACUCAAAAAUAUGAUCGACCUUUACCAAGCAUCAAUAAAAGCAAAAGGAAAAGAGAUAGAGAUGAACUUUACCUAUGGUGAUGGAUUGGACCUAACCUACUAAGACAUUGAUUUCUUUGGAGGUCUUAGUGAAAAAACACACUAUUUAAUAAAUGAUGAGAAUGCUAACAUUGAUUGGUGUUACAUUAUAUAUCAAAUAAUAUAUUAUUAUGUCUUAUAUUUAUAUCUGGUUAUUACAUUUUCUUUUAUAUUGUUAUUUAUAAUAUUAUGCCUUGUUUUUUUAAUAUUAGUUGCAUUUAAAAUCCAUGUGUUAUUUGGUCUUAAGAUGACUAAGGAUGAUGUAUGUCUCGUAGAUUGUGAAACCACAUACACAAUUCUUCGAGAUAAAAGAUAUUUCCUUGAAUUAACAUUGAUAAAAGCUAAUGUAUGUACCAUAAUUAGUAUUACAAACUUAGUUAAAGAAUCUGGAAUAGGAAACAUAAUGCUACCAAAUGGAACUAGAUUUCAUAUAAAUGAUGCUUUAUAUUCUAGAAAAUCCAUAAGAAAUUUGCUCAGUUUUAAAUAUAUUCGCAGAAAUGUACAUCAUAUUGAAACUAUGAAUGAAGAUAAUGUAAUUAUCUUUACAUUACUUCCAUUAUAUCUGGCCAGAAGCUUAUAAUUGAAAAACUCUCGGCUUUCUCCUCUAGGUUGUAUCAUACAACUAUAAAGCCUAUUGAAUCAUAUUUUUUCAUGAACCAGAAGUUCAACAACCCAAAAGUUUUUGUCUUUUGGCAUGAGAGACUAGGUCACCUAGGGUUUUCAAUGAUGCAUCAAAUAAUCAAACACUCACGUGGGCAUCCACUAAAGAACCUAAAGAGUCUUUUGCAUAAUGAAUACUCAUGUGCUGCUUGCUCACAAGGUAAAUUGAUAGUUAAACCAUCUUUUACUAAAGUCAUAUUUGAGUCACUAGUCUUUUUAGAAAGAAUACAUAGGAACAUAAGUGGGCCUAUCCAUCCACCAUGUAGACCAAUUCGUUAUUUUAUGAUCUUAAUAUAUGCUUCUCCUAGGUGGUCACAUGUUUGUCUCCUUUUUACAUGUAAUGUUGCCUUUGCUGGACUCCUAUCACAAAUGAUCAAAUUAUGAGCACAAUUCCAAUGUUAUCCUAAUAAGAUAAUAUGUCUUGAUAAUGUUGGCGAAUUUACUUCUCAAACAUUCAUUGACUACUGUCUAUUGGUAGGGAUAAAUAUUGACUAUCUUAUUGCUCAUACUCAUACCCAAAAUGGUUUAGCAAAAUCCUUCAUCACACGUCUCCAAUUAAUAACUCGACCAUUACUAAAGAAAACCAAAUUAUCUACUUCUGCCUAGGGACAUGCUAUUAUGCUUGUUGCAGCUUUAGAUCGUAUUCGACCUACAACUUACCAUUCCCUUCACAACUCGUACUUGAAAACAACCAAAUAUCUCACUUAUGAAUCUUUGGUUGUGCAGUAUAUGUACCAAUUGCACCUACACAUUGCAUUAAAAUGGGUCUCAAAUGAAGACUUGGGAUUUAUUUAGGUUUUAAUUCUCCAUCUAUCAUAAGAUAUUGUAAGAAAAAUUAGGCUAAUCCAACCUAAGGUAAUCACCCUAGAGAGGGUGGGGGGGGGGGGGGGUGAAUAGAGUGAUGAUCUCUUUUUGCAAAUUUAAAUUAUAUAAAUAUAAGAGAUAAUUAUAUGCAAAUAUAUAAUAAAACAAUAUAAAGACAAUUGCAUAUAAAGUAUAAGAGUAGGAAAGAGAGAAUGCAAACACUGGAUUUUUAUAGUGGUUCAGUGUAACCCAACUUACAUCCACUCUCCUCUAGCUUCAGUCCCAAGCUUGAGGUUCCACUAUUUCAAGGCUUCCAAAUCAAGCCUUCAAGCAAUAUAAUUGGAUUAUAGUUCCAAUACACGCUCUUGGAUUUUUGGCUCCAAACACCCUUUACAAUCCUUAAGAGAUACCCCACUCUUGAACAACCCCUCAUGUGAUACCCUACACUUGAGAAUUCCUAAAUGAUAUCACACAUUUAAAAUUUUCUUCUCAAAGAUUUACAAAUGAAGAUAAGAUUGAAAGGUGCACUAAUGAUAUGCAAGUUUUAGAACAAUGGUGCACUAAAAAAGACUCUCUCAAGGCUCAAAUAUAUUAAAGAAGGGUUUAAGCUCUUGAAACAAUGAAGAUUGAAACCUUUCUAUAGAGGAAAACGAUCAAACUAACCAUUGAAGGUUUGACCAGUCGAGCUAGGGGUCAACCAGUUGACUAGCCAUUAGCAUUUAAUGCUUAGUAGGUAACCGUUGGAUCUUGACCAGACCUCGAUUAGUUGAACAAGCGUUCUGGAAGAGAGAAAAGGUUUUUGCACCCGUCGACCGGUUGAGCUAAACAAGUCAACUAGUUCCUCAUCUGGUUCAACAGGUUGAGUCGUUUUUGGCUCAACAAUCAUCAUUUUCAACUUAAAACAUUUUAAACAAGUUUGAAAAACAUUUGACAUAAGGUUUUAGUUGAAAACAUGAAAUUAUUAAAUUUUAAAGGAUUUAAUACAAAAUUAAUUUUGGAUGAUUUUGGUGCAUAAAUUAAUAAUGUAAUGCAUAAAAGACCUAGUGCAUCAACAACCUUACAAAGAAAUCUUAGAAAGUUUAGGUCUUGAAAAACACUUCUUUUUUAAGUCUUUUUCUUCUUAUUGAUUACUCUUUGUCUUGAUUUUGUCUUUUUGAUUGACACUUUGGAAAUAUUCUUGCCUAAUCACACUUGAAAUAUAAUCAUUAGUGUCAAACCUUGUUUUAUUAUCAUCAAAAUCGAGAUUAACCAAACCUUGGUUUCACAAAUAUCUUGAACCUUUGACAGUCGAUGUUUUUAUAGUCUGCUUUGCAGAUUGUCAUUUUAAUGAGAGUGUUUUCCUGUCAUUAGGGAGAGAAAAUUCAAUUCCUAAAGAAUGGUGAGAAAUUACUUGGAAUGCAUCUACUAUGUUCCAUUUUGAUCCUUGUACAAAUCAAUAUGAACUAGAAGUUAAAAGGAUCAUUUAUUUGCAAAAUCUUGCAAACCAAUUACCAAAUUGUGGACCCCGCAUUUCGGCUGGCUCGAAUGCGUUUCCCACUCGAUGGCGAAACUCGAUUUUUAUUUGAAAAAUUGAUUUUUUAUUGAUUAAGAAAAAUGACUUGGAGUCGCCACUUAUUUUUGUUUUAUUUUUAAAGGGUAAACAAAAUAAGAAAGAAAACCCUAAGUGUGACUCCUGAUUUUUGGAAAAGGUGGUUUGUGAAAACCGGAUCGGGUUCGGGGGUCAGGUUACUUAUCGGGAAGGUACGGUAAAGACCGUAGCACCCCUCUAAGUCCCUAAAGUCGGGUCUCUACUAAUAGAAUGAAGCUAACAUGGCGAUGAUGAGGAAAUCAAUAAAUACUCAAAUCAAUCAUGCACAUAUGAGUAUCAAAACAUGCGUAUAGCAAGACCAGAAUAAGGACAGAUGCGUACCUGGGCAACGAUCUUCAAUGCGCUAUCAAGAAGUGAGAUUAGUGCACAAUUAAAGGAUGAUCACAUGCAUAUCAUAGAGCAGAAUAAAUCAUGUAUGGCACCCAAAUCAACCAAACAAUCCAUCAAUCAUAAAAUCUCAUAUGUUGGGCCCCCACCAAAACCCGUUUAUUUUUGCAUGAAUUAAUUCCGUAAAUUCCAUUGUUCGGAAUUACGGAAUUUAAAUUCAUGUUUAUUUUAAAACAUUUUAAAAACAAAGAAAAUGCAAAAGUGGCUUGCCGGAAAGAAAAUGGCAACCAAAUUUUAUUGAAAAUGAGAUUUUUGGUAUCUUAAAAAAAAAACGAAAGGUGAAAAAGUAGAGGAGCCGGGAUUAUUUGAAAAGAUGAAUUGAAGAUAAUAUUUACAAAACGGGACAUGGGGCAAUUGUUUUAAAAUCAAAGAUGAUGAAGAAUAAAAGAAAGGAGGACACGUGCCUAAGGCUGCAUGCAAAAAUACUUGAGUGGGGGAGUUGGUGAGGAAUGGUCGCGCAUGGAUGAAAUCCUGAUCAUAACUGUGCUUACUCGAUCAACUUGUGGAUUGGGAUCAUCAAAUUCUGAAAACCCUGCGUAAAACUCAAACCAUUGAAUGUACCACCAUCAAUCACAGCGCUGCUGACCUUCUUAAACAGCCCGUAUGGUGCCUCUAUCUCACUCACACUAAAUACUGCUUCCCUUGCCAGAGCUUCAGGAUCAUGAAGACCUCUUGCUUGAUUCUGCAGAGAAAACCUGAAGAGGAAGAGUGAAGAUGCCAGGGUACCUGAAAAUCCUCAUUAUCAAGAACAUGAGUGACAGCCUUUGCAGGCCUUUCUUGACCUUCUUGCAUUUCCAGCACAUGAGCAGCUGCAUCCCCACAACUCCCAGAUUUACCAUGUUUCCUAGCAUAGCAUGAAUCAUCAGAAUCACUGUCACCAGCACCUUCUUUGACCAUUAUCAAAUCAACCCACAGUUUCUCUUGUUUUUAGCUCUUCACUUCCGUCGUUCAGUGUAAAGCCAUUGAAAUGUUGAAGGCGCCGAGAUGGGGAAUAAGCUUGCAUGCGGGCUUAGCAACAGCCUGAUUUCCUCUUCAGUAAAUGAAACUAACAGCAGUAACCUUUAAGGGAUUGGCAAUGAGCAUCAAAUCCCAGCACAAGAACAUCCACCAGUUAUUUCUUCAAAUUUCCAUGAUCGAGGUGAACAAUGAUAGGAGUAUCAAUCCUGUACUGACAUAGCAGAGAAGAAUGAAAUCCAUUGCCAGUGAUAGUCCUCAACAAACUUUACCACAAUGCGAGAGGUGUAGCAGCCAAGGACUGGGGCAUAACCAUUUCCGAUUUUGGCCAUAGUGAUUCUUAGUUAUCAUGUCUGGAUGGCCUGGUGGAACCCUAGUAGAGACUCCAUUCCAACCACGUUUUCAGAUUCAGAAAACUCUGAUUGGAAAGAAACCUUAAGCCACACCUUGAAUUGAUAUCCAAACUUCAAUUUUUCACAAGAGAAUUUUGAUUCGCAAAAUCGGUCAAGUUCAUUUCCCUUCACUUCCCUGAAAAUCUGGAAGCUUCCUACAAAAGAUCCUCGUCUGAAGUCGAGAAGCUAGAAAGCUCAGAGAGGUUUUCCCCGUAAGACGCCAACCUCAUAUUGAGAACCUCAGUCUAUGAAUCAAGCUGCGUUUUCUCUCCUGCACCGUGCCGUGGAUGACUCCCCACUCUCUGAGGACACCAAAACUCAGGGAUGACACCCUCCGCACACCCACAUACCUCACCUAGCUUCCUGUAAAUCCCCUUCUCUAGCUCGCUUCCACUGCAUAAACCAUCUUUGCACCUGCUUGUGCUAACCAGAUCACAAGAAUGCCACUCCCAGUUCCUUUUCAAUCAAAAUCAAAUUCGAGUAACAAUUGAUCUCUCCAACCAGUUUUUCCUAUUUCAACAAUAUCUUCCGCAGCAUCAAGAAGAAUUUGGAGAUAUAUCAGCAGCCAUGGAUGAGAAUAUCUGUGAUUAAGACCAACUCGGUCAACAAAGGGAACCCACAAUUCUCUUCGCGUGAUUGCAUGGCUACACAGUCUCUGAGAAGCAUAGAUCUAAAUAGUGCACCAAACGCUUUCAUGCCUUACAAAGAGGCCACGUAGGAAUCGCCAAUACCCUGUGGCCUUGAUGCGGCUGCUAAAUGAGCUCACCACUCUGGCUGCUCGACAGGGAAAGCUGCUGGCCUGGGCACUCUUCACUUUCUGCCAGAUUGAAGGCUUACUUGAUGAAUGAGCUUCACGAAUGUACAAGGUGGAAAAGUGAGGGUGGCAACUAUAGGGUGUAAGAAAUGAGUAUGAAUGAGUCCUAUACCCGUGGGUAUAGUGAGAUAAAGCAUGAUGGAAUAGAAAUGGGCAGAGACAAUGUGGAUAUGGGACAUGGUGGAACGAGCAAAGUGGUUAGGCUAUUGAUGGUGAGCAGGGUACGGGUGAAGUGAUGUGUAUGGUGCAUGAGGGUAUAGUGAGUGGGCUAUGGAUGACAGAAUUGGUGAGAAAAAUGAGUGGAGAUAUGCUGAGUGUAAGGGAUAGGAAGGGUGAUGAGAAGUGGGUUAAUGGUGAUGUGAUAGAUAUGUGAAAUUGGAAAAUGAGAAAGGUGAUAGGUAAAAGAAAUGGGUAUGGAUAAUGGCCGGGUUUGCAUGGUUCCAUGCACAUGGGUAGAUGGACCUGGGAAGUCAACAAGGGCUUUAGAAGGAGCUUUGGACAACCAUGCAUGUGCAGAGGUAGGUAUCAAGGAGAAUUCAACCUCACUCUGAUCAUUUAGAACGGGCAAGUAUCUUAGCAGUAGCAUCCUUCAUAGUGGAUUUCUCUGCUCAUCUGGCAUGUACCAGAACGCAUCCAGCACCUUUAAAGAGUGAUCUAGCACCUUCAUUCUUCAGGAUCUGUGAGAAUGCAUCGAAAGAGCUCUUGUAUUUGACAGCUUCGCCUGAGAUCAUCAUCAUCCUUCUACGCGCUGUAUCUAUUGGGUAAUAAGCCAAUCCUGUACCUAUUGUGAUUCCUUAUCCCAGCAUGAAACUAGCCAAGAGACUAUCCCCUCAAGACAGGCCCUGGCGCAUAGUACAUCUCCACAUCUGUGUACAUCUGGGCAUAAUGCGUGUCACCCUGUUUGCGAGGCAGCUUAAAGCCUGGUUCAGGAUAUAUCAUUGUUUCGACAGGAAGCUUGUACAAUCGAUGUGGGCAGAGCCAAAUUGGGUAUACCUCCCUCUCAUGAGAUACCCAUUCUAGAGCAUCUACCUCGCCCAGAAUCUGCUCCACAAGGUAAAAUUUUCCAUAAGAAUCAUCAAAAGUAGGAUUGCUUCCUCCAGAUUAUUUCUCGGUACAUAUGAACCAUCCAUCUGAACAACUAAACUGGGUGGUGCAGCUGCAUGGAACAGUUUUGCUUGCAAUUGGGCAAUUCGUUCUUGCCUUUCUGGUGCUGGAAACCAUUCUGCUUCCUUUGGAUUCUCAUUUUCCACCUCACUAAAUAUAACCUCAGUUACACCCUGUUUGGACAUGCCAAAUUCGUCUUUCUAUGGUUCUGUUAGAAAAGCCUCUGCUUCAGGAGCUUUACCAAGUGAUCCUUUCCAAUGCGUGGAUACCUCUCCACUAAACUAUUGUAGCCUAGUGGGAACGGGAAGCCGUUGUCAUUUUCAUCCCUACUGCAUGCUCCACUCCUCUUGAAAUCUGACUCGUCUCGGUGCAGGGAGACACAGAGGCCAAAUCAACAUGAGUACAAAUAGAAGGAACCCCGACAAAGGUAAUGUGAUCAGGUUGAGUUCUUGAUUUGAAUAGCAGCCCAGAGAACUGAAGAGCCUCGUCAGCUUGGGCAUUCUGAACAUAACCAAUAAUUAGGGAAGUCCAUGGUACUAAAUCUAGUCUCAGCAUCUCAUUGAAAACAUGUCUUGUCUUCUUAAUAUUCCCACACAAUGUGUAUAUGUGAACAAGCGUACUAGCUGCAAAUGAUAACAGAUCAAACCCAAUCCUCGUCAUAUACCCAUGAACCUGCUUACCCAAUUCUUCCGCAACGAGUUUCUCCAAUCCAUAAGCAUCUUGAGACCCUCUUAACCCCCAUUGAUCAUGGAAAACUCAAGCAUGCCGAAGCUGAUCAUCAUAAUAACUGGAUGGUUGGACUACAUGAACCCCAUUCCUCCCAUAUUGGCAACAAGGUUAAACGCAUGGUCAAACCCAACAGUGACCUUCAAGCAGUUGCUCAUCACCUUGAAAUCAAUCAAGAUAGGAUUCAUGACAGAACACAUCUUCAGUCAUAGGCCCUCUCUUCUUCCAGUCAGAAGCAAUAAUGUAGUGGCCCUCCGUCUUCAGACUCCGAGCAAUAUGAAAGGCAAUAAAGCCAUCAGCACCAGUGAUUGAGAUCUGGAACUUUUCAGAUUGUUAGUGUGGUUCCUUCUCAAGCUCCUCAUAGGUGUACCCUUCGUAAGUGGCUCCAUCGGUACUUCCCAUUCUCCUCUGUUUUCUAAAAAACGACUGUGAAUACUUCCCCUCUCAAUAUCUUAAGCUUGUUGUCUUUCCACUUGUUCUACAAGAAACAUGGCAGUAUCUUGAAGAUUUCUGAUGCCAAGACCCCUCAAAGCAACCCCCGAUUUAGACAGCCAAACCCAAACAAGAUGCUCAACACUCCAAGAGAGAGAUAACAAGAACAGGGGAAAGAGAAUGAAGAAAAAUAAAUAAAUAAAUAAAAACAGAGCAUGCAUGAGGAAGAACGAUGCCUUGAAAUCCAAACUCCAUUUUCAUGAAUACUAAGAGACUUGCAAAACAAAGUGGUGGGAGAAUCUUAACACGCUAAUAAGUAGCGCAACCAUUGUAAAUACAUACAGAGAAAUAAAGAUGCUCAACAAGUAACAAUGAAAAGCAAGUUUAACAGCUUAGAUGACCAAAGCAAGCAUCCACUAUCAGUCGGAAACCUAGUAAUGCAGUAAUACUGGAGAAUUUAAAGUGAGGAAGGAUCAAACCUGAGCGGUUCCUCCCCUGCCCUGCUAACUUCCUCUCUCGGCUCCCCUCGAAAAACCUCCUCCUCCCUCUGUUUUCCUCCCAAAAUCUCUCUCUAACGGCUUGCUCUCAAACCACCCUCCUGCAGCCCCAGGUACCGUCCCCACUACCAUGCAGCUGGCAGCCCCAAAAGCACUCUCUCCUCUGCUCACCUCAACAACCUACAGCUUUUGCAGAUUCCUCCUUGCCAGGUGUCAAUCUCUGAUUGGCUUUCAAAAAAACUGUUCUGAUUCCAUGAUAGCUAAUCAGGGAUUGACACGUGGCCUCCUAGAAAUGCUCCAUCUGGCCAAAUAAGCUGCAACAAAUUCAAAAAGAAAGUGCUCCCAAAAUGGGGGUCUACAAAUAUGCCCCUCUUCGGUAGAGUUCACGAGUGUAAAGAACAUGAACACUGGAGUGAAAAGUAAGUGUGAAUAGUGAGUGCAAUGAAGUGAACUCUAUCGAAGAACCAAGGAGACCCCCAUAGGGACACUAGUGAGAUGUGAACUCACUCAGGCCAAAAGACAAACACAAAGGCUCUAAUCCUAAAAGAGAAAGAUGGGUGCCUCAAAAUGCCUCUAAAGCCACACUAAGGAUCCAAGCUCCCUCUAAAACGUCUCCAAAAGUGACCCGAAGAUCGAUGUCAAAGGUGAGUAACGGUCAAACCACCCUGGAGUACGAACAAGAAUGCGUAUAAAGGAGACUGCCCUAUGUGGACUACGAGAUGAAUAAGCGAUAAGCACAGGGUAACGAGGGGAGAGUGAGAAUAAGUGCAAAUCCAUGAAGGUGAGACGUGCAAUGCCAGAGAAUAUGAAUGCUAGGAGCUGUGACUUUGAAUGACGAGACUGACUCUAAACGCUAAACUAGAAAAAUAAUGGCUCUGGAAGCCAAACCAAAAAAAACUAACUCUAAACGCUAAACUAGAAAAUAAUAGCUCUGGAAGCCAAACCAAAAAGCUAACUCUAAACACUAAACUAGAAAAUAAGAAAAUAAAGCUCUGGAAGCCAACCAAAAAGCUAACUCUAAACACUAAACUAGAAAAUAAGAAAAUAAAGCUCUGGAAGCCAACCAAAAAGCGAACUCUAAACGCUAAAAUCGAAGGCGCAUAGGUGAAGACCUACGGUGGUGAUAAUAACUGAAACAAAGGCUCAUGGAUGAAAAUCCAUGAUGGUGAAUCUGAAAUGCCCAUAGAUGUCUGAUCUAUGGUGGUGAAAUCUGAAAUGCCCACAGAUAAAAAUCUAUGGUGGUGAUAAUCUCGAAAUGCCCAAGGAUGAAAAUCCAUGGUGGUGAUAUAAUCUCAAAAGCCCAAGGAUGAAAAUCCAUGGUGGUGAUAACUGAAUCAAAGGCUCAUGGAUGAAAAUCCAUGAUGGUGAAUCUGAAAUGCCCAUAGAUGAAAAUCUAUGGUGGUGAAAAUCUGAAACAAAGGCUCAUGGAUGAAAAUCCAUGAUGGUGAAUCUGAAAUGCCCAUAGAUGAAAAUCUAUGGUGGUGAAAAUCUGAAACAAAGGCUCAUGGAUGAAAAUCCAUGAUGGUGAAUCUGAAAUGCCCAUAGAUGUCUGAUCUAUGGUGGUGAAAACUGAAUGAAGGGGGAUGCCCUAGACAAACUAAUGGUAGGGGGAUGUCCUGAACAAGAUGACAAUAGGGGGAAUGCCCUAAACAAGAUGACAGUAGGGGGACGCCCUAGGUGAUAACUCAUAAAGAUCGACAAAUGCGUCUGACAAUCAUGAAAUCAGCACGAGACAUGGCAAACCCAAAGAGAGGGGAAUGCCCCAAGUCAAGCGCUAAAGGGGUAUGCCCCAGUGUGACGACUCACAAAGAUCAAGAAAUAGGUCGAGUAAUGAGAGAAGUCGGCAAAACGUCAAUGAACUCAAGGAUGGGGGUAUGCCCCAGUAUGACAACUCACAAAGGUCAAGAGAUAGAAUGAACAGCAAGAGAAUCUGCAAAAGAUCUGGUGAACUCAAGGAUGGGGGUAUGCCCCAGUGUAGGAUAGUAACUAACAUGAGACACGGAAUCUCACCAAACAAGACACUCUGGGAUAUGCUCAAUGAUGAUGCAAUGAAAAGGAUAUACAUAGCCUCAAUGAACAAACGCUAAAACAAGUCCAAACAUCACUGAAAUCAUGCUAACAAAGUAAAACUAAAAUAAUGGAUCAAACAAAUGCUGACCAAAACUCUAGGUCUGAAAUGGAAGCAAAUCAAAACACGACAUGUCAACUAUCAAUAUGAGUACAUCAUCACAAGUGCAUCAACAAUCUAACAGGCCCUACCAUCACGGAAGAUGUUGAACCUAAUGUCCAAAGGCAUGUGAAAGCUCGACCAGAAAGCCGAGACUAGCCCAUAUCUUCCCCUGAUCAAGAGAAAGGGAUAAGGUCAUGUAAGACGAUGAAAUAUGUGGGCUCAAAAGAUGUAAGGCUCUGAUAAGAUGGGUGCAGAUAUAAUAGUGUCCAAUGUAGGAUGUAUAGGUGUGUAACAAAGGAAAGUGGGUACCCAAAUCAAACUAGGUAUGCUAAGGAGACUGAGCCCAGGGUGCCAACAACUCUAUAAUCCAUCGAGAGCAGCGAUCAUAAACAAGAAAUGGAGUCUCAAUGUCAAAAUCAGCAAGGUGGCUAUGCCCCAGUAUGAAUGCAUCGUCUCAGAGUGGGUAAGCUCUCAAUGCAGAAUGAUCUCCGGAAAGUAAGUGUCUGGUAUAAACUGUCAUCUCACAAAAUCAUCGCCAAGACGAGUGGGGUAUGCCCUAGUGUAAGCAUCUCCAAAUCAAACAUCCAUGAGAAGAAUACAACCAAUCAUACCUCAUCUGAUCAAAAUGAACAUCUGCUCAUCAAAGCCAUCGUGGUAAUGUGAAGAGAAUAUCUGACCUCCCCCAAAGAAAAUAGCAUGUCCCAAUGUGAACAACCGCCAAUGAAAGGGUUAUGCCCCAGUAUAGGGCAAACCUUGAAAUGACUAAACUCCGCAGUAUGCUCUCAUAAGUGUCCGUGUCCUGAUCCAAUCAUCUCAAAAAUAUGUCAACAAUGAUGAGAAGGUUAUGCUCCUGUGAUCAUAUCAAAGAAAUCACCCGAUCAUAUCUCGUACUCCAAUGUGAAAUGAAUCUAAUCGCCUCCAAGGAACAUCUAUGCCUAAAAACCACCAUCGACCGAAAGGGGUAUGCCCCUGUGUAAAGUACACUAGAUGAAACGCGCCAAUCAUGUUUCAUGCUCCAAUGUGAAGAAAAAUGACAUCUGAUAUCCUCCAAGGAAUGGACAUGGCUCAAAAAUCUGUCAUCGACUGAGAAGAGUAUGCCUCGACAUAAUGGUCAUCCGAUAAUAAAACUCUCUGAGAUGGCUAUGCCCCAGUGUAAGGUCAUACCAUAACUCUCGGUCUGUCACAAUCAGAAUGCUCUCGAAUCAAUCUCAAGUAUCGCUCACAUAAGAGCUAUCAAACACAAUGUGUGAUGUCAUGGCCUCAGGGUGGUCUUAAGACUCAGGACGUAACGUAGGCUAGGGUGAUAGGGUGAUAGAAAUGAAGGGAAACUAGGCCCAAAUACCCAAUGAUCAAAACCCAUGCCCUCAUGUAUAAAAUGCAACAUGUAUAGAAAAUAUCGUGAGCCAUGGACCUGAAGAUGCCUACUGUGAACAUGGUAACAAUGAUGAUGCAAUGAAGAAAAAUCGAACUGAUGACGAGAUGUAUAAUGAUGGCGCGAAGAGGGUAUCAAACCCGAAAAUGAGGUCACUGUAAGAAUGGAAUAAGGGGUGGAAUGAAAAUGAUGAAACAGAAGUGAAAACGAGGAUGAUGAUGAAGCAUAGAAUACGAGAACAAGUGAUGAUCUGCUCAAAUCAAAUAUGAAAGGAAGUCACGUCAAUAACGAACAUAAUGAUGGAAUGGACAAUGACCCAGAGCUCCUAAGAGAAGGCCACUCAUCUCGCUCUCAAAACAUACAACAAAAUGAAUACGAAGAAUGAAAGGUCCCGAGGAGCUCACAUACGAACUCCCAUGAAUAGACAUAUCCAACAAAGCGACCCCUCGAACACUAAUAUACACAUACUGAAUGAUAGAGAAUAAUACACACAUGUGCCUCUUUUCUUUUUAUCUUUUUUUUUUUUUUUUUUUUUUCAAUCAUUUUUUUUUCAAUUUUUUUUUUUUUUUUACAUAUAUGCAAAUAUACAUGUUCUGAAUGCAAACCAAGAAAGACCCAAAGAUGGGAUCAAAAGUGAAUAAACAUGCCCUCAAAUAUCAAUAUAUCACAAACUCUCUCUAAUGAUGUGACCCUCUCAAGCCAAGGAUCCCUGGAUCAACGUCCGUAGGAUAGAUAAUGGAAAAUGACAUGACUACCCUCCAUGUAAUGAACUGAGGAUGAUCACCAUUCGGGGUGGGAGAAGAUGAAGCGAAACAAACGAUAGAUAUAAUAAAGAAGAGGAUGAAGAACCAACGAGAUGUCACGAAAUGCAAUGACGCAAUGAUAGGAAAAGAUAAUGAGAAAGAUGUGCCCCUAGGUCCAAGGCUCAUGAAACUCCUAAACAAUGCAUGCAUACACUGAAGGGCCCCUAUCCCGGUGUAGAAGGUGAGCAAGGCUAUAAGAAAUAAAAGGCUAUGAUGCUCAUGAGAGGCUCAAAGGGCUAGCAAUGGUCUAGAUGUCAAUAAAGGUAAUAGGGUGUGAGCUAACCGAAAUGAAGGCCACCCAUCUUACGACCACGGUCUCAAACAUCAUGCUAUCAAGCCCUCAAAUGAUCAAUACUAAAGAUCGAUGUCCAUCUGAUAUAACCACGUCAACCCUCUAGAAUCAUCCACCAACCGUACUCCAAAUGCAAAGUAAACUGUGAUCUCAUCAAGCAAUACUGCCCAUCACAAGCCAACUCUCAUCAUACAAUAUCAAUCUCUAUACUCACGAUAAGAUAAGUGACAGUCUCAUCAAGCAAUCGACCAAUCCUCAUAUCGUAAGCCACCCAAAUAUCAUAAGCCAACUCUCGCCAUGCCAGAUCAACCCUGGGCUCGAACUCCUCACACUCUACCUGGUCGAAUCAGAGAAGGGAUGUGUAAAGCUAGAAAAGCCGAGGAUGGAAAGGUCAUAUAACGGUCUCAAGGGUGAUGCUGUGCAAAGCUCGUAAUGGAUGGAUGUAGGUCAAAUCAAAGGCAAGGUGUGGGAAGUGAGCAAGGUACUGCUAUGAUCAUAAGAAGAUGUGUCACAGUCUCGAACUCCCUAGGUCAAAUCUCUGAUCCUAGGCUAAUAGGCUCAAUAUCCCCCAUGACAGGUCACUCCUCAAGACUACAACGUGCAAGUGAAGAAAUGCCUCAAGUAAAAAUCACAACACAUCAUAUCACAAGACACAAACACAUGUCCAUAAAGGAAAAGACAUCCAAUAGGAUAACCGAUGAGUACAUCAUGCAAAAGAAGGAUAACAAAGACAAUACUCAAGAAUCGAGUUAUAGUCUCUAAAAGUCAAAAUCAAAACAAGACUAAACAAACAAAAACAAAAACAGUGACUGGUCCUGCCAUCACAUCUCUGGCCAUAGAAGGAACAAAAUCUGAGCGCCACCUUACCAAGGUAAGUCAAUCGCCCAAAUCAAUAAGAUCAGGGAUUGCUGGUGAAGGGGUGUCUGCAUGCAUGGCCUGAGCUGAGGUAGGUAUAGAAAACAUAUCGGACUGAGGAUGCCCAAAUAUACCAGAAUCAACAAUGUCCUGUAUGGCAUGUCGUAGAGCAGUGCAACGAUCAGUGUGAUGUCCUGCUGACUGAUGGUAUAUACAAUAUAAAUCAAGUCGAAACUGUGGAGGCACAGGAUCUGGAAGUGCCCUAGGAGCCAGAGGAGCCAAAAGUCCCAUGGCUUGGAACGUCUCAAAAACUCUGCUCAGGGGUGCGCUCAAAUCUGAAAAGUGUCUCCGACAUCGUCGAUGGGGGUGAAAUCGCUCCCGAGGAACUGUAACGACCGGAGGGCCCCGAAGCUGGGAUGGAGGUCGUGCCAACAUAGCCAAUGAAAUGGAUGAGGAAUGCUGCUGGAGUACUAAAUGUGGGCGAGGUCGUGGAUGCGAGGCACCCAAAGUAACAGGUGUCGGUGAAGUCAAGUGUGGCAAUGAAGGUAUCGCUACUCCUGGAGCUCCUCUCGAUGACGAUGGAUGCUCUGACAAAAUAAGCUCAAUCCUCUCAACCCUCCGUGUCAAAUCCACCAUCAUCUCAUAAAGAGCAGUAAGAGUAAUGGGUGUGAUCUCGUCCGACAUGGUGAACCUCAACUGAAGAAGUCUAAUCUCAAUGUGCUCUGUAUCAUAACCAUCAUACCAUCAAUAUCUGCUCGGGGACCAGUCACGACACUAAAACUGUCCAAGACUCUAAAACAAACACAUGCAAAAGACAAAACAAAGCAACACAAGAUGCUAACACAAGAUAACAACACAUAAAAUACAUGAUACGAAACAAUGAUAAUAAUAAAAUAAAAAAGACAAAAACAAUACCCAAGAAAACAACAAUAUCACUAAGUGAAAUGAGAGUACAUCAUGCAAAAUAAUAGGACAACAAAGGUCUACUCUCGAAGCACAAGGUGCGAACUCAAAACACUAACUAUAAAACAAGACUCAAAUACAAAAUAAAAGAGAACAAAAACUCAAACGACCAACUAACAAUGUAGUCCCAAAACACACCAACAAGGUAUGCAAUAUCAAAGUGUCUGGUGAAUAUCAGUGCCCUAGGUGUCCAAAAUGUGAUGGUAUAAGCCCGAAGGAGGAGGAACUGCAUGUGUGGACUAAGCUGGAAAGGAAUCAGUAGACAUAUCUGGACCAAGAUCAGUGUCUGUAGUCGAUAUGGGAAAGCUAACUGCACCACUGUCAAUAAGAUCUUGUAUGGUGUGACGCAGAGAAGCACAAUAAUCAGUACGGUGGCCCGCCAUCUGGUGAAAUGCACAGAACUCAUGAGCAUGAAAACGCGGAGGCAAGGUACUCGGGAGUGGCCUAGGGGCCAAUGGUACUAAAACACCAGUAGAUCGGAGUCGCUCAAAAGCUCUAUCCAAAGGUAUCCCUAAAUCAGAAUAAGUCCUCUGAUGUCGCCGAUGGGGACGAGACUGCUCAUGCCGUGGGAUGCCAGUCUGUGGACGCUGAAACUGAAAUGAAGGUCGCACCAUGACAGCAUGAGGAUGCGUAGAAGGGUACAACUGAACUGGAUGAGGAUGACGAUGCUGUAAAGGUGGGAAAUCACUCCUGGGUAUCUGCAAUGAUCUCGCAUAGGAAUGAUAACCAGGUCGUCGAUGCUGAAAGUCCGUAGAACAUAUGUCUCCAUAGCCCUCAGAUGAUCCACCAACUCUCUUUCCCUCAGUAUCUGGGGAAGGAAUAAUAUAUGACCAUAAUCCUCUAGAUAUGCCAUCAUCUACAUCGAAUAAAGCCUGAACCAAUGAUCUGAAAUCCUGGAAUGGGACCCCUGUCAGAUGUCGAGCAAACCUAGGAUGCAAGCUCCUCAAAAACAUGCUCAUCUGAUCUCUCUCGGUAGGUCGCUCAAUCAUCUCCGCAGCCUUCUCCCUCCAACGAGAGAUAAAAGAAGAAAUAGGCUCAUCUGAUCCCUGUCUAAGAAACUCAAGCUCUCUACGUGUAACGCUCGUAUCACCACCGAAUGAAUACUGUCUCAGAAACUCCUGUGCUAAGUCCUCCCAAGUUCUCCGACGAGAUGACUCUAAUGAAGCAUACCAUCUCUGUGUCAUGCCGCUCAAUGACAAUGGGAACAAAGUGAGCAACUGUGCCUCAUCUAGACCAAGGGCCCUCAUAACCGUGCUAUAAAGUCUGAGAUGAAUACGAGGACAUCCGACACCCGUAUAUCUCUCUAUAUCAGGCAUCCUGAAACCAACUGGCAGAGUGGCCACUGGCACAUCGUCAGGGUCCUCCCAUGAGAUCAUCUCAUCAGGGUCUCUCAUCUGUCUAAUCCUCCGCUCAAGUCUGUCCAUACGAGAACGAGGAUCCUCAAUGAUGGUAACUGGUGUGACAAUGGGUGGAGUGACAGCAGCCUGAUCCUGUGAAGUAGUAUGCGAAGUCGGUGUAGUUGGCAUCUGAACAGGUAGAACAGGUGGUGUCACUAAAUCAGAUGGCGUGUCCUCGAGCACUACGUGCCUACUCUACUGAGUAUCCAUCCUCUAGCUCAAACUGGUCAAUGCCUCCUGAAUCGAAACCACAGAAGUGAUAAGCUAACCAAUCGAAACUGACUGUGAAUCUGUCUAUAGCAGCUCAACGAUACGAAUCAACAUCUCUCUCACUCAACCCAGGGCACUGAACUAAGACUGGGACCACAAAUAGACUCCUAUAGAAGAGCCAAUCAAAACGACUCAAACACGACUCAUGCAACGACACGGGAUGCAACGAACAAUGACCAAUGCAUGAUACAACACAAUCCACAACAUGACAGGACGCGACACACAAUCAUAUGGUGACAAUCAAAAUUUGGAUAGACGAUAGAAUCUCUAGAGUCACAUGAGUGUCCAAUGUGAGACAACUACAAAUAUGACUAAAGAAUUUCUAUCGAUAAUCCAGAAAAUGAUCGAGGUGUGAAGAAAAUAAAUGGGGUGUGAAGAACAACACUAUCACGAGAUCGAUACUCAAUCUAUAACAAAACAUCCCUUGAUUUUGACCUUCAACUCGGGCUCCAUAGGAGAAGAAAACGAUAAGGUGAUCCAGGCGAAUCUCUCGAAAAAUGUGUGAAUAUGAAAAUAUGCCUUUCACCUUUCUGUAAUGAAAAUAUGAGCAUCGAGUCGAAAAUCGAACCAAGGAUCAAACAAAGAAUGAGGUACUGAGCCCGUGAUAGGUGUACAGUGCAAAAAGAUGGUCAAUGAACAUAUCCCAAAGUAUCGAGAAGUGACGACAAAGUGAAGAGGUGUGCCGAGCCAAGAAAUGAUAACGAAGGCCCUAGGGAGAAAACAUGCCAAACUCAUCGAGUGAAAAACACAAACUAAGGCGACAAGACGAAAGGUGACCCAACCGUACUCAAACUCAUACCGAUCUCCGAGCACUCUCAACUGGAGACUAAAAAGAGGGAGUGUCAAAUCCGAAGUGUAACCACAGAGGCUCUGAAAGCCCUCAGAUGCACCCACGUGUAGGGAGGGAGUCCUAAUCGAAGGAUCUACGGCUCAACCUAUGAGGUCAAGGUGGCUCUAAAUGGAUAUGGGUGGACUUUAAAACAUCCCUAGCAGAAGCGAUCAUACCCUCCGGCGGUACGCAACCCUCUGCACGCCUCCGAAGAGACGGGGCGCUUCCAUGCAAGGUGGUCAUCACCUCCACACAUGCACUACCUCGCAUCCCAGGGGGUUUCCUAUGGUGAAACCUCUCAAACUCUCAACGCUCAAUGGUCGACUAGAGUGCACAAUGAAUGGUGUGGGUGCAUCCGAAAACCCUAGGAAGCUAAAACAGAAGAGGAAACACACUGGCUACACAAAUAUCCAUGAAACCUAGCUCCGGGCUAUACAGGUCUUCAAUGAUCGGACUCCAAUCGACAUCAAAGUGUCGCUCUCCUCCAGAAUGCUCCCGUGCAUCGAUAUAGCCCGUCGCUAGACCCUACUCCUAAUCUCUGGCUCGGUCAGAGAGCAAACACACAGAAGGUCUCACACUUGCAAUAGUGAGAACUGGGAUGAAAGGAAUGACCGAAACCAAGAGAGUUGGAGGUAAGGGGAUAUAUAUGCGGCCCACAGAGACAGGCGACAUGCAAUCAUGCAGAGGAAGGGCAGUCAUGCAUCAUAUAGUCAAUCAGAGUACAAGAUAUAUCAUUCAUGCACGCAUACAAGCUAUGAGAAUCAAGAUGAAUAGUGAUAAGAAUACCAUGCUCAAAAGACGAUCAAGAUAAUAUGCAAGCCAGAGAAUCGACAUGUCAAAUCAAACCAACAACGAAUCCAUACAUGCAAGGCGGUCAGAAUAAUCAUGGCAAAUAUCAAAAUCACUAUACUAAGCGAAAUAAGAUAAGCAAUCAAUACAAUCAGCAUGCCAAUACCUCAAACGAGCAUGACAAUCAAGCAUAGAGAAAAUAGCUGUCUCAGAAUCCUCUAUCAAUACGAAUCAAUCAUCGUAAUCAAUAUGUCAAAUAUCUCAAACAAAAUAUAUCAAUGAAGCACAAAGAAAAAUCACUGUGUCAAAAUCCCUAAUCAAGAUAAUCGACUAAUAUGAUCAAUCAUGUCAACGUCCCAAGUGAAAACUCGAGAACCCUCAAUGUGCAAUCAAGAAGUGAGUACCCACUGAUAGACUCAUCAAAUACCAUGUUUGCUUCAUCUUAAGUUCAAGCUUGACCCUCUAAUGAUCCCCAGUGGAGUCACCAUUUUGUGGACCCCGCAUUUCGGCUGGCUCGAAUGCGUUUCCCACUCGAUGGCGAAACUCGAUUUUUAUUUGAAAAAUUGAUUUUUUAUUGAUUAAGAAAAAUGACUUGGAGUCGCCACUUAUUUUUGUUUUAUUUUUAAAGGGUAAACAAAAUAAGAAAGAAAACCCUAAGUGUGACUCCUGAUUUUUGGAAAAGGUGGUUUGUGAAAACCGGAUCGGGUUCGGGGGUCAGGUUACUUAUUGGGAAGGUACGGUAAAGACCGUAGCACCCCUCUAAGUCCCUAAAGUCGNNNNNNNNNNNNNNNNNNNNNNNNNNNNNNNNNNNNNNNNNNNNNNNNNNNNNNNNNNNNNNNNNNNNNNNNNNNNNNNNNNNNNNNNNNNNNNNNNNNNCAUCCCAGGGGUUUCUAUGGUGAAACCUUCAAACUCUCAACGCUCAAUGGUCGACUAGAGUGCACAAUGAAUGGUGUGGGUGCAUCCGAAAACCCUAGGAAGCUAAACAGAAGAGGAAACACACUGGCUACACAAUAUCCAUGAAACCUAGCUCCGGGCUAUACAGGUCUUCAAUGAUCGGACUCCAAUCGACAUCAAAGUGUCGCUCUCCUCCAGAAUGCUCCCGUGCAUCGAUAUAGCCCGUCGCUAGACCCUACUCCUAAUCUCUGGCUCGGUCAGAGAGCAAACACACAGAAGGUCUCACACUUGCAAUAGUGAGAACUGGGAUGAAAGGAAUGACCGAAACCAAGAGAGUUGGAGGUAAGGGGAUAUAUAUGCGGCCCACAGAGACAGGCGACAUGCAAUCAUGCAGAGAAAGGGCAGUCAUGCAUCAUAUAGUCAAUCAGAGUACAAGAUAUAUCAUUCAUGCACGCAUACAAGCUAUGAGAAUCAAGAUGAAUAGUGAUAAGAAUACCAUGCUCAAAAGAUGAUCAAGAUAAUAUGCAAGCCAGAGAAUCGACAUGUCAAAUCAAACCAACAACGAAUCCAUACAUGCAAGGCGGUCAGAAUAAUCAUGGCAAAUAUCAAAAUCACUAUACUAAGCGAAAUAAGAUAAGCAAUCAAUACAAUCAGCAUGCCAAUACCUCAAACGAGCAUGGCAAUCAAGCAUCGAGAAAAUAGCUAUCUCAGAAUCCUCUAUCAAUACGAAUCAAUCAUCGUAAUCAACAUGUCAAAUAUCUCAAACAAAAUAUAUCAAUGAAGCACAAAGAAAAAUCACUGUGUCAAAAUCCCUAAUCAAGAUAAUCGACUAAUAUGAUCAAUCAUGUCAACGUCCCAAGUGAAAACUCGAGAACCCUCAAUGUGCAAUCAAGAAGUGAGUACCCACUGAUAGACUCAUCAAAUACCAUGUUUGCUUCAUCUUAAGUUCAAGCUUGACCCUCUAAUGAUCCCCAGUGGAGUCACCAUUUUGUGGACCCCGCAUUUCGGCUGGCUCGAAUGCGUUUCCCACUCGAUGGCGAAACUCGAUUUUUAUUUGAAAAAUUGAUUUUUUAUUGAUUAAGAAAAAUGACUUGGAGUCGCCACUUAUUUUUGUUUUAUUUUUAAAGGGUAAACAAAAUAAGAAAGAAAACCCUAAGUGUGACUCCUGAUUUUUGGAAAAGGUGGUCUGUGAAAACCGGAUCGGGUUCGGGGGUCAGGUUACUUAUCGGGAAGGUACGGUAAAGACCGUAGCACCCCUCUAAGUCCCUAAAGUCGGGUUUCUACUAAUAGAAUGAAGCUAACAUGGCGAUGAUGAGGAAAUCAAUAAAUACUCAAAUCAAUCAUGCACAUAUGAGUAUCAAAAGAUGCGUAUAGCAAGACCAGAAUAAGGACAGAUGCGUACCUGGGCAACGAUCUUCAAUGCACUAUCAAGAAGUGAGAUUAGUGCACAAUUAAAGGAUGAUCACAUGCAUAUCAUAGAGCAGAAUAAAUCAUGUAUGGCACCCAAAUCAACCAAACAAUCCAUCAAUCAUAAAAUCUCAUAUGUUGGGCCCGCACCAAAGCCUGUUUAUUUUUGCAUGAAUUAAUUCCGUAAAUUCCAUUGUUCGGAAUUACGGAAUUUAAAUUCAUGUUUAUUUUAAAACAUUUUCAAAACAAAGAAAAUGCAAAAGUGGCUUGCCGGAAAGAAAAUGGCAACCAAAUUUUAUUGAAAAUGAGAUUUUUGGUAUCUUAAAAAAAAAACGAAAGGUGAAAAAGUAGAGGAGCCGGGAUUAUUUGAAAAGAUGAAUUGAAGAAAAUAUUUACAAAACGGGACAUGGGGCAAUUGUUUUAAAAUCAAAGAUGAUGAAGAAUAAAAGAAAGGAGGACACGUGCCUAAGGCUGCAUGCAAAAAUACUUGAGUGGGGGAGUUGGUGAGGAAUGGUCGCGCAGGGAUGAAAUCCUGAUCAUAACUGUGCUUACUCGAUCAACUUGUGGAUUGGGAUCAUCAAAUUCUGAAAACCCUGCUUAAAACUCAAACCAUUGAAUGUACCACCAUCAAUCACAGCGCUGCUGACCUUCUUAAACAGCCCGUAUGGUGCCUCUAUCUCACUCACACUAAAUACUGCUUCCCUUGCCAGAGCUUCAGGAUCAUGAAGACCUCUUGCUUGAUUCUGCAGAGAAAACCUGAAGAGGAAGAGUGAAGAUGCCAGGGUACCUGAAAAUCCUCAUUAUCAAGAACAUGAGUGAUAGCCUUUGCAGGCCUUUCUUGACCUUCUUGCAUUUCCAGCACAUGAGCAGCUGCAUCCCCACAACUCCCAGAUUUACCAUGUUUCCUAGCAUAGCAUGAAUCAUCAGAAUCACUGUCACCAGCACCUUCUUUGACCAUUAUCAAAUCAACCCACAGUUUCUCUUGUUUUUAGCUCUUCACUUCCGUCGUUCAGUGUAAAGCCAUUGAAAUGUUGAAGGCGCCAAGAUGGGGAAUAAGCUUGCAUGCGGGCUUAGCAACAGCCUGAUUUCCUCUUCAGUAAAUGAAACUAACAGUAGUAACCUUUAAGGGAUUGGCAAUGAGCAUCAAAUCCCAGCACAAGAACAUCCACCAGUUAUUUCUUCAAAUUUCCAUGAUCGAGGUGAACAAUGAUAGGAGUAUCAAUCCUGUACUGACAUAGCAGAGAAGAAUGAAAUCCAUUGCCAGUGAUAGUCCUCAACAAACUUUACCACAAUGCGAGAGGUGUAGCAGCCAAGGACUGGGGCAUAACCAUUUCCGAUUUUGGCCAUAGUGAUUCUUAGUUAUCAUGUCUGGAUAGCCUGGUGGAACCCUAGUAGAGACUCCAUUCCAACCACGUUUUCAGAUUCAGAAAACUCUGAUUGGAAAGAAACCUUAAGCCACACCUUGAAUUGAUAUCGAAACUUCAAUUUUUCACAAGAGAAUUUUGAUUCGCAAAAUCGGUCAAGUUCAUUUCCCUUCACUUCCCUGAAAAUCUGGAAGCUUCCUACAAAAGAUCCUCAUCUGAAGUCGAGAAGCUAGAAAGCUCAGAGAGGUUUUCCCCGUAAGACGCCAACCUCAUAUUGAGAACCUCAGUCUAUGAAUCAAGCUGCGUUUUCUCUCCUGCACCGCGCCGUGGAUGACUCCCCACUCUCUGAGGACACCAAAACUCAGGGAUGACACCCUCCGCAAACCCACAUACCUCACCUAGCUUCCUAUAAAUCCCCUUCUCUAGCUCGCUUCCACUGCAUAAACCGUCUUUGCACCUGCUUGUGCUAACCAGAUCGCAAGAAUGCCACUCCCAAUUCCUUUUCAAUCAAAAUCAAAUUCGAGUAACAAUUGAUCUCUCCAACCAGUUUUUCCUAUUUCAACAAUAUCUUCCGCAGCAUCAAGAAGAAUUUGGAGAUAUAUCAGCAGCCAUGGAUGAGAAUAUCUGUGAUUAAGACCAACUCGGUCAACAAAGGGAACCCACAAUUCUCUUCGCGUGAUUGCAUGGCUACAUAGUCUCUAAGAAGCAUAGAUCUAAAUAGUGCACCAAACGCUUUCAUGCCUUACAAAGAGGCCACGUAGGAAUCGCCAAUACCCUGUGGCCUUGAUGCGGCUGCUAAAUGAGCUCACCACUCUGGCUGCUCGACAGGGAAAGCUGCUGGCCUGGGCACUCUUCACUUUCUGCCAGAUUGAAGGCUUACUUGAUGAAUGAGCUUCACGAAUGUACAAGGUGGAAAAGUGAGGGUGGCAACUAUAGGGUGUAAGAAAUGAGUAUGAAUGAGUCCUAUGCCCGUGGGUAUAGUGAGAUAAAGCAUGAUGGAUGAGAAAUGGGCAGAGACAAUGUGGAUAUGGGACAUGGUGGAACGAGCAAAGUGGUUAGGCUAUUGAUGGUGAGUAGGGUACGGGUGAAGUGAUGUGUAUGGUGCAUGAGGGUAUAGUGAGUGGGCUAUGGAUGACAGAAUUGGUGAGAAAAAUGAGUGGAGAUAUGCUGAGUGUAAGGGAUAGGAAGGGUGAUGAGAAGUGGGUUAGUGGUGAUGUGAUAGAUAUGUGAAAUUGGAAAAUGAGAAAGGUGAUAGGUAAAAGAAAUGGGUAUGGAUAAUGGCCGGGUUUGCAUGGUUCCAUGCACAUGGGUAGAUGGAUCUGGGAAGUCAACAAGGGCUUUAAAAGGAGCUUUGGACAACCAUGCAUGUGCAGAGGUAGGUAUCAAGGAGAAUUCAACCUCACUCUGAUCAUUUAGAACGGGCAAGUAUCUUAGCAGUAGCAUCCUUCAUAGUGGAUUUCUCUGCUCAUCUGGCAUGUACCAGAACGCAUCCAGCACCUUUAAAGAGUGAUCUAGCACCUUCAUUCUUCAGGAUCUGUGAGAAUGCAUCGAAAGAGCUCUUGUAUUUGACAGCUUCGCCUGAGAUCAUCAUCAUCCUUCUACGCGCUGUAUCUAUUGGGUAAUAAGCCAAUCCUGCACCUAUUGUGAUUCCUUAUCCCAGCAUGAAACUAGCCAAGAGACUAUCCCCUCAAGACAGGCCCUGGCGCAUAGUACAUCUCCACAUCUGUGUACAUCUGGGCAUAAUGCGUGUCACCCUGUUUGCGAGGCAGCUCAAAGCCUGGUUCAGGAUAUAUCAUUGUUUCGACAGGAAGCUUGUACAAUCGAUGUGGGCAGAGCCAAAUUGGGUAUACCUCCCUCUCAUGAUAUACCCAUUCUAGAGCAUCUACCUCGCCCAGAAUCUGCUCCACAAGGUAAAAUUUUCCAUAAGAAUCAUCAAAAGUAGGAUUGCUUCCUCCAGAUUAUUUCUCGGUACAUAUGAACCAUCCAUCUGAACAGCUAAACUGGGUGGUGCAGCUGCAUGGAACAGUUUUGCUUGCAAUUGGGCAAUUCGUUCUUGCCUUUCUGGUGCUGGAAACCAUUCUGCUUCCUUUGGAUUCUCAUUUUCCACCUCACUAAAUAUAACCUCAGUUGCACCCUGUUUGGACAUGCCAAAUUCGUCUUUCUAUGGUUCUGUUAGAAAAGCCUCUGCUUCAGGAGCUUUACCAAGUGAUCCUUUCCAAUGCGUGGAUACCUCUCCACUAAACUAUUGUAGCCUAGUGGGAACGGGAAGCCGUUGUCAUUUUCAUCCCUACUGCAUGCUCCACUCCUCUUGAAAUCUGACUCGUCUCGGUGCAGGGAGACACAGAGGCCAAAUCAACAUGAGUACAAAUAGAAGGAACCCCGACAAAGGUAAUGUGAUCAGGUUGAGUUCUUGAUUUGAAUAGCAGCCCAGAGAACUGAAGAGCCUCGUCAGCUUGGGCAUUCUGAACAUAACCAAUAAUUAGGGAAGUCCAUGGUACUAAAUCUAGUCUCAGCAUCUCAUUGAAAACAUGUCUUGUCUUCUUAAUAUUCCCACACAAUGUGUAUAUGUGAACAAGCGUACUAGCUGCAAAUGAUAACAGAUCAAACCCAAUCCUCGUCAUAUACCCAUGAACCUGCUUACCCAAUUCUUCCGCAACGAGUUUCUCCAAUCCAUAAGCAUCUUGAGACCCUCUUAACCCCCAUUGAUCAUGGAAAACUCAAGCAUGCCGAAGCUGAUCAUCAUAAUAACUGGAUGGUUGGACUAGAUGAACCCUAUUCCUCCCAUAUUGGCAACAAGGUUAAACGCAUGGUCAAACCCAAUAGUGACCUUCAAGCAGUUGCUCAUCACCUUGAAAUCAAUCAAGAUAGGAUUCAUGACAGAACACAUCUUCAGUCAUAAGCCCUCUCUUCUUCCAGUCAGAAGCAAUAAUGUAGUGGCCCUCCGUCUUCAGACUCCGAGCAAUAUGAAAGGCAAUAAAGCCAUCAGCACUAGUGAUUGAGAUCUGGAACUUUUCAGAUUGUUAGUGUGGUUCCUUCUCAAGCUCCUCAUAAGUGUACCCUUCGUAAGUGGCUCCAUCGGUACUUCCCAUUCUCCUCUGUUUUCUCAAAAACGACUGUGAAUACUUCCCCUCUCAAUAUCUUAAGCUUGUUGUCUUUCCACUUGUUCUACAAGAAACAUGGCAGUAUCUUGAAGAUUUCUGAUGCCAAGACCCCUCAAAGUAACCCCCGAUUUAGACAGCCAAACCCAAACAAGAUGCUCAACACUCCAAGAGAGAGAUAACAAGAACAGGGGAAAGAGAAUGAAGAAAAAUAAAUAAAUAAAUAAAAACAGAGCAUGCAUGAGGAAGAACGAUGCCUUGAAAUCCAAACUCCAUUUUCACGAAUACUAAGAGACUUGUAAAACAAAGUGGUGGGAGAAUCUUAACACGCUAAUAAGUAGCGCAACCAUUGUAAAUACAUACAGAGAAAUAAAGAUGCUCAACAAGUAACAAUGAAAAGCAAGUUUAACAGCUUAGAUGACCAAAGCAAGCAUCCACUAUCAGCCGGAAACCUAGUAAUGCAGUAAUACUGGAGAAUUUAAAGUGAGGAAGGAUCAAACCUGAGCGGUUCCUCCCCUGCCCUGCUAACUUCCUCUCUCGGCUCCCCCCGAAAAACCUCCUCCUCCCUCUGUUUUCCUCCCAAAAUCUAUCUCUAACGGCUUGCUCUCAGACCACCCUCCUGCAGCCCUAGGUACCGUCCCCACUACCAUACAGCUGGCAGCCCCAAAAGCACUCUCUCCUCUGCUCCCCUCAACAACCUGCAGCUUUUGCAGAUUCCUCCUUGCCAGGUGUCAAUCUCUGAUUGGCUUUCAAAAACACUGUUCUGAUUCCAUGAUAGCCAAUCAGGGAUUGACACGUGGCCUCCUAGAAAUGCUCCAUCUGGCCAAAUAAGCUGCAACAAAUUCAAAAAGAAAGUGCUCCCAAAAUGGGGGUCUACACAAAUGCAUUCAUUAAUACAAAGAAAGUGACAAAGUCACAUAUCCCGACUACAAAUACUCCAACACAGAUUGAUGUCACUGUAGAACAAUUAACAAAUGAAUCUAAGAUUUGCUUGAAGCAUGGUAGACUUGUCAGCUCAAAGGAUAUAACUUCCUAGAAGAUGAGAACACAAGAAAAACUUUGUACUUUAGAAGAGGUCGUUAAAAUGACUGAUUAAUCUAAAAUUGAUAAAUCUAUAGCCCCAAAAGAGGCACGAAUAAUGCAAAAAGCACCUGAAGAGGCACAUAUUGAACAAAAAGCUCUUGAAAAGGCACAUAUUGAACAAGAAGCCCUUGAAGAGGCACAAAUACCUAAAAAUUGUGAGAUUUUAGUAAGUUAUGUACACAUGGGAGUAAAAUGGGAUUUAAAUAAUAUUACAAUUAACAAUAUUUUUCACUUUUCAAGUGGCCCAUGUAUCAUAAGAAAUGAUGAAGAUUCCAAACCAUGAAAUAUGGAAGAAUGCCGACAUAGAAAUGAUUGGCCAAAAGGGAAAGAAACUAUGCAAGAAAAGUUAAACUUAUUAACAAAACGAGAAUUGUUUGGACUUAUACUCUAAACACUUGAAGAAGUAAAACCUGUUAGGUAAAAAUGGGUAUUUGUAUGAAAACACAAUGAGAGUAAUGAAAUCAUAAGAUAUAAAGGCGAUUAGUAGCACAAGGUUUCUUUUAGAGACCAGGUAUUGACUACGAGAAAACAUACUCUCCCAUCAUGGACGCAAUCACAUUUCAUUUCUUAAUUAGUUUGGUAGUCUCAUAAGGACUAGAUAUGUGUCUCAUGGACGUUAUUACAACAUAUUUAUAUAGAUCCAUAGAUAAUGAUAUAUAUAAGAAAAUCCCUGGAGGAUUUAAAUUGCCUGAAACAAAUAAUACAAAGACUUGUAACAUGUACUCAAUCAAGUUACAAUGAUCCUUGUAUGGAUUAAAGUAAGUCGGACGCAUGUUGUACAAUCACCUUAGUAAAUACUUACUAAAAGAAGGGUAUGUGAAUAACCCUAUAUGUCCAUGCAUCUUCAUUAAGAAAUCAGAAACCGGAUUUGCAAUUAUUGUAGUGUAUGUUAAUGACUUAAAUCUUAUUGGAACUCCUAAAGAACUCAUAAAAACAAAAAAAUUACUUAAAAAAGGAAUUUGAGAUGAAAGAUCUUGGAAAAACAAAAUUUUCUAUUGUUAUCAAAUCGAGCAUUUUCCAAAUGGAGUUUUAGUACAUUAAGAAAAUUUUAAAGCAUUUUUAUAUGGAUAAAGUGCAUCCUUUAACUUCUCCAAUAGUUUUCUAAUCAUUUGAUGUGAAAAAGGACCCAUUCCGGCCUUGCAAAAAAUGUGAAGAAUUACUUGGUCCUAAAGUACCAUAUAUUAGUGCUAUUGGUGCACUUAUAUAUCUUGCCAAUUGUACAUGUCUAAACAUUCAUUUUUUUGUCAAUUUAUUAGCAAGAUACAGUUCCACUCCAACUCAAAGACAUUGAAAUGGUAUCAAACAUAUAUUGUGCUAUCUUUGCAGAACUAUUGAUGUGGGUCUAUUUUACUCAAGGGAAUCAAGUAAAAAUUGCAUAAAUAUACAGAUGCAGGAUACUUUUCAUAUCCACAUAAAGGUAGGUCACAAACAGGGUAUAUGGUUAAUUGCAAUGAUACUACUAUUUCAUGGAGAUUUGUCAAACAAAUAAUGAUGGCCACAUUAUCAAAUCAUUCAAAAAUUCUUGUAAUUCGUGAAGCAAGUUGUGAAUGUAUAUGACUAAGAUCUAUAAUCCAAUAUAUUCGGGAACCAUGUGGACUCUUAUCUAUCAAGAGUGAUCCGACAAUAUUAUUUGAAAAUAAUGUUGCAUGCAUUGCACAAAUAACAGGGGGUCAUAUUAAAAGAGAUAGAACUAAACACAUUUCAUCAAAUUUCUUUUAUACACAUGAACAUCAAAAGAGUGGUGAAAUUGAUGUGUAACAAAUACGCUCAAGUGAUAAUCUAGUAGAUUUAUUCACAAAGUCAUUGCCAACCUCAACAUUCAAGAAGUUAAUACACAAGAUUGGAAUGCAUCAACUCAAGGAUAUCGACAUGAGGGUGAGUAUGCUUGUAAAAGGAUGUUAGUGUACUAUACUUUUUUUCCCUUCGUCUAGGUUUUAUCCCGUUAGGUUUUACUAGCAAGGUUUUUAAUGAGACAGUCCUAACAUAUCAAGAGCAACUUAAAGAAUUAUUAGAAUAUUGUACUCUUUUUCCUUCGCUAGGUUUUUCCUAUAGGGUUUUUUACUAGCAAGGUUUUAAUGAGACAUAUUCUUCUAAUGUGGUGGACAUCCAAGGAAAAGUGUUAUAAAUGAAGUAAUGAAUACCACCACAUUUAUUAUAUUAAAUCUUCAUUAAUAUUAUUUAUGACUUCCAUUAAUAUUCAUUAAUGGAAGCCAUUUGGAAAGCUUAUAAAACAGUUUCCAAUCCCCUAUAAGAUGUAUCCCAAGGAAAGAAAGAAAUCCUCUCUCUUAUUCUUUAUGUAUUUCAUUCUUUCAACUCAAUUAAUUCUCUUUUCUGGUUCUUUCCUCCCCAUUAUAUUAUUAUUAAAAUAGUAUAUAGUUGUUCUCUGUUUUUAUUUGCAUUGCAUUUAUCCUCGUUUUACAACACUUAUUUUUUUCUUUUCUCUAUUUUUUUCUUCUUCUAGUUAUUAUUAUUAUUAUUAUUAUUAUUAUUAUUAUUAUUAUUAUUAUUAUUGUUGUUGUUGUUGUUAUUGUUAUUUUAUAAACAUAAUAUAACCUAUCAAAAAAUAAUAAUAAUAAUAAUAACACAUAUAUAAAUAAUAUAAUAAUUAAUUUACAAAUUAUUGUUUCAUUAGUUAUUAUUAUUGUUAUUAUUAUUAUAAUUAUUAUUUCAAAAAAUUUUAAAUAUUAUGUAUAACUUAUACAAUAAGAAUAAUAAUAAAAUAAUUUUACAAAUAUUGUUUCAUUCAUGUAUUGAAGACAAAGUUUUCUUAUAUAAACUUUCAUAAAUUAUCAAUUGUUUUUUACAAUAUGAUUAUUAAGAAAAUAUUACAAUAAAAAAUUAGUAUUGAUAAUUAUGAAAAAACAAAAUUAAAGCAUGUGUUAUUGUACUUUUAGUGUACUUAUAUUGUAAUUUCAAUGCAUAACUAUGACACAUACAUUUUGGAACAAACUUAUUAGUGUUCGAAGCAUUGUCUUUAUUCUACUAUAUUGAUUUCUAUAUUAGUAAGGCAUCCCAAUGAAUUAGCAUCAUAUACUAGAUGCAUUCUUAUCAGCAAUAAUUCUUAUAAUGAAACUCAUACACCUUAUAAAAAAAAUGUCUUAUAAGGUUAAUUUAUAGUAGAUGAAAUAUUAAAAAAUAUAUAAAAUAUGUGACAGCCAUUCAUCAAUGCUUGUUUAAAAGGAAAAUUUUAAAAUAAAGUUAGGUUAUGCAGUAAUGUAUAAGACAUUUAAAGUAUUCAUGUUGUAAGAUCAUUAUAUUUUUGUGGUACGUGUACAUUGGCUUUUAUAUUAAUACAUAAUAUCGGUGUACUAGCAUUAUACAUUUAAUGAAUCAUUAUUGUGCAUGAUUUUUAUAAUAAACCUAUAAGUUUUAAGAAUUAGAUGAAAGAAAAAUUAUAUUCUAAGAUUGGUUUAUAAUCAAUGACAUUAUAAUAAUAAAAAUAUGAAUAAUGAUACAUAUGGAAUAUUAAUGAUAUAAAACUAAUAUCAUAAAUAAUAAUAUUAAUAAUAUGUUAAUAAUGAUGAUAAUAAUAAAUAUAUAAUUAUAAUUUUUUUUUAAUAAAUAACAUAGUUAGUCUUAACAUAGAGUAAAUAAAGCACAAAAGGUUGAAAAGAAAAGUAGAAAAGUAAAGUUAUAUGGGAGUAGAAGGAAAAGACAAAAUGAUGUAAUUGGAAUUAUGGAAUGAUCAAAUUAUCAAACUAUAACUUGUGAAUUUGACAAGACUUUGAGACUUGGUGACCCUUGAGGGAGCUUAUCAUCACUUUGAGCUAGGUGACCAUUUUUUUUAAAAAAAAAAAUCGAAAAUAAAGGCCAUGAAAAAUUUAUUUAUAAAGAAUAAUAACAAUUUUGUAUUUUUUUUAUACAAAUUAGAUAUUUAAUUUAUUAGAAUAAUUUUGGUGGUAAUGACAAACAAAAUAACUCCUUAAAUAGGUGAAAUAAUUCAUUUUCUCAAUUUUAUAUGCAAAAGUAUUUUAAAACAAAAAGGAUAAUACAUUAUUUUUGUUCAUCAAUCCACAUUUUGACUUCCAUUUUAAAAUCCAUCUAUAAAAAUCUCUCUUUAUAAAUAUCUGCCUAGAUUGCCUAAUCAUCUAUUUGUUCAUUGUCUAUAACUUCUUGCCUGAUUAUCAAUUUAGAUGUUCAUAUUUGCGUAUAUUUAUUCAUUCCACCAUGGAUUUUGUUGGCUUAUUUGUAAUGUAUACAAUUUUGAUGAAUUGUUUGAUUAUUUGAGAACCGAAUUUCCCCUAACCCACCAAUAAAAUGCAAGUAAAAGUCCGACCAAGAGGGGUGUUCUUGGCCGGUGGCCUUCCUGAUAAGUCACCUUAGCCGUAGACUAGAUUUAGAUUUUGCAAUCACUAUCAUCUUGACCAAUCUAGCCAUGUACCAAAAAGUCAAUUUUGCCAAGUUUAAAAAGUUUGCUUUAAGCCUGUUCAUCAUAAUUGACAGAAGUUAGAAUUACAAUGAAAUAUCUAGGAGAAAAUGUCCGCAGGAGCAGAGAGAGAGAGUAAAGGCAAUACAUUCAGUCAUGAAUUUGAUGCAAAUCCCAAAGUACGUAAUUGUGUCGAAUACUCUCACCAUGAUUGUCGAUCUAUCGGAUCAGACGAUUACUAUGUUUGCCAAAAAUGCCUGGGCCGUAUGUGGAAUAAAUCAAUUCCACAAGGAGGGGAAACUGCAAAAUUCCGUACAAGGUCACAGGCAAACAGGCUAAUGCAGCCAAGGUAAUAAGAAUCCAUGCCUUCUUUUCACCAAAGAGAAGAUAGAUUGCGCUACUGUAGGCUAUCAUCAUGAAUGUUACGGAGAGGAAUAGAGUAACAAGGCCAAAUAUCAACCUCCUGGGAAGGGCAAAAAGAAAAUCAUCUUCUGCA
rnacentral:lncRNA from 1 species